CUGUUCCAAGAACUGCAGGUCAAUCUACAAGUUCGGAAAACAAGUGGCUAAAAAGCUACAAGAUGUGAAGACUUUAAUCGGCGAGGGAGUUUUUGAGGCGGUGGCUACUGAGGUGGUGGCUGAGAGAGCCCCAGAACCUGUAGCAGAUAAAAGACCCACUGAGCCAACAAUAGUAGGCUUGCAAUCACAGCUUGAACAAGUUUGGAGAUGUCUUGUAGAAGAAUCAGUGGGAAUCAUUGGCCUAUAUGGUAUGGGCGGUGUUGGUAAAACCACACUAUUGACCCAUAUCAACAAUAAAUUUCUUGAGAGUCCCACAAACUUUGAUUGUGUGAUUUGGGUCGUAGUUUCAAAAGACCUGCGACUUGAAAAAAUUCAAGAAGAUAUUGGGAAGAAGAUAGGUCUAUCUGAUGAUUCAUGGAAGAAUAAAAGUUUUGACGAGAAAGCUGUGGACAUCCAGCGGAGAUUAGGAGAGAAGAGAUUUGUAUUGUUGUUAGAUGAUUUAUGGGAGCGGGUUGAUUUAACAGAAGUGGGCGUUCCACUUCCCAGCGCACAAAAUACUACCUCAAAAGUCGUAUUCACAACCCGUUCCAUUGGUGUUUGUGGUAGCAUGAGAGCUAGGCCGGUUAAAGUGGCAUGCCUAUCAGAAAAGCAAGCUUGGGAACUGUUCCGCGAAAAUGUUGGGGAAGAAACUCUUGAGAGUGAUCAUGAGAUCGUUGAGCUAGCCCAAACUGUGGCCAAAGAGUGUGGUGGUUUGCCACUCGCACUUAUUACUAUUGGUCGAGCUAUGGCCUACAGAAAGAAAGCGGAGCAGUGGAGACGUGCAAUUGAAGAGUUAAGAAGAUCAACUUCAGAGUUUGCAGGUUUGGGAAAAGAGGUGUAUCCUCUUUUAAAGUUUAGCUAUGAUAGUUUGCAGAAUGAUACAAUUAGAUCUUGUUUCUUGUAUUGUUGUUUAUAUUCUGAAGAUUAUGGCAUUCUUAAAUGGGACUUGAUUGAUUGUUGGAUUGGUGAGGGAUUUUUGGGGGAAUCUGACAGGUUUGGUGCAGAAAACCAAGGAUAUGACAUUUUGGACACUCUUGUUCGUGCAUGUUUAUUGGAAGAGGUGGAAGAUGAUAAAGUAAAAAUGCAUGACGUUAUUCGUGAUAUGGCUCUAUGGAUAACUUGUGAAAUUGAGAAGGAGAAGAGAAACUUUUUGGUUUGUGCAGGUGCGGGACUAAAGGAGGCACCGGAUGUUAAAAGAUGGGAAAAUGUGAGAAGAUUGUCAUUGAUGCAAAACCAAAUUGAACUCUGUCAGAGGGUUCCUAAAUGCCCUCAUCUCNNNNNNNNNNNNNNNNNNNNNNNNNNNNNNNNNNNNNNNNNNNNNNNNNNNNNNNNNNNNNNNNNNNNNNNNNNNNNNNNNNNNNNNNNNNNNNNNNNNNUGACGUUUUGAUUUUUGCAAGUCUACCCAAGUUAUCAUGCUCUCCAAAUUCUUUUGAGCUCAAAUAGGUUAAAAAGUUGUAUUCGAUCUCUUUUCCUCCCGUUGGCCGGAGAUGCAACGUCGAUUAUUGAUGCUACGGCUUUCGCAGAUCUAAACCACCUCAAUGAAUUAGGGAUUGAUAGGGCUGAGGAGUUGGAAGAAUUGAAGAUUGAUUAUGCGGAGAUAGUACGAAAAAGGCGGGAACCUUUUGUUUUCCGCAGCCUUCACCUUGUUGCUAUAUAUGAAUGCCACAAAUUGAAAGAUUUGACAUUCCUCGUUUUUGCUCCAAGCCUUAAGUCUCUUUCGCUAUACGGUUGCAAUGCUAUGGAAGAAAUAAUCAGCGUUGGAAAAUUUGAUGAGACUCCUGAGGUGAUGGGACAUAUAAGCCCUUUUGGAAAUCUCCAAACGCUUGAUCUAUCAAGAUUGCCAAUUUUGAAGAGCAUCUACUGGAAGCCAUUGCCUUUCACUCAUCUCAAAGAAAUGGCGGUGACACAUGGGUGUAAUCAGCUUAGAAAGCUUCCACUCGAUUCCAACAGUGCAAAAGAGCGUAAAUUUGUUAUUCGUGGAAGAGAAGACUGGUGGAACCGACUUCAAUGGGAGGAUGAAGCCACUCAAAUUGCUUUUCGUUCCUGUUUCCAACCUCAUUCCUGGUGAGUGCGUUUGUCUUUUAAAAGAAGAAUUUAAAAGAAAUUUAUUCUUGUCAUUUUCUUCUCUGUAUUUAUUUCAGUUUCUUUCUCUCUCUCUCUCUCUCUCUCUGUCUUCUGCAAAUCACAGUUAAAUGUUGAAUUAAUCGAAUUAAUGCUUCAUAAAAUUUGCCGGCACUGCCAUUACUUUUUUAAUUUCCUGUCAAAAGACGAGCGAGAAGAACAUAUAUAUGACUUAAACCAAUUGAUACUUUAUUUAUGUGCAUCGUAUGUAAUAAAUAUUAAGUAUACUUUAUUUUGCCCUGUUCUCUGUUUUUAUUUCAGUCUCUCUCUCUCUCUCUCUAAAACAUUAGAGUCAAACUAAUGCUCACAUAAAUUUCCCGUAAGAAUAUAUAUAUUAUUAGACUGGAAUGCACACCUCUAGAUUGAACAGAAUUAAAGCUGAGGAAUAAAUGACGCGAAAAAAUAUAAACAUAUAUACAAAAUCAUAGAUUAUAAAUCUUUUUUUUUUUGGUUUUAAGAUCAACAAUACUACAUAUCAUAAAUGGUAUCUUUAAAUACUCUUCCCUCAUGAAGAGAUUAAUUGAAAUACAACAUUGAUUUUAUGAUAAAAAAAAAUUUCUUAUAUUUUUUAGACAAGUUUGAGAAGUACAUUUAAAACUUUAUUGCAAUGCACACCUCUAUAUUUUUCUGUAUAGUAGCCCUCUUUACAGAAAAAGACGCGAAAGUUAAUUUAGAAAGAUAUAUUCUUGAUUAAUCCAUUUUCUGAAGUUUUUUUAUUUUGUAUGGUCAAUUAUACCUUCAUACUAGAAAUUUCUGAAGUUAUAAAUUAGUGCAACUUGACAAUUUUUACUGAUGAUAUCUUCUAUUUUUCCUUUUUUUUUUUUAACUCUCAUAGAAUGUUACUGUCAUUUUACUUACAAAUAGGUUUGAAUUUGAGCCCAUGAAACGAUAAUGAGGAAUAAAUGAGACUGAGGAUCUGCAAUAUGAUCUGCAAUAGUAGUUAAAAUAUCAUUGAUGACUUUUCUGNNNNNNNNNNNNNNNNNNNNNNNNNNNNNNNNNNNNNNNNNNNNNNNNNNNNNNNNNNNNNNNNNNNNNNNNNNNNNNNNNNNNNNNNNNNNNNNNNNNNAGUAUGUUAAGUAAAACAUAAUCAAUUAUUUGUGUUUUAUCUCUAAUUAGAACAUCAAUCAGUUCAGUACCUCACAAAUAAUUCGUAAUAUCUACAAAAUACUAUAAUGGCUACAAAAUAAAUCCUGCUUGCAAAUUGUCAAGGAUACCUAUCCGUUCGCUUCACAAGUCAUUUGAAUAAAUAUUGUUCACAUUCCUUACUAAAACAAUAAAACUCUGGAGGACGAUUUGUUAGCCUCAGUUUUCUGUCAGGUUCAUAUCACAUAUAUUUCACUUAUAUACAAGCUAAGAAUACAUAUGAUAAACAUUAGCUUACAAGAUAACUACAAGGAUAAUUACAAGACUAACGAUAACUACAAGGAUAAUUACAAGACUAACGAUAAGAAUAUUUUAAGUUUUAUCUUUAUCGUUAUCACUUACUCUGUCAAUUAUCCAAUGGUCCUCAACUUUAGUUUGAACAGUAUACAUGCCAUCACCAUUACCAAGAAUCAAGCAUGGAAGAGUCAUUCUAUAGAGUUAAUCGAAGCAAGGAAUGAUGUAUCAGAAAAUAUUUGGUGGAGAAUUCAGCACAAACAUAUUUCGGAUGAUCAGAAUCAAUAAAACCUGGUGGUUGCGCCAUAUAAACAUCUUCGGAAAGCUGGCCUUGAAGAAAGGCGUUAUUGAUAUCCAAUUGAUGAAGAGGCCAGCCAUGACUAACAUCAAUACUUAGAACAAGCCGUACUGUGGUGGGCUUAACAACUGGACUGAAAGUGUCAUAAUAGUCCACACCACGCCGUUGAUUGAACCCUUUGACAACAAGACGAGCUUUAAACCUGUCAACAGAACAGUUAGAAUGUCUUUUAAUACAAAAAUCCAUUUGCAGCCAACAAUAUUGGAAGGGAUGGGAGGUGGAACAAGCUUCCAUGUCCCGUUACGAACAAGAGCAUCAUACUCUUCUAACAUAGCUUGACGGUAGUGAGGAUUUUUGAUAACUUGCGUCACAAUUGUAGGUUCACAAUCAGAAGAAAGGCUGAAAUGAGCACGGAGGUUAAGUUUUUGUAACGGCUUGUGAAUCUUAUAUUUAGCUCCGGUAGUCAUAUCAUGAUGAUUUGUGUGGAGGUAGAAGUAGGUUGGGAGGAUUGCUGCGGAGAUGUUACCGGUAGAGAAGAAGGAGCAGUACACGGUGGCAACUCCAGAGGGCCCACAAUAGAUGGAGUAGGUGCCGACGAUGGAGUACUAGGAAAUGAAACAGAAGAAUUGGUGGAACACUUGCGUAAUUAGGAGUGGUAGAUGAGCUUGUAAUGAUUUGUAUGGAAAAACAAACUCUACAAAUUUAACGUGACGUGAAAUAAAAAUUUGAAAGGUGGAUGGGUCAAAACAUAAAUAAGCACUUUGAGAUAAAGGAAUAUCCUAGAAAAACACAAGGCUUAGAGGGUGGUUCGAGUUUAUGUGAUGAAACACAAACAUUCAAAAAUUUUAAGUUUAUAUUAAGAGUAAUGAUACAGCCACAAACUCUUGUACAAACUUAUUUUGUACAAACUGAUGUGGCAUGAUAAGAUUAGUUGAAUUGAAUAUCACUUGGCCCACAUGAUUUGUUUUUAUUAAUUUAUAUUUUCAUUCAACCAAUGAAAUCAUGCCACGUCAGUUUGUACAAAAUAAGUUUGUACAAGAGUUUGUGGCUGUAUCAUUACUCUUAUUAAUUAGGAGUGGUCCGCGGGACAUGUAGCUAUGGGGUUGUUGGAUGUGUUUUGGAUAUUUACAGUUAAGUUUGAGUUUAUAUCUCAACUUAAAAUUUGUAGUUUUCACUUGAAAAAAUUCAGUUAAAAAUUGAUUGGUAGAGUUGUGAAAAAGUUUAAAUUUUUAGUUCAACCCGAUUGCAUAUUUAAGAACAUCUCAAAUGAAUUGCUUACUGCUAUCAUCAUCGUUAUUGUAAGAGAUGGUUAAUUGAUAGACUAUGUGCCUGGGUCGAGCACUGNNNNNNNNNNNNNNNNNNNNNNNNNNNNNNNNNNNNNNNNNNNNNNNNNNNNNNNNNNNNNNNNNNNNNNNNNNNNNNNNNNNNNNNNNNNNNNNNNNNNNNNNNNNNNNNNNNNNNNNNNNNNNNNNNNNNNNNNNNNNNNNNNNNNNNNNNNNNNNNNNNNNNNNNNNNNNNNNNNNNNNNNNNNNNNNNNNNNNNNNNNNNNNNNNNNNNNNNNNNNNNNNNNNNNNNNNNNNNNNNNNNNNNNNNNNNNNNNNNNNNNNNNNNNNNNNNNNNNNNNNNNNNNNNNNNNNNNNNNNNNNNNNNNNNNNNNNNNNNNNNNNNNNNNNNNNNNNNNNNNNNNNNNNNNNNNNNNNNNNNNNNNNNNNNNNNNNNNNNNNNNNNNNNNNNNNNNNNNNNNNNNNNNNNNNNNNNNNNNNNNNNNNNNNNNNNNNNNNNNNNNNNNNNNNNNNNNNNNNNNNNNNNNNNNNNNNNNNNNNNNNNNNNNNNNNNNNNNNNNNNNNNNNNNNNNNNNNNNNNNNNNNNNNNNNNNNNNNNNNNNNNNNNNNNNNNNNNNNNNNNNNNNNNNNNNNNNNNNNNNNNNNNNNNNNNNNNNNNNNNNNNNNNNNNNNNNNNNNNNNNNNNNNNNNNNNNNNNNNNNNNNNNNNNNNNNNNNNNNNNNNNNNNNNNNNNNNNNNNNNNNNNNNNNNNNNNNNNNNNNNNNNNNNNNNNNNNNNNNNNNNNNNNNNNNNNNNNNNNNNNNNNNNNNNNNNNNNNNNNNNNNNNNNNNNNNNNNNNNNNNNNNNNNNNNNNNNNNNNNNNNNNNNNNNNNNNNNNNNNNNNNNNNNNNNNNNNNNNNNNNNNNNNNNNNNNNNNNNNNNNNNNNNNNNNNNNNNNNNNNNNNNNNNNNNNNNNNNNNNNNNNNNNNNNNNNNNNNNNNNNNNNNNNNNNNNNNNNNNNNNNNNNNNNNNNNNNNNNNNNNNNNNNNNNNNNNNNNNNNNNNNNNNNNNNNNNNNNNNNNNNNNNNNNNNNNNNNNNNNNNNNNNNNNNNNNNNNNNNNNNNNNNNNNNNNNNNNNNNNNNNNNNNNNNNNNNNNNNNNNNNNNNNNNNNNNNNNNNNNNNNNNNNNNNNNNNNNNNNNNNNNNNNNNNNNNNNNNNNNNNNNNNNNNNNNNNNNNNNNNNNNNNNNNNNNNNNNNNNNNNNNNNNNNNNNNNNNNNNNNNNNNNNNNNNNNNNNNNNNNNNNNNNNNNNNNNNNNNNNNNNNNNNNNNNNNNNNNNNNNNNNNNNNNNNNNNNNNNNNNNNNNNNNNNNNNNNNNNNNNNNNNNNNNNNNNNNNNNNNNNNNNNNNNNNNNNNNNNNNNNNNNNNNNNNNNNNNNNNNNNNNNNNNNNNNNNNNNNNNNNNNNNNNNNNNNNNNNNNNNNNNNNNNNNNNNNNNNNNNNNNNNNNNNNNNNNNNNNNNNNNNNNNNNNNNNNNNNNNNNNNNNNNNNNNNNNNNNNNNNNNNNNNNNNNNNNNNNNNNNNNNNNNNNNNNNNNNNNNNNNNNNNNNNNNNNNNNNNNNNNNNNNNNNNNNNNNNNNNNNNNNNNNNNNNNNNNNNNNNNNNNNNNNNNNNNNNNNNNNNNNNNNNNNNNNNNNNNNNNNNNNNNNNNNNNNNNNNNNNNNNNNNNNNNNNNNNNNNNNNNNNNNNNNNNNNNNNNNNNNNNNNNNNNNNNNNNNNNNNNNNNNNNNNNNNNNNNNNNNNNNNNNNNNNNNNNNNNNNNNNNNNNNNNNNNNNNNNNNNNNNNNNNNNNNNNNNNNNNNNNNNNNNNNNNNNNNNNNNNNNNNNNNNNNNNNNNNNNNNNNNNNNNNNNNNNNNNNNNNNNNNNNNNNNNNNNNNNNNNNNNNNNNNNNNNNNNNNNNNNNNNNNNNNNNNNNNNNNNNNNNNNNNNNNNNNNNNNNNNNNNNNNNNNNNNNNNNNNNNNNNNNNNNNNNNNNNNNNNNNNNNNNNNNNNNNNNNNNNNNNNNNNNNNNNNNNNNNNNNNNNNNNNNNNNNNNNNNNNNNNNNNNNNNNNNNNNNNNNNNNNNNNNNNNNNNNNNNNNNNNNNNNNNNNNNNNNNNNNNNNNNNNNNNNNNNNNNNNNNNNNNNNNNNNNNNNNNNNNNNNNNNNNNNNNNNNNNNNNNNNNNNNNNNNNNNNNNNNNNNNNNNNNNNNNNNNNNNNNNNNNNNNNNNNNNNNNNNNNNNNNNNNNNNNNNNNNNNNNNNNNNNNNNNNNNNNNNNNNNNNNNNNNNNNNNNNNNNNNNNNNNNNNNNNNNNNNNNNNNNNNNNNNNNNNNNNNNNNNNNNNNNNNNNNNNNNNNNNNNNNNNNNNNNNNNNNNNNNNNNNNNNNNNNNNNNNNNNNNNNNNNNNNNNNNNNNNNNNNNNNNNNNNNNNNNNNNNNNNNNNNNNNNNNNNNNNNNNNNNNNNNNNNNNNNNNNNNNNNNNNNNNNNNNNNNNNNNNNNNNNNNNNNNNNNNNNNNNNNNNNNNNNNNNNNNNNNNNNNNNNNNNNNNNNNNNNNNNNNNNNNNNNNNNNNNNNNNNNNNNNNNNNNNNNNNNNNNNNNNNNNNNNNNNNNNNNNNNNNNNNNNNNNNNNNNNNNNNNNNNNNNNNNNNNNNNNNNNNNNNNNNNNNNNNNNNNNNNNNNNNNNNNNNNNNNNNNNNNNNNNNNNNNNNNNNNNNNNNNNNNNNNNNNNNNNNNNNNNNNNNNNNNNNNNNNNNNNNNNNNNNNNNNNNNNNNNNNNNNNNNNNNNNNNNNNNNNNNNNNNNNNNNNNNNNNNNNNNNNNNNNNNNNNNNNNNNNNNNNNNNNNNNNNNNNNNNNNNNNNNNNNNNNNNNNNNNNNNNNNNNNNNNNNNNNNNNNNNNNNNNNNNNNNNNNNNNNNNNNNNNNNNNNNNNNNNNNNNNNNNNNNNNNNNNNNNNNNNNNNNNNNNNNNNNNNNNAUCAUCAUACCUGUGCACUGGAUUUUUAAUAUCAAUGCCACUGCAGCUGUGAUCAAGAAUAUAAGAGCGUUUAACAUCUUUUCUCCAUCGAGAAAGAAUGUACUGAGAUGGGAUCUCCUGCAUGCCACUCUGGCUUAGAACACAAAGAAUGUGUCUGCAUAAAUAUCCUCUGAAAUUGAACAACCCACAAACACAAAGCACCUCUAAGUCGGAGGCAUUGUACAAAACAAUGAAAGCCCUUGAAUCUUUCUCAUUGCUACCAACCUCGAAUUCUUCCUUCACUAUGUAUGUUAUAGGUCCAUCAGCACUAACAUGUUUUGUGCUAUAGCAAGAGUACAUAGCCUCCACCUCCGUCUGAAACUUCCUUAACAUUUCAUUUGUGUACAGUUUUGAGAGUUGAAAUUCAUAGUAGCAUCUUGGUUUCUGGAUACAACUUGAAUUUCUUGAAUCCAUAUCUGCCAAGGCUUCCAGUUGAUAAUUCGCCCGCAGUGCUUGAUCAUACUUGUCUAAGAAUUCUUUCAAAGGAGUAUUCGUAUCAAGAUAUCCUUCAAAGUAUAAAGUAGAAACCUCAUUCUGCAGGAACGAAAACACUCCUGAUAAAUAAGCUUCCUUCAAAUAAACAGGAGCCCACCCUUUACGAUCUUCAUAUAACGUUUGAAUCCAUCCGUGAUCCUUUAUUCCAUGACGUUGAAUCAUGUCUUCCCAAGCUGCUUCAAAUUCCUCAGGCCUGAGACAGUGAUAAAUUGCUCUAUGUAAUGCAGCUCUAAUAGCUUCUUAUUCAAACAAUCCUUCGAGUUUCUCUGGAAUUUUUUGCAUGAUGCAUGACAAUGAAAAGCAAUGAUAAGCUCUUGGGAAAACAUUGCCAACAGCAAUUUGCAAGAUUCUACAUUGGUCAGUGAUGAUUGUUUGUAGAGAGCGUCCUAACAUACAUGUAAGCCACGCCCUAAACAGCCAUGUAUAUGAUUCUAUAGUCUCACUGGCAAGUAAACCACAACCCAACAACACUGAUUGUCCAUGAUGAUUCACCCCAAUGAACGAAACCAGUGGCACAUUAUAUCUUUCUGUCAAGCACGUAGUAUCAAUUAAGACUACAUCACCAAAGUACCUAUACGCAACUCUUGACCUGGUAUCAGUCCAGAGCAGGUUUCUCAGGCAUCCCUUUUCAUUUAGAUCCACCACAUUAAAAAAGUUUGGAUCUGUCAACUGCCAACGACAAAAGAAACUCUGGAUAGCUUGUGCAUCUCCUGGUUUAAGCUUCAAUUGAUUUGAGCUAUUAACAUUAUUUUCAAAUACUCCACUAACAUCUACAUUACCAUUUCCCUUGGUAUCAAUGAUAAGAGUUCGAAACAGUCUAACUUUUUGAACUUCUUCAGCACCAUCUAAGUGCAACAUUCUUUUGGUUCCAAUACCUAUGUGCUUAUGUGACUUGUAAAACUUUCCGCUUCUUGGGCUUAACAAGUGGUUAUGGUCAAGCUCAACUUCAAUGAUUCUCCACCUUUUGGUUUCCAUCAACCUAAACUUUAUCAUUGCUGGACAGCCAGUUCUUGUUUCUGGUCUUGGGCGGUUUGCCUCGCUUUUCUUCUUGAAGCCUGCACUACUACAGCUCAGCUUUCCUCUAUACUUUUCUCUACUCUUUCGGUACCAUGUAUUGCUAACUCUAACACCAAAACCCUGUUCCUUGGCAUAGCAAUUGUAAAAGUAAUAAACGUCAUCAUAUGUCUCAAACUCCAUUCCAACAGCAGGAGGCAAUGGAUUUUGGAUUAUCCCAGUUUGUCCAACAUAUUCAGUAAUUGCACAAUCUCCUACGACCUCAAAAUCAUCAGCAUCAUCAUCACCUACUGGUUCAGUAUUCAGAGAAACUUCAUCCAUCUACAAUAGAUGUUUAAUGAAGUGAGCUUUAAGGAGAAAAAGCAAAAUCAGUAAGGAACGAUAAUAUAACCAUACAGUUACUUUCACAAAGCGUCGUAUUUCAUCACUGCUUUACCAACAUGCAACUGCCAGAGAACAAACAGACAUGUCAUAGACGCUUGAAUUAAGUAUUGGUACAAAUGAGCACACAUCAUGUGGGACAAAAUUUCAGUCACCAAACCCAAUACGACUUUUUACAUCAUACCAAGGAACAGAUUAAACCCGACACCUUCUUUUAAACCAUACCAAGGAACAGAUUAAAUCAUCAAUGAAAACUUAAUCACAUAAUAACUUAACCAGACAAAUGAAGGGCCUGAAACAGCAUAAAACUUGAAUCUGAUUAUGAUAAUUGUUGAGUCCUUGUAUCUACAGCUUUCCUUCAAUGAUAAGACAAUGAACAUAAACGAGACACAAAAAAUUUAUUUUAAACUGACAGCCCAUGAUAUAAAUCAAACAAAAUCAACUCCUUUUUUUACACAUCACAUCUCAUAUUCAUUUACAUUGAAACAAAAAAAGGAAGCGGGAGUGGGAAAAAAACAACAGCAGAGGAACUUAUUUCUAUAAGGUUUACGAAAUAAGGAAUCUAUUAAAACCCAAAACUUGAGGUCACCCCAAAGAAUUUGGUUCUCAUUAUUUUUUUCUUCAUUUUUCACCAAUUGAUGAACUUAAAAUACAAUCAUAAAUGAUAAAACCCCAUCUCAAUCUUUUUGAACUAGAGCUAAAGCAAAGCAUUUUAAGAUGUUUCAUCAUUUUUUUUUAAAAAAAAACCUCAAUAGUACAAUGUUUUUCAAUGUUAAAUGCACAAUUCAAUCUUCUCCUAAUUUACUCUAAUAAUCUCUUAAUUAAGGAAGAUUAAGCUUUAGUUGUAAGCUAAAACAAAUUUCUUAAAUCAAGCCCCAAUGCUUUAUGCUCUUCAACAAGGGCUCAUAAAUGAUAAAACUACUUCUACAAAGAUACCCAUUUUCUAAAUUAAUUUCAAAAACUGAAAUCAAACUCCUGAAACGUAACGAGCAUUAAUAUAAUCAAACCCGAACAAGAAUUGAAAAAUGACACAUAAACUCGUUUACACAUUUCGACAGACACUUUGCAAUCAAUGGGCAAAAAAUUAAUGGAGAAGAUAAAAUUCAAACGAAACAUGCCUUACAUUGAUAAAUUAGAAGGGCCAAAGAAAUUUUAGUACGAUAUGGGAUCAGGGUCUUGCCACGGUGAUGUUAUUUGUGAUGUUCGAGCGACUCAGCAACCUUCGAGGUUGAAAAUUUGAUUGACCAAAAGCUUCCCGUUCGUUGAUUCUCUAAUAGCAGAAACAAGACUGGCAGUAUACACAAGAAUGUGUUCGAUGAAUAUCAAAAUCUCAAAAACCUUUUGUUUUUCAUUUUUUUGGAAAAAACCAUUGAGAUCCUUACUAUUCUUUCUUAUAUAUUAAACAUGCAAAUAUACACACUAAUUUAGAUGUGUGAAUAACAAAUAUGGAACAACACAUGCAAAGUCAUCUGUAUAAUUGAAGUUGCUCCAAUGGUUACUGUUCAUUUAUUUUUAUUUAUGAAUUUUUUUGUAAAAUUUAAGAAAUAUGUAGAAAUGUUGCCAGCAAUGAUUUUGGAACUUUGCAUAAUAUUUUUAUCAUUAUUGUUUUUUGUAUUAAGAAAUCCGAGGCGGUGAUUAGACGUAUGUUGCAACAAUUAAGAAAUUUCUUAUUGGAAAUAAUUUGGUAGGUUGCAACAAUCAGAGAAUCAUUUUCCUGUCAGUUAAUCAAUCAAUAAUAAAUUUCAAAUUGCAGAAAAUAAAAUAAUACUGUAGCACUUAGAAUCAUCUUUUCUAUCUCUUUCAAUUGUGGCAAUCAUUUGUAACAAAUAAAUCAAUUUGAUGCACAUCAUUUCCCCAAUUCAAAGUUCAAGUCACUGCCCAAUUCAAAGUUCAAGAACUGCAAAUGAAGCCACAGCCGUGGGAUAGAAGCUGCUACAAUGCUGCGAGUUGUGGAGACUUUAAUGGGUGAAGGAUCAUUUGAAUUGGUGGGUGAGAGGGUGCCAGAAGAUGCAGCAGAGGAGAUAAAUUGUGAGCCAACAAUAAUGGGCAUGUUGUCGACUUUUGAGAAAGCCUGGAGAUGCCUUGAAGAAGAAUCGGUUGGAAUUAUUGGCCUAUAUGUCAAUGGGGGAGUUGGAAAAUAUUUACUCAAAUCAACAAGUUCCUUGAUAGUCCAAAUAAUUUUGAUGUUGCGAUCUGGGUGGUUGUCUGCCAAGAUUUGCAACCCCAGAAGUUUCGGGGAAAAGUUUGGGAAAAAAAAAGGCUUGUUCGAUGAGUCAUGGAAGAACUGAAGUUUUCAAGAGAGAGCACACGAAGUUUGUAUUACUGAUGGAUGAUAUAUGGGAGCAGGUUGAUUUAAUUAAAAUUGGUGUCCCUCUUCCAAGCACAAAAAUUACUUUCAAGAUAAUCUUCACAACUCCUUCUAUUGACAUUUGUGGCCUCAUGGAAGCUCACAACAAGAUUAAAGUGGAGUGUUUAAAUGACGAAGAAGCAUGGGAAUUAUUCUGCAAGAAGGUUAGAGAAGAUGUGGCGACUCUGUCCAAGUGCUAAGGAGCUCAACCUCAGAAUUUCUAGGUACGGAAAAAUAAGUAUAUCCUCUUUUGAAAUUCAGUUAUGAUAAUUUACGUAGCGAUAAAAUUAGAUCGAGUCUGUUAUACUGUAGUUUGUUUCCGGAAGACUUUCCAAUUAGCAAAAUGGAAUUGAUACAUUGUUGGAUAAGCGAGGGCCUUUUGGAUGAAACUAAUAGUUCUGAGAUAUGAAAUCAAGGAUACUACAUUAUUGGUGUUCUUGUUCCUUUAUGUUUAUUGGAAGAAGAGGCUCCACUUUAUGUAAAAGUGCAUGAUGUGAUACGCGAUAUGCUUCUGUGGAUAGCAUGUGAAGUUUUUUUUUGAUAGGGAUAGCAUGUGAAGUUGAGAAGGAGAAAGAGAAUUUUUUGGUUCGUGCAGGUGCAAGGAUUAACUGAAGUACCAGACAUUUGGAAAUGGGAAGGGUUGAGAAGGGUGUCUUUGAUGAGCAACAAAACUGAGAAGGUAUCAGAAAUUCCUUCAUCUCACGAUCCACUAACUUUGUUGCUUCAACAUAAUUAUUUAGAGAUGAUCAAUAAUGACUUCUUUCAAUCUAUGCAUUCCCUAAGAGUUUUGAACUUGUCAUGUAAUCAUUCUCUAACUGAUAAUUUCAAAGUUAGUUUCCCUACAACAUCUUAAUUUAUCAAUGACUAACAUACGAGAGUUGCCGAAUGAGUUAAAGUUUGUAGUGAAUCUAAAGUUUUUGAAAUUGGAGUAUGCACGGUUUCUUCAUUCAAUUCCAGGGCAAGUGAUAUCCAGUUUUACGAUGUUACAAGUUUUGAAGAUGUUUGGUUGUGGGAGGUCAUCUUCUGAUCAUGAGCCACACCAGAAGAUAGAGUUUUAUUUGAAGGCUGUAAACUUUUGAUUGUGGAGUUGUUUGGUUUGAGAGACAUUUAGAUGUGUCGACCAUCAUCCUAACAAGUUCCCAUGCUCUGAAAAGAUUUUUGAGCUCCAACAAACUUCAAAGUCGUACUCAAUCUCUCUAUCCUAAAUGCUUUGAUAAAAAUUUAAUUUAAUUCAAUCCAACUAAACUUAUCAAACAUGAGAAAAAAAUUUAAUUCUAAAAUUAGUCCAAUUCCAUAUUUAAUCCUAGCAUUCAAAUAUAGCCCAAGUUGUUUGCUUAAAGAAGCUACCAAAUUUGAAGAGCGUUUACGGGAAGGCCUUGCGUUUCCCAGAUGUAUGUAGAUUUUUUGUAUCUAAAUGCCCAGAACUUAAGAAGCUGACGCUGGAUUUUGAAAGGGCGGGCCAAGGUAAAAUUCUUAUCAAGGGAAAGGAAAAUCGGUGGGAACAACUUCAAUGGGAGGAUCAAGCAACUCAGGAUGCAUUGCUUCUGUUUUUCAAAUCAACUGACAAGUGAUUGAAGGGGGCAUCAUCAACAUCAUCAGCCUGGAUGGGGAGAUUCUGGAGCAGAUCUGUAGGGUUUGAAUCUGCAUCAUCAACAUCAUCAGGGUCUGUAUUUCUAUUGCUGGUCUUAAUGCUUGCUUACUGUUGCUUGACAAAGUGAGCCAGUUUUUUGUUUAUUAAAUUUUGUCUUGAAGAGACAGUCACAAAGUAUUUUUCUUAGUUGUUCUAUAUGAGAGUGAUGUGAAUCAAUGUUUCAAUUAUAUAUUCUGUGGUCAUUUUGAAUUUUGUUUAGAGAUGCAAACUUAGAAUAUGGAAAAGUUCACCGGCAAACAUUUUGUAAAAGGUUCCAACUGAAAUAGGGAAUGCACUUACUGCUAAGGACAUUUGGUGGCCAGCUAAUGCAUUCAUUUUAUAUCCAUUCAUCAUUUUAAUUAUUGAAAACAAGUGGCUCAUCGCUUUUACUUUAGGUAAAAUUCAGAUAAUCUCUAUUAUGAAAUGAUAAUAUUCUAUUAAAUUAUUAUAAACCUCAGCCAAUCUUAAUUUUAUUUAAAAGAUAAAAGAAAUAUAGGUUAUGUUGGUGACUUUUUUCUUAUCUUUUUAAUAAAAAUAAAAUAAAAUGAUGUUUAUAAUUGUUUAAAAUACUUUAAAGAUUGUUAUUUUAUGAGAGAGUAAUAUUUUACUUUUUUAUUGUGAAAGGCUAAAAAGGACAAAGCAAGUGUCCCUGGUUUUUAUUUUAUUUGAAAUUGGUCAUCUCGUAUACUUUACAUUUCAACACUACAAUUUUUUUUGUUAUAUUUUUAUUAUUUUUUUCUUUUUUACACAUGCACGUGAAUUUCUUUUCUUUAAGCUCCUGAAUAUUUAAGACAAAUCAUGGAAGAGAUGAAAAUAUAACAAGAUGAUCAAAAUACGUAACAAAAAAUUUACAAGUGAAACAUACGUUAGAGUCGAAGUAAAACUCUGAAAAUAGAGAUAUUGAUUAAUUUAGAAGAGAUGCAAGCAAAAGAUAUUCUAAAAAAGAAGAAAAGCAAUCUGUCACUUUCGAGGGCAAACUUGUUAGUCUCAAAAAGGUACAUUUUGUUGUUGUGCAUUAGUUGGAGAAGUCAAGCCUAGUGAAAAAUGUUAUGAAAGAGCAAAUGAUAUUUCUGACAGCUUUAUUUGAUUAUGUAUUCAUUUAAUGGAUGUAUUGUUAGAAGAUAUCUAAGUGCAUUAGUUUAUCGGUGUCUGUCGAUGUGCUUUUAGUGAUUUUUCCAGCUGUUUGCUGUAAAAGAUGAUUGUAAAUUGAAAUGAACUUGAUGUUGUAAUAUUUUCUCUUUAGUGGAAUCUCCAUUGUGUUGUCAAUAAUUUUGGUCAAAAUUAUUGUUAUUAUUUCUUACUAGAGGUAAAUUUUUUUGUUAAACCUCAUUAACACAAUUCUUAAUUAGAAGUAUAGGUUAGUGUCGGUGCAGGAUUUGCAGCACCAAAUCCUGCCUAGCUACGUGUCAAAAGUGCAAAAUAAAUGAAGAGAAAGCACAAAUACAUGACUUGGAUUAGGAUAGAAGGAAAUUUAAAUCUUAGAGAAAAGGACAGCUAUAUCCCAAUAUUUGAAAAAAUUGUCAUAUAGAUUUUUAAGAUUUCAAUAAGGGACGGAGAUCUUCUUUUGAUAAAUAAUAUCUUUUAGCUCUCUCAAGUAAAAAAAAAUUAAAUUAAAUAUUUUAUAAUAAAUAAAAAUAUAAUAUUAAAAUAUACGUGAUAAUAUAUACAUUUUAAAUAAUUUCAAUCUAAAAAAAUAGUUAUGUUUUACAGGAUCCACCUAUGUUACAAUAGUGGUAUAGUACCACAGUUUUUGUUCUUAUCCAAUGUAAUAAUUGGAUGAUUUAGAGCUUAAUCUAUCGGCUUAAAUUAUUUUUCUGAAUAUUUGAAGCAACAACUUGCAACCGUUGGAGCCGGUUGCAUAUUAAUUUAAUAUCAUUUGGGGAAGCGUACGGUCAGGAAGUUUCUUAGUAUGCCAACAAUGGAAUUUGAUUUCAUCUCAAAUCGAUCUGCAGGCAGCAAUUGGGAAAUUACACUCACGAUCUUCCUCUUCUUCACUUCCUCUCUACUCUUCACUUUUCUCACUCUCGCGAUGUUUACAGCAUGACAAAUACAAUUACAAACCAGGAAAUGCCAUUAACAAUUUUCAUUUGUCUUAGUCCGUUUUUUUUUUUUUUUUUUCUAGUAGAAAGCCAAAAAAACAAAAAAGAAAACGGGUGGGAGGUUGGGGCGCCGUGAUGAGAUGGUUUUGAGUUUUUGACGGAAUGUUUGUUUUUGUGAUUCAUUUAGGGUUUGAAUUCAGGCUUGUACGAACUCGGAUCUAUUCGAGAUCCGUAUUGGCGCUGAAAUCAGAUCCUUUGAAGCCUUGGUUUGAAUUCAACCUUGAGAACUCGAAGCUUGUUAGAAUCUUCAUUGAUCUCUCCAGAAAUUACACGGAUCUUAUUACUAAACCCUACAUAUCGGGCUGCAAUGGAGUCCGAUUCUCUCACAAUUAAUGAAUCAAUAUUGAGACAGUUCGAAAAGGAAGUAAAAAAGAGAAUCAACUUGACUGGCUAUAUAAUUGCGGAGGCCAAAGAGUCUUUUGAUAAUCAAUUGAAGAUUUAGAAGUUAAAAGACACUAUUUUUACUAUGAAUGAACAAUUGACUAAGGCGAAAAAGCAAGGAGCAUUUUUGAGUUUGAUUGCUGCGAAAUCGAUGCCUUAGAGUUUGCAUUGUUUGGCCAUGAGGUUGAUGAAAGAGCGAAUUGUUCAUCCGGAGAACUAUAAUGAAGAAGGGAAGCCCACACAUGCAGAAUUCGAGGAUCCCAAACUUUAUCAUAAUGCUAUUUUUUCUAGGUAAUAUGCUUGCAGCUUCGGUGGUGGUGAUUGGUGAAUUUAGCUGUUAAGAACUCGAAGGAGCCUUGGAAACAUGUGUUUCUUGUUGUGAUGGAUCAAAUGAAUCUCGGGGCAAUACAGGUUAUGUUGAAAUUUAAGGAUUAUAAUGGAGCACAUUUAGGCACGAAGGCUGUUGGGGAUUAUAAGUUUUUGAAUUCUCACAUGUCCCUGUGUUAAGGCAGCCGGCGUUUGCUAAUUUGCAAAGGUUUUAGUUCGGGAAGUAGCUUGAGAAUGCUACCAAAGAUGCUACUAACCUGAAGUUUAGGAAUCCCAAUUACUUGUUGAUACUGUAUCAUUUGAGGUUCUGGAUAAGAUUUCAAUGAUGGCCGCUUAAAACAAAUAAAAAAAAGAACUUGUACUGUAUUGGAUCUUUACUUAUUUGAUAUAGUUUUCCGCAAUCUCUCUAUGCAACCGGUUACUUUAAUUAUCCACUAACUCAUCUCAACCGUUUGAUGAACUCACUUUAUAUCCAACGAAAGUUUUAAAUGAAGACAAAAAGUGUGGUAUGUUGCAAUUGUUGCAACAUAUGUGAGUCCUGUUUUACAAUCUAUUUAACAUAUUUUAUUAAAUUAAUAUAUUUCUAUGAUAUAGGAACAUAAUAUUAAAAUAAAUUUACAAAAAUUUAAAGAAUUUUGAAUGUAAAACAAUUUCAAUAUAUUAAUAGUGAGAUUUUUUUAUUAUUAUAAAAAUUAUUUAACCCAUAGAUUUUUUAAAAUCUUUACAAUAAGUAUAAAUAUAUUAUCUUCAUUUUAAAAUAUUUAAAUAUUAUUAACCUAUAAUUAGGUUUGCAUUUAUUAGAAAAUUUUAAAGUCAAAUAUAUUGCACUUUUGCAUUAUUAGAAUCAUCACAGAGAAAGGAACAUAUAUAUUGUAUAGCUUUAGAAAUUGGUUUCUUUUACGUCUGGAAACAGAGAUGAUGAUUAUUAUAAGGAUGAAAAAAAAAGAUAAAGAAUAUUAAUGAUUAAUGAAACCUUUAUGCAAAUUGAUUUUAGUAGGGAAAGAGUCAGAUGAAUGGCUUCUUUUACAGCUAAAAACAUAGAUGAUGAUUAUUAUAAGGUUGAAAAAAAAAGAUAAAGAAUAUUAAUUAUUAAUGGAAUCUCUAUGCAAAUUGAUUUUAUAGGAAAAAAGCGAGCUAAAUGAUUUAGACAUUCAUAGUGUAUUUAUUUUUUGAAUUGGUGAAUAAGAAUUAUUGACAACGCUAACUUCAUCUUCACCGUUGGCUAUCCAAUAGCGGCAAUUGUCGCCGAUAAUGAUAUCUCCAAUGAUGAUGACAAUUUUUUUUAUUAUUAUUAUUGGUGGCCCCUUGGAAAGUUAACUGCAAGUGCCAAUCAGAGAAAAGUCGUCAUGCACAAUCCUCAAUCGGACCAAUCUACAUUACAGAUUCUGUAACGUACACACCAAAUGGGAAGCAGCACACGUGUUCUGAGGAGAGAGAAAAACCGUGCAAAUGCAGGCAAUAGGAGUUGGCUACAGUUGGAUCUGUAAGUUACAGAAUCUGUAACUUAGCCAACUCCCUCAAUGAUCACUAUUGUUUCCGAUAUUUAUAAAUUGGUGGCCCCUUGGAAAUUUAACUGGAAGUUUGCAAGUGCCAAUCAGGAAAAAAUCGUCAUUCGUUGUUUUUUUUUUUUCUGCAUUCCCUUUCAUGUUCUUAAUAAUUGAAGACAGGUUGUUCAUAACAUGUAUACUUUUCAAAUGUGGAGCCGCAGUUAAUGUUGCUAUUUUAAUUUGGGAUUAAAUUAGGGGAACACUAACUUUUAUAUUUAUCUAAACUCCUUAAAUUUAAGACAGAUUAUGGCGUAAAUAAGAAUAUAAUAAUAACAAAGGAAUUAAAAAGUAUAGUGAAGAUCUUGCAGAAAUAUAAAUAUUAGCGUUGAAUUAAAUAACACAGAACACAUGAAUUGAAUAGUGAUUAUCAAGACGGUGUUACUUGCACUCCUAUUUAUAGAAAAUCUUGGUUCUGUUCCAUUAGAUUUUUUAUCUUCAAAAUCUUGCAAAGUUUUGACAACCCAAAGGCUCAGUUUGCUUGUUCUAUAUUUGUAUGAUAUGAAUUCAAAUUUUUGUGUUUUGUUUUUCUUAAUUCUGAACACGGAUUCUUCUCUUCUCGUGCAAACCAGAAAGAAAUGUUGUCUUACAAAAAAAGGGGAAUAACUUCAUGAGAACAAAAAUUCAGAAAAAUAAUAUAAAGUUUAUAUUUAGACUUUUGAGGUAUAUUUUAACUUUCAACAAUGAGUUAAAGAAAAUAAAUAUUUUAAAAGAAAAUAAUAAAUAAAGUAAAUAAAAGUUGGAAAAAUGACACAUACACCCCCAACGUAUAAUAAAGGGACACAAAACUCCCUAAUAUUUGAAAAAAGACAUACAGACCCCAUUUAAUAACCGAAACAAUUUCGUUAAAUCAGUCAAAUGUUAAUAUCGUAAUUGCAUAUUAAUAACAAAUGAAUUGACCAAAAACCCACACACGAACAAAACGCUUAACACACAUGCACUGACACUGCUCCUCCCAGAUCUUGACAUAACGGACACACUCACACGAUUCGCCGGAAACUGCUGGAAUUGCUGGGGUUGCCGGAAGUCGCUGGAACUGUGGGGCCUGCCGGAAGUCCAGCCGCUGGAACUGCUCGCGCUGCCGCAAGCCGCUGGAUCUGCUCGCGCUGCCGCAAGUCGCUGGAUCUGCUCGCGCUGCCGCUGCUGCGUCGAUCGAGACCGCGUCUGGCUGCUGCUCGUUCGUGUGGCUGCUGCUCGUGCGUCGUUGCUGCUCGUUCGCGUGGAUGCUGCUCGUUCAUCUUCAAUCCACGGUUCACUUCUCUUAAACUAGUUUUUCCCUCUUUAAUUUUCAUUUUUUUACUAAAUUAACAAAUUAACAACUUGAGCGGGGAAGUUCCUCCUUCCCAAGGUCAAUUUGCUACCUUUGAUUCAGACUCUUAUAUCGGCAACGAAUAUCUGUGUGGACUUCCACUUCGAAAAUUGUGUGCGGGGAAUGUUUCAACACAUGUAUACGAACGUGGAUCAGGUGGAAAACAUGAACUGAGCUGGCUUAAUGUUAGCUUGUCACUAGGAGUUAUAUUGCUGAUUUUUGGAGUGUAAUUGCUCUUUUUUCUCAAUAAAAGAUGGUCAACAAUGUUGUGAAACUUAAUAACUAAUUUUAUUUAUUUUUAUUCUUGAAUAAUGGAUUAAAAUUAUUUGGCUUGAAGAGAAUUUGAUAAAAAAUUAUUAAUAAUUUUAUUAUAUGGACAAAAAAUUUAAUAGAGAAAUUGGAUAAUGAGGAUAUAUUCGUAAUUUUAUUAAUAAUAUAUGGGUAAAAUAGAUAAUGAAUAAUUUUUUUUAUAUGCUAGAAGGAUAUAACAAUAAUUACACGUUAAAAUUAUAAUUUCCGUUAAAACUAACGGUUUCGUUAAGAAAUUGGGGUCUGUAUGUCUUUUUUCAAACAUUAGGGGGUUUUAUGUUCCUUUAUUAAACGUUGGGGGUGUCUGUGUCCUUUUCCCAUAAAAGUUUAGAGAUUCAAAUUUUUUGUAUUGGAUUCUUUAAUUCAAAUACCUCUUAAUUAAUUAACACUUAAAAGAGAGUUCACUAUUAUAAUUUUAAGCUUUUUGAUUUAUUAUUGAUAUACAAAUUAGGAGUUUAAGCUUACUUUUUUAUUUUUCCAUUUUUUUUCAAAUUUGAAAUUAUUAUUUAAAUUUAUAAUUUUUUUUAAAAAAUAAAGGGCUUGAACCUGGCUUGGUAUUGUUUCCUAAACCCUUAUCCGGCCCGGCUUUUUUGCCAACCCCAAUGAUGAUGAUGAUGAUUAUUUUAUUAUUAUUAUUAAUGAUGAAAAAUAUUAUAAUUAAUUAAUAUAUUAUUGUAUUGUUAUUAAGAUUAACAAUAAUUAUUAAUAAUAACAAUUUUUUGAAUAAAAAUAAUCACAAUAAUUAAAAUAUAAAUUAAUAAUUAUAACAAUAGUUAAUUAAUGUCUUUUUAGCAAUUUGUAAUAAUUUAACUCAUUUUGAUUUCGAUUAUUAUAGUUAAGUAAACAACUUAUUAUAAUUCUCAUUCUCCAUUUUGAUUUCAGCUUAUUUCGAUUUCAGUCCAUUCCGAUUUUCAUUUAAUAAACGUUCCAUUAAUGCUAUAGUAAUAUUUCAUAUAGAAAAAAAUAAAAACUACAACUAAGGUUAAGGGAAAGGACUUAAAAAUUCUCUUUGGUCAUAAUACAUUUUUUCCUAAUUAACUUAAAGAGUUUGAAUCUAAUAUUUUAUAAUAAAUAAAAAUAUAUUUCAAAAGUAAAUAUAAUAUAUCUAUUUUAAACUAAUCUCAAUAUUUAAAAUAUAUUUAAUAUUUUACAAUCUAUUAGACAUAUUUUAUUAUAUUAAAAUAAAUUUUACAAUAAAUAUGAACGUACUGUUAAAAUGAAUAUAUAAAAAACUUAGAGUAUUUUGAAUAUUAUAUAAAAUAAUUUUAGUAUAAUACGUGAGAUAUAUUUUAUUAAUGUAAACUGCUAUUUAAUCUAAAGAUUCAUUUAUGAUAAAUUAAUAAUUAUAUUUUUAAAAUUAUUUUAAAUAUUAAUUUUUAAUAUUUUUAAUUUAUUAGACAGAUAAAAUUAUUUAUAUUAUUUUGUAUUUGUUAAAAAAAUUUAAAGUCAAUUUUUUUAAUUACUAUUCAAAGGAUAUAAUAAUUAAAAAAAUCUUAGCGUUUUUAUUAAAAAUUUAAAAAUUUACAUGCUAUUUCUAUAAAUAUUUAAGGUAUAUAUGAACUUCGGUGGAGAAGCUUCAUUUAAUAUUAUUGAUUUAAAUAAUAUCUCAAUUAAAAAUGUACAGAGAACAAAUUUCGGUGGGUAUUUCAGUCUUUUUAGCAAUUAUCAUGGUUAGCCCUUGGCCUUGAAACGUCUGUCAGAAAGGUUUCAAAUGCUUUAAUUGUUCUUAUAAAAAAAAAAAAAAAAAUGCAUUAAUUGUUUUUUCAUUUUAACGUCAGCGGCCUUGAAAGUGCUUUAUCUUAUAACAAAUUAAUUAAUGCUGACGAGAAAAUAUCUCUUCCACAGCCCACAGCAGCUUCUGUUAAUCAAACUCAACCAAUUUUCUCUCUUAACAAAAUUCCAAAGAUGGGUAGCGUUUUUCAGAUCACAUGCGACGGCGCUUUUUUCAAUCGUUGCUUGGAUUGCUUUCUUGGAAAAGCAGCAUACAUAAGCAACAUCCAAGAUAAUCUUGCAGCCUUGGAGACUGAACUGGGAAGACUAAUCGCAGCAAAGAACGAUGUGAUGAUGAUGGUUGUCAAUGCUGAACGGCAACAAAUGAAAAGGCUAGGCCAAGUGGAAUGGUGGGUGUCGAGGGUGGAUGCUGUUAAAAUUGAAGCUGAUGAGCUUAUCAGAGACGGCUCUCAAGAAAUUGACAAAUUAUGUGUUGGAGGCUACUGUUCUAAGAACUGCACGUCAAGCUACAAGUUCGGGAAACAAGUGGCUAAAAAGCUACGAGAUGUGGAGACUUUAAUCGCCGAAGGAGUUUUUGAGGCGGUGGCUAUCGAGGUGGUGCCUGAGAGAGCUCCGGAGCCUGUAGCAGAUGAAAGACCUACCGAGCGAACAGUAGUAGGCUUGCAAUCACAACUUGAACAAGUCUGGAGAUGUCUUGCAGAAGAAUCAGCGGGAAUCAUUGGCCUAUAUGGUAUGGGCGGUGUUGGUAAAACUACACUAUUGACCCAUAUCAACAAUAAAUUUCUCGAGAGUCCAACCAACUUUGAUUGUGUGAUUUGGGUAGUAGUUUCAAAAGACCUGCGACUUGAAAAAAUUCAAGAAAAUAUUGGGAAAAAGAUCGGUUUGGUUGAUGAUUCAUGGAAGAGUAAAAGUGUAGAGGAGAAAGCUCUCGACAUCUUCCGGAGUUUAAGAGAGAAGAGAAUUGUAUUGCUGUUAGAUGAUAUAUGGGAGCGGGUUGAUUUAACAAAAGUGGGCGUUCCACUUCCAGGACCACAAAAUACUACCUCAAAAGUCGUAUUCACAACCCGUUUGAUCGAUGUUUGUGGUAGCAUGGAAGCUGACAGGAAGUUCAAAGUAGCAUGCUUAUCAGAAAAGGAUGCUUGGGAACUGUUUCGAAAAAAAGUUGGGGAAGAAACUCUUGGAAGUCAUCAUGAUAUCGUUGAGCUAGCCCAGACUGUGGCCAAAGAGUGUGGUGGUUUGCCACUCGCACUUAUUACUAUUGGUCGAGCUAUGGCCUUCAAAAAGACAGCCGAGGAGUGGAGUCAUGCAAUUGAUGUGCUAAGAACAUCAGCUUCUGAGUUUGCAGGUUUGGGAAAAGAGGUGUAUCCUCUUUUAAAGUUUAGCUAUGAUAGUUUGCAGAAUGAGACUAUUAGAUCUUGUUUCUUAUAUUGUUGUUUAUAUCCCGAAGAUUAUGGAAUUCUUAAAUGGGAUUUGAUUGAUUGUUGGAUUGGUGAGGGAUUCUUAGAGGAAUCUGACAGGUUUAGUGCAGAAAACCAAGGAUACUACAUUGUGGGCACUCUUGUUCAUGCAUGUUUAUUAGAAGAGUUAGAAGAUGAUAAAGUAAAAAUGCAUGACGUUAUUCGUGAUAUGGCUCUAUGGAUAACCAGUGAAAUUGAGAAGGAGAAGAGAAACUUUUUGGUUCGUGCAGGUGCUGGAUUAAAAGAGGAACCGGCUGUUAAAGAAUGGGAAAAUGUGAGAAGAUUGUCAUUGAUGCAAAACCAUUUUAAAACUCUGUCAGAGGUUCCUUCAUGCCCUCAUCUCCAUACUCUAUUUCUUGCCUCUAAUGAUAAUUUGAGGAUGAUCACGGAUGGCUUCUUUCAAUUUAUGCCUUCUCUCAAAGUUUUGAAGAUGUCAAACUGUGUGGAUUGGCCAGUUUCGAAAUUACCUUUGGCGAUGUCAAAGUUGGGUUCACUACAACUUCUUGAUAUUUCACAUACCAGCAUAGAAGAGUUACCAGAAGAGUUGAAGUUGUUGGUAAAUCUGAAAUGUUUGAAUUUGAGGUGGACAUUUGAGUUAAAUAAAAUUCCAUGGCAACUAAUAUCAAAAUUUUCAAGGUUACGUGUGCUGAGAAUGUUCGCUACUGGCUUUGCACGUUUUGAUGAAGCAUCAGAAGACAGCGUUUUAUUUGGUGGGGGUGAAGUUUUAGUACAGGAAUUGGUCGGUCUGAAAUAUUUAGAGGUAUUGGAGUUGACCUUGGGAUGUCAUCAUGCUCUCCAAAUUUUUUUGAGCUCAAAUAAGUUAAAAAGUUGUAUUCGAUCUCUUCUCCUCCAAUUGGCCGGAGAUACAAUGUCGAUUAUUGAUGCUACGGCUUUUGCAGAUCUAAAGCACCUCAAUGAAUUAUGGAGUGAUAGGGCUAAGGAGUUGGAAGAAUUGAAGAUUGAUUGUAAAGAAAUAGUACAAAAAAGGCGGGAACCUUUUGUUUUCCGCAGCCUUCACCGUGUUACUAUACAUAGCUGCCAGAAGUUGAAAGAUUUGACAUUCCUCGUUUUUGCUCCAAACCUCAAGUCUCUCGAUCUAGACCGUUGCGAUGCUAUGGAAGAAAUAAUCAGCGUCGGAAAAUUUGCUGAGACUCCUGAGAUGAUGGGACAUAUAAGCCCUUUUGAAAAUCUCCAAAUGCUUGAUUUAGAAGAUUUGCCACAUUUGAAGAGCAUCUUCUGGAAGCCAUUGCCUUUCACUCAUCUGAAAGAAAUAUCUGUGGGUUAUUGCCGUAAUCUUAAAAAGCUUCCACUCGAUUCCAACAGUGCAAAGGAGCGUAAAUUUGUUAUUCGUGGAGAAGAAGACUGGUGGAACCGACUUCAAUGGGAGGAUGAAGCCACUCAAAUUGCUUUUCGUUCCUGUUUCCAAUCUCUUUUUGAUUAACUCUUAUACAUUUUCUCGUCGUUUGCUUCGUGCAAAAGACUACGUCUUUUGUUCUCCGUUUUUAUUUCAGUUUCGUUUUUUGUCUCCUGCAAAUCACAAUUAAAUGUUGAAUUAUAUGGAAGUAACGCUUUAUAAAUUUGCCGGCACUGCCAUUUCUUUUUCCUCUUUUUUUUUUUUUUUGGGUCGAAUUGAUGCUCUGGCUUUUUUACUUUUUGUCAUCGAAUUUUGCUCUGUUUUUCAAAUUGAUGCUUGAAUAUGUGAAUUCAAUUAAUGCUCACAUAAUUUUGUUUAGUUGCCGUAAAAGAAUAUAAUUAGACUGAAAUUCGCACUCCCAGAAUGAAUAGAAUCACAACAGAGAAAAUAUUAAGUAUGCUAGCCCUCUUUACAGAAAAUCAAAUGAAAAUAAAAUUUUUUUGGAUAUUUGAUUUUCUAUGGUGUACUAAAUACACUUUAUAAAUUCUUCUGUUCUAAGGAUAACCAAAUCCUUUGUUCAAGGAUUUUUAUUUGGGGUAUUGAUAAUAGUCCACCAAAAUAGUGAAUGCUUGGAUGCUGAUUAAGGAUCUGUAAUCAAUAAGCUGGAAGCAAACGAGAAGGCGGUCGCUACUCUGUACAAAGCCAUGCAGCAAUUGCUAUUCAUCUUAAAUUCUUAAUAAUUACGAAGCUUUGGUAAAAUUUUCAAACAAAGUUGACAUGUUAUUUUGAGAUUUGGUUCCUGAUUUUGGUUGAAUUUCGCUGUUUCGUUUGAGUUGGAUGUGAAUUCAAAUCCAAAUAUUCUUUGUUUUUCAAUUCUGAACUCAAUUUCUUUUUCUCAAGAAUGUUAUGCAGAAAUGAUUUUUACUAAAUCAUUUUUGAUGAAUUGUUUAAAUUAAACAAUUGGGAUAAGAAUUGUAACGAUUUAUCAUAAGCGUGCUAAUAUGAUAACUUGUUUUACAAAUGAUUAAUUAAUCAAUUAAUAUUAAAUUAUAUAUUAGUCAAUUAGAUAUGUGUUACAUUUGUCAUGUUUUGUAGGAGCGAUACUACAUAAUUUCUAAAAGAAUAUAAUAAAAACACAUUAAAAUGUUAUUUUAAUGAAGAAAAAAUUAUAAUUUUAUUAAAUAGGUGACACAAUAAUAAAUGGAUUUCUGUAAGAAUUGAGAUUCUUGAGAUAAUUUUGACAUGAUAAGAAGACAACACAGCACAGAAAACCCAAAUUGCCACUUCUACUAAUAAAAGAUAACCUGUUUGAAAAGUAAUUAUAAACUACCUUCUUUGCGUUAUUUCUCAAAACUUUUGUGGCACAAAUGUUAUUUCCAUUGACAACAGUACGAAAUACCGCCCCUUUCACUUGAGCAGGAGCAAAGCAAAGGUAUGAUGAGCUAUCUCUGUAUAAUUGAAACGCCAUUACUAAACGAUUCUUGAUGAUGGGAGCCACCGUGCCAGCUUUGUCGCUGAUUUGCAUGAUUUAUUAGUUGUCCAGAUGGCGGAUUUUGUACUGUUACCUUCUUUUCAUUCUUCAGAGCCAUGUACAGUUCUAGGAUACCAGAGAAACCAAGGUGGCAUUGAAGUUGCCCCGGUGGUUAGUUUUCAGAUCAUUUUUUUUUAAUUCAAUUAUUUAUGUUUUUAGAAAAAUGUAGGAAAUAUGUAGAAAUGUUGACAGCUAUGAUUUUGAAACUUUUGCCUAAAAUUAUUAUCAUUACUUAUUGUUUCUUAUUUAAAGAGAAAUCCUAGAAACAUGAAAUGAUUAUUCUACGCUUGUUUUAAUAUUAUACUAUGAAGAUUAUGAAGGUUUGAUUAUAUGUCACUAUCAAUUGCCUUAAUCGUUUGUCGUAAAUCAAUUAAGCAUUUUGAUGCGAAUGAUUCCCUAUUAAAAAAUUCAAGUCAGAGCUGAAUUGCAAAGUAGUUAGUCGUGCUUGCAAUUCAAAUUAAGUAUUGUAUUUUCUCCCUGAUUUGGUUGAUUCAACUAUGUGCAUUUGCUUAUGAAUGUUGUAGUAUAGAAAUCGAAACAUCUUGUCUUUUGCUAAGCCCAGAAGCAAAUUCUUUGUAUUCUACUCAUCAGUUUUCUUCAUUCUCUUCGUUGAAAUUUUAUCCAAACAGCGGUUUCGAAAUUGUUUUCACUACAAUACCUUAGUCUUUCAGAUGCUCCCGUCACUGAGUUGCCAGAAGAGCUAAAAGCCUUGGUAAAUCUUAAGUGUUUGAACCGGAGUACACAAAUUAUCUCUCUACAAUUCCGAAGCAACUGAUUUGUUACUUUUUGAUGCUACAUGUUCUGCGAAUAUUCAGUUGUGGUUAUCUUGUUCAAAUACCAGAAAAUAGCGUUCUAUUUAGUGGUAAUGAAUUCUUGGUUUGGGAGUUGCUUAGUUUAAAACGUUUAAAUGUAUUAAGCAUCAUCUUGAAAAGUUUUUCUGCCGUCCAAAAACUUAUGAGCUCCCAAAAGUUUCAAAGCCGUACACAAUGCUUGGAGCUUCUAGACUGUGAUGAUCCAAAGUCAUUUGCCUUGGCAGAGUUGAAGCAUCUUGAAAAACUAGGUUUUUCGAGUUGUGGAAAUUUGGAAGAGUUAAAGUUCUGCUGUGUCGAAGUUGCAAAGGCUCGAGAAUGUUUUCGUUUGAACGGCCCUCACUGAGUUAAGAUGAAGGCUUGUCAUAAAUUGUGGGUCUUGAAUCAAAUUUCAAUGCAUGAAUUAAUAUUUUUUAAAAAAAUUACUACACGCAGUUUAGGUUACAAACUAUUUUUUGCAAAGUUGACUAUGAAAUUGGAGAAAUUAAGUAAUUUAUAAUGUUUGCAAAGAAAGAGACUAACAUACUUCCAAUUACACUAUAUCUCUAUUAUCAUAAUGUUAAGACUAAACUAACUUAAAAUAAAUUUUAUUUGAAAAGUUAUAUCAAACGCAAUCUAAUUUUAUUAACUUGAAGAGAUAAUAGUUAUAGAAAUUAUUGUUCUAACUUAAUUAGUAUAAGUGGUAUAAAGGUUAAGUGUGCACUAAAUUCGUUUAAAUUUUUUCCACUAUAACUAACAGAGGUCAUUACUAGAAUUAUAUUACUAGUCUAUUAGAUAGAAAAAAUUAUUUAUAUUGUUUUAUAUUUAUUAAAAAAAUGUAAAGUCAAUCUUUUUAAUUACUAUUUAAAGGAUAUUAUAAUUAGAAAACAUUUAAUGUCUUUAUUAAAAAUUUAAAAAUUUACAUGACCGUUCUAUAAAUAUUUAAAGUGUAACUGUCAUUUUCUCAUAUAUAUAUAUAUAUAUAAACCAUGGUGGUGAAGCUUUAUUUAAUAUUAAUGAUUUAAAUAAUAAUAUCUCAAUUAAAAAUGUAGAGAGAAGAAAUUUCGGUGGGUAUAUUAGUCUUUUACAAUUAUCAUGAUUAGCCCUUCCUCUUGUAAUGUUGGUAAGAAAAGUUUUAAAAUGCCUUGAUUUCUUUUACUUUUAACGUUAGCGGCCUUAUAUUUUAUUACAAAUUAGUCCUAACAAGAAAAAGCAAGAUCAUAUUCCACAAAAGCAAAAGUGACAAAACAACCAACUGGAUUAUUUUUUUAAACUACAAAUUGUAUAGUCUUUUUCAAAUUGUUAUAAAUUGGUGGCCCCUACAAUUAUCAACUGUGCAAGUGCUCAUUCACAAUCUUCCAGGUCAUGCUCUUAAUAAUUGUUUUUUUUUUUUUCUGCAUUCCCUUUCAUGCUCUUAAUAAUUGAAGAGCAUACUUUUCAUUUUCAAAUGUGGAGCCGCAGCUAAUGUCGCUAAUUUAAUUUGGGAUUAAAUUAGGGGACCAUUAUAUUGCAGUGUGCACUAAUUUUUGUGUUUAUCUAAACUCCUUAAAUUUAAGACAUAUUAUGGCAUAAAUAAGAAUAUAAUAAUAACAAAAGAGUUAGAAAGUGUAGAGAAGAUCUUGCAGAAAUAUAAAUAAUAUCUAUUUUAAAAUAAUAUCAAUAUUUAAAAUAAUUUUUAGUAUUUUAUGAUCCAUUAGAUAUAUUUUAUUAUAUUAAAGUAAAUUUUAUAAUAAAUAAAAACGUACUAUUAAAAUGAAUAUAUAGAAAAUUUAGAGUAUUUUAAGUAUUAUAUAAAAUAAAUUUAAUAAAAUAUGUGAGAUAUUCAUAGUUUAUUAAUUUAAAAUACCAUUUUAAAAUUAAAGAUUUAUUUAUGAUAAAUUAAUAAUUAUAUUUUUGAAAUUACUUCAAAUAUUAAAAAAUUAAUAUUACUAAUCUAUUAGAUAGAUUAAAUUAUAUAUAUUAUUUUCUAUUUAUUAAAAAAUUAAAAUUAUUUUUAAUUACUAUUCAAAAAAUAUAAUGAUAAAAAAAUCUUAACAUCUUUAUUAAAAAUUUAAAAAUUUACAUGAUCAAUUCUCUAAAUAUUUAGGGUAGAUGUGAACCACGGUGGAGAAGCUUUAUUUAAUAUUAUUGAUUUAAAUAAUAUGUCAAUUAAAAAUGUACAGAGAAGAAAUUUCGAUGGGUAUUUUAGUCUUUUCAGCAAUUAUCAUGAUCAGAUCAGCCUUUAACCUUGAAACGUCGGUCAGAAAAGUUUUAAAAUGCUUAAUUGUUUUUCACUUUUAACGUUGAUGGCCUUGAAAUUGCUUAUAUUUUAUUAAAAAUUAAUGCUAACAAGAAAAAACUAGGUCAUAUUCCACAAAAUCAAAAGUGACAAAACAACCAGCUGGUUUCUUUUACUAAACUACAAAUUAAAAUAGAUUUUUUCGAUAAAUUACAAAUUAAAGUGGAUUCUUUUUUUUUUUUGAAAGGUAAAGUGGAUUCUUUUGAAUACAAGUGAGACAGAUUAGGCUCUUUUUAUUAAAGACAAGUAAAAACUAGUCAAGAAUCGAAUAAUCCUUUUCAAAAUCUUGUUUUAUUAUUUUUCAAAACUAGUUUUUGGUAAUUACAAUCGGGUCAUUAAUCAUUAUUCAAAGUUAGCGGCUCAUGUUUGCAAGUGUGAAUGUGCGAUGCUGCAAUUACAGUGGGGCCCGAAUCAGACGUGCCGAAUAAAUCUUUUUAAAAUUUUUGCCGUAUAACGAACAGAGGUCAUUACUAAAAUUUCUCUUCCAAAGCCCACAGCAGCUUCAGUUUAUCAAACUCAAUCAAUUUUCUUUCUUAACAAAAUUCCAAAGAUGUGUAGCAUUUUUCAGAUCACAUGCGAUGGUGCUCUUUUCAAUCGUUGCUUGGAUUGCUUUCUUGGAGAAGCAGCAUACAUAAGCAAACUCCAAGAUAAUCUUGAUGCCUUGGAGACUGAACUGGGAAGACUAAUCGCAGCAAAGAACGAUGUGAUGAUGAGGGUUGUCAAUGCUGAACGGCAACAAAUGAGAAGGCGGGAAGGAGUGCAACAAUGGGUUUCGAGGGUGGAUGCUGUUAAAACUGGAGCCGAUGAACUUAUCACAGACGGCUCUGAAGAAAUUGGCAAAUUAUGUGUUGGAGGCUACUGUUCCAAGAACUGCAGGUCAAGCUACAAGUUCGGAAAACAAGUGGCUAAAAAGCUACAAGAUGUGAAGACUUUAAUCGCCGAGGGAGUUUUUGAGGCGGUGGCUACUGAGGUGGUGCCCGAGAGAGCUCCGGAACCUGUAGCAGAUAAAAGACCCAUUGAGCCAACAAUAGUAGGCUUGCAAUCACAGCUUGAACAAGUUUGGAGAUGUCUUGUAGUAGAAGAAUCAGUGGGAAUCAUUGGCCUAUAUGGUAUGGGCGGUGUUGGUAAAACCACACUAUUGACCCGUAUCAACAAUAAAUUUCUUGAGAGUCAAAACAACUUUGAUUGUGUGAUUUGGGUCGUAGUUUCAAAAGACCUGCGGCUUGAAAAAAUUCAAGACGAUAUUGGGAAGAAGAUAGGUCUGUCUGAUGAUUCAUGGAAGAAUAAAAGUGUUGAGGAGAAAGCUGUAGACAUCUUGCGGAGAUUACGAGAGAAGAGAUUUGUAUUGUUGCUAGAUGAUAUAUGGGAGCGGGUUGAUUUAACAGAAGUGGGCAUUCCACUUCCCAGCCCACAAAAUACUACAUCAAAAGUCGUAUUCACGACCCGUUUCAUUGAUGUGUGUGGUAGCAUGGAAAGUCACAGGAAGUUUGAAGUGGCAUGCUUAUCAGAAGAGGAUGCUUGGGAGCUGUUUCGAGAAAAAGUAGGGCAAGAAACUCUUGAGAGUGAUCAUGAGAUCGUUGAGCUAGCCCAAACUGUGGCCAAAGAGUGUGGUGGUUUGCCACUNNNNNNNNNNNNNNNNNNNNNNNNNNNNNNNNNNNNNNNNNNNNNNNNNNNNNNNNNNNNNNNNNNNNNNNNNNNNNNNNNNNNNNNNNNNNNNNNNNNNNNNNNNNNNNNNNNNNNNNNNNNNNNNNNNNNNNNNNNNNNNNNNNNNNNNNNNNAUUGAUUGUUGGAUUGGUGAGGGAUUUUUGGGGGAAUCUGACAGGUUUGGUGCAGAAAACCAAGGAUAUGACAUUUUGGACACUCUUGUUCGUGCAUGUUUAUUGGAAGAGGUGGAAGAUGAUAAAGUAAAAAUGCAUGACGUUAUUCGUGAUAUGGCUCUAUGGAUAACUGGUGAAAUUGAGAAGGAGAAGCGAAACUUUUUGGUUUGUGCAGGUGCUGGAUUAAAUGAGGCACCGGAUGUUAAAGGAUGGGAAAACGUGAGAAGAUUGUCAUUGAUGCAAAACCAAAUUGAAACUCUGUCAGAGGUUCCUACAUGCCCUCAUCUCCUCACUUUAUUUCUUGACUUUAAUGAGGAUGUGGAGAUGAUCGCGGAUGGCUUCUUCCAAUUUAUGCCUUCUCUCAAAGUUUUGAAGAUGUCAAACUGUGGAAAGAGUUGGAGCAAUUUUCAAUUACCUGUUGGGAUGUCAGAGUUGGGUUCAUCACUAGAACUUCUUGAUAUUUCACAUACCAGCAUAAGAGAGUUACCAGAGGAGUUAAAGAAGUUGGUAAAUCUGAAAUGUUUGAAUUUGAGGCGGACAGAAUUGUUAAAUAAAAUUCCACGGCAACUAAUAUCAAAUUCUUCAAGGUUACGUGUGUUNNNNNNNNNNNNNNNNNNNNNNNNNNNNNNNNNNNNNNNNNNNNNNNNNNNNNNNNNNNNNNNNNNNNNNNNNNNNNNNNNNNNNNNNNNNNNNNNNNNNGCGUUUUAUUUGGUGGGGGUGAAGUUUUGAUACAGGAAUUGCUCGGUUUGAAAUAUUUAGAGGUAUUGGAGUUGACCUUGGGAAGUUAUCAUGCUCUCCAAAUUCUUUUGAGCUCAAAUAAGUUAAAAAGUUGUAUUCGAUCUCUUCUCCUCCACUUGGCCAGAGAUACAACGUCGGUUAUCGAUGCUACGGCUUUCGCAGAUCUAAACCACCUCAAUGAAUUAUGGAUUGAUAGGGCUAAGGAGUUGGAAUUAUUGAAGAUUGAUUAUACGGAGAUAGUUCGAAAAAGGCGGGAACCUUUUGUUUUCCGCAGCCUUCACUGUGUUACUAUACAUAUCUGCCAGAAGUUGAAAGAUACGACAUUCCUCGUUUUUGCUCCAAACCUCAAGUCUCUUUCGCUAUUCCAUUGCGGUGCUAUGGAAGAAAUAAUCAGCGUCGGAAAAUUUGCUGAGGUUCCUGAGAUGAUGGGACAUAUAAGCCCUUUUGAAAAUCUCCGACUUCUUCGUUUGUCACAUUUGCCAAAUUUGAAGAGCAUCUACUGGAAGCCAUUGCCUUUCACUCAUCUGAAAGAAAUGGUGGUACGUGGGUGUGAUCAGCUUGAAAAGCUUCCACUCGAUUCCAACAGUGCAAAAGAGCGUAAAUUUGUAAUUCGUGGAGAAGAAGACUGGUGGAACCUACUUCAAUGGGAGGAUGAAUCCACUCAAAUUGCUUUUCGUUCCUGUUUCCAGCCUCGUUCUUGAGCAGUGGCCGCAAAAUUUGAUUUCUGGUGAGUGCGUUUGUCUUUUAAAAAGAAUAAUUUAAAAGAAAUUUAUUCUUGUCGUUUUCUUCACUGUUUUUAUUUCAGUUUCUCUCUCUCUGUCUCUCUCUUUUUGUCUUCUACAAAUCACAAUUAAAUGUUGAAUUAAUGGAAUUAAUGCUUCAUAAAUUUGCCGGCACUGCCAUUACUUUUUUUUUUAAUACAAAUUGAUACUUUAUUUAUAUCUUCUUAGCGAUAUAAUUUCCUGUCAAUUGACGAACGAGAAGAACAUAUGACUUAAACCAAUUCUCGCAUAAACUUGCUGUAAAAAGAUAUAAUCUCACUGAAAUGCACACGUCUAGAAAGAAUAGAAUUAAAACAGGGAAAAUCUUUACCGAAAAUCAAAUGACAAUAAAUUUUUUGAAGUUUUGAUUUUCUAUGGUCAAUUCCACCUUUUGCAAUUUCUUCUGUUCUAACAAAAACCAAUUUCUUUGUUCAAGUAUUUUCGUUUGGGUAUUAAUAAUUCUCCACCGAAAGAGUGAACUCUUGCUCAAGGGAUCUCUAAUCAAUAGCCGGAAGGGCGCCGAGACCUGAUCGGACCUAGGCCCAAGUUUGGUCUUAAAGCCUGGGCUUGAGCCUGGCAAUUAAAUUAAAACAUUAAUUUAUUUCUUGAUUGAAUUGUCGUGUAAUUGAUUUAUGGGGGAUGACACAUCAACAUACUUGAAAAUACACUAAUCUCAGCAUCAUCGGUUAAUAACUUUUAGAUUUAUGGGUAAUCAAUAGUUAAGAUUAGUUGUCAUUAAUACUAAAUAAUUUUUACUUUUUUUUGUCUCUUCUAGAGGAUCUUCUAGAAAAAUGCAUCUGCAAUUAAAUUUAAUACUUUACAUAAUAAACAAAGCAUAAAUGUUAAAUUUAAGAAACUGCAUUGUAUUUCAGCUGAAGUUGACUUUAAUAUUUAGGGUAGAAAAAAAUUAAAUCCUUAAUGUGUUUAAUUUGUAUCACUUGUGUCAUUAAAAUUUUCUAGUCACCCUAACCAAUUACAUCUCAACCCACUUUUUUUUGGAUGAUUUUAUUUUUACACUAUUAUUUUCAACAUUUUUUUCCUUUUAACACCAACAUUAGUGUAUGUUACGUAACAUAAUUCAUAUUUGGAUAAUUUGAAAUUUGUUUGUGUUUUAUCUCAAAAUAGAGCUUCAAUCAAUUUGUACCUCAUAAAUUCACAAUAUCUAUGAAGGCUAAUAAGACCAAACUCUGGCAUAUUGUCAAAUGUGCUUAUCCUUUUGCUUGACAUGUCAUUUUAAAAUUGUCAUUCAAUGCCAAAAAAUCACAUCAACUAAUGGCCGAUAAUUAUAACUUAAUUGUUAUAUUGAAAUUUUUUUCUUUAUAAUUUUUAAGUUUAAUACUGCUACAUGUGUAGCACAUAAGUUGGAAAAUAUAACAAAAAUUGAAAAAUGUGUAGUUUUCGUUCCUUUUUUUCCCCUUAAAAAUGAAAAAAAAACAACAGUAAUUUUGUUUAAAUUACUGUUGUGAUAACAAGUAUUAUUUUAUUGAUUAAUUGGCAGAUAAUCAUUAUGGUUUCGUAUGGUUGUUAAAAGAUUGGAAAGUCCACUACAUCAUCCGUUAAUAACUUUCAGAUUUAUGGUUAAUCAAUAGCUGAGAUUUAUUAUCAUUAAUGCUAAAUAUUUUUUUCUCUCUCCUAGAGAAUCAUCCACAGCAAAAAUUUAAUAUUGUAAAUAGUAAACAAAAUAUAAACGUUAAAUUUAAGAAACUGCAUUGCAUUUCAGCCGAAGCUAACUUUAAUAUUUAAUGGAGAAAAAUAAUUAAGUCCUUAAUGUAUUUUAUUUACCCAUACAUGUGGCUAAUUAUUUAAGAUAAAGGGGAAGGAUGAUGCUCAAAAAUAUAAAUUAUAGAAUUAAUUGAACUCUCAAGUAAGUUUAAAGUUCAUUAUUUUUAAUUACAUGUUUAUAAUUUAUUUUUAUUUCGUAUUAAUCUAUAGAUCUAAAUCCACUUUGGAUUCAUAUACAUAUAUAGACAUAAUGUGUAUGUUAAUCUAUAGGUCUAAAUUCAUUUUAGGUCUAAAUCCACUUUGAAAAAGAUAAACUUUAAAUUUACUUAAGAGAGUAAUUAAUUUCAUAGUUAAAAUCUUUAAAUUUUACCCCUCAUCUUAACUUAAGAAAAUUAAUCACUUAUUUUAUUUAACAAAGAAGAGAUUUUUUUUCCCCCUAUAUUUUCCAAUUAUUUCUCUCCCUCUCGCUCCCUCAAGUUAUACAACUUGACGUGAAAUAUGAGUGGUCUGAUUCUAGCUUAAAUAAUUUAUUGUGACAUGCUAUCGAAGGACAAUACAAUACCUAGCUCUACAUAUUUUAUUUAACCUCCGGCUCACCCUGUGCAAACUUGCCUUUCCCCUGCAAGACAAGAUUAAUCAAUGUAUCAAGUCUCAAAUUCAAUUUGGAAUAUGACCAUCGUACGCUCUUGUUCUUCCCUCUUUACGAGUGCAUUCCCCCCAACCUCAAGCUCCCUCUCUCGUCUUCAAUGUCACUGCUUAUAUCCUUAUGUUGUUCUCAAAUUCUGAUUUCACCAUAUUUUAAUUACUGAUUAGCAUAUAUUCAAGUGCUCUCCAUUAUAAUAGAAGCCGCCGCCUCACUCGUGAUUCCAAACUUUAUCUUUUUUCCUUUUUUAAAUUAAUGCAAGUAGCCGCUGUCCUUUUUAUUAAUUAAUUAAUUCGGCCGCCCACAUUUCUUUUCCUAAUGUCUUCUACUGUCGAUUUUCUUUUAUUUUUUCUUUAUUCUUAAAAUAUGCUUUUAAUAAUAAAAUAUAAAAAUAUAAAUUAAAAUAAAAAUAUCAAAAUAUAAUUUAACAGAAAAUUAAGAUAAAAAAUGAAAAAAAAUUAUGAGCAUAUCAAUUAAUAAAUAAAAAUAAUAAUUUUUAUUUUUAUUAAAUAUAUAUUUUUCAGUAUUAAUCAAUUAUCUGAAUAACUAAAAUCAUUUAAAAAUAAAUAAAUAAAUUAUUCUUUAAAAACAAAAAGAAAAGAAACUUUUUAUAACACUCACCAUGCUGUUUGUAGGGUAGACGGUUUGGGGACUGAAGUUGGUAACUUCUACAAGUAGUCUUAAGUUGACUGGCAACAACUAUAUUGGCAUUUUGACAUACUGUACUGCAACCAUAUUGGUAUGUUCAAAUGUUCUUACUAUUGUAUUGGUGUGUCAAUAUUAUCUCUAACUGUCCUAUAGAUAAAAAAAUAAUCUAAAUUUAUAAUUUAACAUAAAAUAAAAUAAUUAGUUAUAGAUAAAAAAAUAAUUUAAAUUUAUAAUUUAACAUAAAAUAAAAUAAUUGGUAGAAAAACAAUUAUGGUUCAUUUACUUAUCAGUAAUCAGAAUAGACUGAAAUCGAAAUAAGUUGUAUUGCCGUUGAUGUGUUUAUGUUGUCCUCGAAUCGGAAUGAAUUAUUUUAAGUUACUAAAAUACCCUUGGUUUGUUAUUCUAAUAAUUAUUAUUUAAUAUUUAUUAUAAUAUUUUUCAUAUUAUUAAAAAGAAAUAAUAAUGAUGAUAAUAUUAUCAUUAUUGUUUGUUACAUUAUUAUUAUUCAAAAAAAUUAUUGUUAAUAACAAUAAUUACUUUAUUUCAAUAAUAAUAAUGAUAAAAUUAAUAAUAACAAACAUGACAACAACAAUAAUUAUUUAUUAUGCCAAAAAUAACAAUAAUAAUAAGAAUAAUAGUCAUCAUCAUUUUUUUUCCCAAAGAAGCAUUAUCAUCAUCAUUUCAAAAAAAAAAAAAAUCAUCAUUAUCAUCAUCGUUUUUGUAGUGGCUGCCUAUCGACUGCUGCUUUCAUGUGAGAUUGACUUGCGACGCUUCAACGGCUAUUAUUUCUGGCAAUGUCAGGUGUUACUGUUUCAAUUUAGGAAGAAGUUGUUUCGUUGUACUAACGAUGGGAGAUGUUGUGGCUGCGAUUCGGGGAGCUACUAGUUUAUUGCACUAAUGACGGCAGGUGCUGCUGCUUGAUGCGAGGUCCAUGGCCAGUUGUCAGCAGUUUGACUUUGGUAUGGGUGCUACUGGUUUGAUUUUAGGUGUUGUCCAAUUUCAUUUUCAGGAUUUUAAUUUUAUUUUUUCUUUAAUGUUUUCAUUAAUUAAUCAGGGCAAAGUUGGAUUUUAGAAUUUAGAAUGAAGGUAAUUUUGUUAAUCAUGGAAAUGAGAUUCUGAUUGUCGAGAAUGAGCUUAUACAAGCAACUGCAAAUUAAGUGAAAACAAAACGCUUUUUCUCUUUGUGUGAUUAAAACAUGAUAUGUAUCAUAAAUAAAUAAGUAAAAAAUAAAUCAAUACAAUCCAAAACAGUAAACAAAUUACAAGAGGUACAGAUUUUUAUGUGAAACACCGAAAAUAGAAAAAAACCACAGUAUCUUAGUCUGAUAUAAUCUUCUACUGUAUUAAUGGGAUUACAGCACAAAUUCUUCCCUAUAUACCACUAGAGGUUAACAACAUCUAGAUUCUCAAUAAUAUUGACUUACAAUACAGCUUAAUAUAUGUCUCUCUAAUAAGUAGAUAUCUAAAAUAACAAUCUCUAAUAAAUAAGUAUCUCAAAUAACCGUCUCUAAUAAGUAGGUAUCUUAAAUAAUAGUCAACAAGAGGAUAAAACAAAAAAUUAAGAUUAGUAGGAUGUGUAUCAGGCAAUGCUAUCAACUUAUUAUCUAAAUUUGAGAAAAAUAGUUAAAUUCACUUUUUCGAUUGUCCGACCAAAGAUGGAAACCCUUGCCCCAAAACCAAAGGAAUCAACAUUGUGUCUCUCUCUCUCUCUCUCUCUCUCGUUAUUUUCUUCUACUUUUCUUAAUGUUAGCCGCCACUUGCUUUUAUUCUUUAUAGCAUUUAAAAAGCUACUUUUAAUGGUAAAUUUAUAAGUCCAAACUUGGUGAUAAUUGCACACCAAACAAUCCUUACAUAGUCUUUUAGACCUCUAAAUGAGAUGAAUACAGUAAAUUUCCCCUUUUAGAUCAUGUGGGGGGCACCACAAGGCCACUCUCUGCAUAUAGCUUUUCAACUUCUCCUUGAAUAAUGUCUUUGUCAUCAUACAUAACCCAUUCUCCGUUGUGUAAAUCUUCUCAAGCUGUAAAUGUUCCUUCUCAAGCACAUCUCGUAUCUAACGAUACCUCACAUCAAUAUGCUUAAAUUUCGAAUGGUAUAUCAAAUUCUUUGAACGACACUCUGACUGUCGUAGUACAUAACAUAGUUGUCUCGUUUUACACCGAGCUCUUAUAGGAAAUUCUUCGUCCACAAUAUUUUUUUGCAACCUUCAAUAAUUGUAAUAUCAUUUGCUUUAGUGGUAGAAAAGGCAACUUAUUACUAAAGUUUAGAUUGCGAUGAGACUGCUCCCCUUGCAAAAGUGAGCAAACAUCCUAGUAGGAGUUUUUCGGAAUCAACAUCUCCUGCCAUAUCUACACAAUUGUAAAACAUGUUUGUCACUACCAAAAUAUAAACGUGCUCUGGAAAUGCCUCUAAGAUAUUUGAGAAUUUUUCACUGUUGUCCAGUGCUGAAGCAUAAGGAACUCCUCUCAUGGAGAAAUGGAUUUUGCUCUUAGAGAUUUUUGGNNNNNNNNNNNNNNNNNNNNNNNNNNNNNNNNNNNNNNNNNNNNNNNNNNNNNNNNNNNNNNNNNNNNNNNNNNNNNNNNNNNNNNNNNNNNNNNNNNNNGACACUUUUUCAGGAGAUGCAAACUUCAAAUAUAAUGGGAGACGAGUUUACCAUUGUUAGCAUUCUUACAGCUCGUGCGAAUCUGGGGGCACUAGAACUGGGAGAAUGGAUAAAGACUUAUACUGACAAAAACAAAGUCAAGAAUGAUAUAUUUGCGGGGAACGUUUUGAUAGACGUGUACUGUAAAUGCGGAGAUGUUGAGAAAGCUCAAAAGGUAUUCAGGAAGAUGCUUUGAAAGGACAAAUUCACAUGGACGACCAUGAUUGUUGGCCUUGCCAUCAGUGGCAAUGGUGAUAAAGCUCUUGAUAUGUUUUCCCAAAUGCUUAGGGCUUCGAUCAAACCGAAUGAGGUAGCUUAUGUUGGUGUUCUGUCUGCCUGUACUCACAAUGGUAAUGAAACUUUUGUGAUAAAUAGUUGCAACUAAAGGUGAGAAUUGGAGGAAAGGAAAUAGACUGAAGUUGUUCAAUCAUCAGUGGUUGCUAUUUGGUUUUAAGUUGUUCAAUCAUCGGUCGUCUCUAUUUGGUUUUCUCCAAUAUCUCAUCUUCAGUUUUGACUCAGAUUCUAUCUUACCACUAGUAAUUACAUAGACUUGCUGCCAAAGGUAAGAAUGGGAAUAAAUUAAAUAGAUUAUGUCGAAAACGAAAUAAAUUUACUAUUGUUCUGUUCAUUCUAUUUGUUUCCUACAAAAUAUUUCUCCUGCCUAAAAUUUUUUGAAUCAGUAAGUUUUUACCUUAUGCAAGAAUUGUGCUGAGAGUAAUUCCAUUUCUCAGUCUCUUUAUGUUUCAAUGAAGACGUAAAACUUGUGUUCUAGUGCACCAAUGUUUAUGCUUCUUACAAUUUGACUUUAAUUUACUUUGUAAAACUUUUGUCAAAAAGUACUAAAAAGUAGUGCACCAAACACCAACUUUAUUACACUUUAGUUUAAUUUUAAGAGAACACUCAAAAGAAAGAGUUAUAAAUUAGUAUAGAAAUAUUUCACAUAAAUAAAAGCCAUCCCAUGCUACAAAGAUCUUGCUAUCAUCACCAAAAACUAUCGGGAGCUUUUAGGGUUUCCAAAAAAAUGUCAUUUCGUUCCAAAAGUCAAUGGUGGGUAGAAAGUGGUGCAAAUGAGACUCAUUGUUAAUGGUAUAAGUUUUUGCUUAAUUAUGUCUUCCCCAAGAUGAUGAUUUAAUUUCCAUUCUCAAUUAAUUUUCAAGUUUCAACACUUUUCUAUCUAGCAUGACAUUGGAAAGAUCUUGUACAGUUGUACUACUAAAAGCUAGCACCACACGUUAGUUAUUGUUAAGUUCUUUUUCAACGUGAAAUAAAGGAAGUAGUCCCUCGUUAAAACCAUUAUAGCCAAAUUUCACCUAAUUGGACACUUACAGACUUUCAUUUCAAGUUGGAUUUUGGUCCAACGUUUCAAAGUUGGCCCAAUUAUUUUUGUCUGGUCAAGUCCUACGCAGCUAAGCCCCUCAAUGAAUGAGGGUGAGAUUGCUAAAAAUUACGACAGGUGAUAUUUUAUUGUUAUUAUUAUUAUUUUUGGGGGAUAAAUCCUCACCAAAGUGAGGAGAUUUUAUCAAAAUCAAAAUAAAAAUAUAACAAGAACUGAAAGUCGGGCAGCCUAAAAGCUAGAUGAACUAAAAGUCAGGCGCCUAAAAACAACCUUAUGCAAAAGAAAAGCAACAUGAGACCGAUCAAGUAAAAGAAUCCACCGCAACACCUAAAUUGGCCAAAUUAUCUGUUGGUAUUACAAGUUUCUUGUUAUAAAAGUGUAGAAUGAAGUAGGUGACGUAGUUUUAAGUUACAGCUGCAUGCCCAAUCGCAAUAUCAAAUAAUGCUUAAAGUAGUUGCCUAGGCGCCACAAUUUAUAUUAACUCUUAAAUUUAUAAAUAAUUAAAUUUUUAAAAGUUUGGAUUUAUAUUAAAAAAUCUUCAUAUAAAUAAAUCAUAUAUGCACUUUUACAACACAGUCUUUAAAUUUAAAUUUUUCUAGAAAAAUCUUCUGUAUAUCUUUUCUAUUAAAAAAUUUCCAUAUAAAUAAAUAAUAUACCUAAUUUAAUUGGACCCAGCACAACGUACAUGCAUAGAACACAUUCCGAAAAGCCAUGCUAUUCGGAAAUUGACGAAUGAAAAGUGAGGAGGCAGCAGUCAAUGCUACUUCGGCUUGGCCCAAAAUUGAUUUAUCAGUUUCACGUAUGCCAGGAAUGAAGAACUGGAAUAUCCCCGUCAAGCAAGCAACCUGUGGAGCAAUACCAUAGAAUGCACAAUCCGGCUUUGCAAAGUGACACUGGAGGCUUUUUGAAAAGUGCUUCAUGCUCACUUGCACAGAUUGAGCAUCCCCUCUGGAUAUUGCCCUCUCUGAUCGAGUCUGAGCACUCAAAUUUCGGUCCUCAGAUGGAGCUACAGCUUUCUCUCCCAAUAACCAACAAUUUUCUAAACUCAGCACCCUCGUGUGAUCAGAGUUGUUGAUAUUUGCAAAUGGAGAUCCCCCAUAUUUGCAAAUGGAGACAUUUAACAAAUCACCAACAUGUUUCAUUCAGUCUACGAAAUUCUGCAGCUUAUUCAAAUCCGGAACCUGAACCAGAGUCGGAGGUAAAUCUUGAGCCAUAUCUAAAGCAGCCUGAAGUUCAAGUACUUGAGCCCUUGACAAUGGUUUUGAAAUUGGAACAUCUUGGAUUACUGCAGAUUUGUACCCCUUGGUUUCAAAAGUGUGAGAGGCAUUGCUCGAGUACAAUUUGGAGGCAGCUUCUUCACCAAUUUUAUUUGGAGGCGAUUGGCAGCGGAUCCAGCUGCACCAAUUUCAGAGCAAAUACUGACACUACUUCGAACAGCACGCUGAAGAAGAGAUAUGUCUAUGGCAAAGGCAAUGCAGUCCUUAUUUUGACUUGAGAUGCAGUAAUCAUCAAAGAGAGUUUCCUUGUGAAACUGGGCAAAGCAUCGAAUCCCUUCACCACUGAGAAGGUUGUGGAGGAAGUGAGCUUUCUCUCUUGUGAGGAAGAGGUGGCGUGCCUUCCCCAUUUUGUCUAGGGCAGGUAUAAAUCUCUUUUCUAAGAGAUUUACUCCAUUCUCUGUGAGAAAUGCUUUGAACUUCAUCCCUCUGUCUGUAUCCUCACUUAUCAGGAAAAUAGUUGAAAGCGCUACAAGGAUAGAGAAGGAAAGUAUUAAGAUAAAUAGACAAGAAAAAUAUUAGAUGCCGAUCUUACAAACUAAUACUCCAAACACUAUCCUAGAAAGCUAAAAACUGAAGGAUGGCUUGAAAUUUUGAAAAGAACACAUGCUUUUCCUCCUUAACUUGGGAAAAUGUUUAAUAUAGUGCAACUUACAGAAGCAUUUAAGCAAUUAGAAAUUAGCACAAAAACAUCAAGAAGACUAAACAAAUCAGAUGCAGUGUAUUUGUCCAAGCACAAAUUGCAUUUUGUCCUCAACUUUAAUAUUUAUUGAUGAGAAUCAAUACAGGUCCCUCAUUUGUUAUAGAAAGCUUUCUUGUAGUCUCACCAGUUAAUUCACAGGUCUAUAAUCAUCUUGCAAAGUUAAGGGCAUUCUUCCGAUCUAAAGUCUUGCAUCACCACCUNNNNNNNNNNNNNNNNNNNNNNNNNNNNNNNNNNNNNNNNNNNNNNNNNNNNNNNNNNNNNNNNNNNNNNNNNNNNNNNNNNNNNNNNNNNNNNNNNNNNNNNNNNNNNNNNNNNNNNNNNNNNNNNNNNNNNNNNNNNNNNNNNNNNNNNNNNNNNNNNNNNNNNNNNNNNNNNNNNNNNNNNNNNNNNNNNNNNNNNNNNNNNNNNNNNNNNNNNNNNNNNNNNNNNNNNNNNNNNNNNNNNNNNNNNNNNNNNNNNNNNNNNNNNNNNNNNNNNNNNNNNNNNNNNNNNNNNNNNNNNNNNNNNNNNNNNNNNNNNNNNNNNNNNNNNNNNNNNNNNNNNNNNNNNNNNNNNNNNNNNNNNNNNNNNNNNNNNNNNNNNNNNNNNNNNNNNNNNNNNNNNNNNNNNNNNNNNNNNNNNNNNNNNNNNNNNNNNNNNNNNNNNNNNNNNNNNNNNNNNNNNNNNNNNNNNNNNNNNNNNNNNNNNNNNNNNNNNNNNNNNNNNNNNNNNNNNNNNNNNNNNNNNNNNNNNNNNNNNNNNNNNNNNNNNNNNNNNNNNNNNNNNNNNNNNNNNNNNNNNNNNNNNNNNNNNNNNNNNNNNNNNNNNNNNNNNNNNNNNNNNNNNNNNNNNNNNNNNNNNNNNNNNNNNNNNNNNNNNNNNNNNNNNNNNNNNNNNNNNNNNNNNNNNNNNNNNNNNNNNNNNNNNNNNNNNNNNNNNNNNNNNNNNNNNNNNNNNNNNNNNNNNNNNNNNNNNNNNNNNNNNNNNNNNNNNNNNNNNNNNNNNNNNNNNNNNNNNNNNNNNNNNNNNNNNNNNNNNNNNNNNNNNNNNNNNNNNNNNNNNNNNNNNNNNNNNNNNNNNNNNNNNNNNNNNNNNNNNNNNNNNNNNNNNNNNNNNNNNNNNNNNNNNNNNNNNNNNNNNNNNNNNNNNNNNNNNNNNNNNNNNNNNNNNNNNNNNNNNNNNNNNNNNNNNNNNNNNNNNNNNNNNNNNNNNNNNNNNNNNNNNNNNNNNNNNNNNNNNNNNNNNNNNNNNNNNNNNNNNNNNNNNNNNNNNNNNNNNNNNNNNNNNNNNNNNNNNNNNNNNNNNNNNNNNNNNNNNNNNNNNNNNNNNNNNNNNNNNNNNNNNNNNNNNNNNNNNNNNNNNNNNNNNNNNNNNNNNNNNNNNNNNNNNNNNNNNNNNNNNNNNNNNNNNNNNNNNNNNNNNNNNNNNNNNNNNNNNNNNNNNNNNNNNNNNNNNNNNNNNNNNNNNNNNNNNNNNNNNNNNNNNNNNNNNNNNNNNNNNNNNNNNNNNNNNNNNNNNNNNNNNNNNNNNNNNNNNNNNNNNNNNNNNNNNNNNNNNNNNNNNNNNNNNNNNNNNNNNNNNNNNNNNNNNNNNNNNNNNNNNNNNNNNNNNNNNNNNNNNNNNNNNNNNNNNNNNNNNNNNNNNNNNNNNNNNNNNNNNNNNNNNNNNNNNNNNNNNNNNNNNNNNNNNNNNNNNNNNNNNNNNNNNNNNNNNNNNNNNNNNNNNNNNNNNNNNNNNNNNNNNNNNNNNNNNNNNNNNNNNNNNNNNNNNNNNNNNNNNNNNNNNNNNNNNNNNNNNNNNNNNNNNNNNNNNNNNNNNNNNNNNNNNNNNNNNNNNNNNNNNNNNNNNNNNNNNNNNNNNNNNNNNNNNNNNNNNNNNNNNNNNNNNNNNNNNNNNNNNNNNNNNNNNNNNNNNNNNNNNNNNNNNNNNNNNNNNNNNNNNNNNNNNNNNNNNNNNNNNNNNNNNNNNNNNNNNNNNNNNNNNNNNNNNNNNNNNNNNNNNNNNNNNNNNNNNNNNNNNNNNNNNNNNNNNNNNNNNNNNNNNNNNNNNNNNNNNNNNNNNNNNNNNNNNNNNNNNNNNNNNNNNNNNNNNNNNNNNNNNNNNNNNNNNNNNNNNNNNNNNNNNNNNNNNNNNNNNNNNNNNNNNNNNNNNNNNNNNNNNNNNNNNNNNNNNNNNNNNNNNNNNNNNNNNNNNNNNNNNNNNNNNNNNNNNNNNNNNNNNNNNNNNNNNNNNNNNNNNNNNNNNNNNNNNNNNNNNNNNNNNNNNNNNNNNNNNNNNNNNNNNNNNNNNNNNNNNNNNNNNNNNNNNNNNNNNNNNNNNNNNNNNNNNNNNNNNNNNNNNNNNNNNNNNNNNNNNNNNNNNNNNNNNNNNNNNNNNNNNNNNNNNNNNNNNNNNNNNNNNNNNNNNNNNNNNNNNNNNNNNNNNNNNNNNNNNNNNNNNNNNNNNNNNNNNNNNNNNNNNNNNNNNNNNNNNNNNNNNNNNNNNNNNNNNNNNNNNNNNNNNNNNNNNNNNNNNNNNNNNNNNNNNNNNNNNNNNNNNNNNNNNNNNNNNNNNNNNNNNNNNNNNNNNNNNNNNNNNNNNNNNNNNNNNNNNNNNNNNNNNNNNNNNNNNNNNNNNNNNNNNNNNNNNNNNNNNNNNNNNNNNNNNNNNNNNNNNNNNNNNNNNNNNNNNNNNNNNNNNNNNNNNNNNNNNNNNNNNNNNNNNNNNNNNNNNNNNNNNNNNNNNNNNNNNNNNNNNNNNNNNNNNNNNNNNNNNNNNNNNNNNNNNNNNNNNNNNNNNNNNNNNNNNNNNNNNNNNNNNNNNNNNNNNNNNNNNNNNNNNNNNNNNNNNNNNNNNNNNNNNNNNNNNNNNNNNNNNNNNNNNNNNNNNNNNNNNNNNNNNNNNNNNNNNNNNNNNNNNNNNNNNNNNNNNNNNNNNNNNNNNNNNNNNNNNNNNNNNNNNNNNNNNNNNNNNNNNNNNNNNNNNNNNNNNNNNNNNNNNNNNNNNNNNNNNNNNNNNNNNNNNNNNNNNNNNNNNNNNNNNNNNNNNNNNNNNNNNNNNNNNNNNNNNNNNNNNNNNNNNNNNNNNNNNNNNNNNNNNNNNNNNNNNNNNNNNNNNNNNNNNNNNNNNNNNNNNNNNNNNNNNNNNNNNNNNNNNNNNNNNNNNNNNNNNNNNNNNNNNNNNNNNNNNNNNNNNNNNNNNNNNNNNNNNNNNNNNNNNNNNNNNNNNNNNNNNNNNNNNNNNNNNNNNNNNNNNNNNNNNNNNNNNNNNNNNNNNNNNNNNNNNNNNNNNNNNNNNNNNNNNNNNNNNNNNNNNNNNNNNNNNNNNNNNNNNNNNNNNNNNNNNNNNNNNNNNNNNNNNNNNNNNNNNNNNNNNNNNNNNNNNNNNNNNNNNNNNNNNNNNNNNNNNNNNNNNNNNNNNNNNNNNNNNNNNNNNNNNNNNNNNNNNNNNNNNNNNNNNNNNNNNNNNNNNNNNNNNNNNNNNNNNNNNNNNNNNNNNNNNNNNNNNNNNNNNNNNNNNNNNNNNNNNNNNNNNNNNNNNNNNNNNNNNNNNNNNNNNNNNNNNNNNNNNNNNNNNNNNNNNNNNNNNNNNNNNNNNNNNNNNNNNNNNNNNNNNNNNNNNNNNNNNNNNNNNNNNNNNNNNNNNNNNNNNNNNNNNNNNNNNNNNNNNNNNNNNNNNNNNNNNNNNNNNNNNNNNNNNNNNNNNNNNNNNNNNNNNNNNNNNNNNNNNNNNNNNNNNNNNNNNNNNNNNNNNNNNNNNNNNNNNNNNNNNNNNNNNNNNNNNNNNNNNNNNNNNNNNNNNNNNNNNNNNNNNNNNNNNNNNNNNNNNNNNNNNNNNNNNNNNNNNNNNNNNNNNNNNNNNNNNNNNNNNNNNNNNNNNNNNNNNNNNNNNNNNNNNNNNNNNNNNNNNNNNNNNNNNNNNNNNNNNNNNNNNNNNNNNNNNNNNNNNNNNNNNNNNNNNNNNNNNNNNNNNNNNNNNNNNNNNNNNNNNNNNNNNNNNNNNNNNNNNNNNNNNNNNNNNNNNNNNNNNNNNNNNNNNNNNNNNNNNNNNNNNNNNNNNNNNNNNNNNNNNNNNNNNNNNNNNNNNNNNNNNNNNNNNNNNNNNNNNNNNNNNNNNNNNNNNNNNNNNNNNNNNNNNNNNNNNNNNNNNNNNNNNNNNNNNNNNNNNNNNNNNNNNNNNNNNNNNNNNNNNNNNNNNNNNNNNNNNNNNNNNNNNNNNNNNNNNNNNNNNNNNNNNNNNNNNNNNNNNNNNNNNNNNNNNNNNNNNNNNNNNNNNNNNNNNNNNNNNNNNNNNNNNNNNNNNNNNNNNNNNNNNNNNNNNNNNNNNNNNNNNNNNNNNNNNNNNNNNNNNNNNNNNNNNNNNNNNNNNNNNNNNNNNNNNNNNNNNNNNNNNNNNNNNNNNNNNNNNNNNNNNNNNNNNNNNNNNNNNNNNNNNNNNNNNNNNNNNNNNNNNNNNNNNNNNNNNNNNNNNNNNNNNNNNNNNNNNNNNNNNNNNNNNNNNNNNNNNNNNNNNNNNNNNNNNNNNNNNNNNNNNNNNNNNNNNNNNNNNNNNNNNNNNNNNNNNNNNNNNNNNNNNNNNNNNNNNNNNNNNNNNNNNNNNNNNNNNNNNNNNNNNNNNNNNNNNNNNNNNNNNNNNNNNNNNNNNNNNNNNNNNNNNNNNNNNNNNNNNNNNNNNNNNNNNNNNNNNNNNNNNNNNNNNNNNNNNNNNNNNNNNNNNNNNNNNNNNNNNNNNNNNNNNNNNNNNNNNNNNNNNNNNNNNNNNNNNNNNNNNNNNNNNNNNNNNNNNNNNNNNNNNNNNNNNNNNNNNNNNNNNNNNNNNNNNNNNNNNNNNNNNNNNNNNNNNNNNNNNNNNNNNNNNNNNNNNNNNNNNNNNNNNNNNNNNNNNNNNNNNNNNNNNNNNNNNNNNNNNNNGUACAAAUUAAUAAGUUAUGCUCUUUGGAAGCAAACCUAAAUUCCAAGAGAAACAGAACUCAAAAAAUUUGCAAUUAUACGCAAAGGAAGUGAAGCACAGCAUUCUAUCACACAAACGAAUUGUAUAACAAGAGAUCGACAUAUCGAAUCAGAAGAACUCAAUUCAAAUUUGUCUCAAAAAUCAAAAUUAGAAGAUUUCACAUUUCGAGAGGAACAAGCGACAGGUCAGAUGCAAAAUUUUCAGCCACAACAUGCCACAAUUAACGGUUUAUUUCCAUGGAUUUAGAGAGCUGACUGACCUUUUGGCUUUUGGAAUUGAGAAGAUCGCGCGCCAAAAUGGAAGAGGGAAAGCGAAAGUGCGGGUUUUAAUAGGGUAUUGCAUUAGCAAAUUUAAUUAGUUUGCGAGGGUAAAAUAGGAAAGAGAUAUCACUAUUAACCUUUUUUUUAUAAGAAAAAAGAAUAAUAAAGAAUAUUUUAUUGUCAUUUGCAGCCUUUAAUUUUUUUUAAAUGCUAUUAGAAAAAUACGACGACAAAGAAAUGCUCUUUUUUUUAUUUUUUUCUUGAAGGUAAAAUCAAUUAUUUAGCUCCUUAUAUGUAAUCAAACUCCAUUUCUUACUUUAAGUCAUAUCCAACAGAACAACAAAGUAAUUAUUUUUUUUUUCAUUUAUUUUUGCAGAAAAUUAAUAACUUAAAAAUAUUGAAAGCUAUUGUAAAAUUUUUUAUUAUCAACCUCAUAAUUUAAUUUUUUUGGGGAAGAAUUGAUUUUUUUUUUUAUUUCCAAGAAUUUCAUUCUCUAGUUUUUCCAUUAAUAUUACUUAUCUUCAUACCCAUCUUAAUUAAAAUCUGUAGUUUUAUUCAAGAGUCAUGCUAUCCAUUCACUCGGACCAAAGGCUUUCCGCAGCAAUAUUAUUAUUUAAAGAGUAAUGAUAUAGCCACAGACUCUUGUACAAACUUAUUUUGUACAAACUGACGUGGCAUUAAUUCAUUGGUUGAAUGAAAAUAUAAAUUAAUAAAAACAAAUCAUGUGGGCCAAGUGAUAUUUAAUUCAACCAAUCUUAUCAUGCCACAUCAAUUUGUACAAAAUAAGUUUGUACAAGAGUUUGUGGCUGUAUCAUUACUCUUAUUUAAAUUACAACAAAGGGGAAAUCAAAUACGUCAUACAGAGGCUUAAAGCUCAAUCUACAAAAUCUAGAGCUCUCAACUACAUAAAUUACACUUGAUGAUCCUCUACAAGAUGAAGCUUGUUCAAUAUCUCAUCCAAAGCUUGUAAAGUAACCUUGUAACGAUCUUGAGAUUGCCUGCCUUCCUCGACGACCUGCACCAUGCGUUUGUACAAAUCAUCAUACCUGUGCACCGGAUUUUUAAUAUCAACGCCACUGCAGCUGUGAUCAAGAACAUAAGAGCGUUUAACAUCUUUUCUCCAUCGAGAAAGAAUGUAGUGAGAUGGGAUCUCCUCCAUACCACUCUGGUUUGGAACACAAAGAAUGUGUCUGCAUAAAUAUCCUCUGAAAUUGAACAACCCACAAACACAAAGCACCUCCAAGUCGGAGGCAUUGUACAAAACAUCGAAAGCCCUUGAAUCUUUCUCGUUGCUACCAACCUCAAAUUCUUCCUUCACUAUGUAUGUUAUAGGUCCAUCAGCACUGACAUGUUUUGUGCUAUAGCAAGAGUACAUAGCCUCCACCUCCGUCUGAAACUUCCUUAACAGUUCAUUUGUGUACACUUUUGAGAGUUGAAAUUCAUAGUAACAUCUUGGUUUCUGGAUACAACUUGAAUUUCUUGAAUCCAUAUCUGCCAAGGCUUCCAGUUGAUAAUUCGCCUGCAGUGCUUGAUCAUAUUUGUCUAAGUAUUCUUUCAAAGGAGUAUUCUUAUCAAGAUAUCCUUCAAAGUAUGAAGUAGAAACCUCACUCAGCAGGAAUGAAAACACUCCUGAUAAAAAUGUUUCCUUCAAAUAAACAGGAGCCCAACUUUUACGAUCCUCAUAUAAAGUUUGAAUCCAUCCAUGAUCCCUUAUUCCAUGACGUUGAAUCGUGUCCUCCCAAGCUGUCUCAAAUUCCUCAGGCCUCAGAGAGUGACAAAUUGCUCUAUGCAAUGCAGCACUAAUAGCUUCAUAUUCAAAAUAUCCUUGGAGAUUCUCUGGAAUUUUUUGCAUGACGCAUGACAAUGAAAAACAAUGAUAAGCUCUUGGGAAAACAUCGCCGACAGCAGUUUGCAAGAUCUACAUUGGUCAGUGAUGAUUGUUUGUGGAGAGCGUCCUAACAUACAUGUAAGCCACACCCUAAACAACCAUGUAUAUGAUUCGAUAGUCUCACUGGCAAGUAAACCACAGCCCAACAGCACUGAUUGUCCAUGAUGAUUCACCCCAAUGAACGAAACCAGCGUUGCAUCAUAUCUUUCUGUCAAGCAUGUAGUAUCAAUUGAUUUGAGCUAUUAACAUCAUUUCCAAAUACUCCAUUGGCAUCUACAUUACCAUUUCCCUCGGCAUCAAUGAUAAGAGUUCGAAACAGUCUAAUUUUUUUAACUUCUUCAGCACCAUCUAAGCGCAAUGUUCUUUUGGUUCCAAUACCUAUGUGCUUAUGAGACUUGUAAAACUUCCCGCUUCUUGGGCUUAACAAGUGGUUAUGCUCAAGCUCGACUUCAAUGAUUCUCCACCUUUUGGUUUCCAUCAACCUAAACUUUAUCAUUGCUGGACAGCCCGUUCUUGUUUCUGGUCUUGGGCGGUUUGCCUCGCUUUUCUUCUUGAAGCCUGCAUUACUACAGCUGAGCUUUCCUUUAUACUUUUCUCUACUCUUUCGGGACCAUGUAUUGCUAACUCUAACACCAAAACCCUGCUCCUUGGCAUAACAAUUAUAAAAGUAAUAUACGUCAUCAUACGUCUCAAACUCCAUUCCAACAGCAGGAUUCAAUGGAUUUUGGAUUAUCCCAGUUUGUCCAACAUAUUCAGUCAUCGCACAAUCUCUACGACCUCAACAUCAUCAGUGUCAUCAUCACGUACUGGUUCGGUGUUGAGAGAAACUUCAUCCAUCUACAAUGGAUGUUCAAUAAAGUGAGCUUUAAGGAGAAAAAGCAAAAUCAGUUCAAGGAAUGAUAAUAUAAUCAUACAGUUACUUUCACAAAGCUUCAUAUUUCAUAACUGCUUUACCAACAUGCUACUGCCAGAGAACAAACAGACAUGUCAUAGACGAUUGAAUUAAAUAUUGGUACAAAUGAGCACACAUCAUGUGGGACAAAAUUUCAGUCACUAAACCCAAUGCCUUUUUUUUUUUCACAUCAUACCAAGGAACGGAUUAAACCCAAUACCUUCUUUUACGCCAUACCAAAGAACAGAUUAAAUCAUCAAUGAAAAUUUAAUCAAAUAAUAAUUUAACUAGACAAUUGAAGAGCUUGAAACAGCACAAAACUUGAAUCUGAUUCUGAUAAUUGUUGAGUCCUUGUAUCCACAGCUUUCCUUCAAUGAGAAGAUUAUGAACAUAAACUACACAUAAAAAAAUUAUUUAAACUGACAGCCCAUGGUAUAAAUCAAACAAAAUUAACUCCUUUUACAAAUCACAUCUCGUAUUCAGUUACAUUGAAACACAAAAAAGGAAGCAGGAGCCGGAGAAAAACAACAACAGAGAAACUUAUUUCCAGAAGGUUUACGAAAUAAGGAAUUUAUUAAGACACAAAAUUUGAGGUCAACAAUAAGAAUUUGGUUCUCAUUCUCUUUUUCUUCAUUUUUCACUUAUUGAUGGAGUUAGCGUACAAUCCUAUAUGAUAAAACCCCAUCUCCAUCUUUUUGAACUAGAGCUAAAGCAAAGCUUUUUGAGAUGUUUUUCCCUAAAAAACUCAAUCGUACAAAGUUUUUCAAUAUUAAAUACACAACUCAAUCUUCUCCUAACUAACUCUAAUAAUCUCUUAACUAAGGAAGAUUAAGCUCCACUUGUAAGCUAAAACAAGUUUCUUAAAUCAAGCCCCAAUGCUCUAUACUAUUCAACAAGGCCUCAUAAAUGAUAAAACUACCUCUGCAAAGAUACCCAUUUUAAUUUUGCAAACUAAAAUCAAACUUCUGAAACGUAACGAGCAUUAAAACAAACAAGUCCGAACAAGAACUGAAAAAUGAUACAUAAACCCGUUUACACGUUUCGAAAAACACUUUGAAAUUCAAACGAAACAUACCUUAGGUUGAUAAAUUAGUAGCGCAAAAGAAAUUUUAGUGAGAUAUGGGAUCAGGGUUUUUGCCACUGUGAUGUUAAUUGCGACAUUGGGGUGACUCAGCAGCCUUCGAGGCUGAAACUUUGAUUGACCAAAAGUUUCCCGUUCGUUGAUUACCUAAUGUGUUCGCUGAUUUGAUAAUUCUGUUAAAAUCAUUGUUUUUUUUUCAGAUUUUUAAUGUGUUCGAUAAAAUAUCAAAAUCUCAAAAACUUUUGUCUUUCAUUUUGGGGGGAAAAACCCCAUUGAGAUCCUUAUGUUUUUUCUUAUAUAAUCUGGCUUAAUAAUUUGCAAAGUCUAUUACUUAGCACCCAUGCAUGCUGCGUUUCAAUUUACAAAAUUGUACGAGUGCAUCCAGCUAAAAUUUGUAAAAGAAAAUAACAAUAACAUGUUAAAAAUGUGAUUAUUAAGAAGAAAUUUUAAUUUAGUUAAAUAGGUGACGAUGGAUAGGUAUAAAAUCUGAGAUCUUUUAUGAGAUUAAUAAAUAUGUUGAGUUUGGAUCAGUUCAAUUUUGACAUAAUACGGAAUAAACACAACCUGCUAAUCUAAGUUAUCAUCUUUUCUCGUCAUCAGGUACCUGUUUGAAAAAUAAUUAUAUACAAUUUUAUUUGCGUUGUCUCUCUAAAAAUUUGGGACUCAAAUGUUAUUUCUAAUUGCUAAAAGUACGAAAAUGCCCCAUUUCUCUUCAGCUAAAGGAGUGCAAAGUCAUCUGUAUAAUUGAAUCUGCAUCAUCAGUUUCUAUUGCUGGUGUUACUGCAUGCUUACAGUUGCUUGACAAAGUGAGCCAGUUUUUUGUUUAUUAAUUUUUUUUCUUGUCGAGACAGUCACAAAGUAUUACUUGUUCUAUUUGAGAAUGAUGUGAAUCAAUUUUUCAAUUAUGCAUUCUGUGGUAAUUAUUGUGAAUUUAGUUUCAUUUGUCUUGUCUCCUGCAAAUUAUGAAGAAAAUGCAGACAUACAAACUUACAAUAUGUAUUUGCGUUAGUAUAAAAACAAUUGUUAGAUGAUUAAAGCGAAUUUGUUUUUUUACAGCAUUUGAUUGUAUUAGUUAAAAUCAUUUUUUAAGGAUAAAAAUAAAUAGAAAAUUAUUCUCAUGUAGUGUGGAAAUCUUUUCUAAUUUCUUGUUGACUUGUACAUUUAUUUCAGAAUUUCCAUUCAUUCUACUGUUUUAAUCUUUGACUUAGUUACCGUAGUUGACUUUUCAUAUCAAAGGCUUAAACAGCAUGCAUUUUUGAAUUGACUGAGAAUAAUUUGGUGGACAAAUUACAAGGACUUUAAAUGGUUGAAUUGACUGUGGGUUUUUCAUGCCCAAGUCACUCACGUCCUUUCAUCGAAACAAAGUGCCCGGUGCAAAUGGUGUGAUGUAAAACACCUUUUUAAAUUGUCAUUUUUUUCCUUUGCUUUUGCUUUAAUUUUCUAAAUGCUCAACGCCAUAAAUCCAUGCAUUCUUAAUUUUCGUUUGCUGUAUUGAUUCCCAACCCUCUAUGUCACAAGGUUUUGAAUGCCAGUAAUUAAGUUAAAUUAAACAUAUUUUAAGUCCUACUUUAAAUUAUUGAAAAAUGUAUUAUGGUUGAACUGAAUUUUAACUAAAAAAUAUAUACAAAAUAAAAGAUUAAUCAUAUCUUUUUAUGAGGAAGGUCAGUCAUCAUUCUGACCACAGACACUUAAAAUUAAUUGAGUGGAAUAUUGCAAAAUAUAUAUAAACCAUGCCAAAACUAGAUGUUUGAGUAAUGAAAACGAGAAUUCAUAUGACUCAGAAAUAUGGUCGCUUUCCUUUUUCUGAAAGGCAAAAAAAAAGGGGGAACCAAAAAGCACCAAAAUGAACAAAAAUGGAAGGCGAAGGUAAGCAGACAUGUUAUAUGUUUUACCUAAGAUGCCAAAUGCAACUCCCCAUUGAUGGUGAUCGAACAUUAUGGCCAUUUUCUUAGUAAACAAAAAAUGAAUUUUGAACACUCAACAACGAAACUUGAGCAGAAGAUCAAGCAAGGGCCUCGAUCUCAAAGAAGAUACUAUGAAACCCUACUUAAUGGUUAAAUAACUUUCAUUCAGCUUUGGACCCUAUUUCGUGAUACGGAAAGACAAACCUUUCUUGGCCGGCAGUGUCCCAGAUCUGGGCUUUGAUGAUCUAGAGGUUGAUGGUGACAGUUCUGGUUUGGAACUCGACGCCAAUGGUUUAUUUCGAUUCAAAGCAAAACUCAUUCUUGGUGAAUCUCGAAAGAAUCUGAGACUUGCCCACGGCCGAGUCACCGAUCACCACUACCUUGAAUACAUAGUCUAUUUUGUCAGGAAUCAUAUUCUCUCGUUGUUGAUGACGAUGAUCGGUGCCAUCACCACUCAUUUCUUCGUUCAUUCAUUCUAUGUCCAUUGAUCUUUUUGAAUUAUUGAAGACAAGUGGCUCACCGCUUUUAGUAUUGGUAAAAUUCAGAUAAUCUCUAUUCCGAAAUAAUAAUAUUCAAAAUAUCUCUUAAAUCAUUAUAAACUUCAAAUCUAUUUUAAUUUUAUUUAAAAAAUAAAAGAAAAAUAAGUUAUGUUGGUGAUUUUUUAUUAUCUUUUUAAUAAAAAUAGAAUAAAUUGAUGUUUAUAAUUAUUUAAAGUAUUUUAAAGAUUGCUAUUUUAUGAGAGAAUAAUAUUUCAUUUUUUUUUUCGUGUGAAAGACCGAAAAAGGACAAAGCAAGUUUCCCUAAUUUUUAUUUUAUGUGAAAUUGGUCAUCUCAUAUACUUUACCCUUCAACACUCUAAUUUUUUUUUAGGGAUGGCAAAAAUCCCCAAGGGGACGGGUACCCUCGGGAAUUUUCCCUAUUCGGGAAGGGUACGAGGAUAAUUUUAUACCCAAUUUUUUAUUUGGGGAGGGGACGGGGAUAAUUUUUUACCCAAUUUUUUAUUCGAGGAGGGGACGGGGAUGAGGUGGAAUCCCCAUCCCCUACCCAUUUCCCCAUUUUAAUUUUUAUUUUUAUUUUUAUUUUUAAAAUUACUAAUAAAUAAAUAACAAAAUUAUAAAUAUUGUUAAAAAUAAUAAAUAUUACAAUAUUUAUAUUAUUAAAUGCUAAUAGGUAUCCUACAUUAGCUCGAAUUGCUAGAGAUAUUUUGGCAAUUUCAAUUACAACAGUUGCUUCUGAAUCAGCUUUUAGCAGCGGUGGUAGAGUUGUGAGCCCACACCGUAACAAACUUCAUCCAAGCACAUUGGAGGCCUUAAUGUGCUGUCAAAGUUGGUUACGAGCUUACAAUAGCAGUAUGAGUUUAUUUUACAUUGUAAUUAUAUUAUACAGUUAUUAAUAUUUACACUUAUAAGUUACUUUACUUAUAUCAUUUUCAUUGUUUUAGGUUUGAAAUCUGAGGCUAUCUCUCAAUUUGCCACAUUUCUCGAGGAAGAACAGGAGGAGCAGGACGAGCAGGAGGUAAAUAGUUUUAUUAAAAAUAUUAAUUAAGUAUCUACAUUUAUUUCAUUUAUUUUAUUGUCGAUAUAAAAAUAAUUUUUUUUCUUUUUAUUGUAGGAUUAUGAAGAUUCUGACAAAGGAUAAUUUAUUUUUUUUAAUAAUUUAUAUUUUGAAUGUGACUUUGUAAUGGAUCAAUAUUAAUGUAAGAUAUAUUUUGAACUUUAUUUUUAUCUGAAUUUUUUAUUUUAAUAUGAUUAAUUUAAAAUCGAAAAUAAAAAAAAUGUAUUAGACUAUUAGUUAUUCGGGGACCGGGGACCCUCGGGGAUCCCCUGUUAUUAUUCGGGGAGGGGAUGGGGAUUCUCUCAAGCAAUUCUGACGGGGACGGGGACAUUCGCAAAAUAUCGGGGAUGGGUAUGGGGAGAUUGGUCCCCUCCCCUCCCCUCCCCAUUGCCAUCCCUAAUUUUUUUGGUUAUAAUUUUAUUAUUUUUAAGAUUUCAAUAAGUGACUGAGAUUCAAAUAAUAUCCUUUAAUUCUAUUAACAAAAAACAAAGACUCAAAUAUUUUAUGAUAAAUAAAAAUAUAAUAUUAAAAUAUAUGUGAUAAUAUACACAUUUUAAAUACUUUCAAUCCAAAAAAAUAGUUAUGUUUUACAAUCUAUUAGACAUCUUUUAUUAAAUUAAUAUAAAUUUUCUAUAAAAUAAGAAUAUAAUAUUAAAAUAAAUUCACAAAAAUUUAAAGAAUUUUGAAUGUAAAAUAAUUUUAAUAUAUUAAUACGUGAGUUUUUUUUAUUAAUAUAAAAAUUAUUUAACUUUAAGAUUUUUUAAAAUCUUUACAAUAAGUAUAACUAUAUUAUUUACAUUUUAAAAUAUUUAAAUAUUAUUAACCUACAAUUAUAUUUGCAUUUGUUAGAAAUUUUUUAAAUCAAAUAUUUUGCACUUCUAUAUUAUUAGAAUUAUUGCACACAAAUAAAGAAACAUAUACCUUUAGAAAUUGUUUUCUUUUAAAAAACAGAUGAUGAUUAGUAUAAGGAUGAAAAAAAGGAUAAAGAAUAUUAAUGAUUAACGAAAUUUCUAUACAAAUUGAUUUUAGUAGGAAAAGAGUGAGAUGAAUGAUUUCUUUUACAGUUAGAAACAUAGAUGAUGAUUAUUAUACGAAGAAAAAAGAUAAAGAAUAUUAAUUAUUAAUGGAAUCUCUAUGCAAAUUGAUUUUAGUUGGAAAAAAAAAUGAGUUAAAUGAUUUAGAGUGCGUUUGGAAUUGAGAUUGGGCAGCCAUAGAUUUUAAGUUACAACACUGAAGUGUUUGGUAAAUACUAGCUGCUGCAGAUUGAAAGUUAUGUUGAUAUGAUUUUUCACAUGUAUCAUAGAAAAUAUAUUACAUCUUUAAUAAUUUUUUAAAAAUUUAUAUUUGCUAUAUAUUAUUUUUUUUUUUAUAGUUAUAACUUUUUUUCCACAGCAGCUGUAGCUUAAAAGCCACAGUACCUUAACCUCAAACAAGUCCUUAGACAGUCAUAGUGUGUUUAUUUUUUGGAUUGGUGAAUCAAAAUUAUUGACAACGCUAACUUCAUCUUUACCGUUUGCAAUCCAACAGCAGCAAUUGUCACCAAUAAUGAUGAUGACAAUUAUUAUUAUUAUUAUUAUUAUUAUUAUCAUCAUCAUCAUCAUCAUCAUCAUCAUCAUCAUCAUCAUUAUGAUCAUCAUUAUUAUUAUCAUCAUCAUUAUUAUCAUCAUCAUUAUUAUGAUUUUUAUUAUUAUUAUCAUUAUUAUUAUUAUCAUUAUUAUUAUCAUUAUCAUUAUCAUUAUUAUUAUUAUUAUUAUUAUUAUUAUUAUUAUUAUCAUUAUUAUUAUCAUUAUUAUUAUCAUUAUUAUUAUUAUUAUCAUUAUUAUUAUCAUCAUUAUUAUUAUCAUUAUUAUUAUUAUCAUUAUUAUUAUCAUUAUUAUUAUUAUUAUUAUUAUCAUUAUUAUUAUUAUUAUUAUUAUUAUUAUCAUUAUUAUCAUUAUUAUUAUCAUUAUUAUUAUUAUUAUCAUUAUUAUCAUUAUUAUUAUUAUUAUUAUUAUCAUUAUUAUUAUCAUUAUUAAUUAAUUAAUUAAUUAAUUAAUAUAUUAAUGUUAUUAUUAUUAAGAUUAAGAUUAACAAUAAUUAUUAGUAAUAAAAUUUUUUGAAUAAAAAUAAUCACAAGAAUUAAAAUUCAAAUUAAUAUUUAUGAUAAUAGUUAAUUAAUGUCUUUUUAGUAUUUUAUAAUAAUCUAACUCAUUUUGAUUCUGAUUAUUAUAGCUUAAGUAAACAAAUUAUUAUGAUUCCUAUUCUCCUUUCCCAUUUUAACUCACUUCGAUUCCAGUCUAUUCCGAUUUCUAUAUAAUAAAUGCACCAUUAGUGCUAAAGUAAUAUUUCAUACAUAGAAAAAUAAAAACUACACCUAAGGUUAAGGGAAAGGACUUCAAAACUCUCUUUUGAUCAUAAUACAUUUUGUCCUAAUUAACUUAAAGAUUUUGAAUCUAAUAUUUUAUAAUAAAUAAAAAUAUAUUCCUAAAAUAAAUAUAAUAUCAAUAUUUAAAAUACGUUUUAAUAUUUUACAAUCUAUCAUACACAUUUUAUUAUAUUAAAGUAGAUUUUAUAAUAAAUAUAUAAAAAAAUUAGAAUAUUUAGAAUAUUAUAUAAAAUAAUUUUAAUAUAAUGCGUGAGAUAUAUUUUAUUAAUUUAAAAUGUUAUUUUACCUAAAAAAUAUGAUAAAUUAAUAAUUACAUAUUUGAAGUUAUUUCAAAUAUUAAAAAAUUUUAAUAUUAUUAGUCUUUUAGAUAGAUUAAAUUAUUUUUUUUAUAAGAGAUAGAUUAAAUUAUUUUAAAAUGCCUUAAUUGUUUUUACUUUUAACGUUACCGGCCUUUCUUUUAUUUUAUUGCAAAUUAAUGCUACCAAGAAAAGGCUAGAUCAUAUUCCACAAAAGCAAAAGUGACAAACCCAACCAGCUGGAAUCUUUUAUAAAACUACAAAUUAAAAUGGAUUUUUUUUUGAUAAAUUACAUAUGAAAGUGGAUUCUUUUGAAUAUAAGUGGGGUAGGCAGAAAUCUGAGGUCCAUAAUGCUACUUGUUUCCAAGGCUGUCAUGGGGCAAUUUGCUGGACACCUCCUCAGUUAGGUUGGCUUAAGUGUAAUGUUGAUGCCGCAACAUUUUCAGCUCAGGGAAAAGUGAGUUAUGGAGGGGUCAUUCGCAACUCUGAUGGGCUUUUUGUGGCAGCUUGCUGUGCAUCUGUCCUGGGUAGUUUUGGUGCAAGGGAUGCUGAAGCGCUUGGUGUGCGUGAGAUCCUCAGCUGGAUUAAGAAGCGACAUUUGUCUUGUGUUGUAGUAGAAUUGGACUGCAUUCAGGUUUUUAAAGCUCUCACAGCAAGCUAUUCUUGUCCUAAUGGGUAUGGUCUUAUUCUUGAUGAUUGUCUAGCUUUAGCUAAGUCUAUAGGAGAUAUUGAGUUCUCUUUUGUUCGAAGGUCUGCGAACACUGCCGCCCAUGUUACUGCUCGGGUGGGGGGUUCUUUGUCAGGCUUUGAGGAGUGGAAUCAUGUUCCACCUCCUUGGUUAUUUUCUUCUCUGUAAUCUUUGCCCUUUAAUGAAGUUUCCAGUUUCAAAAAAAAAAAAGUGGGGUAGGCUCUUUUAUUUUUUAUUUUUAAUACUGUAUAAUAGGACUGUAGACUUUUUUAUUAAACUACAAAUUGUAGUCUUUUUAAAAUUGUUCAGAUAUUUAUAAAUUGGUGGCCCCUACAAUCCUCAAUAAUUGUACCGAUAUUCACAAGUUGGUGGCCCCUACAAUUCUGUUCCGAUAAUUUAAUUGUGCAAGUGCUCAUUCACAAUCUUCCAGGUCAUGCUCUUAAUAAUUGUUUUUUUUUUCUGCAUUCCCUUUCAUGCUCUUAAUAAUUGAAGAGCAUACUUUUCAUUUUCAAAUGUGGAGCCGCAUCUAAUGUCGCUAAUUUAAUUUGGGAUUAAAUUUGGGGACCAUUAUAUUGCAGUGUGUACUAAUUUUUGUGUUUAUCUAAACUCCUUAAAUUUAAGACAUAUUAUAGCAUAAAUAAGAAUAUAACAAUAACAAAAGAGUUAGAAAGUGUAGAGAAGAUCUUGCAGAAAUAUAAAUAAUAUCUAUUUUAAAAUAAUAUCAAUAUUUAAAAUAAUUUAAAAUAUUUUAUGAUCCAUUAGAUAUAUUUUAUUAUAUUAAAAUAGAUUUUAUAAUAAAUAAAAACAUACUAUUAAAAUGAAUAUCUAGAAAAUUUAGAGUAUUUUAAGUAUUACAUAAAAUAAUUUUAAUAAAAUAUGUGAGAUAUUCAUAUUUUAUUAAUUUAAAAUACCAUUUAACCUAAAGAUUUAUUUAUGAUAAAUUAAUAAUUAUAUUUUUGAAAUUACUUCAAAUAUUAAAAAAUUAAUAUUACUAAUCUAUUAGAUAGAUUAAAUUAUAUAUAUUAUUUUCUAUUUAUAAAAAAAUUUUAAAAUUAUUUUUAAUUACUAUUCAAAAAACAUAAUGAUAAAAAAAAAUCUUAACAUCUUUAUUAAAAAUUUAAAAAUUUACACGAUCAAUUCUCUAAAUAUUUAGGGUAUAUGUGAAAAUCGGUGGAGAAGCUUUAUUUAAUAUUAUUGAUUUAAAUAAUAUGUCAAUUAAAAAUGUACAGAGAAGAAAUUUAUGAAAGAGCAAAGGAUAUUCCUGAUAGCUGAUAGAGCUCUUUUUGAUUAUGUAUUCAGUGAAUGGAUGUGUUGUUGGAAGAUAUGUGAGUGUAUUAGUUCAUUUGUGUCUGUCAAUGUGCUUUUAAUGAUUUUUCCACCUAUUUGUUGUAAAAGAUGAUUGUAAAUUGAAAUGAAUUUGAUGUAAUAUUUUCUCAUUAGUGGAAUUUCACUUGGUAUGUGUUCAAUUGUAUUGUCUAUAAUUUUGCAUUCGAAUAAGUUUCCACCUAAAAUAUUAGCACGAGUAGUAGCCCUUGAAACUUUAGUCAAAUUAUUGUUAUAAUUUCUUAGUAGGGGUAAACUUUUUAUAAAACCUCGUUAACACAAUUCUUAAUUAAUGGUGUGUUUACUUCAUGAAAUAGGGAAUGAGAAUAAAACUAAUGUUUACUUGGCAAAAUGUAAUUUGAGAAUUAGAAUAAAAUGGAUUAUAAUGAUGAAAAAAAGGACAAAGAAUAUUAAUGAUUAACGAAAUCUCUAUGCAAAUUAAUUUUAGUAGGAAAAAAGUUCGAUGAAUGAUUUCUUUUACAGCUAGAAACAUAGAUGAUGAUUAUUAUAAGGUUGAAAAAAAAAGAUAAAGAAUAUUAAUUAUUAAUGGAAUCUAUAUGCAAAUUGAUUUUAGUAGGAAAAAAGCGAGUUAAAUGAUUUAGACAUUCAUAGUGUGUUUAUUUUUUGGAUUGAUGAAUAAGAAUUAUUGACAACGCUAACUUCAUCUUCAUUGUUCGUUAUCCAACAAUAGCAAUUGUCGCCGAUAAUGAUACCUCCAAUGAUGAUGAUGAUUUUAUUAUUAUUAUUAUUAUUACUAUUGAUAAAAAUUAUUAUAAUUAAUUAAUAUAUUAAUGUUAAUAUUAUUAUUAUUAUUAAGAUUGAUAAUAAUUACUAAUAAUAAUAAUUUUUUGAAUAAAAAUAAUCACAAUAAUUAAAAUAAAAAUUAAUAAUUAUGACAAUAGUUAAUUAAUGUCUUUUUAGUAAUUUUUAAUAAUGUAACUCAUUUUGAUUUUGAUUAUUACAAUUCAAGUAAACAAAUUAUUAUGAUUCAUAUUCUCUAUUCCCAUUUCAGCUCACUCUGAUUUCAGUUCAUUUCGAUUUCUGUCUAAUAAACGCACCAUUAGUGCUAUAGUAAUAUUUCAUAUAGAGAAAAGUAAAAACUAUACCUAAGGUUAAGGGAAAUGACUUCAAAACUCUCUUUUGACCAUAAUACAUUUUGUCCUAAAUUUAACGAUUUUGAAUCUAAAAUUUUACAAUAAAUAAAAAUAUAUUCCUAAAAUAAAUAUACUAUCAAUAUUUAAAAUAUGUUUUAAUAUUUUACAAUCUAUCAGACACAUUUUAUUAAAUUAAAGUAAAUUUUAUAAUAAAUACAAACGUACUAUUAAAAUGAAUAUAUAAAAAAUUUAGAGUAUUUUGAAUAUUAUAUAUGCGUAAGAUAUAUUUUAUUAAUUUAAAAAGCUAUUUUACUUAAAAAUUUAUUUAUGAUAAAUUAAUAAUUACAUUUUUAAAAUUAUUAAAAAAAAUUAAUUUUUUUUUAUAUUAUUAAUCUUUUGAAUAGAUUAAAUUGUUCUUUAAGAGAUAGAUUAAAUUAUUUUAAAAUGCCUUAAUUGUUUUUACUUUUAACGUUACCGGCCUUUCUUAUAUUUUUUUGCAAAUUAAUGCUAACAAGAAAAAGCUAGAUCAUAUUCCACAAAAGCAAAAGUGACAAAACAACCAGCUGGAUUAUUUUAUUAAUCAACAAAUUAAAAUGGAUUUUUUUUAAAACUACGUAUGAAAGUGGAAUCUUUUGAAUAUAAGUGGGGUAGGCUCCCUUUCAAAAAAAAAAAGUGGGGUAGGCUCUUUUAUUAAAGACAAGUAUUGAGUAGUCAAGACUAACUAUGGCCAAUGGGCCGUGCCGUGCCGUGCCUACAUUUUUUUCACUUGAGCCUGGCACGGCCCACGGCACGAGCCCUCUCGUGCCGUGCUCGUGCCGUGCCGUGGGCCGUGCCCAAAAAAAGCCCACCAACUUUUUUUUUUUUUUAGCGUGCCUAAAAAAGCCCACGUGCCUAGCGUGCUUUAUUCAAGCCCACGUGCCCGACGUGCUUUUUUAAGCCCACCAACAUAAUACUAAUAAUAAUAUUCACAAUCAUAAUCAUAUUAAUUUUUAUUAAGAGAGCAAUUAACAUUUUAUUAUUAUUUUAUCACAAUUUCACAACUAUAUAUUUUAUUUCACAAUAAUCAAUCAUAAUUCAUAACACAACAAUACAUAAAUUUAAUUAAAUUUAAUUCCAUAGAUCAUAAUAAUAAUUAAUUAAAAUUAAAAAUACAAUCCUCGAAUAAUCAUUACAAUAAGUCAUAACUACGAAAUAUUAAUAUAACAAAUCAUAGAUCACAACUUACAAGUUACAACUACAAAACACGAACUACGAUCAAUUGACGAAUAACAAGCACGAAAAAAACAUUUAUUAAUCACAAUUAACUAAGUUAUGAUUUAAUAUUAAUAUGAAAAAUAUUUCAUAUGAAAAAUAUUUUAUUAUUAAUUUUGUAAAAAAAUUUAUUUUUUUAUUUAUAAUUUAUAAAUUUAUGAUAUUUAUAACCUUAUUUAUUAAAAUCAUGAUAUUUAAUUAUUUACUUAUUCAUUUAAUAAAUUAUAAACAUAAAUAAAUAAUUAAAUAAAUAUCAUAAAUAAAAUUAAAUAUCAUAAAUAACAUUAUUCAUUUAAUAAAUAUCAUAAAUAAAAUUAUGAUAUUUAUAAUUUUAUUUAUUAAAAUCAUGAUAUUUACUUAUUCAUUUAAUAAAUUAUAAACAUAAAAGAUUAGAAUAUUUAUUUAAACUAAGAUUUAAUGAUUUAAAUUAAUUUUUAAAAGUCUAUGCUAAAAAAUAUAUUAAAACAUUUAAUUUCAAGAUAUUGUACUUUAAUUUCAUAACAUUUUAUAUUUACUUUUUGUUAAAAAAAUUUACUUAGAUAUAUUUUGGCCCACGUGCUAUUAAUAGCUCACGGACCGCGUGCUAGCCCACUAAUGAACCGUGCUUAUUACGUGCUUUUUCGCGUGCCGUGCUUUGGCCCAUCUCUAAUCGUGCUGUGCUUUAAGGCCCACGUGCCUAAAAUUCUAGGCCCGGCACGGCCCACGUGCGUGCCGUGCUGUGCCUCGUGCCUCACCGAAACGUGCUCGUGCCGUGCCGUGCCGUACGGACACGUGCCGUGCCCGUGCCGUGCCACGUGCCGCCCGGCCCAUUGGCCAUCUUUAGUCAAGACGAUUAGGGUCUUUUAUUAAAGGGAGAUUGUCAAUUUUUUCUCUAUAAUAAUUAACAUAUAUUAUUAUUUUUUUUAUAAUGUCAAAAAAUUCUCUUGAUAAUAUAAAUUUAUAAUAUUACUCUUAUUUUUAACUACUCUUUUAUUUAUAUUUAUUAUAAAUUAAAUAAAUCACAUAAAUAGAACUAAAUAAAAACUUAAGCAUUAAAACCAAGAAAUAUAUGUUUUGAUAUAAAUAAUAAAAUUAAUAAUAAUUUUUUUAUACUUAUUUAUUUUGUGAAAAUUUUCUUACAAUAAAUAUAUAAGAAAAUUAUUAGUAAAAUGAUAAAAAAAUUAUUAUAAGAAAAUUUGAAUGACAAAUAAAAAUUUAUUACAAGAUAAAUAAUAAAAUGUUUUGCCUAUACUUUUACAUUUAAUUUUAAAAUAUUAUAAAAUAUUUAUUAUAAGAAAAUGUUCACAAAAUAAAUAAUUAUAAGAACAAAUUUUAUUAUUAAUUUUUUUGCUCAUAUUAAAACAUAUUUUUCUUAUUUUUAAUACUUAAUUUUUUUAUUUAGUUUAUAUUCAUAUAAUUUAUUUAAUUUAUAAUAAAUAUAAAAUAAAAAAAUUAAAAAUAAAUAUAAUAUUAUAAACUUAUACUGUUAAGGAAUUUUUAGUUAUUAUAAAAACAGAAAGAAAGUAAAUGAUAUAUGUUAAUUAAUUUAGAAAAAAUAGCAAUCCCCUUUAUUAAACUACAAAUUGUACAGGCAUUUAUAAACUGGUGGCCCCUACGGCGUCAAUUAUUGUUCCGAUACAUAUAAAUUGGUGGCCCCUUAGAAAUUUAAUUACAAGUCUGCAAGUGCCAUCAGAGAAAAAUCAUCAUUCACAAUCUUCCAAGAGAAACGGGGGAUAUACAAAGAUUAAGACAUGUCAUUCAUUGUUUUUUUUGUUGGCUGCAUGUGCAUUCCCUUUCAUGUUCUUAAUAAUUGAAGACAAGUUGUUCAUUACAUGCAUACUUUUCAAAUGUGGUGCCGCAGCUUAUGUCCUAUUUUAAUUUAGAAUUAAAUUAGGGGAAUAUUAUACGCUUAUUUUUAUGUUUAUCUAAACUCCUUAAAUUUUAGAUAGAUUAUGGCGUAAAUAAGAAUAUAACAAUAACAAAAGAGUUAGAAAGCAUAUUAAAGAUCUUUCAGAAAUAUAAAUAAUAGUGCUCAAUUAAAUAACACAGAACAUCUGAAUUGAAUAGUGAUUAUCAAGACUGUGUUACUUGCACUUCUAUUUAUAGAAAAUCUUGGUUCUGUUCCAUUAAAGUUUUUAUCUUCAAAAUCUUGUAAAGUUUUAACAAUCACAAAUGCUCAGCUUGCUUGAUCUAUAUUUGUAUGAUAUGAAUCCAAAUUUUUGUGUUCUGUUUUUCCUAAUUUUCAACACGGAUUCUUUUCUUCUUGGGCAAAUCAGAAAGAAAUGUUGUAUUAAAAAAAAUGGAAAUAACUUCAUGAGAACAAAAAUUCAAAAAAAUAAUAUAAAGUUUAUAUUUAGACUUUUGAGGUAUAUUUUAAUUUUCAACAAUGAGUUAAAGAAAAUAAAUAUCUCAAAAUAAAAUAAUAAAUAAAGUAAAUAAAAGUUUAGAGAUUUAAUUUUUUAGUAUUAGAUUCUUUAAUUUAAACAUUCUCUUAAUUAAUUAUCACUUAAAAAAGAGUUUAGUAUUAUAAUUUUAAAUUUUUUGAUUCAUUAUUGAUAUACAAAUUAGGAAUUUAAGUUUACUUUUUUUUACUAUUAUUUUUUCAAAUUUUAAAUUAUUAUUCUAAUUUAUAAAAUUUUUUUUAAAUAGAGGACUUGAGCCUAACUUGUGCAUUUUUUCCUAAGCUCUUAUGCAAGCCCUCAUGUGCGAAGGUCAGUCCAAAACCCGUGAGAAUGAGCGGCCCCGGCUUUUUUGCCAUCCAUGAGGAUAAUGAUGGUGAUGGUGAUGAUAAUGAUGAUGAUGAUGAUGAUUAUUAUUAUUAUUCUUAAUGAUAAAAAGUAUUAUAAUUAAUUAAUAUAUUAUUGUUAAUAUUGUUAUUAAUAAUAACAAUUUUUUGAAUAAAAAUAAUCACAAUAAUUAAAAUACAAAUUAAUAAUUAUAACAAUAGUUAAUUAAAGUCUUUUUAACAAUUUGUAAUAAUCUAACUUAUUAUGAUUUUAAUUAUUACAGUUUAAGUAAACAACUGAUUCUAAUUCUUAUUCUCCAUUCCCACUUCAAUUCAUUCUUAUUUCGAUUCAUUCCGAUUUCUGUUUAAUAAAUGCACCAUUAGUGCUAUAGUAAUAUUUCAUAUAGAGAAAAGUAAAAGCUACACCUAAGGUUGAGGGAAAAGACUUCAAAACUCUCUUUUGUCAUAAAACCUUUUGUUUUAGUUAACUUAAAGAUUUUGAAUCUAAUAUUUUAUAAUAAAUAAAAAUAUAUUCCUAAAAUAAAUAUAAUAAUAUCUAUUUUAAAAUAAUAUCAAUAUUUAAAGUAUGUUUUAAUAUUUUAUGAUCUAUCUGACAUAUUUUAUUAUAUUAAAGUAAAUUUUAUAAUAAAUACAAACAUAAUGAAUUUAUAAAACAUUUAGAGUAUUUUGAAUAUUAUAUAAAAUAAUUUUAAUAGAAUGCAUGAGAUAUAUUUUAUUAAUUUAAAAUGCUAUUUAACCUAAAGAUUUAUUUAAGAUAAAUUAAUAAUUAAAUUUUUUAAAUGAUUUCAAAUAUUAAAAAUUUGUAAUAUUAUUAGUCUAUUAGAUAGAUUAAAUUAUUUAAAUUAUUUUGUAUCGAUUAAAAAAAUUUUAAAGUCAAUCUUUUUAAUUACUAUUCGAAGGAUAUAAUGAUUAAAAAAAAUCUUAGUAUUUUUUUAUUAAAAAUUUAAAUAUUUACAUGACCAUUUCUAUAAAUAUUUAGGUCUCGUUUGCUAUGUUGGAUUAGAUUAGAUUGAAUUGGAUCGGAUUAGAUAAGAUAGGAUUGGACUGGAUAAUACUGGAUUAUAUAUAAUAUUAUGUUGUGUUUGUUAUGUCAUGAGAUUAACUAGUAACUAAUAAUAUGUCUUAUAUAUUAAUUUAUUAAAAUCAUCAUAGAUUUACUUUAAAAUGACAUGUAAUAUAAUAUAACUUAAAUCAAUAAUUAUUGGUAAAUUUAUAAAAAAAAUACAAAAUCUUCGCUUAAUUAUUUUUUUAAUAUUUAACAUGUUAUAGUUUCUAAUCCCAUGAAUAGUAAAAGAUAAAGUUUUAUCUUAGAAAAUGUAAUCACAAGGGUCCCCUUGGGAUGAAAUUUUGCCACUAUUGGAAUUAAGUGGUGGGCCUAUUAUUGUUACCUUUAUUUUUUUUACACUAAAUAUGAUAUAAGAAUUAUUUUACACUAAAAUUAUCUAAUCCCAUGAUAUAUAACUAAAACCAAACAGGCACUUAGGGUAUAUAUGAGCCACGGUGGAGAAGCUUUAUUUAAUAUUAUUGAUUUAAAUAAUAUCUCAUUAAAAAUGUAUUGAGAAGAAAUUUCGGUGGGUAUUUUAAUCUUUUCAGCAAUCACAUGAUUAGCCUUUGGCUUUGAAACGUCGGUCAGAAAAGUUUUAAAAUGCUUAAUUGUUUUUCACUUUUAACCUUGGUGGCCUUGAAAUUGCUUAUAUUUUAUUAAAAAUUAAUGCUAACAAGAAAAAAACUAGGUAAUAUUGGAUUCUUUUAGUAAACUACAAAUUAAAAUAGAUUUUUUCGAUAAACUACAAAUUAAAGUGGAUUCUUUUGAAUACAAGUGGGACAGACGAUUAGACUCUUUUUAUUAACGGCAAGUAAAAACUAGUCAAGAAUCGAAUAGUCCGUUUCAAAUUCUUGUUUUAUUAUUUUUCAAAACUAGUUUUUGGUAAUUACAAUCGGGUCAUUAAUCAUUAUUCAAGAUUUAGUGGCUCGUGUUUGCAAGUGUGAAUGUGCGAUGCUCUUUUUCCAAAGGCCCGAAUCGGACGUGCCUAAUAAAUCUUUUAAAAAAUUUUGCCGUAUAACGAACAGAGGUCAUUACUAAAAUUUCUCUUCCACAGUCCAUAGCAGCUUCAGUUUAUCAAACUCAAUCAAUUUUCUUCCUUAACAAAAUUCCAAAGAUGGGUAACAUUUUUCAGAUCCCAUGCGAUGGUGCUUUUUUCAAUCGUUGCUUGGAUUGCUUUCUUGGAGAAGCAGCAUACAUAAGCAACCUCCAAGAUAAUCUUGAUGCCUUGGACACUGAAUUGGGAAAACUAAUCGCAGCAAAGAACGAUGUGAUGACGGAGGUUGGCAAUGCUGAACGGCGACAAAUGAGAACGCUGGAACGAGUGCAAGAGUGGGUUUCGACGGUGGAUUCUGUUAAAACUGGAGCCGAUGAACUUAUCACAAACGGCUCUCAAGAAAUUGACAAAUUAUGUGUUGGAGGCUACUGUUCCAAGAACUGCUGGUCAAGCUACAAGUUCGGAAAACAAGUGGCUAAAAAGCUACGAGAUGUGAAGACUUUAAUCGCCGAGGGAGUUUUUGAGGCGGUGGCCACUGAGGUGGUGCCCGAGAGAGCUCCGGAACCUGUAGCAGAUAAAAGACCCAUUGAGCCAACGAUAUUAGGCUUGCAAUCACAGCUUGAACAAGUUUGGAGAUGUCUUGUAGAAGAAUCAGUGGGAAUCAUUGGCCUAUAUGGUAUGGGCGGUGUUGGUAAAACCACACUAUUGACCCAUAUCAACAAUAAAUUUCUUGAGAGUCCCACAAACUUUGAUUGUGUGAUUUGGGUCGUAGUUUCAAAAGACCUGCGACUUGAAAAAAUUCAAGAAGAUAUUGGGAAGAAGAUAGGUCUGUUUGAUGGUUCAUGGAAGAAUAAAAGUGUUGAGGAGAAAGCUGUAGACAUCUUGCGGAGAUUAGGAGAGAAGAGAUUUGUAUUGUUGUUAGAUGAUAUAUGGGAGCGGGUUGAUUUAACAGAAGUGGGCGUUCCACUUCCCAGCCCACAAAAUACUACAUCAAAAGUCGUAUUCACGACCCGUUUCAUUGAUGUUUGUGGUAGCAUGGAAAGUCACAGGAAGUUUAAAGUGGCAUGCUUAUCAGAAGAGGAUGCUUGGGAGCUGUUUCGAGAAAAAGUAGGGCAGGAAACUCUUGAGAGUGAUCAUGAGAUCGUUGAGCUAGCCCAAACUGUGGCCAAAGAGUGUGAUGGUUUGCCACUCGCACUUAUUACUAUUGGUCGAGCUAUGGCCUACAGAAAGAAAGCGGAGCAGUGGAGACGUGCAAUUGAAGCGUUAAGAAGAUCAGCUUCAGAGUUUUCAGGUUUGGGAAAAGAGGUGUAUCCUCUUUUAAAAUUCAGCUAUGAUAGUUUGCAGAAUGAUACGGUUAGAUCUUGUUUCUUGUAUUGUUGUUUAUAUCCUGAAGAUUAUGGCAUUCUUAAAUGGGACUUGAUUGAUUGUUGGUUUGGCGAGGGAUUUUUUGGGGAAUCUGACAGGUCUGGUGCAGAAAACCAAGGAUAUGACAUUUUGGACACUCUUGUUCGUGCAUGUUUAUUAGAAGAGGUGGAAGAUGAUAAAGUAAAAAUGCAUGACGUUAUUCGUGAUAUGGCUAUAUGGAUAACCUGUGAAAUUGAGAAGGAGAAGAGAAACUUUUUGGUUCGUGCAGGUGCUGGAUUAAAAGAGGCACCGGAUGUUAAAAGAUGGGAAAAUGUGAGAAGAUUGUCAUUGAUGCAAAACCAAAUUGAAACUCUGUCAGAGGUUCCUACAUGCCCUCAUCUCCUCACUUUAUUUCUUAACUUUAAUAAGGUGGAGAUGAUCGCGGAUGGCUUCUUCCAAUUUAUGCCUUCUCUCAAAGUUUUGAAGAUGUCAGACUGCGGGAAUUUAAUUUUGGAAUUACCUUUUGGGAUGUCAAAGUUGGGUUCACUGGAACUUCUCGAUAUUUCACAUACCCACAUAAAAGAGUUACCAGAAGAGUUAAAGUUGUUGGUAAAUCUGAAAUGUUUGAAUUUGAGGUGGACAGUUUGGUUAAAUAAAAUUCCACGGCAACUAAUAUCAAAUUCUUCAAGGUUACGUGUGUUGAGAAUGUUCGCUAUUGGCUGGUUCAAUUUUCAUGAAGCAUCAGAAGAAAGCGUUUUAUUUGGUGGGGGUGAAGUUUUAGUACAGGAAUUGCUCGGUUUGAAAUAUUUAGAGGUAUUGGAGUUGACCUUGGGAAGUUAUCAGGCUCUCCAAAUUCUUUUGAGCUCAAAUAAGUUAAAAAGUUGUAUUCGAUCUCUUCAACUCCGGUUGGUCAGAGAUACACCGUCAAUUAUUGAUGCUACGGCUUUCGCAGAUCUAAACCACCUCAAUGAAUUGUAUAUUUUUAAAGGUAUUGAGUUGGAAGAAUUGAAGAUUGAUUAUACGGAGAUAGUACGAAAAAGGCGGGAACCUUUUGUUUUCCGGAGCCUUCACCGUGUUAUUAUUGGGGAGUGCCAUAAAUUGAAAGAUGUGACAUUCCUCGUUUUUGCUCCAAACCUCAAGUCUCUUCGGCUAUUCGAUUGCGGUGCUAUGGAAGAAAUAAUCAGCGUCGGAAAAAUUGCUGAGACUCCUGAGAUGAUGGGACAUAUAAGCCCUUUUGAAAAUCUCCAAAGUCUUGAUUUAGACGAUUUGCCACAUUUGAAGAGCAUUUUCUGGAAGCCAUUGCCUUUCACUCAUCUGAAAAAAAUGGCGGUACUUAUGUGCGAUCAGCUUAGAAAGCCUCCACUCGAUUCCAACAGUGCAAAGGAGCGUAAAUUUGUUAUUCGUGGAUACACAGGGUGGUGGAACCGACUUCAAUGGGAGGCUGAAGCCACUCAAAUUGCUUUUCGUUCCUGUUUCCAACCUUAUUCCUGAGCCGUGGUCGCAAAAUUUGAUUUCUGGUGAGUGCGUUUGUCUUUUAAAAGAAGAAUUUAAAAGAAAUUUAUUCUUGUCGUUUGUUUUCUUCUCUUUUUAUUUCAGUUUCUUUAUCUCUCUCUCUCUCUUUGUCUUCUGCAAAUCACAAUUAAAUGUUGAAUUAAUGGAAUUAAUGCUUCAUAAAUUUGCCGGCACUGCCAUUACUUUUUUUUUUUAAUACAAAUUGAUACUUUAUUUAUAUCUUCUUAGCGAUUUAAUUUCCUGUCAAUAGACGAACGAGAAGAACAUACGACUUAAACCAAUUGAUACUUUAUUUAUGUGCGUUGUAUGUAAUAAAUAUUAAGUAUACUUUAUUUUGCCCUGUUCUCCGUUUUUAUUUCAGCCUCUCUCUCUUUCCUGUCUUCUGCAAGUCAUAAUUAAAUGUUGAAUUAUAUGGAAUUAAUGCUUUAUAAAUCUGCCUGCGCUGGCUUUUUUUUUUUUGUGGGGUCGAAUUGAUGCUCUGGUUUUCGACUAGUUUUUGUUGUCAAAAUUUUCUCUGUUUUUUUCAAAUUGAUGCUUUAUUUAUAUCUUCUUCGUGAAAAGUGAUUUAAUUUCCUGCCAAAAGACGAACGAGAAGAACAUUAGAGUCAAACUAAUGCUCACAUAAAUUUCCCGUAAGAAUAUAUAUAUAAUUAGACUGGAAUGCACACCUCUAGAUUGAACAGAAUUGAAGCUGAGAAAAUAUUGAGUAUAGUAGCCCUCUUUAAAGUUAAUUUAGAAAAAGAUAUAUUCUUGAUUAAUCCAUUUUCUGAAGUUUUUUAUUUUGUAUGGUCAAUUAUACCUUCAUACUCAAAAUUUCUGAAGUUAUAAAUUAGUGCAAAUUGACAAUUUUUACUGAUGAUAUCUUCUAUUUUUCCUUUCUUUUUUUUUACUCUCAUAGAAUGUUACUGUCAUUUUACUUACAAAUAGGUUUGACUUUGAGCCCAUGAAACGAUACUUUGAUUGCCAAACCACCGUCCAAUUUUUUUAAAAAAAGAAAAAAAAUAUGUAAUCCAUGAAUCUGGUUAAUUUUGUUUGUUUGUUUUUUUUAAUCUGUUAUACAUUUGAAACAUUCCAUUAAUUGCCAAUUAUGUAAGCGAGAUAGUAAUUAAUUUUUUUAUUUAAAAAAAAGUGAAAAUUAAUCCUAUGCAAUGUGAAUAAAUUUCUUUCCUUUUUCCUUCACUCUUUUUAUUUGAUAAUUAAGUUUCAAUCUAUGUACGCAAAAUUUCUGCAACAACUGCAAAACAUAAAAAUAUAUGAUUGUUAAGGGAAACACGCAGAAGUUCAUCACUUCAAUGUUCAGUAUUUCCAAUUUUGGCAUUAAGCUCUUACGAAUAUAUUCCACUUAGAAAGCAAAAUAUUAGAAUUGUGAUUUUAAUUCAUUCAUCAUAUCUCAUUUCAAUCCCAAAAUAUUCAAGUGGAUCCAAGUUACCAUAAGACUUCAGAGGCUCGAGCCUUAGCCAGAGAUGGUUAAUUGAUAGACUAUGUGCCUGGGUCGAGCACUGGAAGCCUGCAAUGCAGACUGAUUGAUUUAUCAGUUUGACGUGUUCCAGGAAUGAAGAACUGGAAUAUCACCCUCAAGCAAACACCCUGUGGAGCAAUACCAUAGAAUGCACAAUCCGGCUUUGCAAGGUGACACUGGAGGCUUUUUGAAAAGUGCUUCACGCUCACUUGCACUGAUUGAGCAUCCCCUCUGGAUAUUGCCCUCUCUGAUCGAGUCUGAGCACUCAAAUUUCGGUCCUCAGAUGGAGCUACAGCUUUCUCUCCAAUAACCAACAAUUUUCUAAACUCAGCACCUAGUGUGAUCAGAGUUGUUGAUAUUUGCAAAUGGAGAUCCCCAUAUUUGCAAAUGGAGACAUUUAACAAAUCACCAACAUGCUUCAUCCGGUGUACAAAAUUCUGCAGCUGAUUCAAAUCUGGAACCUGAACCAGAGUCGGAGGUAAAUCUUGAGCCAUAUCUAAAGCAGUUUGAAGUUCAAGUACUUGAGCCCUUGACAAUGGUUUUGAAAUUGGAACAUCUUGGAUUACUGCAGACUUGUACCCCUUGGUUUCAAAGGUAAGGAAAGGCAUUGCUUGAGUACAAUUUGGAGGCAGCGGAUCCAGCUGCACCAACUUCAGAGCAAAUACUGACACUACUUCGAACAGCACACUGAAGAAGUGAUAUGUCUACGGCAAAGGCAAUGCAGUCCUCAUUUUGGCUUGAGAUGCAGUAAUCAUCGAAGAGAGUUUCCUUGUGAAACUGGGCAACACAUUGAAUCCCUUUGCCACUGAGAAGGUUGUGGAGGAAGUAAGCUUUCUCUCUAGUGAGGAAGAGGUGGCAUACCUUCCCCAUUUUGUCUAGGGCAGGUAGGAAUCUUUUUUCUAAGAGAUUUACUUCAUUCUCGGUGAGAAAUGCUUUGAACUUCAUCCCUCUGUCUCUAUCCUCACUUAUCAGAAAAUAAGUUGAAAGCACUACGGAGAGAGAGAGAGAGAGAAUUAAGAUAUAUAGACAAGAAAAAUAUUAGACGGUGAUCUUACAAACUAAUACUUCAAGCAGUAUCCUAGAAAGCUAAAAACUGCAAGAUGGCUUGAAAUUUGAAAAGAGCACGUGCUUUUCCUCCUUAACUUGAGAAAAUGUUUAAUAUAGUGCACCUUACAGAAGCAUUUAAGCAAUUAGAACUAUGCACAAAAACAUCACGAAGACUAAACAAAUCAGAUGCAGUGUCUUUGUCCAAGCACAAAUUGCAUUUUGUCCUCAACUUUAAUAUUUAUUGAUGAGAAUCAAUACAGGUCCCUCAUUUGUUAUAGAAAGCUUUCUUGUAGUCUCACCAGUUAAUUCACAGGUCUAUAAUCAUCUUGCAAAGUUAAGGGCAUUUCUUUCGAUCUAAAGUCUUUGCAUCACCACCUCAUCACACGCCAAGCCAAUAUUCCAUUUACCUCUACAACAAAAAGUUUUAAGUAAACAAUCCUAAUGCACGCAGCCAAAUAAAAUGCAGUAAGAAUAUUCAACUUAAAAAUCUGAAAGCCAACUUGGUGAAUUGCCUCCUUAGGUGAAGUUCCAUGCUUUACUAUAGUUGACAGAACUCAGCAAAAGCUUCCAUACAACAGAUUUUGAAAAUGAUGAUGCCAAUAGAUACUCAUUCAAUCCAUUGAAAAUCCAAAGGUUCAUUGUUAAUAGAAGUUUACAGAGUUUUGGUCAUCAAAUAGCUCAGACCUAAUCCCAAACAAAAAACGAGUGAAAAUUAGAUCACGAGCAGCUAAUUGUAAAUUCUAACUUAACUCUUCAUCUCCUUUGUAAACAAGAAACAAAAUGAAGACACGCAAAAUGAAUAUGGAGAAAAUUUGAACUCAAAUGAAAUGAGGGCACGAAAGCAAACAAAUGGCAUGCACAAAAAAACCAAGCCUCAAUCAAAAACUAAUUAACCAUUAAGAAAAAAAUUGGUCUGAGAAUGAACUCCAAAUUCAGGAGUGAAGCAAGAAGCUUUCAUUAUUUCAGAAGCUCCUGUACAAAUUAAUAAGUUAUGCUCUUUGGAAGCAAACCUAAAUUCCAAGAGAAACAGAACCCAAAAAAUUUGCAAUUUUACGCAAAGGAAGUGAAGCACAGGAUUCUGUCACACAUAGGAAUUGUAAAACAAGAGAUCGAUAUAUCGAAUUAGAAAACUCAAUUCGAAUUUAUGUCAAAAAUCAAAAUUAGAAGAUUUCACAUUUUGAGAGGAACAAGCAACAGAUGAAGUUCAAAAUUUCAGCCAUAACAUGCUAAAAAUGCUACACUUAACGGUUCAUUUUCAUGGAUUUUCUCGGGAAACAAACAGAAAAUUACGGUUCAGAGAGUUGACUGACCUUUUGGCUUUUGAAAUUGAGAAGAUCGCGCGCCAAAUUGGAAGAGGGAAAGUGAAAGUGCGAGUUUUAAUAUGGGUAUUAGAUAAGGAAAUUUAAUUAGGUUGCGAGGGUAAAAAAGGAAAGAGAUAUCAUUAUUUUAUUAUCGAUAAUUAUUAAAUUUUUUUCCAAAAAAAAGAACAAGCAAGGAUAUUUUAUUUUCAUUACUAAGUUAAAAAAAAUUGUUUCAAAAUUACUCGAGUCAUAUCCAAUGGACCAACAAAGUAAUCGUUUUUAUUUUUAUUGAUUUUUGCAGGAAAUUAAUAACUUCUUAUUUCAUAAUCCAACUCCAGUACUAAGUUAAAAAAAAUUGUUUCAAAAUUACUUGAAUCAUAUCCAAUGGACCAACAAUGUAAUCGUUUUUAUUUUUAUUGAUUUUUGCAGGAAAUUAAUAACUUAAAAAUACUGAAAGCUAUUGUAAAAAUUUUUAUUAUCAACCUCAUAGUUUUUUUUUUUUUGGGAAGAGAAUUCAAACUUUUUUUUUUUUAAUUUCCAAGAAUUCUUGACACCCGUCUUAAUUAAAAGCUAUAUUUUAAUUCAAAAGUCAUGCUAUUCAUUCACUCACAGACCAAAGGCUUUCCGCAGCAAUAUUAUUAUUUAAAUUACAACAAAGGGGAAAUCAAAUACGUCAUACAGAAGCUUAAAGCUGAAUCUACAAAAUCUAGAGCUCGCAACUACAAAAAUUACACUUGAUGAUCCUCUACAAGAUGAAGCUUGUUCAAUAUCUCAUCCAAAGCUUGUAAAGUAACCUUGUAACGAUCUUGAGAUUGCCUGCCUUCCUCGACGACCUGCACGAUGCGUUUGUACCAAUCAUCAUACCUGUGCACCGGAUUUUUAAUAUCAACGCCACUGCAGCUGUGAUCAAGAACAUAAGAGCGUUUAACAUCUUUUCUCCAUCGAGAAAGAAUGUAGUGAGAUGGGAUCUCCUCCAUACCACUCUGGUUUAGAACACAAAGAAUGUGUCUGCAUAAAUAUCCUCUGAAAUUGAACAACCCACAAACACAAAGCACCUCCAAGUCGGAGGCAUUGUACAAAACAUCGAAAGCCCUUGAAUCUUUCUCGUUGCUACCAACCUCAAAUUCUUCCUUCACUAUGUAUGUUAUAGGUCCAUCAGCACUGACAUGUUUUGUGCUAUAGCAAAGAGUACAUAGCCUCCACCUCCGUCUGAAACUUCCUUAACAUUUCAUUUGUGUACAGUUUUGAGAGUUGAAAUUCAUAGUAACAUCUUGGUUUCUGGAUACAACUUGAAUUUCUUGAAUCCAUAUCUGCCAAGGCUUCCAGUUGAUAAUUCGCCUGCAGUGCUUGAUCAGACUUGUCUAAGAAUUCUUUCAAAGGAGUAUUCUUAUCAAGAUAUCCUUCAAAGUAUGAAGUAGAAACCUCAUUCUGCAGGAACGAAAACACUCCUGAUAAAAAAGCUUCCUUCAAAUAAAUAGGAGCCCACCUUUUACGAUCUUCAUAUAAAGUUUGAAUCCAUCCGUGAUCCUUUAUUCCAUGACGUUGAUGUUGAAAAGUCAAAAGAGUUUUGGUUGAAAAAGAAAAGUGAGUAUUAAAAAAGGCGGGAACCUUUUGUUUUCCGCAGCCUUCACCAUGUUACUAUACAAAGCUGCCAGAAGUUGAAAGAUUCGACAUUCCUUGUUUUUGCUCCAAACCUCAAGUCUCUUUCGAUGGUCAAAUGCAAUGCUAUGGAAGAAAUAAUCAGCGUCGGAAAAUUUGCUGAGACUCCUGAGAUGAUGGGACAUAUAAGCCCUUUUGAAAAUCUCCAAAUGCUUGAUUUAAUAGGUUUGCCACAUUUGAAGAGCAUCUUCUGGAAGCCAUUGCCUUUCACUCAUCUCAAAGAAAUAUAUGUGGGUUAUUGCCCUAAUCUUAAAAAGAUUCCACUCGAUUCCAACAGUGCAAAGGAGCGUAAAUUUGUUAUUCGUGGAGAAGAAGACUGGUGGAACCGACUUCAAUGGGAGGAUGAAGCCACUCAAAUUGCUUUUCGUUCCUGUUUCCAACCUCGUUCCUGAGCGGUGGUCGCAAAAUUUGAUUUCUGGUGAGCGCGUUUGUCUUUUAAAAGAAGAAUUUAAAAGAAAUUUAUUCUUAUCGUUUUCUUCUCUGUUUUUAUUUCAGUUUCUCUCUCUCUCUUUGUCUUCUGCAAAUCACAAUUAAAUGUUGAAUUAAUGGAAUUAAUGCUUCAUAAAUUUGCCGGCACUGCCAUUACUUUUUUUUUUUAAUACGAAUUGAAACUUUAUUUAUUUCUUCUUAGCGAUUUAAUUUCCUGUCAAAAGACGAGCGAGAAGAACAUAUAUAUGACUUAAAUUUUUUGUUCAAGGAUUUUUAUUUCGGGUAUUAAUAAUAGUCCACCAAAAGAGGGAACACUUGGAUGCUGCUCUAAGGGUCUCUCUAAUCAAUAGCUGGAAGCAAUUGAGAAGGCGGUCGCUACUGUGUACAAAUCCAUGCAGUAUUUGCUAUUCAUCUUAAUAAUUAUGAAGCUUUGGUAAAAUUUUCAGACAAAGUUGACAUGUUAUUUUGAGAUUUGGUUCGUGAUUUUGUAUGAAUAUCGUUGUUCCGUUUGAGUUGGAUAUGAAUUCGAGUCUAAAUAUUCUUUGGUUUUCAAUUUUGAACUCAAUUUUUUUUUUCUCAAGCAUGUUAUGCAGAAAUGAUUUUUACUAAAUCAUUUUUGAUGAAUUAUUUAAAUUAAACAAUUGGAAUCAGAAUUGUAACGAUUUAUCACAAGCAUGCUAAUAUGAUAAUUCUGAAACUAUCAUUUUUUUUUUCAAUUUGCUGCAGGGAAAGCCAAAUUUUGUAUUUUUCAGUUUUAUCUGAUAUGGAAUUUAUUUCCUCUACACUAGCUACCUAAAGAUUUAUCAAAUUGCUUCUCUUCCCUGCUUCAAAUAUCUUCAUGGCAUCAUAGGAAAAGAGAGUUUGGGUUGUAUUUAUUAUAGUUUUUAUUUUUUUUUCGUUAUAAGCAAAUUUAUUUUAAAUACUUUAGUAGUAACAGUUUUUAUUGAAUAAUAAUGGGGGAUGAUUAUUAUAUGUUCAAAUAGUUGUUAGAACAUUAUAAAAAGUCUAUUUGCUAUCAAAUGUUUUAAAUUGAUGCAACAUGAUAAUUGUCUCAUAUAAUUUUUUUAUACUAUAUAUGUCCCAUAAUCUUAACAUGAAUAAAUGAUUUUCAAUGGUUAAAUUUGACACGAUUAUUAAAUAGAUCAUAUCUAUAUUAAUUCGAUUUAAAAUCUGGUCACAUUUGGAUUUAGAGUUUCUAACAUGGUAUCUUGUUUUAUGACAUAAUUUACUAAUCAAUUAAUAGAAAAUCAAAUGUUAGUCAAUUAAAUAUGUGGUACAUUUGUCAUAUUUUAAAAAUUAUUUAUUUAUAUUUGAAAUAAAUUUGACUAGACUUUGUGCAGGUAAUACUGCAUAAUUUCUAAAAAAAUGUAAUAAAAACAUGUUAAAAUGUUAUUUUUAUGAAGAAAAAUUGGAAUUUUAUUAAAUAGGAGACACAAUAAUAAAUGGAUAAAAAUUGAGAUUAUUGAUAUAAUGAUUAAAUAGAUUGAAUUGAAGUGAGUUUCAAUUUUGAGAAGAUAAUAAGACGACGCGACACAAAUACAACCAACCAGUCAACCCAAAUUGCCACCUUUUACUAUCUUCUUUGUGUUAUUUCUCUAAAAAUUUGUGCCUUCUCUUACACUUUUAAAUCUUAAGUGUUUGAACUGGAGUACACAAAUUAUCUCUCUACAAUUCCAAAACAACCAAUUUGUAACUUGGUAAAUCUUAAUCAAUGGCAGGAAGCAAUUGAGAAGGCGGUCGCUACUGUGUACAAAGCCAUGCAGUAUUUGCUAUUCAUCUUAACAAUUGUUGAGCUUCGGUAAAUUUUCAAAUAUAGUUGACUUUUUAUUUUGAGAUUUGGUUCAUGAUUUUGUAUGAAUAUCGUUGUUCCGUUUGAGUUGGAUGUGAAUUCAAACCUAAAUAUUCUUUGGUUUUCCAUUUUGAAUUCAAUUUUUUUCCUCAAGCAUGUUAUGCAGAAAUGAUUUUUACGAAAUGAUUUUUGAUCGAUUAUUUAAAUUAAACAAUUGGAAUAAGAAUUGUAACGGUUUAUCGUAAGCAUGCUAAUAUGAUAACUUGUUUUACGAACGAUUAGUUAAUCAAUUAAUAUUAAAUUGUAUAUUAGUCAAUUAGAUAUGUGUUAUAUUUGUCAUAUUCUAAAAAUUAUUUAUUUAUAUUUCAAAUAAAUUUGACCAGAGGUUACGUAGGUAAUACUACAUAAUUUCGAAAGGAUGUAAAAAUUUAAAAUUUCAUUAAAUAGGUGACUCAACAAUAAAUGGAUUUCUGCAAGAAUUGAGAUUCUUGAGAUAAUUAUUGCAUAGGGGGAAUUUUGGUUAGUUCAAUUUUGACAUGAUAAGAAGACAACACAGCGCAGAAAACCCAAAUUGCCACUUCUACUAGUAAUAAAAGAUGAGCGAAUUGCGUGGGAUAUACUUGUUUUCCCUCAAAAUACCCAAAAUAUACCUCCACAUAUUAAAAUUGCUAGCUUUACACAUAUAUACUUAAAAAGAUCAGAGAAAAUACAAAAAUAACCUUAAUAAAAAUACUCGACUUAUUUAAUAUGCUUACUCGACUCAUUUAAUAUUCUUACUCGAUUUCUUACCGGACCAUAUACUCGACUUAGUUAAUAUGCUUACUCGACUUAUUUAAUAUUUUUAUUCGACUUAUUUAAUAUUCUUACUCGACUUCUUACCCGACCAUAUACUCGAUUUAUUUAAUAUGUUUACUCGACUCAUUUAAUAUUCUUACUCGACUUCUUACCGGACCAUAUACUCGAUUUAGUUAAUAUGCUUACUCGACUUAUUUAAUAUUCUUACUCGACUUCUUACCGGACCAUAUACUCGACUUAUUUAAUAUGCUUACUCGACUCAUGUAAUAUUCUUAUUCGACUUCUUACCCGACCAUAUACUCGACUUAUUUAAUAUGCUUACUCGACUCAUUUAAUAUUCUUACUCGACUUAUUUAAUAUUCUUACUCGACUUCUUACCCGACCAUAUACUCGACUUAUUUAAUAUGCUUACUCGACUCAUGUAAUAUUCUUACUCGACUUCUUACCCGACCAUAUACUCGACUUAUUUAAUAUGCUUACUCGACUCAUUUAAUAUUCUUACUCGACUUCUUACCCGACCAUAUACUCGACUUAGUUAAUAUUCUUACUCGACUCAUUUAAUAUUCUUAUUCGACUUCUUACCUGACCAUAUACUCGACUUCUUUAAUAUGCUUACUCGACUCAUUUAAUUUUCUUACUCGACUUCUUACCCGACCAUAUACUCGACUUAUUUAAUAUGCUUACUCGAUUCAUUUAAUAUUCUUACUCGACUUCUUACCCGACCAUAUACUCGACUUAUUUAAUAUGCUUACUCGACUCAUUUAAUAUUCUUACUCGACUUCUUACCCGACCAUAUACUCGACUUACUUAUCUCUAAUUCUUACUCGACUAAAUUCUCGAUUUACCCGACUUUGUACCCGACUUCGUACCCGACUUCUUCCUGCACUGAUUCUUCAAUCAUUCAUAACUUAAAUGUAGUCUUAAAUCCCUACAUUGAAAUAGUGUGUGUGUGCAAGCACAAAAAAUGAAUAAUGUACUACUAAAAUUCAUAAAUCAUUAGGAAGUACACUUAUAAGAAAAAUAGAGAAUGGUGAGAGAAGCCCAAAAAAGAGAAGCAAUGGGAGAAGAGAGAUGUGAAUUCUUAGUUUUUUUAAGGUUAUUUUUGACUUUUUCUAUCUUCAUAAGGUAUAUGUAUGUAAUAGGAUAUAAAUUUGGCAUUUAAGGGUAAAUUAAGGAUAUUUAAAUAAAAAACCCAUAAAAGAUACCUGUUUCAAAAGUAAUUAUAAACUAUCUUCUUUGUGUUAUUUCUCAAAACUGUUAUUUCCCUGGAGAAAAGUACGAAAUACCCACUUUCACGUUGGCAGAAGCAAAGCAAAGCUAUGAGCUAUCUCUGUAUACUUGAAACGCCAUUGCUAAACGAUUCUCGAUGAUGGGUGCCACUGGGCCAGUGUUGUCGCUGAUUUGCAUGAUUUAUUAGUUGUCCAGAUGCCAGAGAAACCAUGGUGGCAUUGAAGUUACCCAGAUGGUUAGUUUUCUGAUCAUUUUUUUAUUCAAUUAUUUAUUUUUUUUAGAAAAAUGUAAGAAAUAUGUAGAAAUGUUGACAGCUAUGAUUUUGAAACUUUGCCUAAAAUUGUUAUCAUCACUUAUUUAAAGAGAAAUCCUAGAAACAUGACAUGAUUAGUAGCCUAAUUCAAAAUUAGACAUGAUUACAACAAGAGAAAAGUGGAGAGAACUUGAUAGUCGAGUGCAUUUAGAAUUUAAUUUUUCUUUUAGCUGCCAAUCAUUAAAUUUUCGAUUUCAGAAAAUUAUACCUAGAAUAUUUCAAGGAUAUACUAUGAAGAUUAUGAAGGUUUGAUUACAUGUCACUAUCAAUUGCCCCAAUCAUUUGUAGUAAAUUAAUUGAUCAUUUUGAUGCAAAUGAUUCCCUACUAAAAAAUUCAAGUCAAGGCUGAAUUGCACAGUAGUUAGUCGCGCUUGCACUUCAAAUUAAGUAUUGUAUUUUCUGCCUGGUUUGGUUGAUUAAAGUAUGUGCAUUUGCUUAUGAAAGUUGUAGUAUAGAAAUCGAAACAUUUGUUUUUCGCUAAGCCCAGAAGCAAAGUUCUUUGUACUGUACUCAUCACUUCUCUUCGUUCUCUUCAUUGAAAUUUUAUCCAAACAGCGGUUUCUUCGAAUUUGUGCCUUCUCUUACACUUUUAAAUCUAGCAAAGAACCGUUACCUGAGAAGAUUGCCAUCAGGAAUUUCUAAAUUGAUUUCACUAUAAUACCUUAAUCUUUCAAAUACUCCUCUCACUGGGUUGCCAAUAGUACUAAAAGCCUUGGUGAAUCCUACGUGUUUGAACUGGAGUACAAAAGUUAUCUCUCCACAAUUCCAAAACAACUGAUUUGUUACUUUUCAAUGCUACACGUUCUGCGAACGUUCAGUUGUGGUUAUCUUGCUGAAAUACCAGAAAAUAGGGUUCUAUUUGGUGGUAGUGGAUUCUUGGUUGGGGAGUUGCUUAGUUUAAAACGUUUAGAUGUAUUAAGCAUCACCUUAAAAGGUUUUUCUUCUGUCCAAAAACUUAUGAGCUCCCAACAGUUUCAAAGCCGUACAAAAAUGUUUGGAGCUUAUAGACUGUGAUGAUUCAAAGUCGUUUGCCUUGGCAGAGUUGAAGCAUCUUGUAAAACUAGGUUUGUCAAAUUGUGGAAAUUUGGAAGAUAAAUUACAUUUAUAAACUGUGGAUCGCCCUUUAUAAGUAUUAGGCUUAUUCCAUACUCGAGCAAUGUGGAAUACCUUUAUAAGCAUUAAGCCUCUCCCAUACAAUUUCUGUACAUGACUCUUCUUUUUUUUUUUUUUUUGAAGACCGUUCAAAGUGGUUGAUGAUCCGUUUUGUAAUAUCAUAGAGGGAUCAUGAAUUCCUUUUCUUUUCUGUGGCUAGGCAACACUUUUGGGCCAAAGUAAGGGAAUCUAUUUUAGGUCAUGUAAAAACCAGUUGUGGGAUGUAAUAGUUUAUUAUGCACUGACAAUAACUUUUUGUAUAAUUGUCAGUUUAAUGAAUACGAGAGGAACUCUGUUGGCAAAUUCAUCCAUGAUAGAUGCUAAAAUUAUACCAGUUGCCUUAACUUAUUUUUCUCAACACUGGUAUUGAACAGGAAAAUGAAUAUGCAAUUUGUAUUUGUGCCAUUGUGGAGAAUUUGGAUAUUCUUAUUUUUAGUAACAAGGAGAGUAUUGGCCUCAUCUUUAAAAAAUGAAUCUUUGAGAAAUGAGGAGUGGGUGAUUGGCAGUGUCAGAGUGUCUUCCUGUAAAUGUUCAUUUAUUUGUAUUUUGAACUAUUAGUAGAAUCUUUAUAUGCCAAAUUAGUAAUACAAAUAUUCAGAUGAUUUUUCCUGUUGAUCAUUUCAUUCUUGAGAGCCAUGUACAAUACUAGUAUACCAGAGAAACCAAGGUAGCAUUGAAGUUGCCCCAGUGGCUAGUUUUCCGAUCAUUUUUUAUUCAAAUUUUUAUGUUUUAGAAAAAUGUAAGAAAUAUGUAGAAAUGUUGAUAGCUAUGAUUUUGAAACUUUGCCUAAAAUUGUUAUCAUCACUUAUUGUUUCUUAUUUAAAGAGAAAUCCUGGAAACGUGACAUGAUUAUUCCAUACUUGUUUUUAUAUUAUUUAUUAGCAGCCUAAUUCAAAAUUACACGUGAUUAUUUGUUACUUUUAAUGCUACAUAUUCUGGGAAUAUUCAGUUGUGGUUAUCUUGUUGAAAUACCAGAAAAUAGCGUUCUAUUUGGUGGUAGUGGAUUCUUGGUUGGUUUAAAUGUAUUAAGCAUCACCUUAGAAGGUGUUUCUGCUGUCCAAAAACUUACGAGCUCCCAAAAGUUUCAAAGCUGUGCACAACCUUUGGAGCUUAUAGACUGUAGUGAUUCAAAGUUGUUUGCCUUCACAGAGUUGAAGCAUCUUGAAAAACUAGGUUUUUCAAAUUGUGGAAAUUGGAAGAGUUUAAGUUCUGCUGUGUCGAGGAUGGAAAGGCUCGAGAAUGUUUUCGUGUGAACAGCCUCCAACGAGUUAAGAUAAAGGCUUGUCAUAAAUUGAGGGAAGUGACAUGGCUUGUAUUUGCUCUGUAUCUUGAGGUUAUUCAAAUAGACAAAUGUAUGGGGAUGGAAGUAAUAAUCAGUGCAAGGAAAUUGGGUGAAGUUCCAGAGAUGAUGGCAGAUCUAAACCCUUUGGUAAAACUCCAAUAUCUUGGCCCACGAGUUCUACCAAAAUUAAAAUGCAUCUAUUGGAAUCAAUUGCCCUCUCUACAUGUCAGGCAAAUUUUGUAUCUGAAUGUCCAAUUCUCAAGAAGCUUCCACUUGGUUUUAACAAUGCAAAGGAAUCUAAAACUAUCAUUAGGGGAGAAGAACACUGGUCGAAUGAGCUGCAAUGGGAGGACAAAGUGACCCUUAAUGUUCUUCUUCCUUGUUUCGGAUCCAUUUGAGGGCAUCAACAUGGAUUGAUACUUUGCAGUGGAGAAAUUCGAAUAAAACCUGGUAAGUGCUUUUCCAUUUAUUGCAUAUUUAUAUCUAACUUUUGUUUUCCUUUGUGGUUAAACUUUGCUCUAUAUACGUUGUUGUACGGUGACAUUCUCAUAUCAAUUAUUAGCUUUUUAAUUCUCUUCUCACAUUAACUGCCCUUUUGAUCAUGUAGGAUAUGCUGAUGUCAAAGAGUCGUAAUUUGGACUGCAAAUGUAAGAAUUAGACAGAUGACCAGUUGUUUUGAAGCGCUCGAAGAAGGAUUAAUUACGUCAUUGAAAGCCUCCAAUUUUAUGACUUUUUUUUUAAUUUGUUGUUUUUCUAUUUUUAGAUAGCUUGAUUGUUAGUUGUCGUGACGUAAUGCUUUAGUGUAGAAAAAUGAUAUUCGGCCAAGACAACAUUAGGAGGGCACCUUGUGCAUGCAUACUAGUGGAUAAUUUUGGCAUGCUAAAUCCAGUUAGGGUGGAUGACCUUUUAUAAGCAUUAGGCUUCUCUCAUACCCGAAAACAAUGUAGAAUAUGCUUAUAAGCUGUGGAUCACCCAUUAUAAGUUUUAGGCUUCUCCUAUACUCGAGCGAUGUGGAAUACCUUUAUAAGCAUUAAGCUUCUCCCGGUAUCUUUAUGUUAAAAAUAAUAAUAAUAAAAGAAAUCCAUUUUAAAAUAGACUCUUUUUGCUUUUUCUAUAUAAACAAAUGCAUUCUUCAAAUCAAUUGUGGGCAGAAGAAGUUAGUAGAAAAGAACUAGUCCCCUUUCAUUCCCCCUUAAACCUCACCAAAGCCUCUUUUGUAAGCUUUUCGGAUUUUCUUUCUAUAUUGCUUACGAUCUCAUUUUUGAUUGAAUCACUUCUUUUGCAUGCUGCAUUUUUUGUUUGUUGUAUUUGGAUAUUAUCGUAUUUGGAAUGCUGUUAUGAUUGAUGGAACAAGUAAUCGAUUUUUAGUCUGAUGGAAGUUGACUUAUUUAUUUAUUGUUAUUUUUAUUGAAAUUAUGUACAAUUGCAUUUCAUUCAUUUCUUCCCCCCUAACAUAUUUGUUAUGUAUAAUUGCGUUUCAUUUGAUAUUGAUCAUGCUGUAGAUAACCAUGUGAUUGUAGGAUGGGGAUUUCAAGUUUGUUGAAUAUUCAAGUAAGUGAAGUAACUGUCAAAAUACUAGUGAAAUUGGGAGCUUUAUUCAUGAGCUUGUGGUUUUGAAAAGUACCACAGUUCAACCGAUGAAGGUUCCUUUUUGGGGUUUGUUGAUGCGAGAUUCUGGUUAUGCUCGUCCUACGACCAGGAUAUCUGCUCGAUCAACCUCACCUCGAUCAGGAUCUCUCCUCGUAUGCUUUCUUCUCCAAGUAUCCCUGCGUUCACAGAAACGAGUCAGAGCACGCCGGUUGUUUUCUCGGCGUAAACCCUCCGACGCUCAAGUCAGAUGUGAAGGUUCUGGGAACGCUUGCCACAGAUCUUAUGGCUUUUCUAUAAUCUCAGUUCUUAGAGUUCUCUUUUCUUAGUUCCAAAAUCAAAAAUUCUAAACCUUUUACCUUCGUUGGCUACCUUUUUAUAGGCUUCCUCUGAAUCCAGAUCUUCCGCAGUCCACGCCCGCCAUUCUCCCCACUUUCGGGUGUGGACGCCCCAUUACCGCCAUUGUCGGCGAAUAGAGAUGGACCUCGUGUCUUAAUUCUCGGAUAGGAAUGCACGUCCUGCCAACUGUCGUUGACUGGGUCUCCUCGCCUCGAUGCCUAGCAGGAAUGACCUUAUGCCUCUAAUAGGAGUUCGGCCUCACGAAUGGCAUAUUCGUGGACGAGCAGAAUACUCCUGCUCGUAUUCCCCUGCUACUUGGCUCUUGCAGGAUACCCCUGCUCGCAGAACCCUGCCACCAACCACCUGCUCAUCAUGUUUGGUCGCCUCGAUAUAUUUCCCUCAAACACCGGUCCCCCAGUUUCUGGUGUUGGGUAAUGUAAUGGACCAGCAGUAGAAACUCAACGGUUCUUGCUCGCGUGGGACUGGAGAAGGCUGCCAAGAGUCGUGUCGCAUUUAAUUGCGGACGAGGUGAUGUGGCAGAAAUCUGCCCCUCUAUUUGAAUUUCAAACCAACGGUUACGAGGCCCUUGGGGUUUGGUUCCGUUAAAUGCUGGCAACCUAAGAGUCCGUCCCCUUUAUGAAACCCACCUCCUUUCGUACAACAAAUUCAUCAUCCACUCCGUCUCCGUCUCCGUCUCUCCGGCAAAGAAGUUCCGGCAUAAAGGCCUCCAUCUCUGUCUUUCACCGACUGAAAAAUUACUUCAGGUACUUCUUCUAUCUCCUUGGUCUCGAAUAGUUGUAGAUAAUUUCUCUUCUCUUUUGUUCGGGUAAUAGUUGGUGGUGGCGUUGUGGUUAGCGCUUAGGGAAUGUCGAAAGGUAAAGAGAAGGUCGUUGAGGUUGACGACGAUGAGUUGGACUUCCUGCCUGGUCUGCUCACCGAUCCUGCUUUUGACCCCGGGAUCCCCUUAGAGCCCAUCAGAUCCAGUGUUGGUACUAGCGCUAGGAGGAUGUCUCCCCAAACAACCUCCUCGAGCGGAAAUAACGAUGAAGAGGGGUCUUCUGGAUCGGAGAACACCCCGAGUGAGGGUCGAGGAGAUGAUUCUGGUGAGGUGUCCCCAUCAGGAGCGUCGCGACCAGAAGAGAGGAGUACAAUAGGAGGUAGAGCCCUAUCGCGGGAUUACGCUAUUGAUUAUAUGACGUGCACGACCACGUUUGAUGAGCUCGAUGACCUCCGGCUUAGGUAUAGUAUUCCUGGUGAAAUACCUCUUAAGGUCCCAGGAAAGAAGGAUGCUCCUAGCCGGCCUCCUAGGGGAUAUGUUACCCUAUAUCUGGAUAGCUUUAAGUAUGGGCUGAGGUGUCCCUUGCAACCUUACUUUGCCCGGAUACUUGACGGGCUGAAUCUAUCUCCUGGUCAGUUGAACCCAAACGGUUGGAGAGUGCUCUCUGGUCUGUUCAUAUUGUGGGACAGAUGUUGCCAAAGCGAGCCCACAAUUGAUGAGGUGAAGCACCUGUACCAGCUAAAGAGCAGCCCCAAAGAUGCCGGCUGGUACUACUUCCAAUCUAGCACCAAGACCAGGAAACCUAUAACCGACCUCCCUUCUGGUGGUGGUGGGAAUUGGAAGAGAAAGUUCUUUUUUGCUGGGGGUCCUUGGGGUCAGGUUGCACAAAUGGACGGGAAGGAUUAUCGGGUCCCACCCCGUUUCACAGUCCCAGGUUGCCUGCUCGCUUGAGAUGUCCUGUAUCCAUAAUUGUUCUUGCUUUAUUGGCUUGUCUCUAACCAAGUGUCUGUUUGUGUUGUAGUUUCUUGGGGUGUUCAUUUCCCGCUCCAACCUGGCCAGCUCAAACAGGUUGAGGCUGUGCUAGUCAAUUCCUGCCCGAGCCGAGAGCUGUUAACUACUUACAACUUGCUCGAGUCUCGUUUGAUACUACCUGGUCAUAAGAUGGAGGACGUUGUGAUUGGGGCUCUGAACAGGAAACGUUCUCGACCUCAAACCACGAAGAGGGACCAGAAUAAGGACGCCCUUACUGCAAAGCGGGCCAACAUCGUGCAGCAGGUCUUUCCCUUGAAGACUUUACCUCCUGCUCCUGCCAAAGUCGGGGAAACUAGUGGAGCAGCCACCGAUCCUGCUUCUUCUUCUCCUCCUGUCGGGCCGCGAUCUCGCUUACCUGAUAGCCGAGCAGAACACUUGGUCCUCUAUCUCAAUGAGUUAUCUAAGCUCGUGAGCAAGAAGGACCUGGAGGACUUUGAUGGCUGCACUCUGGGCGAGCUGGUGGGAGCCAUGCAGUAUAGUGCUUUCCAUCUCAGUUGCAUGACCACCUACUAUAAGGCCAAGGUUGGCCGUUAUGACAGGAAGAUGAAGGAGGACAUUCAGUCGGCGACGACCAGAGCUGACGUUGCUGAGAAGAAAGCAGGGGACUUAAACCUCGAGAAUCUCAAGUUGAUUGAGCGAGAAUCUCUUGCUCAAGCCAAGGCUAUUACUCUCGAGGAAGAGCUGGCCAAGGUCAAGGAAGAUCUGCAGAGGCAGAAAGCUAUGUACGAGGCUCAGCUCGAAUCUCUCCGUGAUUCCCACCGGGUUCAGGUCGAGAACUUAGAGAAGGAGGCUGACAACCAGUACGACCAGGGACUUCGGCAUUCCUAUCGUUGCAUCAUGGCCGUCCUCGGGAAGCAACACCCUGAUCUAAAGAUGGAUGACCUUGCAGUUGGUGUUGCUCAACAUAUGGAUGAGGAGGCGGCCGAGGAAGAUGCUGAAGGGGUAGAGCCGAUCGUGAUUGAGGAGGAAACCUCUCCUCCUCGUGCAGUCCCUGCUGCUGUUGGCGAGGCGAGCACCCCCCCGGACGCAACUGGUGAUACCCCCCCUGCACCUGAGGAGGUCCAGACAACCGAUGCUGCUCGGCUUACUGAUCCACCAUCUUCUUAAUAUAUUUCUUGUACUGUAAUGAACAAUUUUUGUGACGAUUAUCUCUUCUGUUAAUUACUAACAAUUAAUAAAGAUGUUUUUUAUUACUUUCUUAUGUUGUAAUCACGGCUUAUUUUCCGUUUGAGAAUCUGCUCGUCCUUGUCCGGUCGAGCAAGUUCUGGCUUGGCAUAUGGUUUUGCCACAUGCCUUAGAAAAUUCUUCGAUGUUCGAGAUUCUGCUCGCCUUCGCGCGAUCGAGCAGACCCUUCCACGCUUGACUUCAUUCUCGCCAUAAACAGGCUUUGAGACUUGACGAGCCUUUGCAUGCCUUAGAAAUUUUUUCGAUGCUUGGGGAUUCUACUCGCCUUCGCGUGGUCGAGCAGAUCCUGGCACGCUUGGCUUCUGUCUCGCCAUAAACAGGCUUUGAGACUUGACGAGCCUUUGCAUGCCUUAGAAAUUUUUUCGAUGCUUGGGGAUUCUGCUCGCCUUCGCGUGGUCGAGCAGAUCCUGGCACGCUUGGCUUCUGUCUCGCCAUAAACAGGCUUUGAGACUUGAUGAGCCUUUACAUGCCUUUGAUUCUUCAAGGACUGGGAUUCUGCUCGCCUUCUCGUGGUCGAGCAGAUCCUGGCACGCUUGGCUUCUGUCUCGCCAUAAAUAGGCUUUGAGACUUGAUGAGCCUUUGCAUGCCUUUGAUUCUUCAAGGACUGGGAUUCUGCUCGCCUUCUCGUGGUCAAGCAGAUCCUGGCACGCUUGGCUUCUGUCUCGCCAUAAAACAGGCUUUGAGACUUGAUGAGCCUUUGCAUGCCUUUGAUUCUUCAAGGACUGGGAUUCUGCUCGCCUUCUCGUGGUCAAGCAGAUCCUGGCACGCUUGGCUUCUGUCUCGCCAUAAAACAGGUUUGAGACUUGAUGAGCCUUUGCAUGCCUUUGAUUCUUCAAGGACUGGGAUUCUGCUCGCCUUCUCGUGGUCAAGCAGAUCCUGGCACGCUUGGCUUCUGUCUCGCCAUAAAACAGGCUUUGAGACUUGAUGAGCCUUUGCAUGUCUUUGAUUCUUCAAGGACUGGGAUUCUGCUCGCCUUCUCGUGGUCGAGCAGAUCCUGGCACGCUUGGCUUCUGUCUCGCCAUAAACAGGCUUUGAGACUUGAUGAGCCUUUGCAUGCCUUUGAUUCUUCAAGGACUGGGAUUCUGCUCGCCUUCUCGUAGUUGAGCAGAUCCUGGCACGCUUGGCUUCUGUCUCGCCAUAAAACAGGCUUUGAGACUUGAUGAGCCUUUGCAUGCCUUAGAAAAUUUUCACAGUUUCAAGCGAAUGAAAUUCCUCAUUGAUUUAUUAUUGAGUUCGGCUUACAUGAGGUUGCUUUGAAAUAAGAAAUCAAAAAUAGAAAACAACGGACACGAACAGAAAAAAAAAACUUUAAAACAUGAAUAAGUCUUACUAGAAAUAUUUCCUGAGGUGUGCCGCGCUCCAGGGGCGUUUCACCUCGUGGCCCUCCGUGCGAACCAACUUGUAAACUCCGGGUCCAACUAGCUGCCAUUCCCGGCUUCCACUCGGGUAUCAAGGUAUGUUAUCUGCAUUGCUUCCCUUGCUGCCGAGGAGUAACAGCUUCGUGCGAUUCUCUGGUCUCCUCGUACCACUCCAACUACCCCAUUCACCCGGUACUUGAGAGCCAGAUAAUGGUUGGACAGCACCGCUUUGCUGAUCCUCAGAAAUGGCCGGCCUAGGAUCAUCUGAUAAGGACCUUCCUCAUCCACUACCACAAAGUCCAGUAUCAUUGUCCUUUCUGUCGGGGAGCUCCCAAUCGUGAUAGGCAGCUCGACCACGCCCAGAGGGACCAGCUUUCCUCCUCCAAACCCCUUCAAGGAGGUAUUGGUGUACUCCAACUUCCGGUCUGCUAUUCCCAUCUCUUCCAAGGUUGACUUAAAUAACACAUCAACUGAACUCCCUGUAUCAACCAGUAUCCGGUCACACUUCUUGCUAGCGACAGUAGCCUUGAUGACUAAAGCAUCCUCGUGGGGGUAUAGAAUUCCUUCCUCAUCUUCAUCCGUCCACAUGAUUGGCACUUGCCUGACCCUUGCUCGUUUGGCUGCUGGGGUGUUGAAGAAUACCUCUUUACUAGUCAUGGCGUAUCUAGCAUAGUUCUUCCUAGAUCUGUUGGAAUCUCCAGCCAAUGUCGGGCCCCCAGCAAUCACCCUUACUGUAGGCUGCUCGUGCCUCAAAUUUCUGCCACUCUGGUCCCCUUCACAUGUCGAGGCCACCAUCGGGAAAGUCCCAUCUACAAACUCGUCCAGGUACCGAUUUCUCACCAAAUCUUCAACUUGGGUCUUGAGAUCUUUGCAUUCUGCGGUGGUAUGGCCAUGAGUGCCAUGGAACUUACAAUGACGUCCCCUAUCCCUCCUGCCGGGUAGCUUUGUUAUUGGGGCAGGGAGGUACAUCGAUCCUUGGUCCUUUAUGGCCUCGUAUACUUCGUCCAGGGACAUCUUCAAGGAAGUGUAUCGCCCAUACUCCUGGUUCUGGUCAAUCAGGUGCACUGCUCUUUCUCUGUUUGCUCCGUUCUGAGUUGGGUGCGGUGGCAGUACCUCUGGUCUGCUCCCUCUGCUACCGUGGGAGUGUUGAUGACCACCAUAUGAUGAAUCGUGCCUUCUCCAAGGCUCCCUAGCUGGGGAGCGAGGAGGCUGCGCCCUGCUGCGCUGAUACUGUGGUGGCCUCUGAUGAGGCUGGUAAGCAAUUACCCGACCUCCUGCUCCACUAUCCGAGGCCUGGUGGUCCCUCCUCCUGAUCGGCCCAUUCCCCGGUAAUGCUUUCUUCUCUUUCCUCCCCAACCCUUCUAACUGGUCUAUCUUAAUGCGUGCUGCCUUCUCCUCUUCGAUCUCAAUAUCUCUCUUAGCCUGCUCGUAUGCGGCCGCAUACGUCUGGAUAGCUGGGCUUCUCAAGUUGUACCACAGCCUUCCUAUCUUCACUCCUUCUUUCAAUCCCCUUAACGCCUGAGGGUGGUUGAAGGCUCCCAAGUCGAGGACAGCACGAUGAAACCUCUUGAUGAAUUCCCGAAGGGUUUCUUGCUCCCCUUGUUUCAUGCUUUUCAGCUCCAUCAUGUCAUCUUCUGGUGCCAUUGCCCCACUAAAUUGCUCUGCGAAUUCCUGGCACAUCUGCUCGAAGGUUUUAAUGCUGCCCCGAGGAAGUUUCCUGUACCACUCGCGUGCACAUCCCUCCAGGGAUAGUGGGAACACCCUGCACCUUUGAGGCUGAGAUAAUCCUUGUACCCCCGUUAUGUCAUUGAAGCGUUCUAUGUGCACCAGCGGAUCAGUUCGUCCCGAAUAUCUAAGGUCCGGGAGACGGAAAUCUCUCGGAAUAACUGCCCUCAUGAUAUCUGCUGCGAGCGGUGACUCUCCGUCCAGCAUUAUCCUCCAACCAGGAGCUCUGCUCCUUCCUUGCAUAUCGUCAAUUAUCUGCGCUAGUCUGCGCACUUCCUCCUCCAGCUGCACCGCACGACCAGGGUCACGUGCUGUAACUUGAUCCCUCUCUUGCUCUACAUCAUGCAAGUGUUGCCUCAACUCUGUUUCUUUUGCAUUCGCCACCCCAUCGUCCUCGUAAAAAAUCUGUCUUGCCGGGGAUUGCUCUUCGUCUCUAUGGAAUUCUCCCCGCAGAGGUAUGUUACCUCUCUCACCACCAAGUCUCCCGGUGGUUUGACUUCUCCUUGUACCAUCGGGACCUGGUGCCACUCCACCACCUCUCACCAUUUCCUCCUGAGUUACCCUUCGUUCACUCCGCAACUCAUGCAUGAUGGUUGUCAAGGUCUCCAUCUGCUUUUCCAUCCGUUCCAUUCGGUCGAACAUGGCUUUUUCCCUGGCUUCGCUGGCUAUCUCCCUCAGCAUCACGGAAUCGUUCAGCCUCAUAUCACCCCCUUGUGCACUACUUCCUCCUGUCUCCAUUACUUUUCACUUGCUUCACUCCUCUUCUUGCUAUCAACAUAAGCUUUUUGCUCAGUUCCCCACAGACGGCGCCAAAAUAUUGAUGCGAGAUUCUGGUUAUGCUCGUCCUACGACCAGGAUAUCUGCUCGAUCAACCUCACCUCGAUCAGGAUCUCUCCUCGUAUGCUUUCUUCUCCAAGUAUCCCUGCGUUCACAGAAACGAGUCAGAGCACGCCGGUUGUUUUCCCGGCGUAAACCCUCCGACGCUCAAGUCAGAUGUGAAGGUUCUGGGAAUGCUUGCCACAGAUCUUAUGGCUUUUCUAUAAUCUCAGUUCUUAGAGUUCUCUUUUCUUAGUUCCAAAAUCAAAAAUUCUAAACCUUUUACCUUCGUUGGCUACCUUUUUAUAGGCUUCCUCUGAAUCCAGAUCUUCCACAGUCCACGCCCGCCAUUCUCCCCACUCUCGGGUGUGGACGCCCCAUUACCGCCAUUGUCGGCGAAUAGAGAUGGACCUCGUGUCUUAAUUCUCGGAUAGGAAUGCACGUCCUGCCAACUGUCGUUGACUGGGUCUCCUCGCCUCGAUGCCUAGCAGGAAUGACUUUAUGCCUCUAAUAGGAGUUCGGCCUCAUGAAUGGCAUAUUCGUGGACGAGCAAAAUACUCCUGCUCGUAUUCCCCUGCUACUUGGCUCUUGUAGGAUACCCCUGCUCGCAGAACCCUGCCACCAACCACCUGCUCAUCAUGUUUGGUCGCCUCGAUAUAUUUCCCUCAAACAGGGUUCUUCUUUUUCUAGGCUGCAAUUAGGAUAUGUACAUGUUAGACAAUCUUUUGUGGGUUUAGCAUAUCUUCUCUGAUUUUGUCUUUUAUUCCCCAAUCUUGUAAUUACACACCAUGAAUGUUGAGUGAUUGUAUAGAUAAUUUAUGUUAGAACCAAAGCAUUGUGAAGGAGUUAAGUUAGUGGCUUCUGUUUUUUUGGCAUUGAUUGGGUAGAUUAUGUGUUACAGUGAUUCAAUUUGUGAUCCAAACUUUGCUUUAAUUUCUGUUUUCCCUAAUUAUUUAUGUCAAAUUUAAAUCCAGAAGCAUGUGCUGAUUUUUUCUUUUUGUAUUAAUCUGUGAAGUUUAUUUGGAAUGGAAGUAUCUGGGUUGGGUCUAACGGAUUAAAUUAUGACAUUGGGGGGAAGGCAGUAAAGGGUUUGCUUGACACAUUUGGUUCUGUGUUUACUUUGCAAGAAAUAGCUUUUGGUUCUCGCAAUGCUGGGGGAAAUCCCGAUUUGGCCAGUGAAUUUCUUUGUGACAAAUAGGCGAACACAUCAACCUCUUCUAUCCAUCCUUCUACUCGUAAGGCAAGGGGUAAAGAGUCUUCAAAAUCAUCAAAUAGUAACAUCUCUGAGAAUUCAUUUUAUGCAAAUGGAAAAUCUUGACCUUCUAAGACAAAAUGGCGUCCUGUAUCAGGAGGUACCGUUUCAAGUUUUCUUGGUAAAAAUUAUGUUAAACCUGCACAGCCAGCUAAUGGCACAUUUCUAGUAUCAAAGCCAUUGAAGUUGGAUCCAAAGGGGUUUCCCAUGUCUCCACUUUUGUGGAGAAGAUACUAAACUGAAACAAUCAAAGGAUGACCAUUUGCAGAAGGAUAUUGAAGAUUUUCUGUUUAAAUUGCUAGGAGAAGUGUUCCAAUUUAAUACAUAUUGUCCUUUUCAAUGUUCUUUCUUUCUUUCUCUUCUUUUCUUCUUCUUCUUCUUUUUUCUUUUUGUGUGCGUGUGAUCACUAAUUUGGUAUUGUAGUUAAGUUGCAGAUAGUUGUGGAUAUGAUAUGCAAAAGGCAAGGACUAUAUCUUCCUGAUGGAGGCCUCUGCUUUUUCCUUUAUGUGUAAUUUAAUAAAUUGCAUCUUCCUUUCCGAUUGUUAGAUCAUAUCAAAGACAAGUCUUAAAUACUGCUGUCAUAUGUUAAGGUUCAACUUGCAGUUUGAUUAACAUUCAUGGCUCAAAGGCCUGCAAAAACUUGCCAGUAAUUGUAAAAUGACAUUCUUUGCUUUUAAUGCAAUAGAGGGAACAGGGAAGUAUAGCUUUGGAAGCCUGGAUUGGUAACUAUAGAGAGACUUAGUAUUUAAUUGAUAAAAAUUCCCAUAACCCAAGGGUCAAGAAAAUUUUAGAUCGUUAAAGACUUCAUUUUGUUUCGGCCAGAAAUGUUUGUUUCGAUCGAAGACUUGAACCAUUUUCAUUGAACCUGAUUAUGAUGCUUUACGUUAUGCAUGUUCCUCUUAAUCAAGAAAAGUUGAGGUGAUGAUUUUAUAUUUCUAUAUUGUAAGUUGAAAUAAUAAUUGGUCUGCUUGUUUCUGUAGCUUGAUAACAUGAAUUUUCCUUCUCAAGUUAAUUUAAUCAAUAAAGUAAUUCUUCAAAGAAAAUAUGCCCAUUCUAUAAUCAUUUUCUUAACUAACAUGUUUUUUUCUUCACUCUUCAGAGCAUGUUGAAACUAAUUGUUUCGGCAGAGACUUUGGGUGAGAAGACAAAAUUUCUCGGUAAAUCCUCUGAAAAGGUAUGCAUAAUUCCGGAGUAUUAAAUAACCAAUGGUCAUAAUUUUUGUACAGGACUCUUUUCUUGUGGAGAUGAUUAAAAGUGGCUGAUGAUCCAGUUUGUAUAUCAUAGAGAGCAUCAAUUCCUUUUCUUUUCAGUGGCUAGGCAACACUUUCAGGGCAAAGUAAGGAAAUCUAUUUUAGGCAAUGUAAAAACCAAUGGUAGGAUGUAAUAGUUUAACAUGCACUGACAAUAACUUUUUGUAUAAUUGUCAGUUGAACGAAUACAAGAGGAACUCUGUUGACAAUUCAUCCAAGAUAGAUGCUAAAAUUAUUUAUGCAUGCCAGUUGCCUUAACUAAUUUUUCUUGACACUGGUAUUGAAGAGGAAAAUGGAUAUGCAAUUUGUAUAUUGUGCCAUGUGGAGAAUUUGGAUAUUCCUAUCUAAGUAACAAGGAGAGUAUUUGCCUCAUCUUUAGACAAUGAAUCUUUGAGAAAUUAGGAGUGGGUGAUUGGCAGUGUCUUCAUGUAAAUGUUCAUUUGUUUGUAUUUUGAACUAUUAUGAGAAUCUUUUAUAUGCCAAAUUAGUAAUGCAAAUGUUCAGAUUAUUUUUUCUGUUGAUCGUGCAUUUGUGUCUGCAAACAACCAUUGUAUAUCACUUCAUUCUGAUGUGCAAGUCUCUGUAGUUUAGAAGAAAAGAAAUAAUAAUGAUAUAUUAUUGCUUGAUUCAUGAUUAUUAAAUGAUUAUGGCUUUAAAAAGCCUACAAAUUCCUUCUGUUGAUAUAUGAAUGUACCAAGUUUGCUAUAUCUUAGAUUACCAUUUCCAAGAUUACAAGUUCAAAUUUUUUCUUUAUCCUUUUCCAUCACAGUUGCAUUUUAAGUGUAAGAUUUGUUAUUAAUACCUGGUUUCCCGUCAUUAUGAUUUCAUAAACAGUGUAUGGGUAUGUGCUCUACUUUUGGAGGGCCUCCACGUGAAAGAAAAAUUGCAACAAUUGAAUUCUUCCAGAUUGUAUGGUAUUUAAUUUAUUUUCUCAACCUCUUGUAAGACUAAUAUAUUUUCCUUCAGUAGACACGGCAUGGUGGGAAGGGUUUUUUAUUGAAAGAAUUCUGAUAUUUCUUAGACUUUGUUUUGGAAGGGGGUGCAGGGGUUUCUCAUCCAUAUAUGGUUACUUGAUUAGCUUUUGACUGUAUUGCCUUAAUCAUGCAAAGGAAGAUCCAAAUACAAACGAAGGAGAAUUGUUUAGACACCCAGAAGAUGGAAAUGAACUACAGAAGGAAGUUUUUGCUGCUUUAUUUAGUGCUCCUGAGAAAUCUGAUGAAUUUCCUGAAAUUACGGUGAAGACCAAGUGUGAGGUCCAAAGCAUUAGGAAAGGUGGUGAGUGAACUGCCGGAGGAAUUGGUACAGAAUACAAGGCUAAUGUGGUGGACUUGCAGCAAGAUAACCGAAACAGUCCGUGCUCUUAUAUUAACUAUAUUGACUGGAUUUGCUAGUGUGUAUAUUUUUGUGUGUAUACUCACUUUUGUAUUUAUGCAUAUUAACGUGUGUAGGAUUCUUGAUUUCUGCCACUUACUGGAGAACUAGUGGAAAGCUUUAUACUGAUAUAUGUGCUAUAACUAAUGGAAACUAUGAUAUUAAUAUUUUCUCUCGCUUGGAGAACUGCAUAACAUAUAUACUUUGUGGCUCUGGAAUACUAAAGAUUCUGCAAUAACUAAUGGAAACUAUGAUAUGAAUAUUUUCUCUCACCUGGAGAACUUUGUAACAGUUACACUUUGGGGCUUGGAAUGUCUAAAGAAUUUUGUCUGCUUCAGUUAGAUCAAAUAUCUUUUAGUUGCAUACAUUAUAGAAAAGAUAAAGUUCUCUGAAUCUGAACGACUUAAAAUUUUGCGCAUUUCUUGAAAGGGAAAUAUCUGUAGAUACUAGUUCAUGCAUUGUGGUAGCAUCAGUGUUAAAGAAAAACAGCAGUAAGUUAUUAUAUAGAAUUAGGUUGACUUGCUUUAAAUCCUGGUCUGGUCAACCAUAUGAACCUGUAAGUGGUUCUGUAGAAAUAUAUAUAUAUACGGGGAGAAAGUAGCUAAAUUUUCCUUUCAUUUAUGGGUUUGGUCAUUUUUUCCCCUUAUUUAUGUUUUCUCACACAUUUUUUAAAUGCCCCAGACAUGCAAUUUUGUAUGUGUCAAUUGCCUUUUAAGUUUUAAAAACCAUAAAGUAAGAAUACAGUUUCUUGUCAGGCUAUUGAUGCAUUUGCUCGGGGGGAUCAUGCUCGAGCAGGAAAACUUCUAGAACAGGUAAGGUUUCCAUCUACAGCCAUUUAUUGACAACAUAUAUAUUUUCAUUCAGCAAGCACUGUUAGCAUUCAAGAUGCUGGCAGAUUCACUUGAUUCUUAUUAGUUUGUUUAGUAGCAAAGCAUAUAACCUGUAUUUCAAAGCUAAGUUGUGCUAUUGAUUAUGUUAACUUUAUUGUUCACAUAAAGUGAUAUAGAGGAAAUAAUCAAUGUAGGAAAAUUAGGUGAAGAGAUGAUGUCAAAUCUUGAACCUCUUACAAAACUCUAAGCUCUUUACUUGAAGAAGCUACCAAAUUCGAACAGCAUGUACUGGAAGGCCUUGCCAUUCCCUGAUGCAUGCAGAAUUUUUGUAUUUAAAUGCCCAGAGCUUAAGAAGCUGCCACUGGAUCUUGAAAGGGCAGGCCAAGGUAAAAUUCUUAUGAAGGGAAAGAAAGAUUGGUGGAAACAAACUUCAAUGGGAGGAUCAAGUAACUCAGAAUGCAUUGCUUCCAUUUUUAAAAUCAACCAACAAGUGAUUGAAGGGGGCAUCAUCAACAUGGAUGGAGAGAUUCUGGAGCAGAUCAGCGGGGUUUAGUACGACCUGUGGUGGUUGCUUUUUUGUGACUUUUUUCCCUUUCAUUUUUUCACUCCCUGUCAUAUUAUCAUUUCUUUGUCUCUGUUUCUAUUGCUGGUGUUGCUGCAUGCUUGCUGUCCUUGACAAAGUUAGCUAGUUUUUUUGUUUAUUAAAUUUUGUAUGUUCGGGACAGUCACAAAGUACUACUUGUUCUAUAAGGGGGUGAUGUGAAUCCACUUUUCAAUUAUAUAUUCUGUGGUAAUUGUGAAUUCAAUUCAUUUGUCUCCAGCAAAUUAUGAAGAAAGUGCAGAGUUACAAUAUGGAAAAGUUCACUGGCAAAUACUUUGUAAAAGCUUCGGAGUGAAACAGGGAAUGCACUGGCAACUAAGGACAAAUUGGUGGCCAGCUAAUGCAUUCAUUUUAUGUACAUUCCUCUUUUUAAUUAUUGAAGAUAAGUGGUUCGUUGCUUUUGUUGUAGAUAAAAUUCAGACGACCUCAAUUGUGAGAUGACAAUAUUUAAAAUAUCUCUUAAAUUAUUAUAAACUUUAAUUUAUCUUAAUUUUAUUUAAAAGAUAAAAGAAAAAUGUGGUAUAUGGAUAAAUUUUUUUUUAUCUUCUUAAUAAAAUGAAAUAAAUUAAAAUUUAUAAUAAUUUAUAAUAUUUUAAAAAUUAUUAUUUCAUAAGAGAUUAAUAUGAAAUUAAUCCUUUUUACUUUUUGAAUGUGAAAGGACAGGAAAAGAGAAAGCAAGUGUCACUGCUUUUUAUUUUAUUUGAAAUCGGAGUUAUCCCAUAUACUUUACUACUUUAGCUCUAACAUUACAAUGUUUUUAGGCUACACUUUUAUUUUUCUUUUUCCCCCUUUUUUUAUACAUGCAUGUGGAUUACUUUCCUCUAAGCGCCUUAAUAUUUAAGACAAAUCAUAAAAGCGAUUGAAGUAUAACCAGAUGAUCAAAACAUUUAACCCAAAAAAAAAAAGAAAUAAAACAUUGAAAAUGGAGAUGUUGAUUAAUUUAGAAGAGAUGCAAGUAAAAGAUAUUCCCAAAAAAAAGAAAAAAAGAAAAAAGCAACGUUAGUUCAUCCAUGUCUGUCAAUGCGUUUUUUAUGGUUUUUUUUCCAGUUGUUUGUUGUAAUAGAUUGAUUGUAAAUUGAUAUGAACUUGAUGUUGUAAUAUGUUCCCUUUUGUGGAAUUAAAUUUGAAUAUUCAAGAUUAUUCAAGUCUUAUUUAGUAUGUGUUUAGUUGUGUUGUCGAUAACUUUGCAUUCGAAUAAGUUUUCACCUAAAAUAUUAGCAUGAGUAGUAGUCCUUGAAACUUUGGUCAAAAUUAUUGUUAUUGUUUCUUUUAGAGGAAAUUUUUUUAUUAAAGCCUCGUUAACACUAUUUCUUAUUAAGAUUAUAAGUUAGUGUCGGUGUAGGAUUUGCAACGACAAAUCCUGUCUAGCCACGUGUCAAAAGUACAAAUAAAUCAAGGGAAAGCACAUGUCGCGGAUUAGGAUCCAAUAAAAUUUAAAUCCCAAGGAAAAGGACAACUGUAUCCUAAAGUUUCAAUAAGAGAUACUGAUAUAUCUUUUGACUAAUGUUAUUUUUUGGCUUCAUUAAUAAAAAGAUCCAAUAGUUUAUAACAAAUAAAAAUAUAGCAUUAAGCUAAAUGUGAUAAUAUAUACAUUUUACAUAAUUUCAAUAAAAAAACAUUUUAAUGUUUUACGAUCUAUCAGACAUAUUUUAUUAAAUUAAUAGGAAUUUUCUGAUAAAUAGCAACAUAAUAUUAAAAUAAAUUUAUAAAGAUUUAAAUGUAAAAUAAUUUUAGUAUAAUUAAUACAUGGGAUAUAUUUUGUAAAUUAUAAAAUUACUUAACCCAAUGAUUUUUAAAAAUCUUUAAAAUAAAUAAAAAUAAAUUAUUCACAUUUUGAUGUAAAUAUUUAAAACAUUUUUAUACAUUAGUCCACAAUUAUUUAUGUUAUAUUUGUAUUUAUUAGAAAUUUUGAAAGUGAAAUGUUUUUCACCUCUAUCUUAUUAGAAUUAUUGCACACAGAGAAAGAGCCAUAUAUGCUUUAUAGCUUUAAAAUCGGUUUGUUUUAUAGCUGGGAACAGAGAUGAUCAUUAUUAUAAGGAUUAAAAAAAGAUAAAGAAUAUUAAUGAUUAACGAAAUCUUUAUGGAAAUUGAAUUUAGUAAGAAAAAAUUGAGCUGAUUUUAGUGGUAUAGUCAUAUUUUAUAUAGAGAAAAGUAAAAGUUGCACCCCGAAAUGUUCAAAACUCUUUUUUAAUAAUAAUAUCCUUUUUUCUAGAUAACUUAAAAAUUUGACUCUAAUAUUUUAUAAUAAAUAAAAACAUAUAAUCCUAAAAUAAAUAAAAUAAUAUAUAUUUUAAAAUAAUCUCAAUAUUUAAAAUAUAUUUUAACAUUUUAUAGUCUAUCAUAUAUAUUUUAUUUUUUUAAAGUAAAUUUUAUAAUAAAUACCAACAUACUAUUAAAAAAGAUAUAUAAAAAAUUUAAAAUAUUUUGAAUAUUAUAUAAAAUAACUUUAAUAUUGUUAAUAUGUGAGAUAUAUUUUAUUAAUUAAAAAUUCUAUUUAACCCAAAGAUUUAUUUAAGAUAAAUUAAUAAUUAUAUUUUUGAAAUUAUUUCAAAUAUUAAAAAAUAUUUUAAUAUUACUAACUAUUAGAUAGACUAAACUAUUUAUAUUAUUUUAUAUUUAUUAUAAAAUUUCAAAGUUAAUCUUUUUAACUACUAUUCAAAAGAUAUUAUGAUAAAAACAGAAUUUUUGUGUUUUUAUUGACAAUUUGGAGUUUACAUCUAUUUUUUUCAAAUAUUCGGGGUGUAAAUGUUUUUUCCCUUUUAUAUAUACGAACGGUGGUGAGAAAGCUUGAUUUAACGUUAUUUAUUUAAAUAAAAUCUCAGUUAAAAAUGUACAGAGAAGAAAUUUCUGUUGGUAUUUUAGUCUUUUACCAAUUAUCACGAUUAGGCCUUGGCCUUGAAACAUUAAUUGUUUCACUUUUAGCGCUAGUGGCGUUGAAAGUUGUCAAGAAAAAAGCAAGACCAUAUUCCACAAAAGCAAAAGUAACGUUGGCUCUUUUAUUAAAGGCAAAGUAUAAAGUAGUCAAGAAUCGAAUAUCCUGUCGUCUACUCUUUUUUAAAUUCUUCUUUUAUUAUCUUUUAGAAUAGUUUUUGGUAAUUACAAUCAUUAUUCAGAGUUAUUGUUAUCUUCCGGGGCAGUCUCUGUUCAUCGAACUCGUUACCCUUUUUUAUAGAUUAGUUCCAGUGGUCAGCAGUAAUUUUCUUAGAACUCGGAUCUUUAAUUCGAGUUUCUGUGUGAAUUAAUAAUAAAAAAUUUCAUUACACGCAAUUUAAGCUACGAAUUACUUUUUGCAAAGUUGAAUAUGAAAUUGGAGAAAUUAAGUAAUUUAGAAUGUUGGUAAAAAUUGACGAACAUAUCUCCAAUUACAGUAAAACCUCUCUACAGUCAUAACAUUAUAAUAAAAUUAAUUUUAUUACUAUGUUGAGGUAAUAUAGGUUUAGUUACAAAAUUAUUGUUUUAAUAUGGUUAGUGUCAAGUGAUAUAAAGGUUAAGUAUGUAGUACAUUGAUAAUUAAAUAAUGAAGCGUGUCAAAUCUAAUGUAUAUAUAUAUAUAUAUAUAUAUAUAUUUUUUUUUUUUUGGUUUUGACCACGAGGUAUCCUGGGGAGGGCCCCAACUGUGGGAGACACCUUUAAGCCCGUACCACAACCCAGACUAGAAGUCCUCACUCGAAUCGAGAGGCACAGGUUCUCCCAACAAAGGCGACUUCCCUACGACUCGAACUGGGGAGCAAACCCAGUCAAGCCACUUAAGGGGACUCCAUUGCCAGUGGAGCCAACACUUUGUUGGUUAUAUAUAUUAAUGAUAUAGAUAGACAUAGUUUUAAAAAACUAAUUAAUGUAUAUUUAUGUAGUGUUAUGAAUAUGGAAAGUCAAGCCUACACUUUACAUUAUCCUUAAUUUUUUCUCUCAGUUAAAUUCUACAAAAAUUUUACAAUGAUUGGGCAAGAACUCUAAAUUAAGAAUAAAUUAUUGUCACAAAUAAUUUUAGAAAAUAUUUUAUUUCGUCUUAAACCUUUAAUGUAAGUAAACAUAUAUAUAUAUAUAUAUAUAUAUAUAUAUAUAUAUAUAUAUAUAUAUAUAUAUAUAUAUAUGUGCAUAUUUUGCAACGUAUAGAUAAUUGUUAGUAUAUGGAGACAAGUCUUUUAAGGUAGGACCUAGGAAAAUUUAUAACUUACUACACUGGGGAGUUUUUAUUCCUUUUUAUAAUUGGCUCAUAUUGAUACAUUCUUACACAAAAUAUUACCACUGACAUAUUUUAUUACAAUUAGUUUAGAACAUUUGUUAGGAAAAAAAAAGAAAAGAAAACAUCCCUUGGAUGUAGCUCUCCUGAUUAUUUAAAUCUUUUAAGGAAAAAAAGAAAAAAGAAAAACUAACACAUUCAAAUCUUGAAGCAAUUACAUUAAAACCUCUCCAUAAUGAUAGGAAUAAUCUCCAUUUAGUAAUAAAAAAUUUUGUUCGCAAUUUAGGCAUAGUUAUAAAUAAGAAUAAAAUCCUCAUUGUAAUAAGUUAUAUUUAUUAUGGAUCCCAUCCUAAGGAACUUGUCUCUAUAUAGUAAUAAUUAUUUGAAUAUUAUAAAUAUAUAUGUUGCAUUAGAUUAAAUGAACUUGUCUCCACAUACUACUUAGACAACGAGAGAAAGUUAUUAAAGAGAACACAAAUAUUUAAAGAUUUUUAAGAUUACUUUGUAUAUUUAUAACAAUAAUACAUUGAUAUAUGUAUUAGUUUUUUGAUAUAUUAGAUUUGACAUGCUCUAUUAAUAAAUUAUUAAUACGAUGCAUACUUCAUCUCUAUAUCCUUGCAAUAAAAGUAACUAAGUUAUAACGAUAAUUUUUGUAACUACAUGCUUAUUAGGUUUUAACUACUUCAUAAUAAUAAAUUAGUUUCGUCCUAAUAUUAUAAUUAUGUAGAGUUGUGGUGUAUAGACACACCCAAUUUAAAUAGUAUAUCAAAUAAAAUUGUCCCCACAAAAAAGAAAAAAGGGGUAAAGGAUUGUUAUUUCUUCAAACAUUAGGAUCACGUUUGUACAAGUGCGAUGCCUUUCUUUUGAAGGCAACGUCAGUGGGUACCCAAUAGGACGUGUGUAAAUCUUUCCAAAAUUUCUCCGGUAUAACGGACAGAGAUCAUUACUUUUCUCUUCCAUAGACCACAGCAGCUUCAGUUAAUCAGACUCAAUCAAUUUUCUUGGUUUCUUCGCUUAUCAAAAUUCCAAAGUAUGGGUAGCAUAUUUCAAAUCACAUGCGAUGGUGCUUUUUUCAAUCGUUGCUUGGAUUGCUUUCUUGGAAAAGUAGCAAACACAAGUAAGCUCCAUGAUAACCUUGUUGCCUUGGAGACUGAAUUGGGAAAACUAAUCGCAGCAAAGAACGAUGUGAUGAUGAGGGUUGUCAAUGCUGAACGGCAACAACUGAGAACGCUGGACCAAGUGCAUGUGUGGCUUUCGAGGGUGGAAGCUGUUGAAACUGAAGCUGAUGAAUUGAAAAGACACGGCUCUCAAGAAAUUGACAAAUUAUGUGUUGGAGGCUACUGUUCCAAGAACUGCGCGUCAAGCUACAAGUUCGGGAAACAAGUGGCUAAAAAGCUACGGGAUGUGCGGACUUUAAUCGACGAAGGAGUUUUUGCGGCGGUGGCUACCGAGGUGGUGCCUGAGAGAGCUCCAGAACCUGUAGCAGAUGAAAGACCCACUGAGCCAACAAUAGUAGGCUUGCAAUCACAACUUGAACAAGUUUGGAGAUGUCUUGUAGAAGAAUCAGUGGGAAUCAUUGGCCUAUAUGGUAUGGGCGGUGUUGGUAAAACUACACUAUUGACCCAUAUCAACAAUAAAUUUCUUGAGAGUCCAACCAGUUUUGAUUGUGUGAUUUGGGCCGUAGUUUCAAAGGACUUGCGACUCGAAAAAAUUCAAGAAGAUAUUGGGAAAAAGAUCGGUUUGGUUGAUGAUUCAUGGAAGAGUAAAAGUGUAGAGGAGAAAGCUCUCGACAUCUUCCGGAGUUUAAGAGAGAAGAGAAUUGUAUUGCUGUUAGAUGAUAUAUGGGAGCGGGUUGAUUUAACAAAAGUGGGCAUUCCACUUUCCGGACCAAAAAAUACUACCUCAAAAGUCGUAUUCACAACCCGUUUCGUCGAUGUUUGUGGUAGCAUGGAAGCUGACAAGAAGUUCCAAGUGGCAUGCUUAUCAGAAGAGCAUGCUUGGGAACUGUUUCGAAAAAAAGUUGGGGAAGAAACUCUUGAGAGUGAUCAUGAUAUCGUUGAGCUAGCCCAAACUGUGGCCAAAGAGUGUGGUGGUUUGCCACUCGCACUUAUUACUAUUGGUCGAGCUAUGGCCUUCAAAAAGACAGCCGAGGAGUGGAGUCAUGCAAUUGAUGUGCUAAGAACAUCAGCUUCUGAGUUUGCAGGUUUGGGAGAAAAGGUGUAUCGUCUUUUAAAGUUUAGCUAUGAUAGUUUGCAGAAUGAGACGAUUAGAUCUUGUUUCUUAUAUUGUUGUUUAUAUCCCGAGGAUUAUGGCAUUCUUAAAUGGGACUUGAUUGAUUGUUGGAUUGGUGAGGGAUUCUUAGAGGAAUCUGACAGGUUCAGUGCAGAAAACCAAGGAUACUACAUUGUGGGCACUCUUGUUCAUGCAUGUUUAUUAGAAGAGUUAGAAGGUGAUAAAGUAAAAAUGCAUGACGUUGUUCGUGAUAUGGCUCGAUGGAUAGCUUGUGAAAUUGAGAAGGAGAAGAGAAAAUUUUUGGUUUGUGCAGGUGCUGGAGUAGGAGCGGUACCAGAUGUUGAAGGAUGGGAAAAUGUGAGAAGAUUGUCAUUGAUGCAAAACCAAAUUGAAAUUCUGUCAGAGGUUCCCACAUGCCCUCAUCUCCUCACUUUAUUUCUUGACUUUAAUUAUAAAUUGGAGACGAUCACCGAUGGCUUCUUCCAAUGUAUGCCUUCUCUCAAAGUUUUGAAGAUGUCAAACUGUGGGCAUGUCAAAGUUUUGAAAUUACCUUUUGGGAUGUCAAAGUUGGGUUCACUACAACUUCUUGAUAUUUCACAUACCGGCAUAAGAGAGUUACCAGAAGAGUUAAAGUUGUUGGUAAAUCUGAAAUGUUUGAAUUUGAGGUGGACACAUAUGUUAAAUAAAAUUCCACGGCAGCUAAUAUCAAAUUCUUCAUGGUUACGUGUGUUGAGAAUGUUCGCUAUUGGCUUCGAAAAUUCUAAAGAACCAUCAGAAGACAGCGUUUUAAUUGGUGGGGGUGAAGUUUUAGUACAUGAAUUGCUCGGUUUGAAAUAUUUAGAGGUAUUGGAGUUGACCUUGCGAAGUUAUGAUGCUCUCCAAUUUUUUUUGAGCUCAAAUAAGUUAAAAAGUUGUAUUCGAUCUCUUUUCCUCAUUAAGCUGGGAGAUACAAAGUCGAUUCAUGCUACGGCAUUCGCAGAUCUAAAGCAUCUCAAUGAACUAUGCAUUCGUUCGGCAGUGGAGUUGGAAGAAUUGAAGGUUGAUUAUACAGAGAUUGCGCCAAAAAGGUCGGAACCUUUUGUUUUCCGCAGCCUUCACCGUGUUACUAUGGAGCGGUGCCAUAAAUUGAAAGAUUUGACAUUCCUCGUUUUUGCUCCAAGCCUCAAGUCUCUUUCGCUAUACGGUUGCAAUGCUAUGGAAGAAAUAAUCAGCGUUGGAAAAUUUGCUGAGACUCCUGAGGUGAUGGGACAUAUAAGCCCUUUUGGAAAUCUCCAAACGCUUUAUUUAACUGAUUUGCCAGAGUUGAAAAGCAUCUACUGGAAGCCGUUGCCUUUCACUCAUCUCAAAGAAAUGACGGUACAUGGGUGUAAUCAGCUUAAAAAGCUUCCACUCGAUUCCAACAGUGCAACAGAGCGUAAAUUUGUUAUUCGUGGAUACACACACUGGUGGAACCGUCUUCAAUGGGAGGAUGAAGCCACUCAAAUUGCUUUUCGUUCCUGUUUCCAAUCUCAUGAAAUAUAAAUUCCUGAGCGGUGGUUGCAAAAUUUGAUUUCUAGUGAGUGCUUUUUUCUGAAACUCUUACAUAUAUUCUCGUCGUUUGCUUCGUGCAACAGACUAGGUUUUUAUUUCAGAUUCGUUUUUUGUCUCCUGCAAAUCACAAUUAAAUGUUGAAUUAUAUGGAGUCAAUGCUUUAGAAAAUUUUCAAGGCACUGCCAUUUCCUUUUUCUUUUUUCUUUUUUUGGGGUCGAAUUGAUGCUCUGGCUUUUUUCUUCUUCUUGUCAAAUUUUGCUCUGUUUUUUCAAGUUGAUGAUUGAAUAGUUGAAUUCAAUUAAUGCUCACAUAAAUUUGUUUAGUUGCCGUAAAAGGAUAUAAUUAGACUGAAGUACACACUUCUAGAAUGAAUACAAAAUGUUAAGUAUACUAGCCCUCUUUACAGAAAAUCAAAUGAAAAUCAAUUUUUUGGGGCUUUGAUUUUCUAUGGUCUAUUAUAUACUCUUUUUAAUAUCUUCUGUUCUAACUAUAACCAAAUCCUUUGUUCAAGGAUUUUUAGUUGGGGUAUUGAUAACUGUCCACCAAAAGAGUGAACACUUGGAUGCUGCUCAAGGAUCUCUAAUCAAUAGGUGGAAGCAACUGAGAAGGCGGUCGCUACUGUUUACAAAGCGAUGCAGUAUUCGCCAUUCAUCUUAAUAAUUGUGAAGCUUUGGUAAAAUUUUCAAACAAAGUUGAACAUGCUGUUUUGAGAUUUGGUUCAUGAUUUUCGAUGAAUAUCGUUGUUCCGUUUGAGUUGGAUGUGAAUUCAAAAUCUAUAUAUUCUUUAGUUUUCAAUUCUGAACUCAAUUUCUUUUUCUCAAGCAUGUUAUGCAGAAAUGAUUUUUAUAAUUACUAAAUCAUUUUUGAUGAAUUGUUUAAAUUAAACAAGUGGAAUAAGAAUUGUAAAGGUUUAUCAUAAGCAUGCUAAUAUGAUAAGUUGUUUUAUGAACGAUUAAUUAAUUAAUCAAUUAAUAUUAAAUUAUAUAUUAGUCAAUUAGAUAUGCGUUACAUGUCAUGUUUAAAAACUAUUUAUUUAUAUUUCAAACAAAUUUGACUGGAUGUUGUGUAGGUAAUACUACAUAAUUUCAAAACAAAAAAAGUAACAAAAACAAGUUAAAUUUUGUUUUUAUGAAGAAAAAAUUUAAAAUUUUAUUAAGUAGGUGAAAAUAAUAAAUGGAUUCGUGUAUGGUUUGAGAUUCUUGACAUAAUUAUGAAAUAAGCCGGAUUCAACUUAGUUCAAUUUUGACGCGAUAAGAAGACGACACCACACAAACACACGAUAAGAACCGUUACCUGAGAAGAUUGCCAUCAGGAAUUUUGAAAUUGAUUUCACUACAAUACCUUAAUCUUUCAGAUACUCCCAUCACUGAGCUGCCGGAAGAGCUAAAAGCCUUGGUAAAUCUUAAGUGUUUGAACUGUACACAAAUUAUCUCUCUACAAUUCAAAAACAACUGAUUUGUUACUUUUUCAAUGCUACAUGUUCUGCGAAUAUUGAGUUGUGGUUAUCUUGUUGAAAAAUCAGAAAAUAGAGUUCUAUUUGGUGGUAGUGAAUUGUUGGUUGGGGAGUUGCUUAGUUUAAAACGUUUAAAUGUAUUAAGCAUCACCUUACAAGGUUUUUCUGCUGUCCAAAAACUUAUGAGCUCUCAAAAGUUUCAAAGCUGUACAAAAUGUUUGGAGCUUAUAGACUGUGAUGAUUCAAAGUCUUUUGCCUUGGCAGAGUUGAAGCAUCUCGAAAAACUAGUUUUUCGAAUUGUGGAAGAGUUUAAGUUCUGCUGUGUUGAAGUUGGAAAAGCUCAAGAAUGUUUUCGUUUGAACAGCUUUCACCGAGUUAAUAUAAAGGCUUGUCAUAAAUUGAGGGAUGUGACAUGGCUUGUAUUUGCUCCAAAUCUUAUGGUUAUUCAAAUAGAAAAAUGUAUGCAGAUGGAAGCAAUAAUCAGUGCAAGGAAAUUGGGUGAAAUUCCAGAGAUGAUGGCAGAUCUAAACCCUUUUGCAAAACUCCAAUAUCUUCGCUUCCGAGUUCUUCCAAAAUUAAAAAUCGUCUAUUGGAAUGAGUCACCCUUUCCACAUGUCAGGGAAAUUAUUGUAUCUGAAUGCCCAAUUCUCAAGAAGCUUUCACUCAAUUUUAACAAUGCAAAGGAAUCUAAAAUUGUCAUUAAGGGAGAGGAACACUGGUGGAACGAGCUGCAAAGGGAGGAUGAAGCGACCGUUAAUGCUUUUCUUCCUUAUUUUGGUUCCAUUUGACAGGCAUCAACAUGGAUUUAUAUUUUGCGGUGGACAACUUGUAGUAAGUGCUUUUCCAUUUAUUACAUGUUUAUAUCUAACUUUUGUUUUCCUUUAUGGUUAAAUUUUACUAUAUAUAUGUUGUUAUACGGUGACAUUCUCGCAUCAAUUAUUAGCUUUUUAAUUCUCUUCUCGCAUUAAUUGUCCUUCUGAUCAUGUAGGAUUUGCCGAUGUCAAAGAGUAGUAAAUUGGGAUACAAAUGUAAGAAAUUAGCCAGAUGACAUGUUGUUUUGAAGCUUUCGAAGAAGGACUAAUUAUGUCAUUCAAAGCAUCCAAUUUCGCUACUUUUUUUUUUCAUUUGUUGCUUUUUCUAUUUUUAGAUAGCUUGAUUGUCAGUUGUCGUAAUGUAAUGUUUUAGUGUAGAAAAAUGAUAUUCGGCCAAGACAUCGAUAGUAGGGCACAUUGUGCAUGCACACUAGUGGAUGAUUUCGGCAUGCCGAAUCCAAUUAGUGUGGACAACCCUUUAUAAGCAUCAGGCUUCUCUCAUACCAGAGCAAUGUAGAAUAUGUUUAUAAACUGUGGAUUACCCUUUAUAAGUAUUAGGCUUCUUCUAUACUCGCGCGAUGAAACAAAAUGCAUUCUUCAAAUCAAUAGUGGGUGGAAGAAGUGAGUAGAGAAGAACUAGGCCCCUUUCAUUCCCCUAAAACCUCACCGAAACCUCUCUUGUGAACUUCUCAGAUUCUCUCUCAAUAUUUCUUAUGAUCUCAUUUUUGAUAGAAUCAAUUCUUUUGCAUGCUGCAUUUUGUGUGUCUUUUUUGGGUAAUAUCUUAUCUGGAAUGCUGUUAUGAUCAAUAGAAAAAGUAAUCAAGUUUUGGUUUGACGGAAGUCGAUUUAUUUAUUUACUAUUAUUUUUAUUUGAAAUUUUGUACAAUUGUGUUUCAUUCAUUUCUUUCAUUUUUUUAAAUAUUUAUUAUGUAUUGUUGAUGCUGAAAUCUGCUCGCCCUUUGCCCAAUCAGAUCUUUCCACCAAUGUUUACGUGGCUAGAAGAGAAGGUGUCACUUUCUUCUUGUUUCGACUGUUUGCUCAAGCCGCUGGGGUUGGAAUCACCCUUCCUUCUUUUACUAAACAUGCGUUCACAAAAAUGGAUCAGAGACGCCGGUGGUUUUAUCGGCGUAAACUCUCCGAUGCCUAAGUCAGCACAAGGUGUUUAUGGGAAAACAGUGCAGUUUAGAUUUUGAGAUUGCUUAUAAUUUGCUCAAAGUUUGUAUAGAAGACGGCUUGGUUUCAAUUUGGCAGAGUUUUCCCCCCUCUCAGUUUUUCUGUCCCUUCUCCAUUGGUUUUUCCUUAUUUUUAUAGCCGUUGUCCCACGUUUCCGUUCACCCUUCAUGCCCCCCCUUUUCUCGGGUAGUGGCAACCCCUCAUGGGACUCCAACUGCUAUAUUGUGGGUAAACGUGGGACACUGUGUCUCCCUCUACGAUUUUGGGCACAGCGCAACUGGCGUGAUUUCGUGAGAUCGUGUUCCCGCUCUUUGGGGAAUGGGUAUCUGCUCGGUAUAUGUCUCUGGUCGGUGCAUUCCUCUGGCUGGUACUCGUCUCUGGUUGGCCCAUGUUUGUAGAAGGCUCAUUAUCAGUGUUCUGCUCGUACCAUUUGGCUGAGGUGAUCCCUGCCGAGGUGGGGAUGAUGGCAUGGCUGAGCUGAUGCUCUUAUUUACUUAACAUGUAUAAUUGUGUUUCAGUUGAUAUUGAUCAUACUCUAGAUAACUAUGUGAUUGUAGCUGGGGAUUUUAAGUUUUGUGAAUUCAAGAAACUGUCAAAAUGCUAGUGAAAUUGGGACCUUUAUUCAUAAGCUUGUAGUUUUGAAAAGUAGCCCAGUUCAACUGAUGAAGUUCCUUUUUGGGAUUCUUUUUUUCCUAGGCUGCAAUUCGGAUAUGUACCUGAUAGACAAUCUUUUGUGGGUUUAGCAUAUCUUCUCUGAUUUUGUCUUUUAUUCCUCAAUUUUAUAAUUACACACCAUGAAUGUUGAGUGAUUGUAUAGAAAAUUUGAGUUAUAACCAAAGCAUUGUGAAGGAGUUAAGUUAGUGGCUUCUGUUUUAUUGGCAUUGAUUGGGUAGAUUACGUGUUACAGUGAUUCAAUUUGUGAUCCAAACAUUUUUUUAAUUUCUGUUUUCCCAAAUUAUUUAUGUCAAAUUCAAAACCAGAAGCAUGUGCUGAUUUUUUCUUUUUGUAUUAAUCUGUGAAGUUUAUUUGGAAAGGAAGUAUCUGGGUCUAAUGGAUUAAAUUAUGUAAGUGGCAGAAAUUCCUACACACAUAAAUAUGCAUAAAUACAAGAGUAUACACAAAAAAAUGCACACACUCAUACAUCCAGUCAAUAUAGUUAAUGUAUGAUACCAAUUGUUGGGGAAAAAUUAGGUUUUUAAUUUUUUAUAAAACCUUUUGAAGAUCGCUCUCAUAUAAUAUAUAAGAAUUUGUAUUCUAGAAAUCGUACCUUGAAAAUCCGAGUUGGCUUUUUCCGCUGAAGUGUUUUAGGCUCCUAGAUCACGAUCCGCCACCACCGCUCCUGUUAGAUCACGAUCCGUCACCACCACGCUUGUUAGAUCACGAACAGUCUCCAAUGAUCUUCCAGGUUAUGACUCAGGUUCGAUCUGCACUUGACGUGUAGGCGCCUUUAUCACUACCAAAGCAACUAGCACGAGAAAAUUUUUCUCUCAACAAUAGAGAGAAAAAUCUUUUUCUCUGAUCUGUAUAAAGUGGCUUCUCACUUUUUCUUUAGGGAAAAAUAAGCCUUUUAUAUCACCCUUUAGUGAAAACCCUAGGCUCCAAAUAAAUGAAAAAUAAAACCCACGUUUAUUUGCUUUUUCAAUAGGGGACCCACCUUGUAAAAUAACAUAAGGCCCCUUAUACAAAAGCUAAUUAAAUGGAGCCUCCCACUAAAUGAUAUAUUUAGGCUUUUGACCCAAAUAGCUGGUUAUCUUACUUAUUAGUCCAGUAGUGGUGCAGUCAAUUAAAUGAGCUAACCCGGGGAUCAUUUGGGAACAUACAAUAGUGGCUACAAUAAUUAGGCCUGUAAUUAAACUAGCCCAAUUAUUUAAUUCCAAAUCUACUCCAUUAAAAGAUUGGAACUGACUUCCAUAAUUGUAUGCUCGAAUAAUAAUUCGUCCCAAGCCACAUUGAUUUCUUUACUGCACAAUCCUUUGUACCACAUCGUUAAUUAAAUUGAUAUCUCAACUGUCCAAUCAAUUUAAUAACAUCUUAUUCCUUGAUCCUUACUGGUUUUCUCUAAUGAUCAUUUUCAACAUACUAAAUAUGUUGACACACUCUGGCCAGAGAAUUCUAUGAUCAAGUGCCGAAAACCCAUGAAGAGAUGUGUUGUACAAAUUCUAUAUUGUUAAUCUAUAACUCCAAUACUCAUAAUUGCUCCCACCAAGAUACCGGGUAAUCUUGACCACAAGGAUGUGUCGUGCCCAUUGGUAACUCAAAUGGAAUAACAAUUACAAUCAUGAAAUCAUAAUUAACUCAAGAUUAAGAUUACAGUAAAAUCAACGCCUAUGAGAUUUAAUAAGUCUGACAGUUAUUACAAAGUUAAUUAAAUCUCAUAUGUGAUCCUGUUCAAUGUAGUCGUACUACAUCAAUAAAUUCAUACAUGAUUAAGACAAAUCAUUCAAUGAAUUUAUUACAGUCUAUACCUAAAUAAAGUGCCCAACUUUAUUUAUCAACUGCGAACUAAAUUUAUUUAAUCAUAAGAUAACAUGUAUUUAUGUCUUCUGUGAAUCCACAUGGUAAUCACAUAAAUACAUAUAAUAUGAUUAAAUGGACUUUAAUACAAGUAUUAAUGCAAUUAAGAUAUUUGAAUAAAAUACCUCAUUUAUUUUAUUAAUCAGAAAAAUAGUUUAUUACAAUUAAAUAAACAUAUAUGCUUUUAAAGAGCAUAUUUUCCCAACACAUACCGGUUUGGUUAUCUUGCUGCAAGUGCACCACAUUAGCCUUGCAUUCUGGUGCCAACUCCUCCGGCGGUUCACCCACUACCUUUCCCAAUGCUUUGGACCUCCAUUCGGUCUCCAUCAGAUUUCUCAGGAGCACUAAAUAAAGCAGCUAAAACUUGCUUCUGUAGUUCAUUUCUGUCUUUCGGGUGUCUAGGCAAUUUUCCUUCGUUGGUAUUUCGAUCUUCCUUUACAUGACUGAGGAAAUACAGUCAAAAGCUAAUCAAGUAACCAUACAUGGAUGAGAAAUCCCUCCACCCCCUUCCAAAACAAAGUCUAAGAAAUAUCAGAAUUCUUUCAGUAAAAACCCUUCCCCCCAUGCUGUGCCCACUGAAUGAAAUAUAUUAAUCUUAUGAGAAGUUGAGAAAAUAAAUUAAAGACCAUACCCUCCGGAAGAAUUCAAUUGUUGCAAUUUUCUUUCACGUGGAGGUCCUCCAAAGUUAGAGCACAUAUCCGUACACUGUUUAUGAAAUCAUAAUAACAGGGGACCAUUUAUUAAUAACAAAUCUUGACACCUAAAAGUCAACUGUGAUGAAAAAGAUUAAAAAGAAUAUGAACUUGUUAUCUUGGAAGUGAAAAAUAUUUGAGAUGCUUGAAUAUGGUGAAAAUAGUAAUUGUUUUUGUUACUUCUACAAUUCUUGAAUUUUACAAAUAUAUAAAGACAUUCAAGAUGCUGUACAAGGAAAGACAAUAUUUACAAUAAUUAUAAUAAUCAACUAGCCGUUGUGAUGAAUCCACCAUGACAUGUGCUACUAUAUUCUCCAUCAAUUAUGGCUUAGACGAGAUGUUGGAAAUCCUCUUGCCAUGGCGGUACAAGCUACCAUAUUUGUUGCUUGUGACUUGUCCUUAUCAGCCCCCUUUAAGCUAGGCAGUGACAUGCGAUGAACACCUAGCUUGGUUCGUAGCGUGAGAAAUUGAUGCUUCCCCAAAGGUUUUGUAAGAGUGUCUGCAAUCUGAAGAUGAGAAGGCACAUAUCGUGUAAAUAAUGACCCUUUAGCAACCUUUUCACGAACAAAAUGCACGUCAAGCUCAAUAUGUUUCAUUCUAGCAUGAAACACUGGGUUCUUAGUCAUAUGAAUUGCACUCAAAUUGUCACAGAGAAGCGUGGGUGCUUUCGGAAUACAGAACCCAAUGUCAUUAAGUAGAUAUGUGAGCCAUGUUAACUCGGCAGCGGCAGAGGCCGUGGACCUAUAUUCGGCUUUGGCACUUGAGCGAGAGACUGUGUGUUGUUUCUUGGAGCUCCAAGAGAUACAAUUGCUUCCAAGAUAAAUGCAAAAUCCUGUUGUACUUCGUCUUGUUAUUGGACAUCCAGCCCAAUCGGAAUCAGAAAAGGCAUAGAGCUUGAGAGAGCUUUGAGACAAAAAUCUAAGGCCAAAGUCAAGGGUACCGUUAAGGUAACGAAGGAUCAUUUUCACGUCCUUGAGGUUGGCUUUUGUUGGCGCUUGGAAGUGUUGAGAGACUCAAUUGACAACAAAUGUGAUAUCGGGCCUUGUGUAGGUGAGAUAUUGAAGGCGUCCAACAAGGCCUCUAUAUUCGGUUGCAUCCAUAGGUUCAUUAUCAUCCGAACAUGGUAUUGAUCGUAUAGCCAUCGGCGUGUUGAUAGGAGAACAAUCCUGCAUUCUUGCCUUGGAAAGAAGGUCUUUAGUGUACUUCGCUUGAGAUAGGAAGAUGCUAUGCGUGAAUUGUUGAACUUCAAUGCCUAGGAAGUAAUGUAGGUUGCCAAGAUCUUUUAAAGCAAACUUUGAGCUCAGAUUGUUGAUGAUUGAUUGAAUUUCCUUCUCAUUAUUUCCUGUAAUGAUCACAUCGUCAACAUAAAUUAAUAUAAGUAUAAGAAUGGAUUUGUUAUUAAAUAUAAAUAAAGAACUAUCAGCUUUGCUACUAGAAAAUCCAAGAGAAAUUAAGGCUUGAGAAAAACACUCGAACCACGCUCUAGGUGCCUGUUUCAGGCCAUAGAGCGAUUUUUGAAGCUUGCAAACAUAUGUUGGAUGACGUGAAUUGCGAAACCCGGGAGGCUGCUCCAUGUAGACAAUCUCCUUUAGUAGUCCAUGAAGAAAAGCAUUGCGAACAUCCAGUUGCUUGAUAAGCCAUUUUGAGCUCACAACAAUUGCAAGGAUAAGGCGAAUAGUUGUGGCCUUUAUAACGGGACUGAAGGUUUCAUCGAAGUCGACUCCUGGAACCUAUGUGAAUCCCUUGGCAACUAAUCGAGCUUUAUAGCGAUCAAUGGUUCCAUCUUCUCUGUAUUUGAUACGAUAUACCCACUUCGAUUUGAUGACAUUAACAUUGUUAGGCCGCGGCACAAGGACCCAUGUAUGAUUUUGAUGCAAUGCUUGAAGCUCUUCUUUCAUAGCUUGAGUCCAAAGUGGAUUCUUUAAGGCAAUUUUGAGUGUUUUGGGUUCAAUUUCUCUACUGUCGCUGGCUUGAAGGGCUAAUUUAGGAUUUUGUUUGAGUUUAUUGCGUGUCAUCAUGGGAUGAGUAUUUAUGCUUUGCAGUUCUGCAGCUGUGUUUGGUAUCUUAAGUUCCACAAAUAAGCGAUUGGAUAUGUCAGGAUAAUCUGGUUGUGAAUUUGUGGCAGGGCUGUUGUCCGUAUUUCUGGACAAAUUAAGUGGUUCAGUUGCAUGUGAACUACUAGAAUUUGAAUCAUUUGUAGUCAAAUGUUGCAUUGCAUGUGGAGACUCCAAAAUAUUUGGAAUUGCUUCUGACUUGUCGUGUGGAGUUGCUGAAUUCAAAUUGUCCUCUAAAUUGUCUUGUGGGAAAUCUAAAAUAAUUGGAGAAGUGGCAUUUUAGUUGUUGUCCAAGUUCACGUCCUUGUGGGGCAUGAAUUGCACAUGUGGUGUUGAUAUUGUAGCGCCUUUACAAUUGUUUACUUUGACAGCACGUGAAUCAUUAAGAUUCUCACAAUUGGGAGAAUUCUUUGGGAGCCACUCAUCUUGUUGAGGGAAGGUGGUCAAUGUACUAUGUUCCUGCACAUUAAAAAAUGAUGUUAAAAUUUUUGAAUGGUAAAUAAUUUUCAUCAAAUACAACAUGCCCAUAUAUAUAUACACGAUUAGUCUCAGGUUGUAGACAACGACAUCCUUUAUGGAGGGGACUAUAGCCUAUGAAAACACAUGGAUAUGAUUUUUUUAUCAAAUUUUGUUUUACUGUAAUCCUGAAGAUAAGGAAAACAUCUACAACCUAGGACUUUUAACCCUCUAUAAUCCGGUAAUUUUUUGAAAAGAAUUUCAUAAGGGCUUUUAUUUUUUAAAGGUGAAAGAGGCAGCCUGUUAAUGAUAUAAGUGGCUGCAAGAAAAGAAUCCACCCAUAAUUUGAGUGGCAAAGAAGCAUGAAACAUCAUCGUCAAGGCUGUCUCAUUGAUGUGCCUAUGCUUUCUCUCAGCAACACCAUUUUGCUCCGGAGUGUAUGGACAAGAAAUUUGUCUUGUGAUGCCGCAAUUUUCAAGAUGUUUGAUGAAGGCCGUAUCCAUCACUUUGAAAUAUUGUGAUCUUUUUGUCCAAUUGUUUUUCAACUUGUUUCUGAAAUUUCAAGAAGCACUCCAAGAAAUCAGAUUUUUGUUUUAAGGGAUAUAACCAACUAAAACGUGAGUAAUCAUCUACAAAUAAUACAUAGUAACGAAAAUGUUGAGUAAAAGUAAUGGGAGCUGGACCCCAUAUAUCACAAUGCACUUUUUGUAAAGGAAAAUCUGCUUUAUUAUUAGAUAAAUUAAAAGAUUUCCUACAACUCUUGCCUAAUUGGCAAGAAACACAAAUAUGGGGUGCUUUAGACCAACUAGAAAAGUCAAUAAAAUUAUUGCGUUUUAAGGCCUCCAAGAUUUUAGGAUUGGCAUGGCCAAGCCUCUUGUGCCAUAAACUAAAACCGCUAGAUUCUCCUUGAAUUGUGUUGAAGGCAGCAUGAAAGUCUCAUUCCAAUGUGUAUAGCUUCCCUUGCUUACUCCCCUUUGCUAGAACCUUGUUUUCCUUUCUCUUCACAAUAAAACCAUCAGUGUUAAAUUUAAAAACACAUUUAAUAUCAUCAAUGAGUUGUCCAACUGAUAAGAGAUUCUUUUUGAGUUUUGGAACAACUAAAAUAUUAUUUAAGUGCAAAGAACCGUGAUUUGUAUUUAAAGAAGCAGAACCAAUAUGUGAAAUAUUUAAAUCUUGACCAUUGCCAACAAUUAUUUUGUCAUUACCUCUAUACGGCCUUACAUGAUCAAGAUUAUCUGUGUUAUUUAUCAUGUGUGAUGUUGCUCCAGAAUCCACAUAGAACUGUUGAUCAUUAUUUUCUUGAAGAUUCAUCGCAGCUAGGGCAUGUGGAUCCUCUUCAUUGUCAUAGUCGUAUCUGUACCAACAUUCAGCAGCACUAUGUUUGCGUUUGUGACAGAUUUGGCAAAUAACUUCUUCAUCUGAGGUAUUAUUUUCUUUAUUUGGUUUUUGAGGCUGCUGUUGUGGUUUACGGUUGUUGCCAUUGUUGUAGUUGUUGGGGUAAUUUCUACCACCUGAGUUGCGUUGAGAUCCUCUGCCUCGGUAUGGAGGUCUUCCACCUCUUUGAUUUCUGCCUCUUCCACCUAUAUUAUGGAAAAGAUAGAGUUCUCUGAAUCUGAAAGACUGAAACAUUUUGCAUAUUUCGUGAAAGGGAAAUAUUUGUAGAUACUAGUUCAUGCAUUGAGGUAACAUCAAUGUUAAAGAAAAACGGCAAUAACUUAUUAUAUAGAAUUAGGUUCACUUGCUUUAAAUGCUGGUCUGGUCAACCAUAUGAACCUGUAAGUGUAUCUGCAGAAGUAUGGUCAGCCAUAUGAACCUUUUUGGGGGGCAAAUUAGAAAAAUUUUCCUAAAAAAGUGAAAAAAAUCAUUUUUUUUUUUUUAAAAAAAAAAAACUUUAAAAAUUUUUUCAAAAGCUUUUUUUUUUUUUUAAAACCAAUGGUUUGAGGCUGCUGUUGUGGUUACGGUUGUGCCAUUGUUGUAGUUGUUGGGGUAAUUUCUACCACCUGAGUUGCGUUGAGAUCCUCUGCCUCGGUAUGGAGGUCUUCCACCUCUUUGAUUUCUGCCUCUUCCACCUAUAUUAUGGAAAAGAUAGAGUUCUCUGAAUCUGAAAGACUGAAACAUUUUGCAUAUUUCGUGAAAGGGAAAUAUUUGUAGAUACUAGUUCAUGCAUUGAGGUAACAUCAAUGUUAAAGAAAAACGGCAAUAACUUAUUAUAUAGAAUUAGGUUCACUUGCUUUAAAUGCUGGUCUGGUCAACCAUAUGAACCUGUAAGUGUAUCUGCAGAAGUAUGGUCAGCCAUAUGAACCAUAUGGGGGGACAAAUUAGCUAAAUUUUCCUCUUAUUUAUGGGUUUGGUCAUUUUUUCCCCUUCAGCUUUCCUUCUCCUGAAGUAUGUUAACAAUUGCAGAUAAUGACGAAGAGGACCGCUUCCAGGCUCUUCGUAGAGCUGCGAUGUAAUAUAGGGGCACAAUGAAGGAACAUUGUAAAGCUGUAGGUUCUUUUUCUCCUGUCAUUUAUGUUUUCUCACACAUUUUUUAUAUGCUCCAAGCAUCCAAUUUUGUAUGUGUCUUUGCCUUUUAAGUUUUAAAAACCAUAAAGUAAGAAUACAGUUCCUUGUCAGGUUAUUGAUGCAUUCACUCAGGGGGAUCAUGCUCGAGCAGGAAAACUUCUAGAACAGGUAAGGUUUCCAUCUACAGCCAUUUAUUGACAACAUAUAUAUUUUCAUUCAGCAAGCACUGUUAGCAUUCAAGAUGCUGGCAGAUUCACUUGAUUCUUAUUAGUUUGUUUAGUAGCAAAGCAUAUAACCUGUAUUUUAAAGCUAAGUUGUGCUAUUGAUUAUGUUAACUUUAUUGUUCACAUAAAGUGAUAUUGAGGAAAUAAUCAAUGUAGGAAAAUUAGGUGAAGAGAUGAUGUCAAAUCUUGAACCUCUUACAAAACUCCAAGUUCUUUACUUGAAGAAGCUACCAAAUUCGAACAGCAUCUACUGGAAGGCCUUGCCAUUCCCUGAUGUAUGCAGAAUUUUUGUAUUUAAAUGCCCAGAGCUUAAGAAGCUGCCACUAGAUCUUGAAAGGGCAGGCCAAGGUAAAAUUCUUAUCAAGGAAAAGAAAGAUGGGUGGAAACAACUUCAAUGGGAGGAUCAAGUAACUCAUAUUGCAUUGCUUCCAUCUUUAAAAUCAACCAACAAGUGAUUGAAGGGGGCAUCAUCAACAUCAUCAACAUGGAUAGAGAGAUUCUGGAGCAGAUCAGCCGGGUUUAGUACGACCUGUGGUGGUUUCUUUUUUGUGACUUUUUUCCCUUUCAUUUUUUCACUUCCUGUCAUAUUAUCAUUUCUUUGUCUCUGUUUCUAUUGCUGGUGUUGCUGCAUGCUUGCUGCCCUUGACAAAGUUAGCUAGUUUUUUUGUUUAUUAAAUUUUGUAUGUUCGGGACAGUCACAAAGUACUACUUGUUCUAUAUGGGGGUGAUGUGAAUCAACUUUUCAAUUAUAUAUUCUGUGGUAAUUGUGAAUUCAAUUUCAUUUGUCUCCUGCAAAUUAUGAAGAAAGUGCAGAGUUACAAUAUGGAAAAGUUCACUGGCAAAUACUUUGUAAAAGCUUCGGAGUGAAACAGGGAAUGCACUAGCAACUAAGGACAAAUUGGUGGCCAGCUAAUGCAUUCAUUUUAUGUACAUUGCUAAUUUGUAUGUUAAUUAUUAGAUAAUCAAUUAUUUGGAUAAUCCCUUGUGUUUUAUCUCUAAUUAGAACAUCAAUCUUCACAAUAUCUACAAUGCUACAAUGGCUAUAAAACAAAACCUGUUUGCAAAUUGUCAAGGAUACUUAUCCUUUCGCUUGACAAGUCAUUUGGAAAAAUAUUGUCCCUUGGCGGCUCCAUGUCUUCUCUGCCCCUCCUUUUGGUCUUAAUGUACGGUUGCAUAAUGAUAGUUUAGGCCCUUCAGGGACUACUUUCCCUGGUGUUGUUAAGUCUUAGCUUGUGCUAGGCUCGUUUUUCUUACCAAAAGAAAAGGAAUACUUCUCCUAUAAGAAAUAAUCUCUAUAUAUAGGGUAGUUGGAUUCACUUGUUUACAUAACAAAUCAAUUAGUUCUCUGUAAGUAGAGAGUUUCAAGUAUGAGAGAAACGGUAGGUCUAUCGAGAGAUUAUGUGUUAUUAGGAUUUUGGUUGUGAAGAAAAGUACUAGAGUGAUUGUGUUAAUUUUCUACAUAGUGGAUUUUUCUAUCGUCAUCUUUGUGGCUGUGAUUUUUCUUUUAUAUAGAAGUUUCCCACGUAAAUUGUUAUGUUAUGUGAUUAGUUUUAUUCUCCAUCUAUUUUUUGUUUAUUAUUUGUUUGAUAUUUUAUUUGUAAGAUGUUGGAUGGGAUUAAAAUUCCUUAACAAAUAACGGAUUAAAAAUAUUGAAGAAAAAGCUCAAGAGAUCUUCAAGAUUUGAAGUGUGAAAAAGUUCAUAUUACUGCUAGAUGAUAUAUAGGAGCGGGUUGAUUUAGUAAAAAUGGGUGUCCCUCUUCCUAGAUCAGAAAACAACACAUCCAAAGUGAUAUUUACAAACCCGUUCUGAGGAAGUUUGCGGCUUAAUGGAAGCUCGUAGGAGUUUUAAAGUGGCGUGCUUAUCAAAUAAAAAUGCUUAGGAUUAUUUCGAUACAAAGUUGGGGAAGAAACUUUGAACAAUCAUCUUGAUAUCCUUGAGCAAGCACAAUAGUUGUUAAGGAGUGUGGUGGUUUGCCACUUGCACUUUUUACCAUCGGCCGAUCUAUGGCGUGCAAGAAGACACAGCCGAAGAAUGGAGAUAUGCUAUUCAAGUGUUCACUUCGUCCGCUUCCUGUUUCCAGGUCUGGAAGAAGGGAUAUAUACUCUUGUAAAAUUCAGUUAUGAUAGUUUACCCAAUGACACAAUUACACCUUGUCUGUUAUAUUGUAGUUUAUAUCCAGAAGAUUGUUGCAUUUCUAAAGAGAAUUUGGUAGAUUGUUAGAUCAAUGAAGGAUUUUUUAAUGAAAGUGAUUGGUUUGGAGAAAAAAUCAAGGAUACUUCAUUUUGGGCAUUCUUCUUCAUGUUUUUUUUUGGAAAAGGGAGGAGAUUGUGAAGUGAAAAAUGCAUGCAUGACGUUAUUCGUGAUAUGGCUUUGUGGAUCGCAUGCGACUAUGAGAAGGAGAAGGAGAACUUUUUGGUUUACGCUGGUGUUGGUUUAGCUAAGGUACCGGAUAUUAGAGAUUGGGAAAAGGUAAGGAGAUUGUCAUUGAUGAAAAAUAAAAUUGAGAAUCUAUCUGAGGCUCAUACAUGCCCUCAUCUCCUCACUUUCUUUCUUGACGAUAAUGAGUUUCGGAAGAUCCCCGGUGAUUUCUUCCAGUUUAUGCCUUCUCUCACUGUUUUAAACUUGUCAUGUAUUAAACUAAAGUCAGUUCCUUUAGGGACUUCAAGGUUGGUUCCACUACAACAACUCGAUCAUUCAUAUUCAAGCAUAAAAGAGUUGCAAGAAGAGUUAAAUGCCCUGAUUAAAGUUAAAUGCUUGAAUAUAGAUCAUGUAGAGGAGCUAAUUACAGUUCCACAACAACGGAUAUUUAAUUUUUAAGGUUAUAUGUGUUGAGAAUGUUCGAUACUAUUAGUUUAAAUUUUCAAGAAGCAUUAAAUAAAGACAGCAUUUUAUUUGGUGGGGAGGAAGUUUAAGCAGAGGAGUUGCUCGGUUUGGAAUAUUUGGAGGUAUUGAGCUUCACUUGAGAAGUGUUCGUGCUCUCCAAUUUAUUUUGAGCUCACAUAAGCUACGAAGUUGUACUCAAGCGCUGUUCCUCCAAUCCUUCAAUAAUUCGAUAUGGCUUGAUAUUUCACUUUUGGCAGAGUUAAAAGCACCACUGCAGAUUUAAGUAUUUUUGGCUGUAGAAAAUUGGAGGACUUGAAGAUGGAAUAUACAGGGGGAGCGAAAAACAAGCGGCAACCUUGUGUUUUCUAAGGCCUACAUACAGUUCACAUAGAGGUUUGUUCUAAAUUGAAGGACUUAACAUUCCUUGUUUCUGCUCCAAAUCUCAAGAACUUGGAAAUACAAAAUUGCCCUGCUGUGGAAGCAAUCAUCGGUGUGGGAGAAUUUGCGGAAGCUCUAGAUGUGGUGGAAAAUCUAAACCCAUUUGCAAAACUCCAGUUUCUUGGACUAGAAAAUCUGCCAAAUGUGGAGAGCAUCUAUUGCAGGCCUCUGCCCUUUCCAUGUUUGAAAAGAAAUGACUGUGGAUAGUUGCGGUUGUCUUAAAAAGCUUCCACUCUACUCCAACAGAGUAAAAGAGUGUACAAUUGUUAUUUCAUCAUUCGGAGAGUUAAUGGUGCAAUGAGAUUUGGCAGUUAACUCUCGUGGGAAGAGCUUUAAUGGGAAGACGAAGCCACUCGAAUUGCUUUUCAUUUCUGUUUCAAAUCUCUAAUUGGAUUGGAGAUUGCAUUUCGCCUCAGGUUCGUACUUUUCUUGAAUUUUUCUUGUUAACUUCAUUUGUUCAUUUAUCCAUUUUUUUUUUAAAGGAAUCAGAAGGGUUAAUAUUUUUGGUUGUGUUAGGUCGACUUCUAAUCACGAGGCAGAAGGAGCUGAGAUGAAGUUUAAUUUUGGUGGAGAAAUUGUUUGAUUUAAAAAAUUUAAAUGAGUUGACCAUCAUUCUUUAGCAUAUUUGUAUGAACAGGAGUGUGUAAAUAUGCAAACUGUCCAGCUGUAUGUGUAUAACGUAAUAAUUUUGAGGAGUUAAAACAUUGAAGAAUAUUGAUGUUUCCAUUGUCAAACCAAAUAUACUUAAUUACUUGAGGAUAAUGAUUACUGCUAAUACAUUUGCAAAGAAAAAAACAUGCCUAUUGAAAAACUCAUCUUAUUAGCAACAGCAUUAUAAGUAGUAUCCAAUCAUAGUUUCAUGCAAGAUUUUGAGAUUUUUCAAAUGCUGAUUCCGGGAAUGGAGAUUAAUAGAUAAUGGAGACAGGUUGACUGCAAUGGCUAAUUGCAAGAGGGAAUUUUAGUCGUAAAAACAGACCAACUAGCAAAGCAGAUUCCAAAUCUUGGAAUGAAGUAGCAAAAAAACGAAACAAACAACUGGCAAGAGGAAGUGACUAUACAAUAAUAACAUCGACUUGCAAUUCAACAUUUAUAUAGUUAUACACACCAAGAAAAGAGAAAAUUACAAUAGCAAUUUGGCUACUAGAAGAUGUUCAUUCAUGCUUAUGCCUGUCAUAUGGAUUUGAAACAAGGAGUAAAAGCAUUUAGAGUGGCUUUAUCCUUCCACUGCAGCUCAUUCCACCAGUGUUGCUCUCCCCUAAUAACAAGUUUGCGUUCCUUGGCGCUGUUGUAAUCGAGUGGAAGCUUCUUGAGGUUCGGGCAUCCAGAUACAAACAAUUCCAAGAGAUUUGGAAAGGGCAAUGCAUUCAAACAGAUCUUCUUCAAAUUUCUUAGAACUUGCAACCGAAGAUAUUGGAGUUUCGCAAAAGGUUUUAGCCCUGGAACUUCUUCCACUUUCCAAACACUGAUUAUUUCUUCCAUCUCAUAACAACGUUCUACAUGCACCAUCUUCAGAUUUGGGGCAAAAACAAGCCUUGUCAUCUCCCUCAAUUUACUGCAAUAGUCUAUGGUAACACUUUGAAGGCUGUUGAAACCAUAAGUUCUCUUGUUGUUUGAACUUCUGCAUAGUCAACCUUUAGCUCUUCCAAACUUGUACAAUACACAAAAUCUAGUUUGUCAAGGUACUUGAGAUCUGCUAUGGACAAAAUAUUCCAUGACCUUGAAUCCUCACAGCGGCGAAGCUCUAAAGCAUAUUUACAACUCUUGUACUGUUGGCAGCUCAAAAGUCUUCGUAGAGCAUAAAAACUUCUUAACGUGACGCUUAAUACAUUUAAAUGUUCCAAAGUAAUCAACUCCUCUACCAAAAUUUCACUACCACCAAAUAGAACGCUAUCUUCUGGUACUGUAUUAGCAGAGCCACAAUCUAGCAUCCUCAACACCUUUAACCCAGAAAAAUUACAAAGCAGUUGCCGUGGAAUCGUAUGGAGAUAACGCAUGUACUCCAAGUUCAAACACUUUAGAUUUUUCAAGGCUUUUAAUUCAUGUGGUAACUCUUUGAUGAAAGUUUCUGAAAGAUUAAGAUAUUGUAGUGAAACCAAUUUUGAAAUUCCUGAAGGCAAUUGACUCAAGGAGCGAUUCUUUGAUAGGUUUAAAACUUUUUUUUUUUUGGUGAGAGGGGGCUCGUCAAAACGAGCUAAAUAGAAACAAAACGGGGUUGAGUAACCCCAAACAAGUCUUGCGAAAUGAUAGAAUAUAUACCCAUAGGAGGGUCAGAGAACACUUGCAAUCCAAGAGGAGCUGAAUGAGCCAUAUUAGCCAUGAAGUCCGCAGCUGAGUUUGCUUCACGAUAGAUAUGGGUGAUAGCAAUCUGCCAAUUUCUACUUAAUAAUUCGUGGACAGCUACUAUUAAAGCAUGGAACACAUUAGGAACGACCACCUGCUUAGAGAUUAUUUGUGUAAUACAAAGACUAUCCACUUCCACCAACAGCCGUUUUAUGCCUACAUCCCAAGCCAGAAUUAGACCCUGAUACAGCCCCCAAAGCUCAGCCAUAAGCACUGAACUCUCCCCAAUUCUCAUACAAAAUCCGGAAAUCCAAUGACCGACUGAGUCUUGAAUGACACCUCCUGCUCCUGCUUCCCUGUCAUUUUUACGAGAGCCAUCUGAAUUUAAUUUGCACCAUGGCCAUGGCGGCGGAAUCCAACGAAUAAAAAUCUCCUUUCUCCUCGGCUGUUGACUUAUACCGGAAUUAUAAACUUUGUAAAUUUCAUUAGCUCUAGCCAUAGCAUCCAUAUAGACUGUUACACCAUCCACCAACUUCCCCGCAAACAAGAAAUGGUUCCUCCAGAACCACAGCCUCCAAACCACCACUCCAAAGAUACAAUCCCAAGGGAGGGAAGAUGCAAUCUUCCAUUUGUUCUGCAAGUUCCCAGUAAUCCAUUCACGUAGAUUCGAAUUGAAGAAAGCGUUAUGAGUUGCCAUUGGGACAAGCUUACGCCAAACCUGAUUAAUACAGCAGUAAUCUCUCAAUGCAUGGAGAAUAUCUUCAACCGCACCCCCACAUCUAUCACAGCCCUCAGGAGCAUUGAUAUGGCGCCUAGCUAGCUCAACAUGAGUCUUUAAUUUCCCAUGCAUCAGCUGCCACAGAAAAAGACGGAUGGAUUGAGGCCCCUUCCAACUCCACGGAAGCUUCCAAAUUCUGUCAUGAUCAGCCAAGUGAUGAUAGCAAAGGGAUGCAUAAGCUGAACGAACCGUAAACAUGCCGCUCGGAUCCAGACCCCAGUAAAUUUUGUCAGACCCAAAAUGCGGUCUCGGAGGCAUGACUGAUGCGAUCUGCAUGAGAGUAUAAUGUGGCAGCAAAUGCUCAAAGCUCGACCAAUUCCAUCCCCCCUGACCAUUCGUAAACUCACUCACGGUGGCGUUGAUAAGCUCCUGAGGAAUCGGCUGGAGAGCUAGGCUGCUCAAGGGAUAUUUCGUAGCCCAACAAUCUAUCCAAAAGCGAGCUCGACCUCCAUCGCAAACAGACCAGCGAGCUCCCUGAACUAUUGUCAACCACUUGCUACGAAUAGCUCUCCAAAUCUGAGAACCCGGUUUAUCUGGAAGGGACAUCGGUAAAUUUGCUGGAAUCCAAUCCAUAUUUGGAACAGAAAACUUUCACCCACAAUUUAUCCGAGCUGGACACAAUCUCCCAGCUCAAUUUCAUUAUCAGCGCCUGGUUCAUCUCGUCCAUUUUUUUGAACCCCAGACCUCCAUAUUGUUUCGGCAUGCAGAUUUUGCUCCACCCCACCAUACUCAUCUUAGGACUCUUUGAAUUCCCAUCCCAAAUAAAUCGCCGACAAGAUUUGUCUAUUUUAUGCCUCACUGGAGAAGGAAGAAAUGUCGUUUGCAUGGCAUAAAUAGGCAUUGCUUGCAGAACUGAUUGAGCCAGGGUGACGCGUCCAGCAAAAGAGAGAUGAGUCGCAUUCCAACCAGUAAGUCGGUUAUCGACUUUAUCAAGGAUGGACUGAUACGUGGAUUUAUUAACCCGCGUGUGAAUUAAUGGCAUUCCAAGAUAAUCACCCAAAUUAUUUGUGGCCGAAAAACCCAAAGUAGAGCCUAUGAGAUUGGCAUCCCGAGUAUCAACAUUUUUUGAGAAGAACACCUUGGUUUUCAACUUAUUUAUUUUUGCUUCAGAGCUCCUACAAUAGUUUUCCAGAACAACAUCAACCACAUAAGCUUGGUCAAUUGAAGCUUCCACAAAUAAAAGCAAAUCGUCUGCAAAAAAGAGAUGAGUUAAGGGAGUUCCAUAUUUGGCCAACCUAAUAGGCCUCUAUCUCCCAUCCAUUACCGCUUGGGUUAUCCCAUGACUCAAACGCUCGAUACACAGAACAAAAAGAUAAGGCGAGAGGGGAUCUCCCUGACGAAUACCUCUCCCUGGAGUGAAGGUCCCUGUAACCUCACCAUUCCACAAAAUACUCAUACUAGCUGAAGUUACGCAAUCCAUGAUAAGUCUAGAUAAAUGAGUUGGAAUACCAGUCUGUUGAAGCGUAUCAAAAAUGAAAUCCCAAUUAAGCCAGUCAUACGCCUUCUCUAGGUCAACCUUAAUGGCCAUAAAUCCUUUCCUGCCAGUUUUUCUGCGCAUUGAGUGAACAACUUCCUGAGCCACAACAAUAUUAUCUACGAUAUUCCUCCCUGGAACAAAACUUGUCUGAUUGGGGCCUAUUAGAUUGGGCAACAGCGAUUGCAAGCGAGUGGCUAUAAUUUUAGUCACCGUCUUGUAAGCCAUUGUGCAUAGGCUUAUGGGCCUAAACAUCUUUAAGCUAGUAGGGUGCUCCUCUUUUGGAAUCAAAACCAGGAGGGUAGUAUUUAUCUCUUGCGGCACUUUGCCCGUGGUAAAAAUAUCAUCAAUAAACCUGCAAAACGACGGACCCACAACAUACCAUUGGGAUUGAUAAAAAAUAGCAUGCAACCCAUCCGUAUCUAGAGCUUUCAGCGGCUUCAUACUAAAAACGGCACUUUUAAUCUCCUCCCUCAAAAUUGGGGCUGCGGCACCAUCAACGUCAUGAGAACUCAAGUCUGGAAAAAAAUUUGGCACAUGGUAGUUCUGAUAAAUAGCAUUUUCUCUUUUAAAUAAUUCUGAAAAAUACCCCACUGCAUGCCUCUUUAUAUCUUCCUCAUCAUACAGCCAAUUCCCUGAACUGUCUCGGAUAGCCUCGAUUCUAUUCCGCCGCCUUCGAGCAAUAGUUUUUUUAUGGAAAAAAUUCGUAUUUCUGUCUCCAUGUAAAAGCCAAUCCUUUCGAGAUUUCUGGAGCCACAGAAUUUCCUCCUGGCUCAUCACCAUUUCGAGCUCAUUACGCAAUCGGGCCUCCAAUCGCCUCAAACUGCGAGAGCUAUAUUUCUCUAGGGUGGCUUGAAUUCCAUUAAUCCGAGCCAUAAGCCGGCGUUUCCUCUGAAAGAUAUUCCCAAACACAUCUCGAUUCCAAACUUGAACCUCCUGAACAAAAUGAGAAGCUGCUGCACUAUAGUGGGAUUGCGGAUUCCACAUCCGCUUAACAAAAUUGUUAAAGUGCUCAUGAGUUAACCAAGCAGCCAAGAAGCGGAAAGGCCUGGUGUUGAGUGUUAGAAAAUGCAUAUUUAUAAAGGAGAAAACCGUCAUUUUACAUUUUAAGUCUUACUAACAACCCUUACUUUUAUAUAUUUAACCUUCUUGUGAUUUAAUUACAUGUGUUUUAUUUUAAUUAAGUAUUUUAUGUAUUUUAGGGGCAUUAUAGUCAUUUCACAAUAAAGGAGAGAUCAGACGGCAAAACGGACAUCACUUUUGAACUCAGGACGGUCGAAAACCUUAGGAGGAGCAUAAAAGGAAAAAUGGCACUAUUCACAUGUACGGUACUAUUCACGUAUACGGUACUGUCUACGUUACUGUUCACGACACUGUUCACAUAGACGGAUCGAUGACGUGGCAUUGACCGAUGAUGUGGCAUUGACUGAUGAGGUGUCACGAUCCUGUUGGGCUAAAAUUCUUAUGUACUGUUGAUGGUGACGUGGCAGCAUAUCAGUGGACGAAAAAUCUCGUGUACGGUGCAUGCAUCACACAGGAUUAUUUUCAACCAAACCGCGUUACUGUUCAUCCGGGUCAAACCGCGUUACUGUUCAAAGUCGGGUCAAACCGUGUUACUGUUCAUCCGCGUGGUCAAACCGUGGACUGUUGACUGAUGACGUGGCGCAAUCCUGAGCGUCCAAACUGUUUUUAAUCCGAUGGCCAUGAUUUACUCCAUGUAUCUAUAAAAAGGGGGCCUCCCCCCCCUAAUUUGAUAUCUCUGAAUCCAUUUUUGGGAUCCAUUUUCUGUAAUUCCUUCUCCAUCUUGUAUUUUCUUCGUAUUUUAAUAAAUUCCCAUUUUGCCCCUAGUUCAAUUAUGAGUGGCUAAUUUUCUUUCAAGCUUGGGUUGAAGGUGAAGUCUCAACAUGUGUCAUGGGCUUAAUUUGGUAAAUUUAUUUUCUCUUCCCCUCUAGUUUUUGUGGAUGUUUUGACUUCUCGUCGACAAAUAAUACUAAUCUUGUCUAGUACCGCCUUGGUUUCACCGGCUCUCUAGUAUAAGGUUAUUAUUAUUUGGCACGAUAAGCCCUUAGCACCAUAUUGAUUAGAGCGUGGUUCAUGCGGUGUGGAUUCCCCCCUCAUGAUUUAAUUGGUAUUAAUAAGGAAUAUUUAGCCUAUGAUGCAUGUUGAUACGGAUCCAGAUACCCAAGUACGUCAUUUCAAUAGAAUUCUCUUCAAUUUAUUCUCACCAUUUCAAUACCAAUUUUAGAAUUUAUUCUCUCCAUUUUAAUUUAAGUUUUAGCAUAUUCCAAUCAUUUCCACCACAAAUCUAAUCACCCAUUCACAAAAUUAAUUCUACACAAUUAAAAUCCACCUCCUCGUGGGAUCGACACUCGUCACCAUUAAUCUAUACUACAACAGAUUCGUGCGCUUGCGAGUACAUUAAAAUUUGCACAACAAGUUUUUGGCGCCGUUGCCGGGGAGGUAAGUAAUUUUAAUUCAUAGAAUUAAUUUUUGUGAAUAAUUUCUUUUAUUUGUUUUCUUGUAUUUUUUUUAUUAUUAAAAAAAAAGAAAAAAAAAGUGAAUCUACAUUUAAAGGUUAGUAUUUCUUUUCUUUUUCUCUUCUUUAAAAUUCUGUAAUUUAAUUUUCAAUUUAUUUUUUCUUUGUAAUUUUUGUUUAUUUUAUUAAUUUAAUUUUUAGUUAAUUUCACGUAUUUGUUUUUGUGUAUUUUUAUAGUAAGGUUGUAAUAGCGCAAUAAGGUUAGUAUCGUAAUUUCUCCCUCUUCUUUAUUUUUAUUUGUUUUGUUCCCAUCUUUAUUUUUUGUUUUGUUUGCAUCUUUAUUUUUAUUUUAUUUAUUUGCAUGCAUGGUCGUAGGUCAUUAUUACCUAAUCUUGAACCUAUAGACCUUGAAUUAGAAAAAACACUUCGCACACACAAACACGUUAAAAAUAAAAUGGAUUUACAAGCACCACAGGAGAGGCCAUUUAAGGACUAUUUUAGUCCCUUAGCUAAUUUGAGCACGUCAUGCAUAAGAUACCCAAAUGUAGCUGCUAGGAGUUUUGAAUUAAAACCUAGUGUGUUAAAUUGUCUCCCUACAUUUUAUGGCCUAGAAAAUGAGGAUCCAUAUAAUCAUUUGAAUGAUUUUCAUGCCAUUUGUCAAACAUUCAAAUAUGAGAAUUUUUCAGAUGAUGAUGUUAAACUUAGACUAUUCCCAUUUUCUUUAAAAGAUAGAGCUCGUUCAUGGCUUAAUACAUUGCCUGCUAAUAGCAUUGCAUCAUGGGAACAAAUGGUAACGAAAUUUUUGAAUAAAUAUUUCCCAGUGCAUAAAACCAAUGCUAUUCGCAGGGAAAUCUCAGAGUUUACUCAGAGAGAGGACGAGCAGUUUUUCGAGACAUGGGAGCGAUUCAAUGGGCUACUCUUGAAGUGUCCACAUCAUGGGUAUGAGAAAUGGCAUCAAUGCCAAUACUUUUUGGAGGGAUUACUACCGAAUGUGCAAGAAUGGCUAAUGGCAACAAGUGGAGGAGAGCUAAUGUCAAAAAGUGCAUCAGAAAUUUGGGAGUUUUUCCAGCGACAAGCGGACAAUUCCCAACAACGGAGUCGAUCACUCAGGAAUACUAGAAGGAUUAAAGGAGUGAAUGAGGUUCACAUUGGCGAGUCAACUUCGGGAAUCAAAGAAGUCAAGGAGAUGGUUGAAGGUCUUGCUCGACAAAUAGCAUCAUUAUCGAUUGCUAAAUCAACAGAACCACAUGACCAUGACUCAUACUCAGAUCAAGCCAAUGCCAUAGGUGUAAUGAGAAAGCCAUCAAAUUACAACCCAUACUCCAACACAUAUAACCCUGGAUGGAGAGACCACCCUAAUUUUUCAUGGUCUCAAGGAUUCCAACAGAAUGGACCAGCAGCUCCAGCUCCACCAAUUCCACAAAAUCCUCAAGCCUCUCAGCCAUCAUUUAGACCAUUCAAUCAGAACCAUAAUUAUUCUCAACCCAGACCAUGGGAGGAUGCAUUUCAGAAUUUCAGGAAUGUUACUCACUCCACGAUUGAGCAACAGAACCGCACCAUUGAUGGAUUACGAAAUGAGUUGAAAGCGGGCUUCAACUCACAAGCCCAAUCAGUUUCAAGCCUUGAGAAGAUGGUGGGACAACUUGCUUCUUCAGUUCAGACCUUGGCAAUGACCGUUGAGAAAGGCAAAUUUCCAAGUCAACCAGUACCUAAUCCUAAAGGAGUGCAUGAAGUAAGUACCAGUUCACCACAGCAGCAUGGAGAGGUCAAAGCAGUAAUGACCUUGCGAAAAGGAAAGGAAGUCGACAACAAAGUGGAGAUGCCGGUGACAAAAGAAAAUCAAAUUGUACCUGUGAAUGUUGAGGACUCAUCACCGGAGGAGAAAGAAGAAACUAACCCACGAGAAUAUGUUCCGAAAGCUCCAUUUCCCCAGAGGUUAGCUAAAGGCAAGAAGGGAAAAUCCACAGGUGAGAUUCUCGAAAUCUUCAAACAGGUAAGUGUUAACAUCCCUUUACUUGAUGCUAUUAAACAAGUUCCAUCUUAUGCCAAGUUUCUUAAAGACCUUUGUACUAAAAAGAGAAAUAUGCAUGUUCAAAAGAAGGCAUUUUUAAUAGAAAACGUUAGUUCUAUACUCCAACAUAAAAUUCCUUUAAAAUGCAAAGACCCAGGCUCCCCCACUAUCUCAUGUAGUAUAGGGAACCACACAAUUGAGAAUGCUUUAUUGGAUUUAGGAGCUAGUGUAAAUCUUUUGCCUUACUCUGUAUUCGUGAAACUUGGACUUGGAGAAUUACACCCAACUCCAGUGGUGUUACAACUUGCAGAUCGGUCCACAAAAAUACCUCGUGGUAUUGUGGAGGACGUGCUUAUCCAGGUAGACAAGUUUUAUUUUCCUGUUGAUUUCAUUGUAAUUGACACUCAACCAAUACAGGAUUCAAGGAAGCACAUCCCCAUUAUUCUAGGCCGACCUUUCUUGGCAACUGCGGAUGCUCACAUUCAAUGCAGGACUGGAAAUAUGCAGUUGUCUUUCGGCAACAUGACUAUGGAGCUGAACAUCUUCAACAUUGCCAAACAACCUCACAGUGCAGAUGAUGGAAUUGUUGAUGUGGAUUUAAUAGAAACAAUAGUUGAUAAUACUUUUCUUUCAAACCUUAGUGAUGAUCCUUUACAAACAUGUUUAACUCACUUUGGUUUGGAUUUUGAUAUUGACAGAUCAGUCGAUGAGGUCAACGCCCUGCUUGACUCAACACCAUCCAUGGACACUAAUAAAUGGAAGUCAAGAGUUGAACAACUAACACCAUCAGAGAAGAAACUCAUCACAUCAUCAGAAUCACCACCGAAACUCGAGCUCAAACCAUUGCCCAACACAUUAGAAUAUGCGUUUUUGGGAGAAGAAAGUUCUCUGCCGGUAAUCAUCUCAUCAUCCCUUAAUGACGAACAAAAAGGUAAGUUGUUGGAUGUUUUGAAAGAGCAUAAAGGGGCAUUAGGAUGGACCAUAGCAGACAUAAAAGGUAUAAACCCUGCAGAUUGCAUGCAUUACAUUCACCUUGAUGAAAAUGCUAAAUCUACUAGGGAAAUGCAACGUCGGUUAAAUCCUAAUAUGAAAGAAGUUGUUAGAACAGAAGUCCUUAAGCUAUUAGACGCAGGUAUCAUUUACCCAAUUUCUGAUAGUUCAUGGGUCAGUCCUGUACAAGUUGUCCCCAAAAAGUCAGGAGUCACAGUAGUUACGAAUGCAGAUAAUGAAUUGAUACCCACUAGAGUAACUACAGGAUGGCGUGUACGCAUUGAUUAUAGAAAAUUGAAUUCUGUCACACGUAAAGACCAUUUUCCUUUACCAUUUAUUGAUCAAAUGCUUGAUAGAUUAGCAGGCCAUGAAUUUUAUUGCUUUCUAGAUGGUUACUCAGGAUAUAAUCAGAUUCCCAUAGCACCAAAAGAUCAAGAGAAAACUACUUUCACUUGCCCUUUUGGCACAUUUGCAUAUAGGAGAAUGCCAUUUGGAUUAUGUAAUGCACCUGCUACAUUUCAACGAUGCAUGUUGAGCAUUUUUUCUGAUAUGGUGGAACGAUUCCUUGAAGUCUUUAUGGAUGAUUUUUCUGUCUUUGGUGACUCGUUUGAUCAAUGUUUACAUCAUCUAACACUAGUUCUGCAGAGAUGUAUCGAGAAGAACUUGGUCUUAAAUUGGGAGAAAUGCCAUUUUAUGGUAAAACAAGGUAUUGUUCUCGGUCACAUCAUUUCGAGCAAAGGUAUUGAGGUUGACAAAGCCAAGGUGGAUCUCAUUUCUAAUCUUCCUCCACCCAAAACAGUCAGAGAAGUAAGAUCUUUCCUUGGGCAUGCUGGUUUCUAUAGACGUUUCAUUAAAGAUUUUAGUAAAGUUUCUAGACCCUUAUGCAAUUUGCUUGCUAAGGAUGUACCUUUUGUCUUUGAUGAUUCAUGUCUUGUUGCGUUUGAAAAAUUAAAGCAUUUGUUGACAUCAUCACCCAUCAUUCAGGCCCCAAACUGGAACUUACCAUUUGAGCUAAUGUGUGAUGCAUCUGAUUAUGCAGUAGGAGCAGUAUUAGGACAAAGAGUUGAUCGAAUUCCCCAUGUUAUUUACUAUGCUAGUAUGACAUUGAAUGAUGCACAGUUGAACUAUUCAACUACUGAAAAAGAAAUGCUAGCAGUAGUGUUUGUAUUGGAAAAAUUUCGAUCAUAUCUCAUUGGUUGUAAAAUAAUUAUAUUCACAGAUCAUGCUGCUCUUAAAUAUCUUCUCACAAAGAAAGAUGCAAAAGCCAGACUAAUUCGUUGGGUGUUACUUUUGCAGGAAUUUGACUUGGAAUUCAAAGAUAAAAAAGGGACAGAAAAUGUUGUGGCGGACCACCUCUCUCGUCUCCAUUUUGACACAAUAAUAGAACAAUUACCAUUAAAUGAGUCAUUUCCAGAUGAACAAUUAAUGAGUGUGGAAGUAUUACCUUGGUAUGCUGAUAUAGUUAAUUAUCUUGUUACAGGUAAACUUCCAGAGCAUUGGACCAAGCAAGACAAGGCUAAAUUCUUUGCAGAGAUAAAGAAUUUCUUUUGGGAUGACCCGUAUUUGUUCAAGUAUUGUGCGGAUCAAAUUGUUAGACGAUGUGUCCCAGAAAGUGAAAUUCAGAAUAUCCUUUCAUUCUGCCAUGAACAAGCUUGUGGAGGCCAUUUCAGUGCUAAGAAAACAGCGACUAAAGUUUUACAAUGUGGUUUCUAUUGGCCAACACUAUUUCGAGACGCUUACACUUUUUGUUCUUCAUGUGAUAGGUGUCAACGAAUGGGGAGCAUUACACGAAGGAACAUGAUGCCACUAAAUCCAAUUUUAGUGGUUGAGAUUUUUGACGUAUGGGGUAUCGACUUCAUGGGACCCUUUCCCCCUUCUUUUGGCCAUCAAUACAUAUUGGUUGGUGUUGACUACGUCUCAAAAUGGGUAGAAGCAAUUCCAUGUAGGACCAAUGAUCACAAGGUGGUGAUAGGAUUUUUGAAAAGCAACAUUGUCUCGCGCUUUGGAUUCCCUCGAGCAAUAAUCAGUGAUGGUGGUGCCCACUUUUGUAACAAAGCAUUCAAAGCUCUUUUGACAAAGUAUUCAAUCACGCACAAAGUGGCGACCCCGUAUCAUCCGCAAACCAGUGGCCAAGUUGAGAUCUCCAAUCGAGAAAUAAAGCACAUAUUAGAAAAAACGGUGAGGCCGGACAGAAAAGAUUGGUCAUUAAGACUUGAUGAUGCCUUAUGGGCAUAUAGAACGGCUUUCAAGACCCCGAUUGGGAUGUCACCCUACAGGCUAGUGUAUGGAAAAGCUUGCCACCUACCUGUGGAACUCGAGCAUCGUGCGUAUUGGGCCAUCAAGAAAUUCAAUUUUGACAUGCAGCAAGCCAGCUCAGAAAGAAGAUUACAGCUGGCAGAACUUGAAGAAAUUCGCAAUGACGCGUACGAAAAUGCCAAGAUUUACAAGCAACGAAUGAAAGUCUUCCAUGACAAGCAAAUUAUGAGAAAAUCUUUCACCCCAGGUCAGAAAGUGCUUUUAUUCAAUUCUCGCUUGCACCUAUUCCCAGGUAAGUUACGCUCUCGAUGGUCUGGCCCAUUUAUUGUUCAUACUGUUUUUCCACAUGGGGCAAUUGAAAUUAAAGACCCAAAGAACGGUGUCACGUUUAAAGUUAAUGGUCAAAGAUUAAAGCCAUAUCUAGAGUACCAACCACAUGAAGAAGACACCGAAAUAAAUUUGAGUGACCCACCAAAUUUGAAUUGAUUUUUUUUUUCUUUUCGUUGAUUUGAUUUUUCUUUCUUUCUUUUUAUUAUUAUUCUUUUGCUAAUUGAAAUUGUUUUUGCAUAAGUGUGUUUAUUUUACCAUUAAGUUUUCUCUUAUCAUUUUUAAUCAUGAGUCUCAUACUUAGACCGUUCCUCCUGAACAUUCUUAAACCACUUCAACGUGUCAAAACUCAUCUCAAAAGACAGAUUCAAUUUUGUAAAACACAUCGCAUUUGGGCUCUACAACCACCAGAGUUAGUAGCCUAUGUUGAGGGUUUAGAACACCAACUCAGAGACAUUGAGAGAAGUGUUUACGACAUCCAGUUGGAGCUUGAGGUAAAUUCAAUAAGAGGACGAUUUUAAUUUUCUUUGUGUGUUUUAAUUUGUUUUUCUAUUUGUGUGCUUUAGUUUGUUACCCCGGUGAAAUGGCGGAUAACGGUACUCCGUGACAAUCAAGUCGGUUACUUCAGUCUCCCAUAAUAACUGAUAUUCUGAGGCGAAGGUAUGGACAGAAACGAGAUUCUAGCGAAGCUUCACAAGCGAUUCCCUUCACUUCCUCAGAAUGCCCUCCUUACGAUCUAUAAAGCUCGGUCCGAACGCAUGCGAUUACUCAUGAGGAAUAACAUACCUGCUGACAUCCGUUGGUUAAUCGAGGCUAAAGUACGAUCGGCAGGUGAGUUACCUCCAAAAUUUAUUGCAUACAUGCCUGGUUGUGGUAAAGGAAAUUAUGCAAGAAAACGACGAGCUCGAAGAAUUUCUGUUGCUUGUCAUAAGUGUGCCAGAAUGAGUUGCAAUAAAAACCCAUGUUCUUUAGGAAUGGUGUCUGAUAACAGGGAAGAUAAGAUUCAAUUCAUUAGGGAUGGCUUGAAUAAGGAGUCAUUGGAUGAUAUCCUUUUGUCUCUUGAAACGCAUCCCAGUGGAUAUGUGCAAGGAGCGAUUCUCCAGUUAUGGCCAUUAUUCCAGAAAGAGCAUGCACGAUAUAGUCUCGGGAAUCUGACUAUAAACGACCCUGUUUGCCAGUUUAUAAGAAAAUUGGAUAGGAAGCCUAUCCUCGACCCAUAGAGGGCGUUCAAGCCGUUUCUGGACGUAAAACCAGAGGAAGAUGUGAGCCACAGUCGCAACUACCUGUAAAUAUUCUUUUACUUUAUUAUUUCACUAUUGUCUUAUUGUUUGCAUUAUUGUCUUUAAUAAUUUUAUUACUGUUUGCUUUUUUUCUUUUUACUGUUUUCUUUUUGACUCGCGAGCCACGUGCUUUACGCGUUAUUUGACAUGGACAUGUGACCUCAUACACAACUAUGACCCAUUAUCACCAAGACUCUUAAAUGUGAUUUUCUUUGUCAAUCACUCACAAAUUAUUUUUGCGAAGUAUCACAAUGGCAGCUACUCCCAAUAGACAAUUCAAGAACAUUUGUGUGCUUUCUGGAUUUACAUAUGGCAAACAUAAAGAGUUCGUUGAGGCAGCCAUAGAUCUUGGUCGAAGCAUAGCAGCGAGAAAAUUACACUUGGUGUAUGGAGGAGGUAAUCGAGGGUUAUCAAAAAUGGUCUCAGAAGCAGCUCUUAUCAGAGGAAGUCAAGUGUUAGGCAUCAUCCCAAGAGUCUUAAAACCAUUGGGCAGUUCGUCUGACUCAUCAACUGGAGAAGAGUUAGUCGUCUCAAGUAUGCAGGAAAGAAUAACUGAAAUGCUUAAUCAUGCUGAUGCUUUUAUUUUCCUUCCAGGAGAUCUUGCAACACUAGAGGCACUUAUGACACUAGCAUCUUGGGCCCAUCUACACAUUCACCAGAAACCCAUCGGUUUGUUAAAUGUCAAUAACUUUUAUGAUGGCUUUAUCGCAUUUCUUAACCAUGCAAUAAAAAACUAUUUCAUUCCCUCUAAUGCGAAAAAACUCUUUAUUUGUGCUCACACUGCUAAUGAGCUACUUGAUAUGUUACAAGCUUAUCGACCGGAGCCAGACCCCUGGACCUUUGUGUUGGAGCGUCCAAAUAAUGAUGGUAACAGUAGCCGCAGUAAGAAGUACAAAUUAGAUUUAACUCUCCGCCUGUAAAUAUUUUCUUCUGUGUUGCACCACCCAGGUGAUGUCUUCUAAACUCUACUUCUUUCAUUUCAAACAUUGAGGACAAUGUUUCGUUCUGGUUGGGGGGAGGGAAUAGUCGACAAUUGUGGAAUUUUGGUUAAGUUUUUACUAAUUUUUUGUUGUAGAAACUAACUGUUGCUAACUUUUUGUGUUGAAGAUGGCUGAAUAUGGAGUGUAGUUACUCUAGAAACGCAUCUUCAUUGUUUGAAAAAAAAAAUUCAAAAAAAAAAAACAAUUCAGACAUUUUCUUUUUCUUUAUUAUGUGUUUAUGUUUAUUUUUCUUCUUUAAUUUCUCCUCUAUAAAUAUAAAUUUUCCAACUUUUGAGUCGAAGAUGGCUGAAUAUGGAGUGUAGUUCCUCUAGAAACGCAUCUUCUUUUAAAAAAAAAAAAAUCAUUUUCGUUUUCUAUCAUUUUACGUGUAACUUUUCUAAUUAGUUUUUAUACAUCAUUUUCACAUUUCUGCAUGCAUAUUUUCCUUUCAUGUUUAGAAUAGGUUGGGGGGUAGAAUGAUGUUUAAAAAAAAAAAUGUGUGAUUUGUUUUAACAUUGGAUGACAUGAUUAAUUUCAAAUUUUAGUAUUUGUAUUAUCUUUGGUCUUAAGUGAUGUUACGCUAUGUUUGCUACUUUACAUGUUGAUGUCGGAGACAAAUGUGAGUUGCUUGAAGGAAUGAAUAUGUCAUAAUAAGUACCAAGUGAGUUUUUGAGCCUAUUAUUUUUCUUGGAGAAUAACCCUUUUGCCCACUCUUUAUACAGCUUAGCAGUUUAUUAUUUUAUACACGAUCUCUAAAUUACUUUUGAGUUAACCCUUAAAAAAAAAAUUGUAAAAUAAAAAAAAAGAGAAAAAAGAAAAAGAAAAAAGAGUGUGUUGCUACAUUUGGAGGCCCAUCUAACUAGUAGAUAUGGAAGAUUAUUUAGAGCCCUAAAAGACGAUGGAGAGGCCAUCUUUGAUCCGUUUGAGCCUUUCAAGCCAUCCCUUUUUAAUAUCCAUAGUUAACCCUUUUGAGCCUAUAAAAAAAAAAAAAAAAAAAAAACCUUUUCUUUGUCAACUUAUCAUCUUGACCCACUCCGAUUUGGAGUAUUACCCGAUAUCUUAUAAGUUCCAUCACCUAUUUAUGUUUGAGAAAAUGUAAAUAAUUAUUUUGUUCAGUGAAGUUAUGCCAAAUAAAAAAAAAACAAAAACAAAAGUUGUUGUUUCAAAAGAAUAAAAAUAGGUGAAAUCCACCUUGCAACUUCCAAAAAAAAAAAAAAAAUUCUCUGCAUUUUUCUCAAACAUACACUUUGUUUUCCUUAUUUUCCUUCUUUGUUAGCCAUGUCCCUAGCCUACGUUUCGUCCUAAUAAAAGUCCUUCUUGAUUUUAGGGAACUAUAGUUUGAAGUAGAAGCUAGUUAUAUGGGCUAAAAAGAUGUAGUGAUGCAUAAUUAAAAAAAAAAAAAAAGAUAAAUAAAGUGGGUUGACUAACAUUUUAUUUGACUUGAGAUCGUAUUAUUUCUAAGCUGAGGGCAUAUUUAUUUCAUCUUGGUGAGAGCAUGUGAUAUCACUUCUUUAUUAUUUUCUCUCUCAAUUACCAUUCAUUGGAGUGACUAUUUUUAUUGGGAUUAAUUUAUUUGUGAGAGUGUCACUACUUCCAGUGAGAUUUUGGGGUUUGACAUUUCAUUCUUGAGAGUAGCUAUAACAAAGUCUACUGGGCUAAUUCAUGUGGAUGGUUGAUGUGGGUGUGAUGUUGCUUUAGACUGGAGAUAAUGCUUAUACUUUUAUUUGAUUGCUAUCAUUAAUCUGAUGGAAUAAAUACGAGUGUUUCUAUUAAAAAAAAAAAAAUUAUUUUGAAUUUGAAUUUUGUUUUCGCUUUAUUUGCUAGGGACUAGCAAUAAGCUGGUUGGGGGGUGUGUUGAGUGUUAGAAAAUGCAUAUUUAUAAAGGAGAAAACCGUCAUUUUACAUUUUAAGUCUUACUAACAACCCUUACUUUUAUAUAUUUAACCUUCUUGUGAUUUAAUUACAUGUGUUUUAUUUUAAUUAAGUAUUUUAUGUAUUUUAGGGGCAUUAUAGUCAUUUCACAAUAAAGGAGAGAUCAGACGGCAAAACGGACAUCACUUUUGAACUCAGGACGGUCGAAAACCUUAGGAGGAGCAUAAAAGGAAAAAUGGCACUAUUCACAUGUACGGUACUAUUCACGUAUACGGUACUGUCUACGUUACUGUUCACGACACUGUUCACAUAGACGGAUCGAUGACGUGGCAUUGACCGAUGAUGUGGCAUUGACUGAUGAGGUGUCACGAUCCUGUUGGGCUAAAAUUCUUAUGUACUGUUGAUGGUGACGUGGCAGCAUAUCAGUGGACGAAAAAUCUCGUGUACGGUGCAUGCAUCACACAGGAUUAUUUUCAACCAAACCGCGUUACUGUUCAUCCGGGUCAAACCGCGUUACUGUUCAAAGUCGGGUCAAACCGUGUUACUGUUCAUCCGCGUGGUCAAACCGUGGACUGUUGACUGAUGACGUGGCGCAAUCCUGAGCGUCCAAACUGUUUUUAAUCCGAUGGCCAUGAUUUACUCCAUGUAUCUAUAAAAAGGGGGCCUCCCCCCCCUAAUUUGAUAUCUCUGAAUCCAUUUUUGGGAUCCAUUUUCUGUAAUUCCUUCUCCAUCUUGUAUUUUCUUCAUAUUUUAAUAAAUUCCCAUUUUGCCCCUAGUUCAAUUAUGAGUGGCUAAUUUUCUUUCAAGCUUGGGUUGAAGGUGAAGUCUCAACAUGUGUCAUGGGCUUAAUUUGGUAAAUUUAUUUUCUCUUCCCCUCUAGUUUUUGUGGAUGUUUUGACUUCUCGUCGACAAAUAAUACUAAUCUUGUCUAGUACCGCCUUGGUUUCACCGGCUCUCUAGUAUAAGGUUAUUAUUAUUUGGCACGAUAAGCCCUUAGCACCAUAUUGAUUAGAGUGUGGUUCAUGCGGUGUGGAUUCCCCCCUCAUGAUUUAAUUGGUAUUAAUAAGGAAUAUUUAGCCUAUGAUGCAUGUUGAUACGGAUCCAGAUACCCAAGUACGUCAUUUCAAUAGAAUUCUCUUCAAUUUAUUCUCACCAUUUCAAUACCAAUUUUAGAAUUUAUUCUCUCCAUUUUAAUUUAAGUUUUAGCAUAUUCCAAUCAUUUCCACCACAAAUCUAAUCACCCAUUCACAAAAUUAAUUCUACACAAUUAAAAUCCACCUCCUCGUGGGAUCGACACUCGUCACCAUUAAUCUAUACUACAACAGAUUCGUGCGCUUGCGAGUACAUUAAAAUUUGCACAACACCUGGUCCUCUGGUGGCCAGCCACAUCUCUCUCAAAACGAACCAGCACCGGCCUGUGAUCCGAAGCAAUUUUCGGGAGAUGGAGCACAUAAUUAUUCAUAUAUUUAAGCAGCCAUUCACUAUUACACAAAGCUCUAUCAAGCCUUUUAAAAAGCAAUCCACGUGACCAAGUAAACCUUGGACCCUUAAAUUUCAAGUCAAAAAGUUUAUGCCCAUCAAACCACUUCCGAAACAGAUUACACACUCCUGAGUUCCUGGCCACACCCCCUUGCUUUUCUGAGGCGUAUAAGAUAGAGUUGAAAUCCCCACCUAUCAACCAAGGCUCUUGAAUUAAAGGCGCAAGGUUCUCCAUAUGGCACCACAGCUGUCUCCGCAACAUUGGGUUUGGACUGGCAUAAACAGCCGUUACCCAAGACACAAAAACAUUGUUCCUGCAAAUUUUAAAAUGGAUGAACUGCCUGUGAUUAAUUGAGACCUCCACCUCUAUAGAACUUCGCCAAAGAAGCCAAAUUCCUCCAGAAAAACCCACAGCUUCCACCCGGUGCGAGUAAUCAAAUCCACUUUUCUUUAUAAAUUCAUCGGCUUUCACCCCACUAGUACGAGGUUCCAUUAAUACCACCAUCGAUGGGUUGUAAUUUUUAAUAAUAGUCCUAAACGAGCACCUGAAUUCCCCCGAGGCUGCCCCUUGGACAUUCCAGAACAUAAUACUGACUGUCAUAAAAAAUAUAAGAAGAGAGAACAUGAGGCUACUGUUGCUAUCCAGAGACAUCAUCCAUCAAUGCCAACGGCGUUUCCUGAACCAUCGAAAAUUCAUCAUCAGUCAUCCCAUCUCCAUCUAUACCACUCAUAGGAACAUCUGGAUGGUUACAAACAUGUCCACCUUCUUUCACCCGAGAAGUGUUAUGGUUAUCAGGAGGGUCUGCUAAGGGUUGCGGAUCCGAUCCCUGCAUCUCUAUAUGAUCCGUGGCCACUUCCCUUACAUCUCCAUUAAGAAGUGUUGGGGGAGAACAAAAAACCAUUGUGUGUUUAGUAGGAUCCAAGGUGGAUUCGAAAGAAACCACACGUUGGUUACUAGAUACUUUCUGGGGGAAACUAUGUGAAUUGGAUUUUUGGUUGGCAUGGGGUAAGAGAGUUAUAUCCUCAUCUCUGAUACUUAAAUCACUAGGCUGGAAAGGGUUACUAGUAGGGACCACUGGAGCAUUUAGCUUUUUGCUCUGAUUCCUUAUUACCACGGUCUUAUUUUGCAGCUUUCGACGAGCUAAAAUCUGUACUGUGUUAUUUGUUUUGGCUGUAAAUGUAGGGUUUGAGGCGGAUAUGAAAGGCUACCGUGAGGUGGAGGGGAAGUCUGUGCAAGCCUCCUGCACUUGGUGUCCUCCUUCAUCCGGGACUUGGGAUAGAAUGUGAAACCUUGAGGUACCAGCUCCAGUAAACUCCCUAUUCCGAUUUAAGUCUCUAGUAUUCAUCCUUCCAUUAUUAGGCUUUCUUCCUCUCCUAGGAGCCAUCAUCCAGGGACCAAAUGGUUCCACAGUGCUGUCGCCAUUACAACCUUUAGCCUGUUGGCCAGGAGCCUCGUUUCCCGGCAUUGCCUGAUGGGAUUGACCAGCUUCUUUAGAGCUUGUCGAGUUCUUAGCAUCUUUGCAAUUAUUACUAUUGUGCCCGUAAAGUCCACACUUAUAACAAAUUACUGGCAAGCCCUCAUAUUCGACCUUCUGUAUCUUCCCAUCCAACUCAAACUGAGACACCAGUGGCCUAGUUAAAGAGAUACUCACUGCAAGGCGGGCAAAUCUUCCACGAGAUGAGGAGGCUGUAUUCAAAUCGAUUGUAAUCACGUUCCCCACUAACUGACCCAGCUUUUGAAGAACUUUUCGAUCGUAAAGAUGAACAGCAAGGCCAGGUAAUCUGAUCCACACCGUGACCUGUUCAAGAGCCGUGUUUGUGAAGUCAAAGGAUGGCGUCCAUGGCUGCACCGUUAAAUAGUGACCCAUGACAAGCCACGGCCCCUUGGUUAAUGCAUCCAUAGCAUCCCCUACCGAGCGAAACCGAACCAGAUAAUAGUUAUUCUCCAAGUCUAUCACUGAAAACCCCAUGGCUGAUUUCCACAUGCCAUUCAAUCUUGCACAAAGGGCUCUAUAGCCAAUUGUGCGGCCAAGCAACUUUACAACAACCGAGUUCUUCCAAGGCUCACUUAACUUAGCAUGAACCCUAGCCGAAAAAGUGAUGGAUGGCAUGGAUCCCUCGUUACUUUCAGUAACGUCCCCUUCCUCAAAAUCCCAGUCAUCUAGUCCACCUCCAACUCCUUGCUCCAUCGCUUGCGUUGCAUUCACUAGGGUUUCUUUGUACGAUACCUGAGCAGUGGGAUCACCAGCAUGUUCCUCAUCGCGAAACCUCGCUUUUUUAGUCGUUCUAGCCUCCCUGAACGGCGGGGGAAAAAUCCCUCCGGAGAUAGGGUUUCCUUCACAUCCGUGGUUUUCGGAGCUUUCCAUUGAAUUUCGCUUGAUUCACUAAAAAAAUUAACGUUUUUAUGAAGGCUCGAACCAUUGCACUCAACAUUGUAAGUGCAUAUUGGAGUUAUUGGUAAAAUCACAAUUUUAUUUCUCAUCAACGAUAUCCUUCUCUUAUCUUCCCAUUGUUUAACCUCGGGUGGUUCAGUUAAUUCAAUACCGGCAGAAACCAAAAAGUUUUCAUUCUCCACUUCACAGGCUAUCCACAAGGUCAUAUCACGAAUCACAUCAUGCAGUUUUACAUAAUCUGAUCCUGCUUCUUCCAAUAGGCAUGCAUGAACAAGAACACCAAUAAUGUAGUAUCCUUGGUUAUGUACUCCAUUAAUUCCUUUAUAUUCCUUUAGAAAACCCUCACCAAUCCAACACCCUACCAAUUCAAUUUUGCUAAUUUGAUAAUCCUCAAGAAAUAAACUACAGUAUAACAGACAAGAUCUAAGGACGUCACUAGACAAACUAUCAUAACUGAAUUUUAAAAGACGAAACACCUCUUUCUCCAUACCUGGAAAUUCAUAAGCUGAUCUCCUUAACAUCUGAAUUGCAUAGCUCCAUUCUUCGGGUGUCUUCUUGCUGCUCAUGGCACGACCGGUGGUAAUAAGUGCAAGUGGCAAACCACUACACUCCUUUGCCACAGUUUGGGCUAACUCCGGAAUAUCGGGAUGACUUUCAAGAGUCUCUUCUCCGACCUUCUUUAGGAACAAUUCCCAAGCAUCUUGAUCUGCCAAACACUCCACCUUGAACUUUUUUUGAGCUUCCAUGAGGCCACAGACGUCCACAAGACGAGUCGUAAAGACUAUCUUUGAUGCAUUUCUUGAACUCCCAGGAAAAGGGACACCCACUUUGGCUAAAUCAAUUCUUUCCCAUAUAUCAUCUAACAAUAGCAGAAAUUUCAUUUUGCUCAAUAAAUUGAAUAUGCCUGAUGCUUUCUCUUCAAAGCUUCUAUUCUGAAGCCAUCCUAUUCUUUCUCCGAUUUUCUGUUGAAUUCUCUCAAGUUGCAUGUCUUUUGACACCACCACCCAAAUCACAAUAUCAAAAUAAUUUGGUGUAUUAAGGAACUUGUUGUUGAUUUGGGUUAAUAGUGUAGUCUUGCCGACUCCCCCCAUGCCAUAAAGUCCGAUGAUUCCAAAUUGUCCUUCUACAAGACAUCUCCAAACUUGAUCAAAUGAUGAUUCUAGGCCGAUUAUUGUUGGCUGAAGAGGCCUUUCAUCCACUGCUGGUUGUGGUACCUUUUCAGCUACCACUGCAAAAGCUCCAUCAUCUAUUAAAGUAGCCACAAGCUGCAGCUUUUUAGACACCUUUUUCCCAAACUUGUAGCUUGACUUGCAGUUCUUGGAGCAGUAGCCUCCAAGACAUAGUUUUUCAAUUUCUUGAGAGCUGUCCCUUCUCAAUUCACCUACUUCAGCUUCCACAGCCUCCAACCUUGCACUCUGUUCAGCCGUCUUAGUUGUUGUUGCUCAGCAUUAGCGACCCUCAUCAUCACAUCGUUCUUUGUUUCAAUUAGUUUCUGCAAUUCGGUCUGGACGGCAACCAGAUUAUUUUCAAGCUGGCUUAGAUAUGCUGCUUUUCUGCGGGUACAAUUGAUGAAGCCAGUGGAAAGGGCAUCACAUGUAAGUUGGAUUCCCAAAAUAUUACCCAUAGUUUGUAUGAGAUUCAGAGUACAAUAGAAGGAAUGCAACACAGUAUGUAUUCGGUUGUGGUGUCUAUGAUUUUACAGUCGCAGAAGCUUAUUCACCUUGUGAGGGCUGGUCAGGUGGGCACCAUCACUCUCCUUACUCUUUAUAGAGAGCGAUAGUCCAUGUGGUCAGAUCUCAUUCAGAUAACUAGCCAAGUGGGCAAUCGCUCCACCUUAUCAAAAUUCUUCAUCUUAUAAUAAUAUCAUGAGUAGGCCUUGAAUUUUUCUUUUAAUUUUAACAUUUAAAAGGUAGAGGUGAAAAAGUCUACAUAGUAUUUUUGUCCUCGUACUUUAAUAACAUUUCUUGAAAGUCACUCGAUCUCAAAAUUUAAUUAAGAAGAUAUUAUAGAUUUAUAAGCCCUUAAAUUUUAUUUGCAAGUAAGCCCAUAAGACUUACUAAAAGUCGUCAACUCGUCAUGACCAAAAUUGAAAAUUCGUCCGCGCGUGAAAUACGGCAUGCACAGUCGUAUUAAAAGCAAAGGCCAGCUAUGAUAGUCUUCGUAUACUUGCAUUCCCUAUCAUCUUAUUAAUAAUUUCAGACACGUAGUUCGUUGCUUGUGAUUUUUCAUAUGCAAAAGCACAGUCAGUGUUACAUUUUACAAUUACAAUUGAGUGCCACCUAUAUACUCCUUCAUUCUUUUCAAAAUAUGUUGUAGGAUGGGUAAUUGUGACAAAAGUGAUUUUUAAAAAAAAUUAACUUUUAAUUUUUUUUAAAUUACUUUUGAGAUUUGUGAAAAAAAUCCUAAACGGGUCUCAGAAGUAUAAUUAGCACCGCGAAUUUAUAAAAUGAUCAAAGGAAUCCAUCGCCUAAUAUUAUAGUACGCAAUUGAUUGCUAUAAACUAAAUUGCUAUGAUCUCACUUCAUAAUAAUUUAUUUUCAAUCUCCAUCAUGGUAGAAAAAUUUCAUCAAUCAACAUACCCUACCACCACCCAAUAGUCGACCAUUUAUCAUCUUCUAUCCGUAAAAAACCGAAAAAAAAAAAGAAAAGGAAAAAUUUAGUCCACAAAAGAAUAUAUCGCAAGACCAAACAGAGAGAGAAAAUAGAAAAAGCAAAGAGCUGUACUGAAUACCGGCGGUGAUGGCUCCGUACUUGACCAUUUAGGUUUGAUUCUGCAUUCACAUAAUAUUUUUUCUACACUGCAGUCACAUCACAACCAUUGAAUAGUCGUGAUCUAUUUUUCUAAAGCGAAUAAUAUUAUCUUCUCGUGUCGGUGGCUUGAUCAUAUAACAAAAUAGACUAAUAAUGUUUCAAUAGACAUUUUGGUAAAUGGAAGAAGUUAUGAUCUGUCCAUUUUUAUGUUACUUUAUUUUAAUUUGUUAAUUACUAUUAAUAUCUUUGAGUGGGAUAGAAUCUUGACCUAAGAUAUGACUAGGCUCCACAUGUUAUAUAUUAAUUUGAUUAAGCCUAGCUAAUUGUUAAUUAUUAAUUUGAUUGCGGCUUUUUAUUUUACCCACAUUUUUUAUGCGUGAAAUCUUUCUUAGUGAAAAACUACACGUAUUUGCAAAUAUUCGGAAUGGACAUUUUCGAAAAAACAAGUAAAAGAAAAUGACUAAAAAGUAAAAGAAAAUAGACACCCAAUUGUAAUUGCGAGGACAAUAGAAGGAAUGCAACAAACAGCUCUCUCCUUACACUCUUAUAGAGAGUUAUAGUCCAUGAUCUCAUUGAGAGAACUAGCCAAGUGGGCAAUCGCUCCACCUGAUCACAAUUCUUCAUCUUAUAAUAAUAUCUUGAGUCGGCCUUCAAUUUUUUUUUUCAAUUUUUAUCUUUAAAAGGUAGAAGAAGUGAAAAAGUUAAAUAAUAUUUUUGUCCUCCUAUAUAACAUUUUUUGAAAAUCACUCGAUCUUAAAACUUAAUUAAGAAAAUAUUAUAGAUUUUUAAGUUAGUGGCCCUUAAAAUUUAUUUGCAAGUAACAAUUAGAGAAAAGUCGUCAUGCCCAAAUGACUUACUAAAAGUCUGCAACUCGUCAUGACCAAAAUUCUUCCGAGUGUGAAAUACGGCAUGCGCAGAUGCAUUAAAAACAAAGGCCAGCUAUGAUAAUCUUUGUAUACUUGCCUUCCCUAUCAUCUUAUUAAUAAUUUCAGACGCGUCGUUCGUUGCCUGUGAAUUUUCAUAUGCAAAAGCACAGUCAGUGUUACUUGCAUUCCCUGUCACCUUAUUAAUAAUUUCAGACACAUCGUUGGUUGCCUGUGAUUUUCAUAUGCAAAAGCACAGUCAGAAUUACAAUUUACAUUUGGAAUUGAGUGCCAUCUAUUUAUUCUAGCUGGAUCUAAAAUGAUAUUGCAGUAUUGCACUGACUUUUCAGUCACAGCGUUUCUCUAUGAAUUCCUUAAAGUUUAGACCCAUCAUGGAAUAAUUAUUUUCUUAAAGACCAAAUUAACAUAAUUCUUAAAUCAUCUUCCGAGUGUCAAAUACGGCAUGCGCAGAUGCAUUAAAAACAAAGGCCAGCUAUGAUAUUCUCUGCAUACUUGCAUUCCCUGUCACCUUUAUUAAUAAUUUCAGACACGUCGUUGGUUGCCUGUGAUUUUCAGACACAUCGUUGGUUGUCAGAAUUACAAUUUACACUGAUUUUUUAGUCACAGCGUUUCUCUAUGAAUUCCUUAAAGUUUAGACCCAUCAUGGAAUAAUUAUUUUCUUAAAGACCAAAUUAACAUAAUUCUUAAAUCAUUUAUAAAACAACAUUUAUCAUAUAACAGAUCGUACAUGAAUAAAUUUACCUUGAACCGUAGCAAACAAACAAGAAUCUCAACCACAUCAAUAUCAUAAUCCCUUCUGACCUUAACAAUAAUUUUAUUCGUCCUUAAUUCAUAGGUAUAAGUAUCCCAAUAUAUACUUGAUGUCAACCUUUACAAUUCUUUACAGAAUUGCAGCAGACCAAAUUUGUAUGCAAAACUGAAAUCAUACAGUAAUUGAAUACAGUGAUAGUAAUUAGUAUAUAUAAAUAUCUUAAUAAUUUAAAAGUUUCUUAAACUGCUUUUACAUAUCUGAAAAAUUAUAGAAAUCGGAACUGCUGCAGAAAUCAUAAUUUCCCAGCGAAUGUGUUACAACUUCAGAAACUCAUAAGAAAUUAAAUUCUUGGGAUCACAAAAUAAUUCAAUAGAAAGCUUAAGAUGUCUAGUUCAUAAAAUCUGAAUUUUUUUUUAAAAAAUAAGAUCUUUGGAAUUUAAGAGAUUCAGCAGUACUUUUAUUACAUCAAUUCUUCAAACAAUCACCAAUCUAACAUUCAUCAAAAUUAAGUCAUAAAAAUCAUGUGGUUUAUAAAAAGAAUUACCUGAAAAAGAUUAGCCUUCCCCUUUCAAAAGCAACGUGAAACUCCAAAAACUCUUCUUCCAUUGCCUAUUCAAACAUGAAAAAAAAAAUUAGUAUAUCUUCUUUAAACGCGUGAUGAGUGUGCUCUGUUUUCUCUGUUCUUCUUCUUCUUUUUUAGAUUUCGAAAACGUAAAGAGUGUUGGAGUCUUUAUUUUCUAAAAACAAGACUUUUCCAUGUAUUCAGUUAAAUUAAAUUAUGUCCUAAUGCUAUGUCAGUUCCAUCAUUAGCAUUUUUUUUUUUGGCUUUUAACACCAACAUUAGCGUAUGUUAAGUAUCAUAAUCCAUAGUUGGACAAUUUGAAAUCUCUUCGUGGUUUAUCUCAAAGUAGAGCUUCAAUCAAUUUGUACCUCAUAAAUUUACAAUAUCUAUGAGGGCUAAUAAGACCAAACUCUGGCAUAUUGUCAAAUGUGCUUAUACUUUCGCUUGACAAGUCAUUUUAAAAUUGUCUUUCAAUGCCAAAAAAACCACAUCAACUAAUGGUCCACUACUUUAAUUUGAAAGCAUGCAUGCGAUCGCCAAUAAUCAAGGAUGUUAGGGUCAUGCUACAGAGUAUAGAAUAUGAUUUUAUGGUAUAGCCUUCUUUCUUUAUAAUUUUUAAAUUUAAUACUGUUACUUAUGUAGCACAUAAGUUGGAAAACAUAACAUAAAAUUUGAAAAAUGUAUAGUUUUCGUUCCCUUUUUUCCCCUCUAAAAAUGGGAAAAAAGAACGUAAUUUUGAUUUAUUUAAAUUACUGUUGUGAUAACAAUUUUUAUUUUAUUGAUUAUUUACCCAUUCAUGUGGCAAAUUUUUUAAGAUAAGGUGAAGGAUGAAGCUCAAAAACAUAAAUUAUAUAAUUAAUUACCCUCUCUAGUAAGUUUAAAGUUUAUUAUUUUGAACUACAUGUUUAUAAUUUAUUUUUAUUAUGUGUUAAUAUAUAGAUCUAAAUUCACUUUGGAACCAUAUACAUAUUUAGACCUAAUGUGCAUGUUAAUCUAUAGAUCUAAAUUUACUUCUAAAUUCACUUUAGAUCUAUAUGAGUAUUUAGACAUAACGUAUUGCAACCAUAUUGGCAUGUUCUCACUAUAGUAUUGGUGUAUUGACAUUAUAUCUAAUUGUCCCUAUAAAUCCAAAAAUAAUCUAGAUAUACAAAUUAACAUAAAAUAAAGAUAAUUGGUAGAAAAUGCAAAUUAUAAACAUAUAAUUGAAAACGAUAAAUUUAAAUUUACUUAAGAAAGUAAUUAAUCACUUAUUUCUUUUUUAUAAUAUGACAAAUAUUAUAAUAAAUAUUAAUUAAUAAUAAUUAGAAUAACAAACUAAAGAUAUUUUAGUAACUUAAAAUAAUUCAUUUUGAUUUCGAGACAAAAUAAACACAUCAAUCGCAAUACAACUCAUUCUGAUUCCACUCAUUCAGAUUUCAACAUAUUUUAAUUAAUUCAAGUGCUCUCCAUUAUAAUUGAAGCCGCUGCCCCAUCCCACUCGUGAUUCCAAACUUUAUCUUUUUCCUUUUUUAAAUUAAUGCAAGCAGCCGCUGUCCUUUUUGUUAAUUAAUUAAUUAAUUCGGCCGCCCACAUUUCUUUUCCUAAUGUCUUCGGCUUUCGAUUUUCUUUUAUUUUCUUUUUAUUCUUAAAAUAGACUUAUAAUAAUAAAAUAUAAAAAUAUAAAAAAAAUUAACAUAAUCAAAAUAUAAUUUAACAGAAAAUUAAGAUAAAAAUGUGAAAAUAAUAUAUAAAUUAUGAGCGUAUCAAUCAAUAAAUGAAAAAUAAUAAUUUUUAUUUUUAUUAAAUAUAUAUUUUUCAAUAUUAAUCAGUUAUCUAAAUAACUAAAAUCAGUUAAAAAUAAAUAAAUAAAUUAUUCUUAAAAAAAAAAAACUUUUUAUACCACUCACUAUGCUGGCUGUCAAGGGUAGAAGCUUUGGGGACUGAAGUUGGUAACUUCUACAAGUAGUCUUAAGUUGACUGGCAACAACUAUAUUGGCAUUUGGACAUAAUGUUCUGCAACCAUAUUGGCAUGUUCAAUUGUUCUCACUAUUGUGUUGGUGUGUCGAUAUUAUCUCUAACUGCCCUAUAGAUCCAAAAAUAAUCUAAAUUUAUAAUUUAACAUAAAAUAAAAUAAUUGGUAGAAAACAAUUAUGGUUCAUUUACUUAUCAGUAAUUAGAAUAGACUGAAAUCAGAAUGAGUUGUACUGCCGUUAAUGUGUUUAUGUUGUCCUUGAAUCGGAAUGAAUUAUUUUAAUUUACUAAAAUACCCUUGGUUUGUUAUUCUAAUUAUUAUUAUUUAACAUUUAUUAUAAUAUUUGUCGUAUUAUUAAAAAGAAUUAAUAAUGAUGAUAAUAUUAUCAUUAUUGUUUGUUAUAUUAUUAUUAUUAUUUAAAAAGUUAUUGUUAAUAACAAUAAUAACUUUAUUUCAAUAAUAAAAAUGAUAAAAUUAAUAAUAACAAUCAUGACAACAACAAUAAUUAUUUAUUAUGCCAAAAAUAACAAUAAUAAUAAGAAUAAUAAUCAUCAUCAUUUCAAAAAAAAAUCAUCAUCAUCAUCAUUUUUGUAGUGGCUGCCUAUCGGCUGUUGCUUUCAUGCGAGAUUAACUUGCGACGCUUCAACUGCUAUUAUUUCUGGCAAUGUCAGGUGUUGUUGUUUCAAUGGGGGGAGAAGCUGUUUCGGUGCACUAACGAUGGGAGGUGUUGUGGCUGCGAUUCGAGGAGCUACUGGUUCAGUGCACUAAUGACGGCAGGUGUUGCUGCUCAAUGCAAGGUCCAUGGCCAGUUGUCUUGUUUUACACCCAGCUCUUGUAGGAAAUUCUUUAUCAAAAAUAUUUUUUUUGUAACCUUCAAUAAUUGUAAUAUCAUUUGCUUCCGUGGUAGAAAGGACAACUCAUUACUAAGUCUAGAUUGUGAUGAGACUGCUCUCCCUACAAAAGUGAGCAAAUAUCAUUGUAGGGAUUUUUCAGAAUCAACAUCUCCUGUCAUAUCUACACACUUGUAACACAAGUUUGUCACCACCAAAAUAUAAACAUAUUCUGGAAAUGCCUAUAAGAUAUCUGAGAAUUCAUUUCACUGUUGUCCAGUGCUCUUUGCCGAGAUUGAAGAGAAACCGACUGACUACACUGACUGCAUAGGCAAUAGCUGGUCUUGCACAAAUCAUGGUGUACACCAAACUGCCAAUUGCCUAAGCAUAAGGAACUCCUCUCACUGAGAAAUGGGUUUUGCUCUUGAGAUUUUUGGGAACAUGAAGAAUAAAGAUGUAAUUUCUUGGACUACCAUUGUGUUGGGGUAUAUAAAUAGAAGACAAGUCGAUAUAGCUCGACAGUAUUUUGCUCAGAUGCCAGAACGAGAUUAUGUCUUAUGGACUGCCAUGAUUGAUGGGUACCUUCGAGUGAAUAGGUAUAGAGAGGCUUUGACACUUUUCCGGGAGAUGCAAACUUCAAAUAUAAGGCGAGACGAGUUUACCAUUGUUAGGAUUCUUACAGCUUGUGCGAAUCUGGGGGCACUAGAACUGGGAGAAUGGAUAAAGACUUACACUGACAAAAACAAGGUCAAGAAUGAUAUAUUUGUGGGGAAUGCUUUGAUAGACAUGUACUGUAAAUGCGGAGAUGUUGAGAAAGCUCAAAGGGUAUUCAGGAAGAUGCUUCGAAAGGACAAAUUCACAUGGACGGCCAUGAUUGUUGGCCUUGCCAUCAGUGGCCAUGGUGAUAAAGCUCUUGAUAUGUUUUCCCAAAUGCUUAGGGCUUCGAUCAGACCAGAUGAGGUAACUUAUGUUGGUGUUCUGUCUGCCUGUACUCACAAUGGUAACGAAAAUUUUGUGAUAAACAGUUGCAACUUAAGGUGAGAAUUGGAGGAAACGAAAUAGACUGAAGUUGUUCAAUCAUCGGUGGUUGCUAUUUGAUUUUAAGUUGUUCAAUCAUCGGUCGUCUCUAUUUGGUUUUCUCCAAUAUCUCAUCUCCAGUUUUGACUCAGAUUCUGUCUUACCACUAGUAAUUACAUAGACUUGUUGCCAAAGGUAAGAAUGGGAAUAAAUUAAAUAGAUUAUGUCGAUAACGAAAUAGAUUUACUAUUGCUAUGUGCAUUCUAUUUGGUUCCUGCAAAAUAUUUUCUCCUGCCUAAAAUUUUUUGAAUCAGUAAGUUUUUACCUUAUGCAAGAAUUGUGCUAAGAGUAAUUCCAGUCUCUCUAUGUUUCAAUGAAGACGUAAAACUUGUGUUUUAGAGCACCAAUGUUAUGCUUCUUACAAUUGGAUUUUAAUUUACUUCGUAGAACUUUUGUCAAAAAGUACUAAGAGUGUAUUUGAAAUUGAUGUACUGUAUCUUUUAAGCUACAGCUGCUGUGGAAAAAAAAACUGUAACUAUGAAAUAAAAGUUAAUAAUAUAUAGUAAAUAUAAAUUUUAAAUAAUAAUUUUGAUAAAAUUAUUAAAGAUAUAAUAGUUUUUUUAUUAUACAAGUGAAAAAUUAUAUAAACAUAGUUUUCAAGUUACAGCAGCUAGUGUUUAUCAAACACUUUAGUACUGUAUCUUUUAAGUUACAGUUGCCCGAGUUCAAUCUCAAACGCAACUUAACGAGUAGUGCACCAAACACCAACUUUAUUACAGAGAGGACUUUGGUUAAACUUUAAGAAAAACACUCAAAGGAAGAGUUAUAAAUUAUUAUAGAAAUAUUUGACAUAAAUAAAAGCCAUUCCACAAUGCGAAGAUCUUGCUAUCAUCACCAGAAACCAUCGGGAGCUUUCAGGGUUUCCAUGAAAACGCCAUUUCAUUCCAAGAGUCAAUGGUGGGUAGAAAGUGGUGCAAACGAUACUCAUUGUUAAUGCUAUAAGUUUUUGCUAAAUUAUGUCUUACCCAAAAUGAUGAUUUAAUUUCCAUUCUCAAUUAAUUUUCAAAUUUCAACACUUUUCUUUGUAGCAUGACAUUGGAAAGAUCUUGUACUACUAAAAGCUAGCACCACACGUUAAUUAUUGUUAAGUUCUUUUUCAACGUGAAAUAAAGGAAGUAGUCCUUCGUUAAAACCAUUAUAGCCAAAUUUCAUGUAAUUGGACACUUACAGACUUUCAUUUCAAGCUGGAAUUUGGUCCAACGUUUCAAAGUUGACCCAACUAAUUGUCUGGUCAAGUCCUACACAGCUAAGACCCUCAAUGAAUGAGGGUGAGACUGCUAAAAAUUACGACAGUUGAUAUUAUUAUUAUUUUGGGAUAAAUCCUCACCAAGGUGAGUGAGGAGAUUUUAUCAAAAUAAAAAUAAAAAUAUAACAAGAAAACUAGCUAAAUUAAAAUAUUACAAAAGCUAGAUGAAAUGAAAGGCAGCCUAAAAACAACCUUAUGCAAAAGAGAAGCAACAUGCUAGUAUUCCAAGCUUCUUGUUAUAAAAGUGUAGAAUGAAGUAGGUGAUGUAGUUUUAAAUUACACCUCCAUGCCCAAUCACAAUAUCAAAUAAUGCUUAAAGUAGUUAUAUUAACUCUUAAAUUUAUAAAUAAUUAAAUUUUUAAAAGUUUGGAUUUAUAUUAAAAAAUUUCUAUAUAAAUAAAUAAUCUAUGCAUUUUUACAACAUAGUCUUUAAAUUUAAACUUUUCUAGAAAAAUCUUCUGGAUAUCUUUUCUAUUAAAAAAGAGAUUCUCAAAAUUUAUAAAAGUAACUUAAAGUUUUGUCUUCCCUUUUCUUUUAGCUUAUACAUAUGUGUGUGUAUUCUUUUAUAGCAAUAACUAACGUUAUUUAUUUUUAAAUCAUAAAAAAAUUAUGAAAAAAAAAUGUACCAAAUUUAAUUGGACCCAGCACAAUGCACAUGCAUAGAACACAUUCUGAAAAGCCAUGCUAUUCGGAAAUUGACGAAUGGAAAGUGAAGAGGCAGCAGUCAAUGCUAUUUCGGCUUGGCCCAAAAUUUCACCAGUUUGUUAAUCAGUGUUCUGCAGCUCUUGCUGCUUUCCUAGAGAUUCUACAUCUUUUGCAAUCUGAUAGAUUUAAAAAAAAAAAAAAAAUUAGUGGCCAUUUGGAAUGGAGGAGAGAUUUGUGUGAAUGGUAUAGGUGAAAAAUUGGAUGAAAAUAAACAGGCAACCGUCCGUAUAAAACAACAAUAACAAUAUACAAAAAGAUAAGUAAUUCACGAAAGGAAAUUUACGGUUGUUUCUGGAAAACAUACAUAUUAAUUUCACUUAUACUCUAAGAUUUGCCAUCAUGACUGGACUUGUGAGGAAUUUGGAAACAUGUAUGCUGUAGAAAUGCUGAAGUAGCUUGAACCCGAUAAAAAUUGAUUGGUAGAAUUGUUAAAAAGUCUAAAUUUUUAGUUCAAACCUAUUGCAUAUUUAAGAAAAUCUCAAAUGAAUUGCUUAUUGCUAUCGUCAUCAUCAUUGCCCAUAUAAUUAUUAUUAUUAUUAUUAUUAUGUCUUUAUAAUUAUUAGUAUCGCUGUUAUUAUUUUUAUGGGUAAAUGGUUUUUCUAUCCUGGCAAUUUAAGCCAAUUACCUAACUAAUCCACGUAAUUUUAAAAAUGUUUCAAAAGAUCUUUAUUUUAUAUAUGUUUCCACUACAAUUUAUUUAAUGAUUCUUUAUUUUUCAAUUAUUGCAUGUUCGAUAUUUUUGAGUUCUAAGCUAUAUCAAUAGAAAUGUUAUCUUAUCCAUAAAAAGUUAGAUCCAGCAAUUAUGAAAAUUACUAUAGAGCUGCUUUGAAUAAUUUUAAAAAAAUACCACAAGCAAAUAAUAAUUAGUUUAAAUAGUGGAGACUAAAAAGCAUUCACCCUUAUUCUUUAUCUGUUAUUUGUUUUUUUUUUUUUCCGUUAAUGCACAUAUUAUACAUUUUAAACAUUCCGUUAAUUGCCAAUUAUGCAAGCGAGAUAGUAAUUUAAAUUUUUUUAUUUUAAAAAAAAGUGAAAAUUAAUCCUAUGCAAUGUGAAUAAAUUUCUUUCCUUUUUCCUUCUCUCUUUUUAUUUGAUAAUUAAGUUUCAACCUAUGUACCCAAAAUUUCUGCAACAGGUAAAAAAACAUAAAAAUAUAUGAUUGUUAAUGUAAACACGCGGAAGUUCAUCAUUUCAAUGUUCAGUAUUUCCAAUUUUGGCAUACGAAUAUAUUCCACUUAGAAAGCCAAAUAUUAGAAUUGUGAUUUUAAUUCAUUCAUCAUAUCUCAUUUCAAUCCCAAAAUAUUCAAGAGGAUCCAAGUUACCAUAAGACUUCAGAGGCUCGAGCCUUAGCCAGAGACGGUUAAUUGAUAGACUAUGUGCCCGGGUCGAGCACUGGAAGCCUGCAAUGCAGACUGAUUGAUUUAUCAGUUUGAUGUGUGCCAGGAAUGAAGAACUGGAAUAUCACCGUCAAGCAAGCACCCAGUGAAGCAAUACCAUAGAAUGCACAAUCCGGCCUUGCUAGGUGACACUGGAGGCUUUUUGAAAAGUGCUUCACGCUUACUUGCACAGAUUGAGCAUACCCUCUGGAUAUUGCCCUCUCUGAUCCAGUCUGAGCACUCAAAUUUCGGUCCUCAGAUGGAGCUACAGCUUUCUCUCCAAUAACCAACAAUUUUCUAAACUCAGCACCUAGUGUGAUCAGAGUUGUUGAUAUUUGUAAAUGGAGAUCCCCAUAUUUGAAAAUGGAGACAUUUAACAAAUCACCAACAUGCUUCAUCCGGUCUACGAAAUUCUGCAGCUGAUUCAAAUCCGGAACCUGAACCAGAGUCGGAGGUAAAUCUUGAGCCAUAUCUAAAGCAGUUUGAAGUUCAAGUACUUGAGCCCUUGACAGUGGUUUUGAAAUUGGAACAUCUUGAAUUACUGCAGACCUGUACCCUUUGGUUUCAAAGGUAAGGAAAGGCAUUGCUUGAGUACAAUUUGGAGGCAGCUUCUUCACCAAUUUUAUUUGGAGGCGAUUGGCAGCGGAUCCAGCUGCACCAAUUUCAGAGCAAAUACUGACACUACUUCAAACAGCACGCUGAAGAAGCGCUAUGUCUAUGGCAAAGGCAAUGCAGUCCUCAUUUUGGCUUGAGAUGCGGUAAUCAUCGAAGAGAGUUUCCUUAUGAAACUGGGCAACACAUUGAAUCCCUUCACCACUGAGAAGGUUGUGGAGGAAGUACGCUUUCUCUCUAGUGAGGAAGAGGUGGCAUACCUUCCCCAUUUUGUCUAGGGCAGUUAGGAAUCUUUUUUCUAAGAGAUUUACUCCAUUCUCUGUGAGAAAUGCUUUGAACUUCAUCCCUCUGUCUCUAUCCUCACUUAUCAGUAAAACAGUUGAAAGUGAUACAAGGAGAGAAAAGGAGAGUACUAAGAUAUAUAGACAAGAAAAACAUUAGGUGUCGAUCUUACAUGUUAAUACUUCAAACAGUAUCCUAGAAAGCUAAAAACUGCAGAAUGGCUUGAAAUUUGAAAAGAACACAUGCUUUUCCUCCUUAACUUGAGAAAAUGUUUGACAUAGCGCGCCUUACAGAAGCAAGCAAUUAGAACUUUGCACAAAAACAUUCAAGAAGACCAAUAUUUCAACUAUUUUACUGAUGAAAAUCUCAAAGCACAAAUGGCAUUGCAUUUUGUCCUCAACUGUAAUAUUUAUUGAUGAAAAUCAGUACAGGUCCCUCAUUUGUUAUGGAAAGCUUUCUUGUAGUCUGACCGGUUAAUUCACGGGUCUAUAAUCAUCUUGCAAAGUUACGGACAUUUCUUUCGAUUUAAAGUCUUUGCAUCACCACCUCAUCACACACCAAACCAAUAUUCUGUCUACCUCUACAACAAAAAGUUUUAAGUAAACGAUCCUAAUGCACGCAGCCAAAUAAAAUGCAGUAAGAAUAUUCAACUUAAAAAUCUGAAAGUAUCUUGGUGAAUUGCCUUCUUAGGGGAAGUUCCAUGAUUUACUAUACUAGACAGAACUGAGCAAAAGCUUCCAUACGACAGAUUUUGACAAUAAUGAUGCCAACAGAUCCUCAUUAACUCCAUUAAAACUCCUAAGGUUCAUUGUUCAUGGAUGUUUACAGAGUUUUGGCCAUCAAAUAGCUCAGACCACAAUCCCAAAGAAAAGACGAGUGAAAGUUAGAUAACGAGCAGCUAAUUGUAAAUUCUAACUUAACUCUUCAUCUCCUUUGUAAAAAGGAAACAAAAUGGAGACGCGUAAAUUCUAACUUAACUCAAAUAAAAUGAGGGCACGAAAGCAAACAAAUGGCAUGCACAAACAAACCAAGCAUCAAUCAAAAACUAAUUAACCAUUAAAAAAAAUAAAAAUUGGUCAGAGAAUGAACUCCAAAUUCGGGAGUGAAGCAAGAAGCUUUCACUAUUUCAGAAGCUCCUGUACAAAUUAAUAAGUUAUGCUCUUUGGAGACAAUCCUAAAUUCCAAGAGAAACAGAGCUCAAAAAAAUUUUGCAAUUAUGCGCAAAGGAAGUGAAGCACAGCAUUCUACCACACACAGGAAUUGUAUAACAUGAGAUCGAUAUAUCGAAUUGGAAGAACUCAAUUCUAAUUUGUGUCAAAAAUCAAAAUUAGAAGAUUGCAUAUUUCGAGAGGAACAAGCAACAGGUGAGGUUCAAAAUUUCAGCCAUAACAUGCUAAAAUUGCUACAUUUAACGGUUUAUUUUCAUGGAUUUUCUCGGGAAACAAACAGAAAAUUACGGUUUAGAGAGUUGACUGACCUUUUGGCUUUUAGAAUUGAGAAGAUCGCGCACUGCAUUAGUCCAUAGUAUAAUUAUAGACAGUUUUGAGUCAAAGUGUAGUUUCAGUGAACAGUAUUACUGUAGCAAAAUUCAAAAAUAACGGUAAUAUUACUGUUCCUGAGCGGCUAGCCGGAUAAUCAAGCGGCUAACCGCUUGAGCACGGGAUUUUGCCUAUAACGACUAGUUUUUGGGCUUCCACUAUAAAAACUCAACUCAAACUUCUUUCUAAGGACUAAUGCACGCAAAUAUAAGAUCAUACAACAUAUAUUGAGCUUCCAAAACGUAAAUCAUAAUUGAUUGAAUCAUUGUUGAGCUAUUAGUUGCAUAUCCACUCUUAAAGAGAGUUUUUGUUGUAAUUUUCAUUUCUUAUCAAAUUGUGAGUGUGUAAGUGUGGGAAACACUUGGGGUAAAGAGAUUAGGGAGAUAAUCUCUUGGUUGUAAAGGUUCAUUGACACCUUGGAAGGCAAUUGUAAAAACUUGAAGCCUUGGGAGGCUUGGAUAGUGAAAUCCUCGAGCUCGGUUGGCUUGGAGGCGUGGACGUAGGCGGGGAUUGCCGAACCAGAUAAAUAUCCGCGUGUUUGCUUUUCUCUUCCGUAACUCUUUUAUUUUUAUGCUUGCUUGAAUUUAUUGUUCUCCAUUUCAUUAAGGCGUUAGAUUGAUUUUAUUGUGCGAAUUGUAUUGCAUUAAUUUUAAAAAUCCAAUUCACCCCCCUCUUGGGUUGCGUUACUUAUAUUUCAUUUGGUAUCAGAGAUUGGUUCUCUUGUUAGGACUUAACCGUCUAGAGUAAAAGAUCUAUGGCAAUCCAAAUUGAUUCAACCUUUAGGGAAGGACAAUCCACAACUAGGCCACCGUUCUUUGACGGAAAUGACUACCCAUAUUGGAAAACUAGGAUGAGAAUUUAUUUACAAGCAUUAGAUUAUGAAAUUUGGGAAGUUGUAUGUGAUGGUCCUUUUAUGCCUUUGACUAAAAACGAAAUUGGGGAAGACAUUCCAAAACCUUCACGGGAAUGGAAUGAAUUGGAAAAGAGAAAAGCUUCUCUAAAUUCCAAAGCCAUAAAUGCCUUGUUUUGUGCACUCGAUAAGAAAGAGUUUCAUAGAGUGUCUAGUUGUGAAAGUGCUAAUGAAAUUUGGCACAACUUGAAGUUGUUUAUGAAGGCACGAAUCAAGUGAAAGAGUCUAAAAUUAGUAGGUACACUCGGCAAUAUGAAUUGUUCCAAAUGGAACAAAAUAAGAGUGUGUAUUCUAUGUAUACUAGAUUUACGGACAUAGUAAACACUCUAGGAGCCCUAGGAAAGACGUUUUCAAAUAGCGAGAAAGUUGAGAAAAUCAUUAGGUCAUUACCUAAGGAAUGGAGACCAAAAAGGACUGCCAUUGAGGAAGCUAAAGAUUUGAAUAUCUUACCUACUGAUGAUUUAAUUGGUUCUCUUAUUUCUUAUGAGAGAGAUUUGGCAGCUGAAUGAGGAAAUGAGGAAAGAAAGAAAAACAUUGCUCUCAAGGUCACCAAACAUGAGAGUGAUGAGGAAAGUGAGCCGGAUGAUGAGGAGUUGGCUAUGCUAGCAAGGAGGUUCAGAAAAUUUUUCAAGAAAACUGGUGACCAAAGAAAAUUCAGAAAUUUCAAAAACCAAAAGGAGAAGAAAGAGGUAAUCAUAUGCUAUGAAUGCAAGAAGCCUGGCCAUAUAAGAUCGGAAUGCCCACUUAUCAACAAACUCAAGAAGAAAGCUAUGGUUGCUACUUGGGAUGAUAGCGAUGAAGAUUCAAGUGAUGAAGAUGAGUCACAAGAAGUAUCAAACCUAGCAUUUAUGGCACUAGGAGAUGAUGAUGAUCUCAAUGAGGUAAGUGAUCCAACCUAUGAUGAAUUGUAUGAUGCUUUUAAAGAAAUGCAUGAUGAGUUGAUGAAAAUUGGUAAAAAGAAUGCAUGCCUUAAAAAGAAAUUGCUAGAAUCUACAAAUGAAAAGGAUACCAUGCAAAAAUGCAAUGAGCCAUUGAAUGAGAAGACUAAAGGAUUAGAAUUAGAGAAUAAAACCUUGCAUAAUAGAGUUGCAUUAUUAAAUGAAAAAUCUAGCACUUCACAUGAGCAUUUAGAGUCACAUGUACAUGAUUUGAAAAAGGAAAAUGAAAUGCUCAAGAAAAAGAAUAUUGAACUUAGUAAUGUUGUUCUAAAAUUUACAAAUGGACAAAAGAUGUUGGAUAACAUGCUUAACUCCCAAAAAUGUGUUUUUGAUAAAAGAGGACUUGGGUAUAAGCCUAACUUGAAGUAAAAGUAUUAUAAGAAUUAUUUUGUUAAAGCUACCUCCACAAAUGAUCAUAAGAUUGUUUGCGAUUAUUGCAAUCAAAAUGGUCACAUGAAAUAUAGAUGUCUUGUAAAAAGGAAUGCAUAUAAUGGUGUCAAAUGUGUGUGGGUUCCAAAAGGAACCGUUGCUAACGAUCAAGGGCCUAAAAAGGUUUGGGUACCUAAAACAUAAGAUUUUCUUUGAAGGGCUUGAAGAAAAAGAAAAAUAAAUGGUACUUGGAUAGCGGAUGUUCUAGGCAUAUGACCGGAAACUAUGCAUGGUUCUCAAGUUUUACCAAAAUCGAAAAUGGUGGAGAUGUAUCUUUUGGAGAUAACUCAAAAGGAAAAAUUCUCGGAAUUGGAAAUGUUGGUAAAAUUUCUUCAACUCUAAUUGAAAAUGUAUGUUUGGUUGAAAAUUUGAAACACAAUCUGAUUAACAUUAGUCAACUAUGUGACAAAGGCUAUAAAGUUAUUUUUGAUAAAUCAAGAUAUGUUAUUGAGAAUGCAUGUGAUGGGAAAAUUUUGUUUAUGGGAAAUAGAUGUGGCAAUGUUUACACGAUUGAUAUAGAGUGUGCAUCUACUCAUGAUAAAUGUUUUUCGGCAUUGCAUGAUGAUUGAUGGGUGUCGAAGCCAACAAAAAUAAAUUCCUACUCUAAAUAAAUUGUGUAUAGUGAUUGAGCAGGGUCGUGUCCACAGAGAUCGGUAAUUAAUUAAAUCCUUUUGAAACGUAAAACGUAAAAUGGGGGAAUUGUUGACAAUAAUAAAAAUCAAAUUAAAAUAACAAGAAUACAAAUUAAAGUUGUAAUUCAAAUUAGAGAAAGCUCUGGUUGAAGGAAUUAACUCAGCUUGAUUCGACUACUGAUCAUUGAUUCAAAUAUAGAUUAUUAUUACUCAUGAAUAGACCGGUUAUAGCUACUGAGACCCUCUAAUAGCCAAUCUCUCCUUAACUAGUCGAUAACCAAGGUACGACCGUUGGUUAUUUCCCUAAUCAAUAGACAACCCUAGAUACGAUCAUAGAAUUUAAUCAAUUGACAGCCUGAAAAACCAGAGAGACCCAAAUCCUAAUCAACACAUAUGAUGAUUCAUUUAAAUUAGAUUGUUUAUUCUCACAACACAACUCUCUGCUAUGUUAUUUGUCACAAGCAUUAAAUUCUUUAUACGAUGAAUCCUUUAAUUGACAAUAGAUUAAGUUGAUAAUUAAAUAGUGGCCAAUUACCUAAUUAACAAACAUAAUCAUGAAAAUAAUUCAGAGAAUAAACAAAUACCCAAAAAGUAAUAAAACAAUUAAAGUAUAAGAAAGAUCUCACAGUAGUGAUGAAUCAAAGCUUCAUUAUCCUUCAACCAGAAAAAUAGGUUUAGUUCUUCAUAAAGAGAAGAGAAAAAUUAAGUCUAGGGUUUCUUUCUUUCUCCAAUCCCCCAAAAAAUCCCCAUUUUCCACAAUAGAUUCCUCCCUUAAAUACUCUCUCUCUCUUCUCUUUUAGAAUUCUAUUUAAAAUAAAAUCCUAAUAUCUGAAAUAUUAAAUUCGUAAUUACAAAUAUAGCCAAAAAUAUAAAACACGUUAAACUAAAAACUGCAGGUCCGCAGUUGACAGCACGCGCCCACGCCUUAUCAACAAAGUUCUUCUGCCGCUCAUAAUUUCUCCAAGGGAACAAUCAUCCCUAAACAUCAUCUUGUAGCUCAAUUUUAUCACCAAUCAAUAGAAUUGCACCUACAAAAGUAAAUCACAAGUAAAUCACUAUUAUUAAGUGCAAAACAUCGAUAUUAAGAGAAGUAAACAAUGCAAAACUAGUGCAUAAAUUGCACUCUAACAAUGAUGGUUGGUUAUGGCAUAGAAGACUAGGACAUGCUAGCAUGGAUUUAAUUUCAAAAAUUUCGAAAAAUUAUUUAGUUAAAGGUCUUCCAAAAAUUGGUUUUCAAAAGGAUAGAAUUUGUGAAGCAUGUCAAUUUGGAAAACAAAUCAAAACCUCUUUCAAAAACAAGAAUCAUAUCUCUACUUUAAAACCUCUUCAAUUACUUCACAUAGAUUUGUUUGGACCCUCUAGAUAUGCUAGUUUAAGUGGCAAAUUUUAUGCAUUUGUAAUUGUAGAUGAUUAUUCUAGAUACACAUGGGUAUUAUUCUUAGUUAAUAAGGAUGAUGACAUUGAUGCAUUUAAAAUUUUCUGUAAAAAGGUUCAAAAUGAAAAGGGUUAUUAUAUUACUUGUAUUAGAAGUGAUCAUGGUGGAGAGUUUGAAAAUCAUGCAUUUGAAAAUUUUUGUAAUGAUUUUGGCAUUGAGCAUCAAUUUUCAUCACCUAGGACUCCACAACAAAAUGGAGUUGUUGAGAGAAAGGAUAUGUCUAUUCAAGAAAUGGCUAGGACCAUGUUAAAUAAAAAUGCAUUACCGAAAUAUUUUUGGGCCGAAGCCGUCAACACCGCUUGUUAUGUUUUAAAUCGGGUGUUGAUUAGACCUUAUCUCAAUAAAACUCUCUAUGAGCUUUGGAAAGAUAGAAAAUCCAACAUUGGUUAUUUCAAAGUUUUUGGAUGCAAAUGUUUUGUUUUAAACACAAAAAAUAAUCUUGGUAAAUUUGAUCCAAAAUCUGAUGUUGGCAUCUUUCUCGGGUAUUCAAACUCAAGCAAAGCUUAUAGAGUUUAUAAUAAAAGAACUUUAGUUGUGGAAGAAUCCAUGCAUAUUACGUUUGAUGAAUCUAACCCCUCCUCUGCUGAGAAAGGAGUUGUUAAUGAUGAUACAAAUGGAGAGUUACAAGAAGAAUCAUCAAAAGAGAAUCAAGAGAAUGCACCAUAAGAAAAUCAAGAGGAUAGACAAGAAGAACAAACAAAUAUGGAGCUGGAGCAACAGGAAGGUAGUUCUCAAACACUCCCCAAGGAGUGGAGGUAUGUUUCCUCUCAUUCUAAGGAUUUAAUUGUAGGUGAUCCUUUAAAAGGUAUCACAACUAGAUCGUCACUUAGAAACACAUGUGAGCAUGCUGCAUUUAUUUCUCAAAUUGAACCAAAAUCUUUUGCGGAUGCGGAAAAUGAUAAGUUUUGGAUUAUGGUAAUGCAAGAAGAGUUAAAUCAAUUUGAGAGAAAUAAAGUAUAGGAAUUGGUUCCUAAACUGGAACAUCAAUCCAUUAUAGGCACUAAAUGGGUAUUUAGAAAUAAAAUGGAUGAAUUCGGUAUGGUUGUAAGAAAUAAAGCUAGAUUAGUGGCUCAAGGAUACAACCAAGAAGAAGGAAUUGAUUUCGAUGAAACAUUUGCACCUGUAGCUAGAUUAGAAUCCAUUAGGAUGUUGUUAGCAUUUGCAUGUCAUAAAGAUUUUAUUUUGUUUCAAAUGGAUAUCAAGAGUGCUUUCCUAAAUAGUUAUAUUAUGGAGGAAGUUUAUGUGAAACAACCUCCUGGUUUCGAAAAUGAGAAAUUUUCAAAUCAUGUGUAUAAGUUAUCAAAAGCAUUGUAUGGAUUAAAACAAGCACCUAGAGCAUGGUAUGAUAGACUUAAAAAUUUCUUGUUGGAUAACGAUUUUUUGAUGGGAAGAGCGGAUACUACCCUCUUUAUUAAAAAUAAAAAUCAAAAUAUAUUUGUUGUUCAAAUUUAUGUUGAUGAUAUUAUUUUUGUUCUACUAAUGAAUCUUUGUGCAAAGAAUUUUCCUCUUGUAUGAGUAAGGAAUUUGAGAUGAGCAUGAUGGGAGAAUUGAAGUAUUUUCUUGGACUUCAAAUCAAACAAAACAAUGAGGGGAUUUUCAUCAACCAAGCUAAGUACGUCAAAGACUUGCUCAAGAGAUUUGGUAUUGAUGAAUCAAAUACCAAGAAUACUCCAAUGAGUACAACAAUCAAGCUUGAUAAAGAUGAGAGAGGUAAAGAGGUUGAUAUUAAAAAGUAUCGAGGUAUGAUCGGAUCCUUACUUUACUUAACUGCAAGUAGACCCGAUAUCAUGUUUAGUGUAUGUUUGUGUGCAAGAUUUCAAUCAUGUCCCAAGGAAUCUCAUUUGCUUGUUGUUAAAAGAAUUUUUCGUUAUUUAAGUGGAACCAUAGAUAUUGGCCUUUGGUAUCCUAGAGGAACUCAUAUAGAUUUAACUUGUUAUUUAGAUGCCGAUUUUAAUGGUCACAAGGUCGAUAGAAAGAGUACUAGUGAAACUUGCCAUUUUCUUGGUCAUUCACUUGUUUCAUGGUUUAGUAAGAAACAAAAUUUUGUGGCACUCUCAACUACUGAGGCGGAAUAUAUUGCCGCAGGAAGUUGUUGUGCACAAGCACUUUGGAUGAAACAAACACUUAGAGACUAUGGUAUUGUUCUUGAAAAAAUUCCUAUCAAGUGUGAUAAUACUAGCACCAUAAAUCUUUCAAAGAAUCCCAUUCAGCAUUCUAGGACCAAGCAUAUAGAGAUUAGGCAUCAUUUCUUGAGAGAUCAUGUUCAAAAAGAUGAUAUUGCAUUAUAAUUUAUCUCUACGGAAAAACAACUUGCCGAUAUUUUUACAAAACCCCUUUGCGAAGAACAAUUUUCAAAAAUUCAGCAUGAACUUGAGAUGAUGAAAUUUUCGCAUUAACAUCUCUAGUUAUGUUAUUUAAUCUAUUAAAAUUGUUUGGAAAACAAAGGAUUCGUUGAAAAUCCCAAGUCUGCACAAGCUGUAAUGAAUUGGUCAUAACUCCUUCUAGAGAACUCCAAAUCCAGCUCUAUAAAAUUUAUUGGAAAGCUAACUUAAUUAUCUUUCCAACGGUAUAUAGUUUGCACAUUACUUCUGGCUCAAUCAAUACAGUUUUUAUUCCGAAUUUGACAUUUCUGCAUUUUAUUAAGUUUUGAAUGCUUAUAUGCUUCAUGAUUGUAUGCUUGUUGGAUGGAUUAUUUGUUUGAAUUAACUAUCUUUUGGAUGUUUAAAAUCAUGAAUCAUGCAUUAAAUUGGCUCUUGAGAUGUUUCGGGAUCACAAACUGGUCACGAAAUUAAUUAAAAUUGGCCGAAAAUUAACUAAGGUACAGCUGGACAACAACCAGGAGGCUAGCCGCUUGGAAAUGUCCCCCCAACCCGAGAGCAAGCGGCUAGCCGCUUGGUCACGGGUGUGGCAAUUGUUUUUUGCUUCUUCUUCUUCCUUUGUUAAUUUUCUGCACAUGCUUUCUCUCUCACUCAAAACCGUGAGCAACCCAUCCAUUUUCACCUCCAUUUUCUUCCUUUUUCAUCUAUUUUCAUGCCCAAAUCAACCAUUCAAACUAAUACCCAUGCAUUUCAUCUUCAUUAAACACUUCUCCAUCAUGAUUUCUUCAUUUGUUUUUCAUCAUUUCAUCAUCAUCUCUCACGCGUGAACAGUACCUCUCCAUUUCUCUCUCAAAAUUCUUCAUUUUUCACUCACUUUCUUGUUAAAAUCAAUCAUCCAAAUCAUUAUUCAUCCAUUACUCCUUCAAUUUUCGUUCUCAAAACUUCAUUUCAUCAACUCUCCACAUAAAACCCAAAAUCAAAAAACCUAACUCUACCCUUUCUCUCUCUACAUUUUCAAGCUUCCUUUAGCCCAUUUUUGAUCCAAUCUACAUCAUAUAUUAGCUUCAUUCAUCUCUAGGAUCAAUUUUCUUGGCUCAAACAAAUCCAUUUCACUCAAUUUUUGUAAACCCGAAAUUGCAUAUUUAAGCUCUUUUUAGUCCACUUUUGAUCCAAUCAACACCAUCCAUUAUCUUAAAUCAUCUCUUGGAUCAAUAUAAUUGGUUUAAAAUCAUCUAUUUCACUCAUUAUUUUACAAAAUUAAAUUUGUGCAUUUUGGGUAUAUGCACCUACAUUUUCAUAUGCAUAAUUGUUUUAAUUGUGGAUUACGGAUGAUGGUUGUUUAAUAUUAAGAUAAUUUAUAUUUGGAUGAUAUUUUCUGAAUUCUUAGAAUGAAUAUGACUCUUUAGUUAAUUGCACGCUUAAUUUUUAUAUGCUUCUUGAUUAAUCAUUGAGAUAUUCUUUUUGGUAUAAACAUGGAUUUAUAGUACUUUUGAUGAUUGAUGAUUAUAUGUGUGUUGCUUGAUGAAUUAAUGGAGUUGUUGGUUUGUGUUACUUGUUUAAGUUCAUAUGGAAGUGUUUUUAAUCACAUUGUGUAUUUGAGGAUUUGUUCAUUUUUAAGGGGAGACUCUGCCGAAAUUUUUACUCGCACACAAUUGGUAAUAUCUUCCUUGAAUCAUUUUUUAUGAUCUUGCUUCAAAUUGCAUUUUUCUAUUUUUUAUGAAAUGGGAGAUAAAUAUGAUAUGUUUUUGGAUAAUAUUAUUUUGGUUAAAUUUUUUAAUUGGCCAUAUAUUUAGGGGGAGCAUACAAUAUGAUUUUGGAUAAUACGCAUUUUGAGCAUUCUUUUGAUGGCAUAAUGGUUCAUGAUCAUUUAAUGGUUAAUUGGAUGUUUGGUUAUUAUAUGUUUCUUGAUUAACCAUUGACAUAUUAUCGAUCUUCGGAUGAAUUUCUAGUAAUUUUGAUGAUGAAGGGGGAGAAGUCAUGUAUUUUGAAUAUGAAGACAUGUAAUACAUAUUUUUGUAUUUCAAGUAUUUAUGCAUGUUUUUGAAAUAUUAAGGGGGAGCUUUCAAAUUAUCAUAAAUCAAAUAUUCAGGGGAAGUUUUUGAUUUAUAUAUGCCAUGUAUUAAGGGGGAGUUUAAUGUCAAAAUAAAUGAGAUGUUUGUCAUCAUCAAAAAGGGGGAGAUUGUUAGCCUAAAGGGCUAUACAUAAUGUAAUUUUGAUGAUAACAAAUAUAUGUAUUAAGUGAUUUAAUAAAUAUUGUAUUUCACAUUUUCACUAGUUUUUUAAGGAUAAUAUUUAUGCAAGUGAAUCAAAUGAAAUCAAGAUUGAAGACACUCAACGGACAACGGCGACAUCAAGAAUAGUCUAGAGCUCAACGAACAAAUUAGUGCGAUAAAUUCUUAUAAAGCCGGUAUGAUUUAAUUGAUGCAUGAUUUAGCAUUUGAGAAGCUCAAGAGAUUAAUUAAUUAAAUAUUUUUCAUAAACUAAAAUGUUUUAUUUUUAAAAAGUAAAGUAUUUUGUGGAUUUGAGUAAAUUGGACUUAAAUGUUAAGAUUUAUAAUCUUUGAGUUUAAUAAAUAUUAUUUUGAAAUUCAAAUUUGGACUUAUUUGCAAAGGUUUGAAACGUUUUGAGGCAUAUUAUAAUUUAUGAAAGUUUGAGGACCCGAAUGUAAUCUAGACACUUGAAAUCCAAAGUUGGACAGAGAGGAAGCGGCUAACCCCCUGAGCGCUAGCGGCUAGCCGCCUGAGGGAAAUCUCAUAUUUUCAAUUUUUGGACUAAAGUGAAAGAUUUUGAUAACUUUAAAAAAUAUGGGUAUUAUGCUAAAUUUAAAAAGGACCUCUUUGAAAAAUAAUAAUAUCUUUGGGGCUAUAUCAUAAUUUUAGAAAGUUUUGGAAAGAUAACUAAUCUUAAGUAAUUCUAAAAUUAGAUCUAUUUGCAAACUUUUCUGACGUUUUGGGUCAUAAUAUAAUUAUAGAAAGUUUUAGGUCAAAGUGUAGUUUCAGUGAACAGUAUUACUGUAGCAAAAUUCAAAAAUAACGGUGAUAUUACUGUUCCUGAGCGGCUAGCCGGAUAAUCAAGCGGCUAACCGCUUGAGCACGGGAUUUUGCCUAUAACGACUAGUUUUUGGGCUUUCACUAUAAAAACUCAACUCAAACUUCUUUCUAAGGACUAAUGCACGCAAAUAUAAGAUUAUACAACAUAUAUUGAGCUUCCAAAACGCAAAUCAUAAUUGAUUGAAUCAUUGUUGAGAUAUUAGUUGCAUAUCCACUCUUAAAGAGAGUUUUUGUUGUAAUUUUCAUUUCUUAUCAAAUUGUGACUGUGUAAGUGUGGAAAACACUUAGGGUGAAGAGAUUAUGGAGAUAAUGUCUUGGUUGUAAAGGUUCAUUGACACCUUGAAAGUCAAUUGUAAAAACUUGAAGCCUUGGGAGGCUUGGAUAGUGAAAUUCUCGAGCUCGAUUGGCUUGGAGGCGUGGACGUAGGCAGGGAUUGUCGAACCACGUAAAAAUCCGCGUGUUUGUUUUUCUGGUCCCUAACUCUUUUAUUUUUACGCUUGCUUGAAUUUAUUGUUCUCCAUUUCAUUAAGGCGUUAGAUUGAUUUUAUUGUGCGAAUUGUAUUGCAUUAAUUUUAAAAACCCAAUUCAUCCCCCUCUUGGGUUGCGUUACUUGUAUUUCAAAAAGUGCGUGUGAAGUGUAAAAUUAGGGUUGGUCUUUUGGCUUUAUGUGUUAUGCUUAAAAUUACAAUAUUAGUUUUCAUAUUUUAAAAAGUUUCCAAAUUAAUUUAAGGAUAAAAAAGUAAUUUAAUUAAACAAAUUUUAAAUGAAUCGACCUAUAUUUGAUUCGUUUAUAACUCGUUUAUUAAAUGAAUUUUAAACAAAUAAAUGAAUCAAAAUCUUCUAACCUGCAAUUUGUUUAAUUAGCGAAUCGAAUCGAAUCGAAUUCAUCCAUUUAUUAAAUUAAUUAAUUUUUUCAAACUUAAAUUUAUUUAAUUCACAUCUAAUCGAAUUAAAUAAAUAAAUCCUUACCCAUAUUAGUACCCGUAAACGGAUCAUUAAUGUUACCGGUCUUUCCUAUAUUUUAUUGCAAAUUGAUGCUAACAAGAAAAAGCUAGAUCAUAUUCCACAAAAGCAAAAGUGAUAAAACAACCAGCUGGAUUCUUUUAUUAAACUACAAAUUAAAAUGGACUUUUUUUUAAUAAACUAUAUAUGAAACUGGAAUCUUUUGAAUAUACGUGGGGUAGGUUCCCUUUCAAAAAAAAAAGCGGGGUAGGCUCUUUUAUUAAAGACAAGUCACAAGACGAUUAGGGUCUUUUAUUAAACUACAAAUUGUAUAAUAUUUUUCAAAUUGUACAGACAUUUAUAAAUUGGUGGUCCCUUGGAAAUUUAAUGCCAAUCAGAGAAAAGUCAUCAUGCACAAUCUUCAAUAAUUGUUUCGAUAUUUAUAAAUUGGUAGCCCUGCGUCUUUAAUAAAUGAAAUCAUGUUACGAUUGCAUAUAGUCGUUAGAUGCACUUAAAUUAGUGAGAUUUAUUAAUAUCUAAUAAUUAGAUAUAAUUAUAACCCAAUACAAUAGUUACACCAAAGUUUCCCCCAAUAAUUAUUCGGAUACUUAUAAAUUGGUGACCCCUUAGUAAUUUUACAGCAGCUUGCAAGUGCCAACUAGUGAAAAGUCAUCAUUCACAAUCUUCCAAGUGAAACAGGGGAUAUACAAAGAUUAAGACAUGUCAUUUUUUUUUUCAUUCCGUUUCAUGUAACUUACACCCAAAUAUAUAAAUAAUAUAAAAUGAAUGGAGAGAUGCCGGAGCAGAUCGGCAGGGUUUGAAUAUGACCUUUGGCGCUUGCUUUUUUUUGUGAUUUUUUUUUUCAUUUUUUCCUUCCUGUCAUUUUAUCAUUUCUUUGGCUUUGUCUCUGUUGCGGGUGUUACUGCAUGCUAACUGUUGCUUGACAAAGUUUGCUAGCUUUUCCUUUUGUUUAUUAAUUUUUUUAUGGUCACAAAGUAUUACUCGUUCUAUUUGACAGUGAUGUGAAUCAAUUUUUCAAUUUUAUAUUUUGUGGUCAAUGUGAAUUCAAUUUCAGUUGUCUCCUGCAAUUAUGAAAAAAUUGCAGUCAUAAUAUGGAAAAGUACGCGGGCAAAAAUUUUGUAAAAGCUUCGGAGUGAUACGGGGAAUUCACUUACUACUAAGGACAAUUGGUGGCAAGCUAUUCCAUUCAUUUUAUGUCCAUCCAUCUAUUUAGUUAUUGAAGACUAGUGGUCUAUUUAUAAAUUUCAGAUUGUUUCUCUCUCUCUCUCGAAAUAACAAUAUUUAAAAUAGAGUAAUGAUACAGCUACAAACUCUUGUACAAACUUAUUUUGUACAAACUGACGUGACAUUAAUUCAUUGGUUGAAUGAAAAUAUAAAUUAAUAAAAACAAAUCAUGUGGGACAAGUGAUAUUUAAUUCAACCAAUCUUAUCAUGUCAUAUCAGUUUGUACAAAAUAAGUUUGUAUAAGAGUUUGUGGCAGUAUCAUUACUCUUUAAAAUAUCUCUUAAAUUAUUAUAAAUUUUAAUUUACUCUCGAUUUAAAAUGGAGCAUGUCAAUAAAUUUUUUUUCUUCUUAAUAAAAUUGACGUAAGUUGUGUUUACAGUAGUUUGAAGUUUGAAAUAUUUUAAAGAUUAUUAUUCUAUAAGGGAGUAAUAUGAAAUGAAAUUUACUUUUCAUGUGUGAAAUGAAAAAGGACGAAGCAAGUGUCCCUGCUUUUAUUUUAUUUCAAGGAGGAGUCAUCUCACAGACUUUAGCUCUUAACAUUACAUUUUUUCUGGUUACAUUUUUAUUUUUUAUUUAUUUUUACACAUGCGUGUGGGUUGCUUUUCUGUAAGCUCCUUAAUAUAUAUUUAAGACAAAUUAUGGAAGAGAUGGGAUUAUAUCAAGAUGAUCAAACCAUGUAAAAAAAGAAAAAAGAAAAAAAAUUAAGAAGUAAGACACUGAAAAUGGAGAAGAGAUGGAAUCAAAAGAUAUUCCAAAACAAAGCAAUCUGUCCCCUUUCCAGGGCAGACUUAUCAGGUUUAAAAAAGUACAUGCUUUGGAUUGGUAGUUGCAAUCAAUUGAAAAUAAAUAGGAUCCAAUGAAAUUUAAAUUUCGGAGAAAUAAAAUAAUCAUGCAGAUUUUUAAGAUUUUAAUAAGAGAUACUAAUAUCUUAUUUUGAUUAAUAAUAUUCUUUCACUGUGUUAACUCAAAAAAAUAUAUUUUAAAGUUUUACAGUAAAUAAAAAUAUAAUAUUAAAAUAAAUGUGACAAAUAUAUAUAUAUAUAUAUAUAUAUAUAUAUAUAUAUUAAAUAAUUUCAAUAAAAAAACAUUUUAAUGUUUUACAAUCUACUACACAUAUUUUAUUAAGUUAAUAUAAUUUUUCAAAUAAAUAGGGACAUAAUAUUAAAAUAAAUUUAUAAAAAUUUAAAUUAUUUUGAAUUUAAAAUAAUUUUAAUAUUAUUAAUAUUUUAUAUAUGUUUUAUUAAUUAUAAGAAUUAUUUAACCCAAAGUUUUUUUAUAAAUAUUUUCAGUGGAUAUAAAUAUAUUAUUUAUACUUUGAUUAUUUAACCAUUAUUAGUCUACAAUUAUUUAUAAUUAUAUUUUCAUUUAUUAGAAUACAGUUAAAGUCAAAUCUUUUGCACUUUUACCUAGCUAGAAUUAUUGCACACAGAGAAAUAAACAUAUAUUCUUUAUAACUUUAGAAAUCGGUUUUUUUUAUAGCUGGGAACAGAGAUGAUGAUUAUUAUAAGGAUGGAGAAAAGGAUAAAAAAUAUCAAUGAUUAACAAAGUCUCUGUGCAAAUUGAUUUUAGCAGUAAAAUAGUGAGCUGAAUGAUGUACGCGAUUAGUGGUAAUAGAAAUCUUCUCAUAAAUCUCCUUUUUGAGUUAUAGUUAUUUUAUUUCCGAAAUAUCCUUUUUCUUCUUUAAUACACUUCUAAUUUUUCAUUUAAUUUUUUUAUUGUUAAACUCAAAAUAUUAUUGUGAUAUUUUUCGUGUCUUUUGCAAUCUUAUUAUUACUCUACACACGAAUUAAAAAAAUUUUUUAGGUGAUGAACUUUUGAAUGUUAAUCUUGGCUUAAAUUUCACAUAUUUUACAUUAUAAUAUAAAAUUAAUUACAAAAAUAUUUAAUCAAUAAAAAUUAUAAAAAAUAAAUUAUUUUAAAUUUAUACAAUUUAUUUUAAUUAGAUAAGCAGUAACAACUACAAAAAGGAUUUGGUUAUGAAAUUUGUUGCAGCUUAAUAUUCCACAAAAGCAAAUCGUAAUAUUCCACAAAGGAGUACGAUCCACAAAAGCAAACAACCAGCUGGAUUUUUUUAUUAAGCUACAAAUUAAAGUGGAAUCGUUUAUUAAACAACAAAUUAAAGUUUGAAUAUUUAAGUAGUAGUGCGUUAGAUGNNNNNNNNNNNNNNNNNNNNNNNNNNNNNNNNNNNNNNNNNNNNNNNNNNNNNNNNNNNNNNNNNNNNNNNNNNNNNNNNNNNNNNNNNNNNNNNNNNNNCUUGUAGCUAAUUUGUCAAUAAUAUUAAACUACAAGUGCUGACAACAAGUGCGAUGCUCUUUUUCUAAAGAGAAUUAAAGUUGGUCCCGAAUAGGACGUGCCUAAAUCUGUUUAAAUUUUUUCCAGUAAAACUAACAGAGGUCAUUACUAGAAUUAUUUAUAUUGUUUUAUAUUUAUUAACAAAUUUUAAAGUCAAUCUUUUUAAUUAUUAUUCAAAAGAUAUUAUAAUUAAAAAAUAGUGUCUACUAUUAAAAAUUUAGAAAUUUACAUUACCGUUCUCUUAAAUCUCUAAAUAUUUAAGAUGUAAUUGUUAUUUUCCUUUUAUAUAUAUUAGGAAAUAGAACCGCGCUUCGCGCGGUUUGAGAAAAAAAAAUUAGUAUUAUUAUUUUUUCUCACUUUGCAUUUGAUGAAAUUGAUAAAAAAUUAUGAAUUAUUUUUUUUAAGAUGAGACAGCCUCAUAAAACUAAUGUCAUUUAUGAAAUAAUUAUUUUUUUUGUUAACUUUUAAAAUAUAUAUUAAUAUGUAUAGUGUAAGUGUACAUACCUUAUACCUUUUGUAGUUGUUGAUAAGUUCCAAGUUAUACUCAACUUGCUAAUCUGUUAGAACUUUUAUAUAUCUUUUUUUUUCUAACUAGUUCCAACGAUCUCAAUAUCACCCACACUACAUAAACUUCUGACAACGUCUGUAAUAUUAUGAAAAAAUAAUAUAAAUAUGUUAAAACAUAAGGAUCAAUAAUUUCUAAUAUACACUUAAAGAUUAACGAACAUUAAUAAUUUAAAAAUAAUAUCUGAGAGGAUUGUAUUAUCAUUCACACGUAUAUCAAUCAAAUUCAGAGAUAUGAAUUGAAAUCUAUUAAUCGAAAUCUUAACAGUUCCUUCUUCUAAACUCUUAAGUGAAGUUAUAAGCAAGAAAAUUAAUUUUAUACUGAUUUGAAAGUAGUCUGUACUCGCCUGUAGUUGAAACAACUUUCAAAUUCUUGACACUAUACAAAGAACCAUCACUCAACAUGUGCCUAAACCUUGUCACUAAAUUUUUCUUAGUUGUUGCAUGCAUUAGAAUGUCCUAUAAAAAAGAAAAACAUGCUACAUUAAGCGUAAAACAAUUGGGAAAAAAAAGAGAAAAUAAGGGGAGAAUGAAUUUUUUAUACAACCUUUUCAUCAAUAAAAAUUAUGUUCACACUAAUCAAUUAUCCAUUCUUUUUAGUAUUAACAGACUCCCACAUCCUAAAAAACAUAAUCCUUAUCAUCUAACUAUCUUUAUCAUUGUUCAACUCAUGAAGAAAAUAGUACUUCAUGAAGCACACAAUACAAAAACUUUAAAAAGUCAAAAAUAAAAUCAUGAGGAUAUUUUUAAAGAGGAUAUUGGUUAAAUAUUUAAAAAAAACUCAAACAUAACAAAUAUUAAAUACUUAAUGUUUAAAGAGUUUUAAGAAGUCAAAAGACACAAAACAAAAUGUUGAAUAAUUAAAUAUGAGAUUAUUGCAUUAAAAUUAUACUCUAAUGCCAUUGGUGAGAGAAGAUGAAGGAACCUUCCUUCAUUUAAUAAUUAGUUUAUGUAUUUUAAGCCACUAAAGUUUAGUUGUUGGCUUAAUAAAAUAAAUGAAUGUUUCAAGACUUAUAAUUAAUUAUUAUUAAUGGUUACAUAUUGUUGAAUUUAAUAGAAAGAUGAAGAGACAUGUAAUCUUUUGCAAUCUAAUAAUUAUUUUCUAUUUUUAAUACUUUGUAAUGUAAUUAUUUUUUAAUUGCAACCAAUUUAUUAAAUAAUAGAGAAUAUAAGAAGAUGAGAAAUGGUGAUGCCACAUCACCUCCUGUAGUCCCAGCUUUAUAUAUAUACUAGGAAAUAGAACCGCGCUUCGCGCGACUUAAAAAAAAUUAAUAUAAUUUUUUUCUUACUUUGCACUUGAUGAAACUGAUAAAAAUUAUGAAUUAAUUUUUUUAAAGAUGACACAACUUUAUAAAACUAAUAUUAUUUAUGAAAGUUCAUUUUUUUGUUAACUUUAAAAAUAUAUAUUAAUGUGUACACAAUAUUUUCAUCAAUAAAAAUUAUGUUCACAAUAAUCAAUUCUCCAUUCUUCUUGAUAUUAACAGACUCCCAUAUCCUAAAAUCUAACCUUUAUCAUCCAAUUAUCUUUAUCAUUGUUCAACCCAAGAAAAUAGUACUCUAUGAAGCACACAAUACUAAAAUUUUAAAAAGUCAAAAAAUAAAAACACAAGAACAUUUCUAAAGAGGAUGUUAGUUAAAUAAUAAAAAAAACUCAAACAUAAUAAAUCUUAAAUACUUAAUGUUUAUAGAGUUUAAAGAAGCCAAAAGACACUAAACAAAAGGUUGCAUAAUUAAAUAUGAGAUUAUGACAUUACAAUUAGGCCCUAAUGACAUUGUUGAGGGAAAAUGAAGGAACUUUCCUUUCUAUAUUAAUUAAUUGAUGUAUUUAAAACACUAAAGUUUAAUUAUUGGCAUAAUAAAAUAAAUGAAUGUUUCAAGACUUAUAAUUAAUUAUUAUUAAUGGUUACAUAUUAUUGAAUUUAAAUAAACAGAGGAAAGGACAUGUAAUCUUUUGUAAUCUAAUAAUUAUUUUUUAUUUUUAAAAUUUUGUAAUGUAAUUAUUUUUUUAAUCUCAACCAAUUUAUUAGAUAAUAGAGAAUACAAGAAGAUGAAAAAUAGUAAUGUCACAUCACCUCUUCUAGUUAAUUAAUUGAUGCAUUUAAGCUACUAAAGUUUAGUUGUUGGCUUAGUAAAAUAAAUGUAUGUUUCAAAACUUAUAAUUAAUUAUCAUUAAUGGUCACAUAUUGUUGAAUUUAAAUAGAAAGAGGAAGAGACAUGUAAUCUUUUGUAAUCUAAUAAUUAUUUUCUAUUUAUUUUUUAUUUUUAAUAUUUUGUAAUGUAAUUAUUUUUUAAUCUCAACCAAUAUAUUAGAUAAUAAAGAAUAUAAAAAUAUGAGAAAUAAUGAUGCCACAAAUCUUAAUUACUUAAUAUUUAUAGAGUUUGAAGAAGGCAAAAGACACUAAACAAAAUGUUGCAUAAUUAAAUAUGAGAUUAUGAUAUUAAAAUUAGGCCCUAAUGGUAUUGUUGAGGGAAGAUGAAGGAACCUUCCUUCCUAUAUUAAUUAAUUGAUUUAUUUAAGCCACUAAAGUUUAAUUGUUGGCAUAAUAAAAUAAAUGAAUGUUUCAAGACUUAUAAUUAACUAUUAUUAAUUGUUACAUAUUAUUGAAUUUAAAUAGAAAGAGGAAGAGAUAUGUAAUCUUUUGUAAUCUAAUAAUUAUUUUUAUUUUUAAAAUUUUGCAAUAUAAUUAUUUUUUUAAUAUCAACCAAUUUAUUAGAUAAUAGAGAAUGCAAGAAGAUGAAAAAUAGUGAUAUCAUAUCAUCUCAUCUAGUCCUAACUUUAUUAUCUAUGUAAGAAAAUAAAAAAAUAGUAAUGGCACAGCACCUCCCCUAGUCUCAUCUUUAUAUAUAUAUAUAUAUAGAUAUAUAAAAACCACGGUGGUGAAACUUUAUUUAAUAUUAUUGAUUUAAAUAACAAUAUCUCAAUUAAAAAUGAACAGAGAAGAAAUUUCGGUGGGUAUAUUAGUCUUUUACAAUUAUCAUGAUUAGCCCUUCCUCUUGUAACGUUGGUCAGAAAAGUUUUCUUUUACUUUUAACGUUAGCGGCCUUCCUUAUAUUUUAUUACAAAUUAAUCCUAACAAGAAAAAGCGAGAUCAUAUUCCACAAAAGCAUAAGUGACAAAACAACCAGUUGGAUUCUUUUAUUAAACUACAAUUUAAAAUGGUUUUAAAGUGGAUUCUUUUGAAUACAGGUGGGGUAGACGAUUAGGCUUUUUCAAAUUCUUGUUUUAUUAUUUUUCAAAAACUAGUUUUUGGUAAUUACAAUCGGGUCAUUAAUCAUUAUUCAGUGUUAGUUUUAUCUUCGGGGGCAGUGGGUAAAAGGCUAAAUGAUAAUUACUACCUGUUUUUCCUUCAAAAGUUAGUGGCUCGUGUUUUGCAAGUGUGAACGUGCGAUGCUCUUUGUCUAAGGGCAAUUACAGUGGGUCCCGAAUCGGACGUGCCUAAAUCUUUUAAAAAAUUUUCCGGUAUAACGGACAUAGGCCAUUACUAAAAUUUCUCUUCCACAGGCAAUUACAGCAGCUCGAGUUUAUCAAACUCAACCAAUUUUCUUUCUUAACAAAAUCCAAAGAUGUGUAGCAUUUUUCAGAUCACAUGCGAUGGUGCUUUUUUCAAUCGUUGCUUGGAUUGCUUUCUUGGAAAAGCAGCGUACAUAAGCAACCUCCAAGAUAAUCUUGUAGCCUUGGAGACUAAAAUGGGAAAUCUGAUCGCAGCAAAGAACGAAGUGAUUAUGAGGGUUGUCGCUACUGAACGGCAACAAUUGAGAAGGCUGGACCGAGUGCAAGUGUGGGUUUCCAGGGUGGAAGCUGUUAAAAUUGAAGCUGAUGAACUUAUCAGAGACGGCUCUCAAGAAAUUGACAAAUUAUGUGUUGGAGGCUACUGUUCUACGAACUGCACGUCAAGCUACAAGUUCGGGAAACAAGUGGCUAAAAAGCUACGAGAUGUGGAGACUUUAAUCGCCGAAGGAGUUUUUGAGGUGGUGGCUGACAGAGCUCCAGAGUCUGUAGCAGAUGAAAGACCUACUGAGCGAACACUAGUAGGCUUGCAAUCACAACUUGAACAAGUCUGGAGAUGUCUUAUAGAAGAAUCAGCGGGAAUCAUUGGCCUAUAUGGUAUGGGCGGUGUUGGUAAAACUACACUAUUGAUCCAUAUCAACAAUAAAUUUCUCGAGAGUCGAACCAACUUUGAUUUUGUGAUUUGGGUAGUAGUUUCAAAAGACCCGCGACUCGAAAAAAUUCAAGAAGAUAUUGGGAAAAGGAUAGGUUUGGUUGAUGAUUCAUGGAAGAGUAAAAGUGUAGAGGAGAAAGCUCUCGACAUCUUCCGGAGUUUAAGAGAGAAGAGAAUUGUAUUGUUGUUAGAUGAUAUAUGGGAGCGGCUUGAUUUAACAAAAGUGGGCGUUCCACUUCCCGGACCAAAAAAUACUACCUCAAAAGUCGUAUUCACAACCCGUUUCUUCGAUGUUUGUGGUAGCAUGGAAGCUCACAGGACGUUCGAAGUGGCAUGCUUAUCAGAAAAGGAUGCUUGGGAACUGUUUCAAGAAAAAGUAGGAGAAGAAACUCUUAAGAGUGAUCAUGAUAUCGCUGAGCUAGCCCAAACCGUGGCCAAGAAGUGUGGUGGUUUGCCGCUCGCACUUGUUACUAUUGGUCGAGCUAUGGCCAGCAAAAAGACAGCCGAGGAGUGGAGACAUGCAAUUGAAGAGUUAGGAAGAUCAGCUUCAGAGUUUCCAGGUUUGGGAAAAGAGGUGUAUCCUGUUUUAAAAUUCAGUUAUGAUAGUUUGCCGAAUGAGACGAUUAGAUCUUGUUUCUUAUAUUGUUGUUUAUAUCCUGAAGAUUAUGGCAUUCUUAAAUGGGACUUGAUUGAUUGUUGGAUUGGUGAGGGAUUCUUAGAGGAAUCUAACAGGUUUGGUGCAGAAAACCGAGGAUACUACAUUGUGGGCACUCUUGUUCAUACGUGUUUACUAGAAGAGAUAGAAGAUGAUAAAGUAAAAAUGCAUGACGUUGUUCGUGAUAUGGCUCUAUGGAUAGCUUGUGAAACUGAGAAGGAGAAGAUAAACUUUUUGGUUUGUGCAGGUGCUGGAUUAAAGGAGGCACCGGAUGUUAAAGGAUGGGAAAAUGUGAGAAGAUUGUCAUUGAUGCAAAACCAAAUUAAAGUUCUGUCAGAGGUUCCUACAUGCCCUCAUCUCCUCACUUUAUUUCUUGACUUUAAUAGAGAGUUAAUGAUGAUCGCGGGUGGCUACUUCCAAUUUAUGCCUUCUCUCAAAGUUUUGAAGAUAUCAAACAUUGGGUAUUUCAACGUUUUGAAAUUACCUUUGGGGAUGUCAAAGUUGGGUUCACUAGAACUUCUCGAUAUUUCACAUAGCAGCAUAGAGGAGUUACCAGAAGAGUUAAAGUUGUUGGUAAAUCUGAAAUGUCUGAAUUUGAGGUGGACAGAUGUGUUAAAUAAAAUUCCACGGCAACUAAUAUCAAAUCUUUCAAGGGUACGUGUGUUGAGAAUGUUCGCUACUGGCUAUGAUCGUUUUCAUGAAGCAUCAGAAGACAGCGUUUUAUUUGGUGGGGGUGAAGUUUUGAUACAGGAAUUGCUCGGUUUGAAAUAUUUAGAGGUAUUGGAGUUGACCUUGGGAAGUUAUCAUGCUCUCCAAAUUCUUUUGAGCUCAAAUAAGUUAAAAAGUUGUAUUCGAUCUCUUCUCCUCUUCGGGUUCAGAGGUACAAAGUAUUUUAUUGAUGCUACGGCUUUCGCAGAUCUAAAGCACCUCAAUGAAUUACAGAUUCAUGAUUGUAGGGGGUUGGAAGAGUUGAAGAUUGAUUACACAGAGAUAGCACAAAAAAGGCGGGAACCUUUUGUUUUCCGCAGCCUUCGUCGUGUUACUAUGGUUUCGUGCCAUAAAUUGAAAGAUUUGACAUUCCUCGUUUUUGCUCCAAACCUCAAGUCUAUUUCGCUAGGCGAUUGCGAUGCUUUGGAAGAAAUAAUCAGCGUUGGAAAAUUUGCUGAGGUUCCUGAGAUGAUGGGACAUCUAAGCCCUUUCGAAAAUCUCCAAAAUCUUGACCUAUCGUAUUUGCUGGCUUUGAAGAGCAUCUACUGGAAGCCAUUGCCUUUCACUUAUCUGAAAGAAAUGGUGGUAAAUGGGUGUGAUCAACUUAAAAAGCUUCCACUCGAUUCCAGCUGUGCAGAAGAGCGUAAAUUUGUUAUUCGCGGAGAAGCACACUGGUGGAACUGCCUUGAAUGGGAGGAUGAAGCCACUCAAAUUGCUUUUCGUUCCUGUUUCCAGCCUUAUUCCUGAGUGGUGGUUGCAAAAUUUGAUUUCUGGUGUGGUCUUUUAUUCUCUGUUUUUAUUUAAGUUUCUUUUCCUUUCCUUUUCCUUUUUUUUUUUAAUUUCUCCUGCAAAUCACAAUUAAACAUUGAAUUAUAUGGAAUUAAUGCUUUAUAAAUUUGCCGGCACUGCCUUUUUUUUUUUUUGUCGGAGUGAUACUCUAGCUUUUGACUUUUGGUUGUCAAAUUCUGCUCUGCCUUUUUAAAUUGAUGCUUUAUUUAUAUUUUCUUAGUGAUUUAGUUUCCUGUCAAAAGACGAACGAGAAGAACAUUUGAAUUAAAUAAAUGCUCGCAAAUUUGCGGUAAAAAGAUGUAAUUAGCCGAGAAAAUAUUAAAUAUAGUAGCCCUCUUUACAGAAAAUCAAGUGGAAGUUAAUUCAGCAAGUUAUAUUCUUGAUUAAUUCCUUUUCUGAAGUUUUUAUUUUCUAUGGUCAAUUAUACCUUCAUACUAAAAAUUGCUGCUAUUGGGUGUUGAGUGUUAUGCUAAAAUUUUGCCCUAUUUUGGGCCAAUAUUUUAGAAGUGAAACAUACUUCAGAGUUGAAGUAAACUUUGAAAAUAGAGAUAAUGAUUAAUUUAGAAGAGAUGCAAGUAAAAGAUAUUCUAAAAAAAAAAAAGCAAUAUGUCCCUUUGGAGGGCAAACUUGUCAGUUUGAAAAAGUUACAUGCUUUGGAUUGAUAGUUGCAGGAUAUUUGUUUUGUCACUGUGUAUUAGGUGCGUUUGGAAUUGAAGUGUUGUAGUUUUUAAGUUAUAAUUGUUGUAAAAAAAAAUUGUAACUAUAAAACAAAAGUUAAUAAUAUAUAAUAAAUUUAAAUUUAAAUAAUAAUUUUAAUAAAAUUAUUAAAGAUAUAAUAGAUUAUUUAUUAUACAAGUGAAAAUUAUAUCAACAUAUCUUUCAAGUUACAAUAGUUAUUGAUUACUAAACACUUUACUGUUGUAACUUUUAAGUUAUAGCUAUUUAACCUCAAUUCCAAACGCAUCGGAGAAGUCACGCCUAGUGAAGAAUGUUAUGAAAGAGCAAAGGAUAUUCCUAAUCGAGCUCUAUUUGAUUAUGUAUCCAGUGAAUGGAUGUGUUGUUGGAAGAUAUUUGAGUGCAUUAGUUCAUUUGUGUCGGUCAAUGUGCUUUUAAUGAUUUUUCCACUUGUUUGUUGUAAAAGAUUAUUGUAAAUUGAAAUGAAUUGGAUGUUGUAAUAUUUUCUCUUUAGUGGAAUUUCACCUUGUAUGUAUUCAGUUGUGUUGUCUAAAAUUUUACAUUCGAAUAAGUUUUCACCUAAAAUAUUAGCAUGAGUUGUGGCCCUUGAAACUUUGGUCAAAAUUAUUGUUAUUAUUUCUUACUAGAUGUAAACUUUUUAUUAAACCUCGUUAACAUAAUUCUUAAUUAAAAGUAUAGGUUAGUGUCGGUGCAGAAUUUGCAACACCAAAUCCUGCCUAGGCAAGUGUCAAAAGUGCAAAAUAAAUGAAGAGAAAGCACGAAUACAUGAUUUAGAUUAGGAUAGAAGGAAACUUAAAUCCUAGAGAAAAGGAUAGCUAUAUCCCAAGAUUUAAAAAAAUAGUCAUGUAGAUUUUUAAGAUUUCAAUAAGCGACUAAGAUUUUCUUUUGACAAAUAAUUUCCUUUAGCUCUAUUAACAAAAAAAAUAAAGACUCAAAUAUUUUAUAAUAAAUAAAAUAUAAUAUUAAAAUAUAUGUGAUAAUAUAGAAAUUUUAAAUAAUUUCAAUCCAAAUAAAUAGUUAUGUUUUACAAGCUAUUAAACAUAUUUUAUUAAAUUAAUAUAAAUGUUUUAUAAAAUAGGAACAUAAUAUUAAAAUAAAUUUACAAAAUUUUUAAGAAUUUUGAAUGUAAAAUAAUUUUAAUAUAUUAAUACGUGAGAUUUUUUUAUUAUUAUAAAAAUUAUUUAACUUUAAGAUUUUUUAAAAUCCUUACAAUAAGUAUAAAUAUAUUAUUUACAUUUAAAAAUAUUUAAAUAUUAUUAACCUACAAUUAUAUUUGCAUUUAUUAGAAAAUUUUAAAGUCAAAUAUUUUGCACUUCUACAUUAUUAGAAUUAUUGAACACAAAGAAAGAAACAUAUAUGCUUUAUAGCUUUAGAAAUUGUUUUCUUUUACAUCUGGAAACAAAGAUGAUGAUUAUUAUAAGGAUAAAAAAUGGAUAAAGAAUAUUAAUGAUUAACGAAAUCUCUGUGCAAAUUGAUUUUAGUAGAAAAAGAGUGAGAUGAAUGAUUUCUUUUACAACUAGAAACAAAGAUGAUGAUUAUUAUAAGGAUGAAAAAAAGAUAAAGAAUAUUAAUUAUUAAUGGAAUCUCUAUGCAAAUUGAUUUUAGUAGAAAAAACGAGCUAAAUGAUUUAGACAUUCAUUCUGUGUUUAUUUUUGUGAUUAGCAUUAAAAAUUGUUUAAUUAUCAAACGAUAAUAAUGUUAUUUUGUACUUAUGUUAUAAUUUAUAUUUGUGUUUAUGUAAUAUAUUAGAAAUUAUUAAUUAUGUUUUAAAUAUAUCUAAUUUUGAGUAUAUUUGUGUGUUUAUUAGGAAAAAUAUUAAUUUUAGAUAAAUUGAGGCUCCAAACAAUUAAACGGAGGUCAAAUUUGGAUUCCGGAGGUUUGAAAACCUUAAGAUCAGUCAAGAUCGGCUUAAAAUUAGGUUUGUGUAAAAAGAGUUGACUUUUUCUGCUGACCGAGCACUGAUUGGAUGAUGAAAUGAGCUUACAAUAGAUAUGAGUGCAUGGGAUAACUGGCAAUUUUGACUAAAUCUCAACCGUUCAUGAUUCAAUGGCCAUGAUUGUGCCAUGUGGUAGUGGUUGAUGAAGCAAGUUGUAGGAUCUGAAUCUUUGUAUACGGGUCGACCUGAUCCGCCCAUUAACUCGCCAAAUCACAACCGUUCUUUGGCCAAAUCGGACGAGUCAAACGAUGCCACAUGUGAAGUUGACUUUUGAAGUUUGACCAGCCAUUGGAUCUUGAUCUAAAGGUUGUGAGAGCAUGAAGCUUAUGGAGCUUAUGAUGGACCGCAAAACACUGGAUUAUAAAUUUAUUUUUCUAUAAAUAGAGCCUCAUUUUUAUGUUUUUAAUUAUCUCUACAUCUCUCUUCUUCUCAAAUUCUCUCCAUCUCCCUGUAAUAUUUUGUAUAAUUAUUUUAUUAAAUAAAUUUAGUUUUAUUUUCAAUUUUAGUUGUUUUUAUUACUUUUAAUUAUAAGUAAUUAAAUUUUAAUAUUUCUUUUUAUUUCAAUUAUGCUUAACUAAAUAAUAUUAGUUGGGGUAAGGUGAAACUCUUAGGAAAUAAAUAUGAUUUAAUCAAAUUUUAUUUUUAAUUUUAUAAAUUAAAUUAUUUUCUAUUUAAUUUUAUACAUAUUUUAUAUUUUAAAAUUUUGAUUUAUUGUAGACAAACAAAUAAAUUUGGCACAAUAAAUUCUUAAGAUCUUAAUAUAAGGUAUGGUAAAAUGGUAUUUUGACUUAUUGUAGACAAAUUAAAUUUUGACACAAUAAAUACUUAAUCCAUCAUAAAAUUAGAGGGAAAAUAAUAAUAAUUUAUAUAAUUAAUCUUUUGGGCAAUAAAUUUAAAAAAAUAGCAAAAAGAAUUUAUUGAGUUUUAUUUACUACUAAGAGUGGAUCCACAAUCCUAACUAGAUCAAUUUCAUAAUUUCAUUUAAAUUAAGUUGUUUUUAUUCAAGUUUUUAUUUCAAUUUUUAGAUAAAAUAAAUUAAAUUAAUUAAAUCUUUUCUCUGUAGAUCGACCUCAGACUCACCGAGGACUGACCAAGGUAUAAUACAACAAGACACUCUUAUAAUUAAGAGUUUAAAAUUACUUUUAAGUUGUGUCAUUUUGGAUUGGUGAAUUAGAAUUAUUGACAACGCUAACUUCAUCUUCACAAUUUGCAAUCCAAUAGCAGCAAUUGUCACCGAUAAUGAUAUCUCCAAUGAUAAUGACGAUUUUAUUAUUAUUAUUGAUAAAAAGUAUUAUAAUUAAUUAAUAUAUUAAUGUUAAUAUUAUUAUUAUUAAGAUUAACAAUAAUUAUUAAUAAUAACAAUUUUUUGAAUAAAAAUAAUUACAAUAAUUUAAAUAUAAAUUAAUAAUUAUGACAAUAAUUAAUUAAUGUCUUUUUAAUAAUUUACUGAUUAUCACAGUUCAAGUAAACAAAUUAUUAUGAUUCCUAUUCUCCAUUUCCAUUUCAGCUCACUCCGAUUCCAAUCCAUUUCGACUUCUGCCUAAAAAACUCACCAUUAGUGCUAUAGUAAUAUUUCAUAUAGAGAAAAGUAAAAUCUACACCUAAGAUUAAGGUAAAGGACUUCAAAACUCUCUUUUGAUUAUAAUACCUUUUGUCCUAAUUAACUUAAAGAUUUUGAAUCUAAUAUUUUAUAAUAAAUAAAAAUAUAUUCCUAAAAUAAAUAUAAUAUCAAUAUUUAAAGUAUGUUUUAAUAUUUUACAAUCUAUCAGACACAUUUUAUUAUAUUAAAGUAAAUUUUAUAAUAAAUACAAACAUACUAUUAAAAUGAAUAUACAAAAAAGUUUAGAGUAUUUUGAAUAUUAUAUAAAAUAAUUUUAAUAUAAUGCGUGAGAUAUAUUUUAUUAAUUUAAAAUGCUAUUUUACCUAAAAAUUUAUUUAUGAUAAAUUAAUAAUUAUAUUUUUAAAAUUAUUUUAAAUAUUAUAAAAAAUUUAAUAUUAUUAGUGUUUUAGAUAGAUUAAAUUAUUUUAAAAUGCCUUAAUUGUUUUUACUUUUAACGUUACCGGCCUUUCUUAUAUUUUAUUGCAGCUAACAAGAAAAAGCCAGAUCAUAUUCCACAAAAGCAAAAGUGACAAAACAACCAGCUGGAUUCUUUUAUUAAACUACAAAUUAAAGGAUCCCAUUAUCUUACAACUAAUGUAAGAUACAUCCCUCACAUAAAUAGUAUAUAAACUCCACAUAUAUACUGUUCAUGUGAGGAAAUGUACCUUACAUUAAGAUAGUGUUUGCCCAAAUUAAAAUAGAUUUUUUCGAUGAACUACAAAUUAAAGUGGAUUCUUUUGAAUAUAGCUGGGGUUAGGGUAGGCUCUUUUAUUUAAGGCAAGUCUAGAGUAGUCAAAGACGAUUAGGCUCUUUUAUUAAACUACAAAUUGUAUAGUCUUUUUCAAAUUGUUCAGAUGCUUAUAAAUUAGUGGCCCCUUGUAAAUUUAACUGGAAGUGCCAAUCAGAGAAAAGUUCAAUUCUAAAUAAUUGUUCCGAUAUUUAUAAAUUGGUGGCCCCUACAAUCCUCAAUAAUUGUUCCGAUAUGUAUAAAUUGAUGGCCCCUACAAUCCUCAAUAAUUGUUCCUAUAUUUGUAAAUUGGUGGCCCCUUAGAAAUUUAACCGCAAGUCUGCAAGUGACAAUCGGAGAAAAGUCAUAAUUUACAAUCUUCCAAGGGAAGUAGGGAACCAGGGGAUAUACAAAGAUUAAGACAUGUCAUUCAUUUUUUUGGCUGCAUUCCCUUUCGUGUUCUUAAUAAUUGAAGACAGGUUGUUCAUUACAUGCUUACUUUUCAAAUGUGGAGCCGCAGCUAAUGUCGCUACUUUAAUUUGGGAUUAAAUUAGGGAAACAUUAUAUUGUAGUAUGCACUAACUUGAUGUUUAUCUAAACUCCUUAAAUUUAAGACAGAUUAUGGCAUAAAUAAGAAUAUAACGAUAACAAAAGAGUAUAUAAAAUAUUUAGAGUAUUUUGAAUAUUAUAUAAAAUAAUUUUAACAUAAUGCAUGAGAUAUAUUUUAUUAAUUUUAAAUGCUAUUUAACCUAAAGAUGUAUUUAUGAUAAAUUAAUGAUUAUAUUUUUGAAAUUAUUUCAAAUAUUAAAAAAUUAAUAUUAUAGACUAAAUUAUUUAUAUUAUUUUUUAUUUAUUAAAAAAUUUUUAAGUCAAUCUUUUUAAUUACUAUUCAAAGAAUAUAAUGAUUAAAAAAAUCUUUAUGCCUUCAUUAAAAAUUUAAAAAUUUACAUAACGAUUUCUAUAAAUAUUUAGGGUAUAUAUGAAGCACGGUGGAGAAGCUUUAUUUAAUAUUAUUGAUUUAAAUAAUAUCUCAAUUAAAAAUGUACAGAGAAGAAAUUUCGGUGGGUAUUUUAGUCUUUUCAGCAAUUAUCAUGACCAGAUCUGCCUUUGGCCUUGAAACGUCGGUCAGAAAAGUUUUAAAGUGCUUUAAUUGUUUUUAAGGCCGCUAAUAACUCUGCUCGUGCAAGUUGAGGAUAAAUGUUAAAUUAAUUACAAAAGCAAAAGGCUAAUUUAUUGAAGACAAGUAAAGCAGUCACGAAUGGUACAUGCCUAAUCUUUUCUAUAUUUACAGAAACACAAUUUUUUUUCAAUCCGCCGCAGCUUCUGUUAAAAUUAUCUUGGUUUCUCGUAGUUGAUUUCUAUUAUCCCAAAAAAAAAAAAAAGGUAACUGUUGAUGCCGAAAAAUGAUUUCAACAGCUGAAUUUAUUUUUUUUGGAGAAUUACAGUGUGAAUCCAAGCUCAAACGCAAGUCUGAUCGCAACUUUCUAUAUCUGCUAAUCAGAAAACACAGUUAGGAUACGCCGGUGGGGUUUCGGCUAGACCUUCCGAUACUUAAGUCAGAAAUUAUGUAUAAAAGGAGAAAAAUGAGAAUGAAGAAUUAUGAAUGAGUUAAAGUCAAGUAAUUUUCCGGUAGAGGGGUUGAAAAUCUUGUAGAAGCUUUGGUUGAUUUUGCUAACCCCUUCACCUGAUGCGCUCUUCAGUUUAAAUAGACUCUUGGUCGUGUACGGUUACCUCCUUAACUUCAGAAGUUGCAAGUGGUUGUCAGUUGGAGGUGGUUUAAAUAGAUCGUGGCACACAACUUCCUUAUAAAUUAGGCCACGUUCUCUUAACUAGCAAUUUUCCAUGUCAAGCUAAUUCUCAGGUCGGACAAGAGAAUUUCAAGGUCGGAUUACUUCACUUUCAGAUUAGACAGAUGAAUUUCUCAGUCGCUCAUAUAACGUUAAGGUUGUAUUCUUAAACUAAGUCAUUCACAUAGAUCUUAGGUCGUACUUAUAAACCAGGUCGCCAACAUAGGCUCCAGGUUGUACUUAUGAGGUUAGCUCAACAACAAUAAGUUUUGAGUAGAUUAGGAUCGACUAUAUUUUGAGACACUACCAGAAAAAUCCAACCCAAACACCAGUCCCCUAAUUUUCAAUACUGGAAAGUCAUUGCCAGUGUUGGAAACUAAUGGAAAACAUUUCUCAAAACCCAAUACCAGUCCCCUAGUUUUCAAUACUGAGAAGAUAUGAACGGUAUUGGAAACUAAAAUAAUUAAGAAAGAGCAAUAUAGCCACAAGCAAAAGAAAGACGGUGUAGAGCGGAACAAUGAGCAAAGAGAAGAGUAAAAAGAAAACUUCAGGUGUGGACCAAGAAAAUAACCAUGACCAAAUGCCUCGAGGUGAUAGAGUCGGGGUUGAGGGUGAGGUCUUCCUAACUAGUAGGGUUGUUGAAGACCAAGAGAGAACUUCCUAAAUUUAAUUAUUACAAUGCUUGCCCUUUUUUGCAAUAUGAACUUGUGUAGACCGUAUGCUACUGAACUUUAUUUUGCCUUUGUAAUCGGAUAAUUAUUAUGCUGACCUUGCCUUUUUUACUCUUUAUUUACUAGGGUUGGUUAUGAAUUGCAUUCCGUAGACUGAGCCCAUUUAAGACUCUGUUGAGGUCAAACAAAUAGAUAUGGUCAACUUUGGUAGCAAUAACACCAAGCAAUGACCUUGAAUUCACCAAGAUUCUAUCAUUUCGAUAUCAAUCUUGAUAAGGAAAAUGUUGACCUCACGAAAAUAUCAACUUCAACAAGAUAAAUUGUUGACCUCAACAAGAUAAAUUGUUGACCUCAACAAGAUAAAUUGUUGACCUCAACAAGGUUAAGUGUAGAGCUAAAAUGCCAACCUCACGACAAGGAAAAUGUUGACCUCACGAUAAGGAAAAUGUUGACCUCACGAAAAUGUCAACCUUAACAAAAUAGAUUGUCGACCUCAACAAGGUUAAGUGUAGAGCUAAAAUGCUGAACUCACGAUCUCACGACAAGGAAAAUGUCAACCUCACGAAAAUGUCAACCUCAACAAGAUAGAGUGUUGAACGCAAUAAGGUUAAAAUGUAAAGCUAAAAUGCCGACCUAAAAAAAAAUUGAAAAUUGGAGAACUUAAAUGUUAAGCUUAUGAUCAACCUCAACAAGGCAAUGACUGACCUCAAUAAAAUUGAAAAUUGGGCAACGACCUCAACAAGGCAAUGGCCGACCUCAACAAGGCAAUGGCCGACCUUAAAAAAAAUUAAAAAUUGUAGAACUUAAAUGUUAAGCUUAUGGCCGACCUCAACAAAAUUGAACAUUGUAGAACGUAAAUGUUAAGGCUAUGGCCAAACUCCACGAGGCAAUGACCAACCGCAAUAAAUAGAAAAUUGUAGAUUUUAACUUAUGGCCGACCUCAAUAAGGUAAUGGUCGACCUCAACAAAAUUAAACAUUGUAGAACGUAAAUGUUAAGGCUAUGGGCAAACUCCAUGAGGCAAUGACAAACCUCAAUAAAUAGAAAAUUGUAGAAUUUAGCUUAUGGCUGACCUCAAUCAGGCAAUAGCCGACCUCAACAAAAUUGAACAUUGUAGAACGUAAAUGUUAAGGCUAUGGCCAAACUCCACGAGGCAAUGAGCAACUUCAAUAAAUAGAAAAUUGUAGAACUUAGUUUAUGGCUUACCUCAAUAAGAAAAUGGUCGACCUAAAUAAAGUAAAGGCGAAUUUCGAUAAAAUUGAAAAAUGUAGAUCUCAACAAGAUAAAAGUUAAGGCUAUCUAACCACAAGGUAAUAGCUGUCUUCAAUCUCAAAAAGGCCGAAUUACAAUUAGACCUCAACAAGGUCAAAAUGACAAUCUCGAUCUCAAUAAGAUUUGAUAAAUUUUUCAGGUAGGACCUCAACAAGGCAGCAAUGUCGAUCUCAAUCUCAAUAAGAUUGGAUGAAUUUUUCAGGUAGAAUCUCCACAAAGCCGAAAUGCCGAUCUCAAUCUCAAUAAGAUUGGAUAAAAUUUUCAGGUAGGACUUAAAUAAGGCCGCAAUGUCGAUCUCAAUCUCAAUAAGAUUGAAUGAAUUUUUUUCAUGUCAGACCUCAGUAAAGUCGUCAUGUCGAUCUCAAUCUCAAUAAGAUUAGAUAAAUCUUUUCACGUUGGACCUCAAUACGGUCCAAAAAUGCCGAUCUCAAUCUCAAUAAGAUUGGAUAAAAUUUUCAGGUAGGACCUCAACAAAGCUGCAAUGUCGAUCUCAAUCUCAAUAAGAUUGGAUGAAUUUUUUCACGUUGGACCUCAGCAAGGCCGCCAUGUCGAUCUCAAUCUCAAUAAUAUUGGAUAAAUCUUUUCAUGUUGGACCUCAAUACGGUCCAAAAAUGCCGAUCUCAAUCUCAAUAAGAUUGGGUAACUUUUUCAUGUUGGACCUCAAUAAGGUCACAAAGUUGAUAUCAAUCUCAAUAAGAUUGAAUAAAUAUUUUCACGUUGGACCUCAAUACGGUCCAAAAAUGCUGAUCUCGAUCUCAAUCUCAAUAAGAUUGGGUAAUUUUUUCACGUUGGACCUCAACAAGGUUGCAAUAUCGAUAUCAAUCUCAAUAAGAUUGGAUAAAUUUUUUCACGUUGGACCUCAAUAAGGUCCAAAAAUGCCAAUCUCAAUCUCAAUCAGUCUGGAUAAAUUUAUUUCAUAUUGGACCUCAAUCAAGUCCAAGUGUCGAUCUCGAUCUCAAAUAAGACCGGUCACAAGUAGAUAAGAAAUAAAGUUGCACUUUUAAAUAACCUCAUUGAUACUAAUAUAACAGAAGUUAUAGAAUUGAACGCAUAACAAAUUGAAAUAACAAAGAAACAAACUUUCUUAGCAUAUUUAAAGAAAAUAAACAAACAAUAUUUAAAGAAAAUAAACAAACAAGGACAUCAUAAAUAAGAUAUAUCUUAACUGAUAGUAUUUUCGCAGGUGCUCUGCAUUCCAUGCCUUGCCAACGACCCUGCCAUCCUGAUAACUUAAUUUAUAUGCCCCAUUAUCAAAUUAGGGUAGCACUUUAUAUGGUCCUUCCCAGCUCGGCCCUAGAACUCCAUCAAUAAAUCUGAAGCUCAUUGGAGAUGUCAUCCAUCAUUUUUGUUCCCACUCUUACCACCCUGCUCGGAUCAACCUCACUUAUCGGCAUGUUUCAUUUCUUCAUUAGGUCACUGUUGGCACAAUCUAUUCUCAGCUCGUGGGUCGAUACUCGUGAUCUGCAUGGAUUCUCUUGCAGCUGUAGCGUAACAACUUCGAGCUAUUUGUUGCUGGCCCCUCAUCACUCCAACCCCAUAUUGAACUCUAAACUUCACACGUUGCAUGUGGGUUGAGCUCACGGCUCUUACUAUCCUAUUGAAAGGUCUACCCAAAAUAAAUUGAUAAGGGUUGGGCUCAUCAACUACCACCCAUGUCACCAUCACUGUCUUUUGUAGUGGGUUGGACUUUAUUAUCAGUGGCAAGUCAAUCAUCCCAAGGGGAAUCAACUCAGCUCCGCCAAACCCUUUUAGUGAUGUUCUGACGGGAUCAAGCCUAAGGUCCCCUAUUUGUAGAUCUUCCAGGGUUUGCUUAAACAAAAUGUCGACUGAGCUUCCUCCAUAUAUAAGAGCUCGGUUCAAAUCCUGCCCUACCAAGGUAACCUUCACUAUGAGCGCAUCCUCAUGUGGAUGUGCGACCGCUUCCUCGUCCUCGUCUGUGAACAUGAUCGGCACCCUUUGAACCCGUUGCUUCUUUGGUAUUGAAACAUUAAAAUUCAACUUAUAACUUUCUAAUGACUAUCUACUAUAAUUUCUCCUUGAACGAUUUGAGUCUCCUACUAGGGUCGGCCCUCCCAUAAUCAUCAUCGCUACAUUAUCUCUGAUGUCUCCUCUUCUCCCACCUAUUCCUUGGUCAUUCACAUACUCCUUUAGAUAUUGAUUUUGCACUAGCCACAAAAUCUGUUCUUUCAAGUCUAUGUAAUCUGCAGUUCCAUGUCCGAACACAAUGUGAAACUCGCAAUACUUGUGGUGAGCACUUCUGCCCAGACUUCUUACAAUUGGCUUUGGCGGUUUAAGUAGCCCCUUCUUUUCUACUACAACAUAUAUUUCCGCUCUGCUUUUGUUCGAUGGUGUGUAUCUUCCACUCUACUCUAAUAAGUUCACCCCAUGGUCAGAUCUCGAUACUCUCUGUUCUAUAGGCAGUGGCAACCUAUUGUAGUCUCUUGCUCGGUUCUCCCUUUAGUUCAUCUCAUAAUUAUUUCCUCUAUCUCGGCCCCAUCCCAUUAAUGAGAUUUAUCUCAUUUCACGAUUUCUUUCCCAAUCUCGACCCGACCUUUCUGGUCAUCUGUAAUUGAACAACUCUCCGCCGUAAUGACGUCUAUCAUCCGAGUUCCUCCUCGAGCUAUACUCGAGGUUAUCACUUGACCCUCUCUCUGCUCUUCCAUUCUCCUAUUUUCUUCCUCUGCAUCUUCAGUUUUCAUAUCUAAUUUUGUCUAGUCGUACGCCUCAGCGUAUGUUGUUAUCCCCUUGUUAUAUAAGCUAUUCCAUAAUCGAUUGAUUCUCAACUCCUUCUUUAAUCCCUCUAGAACAUCUGGAAGAUCAAAGGCCCCUAGAUCGGUAACCUCUCUAUGAUACCUGGUCACAAAACUCGUCAAACUUUCAAAUUCUCCUUGGACCAAUUUUGUCAAGCUGCUCAUAUCCUGCUCUGAUAUGCAUGAACCUCUAAAAUGCAUAGCGGAAAGCACACAUAACUCCUUGAAAUUUCCUAUGCUUCUAUUCUUUAAUCUCCGGUACCAUUCCCAUGCUUGUCCAUCUAGAGUUAAGGGAAAAAUACGGCACCUUUGAAAAUCAUUCAAACCUUGAAUUACAGUCAUCUCAUUAAACUUCUCCACAUGAUGAUUUGGGUCAGUUUUUCCUUCAUACACCAAGACUUGAACCACAUACUUGGGUGGCAAAGUUACUGCCAUCACUUCAGGUACCAAGGGGGACUCGUCAUCGAGUAACAGCCUUCCUACCACUUUCUUGCCCUCUGUUUUCGCCUCUAAUACCUCUAAGGUUUUUUGAAAUUGCAGCAUUCGUUGCUCAAGCUCAUUUGCCCGUUGGGGUCUCUCAGCUCUUCCCUCUCUCUUUCUUGAUUCAAGUCAUUGAUUCUCCCCCUCAACUCAUUCACUUGUUCUCCUGCACUUCUAUUCUUUUGUCGUACCCCAACUUGUGGUAGUCCCAUUCCGCUCUGCUGUUCACCAUCAAGCUCUUCCCUCUCUCGCGCUCCACUACAUUUUGGAUCACUAGCUCGAACGUGAGCCUCUCUGACUUGGGCAUCAACCAGCCCCCGAUCAUCUUCUCAAAUCUCGCCAUUUGCCUCUCAAUCCCUUCUCUCCAUCUCUUAUCUGCCGUGGCAUUCAUUUCCUCAGCCAAUUGGCGCAAGGUCUACGUAUCUUCAUCCUUAUCAUCUAUCACUAUUUUGUAAUCCGAUAGCUUCUCCUUCUAAAUCUUCAAACGUAUGGCUUUUCGCACUGAUCCCCACAGAUAGCGUCAAGAUGUUGAUGCUGAAAAACGACAUGAACAGCUGAAUUUGUUUCUUUUGGGGAAUUACAAUGUGAAUUUAAGCUCAAACGCAAGUCUGAACGCAACUUUCUAUAUCUACCAACCAGAAAACACAGUUAGGAUAUGCCGGUGGGGUUCCGGCGCAGACCCUCCGAUGCUUAAGUCAAAUUAUGUAUAAAAGGAGAAAAAUAAGAAUGAAGAAUUAUGAAUGAGUUAAAGUCAAGUAAUUUUCCAGUAGAGGGGCUAAAAAUCUUGUAGAAGCUUCAGUGAAUUUUGCUAACCCCUUCACCUGAUGCGCUCUUCAAUUUAAAUAGACUCUUGGUCAUGUACGGUUACCUCCUUAACUUCAGCCCGCUUUCUUCAGUAGUUGCAAGUGGUUGUCAGUUGGAGGUGGUUUAAAUAGAUCGUGGCACACAACUUCCUUAUAAAUUAGGCCACGUUCUCUUAACUAGCAAUUUUUCAUGUCAAGCUAAUUCAUUGGUCGGACAAGAGAAUUUCAAGGUCGGAUUACUUCACUUUCAUAUCAGACAGAUGAAUUUGUUAGUCGCUCAUAUAGCGUUGGGGUUGUAUUAUUAAACUAAGUCAUUCACAUAGAUCUUAGGUCGUACUUGUAAACCAAGUCGCCAACAUAGGCUUCAGGUUGUACUUAUGAGGUCAACUCAACAACAAUAAGUUUUGAGUAAAUUAGUAUCGACUAUAUUUUGAGACACUACAAAAAAAAUCCAACCCAAACAGUAACAUUUUGCAAAUCUCAAUCGACGGUGCUAUUUUCAAUCGUUGCCUGGAUUGCUUUCUUGGAAAAGCAGCAUCUAUAAGAAACCUGCAAAAAAAUGUUGUAGCCUUGGAGACUGAAUUGGGAAAACUAAUCGAAGCAAAGAACGAUGUGGUGGCGAGGGUCGUCAACGCUGAAAGGCAACAAACGAUGACAAGGCUGAACAAAGUUCAAGGCUGGCUUUCGAGGGUGGACGCUGUUAAAGCUGAAGCUGAUGAAUUGAUAAGACAUGGCCCUCAAGAAAUUGAGAAACUAUAACUUAGAGGCUACUGUUCCAAGAACUGCAAGUCAAGCUAAAAGUUUGGCAAAAAAGUGGCUAAAAAGCUAAGAGACGCCGGGACUUUAAUGGCCAAUGGAGCAUUUGAAGUGGUAGCUGAGAGAGCUCCAGAAUCAGUAGCGGAUGAAAGGCCUAUCGAGCCCACAGUAGUAGGCCUGCAAUUGCAACUCGAGCAUGUUUGGAGAUGUCUUGAAGGAGAAUCAGUCGGAAUUGUUGGCCUAUACGGCAUGGGCGGUGUCGGUAAAACUACACUAUUGACCCAUAUCAACAACAAAUUUCUUGAGAGUCCAACUAAUUUUAAUUAUGUGAUAUGGGUCGUAAUGUCAAAAGACUCGCGACUUGAAAACAUUCAAGAAACUAUCGGGGAGUAGAUUGGUUUGUAAAAAUUUGCCAAUUUACACAGCAAACAAUUUCCACCCAAUUAAUGUUUUUUAGAAAAUUGUAAAAAUUUGGAGUUAUGAAAAUAGAAACUAUAUAAUAAGAAGAAAUAAUUUAAGAUUUUAAGAUUUAUAUAUAUUUUAUAAAUAAAACAUUAAAAGAGAUGCUUGUUAUUACGAUGAAAUUUUAUGAGUAAGAUGAUUAACUUUAAUAUAUGAGUUUGUAUUUUAUAAAUUAAUCAGAGGUAUUUUAGAAAAUAAAUUCAAAAUGGGAGUUAUAAGAGUUUUAGAGUGGUGUUAAAAGCUCAACUCUUUUGAAUUUUACUGCCCAAUUAUAUAGUACAUUAGCGUGAUUGUUAUGUAUUCAUUUUUUUCAGAUACAACAAACGAGCUGCGUAGUGCUCAAAUAACAAAAAUUAAUAAUUUCACACACCCAUAUACAUAUAUGUAUACAUAUAGAUACAUAUUAUAUUUAAUUAAGCAAAAGAAAGAACCCCCUGUACGACGCCAGUGAGAAGAGAGAGAGAGAGAGAGAGAGGAAGAGAGCUUUUUGUGUUAUAUUUCAUAAUUUUUAUUUAAUUAAAAAUAUUUGUAGUUUGGAUUUGGGCGCCCCAAAGAAUUUCUAAAUCAAAACCUUAAUUUUUAUUAGGUCUUGAGCCUAUUCUCGAAAUAGAUCCUAUUAUAUUCUUAGGUGGUGUUUGGUUUUAAGAAAAUGGAAGAGAGGAGAGGUGAAAAAAGAAGAUGAACGGAGAGGUGAUGAGAGGAAAAGAGUGUAAAAAUUAAUUGUUAUUGUUUGGUUUCACAUUAAAUUUGAAAGGAAAAGAAAUUACAUAUUUUUUAUUUGGACGAAUAUACCCACUAUUUUAAUGCUAAUAUUGUUAAUAAAUUAAAAAAUAAUAAAACUAUGAAUUAAUUUAAUCUAGAAAUUACCUAAUUAAAUUAAAAAAUUAUUUUUUAAAAAAAUACAGCAUUUGGCCAUGGACAGCCUCCACGUUGACCACCGUUGACUGGCGAAUUUGACUGUCGUUGACCGUCAUUUUUCAUCGCGUUAAAUGCAUAAUAAUAAUAAGAAAUGAAUGAUUUAUUCAUUGGAAGUGUUAAUUUUGCAGAAAAUACACUAUAUAGUAGGAAAUAUGAGAGUUAAAAUUUUCCCAAGCAUUUAAACAAGACUUGAGGUAAAUAACAAUGUAUAUUAGCAUUUUUAAUCUCAUAGCAUUGUAGAUGGACUCAUGAGGAUUCCAUUGAUACCGGUUUUGAUGAAAAAGUGCGUCUCCGGCGAAACUCCGACGAGUCACUUUACUGUUUUUUCUUUUUUCAAAUAAGUUUAUCCUAUUAAUUUAAGAAAAUAAAUAUAAAUUAUUUGUACUUUAAUUUAUUUAACAUUGAUUUUGUUUAGAGGAUAAUAUUGGAAUUUUUGUGUUUAAAUAGAUAAGAAAUUUAAAAUCUUUAGUCAUUGAUAAGAAAUACAAAUUCUUCAAAUUGAUGGAAAUUCAAUUCCAUUAAACUUGGUCCAAGUAGAAAAGAAAUCAAUUUUUUUUGGCUCUCCCCACUUCCCUACCCCUAAGCAAACAUGGCCUUAUGGUUUUUGAGAACUCAUACCAAAUUCAAAUUAAUCAGGAGCCCACGGGUCCCGGGGCUCGCGGGAAAGUUGCCAUCCCUACCUUCAUCUGACGGAAAGUCCCUACAAACAAAUGUUUCUUUAUUUAUUUAUUUUUAUAAAAGAAAUUUCAGUUUGAAUGUCUUUUGGACGUUUCCAAUUGUCAUGAUUAGCCCUUGAACCUUUGGUCAAAAAAGUAUUAUCACGCGUUGAUUGUUUGUAUCGCAAAUGCUAGUGGCAUUUGAAAGUUGAUAUAAUUAAUUACAAUCUACAAAUGUUUAACAAAAAAGUGGGAUGGAUAUGGCACAAAAGUAAAGCAAGCAGGAUUCGUUGAAAAAGCUAUUUUGACACCUACUUCGGUUAUAAAAUUUUCAAAAAAAAAAAAAAAUUUUGAUUAAAAGUAAAUUGUAUAGGUUCAACUACCGUGCACUUGGUGCAUGGGACAUGUAUUUUGUCUAUAUAUAAGUUACCCGUCAGAUAUAACAUAGAACUUGCUUCAACGGCAUAGAUGUAUUCUCUUUAGUUUUUAACAUUGACAUCUAUGUUGUUUUUCAAAAAAGAAAAAUAGUGAAAGGUUUGACACAUAAUUUUAGAUUAUUUUUAAAUUUUAUAUUUUAAUCAAUUGAUUUAAUUUACUGUUAAAAUUAAUGACAGUAUAAGCGUAAUAACUUGAAAAAACUUUUUAAUACAUAAUUUUUUUUAUUUUUUGAAAAUAAUAUAAUAUCAAUUUAAUCUAUAAUAAAUAAUUUUAACAUAUAAUUAAAUUUUAAUUUAUCAAUAAUAAUAUGACCAAAUGACAAUGUUAAAGAAUUUCAUUAUAAUCAACUAUGAUUUAGUAUUCAAAUAUAAAUAAUAGAAAUAUACUCUAAGUGUAAAUAAUAGAAAUAUAUCAAACUUAUAUGUUAAAAUUUCAAAACUUUUAAUUUUUUCACUUUUCAGCAAACAAGAGGGAGUAAUUUACCAAAAACAAGGGGUAUCGUACACCUGGGGCACCAUAGCUUCCUCCAAAUUGUAUAAAAAAUAGAAAUAUUUUUAGUCUCCAAAUUGUAUAAAAAAGUAAAAAUAUUUUGACUAAAAGUAAAUUGUGCGUAACUACUUUAAUAUUUUAUUUCUUUCAUAACUUUAUCAAAAUCUUGUCAUCAAAUAUUUUAUCAAUGUAACGCUGUAAACAGCAAAUUAAAGUUUAAUUAUUUAAUUACAACUGGCAAAAGAGACGUUUAAUUAUUUAAUUACAAGCGGGAUAGUCUCUUUUGUUGAAGGAAAUUAAAGUUUAGUUAUUUAAAUCGAGCACGCGUAAUCUUUUCAAGCACAAACAAAAGAGAUCAUAAUUCAAAGUUGAUGUUCUCUUCACAGCAGCUUCUAUUCAUCGAACUCCAUCGUUAAAAUUUCCUUGGUUUUUCCUGGUUGAAUUCUCAUCCAAAAUAUGGGUAACAUUUUCCAAAUCACAUGCGACGGCGCUCUCUUUAACCGUUGCCUGGAUUGCUUUCUUGGAAAAGCAGCAUAUAUAAAAAACCUCAAACAAAAUCUUGCAGACUUGGAGACUGAAUUGGGAAAACUAAUCGACGCAAAGGAAGAUGUGAUGAGGGAGGUCAACGCUGCUGAAAGGCACCCAAUGAUGAAAAGGCUGACCAAAGUUGAAGGCUGGCUUUCGAGGGUCGAAGCUGCUAAAUCCGACGGUGACAAAUUGAUAGCAUUUGGCUCUCAAGAAAUUAAGAAACUAUGUCUUGGAGGCUACUGUUCCAAGAACUGCAAGUCAAGCUACGAGUUUGGCAAACAAGUGGCUAGAAAGCUAGGAGAUGUCAAGACUUUAAUGGCUGAAGAAGCUUUUGAAAAGGUAGCUGAGGAAGUACAACCACCUUUGGUAGAUGAGAGACCCACCGAGCCAACCGUAGUAGGCUUCCAAUCACAAUUUGAACAAGUCUGCAAAUGUCUUGAAGAAGAAUCAGUCAGAAUUGUUGGCCUAUACGGCAUGGGCGGUGUCGGUAAAACCACACUAUUGACUCAUAUCCACAAUAACUUUCUUCAGAGUCCAACUUUUAAUUGUGUGAUAUGGGUCCUAGUGUCAAAAGAUCUGCGACUUGAAAACAUUCAAGAAACUAUCGGGGAUCUGCGACUUGAAAACAUUCAAGAAACUAUCGGGGAGCAGAUUGGUUUGUUAAACGAUACAUGGAAAAAUAAACGAAUUGAACAGAAAGCUCAAGACAUCUUCAGGAUUUUGAAGGAGAAGAAGUUUUUGCUGUUGCUAGAUGACUUAUGGCAGCGGGUUGAUUUAACAAAAGUGGGCGUCCCUCUUCCUGGCCCGCAAAAUAAUGCAUCCAAAGUGGUAUUCACAACCCGUUCCGAAGAAGUUUGUGGUUUGAUGGGAGCUCACACGAGGUUUAAAGUGGCGUGCCUGUCAAAUAUCGAUGCUUGGGAAUUGUUUCGGCAGAACGUUGGAGAAGAAACUCUGAACAGUGAUCCCGAUAUUCUUCAACUCGCCCAAGCAGCAGCCAGAGAGUGUGAUGGUUUGCCACUAGCACUUAUUACCAUUGGCCGAGCUAUGGCUUGCAAGAAGACACCUGACGAAUGGAUUUACGAUAUUGAGGUGCUAAGAACAUCAAGUUCUCAGUUCCCAGGUUUGGGAAAUGAGGUUUAUCCUCUUUUAAAAUUCAGUUACGAUAGAUUGCCGAGUGACACAAUUAAAUCAUGUCUCUUAUAUUGUAGUUUAUAUCCAGAAGAUUAUUGCAUUUCUAAAGAGAAAUUGAUAGACUGUUGGAUCGGCGAGGGAUUUUUGACAGAAAGGGACAGGAUUGGAGAACAAAAAGAAGGAUACCAUAUUCUGGGCAUUCUUCUUCAUGCCUGCUUACUGGAAGAGGGAGGAGACGGUGAAGUAAAAAUGCACGACGUGAUUCGAGAUAUGGCAAUAUGGAUAGCAUGCGACAUUGAAAAGGAGAAGGAGAAUUUUUUUGUUAAUGCUGGCGUUGGAUUAGUUGAAGCACCCGAUGUCACAGGAUGGGAAAAGGCGAGGAGAUUGUCACUGAUGCACAAUCAAAUUACGAAUCUAUCAGAGAUUCCUACAUGUCCUCAUCUCCUUACUUUUUUCCUUAACAAAAAUAGGUUUCAGAUGAUCCCCAAUGACUUCUUCCAAUUUAUGCCCUCCCUCAAAGUUUUAAAUCUGUCAUACAGCAAACUAACCAGCUUACCAUUGGGGAUUUCAAAGUUGGUUUCACUGCAACAUCUUGACCUGUCAGAAUCCGACAUAGAAGAGUUGCCAGGAGAGUUAAAGGCAUUGGUAAAUCUUAAAUGUUUGGAUUUGGAAUAUACAGGGAAUUUAAUUACAAUUCCACGUCAACUAAUAUCUAAUCUUUCAAGGUUACAUGUGUUGAGAAUGUUUGGUGCUGGUCAUAAUGCCUUUGAUGAAGCAUCAAAAGACAGCAGUUUAUUUGGUGGGGGUGAAUUCAUAGUAGAGGAACUGCUUGGUUUGAAAUCUUUAGAGGUGAUUAGCUUCACCUUGAGAAGUUCUCAUGGUCUCCAAAUGAUUUUGAGCUCGGAUCAGUUACGAAGUUGCACUCGAGCACUCUCAUUCCAAUGCUUCAACGAUUCGACAUCGCUUGAAGUUUCAGCUUUGGCAGAUCUGAAGCAACUUAAAAUGUUGCGGAUUGCAAGGAGUGAAAUAUUGGAGGAAUUAAAGAUGGAUUGUGCAGGGGAAGUUCGACAGUUUGUUUUCCAUAGUCUCAAUAAGGUUGAAAUAUACGGUUGCAGUAAAUUGAAGGACUUGACAUUCCUUGUUUUCGCUCCAAACCUCAAGUCUAUUAAAGUAACAGGUUCCCAUGCUAUGGAAGCAAUCAUAAGUGUGGGUAAAUUUGCAGAAGUUCCAGAGGUAAUGGCAAAUUUAAACCCAUUUGCAAAACUCCAAAAUCUUGAAGUAAUUGGUGCGAUAAAUUUGAAGAGCAUUUACUGGAAGCCCCUGCGCUUCCCACAUCUGAAAACAAUGAGUUUCUUUCAUUGCAACAAGCUUAAAAUGCUUCCACUUGAUUCCAAUAGUGCAAGAGAGCAUAGCAUUGUUAUUCGUGGAGACAGAAUGUGGUGGGCACAGCUUCAAUGGGAGGAUGAAGCCACUCGAAAUGCUUUUCUUCCCUGUUUCAAAUCUUGAGCAGAGAUCACAUUUGAAUAAUUUCUGGUGCGUGCUUUUUCUUACAUUAUUCUUCUUGUUAAUUUCCUUCAUGCAGACAUCUGCACCUAAUAACUCGUUACUUCAAAUAUUCUCUAAAUUAUUUGAGGGUACUCGCCCCUGCACAUAAUGUAUAUUUAUAUCUAAUUAAAUUUUUUAAAAAGUCAAUAUUAUAUUUUUUAUGUCAUUAAAUAAAGUCUUGUUAUUUUAUCGAAUUAUAUUCAACUUGAAAAUAGUUCUAGCUUUUAGAUAUAAGUUAUGUAAGUACAAGUUCAAAGUGUAUCAGCAUUAAAUUACUCAUAUUCAAUCAUUUAUAAUCUGAUGUUGAAAAAAAAAUGUCAUUCAAUCAUAUGCAUUUAACUAAAUUCAAAUAUAAUCUAAAUUCAGAUACGUUAAAAUUAUUUGGGAAAAAAAAGCGCCACAACUCUAUAUUGUUUAUUGAGUAAACCAGAUAUUAACUCUAUCAUGAACGUAAUAGCCUCCAGCAUUUUUUAUUAUCUGUUCAAACCAUAUUUUAUUAUUUUAAUUUAUUUAUAUUCAUUGCAUUUCAAUUAGGUCAUGUUUUCUUUUGUUUUCUGUUUUAUAUUCUUUGAUCAUUUUGGCAACAUGGAGUACUAUGAUUAAUCAUUUUGUACUGGUCUCAAAUUUCAGUCGGAUUAUCUGCGGAAAAUAUCUCUGAAGAUGCUUUCAAUGGAGUCCAGUACUCAGAAUGCGAUGCCUAAUCCUUUGCAAUCCAACAAUGCUAGCAGGAGCAACGAACCCCCUCAUCCAGGUAGUGACGUGGAAUAGUAAAUGCAGCUUCACUUUCAAUUUGUCUCUGAAACCGCUCCCUAUAAUCAAUCCUAGCAUUCUUAUGUGUUCUUAACUUCUGCAGCCUGAAUAUUUCUUCCUCGACAAUCAAAGUCAUAACAGUAUGAUUGGCUGGAGUAGCUUUCCUCCAGACCCCUCAUUAUAGUUAUAAAUAAUUCCGAUAUUUGAUAUCAUGAUCGGGGAUUUCAGAGCUUAGAAAAUAUGAUUUGUACCCAUAUGUGUCUGAUCAUGAGAAGUUUGAAAAUAUACAUCAAAAACUGUAUGGAUUGGAAAAAUAUAAUCUUAUUAUGGUGUGUUAAAUCGUCAUUUGAUGAACGGAUUUGGGAUACAUUAUAAUAUGAUGUCAUUAUUAAUUAGGGUGUGUUUUUGGAAGUGCUUAAUUAUAUUCGUUUAAUGUGUAUUUCUUUUAUCACUUUUGAAAAGAAUUCUUAAAUAUUUAAAUAUUUCAAUGUUUAUAUCUUAACUUCAAAUAUAAUAAAAUAAAAUAAAAUAACUGUUCUCCAAUAUGAGGGUCCGAACUAAGGGUCUACGUCAAUAACAUGAAAUAUAAUAAUUUUUGUAAAUUUUUCUUAAAUUCAAAAUAAAUUUUGUUACUGAUUCAAAUGUUUAACAAAAUGUGGCAGCUUAUCUGUAAUUGCCACAUCAAUUGAGAUUCAAAUUACUACUCAAAUCCUGAAAUUCCUAAAGGUCCCUAACAUUAAUAUUUUAUUAAGUCAAUAUUGAAGUUGAACUAUGGGGUUCGUCGGCUAUUUCACACUAACAGAGGAAUCAUUUUAUCUUCUACAAAGGGUUCAGUUUUCUUGCACUGUAUGAUAUGAAGUAAUAUUGUCAUAUGUUGUUCUGAAUUAAUUUUUUUCUUCUCUCGUGCGAAUCAGAAAGAAAUGUUGUAUUUAAGAUGUGGAAAGUAUAAGAUCUUAGGAGUUUUACAGUGUAUAUAUAUAUAAAUUUUUUUUUGACAAACAGAGAAAUUCAGUCUAGAAUAUGAGAACAAACUAAAAGCUACGAAAUACAUUGGCAUUUUUGAGAAGUAGGAUAAAUAUUAUUUUUUUUUUUGAAAAAAAAAGGACUUGGCACCUCAAUGCUUUAAUAACCUAAUGUUAUACUUUUGGUUUGAUUUUUCUAUGUACUCUCUUCCAAUGGUCAAUUUAGGCUAUGUUUGGUAUUGAGAUAUUAUAACUAAAAAAUUUUAGGAUUUAUCACUUAAAAGAUAGAGUAGCCGUGGGAAAAAAGAGAGAGAGAGCUGAAAUUAUGAAAUAAAAUUAUUAAUGUAUUGUAAAUAAGAUGUUCAAAUAAAAAAAUUGACAAAAAUAGUAAAAAUACAAUACCAAACAAGAAUUUAUUUAGGAUACCGAUUCCAGGUCUCUAAAGAUUUGUUUUUAUGCUUUGCAGUUAUUUUCUUCUAGCUGACUGAUGAAUUAUUGUGAAAUUGCUAUGAAAAUUACUAGGGAAAUUAUCAGUCAUACACUCUUAAAUGACACCCGUAUCAAAUAUGCUACAACAUUUUUCAAGUAUAUCACUCGUAUACUCUAAGUUGACAAAACACUUCUACCGUCCACCAAUAUGUUAACUUCUAUUAGAAAGUUAAUAGAAUUGUGGCAAAUUGACUAUUUCGUCCUUGAAACUCAAAAUGAGAUUAAAAAAAAUUUACCCAAAAAAUUAAAGUAAAUUUUCAAUACAUAAUUUUUUUUAAUUUCGUUAUUAACAAUACAUUUUUUUAUUAAAAAAUAUGAAUUAUUAAUGGUACAUAUUAUUAACAAUUAUCCAUAAAAAUAUCCAUAUUAUACCAUAAAAAAUUAUUAACAACAUAUUAUUUACAAUUAUACAUAUUAUACCAUAAAAAACUCCAAUUGGAGCUUGGAGGAGUAGAUCUUAAAAAAUUUAGGUUAAAUUUUGGAUGAGUAGAUUCGGUUGUAAAGUAGUUGUUUUUUUAUAUGUAAUUAUUAACAAUUAUCCAAUAAAUGGGAUGACAUGUCAUUUUAUCAAUAUAUAUCAUAUGACAUGUCAUUGCUUAAUAGGAAAAUGGGAUGACAUGUCGUUUUUAAAAAAGACUAUAUUUACCCUUAUGAUGUCAGCACUUGCAAACGGCAGUUAACGGAUUGGUGAACGGUAGAAAUGUUUUGUCAACUUAAAGUAUACGAGUGAUAUACUUGAAAAGUGUUGUAUCACGUUUGAUAUUAGUGUCAUUUAACGAUAUAUGACUGAUAAUUUUCCAAAUUACUACUAUAACUUAUGGCAAAUUGGCAAUUAAAAAUCAUAAAAGUCUUUCCUCUUGAAUGAGAAAGUGGGUUAUUUUCGUUUACUAUAUAUAUAGUGUCACAAUCAAGAUUAGCAAAGGUUUGUUCACAAACCACCAUCUAUGAAACUAUGAUGACAAAUAUUAUUUGCUAUUAUCAUGUCACUGCAUUACUCUAAUGCCAUUAUUUGCCUAAUUAAAUAUUCAUGUCGGUUUUAAGAUGAAUUUCAAGACAUUUAACUAACCAUAUCUAUUGUAUUUUAUUAUGGUGCUCUAGCUAGCUGGUUGCCAGCUUUGCCUUUCAAUGGGGUUUGAUUAAUUACUCUGCAUAUAGACCAUUAUAUACUAGGACGGCCAAUGGUUAAUGUAAUAUAAACACAAUAAAUUUUAAUCAAAUAUGAAUUUUCUGAAUAAUUGUUUCUUUAUUUUAUGAAUUUUAUUUAAACGAUAUCCCAAUUUAAAAAAAAAAAAGAAAGAAAGAAAAUCAGCGCGUUUGUCUCCUCCCCAUUGUCAUGAUCAACCUUGUUGGAAACGUUGGUGAGAAAAGUAAUACUAUACGUUAAUUGCUUUUAAUAUUUUAAUCGUUGGUGGCACAACCGCACAAGAAAGUAAAAGUUGUUAUAUAUAUAUAUAUUUUAAAUAAAAGUUUAGCUUUCAAUAAUUCAACUUUGAAAAAGGUACAAAAGAUGUGUAGGACAUUCGUUGAACCACAUUAUUGGUUGUACACUUUCUAAAGCUACUUUGGCUAUGGAAUAGGCCAUGAUUAUGAAGCCGAGAAGUAUGUUGCAGUGUGGGGUUGUGUAGUUCCUUUUAGCUUCUUCUUACAAAUUAAUGCUGACAGAAAAAGCAAGAUCAUAUUCCACAAAAGUAAAAGUAACAAAACAACCAGCUGGAAUCUUUUAUUAAACUACGAUAAACUACAAAUUAAAGUGGAUUCUUUUGAAUACAAGUGGGAUAGACGAUUGGCUCUUUUAUUAAAGGCCAGUAGUCAAGAAUCGAAUAUCUCGAUUGCAUAGUCUUUUUCAAAUUCUUGUUUUAUUAUUUUUCAAAACUAAUUUUUUAUUAGUCUACAAUUAUUUAUAAUUAUAUUUUCAUUUAGAAUACAGUUCAAGUCAAAUCUUUUGCACUUCUACCUAACUCGGGCUAAUACUAGUCCACUCAUUAUUCAUGUGAGAGAGUUGUAAGGUACAUGCAUGUAACUUCUCUAACUCGAAUUAUUCCACACAGAGAAAUAAACAUAGAUGCUUUAUAACUUUAGAAAUCCGAUCUCUUACAGUUGGAAACAGAGAUGAUGAUUACUAUAAGAAUGAAGAAAAAGAUAAAAAAUUGUCAAUGAUUAACGAAGUCUCUAUGCAAAUUUCUCUAUGCAAAUUGAUUUUAGCAGAAAAAUAGUGAGUUGAAUGAUGUAGGCGAUUAGUGGUAAUAUUUCAUAGAGUUAGAGUAUUGGCAACCCUUCAAUCUUCUCAUGAAUCCCCUUUUUGAGUUAUAGUUAUUUUAUUUCGAAAUAUCCUUUUUCUUCUUUAAUACACUUCUAAUUUUUCAUUUAAUUUUUUUAUUGUUAAACUCAAAGUAUUAUUGUGAUAUUUUUCGUUUCUUUUGUAAUCUUAUUAUAAUUAAAAAAACCAAAAAAAAAGAUUGGCUAUGAAAUUUGUUGGAAAAAAUCUAUGUGCGUUUAAUUUUUGUUUGUCUUUGACUGUAAUUUAUUUGAAGUGGGGUUUUAUAAGCAUAAUGAAGGGAUCAAAGGAUGCCCAUAACUUCACUCUAUUUUAUAUGGAGAAAAGUAAAAGGUACACCUAAAGUUAAUGGAAAGUACUUCGCAGCUUUCUUUUGAUUAUAAUAUCCUUUAAUUUAAUUAACUUAAAAAUUUUGACUUUAAUAAUUUAUAAUAAAUUAAAUUAUAAUCUUAAAAUAAAUAUAAUAAUAUAUUUUAAAAUAAUCUCUAUAUUUAAAAUUUAUUUAUUUUCACAUUUUAUAUAAAUUUUAUAAUAAAGACAAACAUACUAUUAAAAUAAUAUAUAAAAAAUUUAAAAGUAUUUUGAAUAUUAUAUAAAAUAACUAUAACAUUUUUUAAUACAUGAGAUAUAUUUUGUUAAUUUAAAAUUCUAUUUAAUCCAAAGAUUUAUUUAAGAUAAAUUAAUAAUAAUAUUUUUGAAAUUAUUUGAAAUACUAAAAAAUAUUUUAAUAUUACUAGUCUAUUAAAUAAAUUAAAUAUAUUUAAUAGACUAGUAAUAUUCUGAAAAAUAAUAAAAGAAGAAUUAAAAAAAGACUAGACAAUAGAGAUAUUCGAUUCUUUUAAAGCAAAUCGUAAUAUUCCACAAAGGAGUAAGAUCCACAAAAGCAAACAACCAGUUGGAUUCUUUUAAAGUGGAAUCGUUUAUUAAACAACAAAUUAAUGUUCAAAUAUUUAAAUAGCAGUGCAUUAGACGAUUAGACUGUCUUAUUAAAGGCGAGUAUAAAGUAGUCAAGAAUCGAAUAUCUCUAUUGUCUAGUCUUUUUUUAAUUCUUCUUUUAUUAUUUUUCAGAAUAGGUUUUGGUGAUUACAAUGGGUUAUUAUUCAGAGUUAUUGUUAUCUUCCGGGUCAAUUUCUGUUCAUCGAAGUCGUUAAUUCAAAUUUUAGAACUUUUAUCAAAAGAAUGUUUUUCGUUAUCUUUUUUAUGGUCUAAUUCCAAUUGUAAGAAGUAGUCAUUUUAAAAUUUGGGUCUUGAAUCGAAUUUCAGUGCAUGAAUUAAUAUUAAAAAAAAAUCACUACACACAGUUUAGGCUGCAGACUACUUUUUGCAAAUUUGACUCUGAAAAUUGGAGAAAUUAAGUAAUUUAGAAUGUUUGCAAAGAAAAAGACUAACAUACUUCCUAUUACACUAAAUCUCUAUUAUCAUAAUGUUGAGACUAAACUAACUUAAAUACGUUUUAUUUGAAAAGCUAUAUUAAAUGCAGCCUAAUUUUAUUAACCUGAAGAGCUAAUAGAAGUGUAGUUAUAAAAAUUAUAUUCUGACUUAAUUAGUACAAGUGAUAUAAAGGUUAAGUGUGCACUAUAUUUAAUAAUUAAUUAAUGGAGCAUGUUAAAUAAAAUGAUAAUUUAUAUUUAUAUAAUGUUAGGAAUAUGUAAAGUCUAAGUCCACAAGUUGCAUUAUCUUUAAUAUUUUCUCUCAAUUAAAUUCUAAAAAUACUUUACAAUUAUUUAGUAACAACUGUAAAUUAAGAAUAAAUUAUUGUCCCAAACAACAUUAAAAAAUAUUUUAUUCCAUUUGAAUCCUUUAAUUUUUUUUACAGUAUAUAGAUAAUUAUUACUAUGUGAAUGUAAGUUUCUUAAGAUGGGACCUAUAACAAUUUAGAACUUAUUACAACGGGGAGUUUAUUAGGACCAAAAUUUUUUAUGAGUACAUAAAGUUAUCUUGUAUAGAAUAUUAGUAUAUAGAUGUUUUACUGUAAUUAGUCUAGAACAUUUAAAAAAAAAAAACAUAUACCGUCCCUUGGAUGUAGCUCUUGGGUGACCAUGAAUGUUCUUUGUUCCACAUACGNNNNNNNNNNNNNNNNNNNNNNNNNNNNNNNNNNNNNNNNNNNNNNNNNNNNNNNNNNNNNNNNNNNNNNNNNNNNNNNNNNNNNNNNNNNNNNNNNNNNACCCUCUAUGGGAAUAAUCUAUUUAGUUAUAAAAAAUUAUGAUCCCAAUUUAGACUAGUUAUAAAUAACAACAAAUUCCACUUUGUAAUAAAUUAUAUUUUUUCUAUAUCUUAUCUUAAGAAACUUAUCUCUACAUAGUAAUAAUUAUUUGUAUAGGUAAGAAUGGAUCAAGAUCCUCUCCUGAUCUGAGCACUCCUGAUCUUUUACAGAUCUUAUACCACCUGUGUUUUACUGUUAGUGGAUGAUUAUGAUUUGACUAUUUUUUCUUUUUAAUUUAUUAAUCACCAAUUAUAUUAAUAAAAUUUGCUCAGAUGAAGAUCAGAUCAAGAAAGGAUCCUGAUCCAAUAAGAAUACAUGUUAUAUUAGACUAAAGGAACUUGUCUGCACAUAACGAUUAGACAACGAGCGAAAAUUAUUAAAGCGAAUGCAAAUAAUUAGAAUUUUUUAAGAUGACUUUGUAUAUUCACAAUAAUAAUUGAUAGAUACAUGUACCAACGUUUUAAUAUAUUUGACAUCCUCCAUUAAUAAAUCAUUGAUGUAAUAUAGACUUUAUCUCUAUAUCCUCACACUACGGACAACUAAGUCAUAAUAAUAAUUUUUGUAACUACAUCUCUAUUACUUCCUCAUAAUAAUAAGUUAAUUUGAUCUCUACAUUAUGACUAUGGAGAUUUUAUUGUAUAGGGACACCCAAUAUAAAUAGUAUCCCAACUAAAAUUGUCCCAAAAAAAAAAUCGCUAAAGGAUAAUUAUAAUUUUUUUUCACUUCUCAAACGUUGGUGGCAGUUGUAAGCUAAGUUGUCAAAUAUAUUAAACUACAAGUGCUGCCACCAAGUGCGAUGCUCUUUUCUAAAGAGAAGUACAGUGGGUCCCGAAUAGGACGUGCUUAAAUCUGUUUAAAUUUUUCCAGUAUAACUAACAGAGGUCAUUACUAGAAUUAUAUUACUAGCCUAUUAGAUAGAAAAAAUUAGUUAUAUUAUUUUAUAUUUAUUAAAAAAGUUUAAAGUUAAUCUUUUUAAUUACUAUUUAAAAGAUAUUAUAAUAAAAAAAUAGUGUCUUUACUAAAAAUUUAGAAAUUUAUUUGACCGUUCUCUAAACUUUAUUUAAUAUUAUUGAUUUAAAUAAUAUCUAAAUUAAAAAUGUACAGAGAAGAAAUUUCGGUGGGUAUAUUAGUCUUUUACUUUUAACGUUAGUGGCCUUCUUAUAUUUUAUUACAAAUUAAUCCUAACAAGAAAAAGCUAGAUCAUAUUCCACAAAAGCAAGAGUGACAAAACAUGAAAACAACCAACUGGAUUCUUUUAUUAAACUACAAAUUAAAAUUGUUUUUUUUAAUAAACUAUAAAUUAAAGCGGAUUCUUUUGAAUACAGGUGGGACAGACUUAAGCUCUUUUAUUAAAGGCAAGUAUAAAGUAGUCAAGAAUCGAAUAGUCUUUUUCAAAUUCUUGUUUUAUUAUUUUUCAAAACUAAUUUUUGGUAAUUACACUCGGGUCAUUAAUCAUUAUUCAGAGUCAUUGUUAUCUUCGGAGACAGUGGGUAAAAGAUAAUUACUGGCUGUUUUUCCUUCAAAAGUUAGUGGCUCAUGUUUGCAAGUGUGAAUGUGCGAUGCUCUUUUUCCAAAUGCAAUUACAGUGGGUCCCGAAUCGGAGGAUAAAAAUCCUUUUAGUUUUUGUAUUUUAAGAUUAGUAUAUAUUUAGUCUUUAUAUUUUUAAAAAUACCUCGAAACAUUCAUGCCGUUAAAGUAUUGAUACCACUACCAUUACUUUUCAUUUCUUUUAACUUAAUUUUACAAUAUUACCCUUUUAUAAUAAUUUUUUUAGACAUUAAUAAAAAAUAAUUAAAUCACUAAUUUAACUCUAAAAAAUAAAAAAAUUAUAUUAAUUUUUUUGCAAGCACCGUUUGCACACUUGGUAGGUUGCAUACAAUUUUUGAUAAUUAAAAAUUAAUAUAAAUUUUUAUUUUUAUUUUUAGGGUUAAAUUGAUAAUUUAAUUAUUUUAUUUUUAUUAAUGUACAAACAAAAAAAUUAUUAUUAAAGGGUAAUAUUGUAAAAAUAAGCCAAAAGAAAUGAAAAAUAACGGUAGAAGUAUCAAUACUUUAACGACAAGGAUGUUUCUAGAUAUUUUUAAAAAUAUAGAGAUUAAAUGAAUACUAAUCUUCAAAUACAGGAUUAAAUAGAAUUUUACCCCGAAUCGAACGUGCCUAAAUCUUUUUAAAAUUUUUGCCGUACAACGGACAGAGGUCAUUACUAAAAUUUCUCUUCCACAGCCCACAUCAGCUUCAGGAAUCAGUUUAUCAAACUCAAUCAAUUUUCUUUCUUAACAAAAUUCCAAAGAUGUGUAGCAUUUUUCAGAUCACAUGCGAUGGUGCUUUUUUCAAUCGUUGCUUGGAUUGCUUUCUUGGAAAAGCAGCAUACACACGUAACCUCCAAGAUAAUCUUGUGGCCUUGCAGACUGAAUUAAUGAAACUAAACGCAGCAAAGGACGAUCUGAUGAGGAGGGUCGUCAAUGCUGAACGUCAACAAAUGAGAAGGCUGGACGGAGUGCAAGUGUGGGUUUCGAGGGUGGAUGCUGUUACAACUGAAGCUAAUGAACUUAUCAGAGACGGCUCUCAAGAAAUUGAAAAAUUAUGUCUUGGAGGGUUCUGUUCCAGGAACUGCACGUCAAGCUACAAGUUUGGGAAACAAGUGGCUAAAAAGCUACGAGAUGUGGAGGCUUUAUUUGCCGAAGGGGUUUUUGAGGCGGUGGCUACCAAGGUGGUGCCUGAGAGAGCUCCAGAGCCUGUAGCAGAUGAAAGACCUGCCGAGCGAACAGUAGUAGGCUUGCAAUCACAACUUGAACAAGUCUGGAGAUGUCUUGCAGAAGAAUCAGCGGGAAUCAUUGGCCUAUAUGGUAUGGGCGGUGUUGGUAAAACUACACUAUUGACCCAUAUCAACAAUAAAUUUCUCGAGAGUCCAACCAACUUUGAUUGUGUGAUUUGGGUAGUAGUUUCAAAAGACCUGCGACUCGAAAAAAUUCAAGAAGAUAUUGGGAAAAAGAUAUGUUUGGUUGAUGAUGAUUUGUGGAAGAGUAAAAUUUUUGAAGAGAAAGCUGUAGCCAUCUUGCGGAGAUUAGGAGAGAAGAGAUUUGUAUUGUUGUUAGAUGAUUUAUGGGAGCGGGUUGAUUUAACAAAAGUGGGCGUUCCACUUCCCAGACCAAAAAAUACUACCUCAUAAGUCGUAUUCACAAGCCGUUUCAUCGAUGUUUGUGGUAGCAUGGAAGCUGGCAGGAAGUUCCAAGUAGCAUGCUUAUCAGAAAAGGAUGCUUGGGAACUGUUUCAAGAAAAAGUUGGGGAAGAAACUCUUGAGAGUGAUCAUGAUAUCGUUGAGCUAGCCCAAACCGUGGCCAAGAAGUGUGGUGGUUUGCCACUCGCACUUAUUACUAUUGGUCGAGCUAUGGCCAUCAAAAAGACAGCCGAGGAGUGGAGACAUGCAAUUGAAGUGUUAAGACGAUCAGCUUCAGAGUUUCCAGGUUUGGGAAAAGAGGUGUAUCCUCUUUUAAACUUUAGCUAUGAUAGUUUGCUGAAUGAGACGAUUAGAUCUUGUUUCUUAUAUUGUUGUUUAUAUCCUGAAGAUUAUGGCAUUCUUAAAUGGGACUUGAUUGAUUGUUGGAUUUCUGAGGGAUUCUUAGAGGAAUCUAAUAGGUUUGGUUGUUAGAGUGCAAUUUAUGCACUAGUUUUGCAUUAUUUACUUCCCUUAAUAUCAAUGUUUUGCACUUAAUAAUAGUGAUUUACUUGUGUUUUACUUUUGUAGGUGCAAUUCUAUUGAUUGAUGAUAAAAUUGAGCUAUAAGAUGAUGUUUAAGGAUGAUUGUUCUCUUGAAGAAAUUAUGAGCGUCAGAAGAACUUUGUUGAUAAGGCGUGGGCGCGUGCUGUCAACUGCGGACCUGCAGUUUUAGUUUAACGUGUUUUGUAUUUUUGGUUAUUUUUGUAAUUACGAAUUUAAUAUUUCAGAUAUUAGGAUUUUAUUUUAAAUAGAAUUCUAAAAGAGAAGAGAGAGAAAGUAUUUAAGGGAGGAAUCUAUUGUGAAAGGGGGAUUUUGGAUUGGAGAAAAAGAAACCCUAGAUCUAAUUUUUCUCUUCUCUCUAUGAGGAACUAAACCCAUUUUUCUGGUUGAAGGUUAAUGAAGCUUUGAUUCAUCACUACUGUGAGAUCUUUCUUGUGCUUUAAUUGUUUUAUUACUUUUUGGGUAUUUGUUUAUUCUCUGAAUUAUUUUCAUGAUUAUGUUUGUUAAUUAGGUAAUUGGCCACUAUUUAAUUAUCAACUUAAUCUAUUGUCAAUUAAAGGAUUCAUCGUAUGAAGAAUUUAAUGUUUGUGACAAAUAACAUAGCAGAGAGUUGUGUUGUGAGAAUAAACAAUCUAAUUUAAAUGAAUCAUCAUAUGUGUUGAUUAGGAUUUGGGUCUCUCUGGUUUUUCAGGCUGUCAAUUGAUUAAAUUCUAUGAUCGUAUCUAGGGUUGUCUAUUGAUUAGGGAAAUAACCAACGGUCGUACCUUGGUUAUCGACUAGUUAAGGAGAGAUUGGCUAUUAGAGGGUCUCAGUAGCUAUAACCGGUCUAUUCAUGAGUAAUAAUAAUCUAUAUUUGAAUCAAUGAUCAGUAGUCGAAUCAAGCUGAGUUAAUUCCUUCAACCAGAGCUUUCUCCAAUUUGAAUUACAACUUUAAUUUGCAUUCUUGUUAUUUUAAUUUGAUUUUUAUUAUUGUCAACAAUUCCCCUAUUUUACGUUUUACGUUUCAAAAGGAUUUAAUUAAUUACCGAUCUCUGUGGACACGACCCUGCUCAAUCACUAUACACAAUUUAUUUAGAGUAGGAAUUUACUUUUGUUGGCUUCGACACCCAUCAUUGGUGCAGAAAACCGAGGAUACUACAUUGUGGGCACUCUUGUUCAUGUGUGUUUACUAGAAGAGAUAGAAGAUGAUAAAGUAAAAAUGCUUGACGUUGUUCGUGAUAUGGCUCUAUGGAUAGCUUGUGAAACUGAGAAGGAGAAGAUAAACUUUUUGGUUUGUGCAGGUGCUGGAUUAGAAGAGGCACCGGAUGUUAAAGAAUGGGAAAAUGUGAGAAGAUUGUCAUUGAUGCAAAACCAAAUUGAAACUCUGUCAGAGGUUCCCACAUGCCCUCAUUUCGUCACUUUAUUUCUUGACUUUAAUGGGGAGUUGAAGAUGAUCGCGGAUGGCUUCUUCCAACUUAUGCCUUCUCUCAAAGUUUUGAAGAUGUCAAACUGCUGGAAUUUGAAAUUUCUUGUUGGGAUGUCAAAGUUGGGUUCGCUACAGCUUCUUGAUAUUUCACAGAACGCCAUAGAAGAGUUACCAGAAGAGUUGAAGUUGUUGAUAAAUCUGACAUGUUUGAAUUUGAGGGGGACAGGCCAAUUAAAUAAAAUUCCACGGCAACUAAUAUCAAAUUUUUCAAGGUUACGUGGGUUAAGGAAGUUCAUAACGUGUGCAAGCAGUCAACUCAAGGUUAGCACGUGGGAGAAUUUGCUGAGCUAAAGUUAGUUAAAUAAGCAAUGCCAGCUCAACAAAUUCAGUCAAGGUUUACUGAGAUUUUAUUCCUAUUGUUUUCUUUUCUGUUAACAAUGUAUAAAGGUGUUCUUUGUACUCAUUUGAUCAUUAAGAAAAAAAGAAAUAAAAUCUAGAAUAUUCUCUGAAGUUUUCUCAGUAAAACAGAGUAAAUUUUCUCAGUAACUAAACAGUAUAUAUCAGUGGAAUUUACGUUUUAUAACAUGGUAUCAGAGCCAAACAGUAACCAGCAAACAAUGAUGAGAAAUCUAGCAAUCAAUAAUACACAUCAACACACUCAAAUCAAUUUCUCUUUCACGAAUCCAAUUAAACUAGAUCGAUCAAACUACCUGCUCUGGCGUUCACAAGUUCUGGCUUCGAUUAGAGGUAAUCGACUAGAAGACUUCAUAACUAGAAUCAAAUCAACAUCUGAAGAAAAUAUUUUGUUAGCUGGAGUUGAUGGAUCUACACAACAAAUUGAGAAUCCUGAGUAUCAGAUCUGGAGAUCACAAGAUCAAAUUCUUCUUGGUUGGCUACUGUCAACCUUAAGUGAAGGUAUCCUUAGUCUUGUUAUUAACUGUAAAAGCUCAUUUUCUUCAGCUCAGAUAUGAACUGAACACUCUUAAAAAGGAGUCUCUUAGUAUUGAAGAUUAUUGUGUUAAAAUGAAAGCAAUAGCUGAUAAGCUUGCUAGUGCUGGUAGCUCGAUAACAGAAAAGGAUCUAAUGCUAACCAUACUCAAUGGAUUAGGAUCAGGAUAUAGUGAUAUUGCUACUUUCAUAACUGGUUCACGAAUGGAAUUUGAUGAUACUUAUGCAUUAUUGCUCACUCAUGAAACUAGGUUGGAACAAGAUCAUGAUGAUAAGAGUAUGUUCAAUGCUAACUAUGCAUAUACUAAUGCAUUUCAUCCUAAGGUUUAUUAUGCACAGCCUAGAGGAAAUUUUAAGAGAGGAGGUUAUUAUGGUGGUAGGAAUGUUUUCUCUGGUAGAGGGAAUAUGAAUUUUUCUCCAAGAAUGUUUAAUGGAGGUUUUAGAAGUGGUUUUGGUAGAGGAUAUUAUGUUGGUAAUCCUUUUAAUGGUAAUAAUUCUUUAGCACCAAAGAAUUCAUCAUCUGUUAUCAAGAAUGGAUCACAGAGAACUUUUAAUAACAAUCCAGGGGACUCAGUAUGUCAGAUUUGUCUCAAACUUGGUCAUACUGCUGAUAUUUGUUGGCAUAGAUUUGUUGAAGAUUAUGUGCCAAUGCCAAGGGGUUUUUAGAAAAGGAAAAGCACCCAGAGCAGCAUCACUACUAGAAAAAUAGCUUUUACUGAUACUUGUCUUGUGAUACUUUUCUAAAAAGUAUCAGCAAUUACAUAUAUUUGGGCCAUUUUCCGUGUUUAACAAACAAGUGUCACAAAUUACUGAUUCUAUGAUGUUUGUAUAUUAAACAUCAGAGAUCGUCGACACUAAGGUAUCAGAAACAACAAAAAAAAAUAAAAAAUCUAUUUUUGUUUUAGUUGCGACUCGAACCUAGGACCUCAAAACUAAAGUGCUUUAUGUUCAACCAACAAACCACCAUGCCAAAUUCAUAAAUUAGUUUGUGUUGAACAUGUUGAAAUUAUCAAAUUAAAUUAAUAUAGAAAACAAAAAUAUAAAAGCAAAAGAAAAAAACCCUAAAUCAACAUAAACAUAAAAUUCCCUAACUCCUAAAUCCAUGGCCAGCCGCCUCAUCUCUCUGGCGAUAUCCUUCUUCUUCUUCAUACCUCUAAAACUUCGAGCCCUAAAAUUCAAGGGUCCAUGUCAUAAGAAAUCCUACCACCACUGCUCAAAUUCUAACACCCAUACCAUACGAAACCCUAAUGAUCUACAUUAUGCAAAACAUCCACCAUGCCGCUAUGCCACAAGCUCACAAGACCCGCUUUAGAUCUCCACAUUUUGCUCACCCUACUCGAGUGCACACCGCCCCUCUCGCUUCGACUUCUCGGGAUUUCUUGUUAGCUGAAGUUUUGUUUUCUUCCGCUAAUUCGAUCUUCGAAAGGUCUCGGAGCUCCAAGUAACUAAGUAAGCUCGGUUUUCUUCUAUUCUCUCAGAUACUUGCUUACACAUUCCUUUUUUUUUCGUGUUAAAUUUUGUUGUUUCGUUGUGUUAUAUGGAUCGAUGAGAGUCACAGACUUUGACGAGACAAUGACGAUAUUGUUUUGGAGUUUCGUUUCGUAGAUCUGUGAUAGAGUCUCCUUUUUCAGAUAUUUCCUUUCAUUUACCAUAUUUGCACAAUUUGUUUUGUCAUUAAAUUAUUUGCGUUUGAAUGUACAAUUUUUGUUUUCGUUUUAUAUUUUCAAAUACUGUUUCUUGGAGCGAAUUAGUGGAGGAAUUUUUGGUUGAAGCAGAGGAUGGAUAACUUUUGUAUUUUGAACUUUGUAUGUUAUUUAUUAUUUGAACUUGAAGCUAAAAGGUGACCAAAUUUUCCAAAGGUUAGGGUUUGGUUGGCUUAUGUGAAAAUGCCGAACGAAUGUGUAUUAUUCAUACUCCAAUAUUGUAGGUGCGUCAAUGCACCUCCUUGCGAUGGUUGCAGCAACGAAACUGUAGGUCAAGGUUUGGGUACCCCAUUUCCUUCAAAGAUCCAAUAUGGAGCAACUCGAGUCGAGCUUUUUCGGUCAAUUUAAACAAAACCUUUACUCCUAAUUUAUUGUCUUUUGCUUUCUGUUUGUACCUGUAGGAGUUCAUAUUUUGUAAUGUUCCGUAAGUGUCCAAUAACUGGUUAAAUUAUGACUUAUGCUAGGUGAAGAUUUUGUGUUACAAUCCCCUUCAAUAGGCAAUCACUCUUUUUGUAAAUGUUCAUGGGUAAUUGCUUUGCCUUUGCUUCUGUUGUACUUUUGUUUUUGUGGGGUUUUAGUUAAUGGAUGUUGAGUUAUAUUUCAAUCAGUUUGAUUUCUCUGCAUAUUUUUCAUAUUUUAGUAUUAGAAGAGGUAUUUAAUCAAAUGAAGACAAAAACAAUUGUCGGCCAACCAACAAACUCACUUUAGUUUGUUGUGAAAUGAUUUUCUCUCUCUCUCUCGAUUUUCACUGGUUCUGUGGUUUUUUCCCUUCCACAAUGUGAUUUAGUUCUGUUCUAUUUAUGGAUGUUACCAACAUUUUAGCUUUUAAGAAACAGACAAAAAGAUUCUGAAGUUUGUUUCUUGUUUCUUACUCUGAAUUUCCAAGGCAUCUUAUUUGGAGAAAUGCAUUCUGAAUGGAGAAAUUUCUCCAAAUUUAUGAGAUGUGGUUCUGUCUUGCUGAAUGAACAUUGUAUUUCCUUCAAUGGUUUGCGAGCCAUUAAGUUAUUUGAGCAAACAAAAUUAGCAAUAUGGAAUCCUGUUUCUACAGGAUUAUAGUUGUAGGACUCUAGAAUUUAGUCUAGGUAAUGUUUUUACCAUUGUAAAAAGUAUCUGACAUUGGUGAUGUUUAAGCAUAUGUGUCAUUUCUUUUGGGCUUCACUUUGGAUCCUUUUUUUCUUUUUUUACAAACAAUGGAUGGUUAAAACCUAAGAGACUGAUUGAUUUUUGUUUUAAAUCCAGUGGUUAUGCCUUGUAAACUUUUGAGUUGUAUCAAUUUCUUUUCCUGGCCUAACUUGGCUAAAUUUAUGCUAUAUAAUUGAAUUCUACAAAUUUUGGCUAUGUAUGAUGUAAAGGUCAUAAGUCUUGUAUCUUCAUUUGUUCACCACAGGCUUGAUACUUCACAACUACCAUAAGUUAUGUCAUGCCAUGUCUUCUUUAGCAAUAUUGUGUGGCUUUGAGUAGUAUUAAUGUUUUUGUUUGUUAAUUCACGACUUAAUGGAACCAUUUUCCUUAUAAUCGAGAACCUUCGUGCGAGUGUUGUGGAGAAAUCUUAUGAUUCAUGUGUAGGUGUGUUUGCUUAAUGUGAUGACUUUUAUUAUGUGUUGUAGUUCUUGUGUCUAUAAGAGGAACCUUUGCUCCUAUGUCUAUUUAUCUCCGACUUUCAGUUUAGGCGUAAAUAGGUUACUCUUCUUUCUUUCUCAUUUUUUAAUUUCUAUGUUCUCCUAUGUCUAUUUACAUGGACUGCUUUGCUGCUUCUCUGCAGUGAAAACAACCCUGGUAAUUUACAGGAGCUUUUUUCACUUCAGAACAAUAGCAAGACAUCCCCUGCAGAUUUUUUAUUGAUUUUGCAUAGAUUGGUUUGUUGCUUUGGGUUGGAAUGCUACUGGAUAUAUGUCAGAAUUAUAGCGCUAUUGGAAGAUGGUGGGUUGUUGCAUAUGAGUUGGAGUGUUCCUGGGUAUGUAGCUAGAAUUAGAGUGCUGUUGGAAGAUGGUAUUGCUACUGGAAGUUUUGCUCAAAAACUUGUCGUUGGAAUACUUGCAUUAAUUUUUGGAAAUUUUAUUGGGUAACUUGGCUAGGUGGCUGAAAUUUUAAUUGCUUUUGUGUAUUGAAGCAUUUGGAUUGUGUAAUAUAUAUUGAUAAUAUUUAAAUGUUAUGAAAGGUUUUGAUAAAUAAAUUGAUUUUUGUUCUUAUUUCUCACAGCCUUUUAAUUCUAUCAACAAAUCAAUGGGUAAUGUCAUUUUGUAUAAUUAUUUUUUUAAAUAAUACAUAAAGUAGUGAUACUAUAGUAACAGUAUCACAAAUACUAAUAUAGUAUUGUAAUAUUUUGAUACCAUGGUGUUAUGAUUUUAAUGAUACUAUAGUAAUAGUAAUUACUGACACCACUUACAAGUGUCACUAUUUUUCUGACUGCCAGAUUACUGACACAAUUAGCAAGUGUCACUAAAAGUAAUUACUGACACUAUUCUAAUGUCAGUAAAGACCAUUUUUCUAGUAGUGCAUAUCUGUCAAAUUUUGAUGGUUCUGUUUCAAAUCCAAACUUUGAAGAUUAUGAGAACUUCAACUAUAUGCCUUCAGCUUAUAAUCCUAUGUCUGGCAAUAGCUAUUAUUCUGGUUUUGAUGCUUGUACUCCUGGAGUAGCAUUUAUGGCUAACUUUGAAGGAGUUGCUAAUGAUGAAUGGUACUUGGAUAGUGGGGCAACUCACCAUCUGGACAACAACAUGGAGAGCUUGCAGAUCAGUGAGGAGUUUAAGGGUACUGAUUAGCUCAUAAUUGGUAAUGGUCAAGGUUUGUUUAUCACUAAUGUUGAUUUUGCAUUUCUGUCACAAAGAGCAUCAAAUUACUUAUCUGCACAUUCCAGAAUAGCACUUAAGGAUAUAUUACUUGUUCCAUCAAUUACCAAAAAUCUACUAAGCAUUUCCAAAUUGACAUCUGAUAACCCUAUAACUGUUGAAUUUUGUGGGAAUGUUUGUUUUGUGAAGGACAUGAAUAGACAAGUUCUGCUGCAGGGACUUGCCGAAAAAGGUCUAUACAAGCUGCUGCUGAGUUCUAAUUCCUCUUCUUCAUUUCCUUCAUCUCAUCUUUGUCAUACUCAACUAAAUAAUUAUGUCUCAAUGUUGUCUAGCUUUCAAAGCUUUGAUAAUCCUUCUAAAGUUUGUUAUCAUUCUGUUUUCAAUAAAUGCAAAACCAAAUAUGAUGUAAUGACAUUGUUACAUAGAAAAUUUGGUCAUCCAAGUUCAAUGAUUCUGAUGCAUUUAGCUAAGUCUUGCAAGCAAUUAAAAAUCUCUCAAAAAGAUAUUCUAUCUUGUACAAAUUCUUUGUGUGAGGCAUGUCAGUUAGGCAAAGUUCACAGGCAAAGUUUUCCAGCAACUGAAACAAAAACAAAAGGAGUAUUAGAACUGAUUCAUACUGAUAUCUAGGGACCUUCACCCACUGUAUCUAGAAAUGGAUACAAGUAUUACAUUAGUUUUGUGGAUGAUUACACUAGAUACACCUGGAUCUAUCCACUUAAGCUUAAAUCACAAGCAUUUGAAGUUUUCAAACUGUUCAAGGCACAAGUUGAAAAUUAGUUUAAUACCAAGAUUAAGGAAUUACAAUCUGAUCUGGGGGAGAGAGUUUAGAGUAUUCAGUAAUUUCCUAAGUCAAAAUGGAAUCAAGUUUAGACAUUCAUGCCCUUAUACUCAUCACCAGAAUGGUCUUGUUGAGAAGAAACAAAGACACAUAAUUGAAUUAGCAUUAACACUCUUAGCUCAAGCUAAUCUCCCUUUUCAGUUUUGGUGGAAAGCUGUUCACACAGCAACAUAUCAUAUUAAUAGGUUACCAACACCUGUUCUUAAGCUUUUAUCUCCUUAUGAAAAGCUCUUUAAACACAAACCAGAUUAUUCAUUUCAUAAGUGCUUUGGUUGCCUAUGUUAUCCAUAUAUGAGAGAUUUAAAUAAACACAAAUUUGAUUUUCACACCACCAAAUGCAUCUUCAUUGGCUAUAGUCAUUCUUACAAGGGUUAUAAGUGUUUAACAAGCUCAGGAAAAAUUCAUAUCCUAAGGCAUGUUAUCUUUGAUGAAAAUACAUUCCCUUACUUAACAAACAAAGUCUUUCAUUUAUCCGAGAACAGUUCAAAUUCUGAAAUAUCAGUGUCAAACUUUUCCCAGUAACAAAUUUAUCAUCUCUCCACAUUAUCCUUAACUGACAGCAGCUUGGAAGAUCUUCAAUCAGCAAGUUCAGAAAGCAAUGAACAAGUACCUUCUGUUUCUGCACACACAAAUAAUCUGCAUCAACAAGAGCAUUCUCAAGAGCAUUCCUCAUCAACUAUACCAUUAUCACCAACACAACAACAAACUGAAUCACAACCACAAAAUGAACCACAUCUAUCUACUUCCUAGCACAUAAAUCAAACUCAAACUAGAAACCUUCCUUCACAACCAUCACAUUCAAUGGUAACCAGAUCGAAAAUAUGGAAUCUUCAAGCCAAAAGUUUACAUAACCACCUUAACCAACAAAGAACCCAGUACUGUUCAAGAAGCUCUAAGUGAUCAGAAUUGGCAUCAAGCUCUGAAAGAUGAAUAUGAAGCUUUGCUUAGGAAUGAAACAUGGUCACUAGUACCAUUUUCAGAGGUAUACAAGGUUGUUGACAGUAAAGGGGUUUUCAGAAUUAAACAAAACACAGAUGAGAGUGUAGCUAAAUACAAAGCCAGGUUAGUUGCAAAGGGUUUCCAGCAAACUAAUGGUGUUGACUACUUUGAGACCUUUAGUCUUGUGGUAAAGGCCUGCACAGUAAGAAUUAUUUUUAGUUUGGCUGUGAUGAACAAGUGGAAAAUAAGGCAAGUGGAUGUCAAUAAUGCAUUCUUAAAUGGAGAAUUGACUGAAGAUGUUUACAUGUAUAAGCCAGAAGGUUUCAUUGAUGAGAAAAAGUCCAGUUAUGUAUGCAAGUUGAAGAAAGCCCUGUAUGGCUUAAAACAAGCUCCUAGAGCUUGGUAUGAUAAGUUGAAAAACCGUCUGAUAAGUUGAAAAACUGUUUGAUAAGUAAUUGGGGUUUUCAAAAUUCCAGAGCUGAUACUUCUCUCUUCUUCAAAGAGAUUCAAGGCUCAAUAAUACUUGUGCUUAUAUAUGUGAAUGAUAUACUUAUUACAGGGCCUGACAUUGGAGAAUUAGAGAAGUUUAUCUUAGAAUUCAGUAAGACAUUUGCUUUAAAGGAUCUAGGAAUACUAUCAUACUUUCUUGGGAUAGAAGUCUCUUAUGCUGAUGGUUGUAUGUACUUAUCUCAGAGAAAGUAUAUUAAUGAUCUCUUGUCUAAAGCUGAUAUGUUGAACUGUAAAGGGUGUGAUACUCCCAUAGCGAUUGGACUGAAACUUCAAAAGGAGGUUAAAGGUUGUUUAGGUCAGUAUGUUGAGGAUGCAACCAGUUACAGAAGUUUGGUUGGAGGCUUGCAAUAUCUGGUGUUAACCAGACCAGAGAUAGCCUUUGCUGUGCACAAACUCAGUCAAUAUGUGACAGCUCCAACAUUGCAGCACAUAAUGGCCUGUAAACGAGUUCUAAGAUACCUAAAGGAAACCAUGGAUUAUGGUCUAAAGUUUUCAGCUGGUGGAGAAAUGGAAAUCACAGGUUUUAUAAAUGCAGAUUGGGCAUGCGAUAUUGAUGACAGAAAAUCUAUAGGUGCAUACUGUAUCUAUUUUGGAAAUAAUCUGGUGUCAUGGUCAUCUAAGAAGUAGUCUGUGGUGAUAAGGUCUAGUGCAGAAAGCGAAUACAGAGCUUUGGCUUCUGCAAGUGUAGAAAUAGCAUGGAUUCAAUCUUUGUUCAGUGAGCUAAAUAUAAGAUGUGUCUCAGUACUUAUCAUCUGGUGUGACAACAUGAGUGCAACAAAGUUAAGAUAAAAAUCUAGUCUACCAUUCACGUACCAAACACAUUGAACUGGAUAUGCAUUUUGUUAGAGAUAAGGUUUUAGCAGAGGAGCUGAAAAUUAACUUCAUUCAAAGUGAAGAACAGAUAGCCGAUGUCCUAACAAAACCUCUCACAUUCAUUCAUUUUAAUUAUUUCAUAAACAAACUCAAUGUGCAGCCAUGCCCCUUGAGUUUGAGGAGGGCUGUUAAGGAAGCUCAUAACGUGUACAAGCAGUCAGCUCAAGGUUAGCACGUGGGAGAAUUUGCUGAGCUAAAGUUAGUUAAGUAAGCGAUGUCAGCUCAGCAAAUUCAGUCAAGGUUUACUGAGAUUUUAUUCAUAUUGUUUUCUUUUCUAUUAACAAUGUAUAAAGGCAUGCUUUGUACUCAUUUGAUCAAUAAGAAAAGAAGAAAUAAAAUCCAGAAUAUUCUCUGAAGUUUUCUCAGUAAAACAGAGUAAAUUUUCUUAGUAACCAAACAGUACAGAUCAGUGGAAUUUACGUUUUAUAACAACGUGUGUUGAGAAUGUUGGGUAUUGGCCAAUUCAAUUUUCAUGAAGCACCAGAAGACAACGCUUUAUUUGGUGGGGGUGAAGUUUUGAUACAGGUAUUGCUCGGUUUGAAAUAUUUAGAGGUAUUGGAGUUGACCUUGGGAAGUUAUCAUGCUCUCCAAAUUCUUUUGAGCUCAAAUCAGUCAAAAAGUUGUAUUCGAUCUCUUCUCCUCCACAAGUUUAGAGGUACAACGCCGAUUAUUGAUGCUACGGCUUUCGCAGAGCUAAACCACCUCAACGAAUUAUUUAUUAAUAAUAGUAUUGAGUUGAUAGAAUUGAAGAUUGAUUAUACAGAGAUAGUACAAAAAAGGCAGGAACCUUUUGUUUUCCGCAGCCUUCACCGUGUUACCAUAUUUAGGGCCCGUUUGGGAGUGAGGUGCUGUAGCUUUUAAGCUGCAGUUGCUGUGGAGUAAAAGCUAUAGAUGUGGAAUGGAAGUUGAUGGUGUUUGGUAAAAGUGUUGUAGCUUUUAAGCUGCAACUACUGAUGGUGUUUGGUAGAGUGGAUGAAUAUUUGUAAUAAUUAAUUUUAAAUAACAUUAUUUUUAAUUGUUAACAAAUCAAUUAUUUUUCAUUCUUCAAAUUAUUAUAUUGACAUACAAUUACGAUUUAUUCCGUUACAAAUUAAAUUAAUAUUUAAUAAAUCAAAUUUAUUUUUUUGCACAAGUUGUAAUAAAUAAUUUAUAAAACACAUCAUGGGGUCAAUUAUAAAUAAUUUUAAAUAACUAUUAUUGACAAUGCCAACCGGGCAGUGUACAUGAUAUGCUUCUCCAAAUUGCUUCGGUUUGUACCUGAUAUGAUUAAUCGAGUAUUAUUUACAAUACCAAAUAUAUCUAAUAAAAAUCAUACAACAAAACAAAAUAAAAUUAAAAUGUAAUUAAUUACAAAAUUUGUAUAAAUAUUUCUAUUGUUGUGCCUCCAUUAAACUUGCAGCAAUGCCAUCUUUCAAGAUUAUUAUAUCUUGAGUUGUGCUAUCAAUUGUUUCAUAACUUUCUUCAUGAGAUGCAAUAUGUUCGCUAAUACUAUGACUUGGUUCAUCCGUCAUUUCAUCAAAAUGAUCAUUAUUUUGUGAAUAUCUUCUGAUAUAAUUAUGCAAGGCCAUGGUAGCAAUAACUAUUUUCACCUGCUUCUUGAAUGGAUAGCUUGGCAUACUUCGUAAAAUCUUCCAUGUAUUCUUCCAAACCCCAAAAGUACGCUCAAUAACACUUCUCAAGGAAGAGUGCUUGUAGUUGAACAAUUCUUUAUAACCCAUUGGUUGGCUACCUCUACGAAAUUCAGGAAGGUGAUAUCUUUCACCCUUAUAUGGUCCUAAGUACCCACAUAACUCCGGAUAUCCUGCAUCUACUAAAUAAUAUUUUCCUAAAAAUAAAAAGAAAAAUACAAAAUAAAUAAAACAAUCUAAUCAAUUGAAUAUGUAUAUAUAAAAGAAAAAUUAGAAACACAAACCUGGAGGAGGGUUUGGAAAAUUGAAUGCAGGAUUCGUAAUAGUUGUUUGAAAUACCCUUGCAUCAUGGGCACUGCCUUCCCAACCAGCCACUGCAAAUAUGAAUUGCAUAUCAAAGCUACAUACAGCCAUUACAAAUUCUUUUCCCACCAUUCCUCACUUGCAUCAACUGUCCUCAACCUAUGAUUCCACCCUAAACCAGUUUCUUUGCCAAUCAAAUUCUUCCACAAUUUCCAAUCAGUUCUAAGAGAAUCCCAUUUAUUUUUCAUUUGAGUUCUGUUGUAAUCUAAUCCAGUUUCUUUAGUGAACUCCUUAAUCAAAUUUUCAUAUCCUUGGGAAGUCAAAUGAGUCCCUGGACGAUGUCCGGCAUCCACCUCUUUAACGCAUAAGUCACAAAAUACAUCUAAAGUCUGGGGGUUCCAAGUAGCCUUACUAGUUGAGCUAUUAGACACAAUUUCAUACACUUAAACCUAGGAAAAAAAAUAUUUCUUUAUCAAACAACAAUACAGAAAAAAUAAGAAUAUAGAAGUUAAGAAAAUUACUAGAAUCUUGUUAUGGAUGGUGGAAGGAAAAAUAAUUCGAUAUUAAAAAAUUAAAAAAAAAGACAAACCAGAACAAGUUACCUUAGUUGUUACUUUACUUGAAAUACUUUUCCAGCAAACAAUAAUGAUCAUAGCCCACGAAUAGAAACAAUUACAAGCAAGUCAAUAAAGCAACAAAAGACAAACCAGACUAGGAAACAAAGAAAUUCAACUAAACAAUCAUUAGGUACAAACUGCAAUUGCAUUUAGCCUCACAAUCUCAAAUUUGCUACGUGCUUUGAUAUUUCCUGUACUAUUCUUUUGGCCCAUCCUAAGACAUAUACAAUUGCAAUUGCAACACUUUCUCCCUUCUUUUUUCUGUAAUUCGUAUGGCGACUUACGUAUAUAUAACCUAAUUAAUUGAAUUAAAUUGAUGAUGGGUUAGAAAAUCAUUAGGCUUAUUAAUUAUACGCGUCAAAAGAAUGGUCGGCCAAUAAUUAGGUGUCCUGCUUAUACUCCUGUAAUUUAGUCAUUCUCUAGUAAAUAUUAUUAAAUAAAAAGAAACACAAACAAUUAAGCUUAUUGGUAACUGAACUGGUGCCCAAAAAUAACAAGAGCAGGAGAAAGCAAACACACCCAAGAAUUUGACAAACUUCAACUUGAAAUCCAGAAUUUGACAAACUUCCUUUUGUUUACUGAAGCAUAGUAUUUCAUAACGAAGGCAUGCAUUUUAUUAUUUAAUGUCUUGUAGAACUGGAAACUCAAAUCAAACAGGGGUUGUGCAUGUUUAUAAAAAGCAACUACAAAAAUAAAAACUACAAUAAAAACAAUGGUUACAAGCAAAUAAAUCACGCAUGACCCAUCACCCAUCAAUUUAUUCUAACAAAAGCCCCAACAUUUUAUGAAUGAAAAGGAAGAAAAUGAAAAAUUGCUUGAAAUAGAGUAAAGGAGUACUCAAAAAUGAACAACAGAUAGAGGAAAAGGCACCACUGACAGAGGCGUAUGAGAGUGGCCGGUGUCGGAAUCGCGCCGAUGAGAAUUUCGGUGUCAGAAUCGCAUCAAUUGGAACUCCCACAGUCGGAAUCGUGCUGAUGAGAAUGGGUGUUUAGGGUUUGUUUAAAAAAAUCGAUUUGAAAUAGAACUCCCACUGACAUGACUGUUUGAUAAAAUGAAAAUGGAAUAAUAUAUAAAGUUAAUUUAGUAAUUAAACUUGCAGCUGGGAAAAAAAAUCUGUCAAGUUGUCAAAACACAACUAUAAGUGGUACCAAACACUUUGGUGGCUGGGCUGCUCACCACACUCCCAAACGGGACCUUAGUUGCGGUAAAUUGAAAGAUGUGACAUUCCUCGUUUUUGCUCCAAACCUCAAGUCUCUUUGGCUAUUCGAUUGCGGUGCUAUGGAAGAAAUAAUCAGCGUCGGAAAAUUUGCUGAGACUCCUGAGAUGAUGGGACAUAUAAUCCCUUUUGAAAAUCUCCAAAUGCUUAAUUUAAUGGAAUUGCCGGAGUUGAAGAGAAUUUUCUGGAAGCCAUUGCCUUUCACUCAUCUGAAAGAAAUAUCUGUGGGUUAUUGCCGUAAUCUUAAAAAGCUUCCACUCGAUUCCAACAGUGCAAAAGAGCGUAAAUUUGUAAUUCGUGGAGAAGAAGACUGGUGGAACCGACUUCAAUGGGAGGAUGAAGCCACUCAAAUUGCUUUUCGUUCCUGUUUCCAACCUCGUUCCUGAGCGGUGGUCGCAAAAUUUGAUUUCUGGUGAGUGCGUUUUUGUUAACGCUUAUGUUUUUAUUCCAGUGUGUUUUUCUUCUGUCUUCUGCAAAUCACGAUUAAAUGUUGAAUAAUAUGGAAUCAAUGCUUUAUAAAUUUUCCGGCGUGGCCAUUUCCUUUUCCCUUUUUUUUUUUGGGGGGGGGGGGGGGGCGUGGUUCGAUUGAUGCUCUGGCUUUUUACUUUUUGUCUUCGAAUUUUGCUCUGUUUUUCAAAUUGAUGCUUGAAUAGUUGAAUUCAAUUAAUGCUCACAUAAAUUUGUUUAGUUGCCGUAAAACGGUAAAAGGAUAUAAUUAGAUUGAAAUUCGCACUUCUAGAAUGAAUAGAAUUACAAUAGAGAAAAUAUUAAGUAUACAAGCCCUCUUUACAGAAAAUCAAAUGAAAAUAAAAUUUUUUGGAUAUUUGAUUUUCUAUGGUCUACUGUAUACGCUUUAUAAAUUCCUCUGCUUUAACGAUAACCAAAUCCUUUUUUCAAGGAUUUUUAUUUGGGGUAUUGAUAAUAGUCCACCAACAUAGUGAACGCUUGGAUGCUGCUUAAGGAUCUCUAAUCAGUAGCUGGAAGCAAAUGAGAAGGCGGUCGCUACUUUGUACAAAGCCAUGCAGCAAUUGCUAUUCAUUUUCAAACAAAGUUGAGAUGUUAUUUUCAGAUUUGGUUCCAGAUUUUGUAUGAAUAUCGUUGUUCCAUUGAGUUGUAUAUGAAUUCAAAUGUAAAAUAUUCUUUGGUUUUCAAUUUUGAAUUCAAUUUCUUUUUCUUAAGCAUGUUGUGCAGAAAUGAUUUCUACUAAAUCAUUUUUGAUAAACUAUUUAAAUUAAACAACUGGAAUAAGAACUGUAAGGAUUUAUCGUAAGCAGACUAAUAUGAUAAUUCUGAAACUAUCAUUUUUUUUUUUUCAAUUUGUUGCAGGGAAAGCCAAAUUUUGCGUUUUUCAGUUUUAUCUGAUAUGGGCUUUAUUUCCUCUACACUAGCUACCUAAAGAUUUAUCAAAUUGCUUCUCUUCCCUGCUUCAAAUAUCUUCAUGGCAUCAUAGGAAAAGAGAGUUUGGGUUGUAUUUAUUAUAGUUUUUAUUUUUUUUUUUGUUAUAAGCAAAUUUAUUUUAAAUACUUUAGUAGUAACAGUUUUUAUUGAAUAAUAAUGAGGGAUGAUUAUUAUAGGUUCAAAUAGUUGUUAGAACAUUAUAAAAAGUCUAUUUACUAUCAAAUGUUUUAAAUUGAUGCAACGUGAUAAUUGUCUCAUAUAAUUUUUUUAUAAUAUAUAUGUCCCAUAAUCUUAACAUGAAUAAAUGAAUUUCAACGGUUAAAUUUGACACGAUUAUUAAAUAGAUCAUAUCUAUAUUAAUUCGAUUUAAAAUCUGGUCACAUUUGGAUUUAGAGUUUCUAACAUGAUAACUUGUUUUAUGACAUGAUUUACUAAUCAAUUAAUAGUAAAUCAAAUGUCAGUCAAUUAAAUAUGUGGUACAUUUGUCAUAUUUUAAAAAUUAUUUAUUUAUAUUUGAAAUGAAUUUGGUGCNNNNNNNNNNNNNNNNNNNNNNNNNNNNNNNNNNNNNNNNNNNNNNNNNNNNNNNNNNNNNNNNNNNNNNNNNNNNNNNNNNNNNNNNNNNNNNNNNNNNAUAAGACGACGCGACACAAAUACAACCAACAAGUCAACCCAAAUUGCCACCUUUUACUAUCUUCUUUGUGUUAUUUCUCUAAAAAUUUGUGCCUUCUCUUACACUUUUAAAUCUGAAGUGUUUGAACUGGAGUACACAAAUUAUCUCUCUACAAUUCCAAAACAACCAAUUUGUUACUUGGUAAAUCUUAAUCAAUGGCAGGAAGCAAUUGAGAAGGCGGUCGCUACUGUGUACAAAGCCAUGCAGUAUUUGCUAUUCAUCUUAAUAAUUGUUAAGCUUUGGUAAAAUUUUCAAACAUAGUUGACAUCAUGUUGUUUUGAGAUUUGGUUCAUGAUUUUGUAUGAAUAUCGUUGUUCCGUUUGAGUUGGAUGUGAAUUGAAACCUAAAUAUUCUUUAUUUUUCAAUUUUGAAUUCAAUUUCUUUUUCUCAAGCAUGUUAUGCAGAAAUGAUUUUUACGAAAUCAUUUUUGAUGAAUUAUUUAAAUUAAACAAUUGGAAUAAGAAUUGUAACGAUUUAUCAUAAGCAUGCUAAUAUGAUAAGUUGUUUUACGAACGAUUAAUUAAUCAAUUAAUAUUAGAUUAUAUAUUAGUCAAUUAGAUAUGUGUUACAUUUGUCAUAUUCUAAAAACUAUUUAUUUAUAUUUCAAAUAAAUUUGACCAGAGGUUACGUAGGUAAUACUACAUAAUUUCUAAAGGAAUGUAAAAAUUUAAAGUUUUAUUAAAUAGGUGACUCAAUAAUAAAUGGAUUUCUGCAAGAAUUGAGAUUCUUGAGAUAAUUAUUACAUAGGGAAUUUUGGUUAGUUCAAUUUUGACAUGGUAAGAAGACGACACGGCGCAGAAAACCCAAAUUGCCACUUCUACUAGUAAUAAAAGAUACCUGUUUGAAAAGUAAUUAUAAACUAUCUUCUUUGUGUUAUUUCUCAAAACUUUUGUGGCACAAUGUUAUUUCCCUGGAGAAAAGUACGAAAUACCCCCUUUCACGUCGGCAGAAGCAAAGCAAAGCUAUGAGCUAUCUCUGUAUACUUGAAACGCCAUUGCUAAACGAUUCUCGAUGAUGGGUGCCACUGGGUCAGUGUUGUCUCUGAUUUACAUGAUUUAUUAGUUGUCCAGAUGCCAGAGAAACCAUGGUGGCAUUGAAGUUGCCCAGAUGGUUAGUUUUCUGAUCAUUUUUUUAUUCAAUUAUUUAUUUUUUUAGAAAAAUGUGAGAAAUAUGUAGAAAUGUUGACAGCUAUGAUUUUGAAACUUUGCCUAAAAUUGUUAUCAUCACUUAUUUAAAGAGAAAUCCUAGAAACAUGAAAUGAUUAGUAGCCUAAUUCAAAAUUAGACGUGAUUACAACAAGAGAAAAGUGGAGAGAACUUGAUAAUCGAGUGCAUUUAGAAUUUAAUUUUUCUUUUAGCUGCCGAUCAUUAAAUUUUCGAUUUCAGAAAAUUAUACCUAGAAUAUUUCAAGGAUAUACUAUGAAGAUUAUGAAGGUUUGAUUACAUGUCACUAUCAAUUGCCCCAAUCAUUUGUAGUAAAUUAAUUGAUCAUUUUGAUGCAAAUGAUUCCCUACUAAAAAAUUUAAGUCAAGGCUGAAUUGCAUAGUAGUUAGUCGCGCUUGCACUUCAAAUUAAGUAUUGUAUUUUCUGCCUGGUUUGGUUGAUUAAAGUGUGUGCAUUUGCUUUUGAACGUUGUAGUAUAGAAAUCGAAACAUUUGUUUUUCGCUAAGCCCAGAAGCAAAGUUCUUUGUACUGUACUCAUCACUUCUCUUCAUUCUCUUUGUUGAAAUUUUUUCCAAACAGCGGUUUCUUCGAAUUUGUGCCUUCUCUUCCACUUUUAAAUCUAUCAAAGAACCGUUACCUGAGAAGAUUGCCAUCAGGAAUUUCUAAAUUGAUUUCACUAUAAUACCUUAAUCUUUCAGAUACUCCCGUCACUGGGUUGCCAAAAGUGCUAAAAGCCUUCGUAAAUCCUACGUGUUUGAACUGGAGUACAAAUGUUAUCUCUCCACAAUUCCAAAACAACUGAUUUGUUACUUUUCAAUGCUACACGUUCUGCGAAUGUUCAGUUGUGGUUAUCUUGCUGAAAUACCAGAAAAUAGGGUUCUAGUUGGCGGUAGUGGAUUCUUGGUUGGGGAAUUGCUUAGUUUAAAACAUUUAGAUGUAUUAAGCAUCACCUUAAAAGGUUUUUCUUCUGUCCAAAAACUUAUGAGCUCCCAACAGUUUCAAAGCUGUACAAAAUGUUUGGAGCUUAUAGACUGUGAUGAUUCAAAGUCGUUUGCCUUGGCAGAGUUGAAGCAUCUUGAAAAACUAGGUUUUUCAAAUUGUGGAAAUUUGGAAGAUAAAUUACAUUUAUAAACUGUGGAUCGCCCUUUAUAAGUAUUAGGCUUAUCCCAUACUCGAGCAAUGUGGAAUACCUUUAUAAGCAUUAAGCCUCUCCCAUACAAUUUCUGUACAUGACUUUAAAAGUGGUUGAUGACCCGUUUUGUAAUAUCAUAGAGGGAUCAUGAAUUCCUUUUCUUUUCUGUGGCUAGGCAACACUUUUGGGCCAAAGUAAGGAAAUCUAUUUUAGGUAAUGUAAAAACCAGUUGUGGGAUGUAAUAGUUUAUUAUGCACUGACAACAACUUUUUGUAUAAUUGUCAGUUUAAUGAAUACGAGAGGAACUCUGUUGGCAAAUUCAUCCAUGAUAGAUGCUAAAAUUAUACCAGUUGCCUUAACUAAUUUUUCUCAACACUGGUAUUGAACAGGAAAAUGAAUAUGCAAUUUGUAUUUGUGCCAUUGUGGAGAAUUUGGAUAUUCUUAGUUUUAGUAACAAGGAGAGUAUUUGCCUCAUCUUUAAACAAUGAAUCUUUGAGAAAUGAGGACUGGGUGAUUGGCAGUGUCAGAGUGUCUUCAUGUAAAUGUUCAUUUAUUUGUAUUUUGAACUAUUAUUAGAAUCUUUAUAUGCCAAAUUAGUAAUACAAAUGUUCAGAUGAUUUUUCCUGGUGAUCAUUUCAUUCUUGAGAGCCAUGUACAAUACUAGGAUACCAGAGAAACCAAGGUAGCAUUGAAGUUGCCCCAGUGGCUAGUUUUCCGAUCAUUUUUUAUUCAAAUUUUUAUGUUUCAGAAAAAUGUAAGAAAUUUAUAGAAAUGUUGAUAGCUAUGAUUUUGAAACUUUGCCUAAAAUUGUUAUCAUCACUUAUUGUUUCUUAUUUAAAGAGAAAUCCUAGAAACGUGACAUGAUUAUUCCAUACUUGUUUUAAUAUUAUUUAUUAGCAGCCUAAUUCAAAAUUAGACGUGAUUAUUUGUUACUUUUAAUGCUACAUGUUCUGGGAAUAUUCAGUUGUGGUUAUCUUGUUGAAAUACCAGAAAAUAGCGUUCUAUUUGGUGGUAGUGGAUUCUUGGUUGGUUUGAAUGUAUUAAGCAUCACCUUAAAAGGUUUUUCUGCUGUCCAAAAACUUACGAGCCCCCAAAAGUUUCAAAGCUGUGCACAACCUUUGGAGCUUAUAGACUGUAGUGAUUCAAAGUUGUUUGCCUUCGCAGAGUUGAAGCAUCUUGAAAAACUAGGUUUUUCAAAUUGUGGAAAUUGGAAGAGUUUAAGUUCUGCUGUGUUGAGGAUGGAAAGGCUCGAGAAUGUUUUCGUGUGAACAGCUUCAACGAGUUAAGAUAAAGGCUUGUCAUAAAUUGAGGGAAGUGACAUGGCUUGUAUUUGCUCCGUAUCUUGAGGUUAUUCAAAUAGCCAAAUGUAUGGGGAUAGAAGUAAUAAUCAGUGCAAGGAAAUUGGGUGAAGUUCCAGAGAUGAUGGCAGAUCUAAACCCUUUUGCAAAACUCCAAUAUCUUGGCCCACGAGUUCUACCAAAAUUAAAAAGCAUCUAUUGGAAUCAGUUGCCCUCUCUACAUGUCAGGCGAAUUUUGUGUCUGAAUGCCCAAUUCUCAAGAAGCUUCCACUUGGUUUUAACAAUGCAAAGGAAUCUAAAACUAUCAUUAGGGGAGAAGAACACUGGUUGAAUGAGCUGCAAUGGGAGGACAAAGUGACCCUUAAUGUUCUUCUUCCUUGUUUCGGAUCCAUUUGAAGGCAUCAACAUGGAUUGAUACUUUGCAGUGGAGAAAUUUGAAUAAAACCUAUGGUAAGCGCUUUUCCAUUUAUUGCAUAUUUAUAUCUAACUUUUGUUUUCCUUUGUGGUUAAAUUUUGCUCUAUAUACGUUGUUGUACGGUGACAUUCUCAUAUCAAUUAUUAGCUUUUUAAUUCUCUUCUCACAUUAACUGCCCUUUUGAUCAUGUAGGAUAUGCUGAUGUCAAAGAGUCGUAAUUUGGGAUGCAAAUGUAAGAAUUAGACAGAUGACCAGUUGUUUUGAAGCGCUCGAAGAAGGAUUAAUUACGUCAUUGAAAGGCUCCAAUUUUGUGACUUUUUUUUUUAAUUUGUUGUUUUUUCUAUUUUUAGAUAGCUUGAUUGUCAGUUGUCGUGAUGUAAUGCUUUAGUGUAGAAAAAUGAUAUUCGGCCAAGACAACAUUAGCAGGGCACCUUGUGCAUGCAUACUAGUGGAUAAUUUCGGCAUGCUAAAUCCAAUUAGGGUGGAUGACCCUUUAUAAGCAUUAGGCUUCUCUCAUACCCGAAAACAAUGUAGAAUACGCUUAUAAGCUGCGGAUCACCCAUUAUAAGUUUUAGGCUUCUCCUUUACUCGAGCGAUGUGGAAUACCUUUAUAAGCAUUAAGCUUCUCCCAGUAUCUUUAUGUUAAAAAUAAUAAUAAUAAAAGAAAUCCAUUUUAAAAUAGACUCUUUUUUCUUUUUCUAUAUAAACAAAUGCAUUCUUCAAAUCAAUUGUGGGCAGAAGAAGUUAGUAGAAAAGAACUAGUCCCCUUUCAUUCCCCCUUAAAGCUCACCAAAGCCUCUUUUGUAAGCUUUUCGGAUUUUCUUUCUAUAUUGCUUAUGAUCUCAUUUUUGAUUGAAUCACUUCUUUUGCAUGCUGCAUAUUUUGUUUGUUGUAUUUGGAUAUUAUCGUAUCUGGAAUGCUGUUAUGAUUGAUGGAACAAGUAAUCGAUAUUUGGUCUGAUGGAAGUUGACUUAUUUAUUUAUUGUUAUUUUAAUUUGAAACUAUGUACAAUUGCAUUUCAUUCAUUUCUCUCUCUCCCCCCCCCCCCCCCCCACACACACACACAUAUAUUUGUUAUGUAUAAUUGCGUUUCAUUUGAUAUUGAUCAUGCUGUAGAUAACCAUGUGAUUGUAGAUGGGGAUUUCAAGUUUGUUGAAUAUUCAAGUAAGUGAAGUAACUGUCAAAAUACUAGUGAAAUUGGGAGCUUUAUUCAUGAGCUUGUGGUUUUGAAAAGUACCACAGUUCAACCGAUGAAGGUUCCUUUUUGGGGUUCUUCUUUUUCUAGGCUGCAAUUAGGAUAUGUACAUGUUAGACAAUCUUUUGCGGGUUUAGCAUAUCUUCUCUGAUUUUGUCUUUUAUUCCCCAAUCUUAUAAUUGCACACCAUGAAUGUUGAGUGAUUGUAUAGAAAAUUUGUGUUAUAACCAAAGCGUUGUGAAGGAGUUAAGUUAGUGGCUUCUGUUUUAUUGGCAUUGAUUGGGUAGAUUAUGUGUUACAGUGAUUCAAUUUGUGCUCCAAAGUUUGCUUUAAUUUCUUUUUUCCCUAAUUAUUUAUGUCAAAUUUAAAUCCAGAAGCAUGUACUGAUUUUUUCUUUUUGUAUUAAUCUGUGAAGGUUAUUUGGAAUGGAAGUAUCUGGGUUGGGUCUAACGGAUUAAAUUAUGACAUUGGGGGGAAGGCAGUAAAGGGUUUGCUCGACACAUUUGGUUCUGUGUUUACUUUGCAAGAAAUAGCUUUUGGUUAUCACAAUGCCGGUGGAAUCCCGAUUUGGCUCGUGAAUUUCUUUGUGACAAAUAGGCAAACACAUCAACCUCUUCUAUCCAUCCUUCUACUGGUAAGGCAAGGGGUAAAGAGUCUUCAAAAUCAUCAAAUAGUAACAUCUCUGAGAAUUCAUUUUAUGCAAAUGGAAAAUCUAGACCUUCUAAGACAAAAUGGCGUCCUGUAUCAGGAGGUACCGUUUCAAGUUUUCUUGGUAAAAAUUAUGUUAAACCUGCACAGCCAGCUAAUGGCACAUUUCUAGCAUCAAAGCCAUUGAAGUUGGAUCCAAAGGGGUUUCCCAUGUCUCCACUUUUGCGGAGAAGAUACUAAACUGAAACAAUCAAAGGAUGACCAUUUGCAGAAGGAUAUGGAAGAUUUUCUGUUUAAAUUGCUAGGAGAAGUGUUCCUAUUGUCCUUUUCAAUGUUCUUUCUUUCUUUCUCUUCUUUUCUUCUUCUUCUUCUUUUUUCUUUUUGUGUGCGUGUGAUCACUAAUUUGGUAUUGUAGUUUAGUUGCAGAUAGUUGUGGAUAUGAUAUGCAAAAGGUAAGGACUAUAUCUUCCUGAUGGAGGCCUCUGCUUUUUCCUUUAUGUGUAAUUUAAUAAAUUGCAUCUUCCUUUGUGAUUGUUAUAUCAUAUCAAAGACAAGUCUUAAAUACUGCUGUCAUAUGUUAAGGUUCAACUUGCAGUUUGAUUAACAUUCAUGGCUCAAAGGCCUGAAAAAACUUGCCAGUAAUUGUAAAAUGACAUUCUUUGCUUUUAAUGCAAUAGAGGGAACAGGGAAGUAUAGCUUUGGAAGCCUGGAUUGGUAACUAUAGAGAGACUUAGUAUUUAAUUGAUAAAAAUUCCCAUAACCCAAGGUCAAGAAAAUUUUAGAUCGUUAAAGACUUCAUUUUGUUUCGGCCAGAAAUGUUUGUUUCGAUCGAAGACUUGAACCAUUUCGAUUGAACCUGAUUAUGAUGCUUUACGUUAUGCAUGUUCCUCUUAAUCAAGAAAAGUUGAGGUGAUGAUUUUAUAUUUCUAUAUUGUAAGUUGAAAUAAUAAUUGGUCUGCUUGUUUCUGUAGCUUGAUAACAUGAAUUUUCCUUCUCAAGUUAAUUUAAUCAAUAAAGUAAUUCUUCAAAGAAAAUAUGCCCAUUCUAUAAUCAUUUUCUUAAUUAACAUGUUUUUUUCUUCACACUUCAGAGCAUGUUGAAACUAAUUGAUCGCUCGGCAGAGACUUUGGGUGAGAAGACAAAAUUUCUCGGUAAAUCCUCUGAAAAGGUAUGCAUAAUUCCGCAGUAUUAAAUAACCAAUGGUCAUAAUUUUUGUACAGGACUCUUUUCUUGUGGAGAUAAUUAAAAGUGGCUGAUGAUCCAGUUUGUAUAUCAUAGAGGGAGCAUCAAUUCCUUUUGUUUUCAGUGGCUAGGCAACACUUUCAGGGCAAAGUAAGGAAAUCUAUUUUAGGCAAGUAAAGCCAUGUAGAUGUAAUAGUUAACAUGCACUGACAAUAACUUUGUAUAAUGUCAGUGAACGAUACAAGAGGAAUCUGUUGACAAUCAUCCAAGAUAGAUGCUAAAAUUAUUAUGCAUGCCAGUUGCUUAAUAAUUUUCUUACACUGGUAUUGAAGAGGAAAAUGAAUAUGCAAUUUGUAUAUGUGCCAUGUGAGAAUUUGGAUAUCUAUCUAAGUAACAAGGAGAGUAUUGCCUCAUCUUUAGACAAUGAAUCUUGAGAAUUUGGAUAUUCAUGUAAAUGUUCAUUUGUUUGUAUUUUGAACUAUUAUGAGAAUCUUUUAUAUGCCAAAUUAGUAAUGCAAAUGUUCAGAUUAUUUUUUCUGUUGAUCGUGCAUUUGUGUCUGCACACAACCAUUGUAUAUCACUUCAUUCUGAUGCGCAAGUGUCUGUAGUUUAGAAGAAAAGAAAUAAUAAUGAUAUAUUAUUGCUUGAUUCAUGAUUAUUAAAUGAUUAUGGCUUUAAAAAACCUACAAAUUCCUUUUGUUGAUAUAUGAAUGUACCAAGUUUGCUAUAUCUUAGAUUACCAUUUCCAAGAUAACAAGUUCAAAUUUUUUCUUUAUCCUUUUCCUUCACAGUUGCAUUUUAAGUGUAAGAUUUGUUAUUAAUACCUGGUUUCCCGUCAUUAUGAUUUCAUAAACAGUGUAUGGGUAUGUGCUCUACUUUUGGAGGGCCUCCACGUGAAAGAAAAUUGUAACAAUUGAAUUCUUCCGGAUGGUAUGGUAUUUAAUUUAUUUUCUCAACCUCUUGUAAGACUAAUAUAUUUUCCUUUAGUAGACACGGCAUGGUGGGAAGGGUUUUUUAUUGAAAGAAUUCUGAUAUUUCUUAGACUUUGUUUUGGAAGGGGGUGCAGGGGUUUCUCAUCCAUAUAUGGUUACUUGAUUAGCUUUUGACUGUAUUGCCUCAAUCGUGCAAAGGAAGAUCCAAAUACAAACGAAAGAGAAUUGUUUAGACACCCAGAAGAUGGAAAUGAACUACAGAAGGAAGUUUUUGCUGCUUUAUUUAGUGCUCCUGAGAAAUCUGAUGAAUUUCCUGAAAUUACGGUGAAGACCAAGUGUGAGGUCCAAAGCAUUAGGAAAGGUGGUGAGUGAACUGCCGGAGCAAUUGGUACAGAAUACAAGGCUAAUGUGGUGGACUUGCAGCAAGAUAACCGGAACAGUACGUGCUCUUAUAUUAACUAUAUUGACUGGAUUUGCUAGUGUGUGCAUUUUCGUGUGUAUACUUUUGUAUUUAUGCAUAUUAAUGUGUGUAGGAUUCUUGAUUUCUGCCACUUAUUGGAGAACUAAUGGAAAGCUUUAUACUGGUAUAUCUGCAAUAACUAAUGGAAACUAUGAUAUUAAUAUUUUCUCUCGCUUGGAGAAUGCGUAACAGAUAUACUUUGUGGCUCUGGAAUACUAAAGAUUCUGCAAUAACUAAUGGAAACUAUGAUAUGAAUAUUUUCUCUCACCUGGAGAACUUUGUAACAGUUACACUUUGGGGCUUGGAAUGUCUAAAGAAUUUUGUCUGCUUCAGUUAGAUCAAAUAUCUUUUAGUUACAUACAUUAUAGAAAAGAUAAAGUUCUCUGAAUCUGAAAGACUUAAAAUUUUGCAUAUUUCUUGAUAGGGAAAUAUCUGUAGAUACUAGUUCAUGCAUUGUGGUAGCAUCAGUGUUAAAGAAAAACAGCAGUAAGUUAUUAUAUAGAAUUAGGUUCACUUGCUUUAAAUCCUGGUCUGGUCAACCAUAUGAACCUGUAAGUGGUUCUGUAGAAAUAUAUAUAUACGGGGAGAAAGUAGCUAAAUUUUCCUUUCAUUUAUGGGUUUGGUCAUUUUUUCCCCUUAUUUAUGUUUUCUCACACAUUUUUUAAAUGCCCCAGACAUGCAAUUUUGUAUGUGUCAAUUGCCUUUUAAGUUUUAAAAACCAUAAAGUAAGAAUACAGUUUCUUGUCAGGCUAUUGAUGCAUUUGCUCGGGGGGAUCAUGCUCGAGCAGGAAAACUUCUAGAACAGGUAAGGUUUCCAUCUACAGCCAUUUAUUGACAACAUAUAUAUUUUCAUUCAGCAAGCACUGUUAGCAUUCAAGAUGCUGGCAGAUUCACUUGAUUCUUAUUAGUUUGUUUAGUAGCAAAGCAUAUAACCUGUAUUUUAAAGCUAAGUUGUGCUAUUGAUUAUGUUAACUUUAUUGUUCACAUAAAGUGAUAUUGAGGAAAUAAUCAAUGUAGGAAAAUUAGGUGAAGAGAUGAUGUCAAAUCUUGAACCUCUUACAAAACUCCAAGUUCUUUACUUGAAGAAGCUACCAAAUUCGAACAGCAUCUACUGGAAGGCCUUGCCAUUCCCUGAUGUAUGCAGAAUUUUUGUAUUUAAAUGCCCAGAGCUUAAGAAGCUGCCACUGGAUCUUGAGAGGGCAGGCCAAGGUAAAAUUCUUAUCAAGGGAAAGAAAGAUGGGUGGAAACAACUUCAAUGGGAGGAUCAAGUAACUCAGAAUGCAUUGCUUUCAUUUUAAAAAUCAACCAACAAGUGAUUGAAGGGGGCAUCAUCAACGUAAUCAACAUGGAUGGAGAGAUUCUGGAGCAGAUCAGCGGGGUUUAGUACGACCUGUGGUGGUUUCUUUUUUGUGACUUUUUUGCCUUUCAUUUUUUCACUUCCUGUCAUAUUAUCAUUUCUUUGUCUGUGUUUCUAUUGCUAGUGUUGCUGCAUGCUUGCUGUCCUUGACAAAGUUAGCUAGUUUUUUUUGUUUAUUAAAUUUUGUAUGUUCGGUCGGGACAGUCACAAAGUACUACUUGUUCUAUAUGGGGGUGAUGUGAAUCAACUUUUCAAUUAUAUAUUCUGUGGUAAUUGUGAAUUCAAUUUCAUUUAUCUCCUGCAAAUUAUGAAGAAAGUGCAGAGUUACAAUAUGGAAAAGUUCACUGGCAAAUACUUUGUAAAAGCUUCGGAGUGAAACAGGAAAUGCACUUGCAACUAAGGACAAAUUGGUGGCCGGCUAAUGCAUUCAUUUUAGGGAAAAGGACACAGACCCUCAACGUUUUAAUAAGGGACAUAAAACUCCCUAAUAUUUUAAAAAAAAUACUCAAACCCCCAUUUGUUAAUAGUAAAUUCUAAGUUUAAAGUGUAAUUACCAUUAUACCUUUAUAGCAUAUUAAAAAAUAAUUAUUCAUUAUUCAAUUUAUUCUUAUAUUAUUAAUAAAAUUACGAAUAUAAUUUCAUUAUCUAAUUUUUUCAUUUAAUUUUUGUUAAAUUUUCUCUUCAAACUAAAUAAAUUUAAUCCAUUGCUUAAGAAUAAAAAUAAAUUAAAUUGAUUACUAAUAUAAUAAAAAUAACAUAUAUUUAAUAUAAAAAUAACAUAUAUUAAAUUAAAAUAAAUUUAAUUUAUAUAUAGAGAAUUGUUAUUUUUAAGAAAUUAUCAAUUUAAUUUAUAUAUAAGAAAUUAUAAGAAAUAACAUAUGGAGAAUUGUUAUUUUUAUUAUAUUAAUAAUCAAUUUAAUUUAUUUUUAUUUUUGAGCAAUGGAUUAAAUUUAUUUAGUUUGAAGAGAAAAUUUGAUAAAAAUUAAAUGGAAAAAUUGGGUAAUGAAGUUAUAUUCAUAAUUUUAUUAAUAAUAUAGGAAUAAAUUAGAUAAUGAACAAUUAUUUUUUAAUAUGCUAUAAGGGUAUAAUGGUAAUUGUACUUUAAAAUUAGAAUUUACUGUUAACAAAUAGGGGUCUGAGUGUCUUUUUUGAAACAUUAGGAAAUUUUGUGUCUCUUAUUCAAACGUUGGGGGUUUCUGUGUUAUUUUCCCUUCAUUUUAUGUACAUUCAUCUUUUUAAUUAUUGAAGAUAAGUGGUUCGUUGCUUUUGUUGUAGAUAAAAUUCAGACGACCUCAAUUGUGACAUGACAAUAUUUAAAACAUCUCUUAAAUUAUUAUAAAUUUAAUUUAUCUUAACUUUAUUGAAAAGAUAAAAGAAAAAUGUGGUGUAUGGAUAAAUUUUUUUUUAUCUUCUUAAUCAAAUGGAAUAAAUUAAAAUUUACAAUAAUUUAAAAUAUUUUAAAAAUUAUUAUUUCAUAAGAGAUUAAUAUGAAAUUAAUCGUUUUUACUUUUUUAAUGUGAAAGGACAAGAAAAGAGAAAGCAUGUGUCCCUGCUUUUUAGUUUUUAUUUUAUUUGAAAUCGGAGUUAUCCCAUAUACUUUACUAAUUUAGCUCUAACAUUACAAUGUUUUUAGGCUACACUUUUAUUUUUCUUUUUCCCCCUUUUUUUAUACAUGCAUGUGGAUUACUUUUCUCUAAGCUCCUUAAUAUUUAAGACAAAUCAUAAAAGCAAUUGAAGUAUAACAAGAUGAUCAAAACAUUUAACCAAAAAAAAAGAAAGAAAAAAGAAAGAAAACAUUGAAAAUGGAGAUGUUGAUUAAUUUAGAAGAGAUGCAAGCAAAAGAUAUUCCCAAAAAAAAGAAAAAAAGAAAAAAACAACGUUAGUUCAUCCAUGUCUGUCAAUGCGUUUUUUAUGGUUUUUUUUUUCCAGUUGUUUGUUGUAAUAGAUUGAUUGUAAAUUGAUAUGAAUUUGAUGUUGUAAUAUGUUCGCUUUUGUGGAAUUAAAUUUGAAUAUUCAAGAUUAUUCAAGUCUUAUCUAGUAUGUGUUCAAUUGUGUUGUCGAUAAUUUUGCAUUCGAAUAAUUUUUCACCUAAAAUAUUAGCAUGAGUAGUAGUCCUUGAAAUUUUGGUCAAAAUUAUUGUUAUUGUUUGUUUUAGAGGAAAUUUUUUUAUUAAAGCCUCGUUAACACUAUACCUUAUUAAGAUUAUAAGUUAGUGUCAGUGCAGGAUUUACAGCAACAAAUCUUGUCUAGCCACGUGUCAAAAGUACAAAUAAAUCAAGAGUAAGCACAUGACAUGGAUUAGGAUCCAAUAAGAUUUAAAUCCCAAGGAAAAGGACAAUUGUAUCCUAAAGUUUCAAUAAGAGAUACUGAGAUAUCUUUUGACUAAUGUUAUUUUUUUAGCUUUAUUAAUAAAAAGAUCAAAUAGUUUAUAACAAAUAAAAAUAUAGUAUGAAGCUAAAUGUGAUAAUAUAUACAUUUUACAUAAUUUCAAUAAAAAAAAUUUCAAUAAAAAACAUUUUAAUGUUUUACGAUCUAUUAGACAUAUUUUAUUAAAUUAAUAGGAAUUUUCUGAUAAAUAGCAACAUAAUAUUAAAAUAAAUUUAUAAAGAUUUAAAUGUAAAAUAAUUUUAGUAUAAUUAAUACGUGGGAUAUAUUUUGUAAAUUAUAAAAUUACUUAACCCAAUGAUUUUUAAAAAUCUUUAAAAUAAAUAAAAAUAAAUUAUUCACAUUUUGAUGUAAAUAUUUAAAACAUUUUUAUACAUUAGUCCACAAUUAUUUAUGUUAUAUUUGUAUUUAUUAGAAAUUUUGAAAGUCAAAUGUUUUUCACCUCUAUCUUAUUAGAAUUAUUGCACACAGAGAAAGAGCCAUAUAUGCUUUAUAGCUUUAAAAUCGAUUUGUUUUAUAGCUGGGAACAGAGAUGAUCAUUAUUAUAAGGAUUAAAAAAAAGAUAAAGAAUAUUAAUGAUUAGCGAAAUCUCUAUGGAAAUUGAAUUUAGUAAGAAAAAAUUGAGCUGAUUUUAGCGGUAUAGUAAUAUUUUAUAUAGAGAAAAGUAAAAGCUGCACCCAAGGUUAAGGGAAAUGGUCAAAACUCUUUUUUAAUCAUAAUACUCUUUUUCCUACAUAAUUUAAAAAUUUGACAUUAAUAUUUUAUAAUAAAUAAAAACAUAUAAUCCUAAAAUAAAUAAAAUAAUAUAUAUUUUAAAAUAAUCUCAAUAUUUAAAAUAUAUUUUAACAUUUUAUAGUCUAUCAGAUAUAUUUUAUUUUUUUUAAAGUAAAUUUUAUAAUAAAUACAAAACAUACUAUUAAAAUAGAUAUAAAAAUUUUAAAGUAUUUUGAAUAUUAUAUAAAAUAACUUUAAUAUUGUUAAUGCGUGAGAUGCAUUUUAUUAAUUAAAAAUUCUAUUUAACCCAAAGAUUUAUUUAUAAUAAAUUAAUAAUCAUAUUUUUGAAAUUAUUUUAAAUAUUAAAAAAUAUUUUAAUAUUACUAACUAUUAGAUAGACUAAACUAUUUAUAUUAUUUUCUAUUUAUUAUAAAAUUUCAAAGUUAAUCUUUUUAACUACUAUUCAAAAGAUAUUAUGAUAAAAACAGAAUUUUUCUGUUUUAUUAAAAAUUUAGAGUUUACACCUAUUUUUUCAAAUAUUCGGGGUGUAACUGUUUUAUUUAAAUAAAAUCUCAGUUAAAAAUGUACAGAGAAGAAAUUUCUGUUGGUAUUUUAGUCUUUUACCAAUUAUCACGAUUAGGCCUUGGCCUUGAAACAUUAAUUGUUUCACUUUUAGCGCUAGUGGCGUUGAAAGUUGUCAAGAAAAAGCAAGACCAUAUUCCACAAAAGCAGCUCUUUUAUUAAAGGCAAAGUAUAAAGUAGUCAAGAAUCGAAUAUCCUGUCGUCUACUCUUUUUUAAAUUCUUCUUUUAUUAUCUUUUAGAAUAGUUUUUGGUAAUUACAAUCAUUAUUCAGAGUUAUUGUUAUCUUCUGGGGCAGUCUCUGUUCAUCGAAGUCGUUACCUUUUUUUCAUGGAUCAGUUCCAGUGCCAAGCAGUAAUUUUCUUAGAACUCGGAUCUUUAAUUCGAGUUUCUUUGUGAAUUAAUAAUAAAAAAUUUUCAUUACACGCAAUUUAAGCUACGAAUUACUUUUUGCAAAGUUGAAUAUGAAAUUGGAGAAAUUAAAUAAUUUAGAAUGUUGGUAAAAAUUGACUAACAUAUCCCCAAUUACAGUAAAACCUCUCUACAGUCAUAACAUUAUAACAAAAUUAAUUUUAUUACUAUGUUGAGGUAAUAUAGGUUUAGUUACAAAAUUAUUGUUUUAAUAUGGUUAGUGUCAAGUGAUAUAAAGGUUAAGUAUGCAGUACAUUGAUAAUUAAAUAAUGAAGCGUGUCAAAUCUAACGUAUAUAUAUUAAUGAUAUAGAUAGACAUAGUUUUAAAAAACUAAUUAAUGUAUAUUUAUGUACUGUUAUGAAUAUGGAAAGUCAAGCCUACACUUUACAUUAUCCUUAAUUUUUUCUCUCAGUUAAAUUCUACAAAUAUUGUACAAUGAUUGGGUAAGAACUCUAAAUUAAGAAUAAAUUAUUGUCACAAAUAAUUUUAAAAAAUAUUUUAUUUCAUCUUAAACCUUUAAUGUAAGUAAAUAUAUAUAUAUGUGUGUGUGUGUGUGCAUAUUUUGCAAGGUAUAGAUAAUUGUUAGUAUAUGGAGACAAGUCUUUUAAGGUAGGACCUAGGAAAAUUUAUAACUUACUACAUUGGGGAGUUUUUAUUCCUUUUUAUAAUUGGCUCAUAUUGAUACAUUCUUACACAAAAUAUUACCAUUGACAUAUUUUACUACAAUUGGUUUAGAACAUUUGUUAGGAAAAAAAAAAGAAAAGAAAACAUUCAUUGGAUGUAGCUCUCCCUCGUAUGCUUUUUUCUCCAAAUAUUCCUGCGUCCACAGAAACAAGUCAGAGCACGCCGGUUGUUUUCCCGGCGUAAACCCUCUGACGCUCAAGUCAGAUAUGAAGGCUCUGGGAAUGCUUGCCACAGAUCUUAUGGUUUUUCUGUAGUUUCUAUUCUUUAGAGUUUCAUUUAUCUCUGAAUAUAAUCUCAAAAAUGCUAACCCUUUUACCUUCCUUGGCUACCUUUUUAUAGGCUUCCUCUGAAUCCCGGUCUUCCGUAGUCCACGCCCGUUAUUCUCCCCACCCUCGGAUGUGGAUGCCCCAUUAUCGCCAUUGUGGGCGAAUGGAGAUGGACUUCGUGCCUUGAUUCUCGGAUAGGAAUGCACGUCUUGCCAACUGUCGUUGACUGGGUCUCCUCGCCUCUCGACCUCUAGCCGGAAUGGCCUUAUGCCUCUAACAAGAGUUCGACCUCGUGAAUGGCAUACUCGCGGACGAGCCGAAUAUUUCUGCUCAUGUUCCCCUGCUACCUGGCUCUUACAGGACAUACCUGUUCGCAGAACUCCGCCAUCAAAUAUCUGCUCAUCACGUCUGGUCUCGUUGAAGUAUUUCCCUCAAACAACAUAUUUUACUACAAUUAGUUUAGAACAUUUGUUAGGAAAAAAAAAGAAAAGAAAACAUUCCUUGGAUGUAGCUCUCCUGACUAUUUAAAUCUUUUAAGGAAAAAAAGAAAAAAGAAAAACUGACACAUUCAAAUCUUGAAGCAAUUACAUUAAAACCUCUCCAUAAUGAUAGGAAUAAUCUCCAUUUAGUAAUAAAAAAUUUUGUUCGCAAUCUAGGCAGAGUUAUAAAUAAGAAUAAAAUCCUCAUUGUAAUAAGUUGUAUUUAUUAUGGAUCCCAUCCUAAGGAACUUGUCUCUAUAUAGUAAUAAUUAUUUGCAUAUUAUAAAUAUAUAUGUUGCAUUAGAUUAAAUGAACUUGUCUCCACAUACUACUUAGACAAUGAGAGAAAGUUAUUAAAGAGAACACAAAUAUUUAGAGAUUUUUAAGAUUACUUUGCAUGUUUAUAACAAUAAUACAUUGAUAUAUGUAUUAGUUUUUUGAUAUAUUAGAUUUGACAUGCUCUAUUAAUAAAUUAUUAAUACGAUGCAAACUUCAUCUCUCUAUCCUUGCAAUAAAAGUAACUAAGUUAUAACAAUAAUUAUUAAUAAAUUAUUAAUACGAUGCGUACUUCAUCUCUAUAUCCUUGCAAUAAAAGUAACUAAGUUAUAACGAUAAUUUUUGUAACUACAUGCUUAUUAGGUUUUAACUACUUCAUAAUAAUAAAUUAAUUUCGUCCUAAUAUUAUAAUUAUGUAGAGUUGUAGUGUAUAGACACACCCAAUUUAAAUAGUAAAUCAAAUAAAAUUGUCCCCACAAAAAAGAAAAAAGGGGUAAAGGAUUGUUAUUUCUUCAAACAUUAGGAGCACGUUUGUUCAAGUGCGAUGCCUUUCUUUUGAAGGCAACGUCAGUGGGUACCCAAUAGGACGUGUGUAAAUCUUUCCAAAAUUUCUCCGGUAUAACGGACAGAGAUCAUUACUUUUCUCUUCCAUAGACCACAGCAGCUUCAGUUAAUCAGACUCAAUCAAUUUUCUUGGUUUCUUCGCUUAUCAAAAUUCCAAAAUAUGGGUAGCAUAUUUCAAAUCACAUGCGAUGGUGCUUUUUUCAAUCGUUGCUUGGAUUGCUUUCUUGGAAAAGUAGCAAACACAAGUAAGCUCCAAGAUAACCUUGUUGCCUUGGAGACUGAAUUGGGAAAACUAAUCGUAGCAAAGAACGAUGUGAUGAUGAGGAUUGUCAAUGCUGAACGGCAACAACUGAGAACGCUGGACCAAGUGCAAGUGUGGCUUUCGAGGGUGGAAGCUGUUAAAACUGAAGCUGAUGAAUUGAUAAGACACGGCUCUCAAGAAAUUGACAAAUUAUGUGUUGGAGGCUACUGUUCCAAGCACUGCGCGUCAAGCUACAAGUUCGGGAAACAAGUGGCUAAAAAGCUACGGGAUGUGCAGACUUUAAUCGGCGAAGGAGUUUUUGCGGCGGUGGCUACUGAGGUGGUGCCUGAGAGAGCUCCAGAACCUGUAGCAGAUGAAAGACCCACUGUGCCAACAAUAGUAGGCUUGCAAUCACAACUUGAACAAGUUUGGAGAUGUCUUGUAGAAGAAUCAGUGGGAAUCAUUGGCCUAUAUGGUAUGGGCGGUGUUGGUAAAACUACACUAUUGACCCAUAUCAACAAUAAAUUUCUUGAGAGUCGAACCAGUUUUGAUUGUGUGAUUUGGGCCGUAGUUUCAAAGGACUUGCAACUCGAAAAAAUUCAAGAAGAUAUUGGGAAAAAGAUCGGUUUGGUUGAUGAUUCAUGGAAGAGUAAAAGUGUAGAGGAGAAAGCUCUCGACAUCUUCCGGAGUUUAAGAGAGAAGAGAAUUGUAUUGUUGUUAGAUGAUAUAUGGGAGCGGGUUGAUUUAACAAAAGUGGGCAUUCCACUUUCGGGACCAAAGAAUACUACCUCAAAAGUCGUAUUCACAACCCGUUUCAUCGAUGUUUGUGGUAGCAUGGAAGCUGACAAGAAGUUCCAAGUGGCAUGCUUAUCAGAAGAGCAUGCUUGGGAACUGUUUCGAAAAAAAGUUGGGGAAGAAACUCUUGAGAGUGAUCAUGAUAUCGUUGAGCUAGCCCAAACUGUGGCCAAAGAGUGUGGUGGUUUGCCACUCGCACUUAUUACUAUUGGUCGAGCUAUGGCCUGCAAAAGGACAGCCGAGGAGUGGAGACACGCAGUUGAAGUGCUAAGAAGAUCAGCUUCUGAGUUUGCAGGUUUGGGAAAAGAGGUGUAUCCUCUUUUAAAGUUUAGCUAUGAUAGUUUGCAGAAUGAGACGAUUAAAUCUUGUUUCUUAUAUUGUUGUUUAUAUCCCGAGGAUUAUGGCAUUCUUAAAUGGGACUUGAUUGAUUGUUGGAUUGGUGAGGGAUUCUUAGAGGAAUCUGACAGGUUUGGUGCAGAAAACCAAGGAUACUACAUUGUGGGCACUCUUGUUCAUGCGUGUUUACUAGAAGAGAUAGAAGAUGAUAAAGUAAAAAUGCAUGACGUUGUUCGUGAUAUGGCUUUAUGGAUAGCUUGUGAAAUUGAGAAGGAGAAGAGAAACUUUUUGGUUUGUGCAGGUGCUGGAGUAGGAGCGGUACCAGAUGUUGAAGGAUGGGAAAAUGUGAGAAGAUUGUCAUUGAUGCAAAACCAAAUUGAAAUUCUGUCAGAGGUUCCCACAUGCCCUCAUCUCCUCACUUUAUUUCUUGACUUUAAUUAUAAAUUGGAGAUGAUCACUGAUGGCUUCUUCCAAUGUAUGCCUUCUCUCAAAGUUUUGAAGAUGUCAAACUGUGGGCAUGUCAAAGUUUUGAAAUUACCUUUUGGGAUGUCAAAGUUGGGUUCACUACAACUUCUUGAUAUUUCACAUACCGGCAUAAGAGAGUUACCAGAAGAGUUAAAGUUGUUGGUAAAUCUGAAAUGUUUGAAUUUGAGGUGGACACAUAUGUUAAAUAAAAUUCCACGGCAGCUAAUAUCAAAUUCUUCAUGGUUACGUGUGUUGAGAAUGUUCGCUAUUGGCUUUGAAAAUUCUAAAGAACCAUCAGAAGACAGCGUUUUAAUUGGUGGGGGUGAAGUUUUAGUACAGGAAUUGCUCGGUUUGAAAUAUUUAGAGGUAUUGGAGUUGACCUUGCGAAGUUAUCAUGCUCUCCAUUCUUUUUUGAGCUCAAAUAAGUUAAAAAGUUGUAUUCGAUCUCUUUUCCUCAAUAAGCUGGGAGAUACAAAGUCGAUUGAUGCUACGGCUUUGGCAGAUCUAAAGCAUCUCAAUGAAUUAUAUAUUCUUUUUUUUNNNNNNNNNNNNNNNNNNNNNNNNNNNNNNNNNNNNNNNNNNNNNNNNNNNNNNNNNNNNNNNNNNNNNNNNNNNNNNNNNNNNNNNNNNNNNNNNNNNNNNNNNNNNNNNNNNNNNNNNNNNNNNNNNNNNNNNNNNNNNNNNNNNUCUUUCGCUAUACGGUUGUAAUGCUGUGGAAGAAAUAAUCAGCGUUGGGAAAUUUGCUGAGGUUCCUGAGAUGAUGGGACAUAUAAGCCCUUUUCAGAAUCUCCAAAAGCUUGAUUUAUCACAUUUGCCAGCUUUGAAGAGCAUCUACUGGAAGCCAUUGCCUUUCGCUCAUCUGAAAGAAAUGGUGGUGCAUUGGUGUGAUCGGCUUAAAAAGCUUCCGCUCGAUUCCAACAGUGCAAAAGAGCGUAAAUUUGUUAUUCGUGGAAGAGCAGACUGGUGGAACCGUCUUCAAUGGGAGGAUGAAGCCACUCAAAUUGCUUUCCAUUCCUGUUUCCACCUAAUGAAAUAUAAAUUCCUUAGCGGUGGUUGCAAAAUUUGAUUUCUAGUGAGUGCUUUUUUCUUAAACUCUUACAUUUAUUUCAGAUUCGUUUUUUGUCUCCUGCAAAUCACAAUUAAAUGCUGAAUUAUAUGGAGUCAAUGCUUUAGAAAAUUUUCAAGGCACUGCCAUUUCCUUUUUUCCAUUUUUUUUUGGGUCGAAUUGAUGCUCUGGCUUUUUACUUUUUGUUGUCAAAUUUUGCUCUGUUUUUUCAAGUUGAUGCUUGAAUAGUUGAAUUCAAUUAAUGCUCACAUAAAUUUGUUUAGUUGCCGUAAAAGGAUAUAAUUAGACUGAAGUACACACUUCUAGAAUGAAUACAAAAUGUUAAGUAUACUAGCCCUCUUUACAGAAAAUCAAAUGAAAAUCAAUUUUUUGGGGCUUUGAUUUUCUAUGGUCUAUUAUAUACUCUUUUUAAUAUCUUCUGUUCUAACUAUAACCAAAUCCUUUGUUCAAGGAUUUUUAUUUGGGGUAUUGAUAACUAUCCACCAAAAGAGUGAACACUUGGAUGCUGCUCAAGGAUCUCUAAUCAAUAGCUGGAAGCAACUGAGAAGGCGGUCGCUGCUGUUUACAAAGUGAUGCAGUAUUUGCCAUUCAUCUUAAUAAUUAUGAAGCUUUGGUAAAAUUUUCAAACAAAAUUGAACAUGUUGUUUGAGAUUUGGUUCAUGAUUUUGGAUGAAUAUCGUUGUUCCGUUUGAGUUGGAUGUGAAUUCAAAAUCUAUAUAUUCUUUGGUUUUCAAGUCUGAACUCAAUUUCUUUUUCUCAAGCAUGUUAUGCAGAAAUGAUUUUUACUAAAUCAUUUUUGAUGAAUUGUUUAAAUUAAACACUUGGAAUAAGAAUUGUAAACGUUUAUCAUAAGCAUGCUAAUAUGAUAAAUUGUUUUAUGAACGACUAAUUAAUUAAUCAAUUAAUAUUAAAUUAUAUAUUAAUCAAUUAGAUAUGCGUUACAUGUCAUGUUUAAAAACUAUUUAUUUAUAUUUCAAACAAAUUUGACUGGAUGUUGUGUAGGUAAUACUACAUAAUUUCAAAACAAAAAAAAGUAAUAAAAACACGUUAAAUUUUGUUUUUAUGAAGAAAAAUUUAAAAUUUUAUUAAAUAGGUGAAAAUAAUAAAUGGAUUCGUGUAUGGUUUGAGAUUCUUGACAUAAUUAUGAAAUAAGCCGGAUUCGACUUAGUUCAAUUUUGACGCGAUAAGAAGACGACACCACACAAACACACGACAAGAACCGUUACCUGAGAAGAUUGCCAUCAGGAAUUUUGAAAUUGAUUUCACUACAAUAUCUUAAUCUUUCAGAUACUCCCAUCACUGAGCUGCCAUAAGAGCUAAAAGCCUUGGUAAAUCUUAAGUGUUUGAACUGUACACAAAUUAUCUCUCUACAAUUCAAAAACAACUGAUUUGUUACUUUUCAAUGCUACAUGUUCUGCGAAUAUUGAGUUGUGGUUAUCUUGUUGAAAUAUCAGAAAAUAGAGUUCUAUUUGGUGGUAGUGAAUUGUUGGUUGGGGAGUUACCUAGUUUAAAACGUUUAAAUGUAUUAAGCAUCACCUUACAAGGUUUUUCUGCUGUCCAAAAACUUAUGAGCUCUCAAAAGUUUCAAAGCUGUACAAAAUGUUUGGAGCUUAUAGACUGUGAUGAUUCAAAGUCUUUUGCCUUGGCAGAGUUGAAGCAUCUCGAGAAACUAGUUUUUCGAAUUGUGGAAGAGUUUAAGUUCUGCUGUGUUGAAGUUGGAAAAGCUCAAGAAUGUUUUCGUUUGAACAGCUUUCCCCGAGGUAAUAUAAAGGCUUGUCAUAAAUUGAGGGACGUGACAUGGCUUGUAUUUGCUCCAAAUCUUACGGUUAUUCAAUAGAAAAAUAUAUGCAGAUGGAAGUAAUAAUCAGUGCAAGGAAAUUGGGUGAAGUUCCAGGGAUGAUGGCAGAUCUAAACCCUUUUGCAAAACUCCAGUAUCUUCGUCUGCGAGUUCUACCAAAAUUAAAAAGCGUCUAUUGGAAUGAGUCACCCUUUCCACAUGUCAGGGAAAUUAUUGUAUCUGAAUGCCCAAUUCUCAAGAAGCUUUCACUCGGUUUUAACAAUGCAAAGGAAUCUAAAAUUGUCAUUUAUUACAUGUUUAUAUCUAACUUUUGUUUUCCUUUAUGGUUAAAUUUUACUUUAUAUAUGUUGUUAUACGGUGACAUUCUCGCAUCAAUUGUUAGCUUUUUAAUUCUCUUCUCCCAUUAAUUGCCCUUCUGAUCAUGUAAGAUAUGCCGAUGUCAAAGAGUAGUAAGUUGGGAUACAAAUGUAAGAAUUAACCAGAUGACAUGUUGUUUUGAAGCUCUCGGAGAAGGACUAAUUAUGUCAUUCAAAGCAUCCAAUUUCGCUACUUUUUUUUUCAUUUGUUGCUUUUUCUAUUUUUAGAGAGCUUGAUUGUCAGUUGUCGUAAUGUAAUGUUUUAGUGUAGAAAAAUGAUAUUCGGCCAAGACAUCAAUAGGAGGGCACAUUGUGCAUGCACACUAGUGGAUGAUUUCGGCAUGCCGAAUCCAAUUAGUGUGGAUAACCCUUUAUAAGCAAUUGGCUUCUCUCAUACCAGAGCAAUGUAGAAUAUAUUUAUAAACUGUGGAUUACUCUUUAUUAGGCUUCUUCUAUACUCGAGCAAUGUGGAAUACCUUUAUAAGCAAUAAGCUUCUCCCCUACACUUUAUGUUAAUAAUAAUAAUAAUAAAAUAAAUCCAUUUUAAAAUAGACUUUUUUUUUCUUUUUCUAUAUAAACAAAAUGCAUUCUUCAAAUCAAUAGUGGGUGGAAGAAGUGAGUAGAGAAGAACUAGUCCCCUUUCAUUCCCCUAAAACCUCACCGAAACCUCUCUUGUGAACUUCUCAGAUUCUCUCUCAAUAUUUCUUAUGAUCUCGUUUUUGAUAGAAUCACUUCUUUUGCAUGUUGCAUUUGGUGUGUCUUUUUUGGGUAAUAUCUUAUCUGGAAUGCUGUCAUGAUCAAUAGAACAAGUAAUCAAUUUUUGGCUUGACGGAAGUCGAUUUAUUUAUUUACUAUUAUUUUUAUUUGAAAUUUUGUACAAUUGUGUUUCAUUCAUUUCUUUCCUUUUUUUUUAAUAUUUAUUAUGUAUAAUUGUGUUUCAUUUGAUAUUGAUCAUACUCUAGAUAACUAUGUGAUUGUAGCUGGGGAUUUUAAGUUUUGUGAAUUCAAGAAACUGUCAAAAUGCUAGUGAAAUUGGGACCUUUAUUCAUAAGCUUGUGGUUUUGAAAAGUAGCCCGGUUCAACUGAUGAAGUUCCUUUUUGGGAUUCUUUUUUUUCCUAGGCUGCAAUUCGGAUAUGUACCUGAUAGACAAUCUUUUGUGGGUUUAGCAUAUCUUCUCGGAUUUUGUCUUUUAUUCCUCGAUUUUAUAAUUACACACCAUGAAUGUUGAGUGAUUGUAUAGAAAAUUUGUGUUAUAACCAAAGCAUUGUGAAGGAGUUAAGUUAGUGGCUUCUGUUUUAUUGGCAUUGAUUGGGUAGAUUACGUGUUACAGUGAUUCAAUUUGUGAUCCAAACUUUGUUUAAAUUUCUGUUUUCCCAAAUUAUUUAUGUCAAAUUCAAAACCAGAAGCAUGUGCUGAUUUUUUCUUUUUGUAUUAAUCUGUGAAGUUUAUUUGGAAAGGAAGUAUCUGGGUCUAAUGGAUUAAAUUAUGUAAGUGGCAGAAAUUCCUACACACAUAAAUAUGCAUAAAUACAAAAGUAUACACAAAAAAAUGCACACACUCAUACAUCCAGUCAAUAUAGUUAAUGUAAGAGCACAUACCGGUUUGGUUAUCUUGCUGCAAGUGCACCGCAUUAGCCUUGCAUUCUGGUGCCAACUCCUCCGGCGGUUCACUCACUACCUUUCCCAAUGCUUUGGACCUCCAUUCGGUCUCCAUCAGAUUUCUCAGGAGCACUAAAUAAAGCAGCUAAAACUUGCUUCUGUAGUUCAUUUCUGUCUUUCGGGUGUCUAGGCAAUUUUCCUUCGUCGGUAUUUCGAUCUUCCUUUACAUGACUGAGGAAAUACAGUCAAAAGCUAAUCAAGUAACCAUAUAUGGAUGAGAAAUCCCUCCACCCCCCUUCCAAAACAAAUUCUAAGAAAUAUCAGAAUUCUUUCAAUAAAAACCCUUCCCCCCAUGCUGUGCCUGCUGAAUGAAAUAUAUUAAUCUUACGAGAAGUUGAGAAAAUAAAUUAAAGAACAUACCCUCCGGAAGAAUUCAAUUGUUGCAAUUUUCUUUCACGUGGAGGUCCUCCAAAGUUAGAGCACAUAUCCGUACACUGUUUAUGAAAUCAUAAUAACAGGGGACCAGAUAUUAAUAACAAAUCUUGACACCUAAAAGUCAACUGUGAUGAAAAACAUUAAAAAGAAUAUGAACUUGUUAUCUUGGAAGAAGAUAAUUUAAGAUAUAGCAAACUUGGCACAUUCAUAUAUGAACAGAAGGAAUUUGUAGACGUUUUAAAGCCAUAAUCGUUUAAUAAUCAUGAACCAAGCAAUAAUAGAUGAUUAUUAUGUUGGGUGCAAGCGGAAGUGCAGAAAAAUUUUUAUUUAAGAUCAGAGUAUUUUGCUGGAAAUUUCUGAAACUUUAUUGCUUAAUUCAUUUUUUCGUUUCUCUCUUACUUUUCAUACAACCAGAGUUCUAUAUUUAUAUGCAUUAUAGACAACUCUAGAGAUUACAUUAAUCAUGCUUUACAUUUCCAAAGCCACAUUGCAAACAUCAAUUCUACCCUUUACUUCACGUUGAAAAACAAACCAAAUAAUCCUUCAAACUUCUUGCUCAAUUUACUAGAUUACUAAUUAUAUCUCAACACCCCCUCUUAAUUAGUAAUCUUCAAUUGCUUCUUGAAUUUUUCAAACUUCUCAAUAAUGAUUGCUUUGGUCAGAAAAUCUGCUGGCUGCUCAUUAGUGCUGAUAAACUCCAUAUUAACUUCUCCUUUGCUUACUAAGUCACGGAUGUAGUGAUAACGCAGCUCAAUGUGCUUAGAUUUAGCAUGAAAUACGAGGUUCUUUGUUAGAGCAAUGGCUGACAUGUUGUCACAAUAAAUUGUUGUUGCAGCAUCUUGAUUGAACUGCAAAUCCUUGAGAAUUCUUCUAAGCCAAACGGCUUCACAAGCUGAUUCAGUUGCUGCAAUGUACUCUGCCUCGGCUGAGGAUAAAGCUACUGACUUCUGCUUCCUUGAGCUCCAUGAAAUCACAUUUGUACCAAGACAAAAUAAAUAACCUGAUGUGCUUUUUCUGUCAUCAAGGGAACCAGCCCAGUCACUGUCAGUAAAACCAACAAGCUUGCAAUUGUCUUCUUUUUCAUACAUGAUCCCCUGCUUUUUUGUUCCUUGAAGAUACCUUAAGAUUCUCUUUGCUGCAAUAUAAUGGGACUUCCUUGGAUCAUUCAUAAAUCUAGAAAGAACACUAACUGAGUGCAAAAUGUCAGGUCUUGAGUUGGUUAGAUAAAUCAACGAACCAACCAAGCUUCUAUAGAUUCUUGCGUCAGCCUUUUCUUCUUUUUCAUCAUGUUUCAAUUUUUCAUUCAAACCCAUAGGAGUAGGUGCUGGUUUGCAUUUGAACAUGUGGAAUUUCUUCAACAAAUCUUCUACGUAUUUUUCUUGACAAAAGAAGAUUUUUCCUCUGGCUUGCUUCACUUGAAUGCCAAGAAAAUACUUCAUUAAGCCCAAGUCAGUCAUCUCAAAUUCAUCUAGCAUGCUUUUUUUAAACUCUUCCACCAUUUUCAGAUUAGUGCCACAAUAAAUUAGAUCAUCAACAUAAAGGCAAACAAUAAGGAAAUCAGUACCUUCCUUUUUGACAUAAAGAGAAGGUUCACUUGAGCUUCUGUCAAAUCCAUUUUUAACGAAAUAUCUAUCAAUUCUGCUAUUCCACGCUCGAGGGGCUUGCUUCAAGCCAUACAAGGCUUUUCGGAGUUGAUAAACUUUGUUUUCUUCACCUUUCACUUCAUAUCCUUUAGGUUGCUCAACAUAAACCUCUUCUUCAAUUUCACCAUUUAGAAAUGCCGAUUUUACAUCUAGUUGAAACACAUGUAAUUCCAUUUGGGCUGCCAAGGCAAGAACAGUUCGAAUAGUCUCCAUUCGAGCUACGGGAGCAAACGUUUCUGUAAAAUCAACUCCAGGCAGCUGAGAGUAUCCUUUGGCAACGAGCCGCGCCUUAUAUUUUUUAACUGAACCAUCUUCAUUGUACUUGAUUUUGAAGAUCCAUUUCAGCCCAAUUGUUUCUUUUCCAUUUGGCAAAUUAACCAUCUCCCAAGUUUUAUUUUUCACAAUGGUGGCCAUUUCCUCGUUCAUUGCUUGGAUCCAAUUUUCAUUUCUUGAGGCCUCCUCAAAGUCUUGAGGCUCACAAGAAAAUAAAGCAAGUUCACAUGACUCAUAAAUUUCUCUCAUUGACUUUAUCUUCCUUGGAGGGCUUUCAUCAUCCGAAGAACUUUCUGCUGCUGAAUUUGGAGAAUUUGGUUCCAAAUUAUUUUGCUGUGAAGAAUUUGGUGGAGAUACAGGAGCUUCGAAAAAGCUAGAUGCUUGAGAUUGAUCUUUUUCCCACUGCCAAGCUGAUGCCUCAUCAAAUACAACAUCUCUUGAGAUAACAAGCUUAUUUGUUGUAGGAUUCAACAACCGAUACCCUUUAGACUCAUCACUAUAGCCAAUAAACAAAUAUUUUUCACCUUUUUCAUCAAACUUCUCUCUGUUUUGAGCUAGAAUAAGAGCAUAAGCAAUACUCCCAAAAAUCUUCAAGUGAUCAACAGUUGGCUUUCGGUUGUGCCAAGCUUCAAAUGGAGUUUUGUCUCUAACAGCUUUUGUAGGAGACCUGUUGAGGAUGUACACAGCUGUAUGACAUGCUUCUGCCCAUAAGUUGUUAGGAAUGCCUUUGCCUUUUAACAUGCUUCUUGCCAUCUCUACAAUGGUACGGUUCUUCCGUUCUGCAACUCCGUUUUGUUGUGGACUUCGGCUGACAGUAAGUUGUCUUUGAAUUCCAUUAUCCCUGCAAUAAUUCAUGAAUGGAGUGUAGAUAAAUUCACCACCACGAUCAGUUCUCAAGGUCUUCAUUUUGCAUCCACUUUGCCUUUCUGCAAGAGCUUUAAACUGAAGAAAAGUUGAGAAAGCUUCUGAUUUUUCAUUCAAAAAAUAAAUCCACAUCAUCCUUGUAUAGUCAUCAACAAAAAGAAUGAAAUAUCUCCUGUUAUUGAGAGAGAGAGUCCUUGUAGGACCACAAAUAUCAGCAUGCACCAACUCCAACGGAGCUUUGGCUCUCCAUGAAUUUUUAGGAAAUGGAAGUCUAUGCAUUUUUCCAUAUAUACAGCCCUCGCAAACUUUUUCAUAUCUUCCAACAUCAGGUAAGCCAAUCACCAUGUUCUUUUGCUUGAGCAAAUUCAGCCCUUUAUAGUUUAAAUGACCAUAUCUGAGAUGCCAUAAAUUUGACAAAUCUGAAUUUUCAGUUUUGAGAGCAACAUUCUCAUCAAGUGGCAUAACAAGAGGAAAAACUUUGUUCUUUGACAUUUCAACAACGGCCACUGUAUGAUUAUUAGUUUUAUCAAUGAUUUUGCAUUUUUCAUCAUCAAAAUAAAUUGAAAAACCCUUUUGAAUUAGCUGCCCCACACUCAAGAGGUUUUGAGUUAAAUUUGGAACAUAAAGAACGUCAUAAAUGAGCUUUUUGUUACCUCCCUUUGUAUGGACAGCAAUAGUGCCUUUUCCCACAGCUUUCUGCAUCUUUCCAUCUCCAAGCUUCACUUGCGAAUUAAAACUUUGGUCAAGGUUGAUGAAAAUGUCACGUUCUCCAGUCAUGUGGUUGCUACAACCGCUAUCCAAGUACCACAAAUUAUAUGAUUCACGUUCAGCACCUUUACUUGAAUAAAACAAGUAAUCUCCAUCACAUUCUUUUGUAAAAUUUGCCUCAUUUUUGCCUUUCUUAUUUUGAUACCAGCAAUCCCUUUGAGAAUGGUUAGGAAUGCGACACCUUGUGCAUUUAUAACGACAAUCUUUUGAUUCAUGAUUAGACCGAUUACAAAUGAUGCACUGAGAAUCUGAAUUUUGCUGUGAAUUCCCUCUGUCAUUUUUCCACUUGUUGCGGUUGUCGUUCUGUUCUCUUUGCCCUAUGCCACGCUGCUCGUUUCUUUGAGACGAGCCUCCGUUCUUCUGGUCUUUCUUGCUGCUUUUAUUCUGAUCUGAAUUAUUAAUCUUUGACUGAAAAGCUUGCUCUGUAGGCUGACUUGAAGGUCGAUUGAUUCUUUGCUCAUGAGACCGUAAUGAUCCUGACAAAUCUGAAAAAGUCAUCUUGGACAAAUCCUUUGAUUCUUCAAUGGCUGCUGCUACAUGAUCAAACUUUGGAGGAAGACAUCUCAGCACCUUUUCAUUCACCUUCUUGUCUUCAAUGGAGUCCCCACAACCUUUAAUCUGGUUCACAAUCUCAGUAACUCUACUGCAAAAAUCCUGAAUUCCUUCUCUGUCUUUCAUUGAUAAAUUAUCGAACUCUUUCCACAAAGUCUGUAACUUGAUGGUGACUGCCUUUUCAGAACCUUGAAAUUCUUGUUUUAGGAUUUUCCAAGCAUUUUUGGCCUUUUUGACACCAAAUAUUCUGGGGAAAAUUGACUUACUAACACCUUGCUGGAUAUAUCGAAGUGUCGUGGCAUUUCUCUGUAUGUUUUCUUUGUACUGCUGUUGAUGUGCUGGAGUCCAAUCUGAAGAACUUGCAGAUUCUGGUGGUUCAGCAUAUCCAUCUUCAACAACAUCCCAUAAAUUUUGAGAGAGGAAAAAGGUUUCCAUUUGAUUACUCCAAUAUUCAUAAUGUACCCCUUCAAAUAUUGGAACUUGACUGGGAGCAUAUGAGAAUAAUGUGGGUAGGGUAUUUGAUGUCAUUUUGAGGGUGUUUUGGAAAAGCUCUGAUACCAAAUUUGUUGGGUGCAAGCGGAAGUGCAGAAAAAUUUUUAUUUAAGAACAGAGUAUUUUGCUGGAAAUUUCUGAAACUUUAUUGCUUAAUUCAUUUUUUCGUUUCUCUCUUACUUUUCAUACAACCAGAGUUCUAUAUUUAUAUGCAUUAUAGACAACUCUAGAGAUUACAUUAAUCAUGCUUUACAUUUCCAAAGCCACAUUGCAAACAUCAAUUCUACCCUUUACUUUACGUUGAAAAACAAACCAAAUAACCCUUCAAACUUCUUGCUCAAUUUACUAGAUUACUAAUUAUAUCUCAACAUAUUAUUCCGUUUCUUCUAAGCUACGCAUACUUGCACAUCAGAAUAAAGUGAUAUACAAUGGUUGUGUGCAGACACAAACGCAUGAUCAACAGGAAAAAUCAUCUGAACAUUUGUAUUACUGAUUUGGCAUAUAAGAUUCUCAUAAUAGUUCAAAAUACAAAUAAAUGAAUAUAUAUAUAUUCCCCACCGGAAUCACCCCCUGGAUCCUCACUCAAGGUGUCUUCCGAGCCAGAAGAUCCCUCCUCACCACUAUUUCCGCUCGUGGAGGUUGUUUGGGGGGACAUCCUCCUAGCGCUAGUCCCAACACUAGACCUAAUGGGUUCUAAGGGGAUCCCGGGGUCAAAAGCAGGAUCGGUGAGCAGACUAGACAAGAAACCUAAUUCGUCGUCAUCAAUCUCAACGAUUUUCUCUUUACCCUUCGACAUUCCCUAAACUAUAAUCAGAACACCACCACCAACUACAACCCCAAGCAAAGCACAGAGAAAAGAAAUUAUCUACAACUAACCAAGACCGAGAAAAUAGAAGAAAUACCUGAAGCAGGGAUUCGAUCAGAGAGAGAUAGGGAUGAAAGCUUUAAUGCCGAGGUUCAUUCGCCGGAGAGACAAGAAGGGAGAAAAUGACGAGUUCGUGUUUGAGGAUUUUGGGUUUUCUUACUGAGAAGCAAACUCUUGGGCUGCCAGCAUUUAAUGACACAUAUUCCGAGAAUCUUGCAACCGUAGGUUUGAAAUUCAAAUGGAGGGGUGGAUUUCUGCCACAUCACUUCAUCUGCAAUUAAAUGCGACACGACUCUUGGCAGUCUUUUCCAGUCCCACGCGAGCAAGAACCGAUUGAGUUUCUACUGCUGGUCCAUUACAUUACCCAACACCAGAAACUGGGGGACUGGUGUUUGAGGGAAAUACUUCGACGAGACCAGACGUGAUGAGCAGAUAUUUGAUGGCAGAGUUCUGCAAACAGGUGUGUCUUGUAAGAGCCAGGUAGCAGGGGAACAGGAGUAGGAAUAUUCUGCUCGUCCACGAAUAUGCCAUUCACGAGGUCAAACUCCUGUUAGAGGCAUAAGGCCAUUCCUGCUAGAGGUCGAGAAGCGAGGAGACCCGGUCAACGACAGUUGGCAAGACGUGCAUUCCUAUCCGAGAAUCAAGGCACAAAGUCCAUCUCCAUUCGCCCACAAUGGCGAUAAUGGGGCAUCCAUAUCCCGGGGGGGGGAGAAUAAGGGGCGUGGACUACGGAAGAUCGGGAUUCAGAGGAAGCUUAUAAAAAGGUAGCCAACGAAGGUAAAAGGGUUAGAAUUUUUGAGAUUGCAACUAAGAAAAGAGAGCUCUAAGAACUGAAACUAAAGAGAAGCCAUAAGAUUCGUGGCAAACAUUCCCAGAACCUUCAUAUCUGACUUGAGCGUCGGAGGAUUUACGCCGGGAAAACGACCGGCGCACCCUGACCUGCUUUUGUGUUCGCAUGAAUUUUUGGGGAAGAAACCUUACGAGGAGAGAUCCUGGUCAUGGUAGAGUUGGUCGAGCAGAGGUCCUGGUCUUGGUAGAGAAGGCAACCAGAAUCUCGCAUCAACAAUUAUUUUACUUGAAAUUAUGUACAAUUGCAUUUCAUUCAUUUCUCUCUCUCUUUUUCUUUUUUCCCCCCAUAUAUUUUUUAUGUAUAAUUGCGUUUCAUUUAAUAUUGAUCAUACUGUAGGUAACCAUGUGAUUGUAGAUGGGGAUUUCAAGUUUGUUGAAUAUUCAUGUAAGUGAAGUAACCGUCACAAUACUAGUGAAAUUGGGAGCUUUAUUCAUGAGUUUGUGGUUUUGAAAAGUACCACAGUUCAGCUGAUGAAGGCUUCUUUUUGGGAUUCUUCUUUUCCUAGGCUGCAAUUAGGAUAUGUACAUGAUAGACAAUCUUUUGUUGGUUUGGCAUAUCUUCGCUGAUUUUGUCUUUUAUUCCCCAAUUUUAUAAUUACACACCAUGAAUGUUGGGUGAUUGCAUAGAAAAUUUGUGUUAUAACAAAAACAUUGUGAAGGAGUUUCUGUGCUAAUAGUUAGUGGCUUCUGUUUUAUUGGCAUUGAUUGGGUAGAUUACGUGUUACAGUGAUUCAAUUUGUGUUCCAAACUUUGCUUUAAUUUUCUGUUUUCCCCAACUAUUUAUGUCAAAUUUAAAUCCAGAAGCAUGUACUGAUUUUUUCUUUUUGUAUUAAUUUGUGAAGUUUAUUUGGAAUGGAAGUAACUGGGUCGGGUCUAAUGGAUUAAAUUAUGACAUUGAGGGGAAGGCACUAAAAGGGUUUGCUUGACACAUUUGGUUCUGUGUCUGCAAGAAAUAGCUUUUGCUUAUUGCAAUGCAGGGGGAAAUCCCGAUUUGGCUGGUGAAUUUCUCUGCAACAAACGGGCAAACACCUUGACUUCUUCUGUCCAUACUUCUGCUGGGGAGGCAAGGGGUAAAGAGUCUUCAAAAUCAUCAAAUAGUAACAUCUCUGAGAAUUCAUUUUAUGGAAAUGGAAAAUCUAGAGCUUCUAAUACAAAAUGGUAUCUGGUAUCAGGACGUACCGUUUCAAGUUUUCUUGGUAAAGAUUAUGUUAAACCUGCACAGCCAGCUAAUGGCACUUUUCUGGCAUCAAAGCCAUUGAAGUUGGAUCCAAGGGAGUUUCGCAUUUCUGCACUUUCAGAGAAGAAACUAAACCGAAACAAUCAAAGGAUGACCAUUUGCAGAAGGAUAUGGAAGAUUUUCUGUUUAAAUUGCUAGGAGAAGGGUUCCAGCUGUACAGGGAUGUGAUUCAGAUGGUUCAUGGUAACGUCUUAAAUAUAUUGAUGCCAAUUUAAUACAUAUUGUCCUUUUCAAUGUUCUUUCUUUCUUUCUCCUCUUUUUAUUCUUCUUCUUCUUCUUUUUUCUUUUCAUGUGCAUCUGAUCACUAAUUUGGUAUUAUUCUUAACUUGCAGAUAGUUGUGGAUAUGAUAUGCAAAAAGGUAAGGACUAUAUCUUCUUGAUGGAGGCCUCUGAUUUUUUAAAUCGCAUUUUCCUUUGUGAUUGAUAUAUCAUACCAAAGUCAAGUCUUAAAUACUGCUGUCAUAUGUUAAGGUUCAACUUCCAUUUUGAUUAACGUCGAUUUGCUACUGCUUCCAAAAGUGAGAAUGAGAUACUUUGGUUAAUUUCAGUAGUUGAACCCAAUAGAGUACUUUAUUUAGAUCUUCAUGGUUCAAAGGCCUGAAAAAACUUGCCGGUGUUUGCAAAAUGACAUUCUGUGCUUUUAUUUAGACUUAUUAUUAAAGACAACAUUUUGUUUCAGCCAAAAAUGUUUGUUUCGAUUAAAGACUGAUUUUAUAUUUCUAUUUUGUAACUUGAAAUAAUUGGUCUGCCUGUUUCUGUUGCUUGAUAACAUGAAUUUUUCCUUCUGAAGUUAAUUUGAUCAAUAAAGUAAUUCUUCGGAGAGGAUAUGCCCAUUCUAUAGUCAUUUUCUUAGCUAACAUGUUUUUUCUUCACUCUUCAGAGCAUGUCUAAACUAAUUGAUCGCUCAGCGGAGACUUUGGGUGAGAAGACAAAAUUUCUUGGUAAAUCCUCUGAAAAGGUAUGCAUAAUUCCCGAGUAUUAAAUAAUCAUUGGUCAUAAUUUUUGUACACGACUCUUUUUUUGGAGAUCGUUAAAAGUGGUUGAUGAUCUAUUUUGUAAUAUCAUAGAGGGAUCAUGAAUUCCUUUUCUUUUCUGUGGCUAGGCAACACUUUCGAGCCAAGCUAAGGAAAUCUAUUUUAGGUAAUGUGAAAACCAGUUGUAGGAUGUAAUAGUUUAUUAUGCCCUGCCAAUAACUUUUUGUAUAAUUGUCAGUUUAAUGAAUACAAGAGGAACUCUGUUGGCAAGUUCAUCCAUGAUAGAUGCUAAAAUUAUUUAUGCAUACCAGUUGCCUUAACUAAUUUUUCUCAACACUGGUAUUGAACAGGAAAAUGAAUAUGCAAUUUGUAUAUUGUGCCAUUGUGGAGAAUUUGGAUAUUCUUAUUUAAGUAACAAGGAGAGUAUUUGCCUCAUCUUUAAACAAUGAAUCUUUGAGAAAUGAGGAGUGGGUGAUUGGCAGUGUCUUCAUGUAAAUGUUCAUUUAUUUGUAUUUUGAACUAUUAUGAGAAUCUUUGUAUGCCAAAUUAGUAAUACAAAUGUUCAGAUGAUUUUUCCUGUUGAUCAUGCGUGUGUAUCUGCACACAACCAUUGUGUACCACUUUAUUCUGAUGCGCAAAUAUCUGUAGUUUAGAAGAAAAGAAAUAAUAAUCAUAUAUUAUUGCUUGGUUCAUGAUUAUUAAACGAUUAUGGCUUUAGAAAAUCCACAAAUCCUUUGUGUUCAUAUAUGAAUGUGCGAAGUUCGCUAUAUCUUAGAUUACCUUCUUCCAAGAUAACAAGUUCAUAUAUUUUUUAAUCCUUUUUCAUCACAGUUGAAUUUCAAGUGUAAGUUUUGUUAUUAAUAGCUGGUUUCCUGUUAUUAUGAUUUCAUAAACAGUAAGAGGAUAUGUGCUCUACUUUUGGAGGGCCUCCACAUGAAAGAAAAUUGCAACAAUUGAAUUCUUCCGGAGGGUAUGGUAUUUAAUUUAUUUUCUCAGCUUGUUGUAAGACUAAUAUAUUUCCUUCAGUACGCACGGCAUGGUGGGAAGGGUUUUUAUUGAAACAGUUAUGAUAUUUCUUAGACUUUGUUUUGGAAGGGGGUGGAGGGAUUUCUCAUCCAUAUAUGGUUACUUGAUUAGCUUUUGACUGUAUUGUCUCCGUCGUGCAAAGGAAAAUCCAAAUACUAACGAAGGGGAAUUGCUUAGGCACCCAAAGGACAGAAAUGAAUUACGGAAGGAAGUUUUUGCUGCUUUAUUUAGUGCUGCUGAGAAAUCUGAUGGAUUUCCUGAAAUUACGGUGAAGACGGAGUGGAGGUCCAACGCAUUAGGAAAGGUGGUGAGUGAACCGCCGGAGGAAUUAGUACCAGAACACAAGGCUAAUGUGGUGCACUGGCAGCAAGAUGACCAGACCUGUAUGUGCUCUUAUAUUAACUAUAUUGGCUGGAUUUGUGAGUGUGUACAUUUUUGUGUGUAUACUCACUUUUGGAUUUAUGCAUAUUAACGUGUGUAGGAUUCUCGAUUUCUGCCACUUACUGGAGAACUAGUGGAAAGCUUUAUACUGAUAUAUGUGCUAUAUAACUAAUGGAAACUACAAUAUGAAUAUUUUCUCUCACCUGGAGAACAGUGUAACUGAUAUAAUUUGUGGCUCUGGAAUACUGAAGAUUCUGCAAUAACUAAUGGAAAAUAUGAUAUGAAUAUUUUUUCUCACCUGGAGAACUUUGUAACAGAUACAUUUUGUGCUGGAAUGUCUAAAGAAUGCUUCAGUUUAGAUCAAAUAUCUUUUAGUUAGAAAAGAUAAAAUUCUCUGAAUCUGAAAGACUGAAACAUUUUGCAUAUUUCGUGAAAGGCAAGUAUCUGUAGAUACUAGCUCAUGCAUUGAGGUAAUAUCAAUGUUAAAGAAAAACAGCAAUAAUUUAUUAUACAGAAUUAGGUUCACUUGCUUUAAAUGCUGGUCUGAUCAACCAUAUCAACCUGUAAUGGUCCUGCAGAAAUAUAUAUACGGGGAGAAACUAGCUAAUUUUCCUUUCACUUAUGGGUUUGGUCUUUUUUUUCCCCUAUUUUUCAGCUUUCCUUCUCCUGAAGUAUGUUAACAAUUGCAGAUAAUGACGAAGAGGACCGCUUCCAGGCUCUUUGUAGAGCUGUGAUGGAAUAUAGGGGCACAAUGAAAGAAUAUUGUAAGGCUGUAUGUACUUUCUCUCAUGUCAUUUAUGUUUUCUCACACAUUUUGUAUAUGCCCUGAACAUGCAGCUUUGUAUGUGUCAAUUGCCUUUUACGUUUUAAAAGCCAUAAAGUAAGAAUACAGUUCCUUGUCAGGCUAUUGAUGCGUUCGCUCAGAAGGGUCAUGUUCAAGCAGGAAAACUUCUAGAACAGGUAAGGUUUCCAUCUACAGCCAUCCAUUGACAGCAGAUAUAUUUUCAUUAAGCAGACACUGUUAGCAUUCAAGAUGCUGGCAGAUUCACUUGAUUCUUAUUAGUUUGUUUAGUGGCAAACCAUAUAACCUGUAUUUCAAAGCCAAGUUGUGCUAUUGAUUAUGUUAACUUUAUUGUUAACAUAAAGUGAUAUGGAGGACAUAAUCAAUGUAGGAAAAUUAGGUGAAGAGAUGAUGUCAAAUCUUGAACCUCUUACAAAGCUCCAAGUUCUUUACUUGAAGAAGCUGCCAAAUUUGAAGAGCGUCUACUGGAAGGCAUUUCCAUUCCCAGAUGUAUGCAGAAUUUUUGUAUUAAUGCCCAGUUCUUAAGAAGCUGCCACUGGAUUUUCAAGGGGCGGGCCAAGGUAAAAUUCUUAUCAAGGGAAAGGAAGAUUGGUGGAAAGAACUUCAAUGGGAGGAUCAAGCAACUCAGAAUGCAUUGCUUCCAUUUUUCAAAUCAACUGACAAGUGAUUGAAGGGGGCAUCAUCAACAUCAUCAACUGGGAUGGAGAGAUUAUGGAGCAGAUCAGCAGGGUUUGUAUAUGAUCUUUGGUGGUUGCUUUCUUUUGUGAUUUUUUUUUUCUCAUUUUUUUCCCUUCCUGUCAUUUUAUCAUUUCUUUGUCUCGUUUUCUAUUGCUGAUGUUAGUGUAUGCUUACUGUUGCUUGACAAAGUUUGCUUGCUUCUUGUUUAUUAAUUUUUUUAUGGUCACAAAAUAUUACUUGUUCUAUUUGAGAGUGAUGUGAAUCAAUUUUCAAUUAUAUAUUUUAUGGUCAAUGUGAAUUCAAUUUCAUUUGUCUCCUGCAAUUAUUUAAAAAAUGCAGAGUCAUAAUAUGGAAAAGUCGACCGGCAAAAACUUUGUGAAAGCUUCGGAGUGAAACAGGGAAUUCACUUACUAACAGGGAAUUCACUUACUACUAAGGACAAUUGGUGGCGAGCUAUUCCAUUCAUUUUAUGUCCAUACAUCUAUUUAAUUAUUAAAGAUAAGUGGUCCAUUUGUAAAUUUCAGAUUGUGUCUCUCUGAAAAUAACAAUAUUUAAAAUGUCUCUUAAAUUAUUAUAAAUUUUAAUUCACUCUCGAUUUAAAAUGGAACAUGCUGAUGAAAUUUUUUUUCUUCUUAAUAAAAUUGAAAUAAAUUGUGUUUGCAGUAGUUUGAAAUAUUUUAAAGAUUAUUAUUUUAUAAGGGAGUAAUAUGAAAUGAAAUUUACUUUUCAUGCGUGAAAUGUUGAAAAAGGACACAGCAAGUGUCCCUGCUUUUAUUUUAUUUCAAAGUGGAGUCAUCUCACAUACUUUAACUCUAUCGUUACAAUUUUUCAGGUUACAUUUUUAUUUAUUUAUUUAUUUUCUUUUUUACACAUGCAUGUGGGUUACUUUUCCGUAAGCUCCUUAAUAUAUAUAUUUAACACAAAUCAUGGAAGAGAUGGGAGUAUAUCAAGAUGAUCAAAGCAUGAAACAAAAAUAUUUAAGAAGUAAAACACUGAAAAUAGAGAAGAGAUGCAAGCAAAAGAUAUUCCAAAGAAAAGCAAUCUAUCUCCUUUCGAAGAAUGUUAUGGAAGAGUUGAACCCAGCGAAGAAUGUUAUGGAAGAGCAAAUUAAUGAUAUUUUUGAUAGAGUCUAUUUGAUUAUGUAGCCUGAAUAGAUGUCUUGUUGAAAGAUAUCUCAGUGCAUUAGUUCAUCCUUGACUGUCAAUGUGUUUUUAAUGGUUUUUCCAAAUUUUUAUUAUUAUAGAUUGAUUGUAAAUUUGAUAUGAAUUUAAUGUUGAAAUGUUUUCUCUUUAGUGGAAUGAAUUUAAAAGUGCAAAAGCUUAUUGCACACAGAGAAAUAAACAUAUAUGCUUUAUAACUUUAGCAAUCGAUUCUUUUACAGCUGGAAACAGAGAUGAUGAUUAUCAUAGGGGUGAAGAAAAGGACAAAAAAUGUUAAUGGUUAACGAAAUUUCUAUGCAAAUUGAUUUUAGCAGGAAAAAAGUGAGCUAAAUGAUCUUAAUGUUCCACAAGAAAAAGCAAGAUCUUAAUGUUCCACAAAAGCGUUAUUUAUUUUUUUUUGGUGAGCCACGUGGAGCUCAAUUAUCAUUGUCUUUACUUUAAAAACGUUAUUUUAUUUUCUUUUAUUACAAAUUAAUGCUAACAAGAAAAAGCAAGAUAUAAUAUUCCACAAAAGCAAAUCGUAAUAUUCCACAGAGGAGUAAGAUCCACAAAAGCAAACAACUAGCUGGAUUCUUUUAUUGAACUACAAAUUAAAACAACAAAUUAAAGUUCAAAUAUUUAAAUAGUAGUGCGUUAGACGAUUAGGCUCUUUUAUUAAAGGGAAGUAUAAAGUAGUCCAGAAUCGAACAUCUCUAUUGUCUAGUCUUUUUUUUUUUUUUUAAUUCUUCUUUUAUUAUUUUUCAGAAUAGGUUUUGGUGAUUACUAUUGGGUUAUUAUUGAGAGUUAUUGUUAUCUUCCGGGGCAGUUUCUGUUAAUCGAAAUCGUUAAUUAAAAUUUUAGAACUCUUAUUGGAAGAAUGUUUUUCCGUUAUUUUUUUAUAUUCUAAUUUCAAUUGUAAGAAGUAGUCAUUUUAGAAUUUGGGUCUUGAAUCGAAUUUCAAUGCAUGAAUUAAUAUUUAAAAAAAAAAUUACUACACGCAGUUUAGGUUACAAACUAUUUUUUGCAAAGUUGAUUAUGAAAUUGGAAAAAUUAAGUAAUUUAUAAUGUUUGCAAAGGAAGAGACUAACAUACUUCCAAUUACACUAUAUCUCUAUUAUCAUAAUGUUAAGAUUAAACUAACUUAAAAUAAAUUUUAUUUGAAAAGUUAUAUCAAACGCAGUCUAAUUUUAUUAACUUGAAGAGAUAAUAGUUAUAGAAAUUAUUGUUCUAACUUAAUUAGUACAAGUGGUAUAAAGGUUAAGUGUGCACUAAAUUUGUUUAAAUUUUUUCCAGAAUAACUAACAGAGGUCAUUACUAGAAUUAUAAUUACUAGUCUAUUAGAUAGAAAAAAUUAUUUAUAUUGUUUUAUAUUUAUUAAAAAAUUUUAAAGUCAAUCUUUUUAAUUAUUAUUUAAAGGAUAUUAUAAUUAAAAAAAAUUUAAUGUCUUUAUUAAAAAUUUAAAAAUUUAAAAAUUUAAAAAUUUACAUGACCGCUCUAUAAAUAUUGAAAGUGUAACUGUCAUUUUCUCAUAUAUAUAUAUAUAUAUAUAUAUAUAUAUAUAUAUAAACCACGGUGGUGAAGCUUUAUUUAAUAUUAAUGAUUUAAAUAACAAUAUCUCAAUUAAAAAUGUAGAGAGAAGAAAUUUCGGUGGGUAUAUUAGUCUUUUACAAUUAUCAUGAUUAACCCUUCCUCUUGUAACGUUGGUCAGAAAAGUUUUAAAAUGCCUUGAUUUCUUUUACUUUUAACGUUAGCGGCCUUCCUUAUAUUUUAUUACAAAUUAGUCCUAACAAGAAAAAGCGAGAUCAUAUUCCAAAAAAGCAAAAGUGACAAAAAAACCAGCUGUAUUCUUUUAUUAAACUACAAUUUAAAAUGAUUUUAAAGUGGAUUCUUUUGAAUACAGGUGGGGUAGUCGAAUAGUCUUUUUCAAAUUCUUGUUUUAUUAUUUUUCAAAACUAGUUUUUGGUAAUUACAAUCGGGUCAUUCAUUAGUCAUUAUUCAGAGUUAUUGUUAUCUUCGGGGGCAGUGGGUAAAAGGCUAAAUGAUAAUUACUAAGUGUUUUUCCUUCAAAAGUUAGUGGCUCGUGUUUUGCAAGUGUGUACGUGCGAUGCUCUUUGUCUAAAGGCAAUUACAGUGGGUCCCGAAUCGGACGUGCCUAAUAAAUCUUUUAAAAAUUUUUCUAAUAAAUAUUCCUAAAAUUUCUCUUCCACAGGCAAUUACAGCAGCUUCAGUUAAUCAAACUCAAUCAAUUUUCUUUCUUAACAAAAUUCCAAAGAUGUGUGGCUGUUUUCAGAUCACAUGCGAUGGUACUUUUUUCAAUCGUUGCUUAGAUUGCUUUCUUGGAAAAGCAGCAUACAUACGUAACCUCCAAGAUAACCUCGUUGCCUUGGAGACUGAACUAAGGAAACUAAUCGCAGCAAAGAACGAUGUGAUGACGGCGGUUGUCAAUGCUGAACGGCAACAAAUGAGAAGGCUGGAACGAGUGCAAGUGUGGGUUUCGAGUGUGGAUUCUGUUAAAACUGGAGCCGAUGAACUUAUCACAGACGGCUCUGAAGAAAUUGGCAAAUUAUGUGUUGGAGGCUACUGUUCCAAGAACUGCAGGUCAAGCUACAAGUUCGGAAAACAAGUGGCUGAAAAGCUACAACAUGUGAAGAAUUUAAUCGCCGAGGGAGUUUUUGAGGCGGUGGCCACUGAGGUGGUGCCCGAGAGAGCUCCGGAACCUGUAGCAGAUAAAAGACCCAUUGAGCCAACAAUAGUAGGCUUGCAAUCACAGCUUGAAGAAGUUUGGAGAUGUCUUGCAGAAGAAUCAGUGGGAAUCAUUGGCCUAUAUGGUAUGGGCGGUGUUGGUAAAACCACACUAUUGACCCAUAUCAACAAUAAAUUUCUUGAGAGUCCCACAAACUUUGAUUGUGUGAUUUGGGUCGUAGUUUCAAAAGACCUGCGACUUGAAAAAAUUCAAGAAGAUAUUGGGAAGAAGAUAGGUCUAUCUGAUGAUUCAUGGAAGAAUAAAAGUUUUGAAGAGAAAGCUGUGGACAUCUUGCGGAGAUUAGGAGAGAAGAGAUUUGUAUUGUUGUUAGAUGAUAUAUGGGACCGGGUUGAUUUAACAAAGGUGGGCGUUCCACUUCCCGGACCACAAAAUACUACCUCAAAAGUCGUAUUCACAACCCGUUCCAUCGAUGUUUGUGGCAGCAUGAGAGCUAGGCCGGUUAAAGUGGCAUGCCUAUCAGAAAAGCAAGCUUGGGAACUGUUCCACGAAAAUGUUGGGGAAGAAACUCUUGAGAGUGAUCAUGAGAUCGUUGAGCUAGCCCAAACAGUGGCCAAAGAGUGUGGUGGUUUGCCACUCGCACUUAUUACUAUUGGUCGAGCUAUGGCCUACAGAAAGAAAGCGGAGCAGUGGAGACGUGCAAUUGAAGAGUUAAGAAGAUCAGUUUCAGAGUUUGCAGGUUUGGGAAAAGAGGUGUAUCCUUUUUUAAAGUUCAGCUAUGAUAGUUUGCAGUAUGAUACGGUUAGAUCUUGUUUCUUGUAUUGUUGUUUAUAUCCUGAAGAUUAUGGCAUUCUUAAAUGGGACUUGAUUGAUUGUUGGUUUGGCGAGGGAUUUUUUGGGGAAUCUGACAGGUCUGGUGCAGAAAACCGAGGAUAUGGCAUUUUGGACACUCUUGUUCGUGCAUGUUUAUUAGAAGAGGUGGAAGAUGAUAAAGUAAAAAUGCAUGACGUUAUUCGUGAUAUGGCUAUAUGGAUAGCUUGUGAAAUUGAGAAGGAGAAGAGAAACUUUUUGGUUUGUGCAGGUGCUGGAUUAAAAGAGGCACCGGAUGUUAAAGGAUGGGAAAAUGUGAGAAGAUUGUCAUUGAUGCAAAACCAAAUUAAAACUCUGUCAGAGGUUCCUACAUGCCCUCAUCUCCAUACUCUAUUUCUUGACUUUAAUAAGGAGUUGGAGACGAUCGCGGAUGGCUUCUUCCAAUUUAUGCCUUCUCUCAAAGUUUUGAAGAUGUCAAACUGUGGGCAUGUCAAAGUUUUGAAAUUACCUAUUGGGAUGUCAGAGUUGGGUUCAUCACUAGAACUUCUUGAUAUUUCAAAUACCAACAUAACAGAGUUACCAGAAGAGUUGAAGUUGUUGGUAAAUCUGAAAUGUUUGAAUUUGAGGUGGACAAUUUGUUUAAAUAAAAUUCCAUGGCAACUAAUAUCAAAAUUUCAAGGUUACGUGUGUUGAGAAUGUUCGCUACUGGCUUUGCACGUUUUGAUGCAGCAUCAGAAGACAGCGUUUUAUUUGGUGGGGGUGAAGUUUUAGUACAGGAAUUGGUCGGUCUGAAAUAUUUAGAGGUAUUGGAGUUGACCUUGGGAUGUCAUCAUGCUCUCCAAAUUUUUUUGAGCUCAAAUAAGUUAAAAAGUUGUAUUCGAUCUCUUCUCCUCCAAUUGGCCGGAGAUACAAAGUCGAUUAUUGAUGCUACGGCUUUCGCAGAUCUAAACCACCUCAAUGAAUUAUGGAUUGAUAGGGCUAAGGAGUUGGAAGAAUUGAAGAUUGAUUGUAAAGAAAUAGUACAAAAAAGGCGGGAACCUUUUGUUUUCCGCAGCCUUCACCGUGUUACUAUACAUAGCUGCCAGAAGUUGAAAGAUUUGACAUUCCUCGUUUUUGCUCCAGACCUCAAGUCUCUCGAUCUAGACCGUUGCGAUGCUAUGGAAGAAAUAAUCAGCGUCGGAAAAUUUGCUGAGACUCCUGAGAUGAUGGGACAUAUAAGCCCUUUCGAAAAUCUCCAAACUCUUCAUUUAAGAGCGUUUAACAUCUUUUCUCGACGACCUGCACGAUUGCCUUUCACUCAUCUGAAGGAAAUGGAGGUAAGUGGGUGCGAUCAGCUUAAAAAGCUUCCACUCGAUUCCAACAGUGCAAAAGAGCGUAAAUUUGUUAUUCGUGGAAAAGAAGACUGGUGGAACCGACUUCAAUGGGAGGAUGAAGCCACUCAAAUUGCUUUUCGUUCCUGUUUCCAACCUGAGCGGUUAGUCGCAAAAUUUGAUUUCUGGUGAUUGCGUUUGUCUUUUAACUCUUAUAUAUAUUCUUGUCGUUUGUUUUCUUCUCUGUUUUUAACUCUUAUAUUGCGUUUGUCUUUUGAAAAUCUCCAAUUAAAUGUUGAAUUAAUGGAAUUAAUGCUUCAUAAAUUUGCCGGCACUGCCAUCACUUUUUUUUUUUUUAAUACAAAUUGAUACUUUAUUUAUAUCUUCUUAGCGAUAUAAUUUCCUGUCAAUUGACGAACGAGAAGAACAUACGACUUAAACCAAUUCACGCAUAAACUUGCUGUAAAAAGAUAUAAUCUCACUGAAAUGCACACGUCUAGAAUGAAUAGAAUUAAAACAGGGAAAAUAUUUAAGUAUAUUAGCCCUCUUUACCGAAAAUGAAAUGACAAUAAAUUUUUUGAAAGUUUUGAUUUUCUAUGGUCAAUUCCACCUUUUGCAAUUUCUUCUGUUCUAACAAAAACCAAUUUCUUUGUUCAAGUAUUUUCGUUUGGGUAUUAAUAAUUCUCCACCGAAAGAGUGAACUCUUGCUCAAGGGAUCUCUAAUCAAUAGCCGGAAGGGCGCCGAGACCUGAUCGGACCUAGGCCCAAGUUUGGUCUUAAAGCCUGGGCUUGAGCCUGGCAAUUAAAUUAAAACAUUAAUUGAUUUCUUGAUUGAAUUGUCGUGUAAUUGAUUUAUGGGGGAUGACACAUCAACAUGCUUGAAAACACACUAAUCUCAGCAUCAUCGGUUAAUAACUUUUAGAAUUAUGGGUAAUCAAUAGUUAAGAUUAGUUGUCAUUAAUACUAAAUAUUUUUUUACUAUUUUCGUCUCUUCUAGAGGAUCUUCUAGAAAAAUGCAUCCACAACAAAAUUUAAUACUUUACAUAAUAAACAAAGCAUAAAUGUUAAAUUUAAGAAACUGCAUUGUAUUUCAGCUGAAGUUGACUUUAAUAUUUAGGGUAGAAAAAUAAUAAAUCCUUAAUGUGUUUAAUUUCUAUCACUUGUGUCAUUAAAAUUUUCUAGUCACCCUAACCAAUUACAUCUCAACCCACUUUUUUUUGGAUGAUUUUAUUUUUACACUAUUAUUUUCAUCAUUUUUUUUCCUUUUAACACCAACAUUAGUGUAUGUUACGUAACAUAAUUCAUAUUUGGAUAAUUUGAAAUUUGUUUGUGUUUUAUCUCAAAAUAGAGCUUCAAUCAAUUUGUACCUCAUAAAUUCACAAUAUCUAUGAGGGCUAAUAAGACCAAACUCUGGCAUAUUGUCAAAUGUGCUUAUCCUUUUGCUUGACAUGUCAUUUUAAAAUUGUCAUUCAAUGCCAAAAAAUCACAUCAACUGAUGGCCGACUACUUUAAUUUGAAAGCAUGCAUGCGAUCGCCAAUAAUUAUAACUUAAUUGUUAUUUUGAAAUUUUUUUCUUUAUAAUUUUUAAGUUUAAUACUACUACAUGUGCAGCACAUAAGUUGGAAAAUAUAACAUAAAAUUUGAAAAAUGUGUAGCUUUCGUUCCUUUUUUUUCUUAAAAAUGAGGAAAAAGAAUGUAAUUUUGUUUAAAUUACUGUUGUGAUAACAAUUAUUAUUUUAUUGAUUAAUUGGCAGAGAAUGGUUAUGGUUUCGCAUGGUUGUUAAAACAUUGGAAAAUCCACUACAUCAUCCGUUAAUAACUUUCAGAUUUAUGGUUAAUCAAUAGUUGAGAUUUGUUAUCAUUAAUGUUAAAUAUUUUUUUAAUAUUUUUUCUCUCUCCUAGAGGAUCAUCACAGCAAAAAUUUAAUAUUAUAAAUAGUAAACAAAAUAUAAACAGUUAAAUCUAAGAAACUGCAUUGCAUUUCAGCUGAAGCUAACUUUAAUAUUUAAUGGAGAAAAAUAAUUAAGUCCUUAAUGUACUUUAUUUACCCAUACUGAUACGCUCUUAAUUCGUGAAACUGAGCAACAUCAAAAUUAUCACUACUUCGAGCGAGUGUUUGCUCCAGAAGAAAGAACUGGAAGUUGAGAAAUGAGAAAGAAGAAAAGAAGAAGAGUCACAGCGAGGAAUAAAAGUGGUCCAUUCAUUUCAUGCCUUCCCAAAAUGACAAAAUCCCGCAAUAUAUAACAGACAAUCGAAAAUAACCAAUUUGACAACGCAACAGAAAAUGACAAAAAAGAAUCCAAAACAAACGUAGCCAAUCACAAUGCUUUUACAGAUCAUCCUAAACGACGUAGUCUCGUAGCCAAUCUAGAAGUUUCUUGUUUCGUUUGGGCCGUUGAUUCUCUUGCACUGGCUCAUGGUGAAUGUCCUCUUUGGGUUGACUGACUGUGGGUUCUCGGUUGAGCUCUUCCACUUGCGCCCCCUCUAAUGGCUCUAAUUUGAUAUAUAAAUUCGUAUCAUUCCCUCCUGCUUGAAAACACACAUUGUCCUCAAGGUGAAAUGCUGGAUAGAGCUUACAAAAGGCGUCAAAGUUUUCCCAAGACGAAUUCUUCGGUGAACUGACGGUCCAUUGAACUAACACUUGAAGCGUUGGCUUCCCCUGUUGCAAAACUAUUCGGGUUGCACAAAUGGCAGCCGGUAGCAAAAGAGGAUGGUUAUCCACACUCAACUCUGGUAAAGGAUGUGAAAUAGCAGGGUCGUUGCCAUGAUAAUGCUUAAGGACAGAGAUGUGAAAAACCGAGUGGAUUUUGGAAGUAUUGGGUAACUCCAAUUUGUAAGCUACAUACCCCACUCUAGCAAGUACCGUAAAUGGCCCGUAGUAUCACUUGGCCAACUUCUGACAGGCGCGAGAAGCUAUAGUGGUCUGUCGAUAUGGCUGUAAUUUAACCAGCACUUUAUCCCCUACUUCAAAGUGAGCUUCACGGCGAUGGGCAUUAGCUUUCUGAGCCAUUCGAUGUUGUGCUUGCCUCAAAUUAGCUUUUAAAGAUUGGAGAAGAGUAUUACGUUCAAGGAGAAUGUCCUCCAAAGUUUGGAUUGAAGUAGAGCCCUUAGCAUAAUGAGGAAUAGUUGGAGGCAAUCGGCCAAAUAAAGCUUGAUAGGGAGACAUCUUCAAGCCACUGUGGAAAUGAGAAUUAUAACUAAAUUCUGCCCAACUCAGUAAGGAAACCCACUUCCGUGGUUUGUCUUGAGUGAAAGCUCGUAAAUAUUGCUCCAAUCCUCAAUUUACCACUUCCGUUUGACCAUCCGUUUGAGGGUGGUAUGCCGUGCUAUGACGAAGAGUUGUGCCACUUAAGAGGAAUAAUUGUUUUCAAAAAUUGCUCAAGAACACUGGGUCUCGAUCGGAGAUAAUUGAACUUGGAAAACCAUGUAUUUUAAUGACCAUGUCCACAAAGAGUUCAGCUGUCUUGAGGGCAGUAAAUUGACAGGGUAACGGACCAAAAUGGGCAAAUUUUGUAAGACGAUUGACAACAACCAAUAUGACCGAGAAACCUUGUGCUAACGAAAGACCUAUAACGAAAUCCAUUGUGACCUCAUCCCAAACCAUAUUAGGUAUCGGCAAUGGUUGAAGAAGACCAGCAGGGGCUUGAGUGGAAUACUUAGUUUGCUGGCAUAUUAAACACUCUCGGAUAAACGUUUCCACAUCAUGACGCAUCUUGGGCCAAUAGAAUGUUGAAGAUAAUCUGAUUAAGGUUCUAGUGACACCCACAUGACCUGCCAGUGGUGUAGAGUGAAAUUCUUGCAAUAGUACGACUUUUAAAGAGGAGGUAGGACUGAUGUAAUAACGCUGACGGUGGAGAAGAAAUCCGUUUUGAACAGAGAAGUCAACUGACAGUUUGCCUUGUAAAAGUUGCUGGUGAAGUGAUAUUAAAUCAGGUAAUGUGGUAUUCUCAUUAAGUAAUGACUGCAGCAAUUCAAAUGAAGGAUGGCUGUUGAAAGAAAGGCAAGUGGGGGAGAUGUUGAUGUUAUCCUCAGGAGCUGUUUCAUGGACACGGGAUAGAGCAUCAGCGGCGCUAUUGGUACAACAUGGUCUGUACUCAAUUCUGAAUUGGAAACCCAAUAAUUUGCGGAGAUAAACUUGCUGAUCUAGUGUUUGUAUCACUUGUUGAAGGAGUUCUUUGAUACUCUUAUGAUCCGUGCGGAUAACAAAGAAUCGGCCCAACAAAUACUGCCGCCACUUAUACACAGCUUCUACAAUUGCAUGCAACUCCUUGAUGUAAGUGGAAGAAGCCCGCAAUUUGGGACCCAACUUCUUGCUGAAAUAAGCAAUUAAAUGCCCAUGUUGUGUAAGUACAGCUCCUAUGCCUACAUUAGAAGCAUCGGUCUCAAUGACGAAUUCGAAAGUAAAAUUCGGCAACUUAAGGACUGGAGCUUGCACCAUUGCUUGUUUAAGAGCUUCAAAGGCCUCCAUGGCUGUCAAAUUCCAUUGAAAGGCAUCAUUUCGCAGCAAAUCAGUGAGUGGGGCUGCCAAGGAAGCAUAACCACGGAUGAAGCGCCUAUAAUAUCCAGUGAGACCAAGAAAACCCCUCAACUGUUUGAUAGAACGUGGAAUUGGCCAAUUAAGCAUGGCAUCAAUCUUUUGGGGGUCGGCUUGUACUCCCGAGGCUGAAACAAUACGGCUUAGAUACUCAAUAGCGGCUUGGCAAAACAAACAUUUGGAUAAUUUAAUAAAAAAUUGAUGAAGAUGUAAACAAGCUAAUACUUUCUCAAGAUGAAGCAAAUGCUCGGCCAUGGAGGAGCUAUAAACCAAGAUAUCAUAAAAAAAAACGAUCACAAAUUUCCGGAGAUGAGCUGCAAAAAUCUGAUUCAUUGUGGCUUGAAAAGUGGAUGGGGCAUUUGUCAACCCAAACGGCAUGACAAGAAACUCAUAAUGGCCCUCAUGUGUUCAAAAUGUCGUUUUGUAUAUGUCGCGGUUGUGGACACGAAUUUGAUGGUAUCCCGCGCGCAAAUCCAAUUUGCUAAAAAUGGUGGCGCCCCCAAGUUCAUCAAACAACUCAUCGAUUGUCGGUAUAGGAAAUUUGUCUUUGAUGGUUACGGCAUUUAAUGCACGAUAGUCAACACAAAACCGAUAGGUGCCAUCUUUUUUCUUGACCAAGAGAACCGGGGAGGAAAAAGGGCUUUAGUUCGGUCGGAUUAUGCCCUACUCUGACAUUUCCCUGAUCAGUUUUUCCAUUUCAGAUUUCUGGAAGUGUGGGUAGCGGUAUGGACGAACAUUGACGGGGGCUGUGUUGGGUAAUAAAUGGAUUUUGUGGUCAAUAGUUCUGUGCGGUGGUAGGCUAGAAGGUUGGAGAAAUAGGUGUUUGUAUUGCUGUAAAAGGUUGAGAAAUUGAGCAGGAAGGGAAAAAGGAAAUUCAAGUGAGGAAGUGUCUGUGAUGGAAAAUGAAGGCAAAGCAUCGAUAGCGGGCACUGGUUGUAAGGCACAAAGGCUGGUCACGGUAUCACUUUGAACCAAUACCUGCAAUUGAUUAUAAGUGAUCAAAUUAUUAGAAGACAAAUCACCAUGAAGCAUCACUGGUUGCUCAUUUAAAGAAAACUCCAUAGGACACUUUGCCCAAUUUCUGUAGCCAUUGAAUGCCAAGGACCACAUAUGUGCCCUCAAUUGGCAAAAUGAAGAGGUCUACCAUAAAAGCCGUGCCUUGCAUUGUUAAGUUCACUUGAGGACAGAACUGUUUACACACCAGGAAGUCACCGUUGCCAAUAUACACUCGGAAAUUGGUAGUUGGAUGAAUGGCUAACCCCAAUCGUUCCGCUAACGCCGGUUUUAUGAAAUUGUGAGUGUUGCCACUAUCAAUCAGCACUUGAAAGGUGUGCGAAUCAAUUUCUCCAAUUAAACGAAGAGAGCGAGGAUUGGCCUGCCCUGCUAGAGCAUUUAAGCUAGAGAUGUCACCAGUAAUACCAGCAUCUACCAAUUCUGAUGGUUCCUCGUUAUUUUUGGGUUCCAAUUCUUCAUCAUCCGUGCCCAUGAGAAGUAGAAAUUUACUGCGACAGAGAUGAUUGUUGCUGUAUUUUUUGUCACAAUUGUAACAUAAACCCUUCUCGCGUUUGUCGCAAAGUUCAGCCGAAGACAAACGGCGAAUUGGUAAUGUUGGUGUCGAUAAUAAUGCAGGUAAAGUGUUUGAUUUAUUGGUAUUGUGGGUUUGUGAGGGAAGAGUUGAAGAUGAUACGGGGGUGAUGGCUGUGGUAACAGUUGCAAGUGAUGAGGAUGGAUAAAUGGGUUUGGGUUGUGUUUGGAAACCAUGUGAAAGGGGAUAUGGUUGCUGCCAUUUAGGCCAUGAGCGUGAGCUCUGUUUCACUUCGUCAUAUUUGGCCUCAAAAGCACGAGCUAAAGUUUCCAUUAGUGAAGACGGUCUAGAGAAAAGCAAUUCCCGUCGAAUGUUGGGUUUCAGACCAGUGAUGAAAAAACUAAUCAAAAGAAGUUCAGAAAUUCCAGUGACCUUGUUCAUUAAAUCUUCAAAAGCUGACUGGAAAUCUGCAACCGUGGUAGUUUGACUCAAUUUGGACAAAUCACCUUGGGGAUCUUCACACAAAGAAGCACCAAAACGAUAGCGCAAGUUAGCUAAAAAUUCUUGCCAAGUAGUGAGCAAGUGAUUGUUCUUUAUCCAUUGAUACCACGCUGCAGCGCGACCCUCCAUAUGAAAAGAGACAAUCCGUAGUCGGAGGAUCUCAGGUGUGUCAUGAAAGUCAAAAAAUUCUUCUAUUCGAAAAAUCCAUCCAUUUGGGUCAGACCCAUCGAAUUUGGGCACAUCCAUUUUCAUGGAACAAAGUACUGGAGAAACUUUAGAACCAGUAAGAACGCCAUCAUAUUUAGAAGAUGAAGGGUGUGAAGGGUUGGAGGAACCAACUGGUUUGUUGGAAGACCCAUGAAUUUAUGUACGUAACUCCUCAAAACGAGAGUCAACUGAUGUCAUGAAUUGUUGGAUUGUUUGAUGGAUGGACAGUUGCUACCCAUCAAGUUUGGCGUCAAAAGUUGCUUGAAGGGUCUGUAAAGCAUAAAGAAUUUCAGAAUUUGCCAUGAUCAAUGAAAGCACCAGUGAUACGCUCUUAAUUCGUGAAACUGAGCAAUAUCAAAAUUAUCACUACUUCGAGCGAGUGUUUGCUCCAGAGGAAAGAACUGGAAGUUGAGAAAUGAAAAAGAAGAAAAGAAGAAGAGUCACAGAGAGGAAGAAAAGUGGUCCAUUCAUUUCUUGCCUUCCCAAAAUGACAAAAUCCCGCAAUAUAUAACAGACAAUAAAAAAUAACCAAUUUGACAACGCAACAGAAAAUGACAAAAAAGAAUCCAAAACAAACGCAGCCAAUCACAAUGCUUUUACAGAUCAUCCUAAACGACGUAGUCUCGUAGCCAGUCUGGAAGUUUCUUGUUUCGUUUGGGCCGUUGAUUCUCUUGCACUGGCUCAUGGUGAAUGUCCUCCUUGGGUUGACUGACUGUGGGUUCUUGGUUGAGCUCUUCCACUUGCGCCCCCUCUGAUGGCUCUAAUUUGAUAUAUAAAUUCGUAUCACAUACAUGCGGUUAAUUUUUUAAGAUAAAGGGGAAGGAUGAUGCUCAAAAAUAUAAAUUAUAGAAUUAAUUGAACUCUCAAAUAAGUUUAAAGUUCAUUAUUUUUAAUUACAUGUUUAUAAUUUAUUUUUAUUUCGUAUUAAUCUAUAGAUCUAAAUCCACUUUGGAUUCAUAUACACAUAUAGACAUAAUGUGUAUGUUAAUCUAUAGGUCUAAAUUCACUUUAGGUCUAUAUAGGUAUUUUGACAAAUGUACUCCAAUCAUGCAUAUUGGCAAGUUCAAAUUCAAUUUGGAAUAUGGUCAUGGUACGUUCUUGUUCUUCCCUCUUUACGAGUGCAUUCCCCCCAACCUCAAGCUCCCUCUCUCGUCUUCAAUGUCACUGCUUAUAUCCUUAUGUUGUUCUAGUUUGAAACAGUGGCUUCCACUAUUUCAGGGCCCCCAAAAAUCCAGAAACAUACUAUUCAUCACGAUGACAAAAUUUUGGGCAGGCAGGUGCUUCCUGACUUUCACACGGUAAUUCUCAAAUUCUGAUUUCACCAUAUUUUAAUUACUGAUUAUGCUCUCCAUUAUAAUAGAAGUCGCCGCCACACUAGUGAUUCCAAACUUUAUCUUUUUUCCUUUUUUAAAUUAAUGCAAGUAGCCGCUGUCCUUUUUAUUAAUUAAUUAAUUCGGCCGCCCACAUUUCUUUUUCUAAUGUCUUCUACUGUCGAGUUUAUUUUAUUUUCCCUUUAUUCUUAAAAUAUACUUAUAAUAAUAAAAUAUAAAAAUAAAAAUAAAAAUUAACAUAUCAAAAUAUAAUUUAACAGAAAAUUAAGAUGAAAAAUAAAAAAAAAUAAAUUCUGAACAUAUCAAUCAAUAAAUGAAAAAUAAUAAUUUUUAUUUUUAUUAAAUAUAUUUUUUUCAGUAUUAAUCAAUUAUCUGAAUAACUAAAAUCAUUUAAAAAUAAAUAAACAAAUUAUUCUUUAUAAAAAAAAAAAACUUUUUAUAACACUCACUAUGCUGGUUGUAGGGUAGACGCUUUGGGGACUGAAGUUGGUAACUUCUACAAGUAGUCUUAAGUUGAUAACUUCUACAAGUAGUCUUAAGUUGACUGGCAAAUGUUCUCAGUAUUAUAUUGGUGUGUCGAUAUUAUCUCUAACUGCCUUAUAGAUAAAAAAAUAAUCUAAAUUUAAAAUUUAACAUAAAAUAAAAUAAUUGGUAGAAAAACAAUUAUGGUUCAUUUACUUAUCAGUAAUCAGAAUAGACUGAAAUCGAAAUGAGUUGUAUUACCGUUGAUGUGUUUAUGUUGUCCUCGAAUCGGAAUGAAUUAUUUUAAGUUACUAAAAUAUCCUUGGUUUGUUAUUCUAAUUAUUAUUAUUUAAUAUUUAUUAUAAUAUUUGUCAUAUCAUUAAAAAGAAAUAAUAAUGAUGAUAAUAUUAUCAUUAUUGUUUGUUACAUUAUUAUUAUUCAAAAAAAUUAUUGUUAAUAACAAUAAUUACUUUAUUUCAAUACUAAUAAUGAUAAAAUUAAUAAUAACAAACAACAAUAAUUAUUUAUUAUGCCAAAAAUAACAAUAAUAAUAAUCAUCAUCAUUUUUUUUCCCAAAGAAGCAUUAUCAUCAUUUCAAAAAAAAUAUCAUCAUUAUCAUCAUCAUUUUUGUAGUGGCUGCCUAUCGGCUGUUGCUUUCAUGUGAGAUUGACUUGCGACGCUUCAACGGCUAUUAUUUCUGGCAAUGUCAGGUGUUACUGUUUCAAUUUAGGAAGAAGCUGUUUCGUUGUGCUAACGAUGGGAGAUGUUGUGGCUGCGAUUCGGGGAGCUACUAGUUUAUUGCACUAAUGACGGCAGGUGCUGCUGCUUGAUGCGAGGUCCAUGGCCAGUUGUCAGCAGUUCGACUUUGGUAUGGGUGCUGCUGGUUCGAUUUUAGGUGUUGUCCAAUUUCAUUUUCAGGAUUUUAAUUUUAUUUUUCUUUUAUAUUUUCAUUAAUUAAUCAGGACAAAGUUGGAUUUUAGAAUUUGGAAUGAAGGUAAUUUUGUUAAUCAUGGAAAUGAGAUUCUGAUUGUCGAGAAUGAGCUUACACAAACAACUACAAAUUAAGUGAAAACAAAACGCUUUUUCUCUUUGUGUGAUUAAAACAUGAUAUGUACCAUAAAUAAAUAGGUAAAAAAUAAAUUAAUACAAUCCAAAACAGUAAACUAAUUACAAGAGGCACAAAUUUUUAUGUGAAAUACCAAAAAUAGAAAAAACCACAGCAUCUUAGUAUGAGAUAAUCUUCUACUAUAUUAAUGAGAUUAUAGCACAAAUUCUUCCUUAUAUAACACUAGAGGUUAACAACAUCAAGAAUUUCAAUAAUCUUGACUUACAAUACAGCCUAAUAUUUGUCUCUCUAAUAAGUAGAUAUCUAAAAUAACAGUCUCUAAUAAAUAAGUAUCUCAAAUAACAGUCUCUAAUAAGUAUCUCAAAUAAUAAUUUCUAAUAAGUAUGUAUCUCAAAUAAUAGUUAACAAGAGGAUAAAACAAAAAUUAAGAUUAGUAGGAUUGUAUAAGGCGAUGCUAUCAACUUAUCUUCUAAAUUUGAGAAAAAUAGUUAAAUUCACUUUUUCGAUUGUGACCAAAGAUGGAAACCUUUGCCCCAAAACCAAAGGAAUCACCAUUUCUCUCUCUCUCUCUCUCUCUCUCUCUCUCUCUCUCUCUCUCUCUAUCUCUCUCUCUCUCUCUCUCUUCUUCUACUUUUCUUAAUGUUAGCCGCCACUCGCUUUUAUUCUUUAUAGCAUUUAAAAAGCUACUUUUAAUGGUAAAUUUCAUUUAAGUCCAAAACUUAGUGAUAAUUGUACACCAAACAAUUCUUUUUGGACUAUGAGCUUUUGGGCCUCCAAAUGAGAUGAAUACAACAAAUCUCCCCCUUUAGAUCAUGUGGGGGGCACCACAAGCCUGCUCUCUGCAUAUAGUUUUUCAACUUCUCCUUGAAUAAUGACUUUGUCAUCAUACAUAACCCAUUCUCUGUUGUGUAAAUUUUCUCAAGCUGUAGCUGUUGCUUCUCAAGCACGUCUCGUAUCUAAUGAUAUCUCACAUCAAUAUGCUUAGAUUUCGAAUGGUUUAUCAAAUUCUUUGAACGGCACUCUGACUGUCGCAGUACAUAACAUAGCUGUCUCGUUUUACACCCAGCUCUUAUAGGAAAUUCAUUAUCCAUAAUAUUUUUUUGCAACCUUCAAUAAUUGUUAUAUCAUUUGCUUUAGUGGUAGAAAACGUAACUUAUUACUAAAGUUUAGAUUGCAAUGAGACUUCUCCCCCUGCAAAAGUGAGCAAACAUCCUAGAAGGAAUUUUUCGGAAUCAACAUCUUCUGCCAUAUCUACACACUUGUAACACAGGUUUGUCACCACUAAAAUAUAAACAUGCUCUGGAAAUGCCUCUAAGAUAUCUGAGAAUUUUUCAUUGUUGUCCAAUGCUCUUUUAUAAUAAAUACAAACAUAAUGAAUUUAUAAAACAUUUAGAGUAUUUUGAAUAUUAUAUAAAAUAAUUUUAAUAUAAUGCAUGAGAUAUAUUUUAUUAAUUUAAAAUGCUAUUUAAUCUAAAGAUUUAUUUAAGAUAAAUUAAUAAUUAAAUUUUUUUAAUUAUUUCAAAUAUUAAAAAUUUGUAAUAUUAUUAGUCUAUUAGAUAGAUUAAAUUAUUUAUUUUAUUUUGUAUUUAUUAAAAAAUUUUAAAGUCAAUAUUUUUAAUUACUAUUCGAAGGAUAUAAUGAUUAAAAAAAUCUUAAUAUUUUUUAUUAAAAAUUUAAAAAUUUACAUGACCAUUUCUAUAAAUAUUUAGGGUAUAUAUGAGCCACGGUGGAGAAGAUUUAUUUAAUAUUAUUGAUUUAAAUAAUAUCUAAUUAAAAAUAUACUGAGAAAAAAUUUCGGUGGGUAUUUUAGUCUUUUCAGCAAUCACAUGAUUAGCCUUUGGGCUUUGGCCUUGAAACGUCGGUCAGAAAAGUUUUAAACUGCUUAAUUGUUUUUCACUUUUAACGUUAGUGGCUGCUUAUAUUUUAGGAAAAUGAGAUUCUCACCACAGUGAGAACCACACUGAGCACAGAACGGUGCGUUUUGUGCUCAGUAUAAAUUCUAACUGUAGCGGAAAUAUCGCAACACAAACGCGCCAUUCCAAACCCACGCGCGUUCUCCCUCACGCCAGCAAAUCUCACCACGCUUCCUCCUCACUGUAAGCGCCCCCCCUCCCCGGGGGCGGUCGGCUGCGUCACGCUCCCUCACGGCGCCUCACUCUCUCGGCUCUCUUAGAAAAUUGAAUUGCGGCUUCCGCCGUGGGGUUCUCUCCUCAACUGCCGUUGUCUCGUCUCUGACAGCUGCCUUAAUCAAAUUCUGAAGGUAGUUUGCUUCAAUUCAUUACAUUAAUUUCAAAUUUGGUUUGUGUGGGAUUAUGAGUUUGUGAAGAUUUAGUUCUGUUUCAUGGUAAACUAUUUUUUGCUCAGUGUGUUGAGAAUAUCAGCACGGUUUAAAAUUCUUUUUAGAUUCUGUCGUAAAGUUUUCUUUGUAUUGGGCAAGUCAGUUACUUUAGUUUUGUGUCUGAAAACAAAAACACUUAGCUUAGUGAGUUUUAAGAGAUUUUGCUAUUUUGUUCAACGAAGCUUAAAAAGGGGAAGCUUUUAUGGCGUCUGUGAGCCGAGGCAAUUUGGAUCGGGUGCUUUUUCAGUUCAUUUGUUUGUUUCUUAUUUGGGUUCUUUAUUGUUAGAUGUUCUUUUGAGAUUCUGGCAUCUGGCAUCUGGCUACUUGCUUUUGUGGAGUUUUUUUAUUAUUUGAAUUCUGUGAAUUCUUUGUUUUCUUUCCCAAAUGAUUCCACUCUAUAAAAUAUAUAUUGUGCUUGGCUAGAAUUUUCUUUUAGAUAAUUGCAUCCUGUACAUUGGCUUAACCUGUCAAGAAUGAGAAUGAUGGAAGAUGCCUAUCUUGGAAAGAAUAUAUUGAGUUACAUAGUACCGGUUCCAAAUGAAUAAAUUGGAACUUGCCUAAAACAGGCACCAAUCCACCAUGACACCAAGCCUUUUUAAAAUUUUUUUUUUUUUAAGUUUAAAGAAACUUAUGUUGCUUCUUUAGAUCUGUUUUAGCUUAUGAUGAAUUUUGCUAAUGGUAAAAUCCCUCCCCUUCAAAGUUGGGGGAGGGGAAGCAUCUAUAUGCAUAUGUGUACAUUAUGGAGCUCGAACUACAUGUCGCAGUAAUACAUUAUUCUCUUUGCUUUGCAGGUUUUGAUCAACAUGAGUGAUUGGGAUGUAGGUCUGUGCUUGAGAGGCCGGAGUGAUGACCAGAAUUCUGUCAACCAGACCAAAGACAAUCAACUGAUGAAGUGUUGUUGUUCUCUAUAUUGAUUGUUGGAAAUUAUGUGUUAUUUCCAGAUUUUUAGAAAAUUAUGAUUGCUGGAAAUAAUUAUAUAUGUACAAUCAUUAUGUCCUCCAGCACAAGUGAAUUUCCAAACCCACAACUGAAAGCUUGCGAAAAAUUUGUAGAAAAUUUGUACAUCAAAUCCACAAGCUAAGUGUUGUAUCAGAAUAUGAAUGACAAUAAAACAAAAAUCUGUGUUCUUCAUUCUUAAAAUACUAAUACAAUACAAGUACAUUCUUAUUCUGAGAAAUAACUACCUAUUAACUCCAUAUUCAUUAUCUUGUUGAAAGAGUAGCUGCUGAAAAUGUCCAUGUCGCUGAGCUUGUAUGUGCUAUUAAAAAAAAAUUAAACAUCUUGUUGUCAUCCGAAAAAAUAAAGAAGGCAAGAUGAACAAAUAAAAAACUUAUCACUACUUACGGUGCAAGAAUUUUAUGUAGAUAUUGAAUAAACAUUAUCCUCAAUUAUUUGUCACAAUAAUUUAUAUUCAAUUCAUGGUGUGUUGCAGCAAGCUUCCAUUGUUUAACUAAAUGACAGCUGAAUCUUUACAACUAAUUAUCUUUACAAUCAAAUUUGGAAUUAAUUAAGCAAAUUACCGCUAGAAAUCGACGAGUGAAGCUAAGAGAGUGAGGCUGCAAGUCGAAUUUUUGAGACAGCCGAGAGAGUGAGGCGCUGUGAGAGAUGCAAUGGACGGGCGAGAGAGAGACGAAGCCGAUGGUGAUUGCUGCAUUGGUAGGAUUGAGGGAGAGAGCGAAAGAGCCAGAGCGUGCGUGCUUGUUCUGCCAGAGAGCGCGUAUGUUUUUUCUCAAUGCGCGUGUUGCGUAAUUAUCCAUCUACAGUGACCAUUUUAUAGUUAUCUUGAAACGCACCGUUCGGUGCUAUAUGUGGGGCUGAAUGUUGUGAGCAUAUCGGUGCUGUAUAUUUUAUUAAAAAUUAAUGCUAACAAGAAAAAACCCCUCAAUGAAUGAGGGUGAGAUUGCUAAAAAUUACGACAGGUGAUAUUUUAUUAUUAUUAUUAUUAUUGGGGGAGAAAUCCUCACCAAAGUGAGGAGAUUUUAUCAAAAUCAAAAUAAAAAUAUAACAAGAACUGAAAGUUGGGCAGCCUAAAAGCUAGAUAAACUAAAAUUCAGGCGCCUAAAAACAACCUUAUGCAAAAGAGAAGCAACAUGAGACCGAUCAAGUAAAAGAAUCCACCGCAACACCUAAAUUGGCCAAAUUAUCUGUUGGUAUUACAAGUUUCUUGUUAUAAAAGUGUAGAAUGAAGAAGGUGACGUAGUUUUAAGUUACAGCUGCAUGCCCGAUCGCAAUAUCAAAUAAUGAUUAAAUAUCAAAUAAUACUUAAAAUAGUUGCCUAGACCCGCCACAAUUUAUAUUAACUCUUAAAUUUAUAAAUAAUUAAAUUUUUAAAAGUUCGGAUUUAUAUUAAAAAAUCUUCAUAUAAAUAAAUAAUAUAUGCACUUUUACAACACAGUCUUUAAAUUUAAAUUUUUCUAGAAAAAUCUUCUGUAUAUCUUUUCUAUUAAAAAAUUUCCAUAUAAAUAAAUAAUAUACCUAAUUUAAUUGGACCCAGCGCAACGCAUAUGCAUAGAACACAUUCCGAAAAGCCAUGAUAUUCGGAAAUUGACGAAUGAAAAGUGAGGAGGCAGCAGUCAAUGCUAUUUCGGCUUGGCCCAAAAUUGAUUUAUCAGUUUGACGUGUGCCAGGAAUGAAGAACUGGAAUAUCACCAUCAAGCAAGCAACCUGCGGAGCAAUACCAUAGAAUGCACAAUCCGGCUUUGCAAGGUGACACUGGAGGCUUUUUGAAAAGUGCUUCACGCUCACUUGACAGAUUGAGCAUCCCCUCUGGAUAUUGCCCUCUCUGAUCGAAUCUGAGCACUCAAAUUUCGGUCCUCAGAUGGAGCUACAGCUUUCUCUCCAAUAACCAACAAUUUUCUAAACUCAGCACCUAGUGUGAUCAGAGUUGUUGAUAUUUGUAAAUGGAGAUCCCCGUAUUUGCAAAUGGAGACAUUUACCAAAUCACCAACAUGCUUCAUCCAGUCUACGAAAUUCUGCAGCUGAUUCAAAUCCGGAACCUGAACAAGAGUCGGAGGUAAAUCUUGAGCCAUAUCUAAAGCAGUCUGAAGUUCAAGUACUUGAGCCCUUGACAAUGGUUUUGAAAUUGGAACAUCUUGGAUUACUGCAGACUUGUGCCCCUUGGUUUCAAAGGUAAGGAAAGGCAUUGCUUGAGUACAAUUUGGAGGCAGCUUCUUCACCAAUUUUAUUUGGAGGCGAUUGGCAGCGGAUCCAGCUGCACCAAUUUCAGAGCAAAUACUGACACUACUUCGAACAGCACACUGAAGAAGUGAUAUGUCUACGGCAAAGGCAAUGCAGUCCUCAUUUUGGCUUGAGAUGCAGUAAUCAUCGAAGAGAGUUUCCUUGUGAAACUGGGCAACACAUUGAAUCCCUUCGCCACUGAGAAGGUUGCGGAGGAAGUAAGCUUUCUCUCUAGUGAGGAAGAGGUGGCAUACCUUCCCCAUGUCUAGGGCAGGUAGGAAUCUUUUUUCUAAGAGAUUUACUUCAUUCUCUGUGAGAAAUGCUUUGAACUUCAUCCCUCUGUCUCUAUCCUCACUUAUCAGUAAAAUAGUUGAAAGUGCUACAAGGAGAGAAAAGAAGAGUAUUAAGAUAUAUAUAGACAAGAAAAACAUUAGAUGUCGAUCUUACAAGCUAAUACUUCAAACAGUAUCCUAGAAAGCUAAAAACUGCAAAAUGGCUUGACAUUUGAAAAGAACACAUGCUUUUCCUCCUUAACUUGAGAAAAUGUUUAAUAUAGUGCACCUUACAGAAACAUUUAAGCAAUUAGAACUUUGCACAAAAAUAUUCAAGAAGACUAAACAAAUCAGAUGCAGUGUAUUUCUCCAAGCACAAAUGGCAUUGCAUUUUUUCCUCAACUGUAAUAUUUAUUGAUGAAAAUCAGUACAGGUCCCUCAUUUGUUAUGGAAAGCUUUCUUGUAGUCUGACUGGUUAAUUCACGGAUCUAUAAUUAUCUUGCAAAGUUACAGGCAUUUCUUUCGAUUUAAAGUCUUUGCAUCACCACCUCAUCACACACCUAGCCAAUAUUCCGUCUACUUCUACAACAAAAAGUUUUAAGUAAACGAUCCUAAUGCAUGCAGCCAAAUAAAAUGCAGUAAGAAUAUUCAACUUAAAACUCUGAAAGCCAUCUUGGUGAAUUGCCUCCUUAGGGGAAGUUCCAUGAUUUACUAUACUUGACAGGACUGAGCAAAAGCUUACAUACAACAGAUUUUGAAAAUGAUGAUGCCAAUAGAUACUCAUACAAUCCAUUGAAACUCCUAAGGUCCAUUGUUCACAGAGGUUUACAGAGUUUUGGUUAUCAAAUAGCUCAGACCUUAAUCCCAAACAAAAAACGAGUGAAAAUUAGAUCACCAGCAGCAAAUUGUAAAUUCUAACUUAACUCUUCAUCUCCUUUGUAAACAGGAGACAAAAUGGAGACACGCAAAAUGAAUAAGGAGAACAUUUGAACUCAAAUGAAAUGAGGGCACGAAAGCAAACAAAUGGCAUGCGCAAACAAACCAAGCCUCAAUCAAAAACUAAUUAACCAUUAAAAAACAAAACUGGUCAGCUUCUGGUGUUCUCAAAUUGUAUAACAAGAGAUCGACACAUCGAAUCAGAAGAACUCAAUUCAAAUUUGUCUCAAAAAUCAAAAUUAGAAGAUUUCACAUUUCGAGAGGAACAAGCGACAGGUCAGAUGCAAAAUUUUCAGCCAUAACAUGCCACAAUUAACGGUUUAUUUCCAUGGAUUUAGAGAGCUGACUGACCUUUUGGCUUUUGGAAUUGAGAAGAUCGCGCGCCAAAAUGGAAGAGGGAAAGCGAAAGUGCGGGUUUUAAUAGGGUAUUGGAUUAGCAAAUUUUAUUAGUUUGCGAGGGUAAAAUAGGAAAGUGAUAUCACUAUUAACCUUUUUUUUAAUAAGAAAAAAGAAUAAUAAAGAAUAUUUUAUUGUCAUUUGCAGCAUUUAUUUUUUUUAAAUGCUAUUAGAAAAAUACGACAACAAAGAAAUGCUCUUUUUUUUUUUUUUUUUUUUCUCGAAGGUAAAAUCAAUUAUUUAGCUCCUUAUAUGUAAUCAAACUACAUUUCUUACUUUAAGUCAUAUCCAACGGACCAACAAAGUAAUUAUUUUUUUUUUCAUUCAUUUUUGCAGAAAAUUAAUAACUUAAAAAUAUUGAAAGCUAUUGUAAAAUUUUUUAUUAUCAACCUCAUAGUUUUAUUUUUUGGGAAGAAUUGAAUUUUUUUUUUUAAUUUCCAAGAAUUUCAUUCUCUAGUUUUUCCAUUAAUAUUACUUAUCUUGAUACCCAUCUUAAUUAAAAUCUGUAGUUUUAUUCAAGAGUCAUGCUAUUCAUUCACUCACAGACCAAAGGCUUUCCGCAGCAAUAUUAUUAUUUAAAUUACAACAAAGGGGAAAUCAAAUACGUCAUACAGAAGCUUAAAGCUGAAUCUACAAAAUCUAGAGCUCUCAACUACAUAAAUUACACUUGAUGAUCCUCUACAAGAUGAAGCUUGUUCAAUAUCUCAUCCAAAGCUUGUAAAGUAACAUUAUAACGAUCUUGAGAUUGCCUGCCUUCCUCGACGACCUGCACGAUGCGUUUGUACAAAUCAUCAUACCUGUGCACCGGAUUUUUAAUAUCAAUGCCACUGCAGCUGUGAUCAAGAACAUAAGAGCGUUUAACAUCUUUUCUCCAUCAAGAAAGAAUGUAGUGAGAUGGGAUCUCCUGCAUGCCACUCUGGUUUAGAACACAAAGAAUGUGUCUGCAUAAAUAUCCUCUGAAAUUGAACAACCCACAAACACAAAGCACCUCCAAGUCGGAGGCAUUGUACAAAACAUCGAAAAUAGUUAUGUUUUACAAUCUAUUAGACAUAUUUUAUUAAAUUAAUAUAAAUUUUCUAUAAAAUAAGAAUAUAAUAUUAAAAUAAAUUCACAAAAAAUUAAAGAAUUUUGAAUGUAAAAUAAUUUUAAUAGAUUAAUACGUGAGUUUUUUUAUUAAUAUAAAAAUUAUUUAACUUUAAGAUUUUUUAAAAUCUUUACAAUAAGUAUGACUAUAUUAUUUACAUUUAAAAAUAUUUAAAUAUUAUUAACCUACAAUUAUAUUUGCAUUUGUUAGAAUUUUUUAAGUCAAAUAUUUUGCACUUCUAUAUUAUUAGAAUUAUUGCACACAAAGAAAGAAACAUAUACCUUUAGAAAUUGUUUUCUUUUAAAAUAGAGAUGAUGAUUAGUAUAAGGAUGAAAAAAAUGAUAAAGAAUAUUAAUGAUUAACGAAAUCUCUAUACAAAUUGAUUUUAGUAGGAAAAGAGUGAGAUGAAUGAUUUCUUUUACGGUUAGAAACAUAGAUGAUGAUUAUUAUAACGAAGAAAAAAAGAUAAAGAAUAUUAAUUAUUAAUGGAAUCUCUAUGCAAAUUGAUUUUAGUAGGAAAAAAAAUGAGUUAAAUGAUUUAGAGUGCGUUUGGAAUUGAGAUUGGGCAGCCAUAGAUUUUAAGUUACAAUACUGAAGUGUUUGAUAAAUACUAGCUGCUGCAGAUUGAAAGUUAUAUUGAUAUGAUUUUUCACAUGUAUCAUAGAAAAUAUAUUACAUCUUUAAUAAUUUUUUUAAAAUUUAUAUUUGCUAUAUAUUAUUAAUUUUUUUUUAUAGUUAUAACUUUUUUUCCACAGCAGUUGUAGCUUAAAAGUCACAGCAUCUCAAUCUCAAACAAAUCCUUAGACAUUCAUAGUGUGUUUAUUUUUUGGAUUGGUGAAUCAAAAUUAUUGACAACGCUAACUUCAUCUUCAUUGUUCGCAAUCCAACAGCAGCAGCAAUUGUCACCAAUAAUGAUAUCUCCAAUGAUGAUGACAAUUAUUAUUAUUAUUAUUAUUAUUAUUAAUUUAUUAAUUAAUAUAUUAAUGUUAAUAAUAUUAUUAUUAAGAUUAACAAUAAUUAGUAGUAAUACAAUUUUUUGAAUAAAAAUAAUCACAAUAAUUAAAAUACAAAUUAAUAAUUAUGACAAUAGUUAAUUAAUGUCUUUUUAGUAAUUUGUAAUAAUCUAACUCAUUUUGAUUCUGAUUAUUACAGCUUAAGUAAACAAAUUAUUAUGAUUCCUAUUUUCCUUUCCUAUUUUAACUCACUUCGAUUCCAAUCUAUUCCAAUUUCUAUCUAAUAAAUGCACCAUUAGUGCUAAAGUAAUAUUUCAUACAUAGAAAAAUAAAAACUACACCUAAGGUUAAGGGAAAGGACUUCAAAACUCUCUUUUGAUCAUAAUACAUUUUGUCCUAAUUAACUUAAAGAUUUUGAAUCUAAUAUUUUAUAAUAAAUAAAAAUAUAUUCCUAAAAUAAAUAUAAUAUCAAUAUUUAAAAUAUGUUUUAAUAUUUUACAAUCUAUCAUACACAUUUUAUUAUAUUAAAGUAGAUUUUAUAAUAAAUACAAACGUACUAUUAAAAUUAAUAUAUAAAAAAUUUAGAAAAUUUAGAAUAUUAUAUAAAAUAAUUUUAAUAUAAUGCGUGAGAUAUAUUUUAUUAAUUUAAAAUUUUAUUUUACCUAAAAAUAUGAUAAAUUAAUAAUUACAUAUUUAAAGUUAUUUCAAAUAUUAAAAAAAUUUAAUAUUAUUAGUUUUUUAGAUAGAUUAAAUUAUUUUUAUAAGAGAUAGAUUAAAUUAUUUUAAAAUACCUUAAUUGUUUUUACUUUUAACGUUACCGGCCUUUCUUUUAUUUUAUUGUAAAUUAAUGCUAACAAGAAAAAGCUAGAUCAUAUUCCACAAAAGCAAAAGUGACAAACACAAUCAGCUGGAAUCUUUUAUAAAACUACAAAUUAAAAUGGUUUUUUUUUUUUUUUGAUAAAUUACAUAUAAAAGUGGAUUCUUUUGAAUAUAAGUGGGGUAGGCUCUUUUAUUUUUUUUUAAUACUGUAUAACAAGAUUGUAGACUCCUUGAUUAAGCACAAGUAUAAAGUAGUCGAGACGAUACUUUAUGCUAGGUGUCCAUUGAAUAUUAGAUCUUCAUUUCUUUGGCCAUUUAAUUUUUUCGAGAAAUUUUUCUUACGAUCCCGGCUAAGCUUGAAGAAAAGACAACUCAACGGUUUUUUUAAAACAAGUUUCCGUUUUGGUUGGUGAAAUGAAAACGAAAUAAAGCACUUCCAUCCAAAAAUCAUUCUUCUGGAGAAAGGGAUGACAGAUUAAAGAAAAGGGGUGUACUGAAAGGAGAAAAAAGGUUCUUGCAUGAGAGCUGGACACGUUAAAAGAAGUUGAACAAAUGUCUCAAAAAGAAGCUAUUUCGCUUUCAUACUAAAGCCUAUUUGUAAUAGCAUCAGCAAUGCUCCACUAUCCACAUUCUUGUGCGGAUAUCAUUGCAAUCUACUAAUGGUAUAUAAACAUGCAUGUUGUCCCAUGAUGAUUAAGUUAACACACACUUGGAGGUACUUAAAUUAUGCCAUAAAGAGAUAUAGUUAUUACGCAUACAAAUGUUAUUCAAUGGUUAAAAUGUAUGAUAAAGAAAUCGCUUGAAUUUUUUAUUUGCCGUUACGUAAUUUUUUUAUUGAUUCCGAGUUUGAAUCUUAAAAGAAAUAAAGGGUUAGAAAAUUAAUUUGAACUUUGUCCACUCUUUAACUUAAUGAGUAUAAAAACAGAAAAUGCAGGUAAUUUAAUUUUGACAUCUAACAUUUAAGAGAUAGAGCUUGAAAGAGUCCAAUAUUAAAUUAUAAAAUAAUUGAAAUAAAGUUUGCCCCAUAAGAAAAAUUGAACAAAAAAUCUUAAGUAUGAUAUGAUGCUAGAGAAAUUAUUUAUCUCAAAACUUUUAUUAGGUAAUUAAGUCCUAAGAAUAUGUAAUUACACAUGUAACAAAAAUUAGAGAUGAGGGUCUUUUAUUAAACUACAAAUUGUAUAGUCUUUUUAAAAUUGUUAUAAAUUGGUGGCCCCUACAAUCCUCAAUAAUUGUGCCGAUAUUCACAAGUUGGUGGCCCCUACAAUUAUCAACUGUGCAAGUGCUCAUUCACAAUCUUCCAGGUCAUGCUCUUAAUAAUUGUUUUUUUUUUCUGCAUUCCCUUUCAUGCUCUUAAUAAUUGAAGAGCAUACUUUUCAAAUAUGGAGCCGCAGCUAAUGUCGCUAAUUUAAUUUGGGAUUAAAUUAGGGGACCAUUAUGUUGCAGUGUGCACUAAUUUUUGUGUUUAUCUAAACUCCUUAAAUUUAAGACAUAUUACGGCAUAAAUAAGAAUAUAACAAUAACAAAAGAGUUAAAAAGUGUAGAGAAGAUCUUGCAGAAAUAUAAAUAAUAUCUAUUUUAAAAUAAUAUCAAUAUUUAAAAUAAUUUUUAAUAUUUUAUGAUCCAUUAGAUAUAUUUUAUUAUAUUAAAGUAAAUUUUAUAAUAAAUAAAACAUACUAAAUUUAGAGUAUUUUAAGUAUUAUAUAAAAUAAUUUUAAUAAAAUAUGUGAGAUAUUCAUAUUUUAUUAAUUUAAAAUACCAUUUAACCUAAAGAUUUAUUUAUGAUAAAUUAAUAAUUAUAUUUUUGAAAUUACUUCAAAUAUUAAAAAAAUUAAUAUUACUAAUCUAUUAGAUAGAUUAAAUUAUAUAUAUUAUUUUCUAUUUAUUAAAAAAUUUUAAAAUUAUUUUUAAUUACUAUUCAAAAAAUAUAAUGAUAAAAAAAAAUCUUAACAUCUUUAUUAAAAAUUUAAAAAUUUUCAUGAUCAAUUCUCUAAAUAUUUAGGGUAUAUGUGAACCACGGUGGAGAAGCUUUAUUUAAUAUUAUUGAUUUAAAUAAUAUGUGACAAAACAACUAGGUGGACUACAAAUUAAAGUGGAUUCUUUUGAAUACAAGUGGGACAGACGAUUAGGCUCUUUUUAAUUUUUAUUAAAGGCAAGUAAAAAGUAGUCGAAUAGUCUUUUUCAAAUUCUUGUUUUAUUGUUUUUCAAAACUAACAAGAAAAAGCGAGAUCAUAUUCCACCCCAAAAGCAAAAGUGACAAAACAACCAGCUGUAUUCUUUUAUUAAACUACAAAUUAAAAUGGAUUCUUUUGAAUACAAGUAGGACAGACGAUUAGGCUCUUUUUAUUAAACGCAAGUAAAAAGUAGUCGAAUAGUCUUUUUCAAAUUCUUGUUUUAUUAUUUUUCAAAAUUAGUUUUUGGUAAUUACUGUUUUUCCUUCAAAAGUUAGCGGUUCAUGUUUGCAAGUGUGAAUGUGCGAUGCUCUUUUCUUAAAGGCAAUUACAGUGGGGCCCGAAUGCCUAAAUCUUUUUAAAAUUUUUGCCGUAUAACGAACAGAGGUCAUUACUAAAAUUUCUCUUCCACAGCCUACAGCAGCUUCAGUUUAUCAAACUCAAUCAAUUUUCUUUCUUAACAAAAUUCCAAAGAUGUGUAGCAUUUUUCAGAUCGCAUGCGAUGGUGCUCUUUUCAAUCGUUGCUUGGAUUGCUUUCUUGGAAAAGCAGCAUACCUUCGUAACCUCCCAGAUAAUCUUGUAGACUUGGAGACUGAACUGGGAAGACUAAUCGCAGCAAAGAACGAUGUGAUGAUGAGGGUUGUCAAUGCUGAACGGCAACAAAUGAGAAGGCUGGGCCAAGUGGAAUGGUGGGUUUCGAGGGUGGAUGCUGUUAAAACUGGAGCCGAUGAACUUAUCACAGACGGCUCUGAAGAAAUUGGCGAAUUAUGUGUUGGAGGCUACUGUUCCAAGAACUGCAGGUCAAGCUACAAGUUCGGAAAACAAGUGGCUAAAAAGCUACAAGAUGUGAAGGCUUUAAUCGCCGAGGGAGUUUUUGAGGCGGUGGCUACUGAGGUGGUGCCCGAGAGAGCUCCGGAACCUGUAGCAGAUGAAAGACCCAUUGAGCGAACAGUAGUAGGCUUGCAAUCACAACUUGAACAAGUCUGGAGAUGUCUUGUAGAAGAAUCAGUGGGAAUCAUUGGCCUAUAUGGUAUGGGCGGUGUUGGUAAAACCACACUGUUGACCCAUAUCAACAAUAAAUUUCUUGAGAGUCCCACCAACUUUGAUUGUGUGAUUUGGGUCGUAGUUUCAAAAGACCUGCGACUUGAAAAAAUUCAAGACGAUAUUGGGAAGAAGAUAGGUCUGUCUGAUGAUUCAUGGAAGAAUAAAAGUUUUGAGGAGAAAGCUGUAGACAUCCUGCGGAGUUUAGGAGAGAAGAGAUUUGUAUUGUUGUUAGAUGAUUUAUGGGAGCGGGUUGAUUUAACAAAAGUGGGCGUUCCACUUCCCGGACCACAAAAUACUACCUCAAAAGUCGUAUUCGCAACCCGUUUCAUCGAUGUUUGUGGUAGCAUGGAAGCUGACAGGAAGUUCCUAGUGGCGUGCUUAUCAGAAAAGGAUGCUUGGGAACUGUUUCGAGAAAAAGUUGGGGAAGAAACUCUUCAGAGUCAUCAUGAUAUCGUUGAGCUAGCCCAAAUUGUGGCCAAAGAGUGUGGUGGUUUGCCACUCGCACUUAUUACUAUUGGUCGAGCUAUGGCCUGCAAAAGGACAGCCGAGGAGUGGAUACACGCAGUUGAAGUGCUAAGAAGAUCAGCUUUUGAGUUUGCAGGUUUGGGAAAAGAGGUGUAUCCUCUUUUAAAGUUUAGCUAUGAUAGUUUGCAGAAUGAGACGAUUAGAUCUUGUUUCUUAUAUUGUUGUUUAUAUCCCGAAGAUUAUGGAAUUCUUAAAUGGGACUUGAUUGAUUGUUGGAUUGGUGAGGGAUUCUUAGAGGAAUCUGACAGGUUUAGUGCAGAAAACCAAGGUUACUACAUUGUGGGCACUCUUAUUCAUGCGUGUUUACUAGAAGGGAUAGAAGAUGAUAGAGUAAAAAUGCAUGACGUUGUUCGUGAUAUGGCUCUAUGGAUAGCUUGUGAAAUUGAGGAGAGGAGACACUUUUUGGUUUGUGCAGGCGCUGGAUUAGAACAGGCACCGGCUGUUAGAGAAUCGGAAAAUGUGACAAGAUUGUCAUUGAUGCAAAACCAAAUUAAAAUUCUGUCGGAGGUUCCCACAUGCCCUGAUCUCCUCACUUUAUUUCUUGACUUUAAUGAGGAGUUGGAGAUGAUCGCGGAUGGCUUCUUCCAAUUUAUGCCUUCUCUCAAAGUUUUGAAGAUUUCAAACUGCGGGAAUUUUACUUUUCAAUUACCUUUGGGGAUGUCAAAGUUGGGUUCACUAGAACUUUUUGAUAUUUCACGCACCGAAAUACAAGAGUUACCAGAAGAGUUAAAGUUGUUGGUAAAUCUGAAAUGUUUGAAUUUGAGGUGGACAAGCAAGUUAAUUAGAAUUCCACGGCAACUAAUAUCAAAUUCUUCAGGGUUACGUGUGUUGAGAAUGUUCGCUACUGGCUAUGAAUGUUUUCAUGAAGCACCAGAAGACAGCGUUUUAUUUGGUGGGGGUGAAGUUUUAGUACAGGAAUUGCUCGGUUUGAAAUAUUUAGAGGUAUUGGAGUUGACCUUGGGAAGUUAUCAGGCUCUCCAAAUCUUUUUGAGCUCAAAUAAGUUAAAAAGUUGUAUUCGAUCUCUUUUCCUCCAGUUGGCCGGAGAUACAAAGUCGAUUAUUGAUGCUGCGGCUUUCGCAGAUCUAAACCACCUCAAUGAAUUAUAUAUUUAUGAAGGUAUUGAGUUGGAAGAAUUGAAGAUUGAUUAUACAGAGAUAGUACGAAAAAGGCGGGAACCUUUUGUUUUCCGCAGCCUUCACCGUGUUACCAUAUUUAGUUGCGGUAAAUUGAAAGAUGUGACAUUCCUCGUUUUUGCUCCAAACCUCAAGUCUCUUGAGCUAUUGCAAUGCGAUGCUAUGGAAGAAAUAAUCAGCGUCGGAGAAAUUGCUGAGACUCCUGAGAUGAUGGGACACAUAAGCCCUUUUGAAAAUCUCCAAAGUCUUCAUUUAUCGUAUUUACCAAUUUUGAGGAGCAUCUACUGGAAGCCAUUGCCUUUCACUCAUCUCAAAAAAAUGGAGGUACGUAGAUGCGAUCAGCUUAGAAGGCUUCCGCUCGAUUCCAACAGUGCAACAGAGCGUAAUGUUGUUAUUCGUGGAUACACACUCUGGUGGAACCGACUUCAAUGGGAGGAUGAAGCCACUCAAAUUGCUUUUCGUUCCUGUUUCCAACCUCGUUCCUGAGCAGUGGUCGCAAAAUUUGAUUUCUGGUGAGUGCGUUUGUCUUUUAAAAAGAAGAAUUUAAAAGAAAUUUAUUCUUGUCGUUUUCUUCACUGUUUUUAUUUGAUUUCUGGUUAGUUUCUUUCUCUCUCUCUCUCUCUUUGUCUUCUGCAAAUCACAAUUAAAUGUUGAAUUAAUGGAAUUGAUGCUCUGGUUUUUUACUUUUUGUUGUCAAAUUUUGCCCUGUUCUAUCUUCUUAGCGAUUUAAUUUCCUGUCAAAAGACGAGCGAGAAGAACAUAUAUAUGACUUAAACCAAUUGAUACUUUAUUUAUGUGCAUUGUAUGUAAUAAAUAUUAAGUAUACUUUAUUUUUGCCCUGUUCUCUGUUUUUAUUUCAGUCUCUCUCUCUCUUUCCUGUCUUCUGCAAAAUAUAAUCAAUUAUUUUCAAAAUAUCAUUGAUGAUUUUUCUGCUCUAAUGCUAUGUAAAUAGUAUGUUAAGUAAAACAUAAUCAAUUAUUUGUGUUUUAUCUCUAAUUAGAACAUCAAUCAGUUCAGUACCUCACAAAUAAUUCGCAAUAUCUACAAAAUACUAUAAUGGCUACAAAACAAAUCCUGCUUGCAAAUUGUCAAGGAUACCUAUCCGUUCGCUUGACAAGUCAUUUGAAUAAAUAUUGUUCACAUUCCUUACUCUAUCAAUUAUCCAAAGCACCAUCAAUGGUCCUCAACUUUAGUUUGAAUAGUAUACAUGCCAUCACCAUUACCAAGAAUCAAGCAUGGAAGAGUCAUUCUAUAGAGUUAAUCGAAGCAAGGAAUGAUGUAUCAGAAAAUAUUUGGUGGAGAAUUCAGCACAAACAUAUUUUGGAUGAUCAGAAUCAAUAAAACCUGGUGGUUGCGCCAUAUAAACAUCUUCGGAAAGCUGACCUUGAAGAAAGGCGUUAUUGAUAUCCAAUUGACGAAGAGGCCAGCCAUGACUAACAUCAAUACUAAGAACAAGCCGUACUGUGGUGGACUUAACAACUGGACUGAAAGUGUCAUAAUAGUCCACACCAGGCCAUUGAUUGAACCCUUUGGCAACAAGAUGAGCUUUAAACCUGUCAACAGAACCGUUGGAAUGUCUUUUAAUACAAAAAUCCAUUUGCAGCCAACAAUAUUGGAAGGGAUGGGAGGUGGAACAAGCUUCCAUGUCCCGUUACGAACAAGAGCAUCAUACUCUUCUGACAUAGCUGGACGCCAGUGAAGAUUUUUGAUAGCUUGCGUCACAGUUGUAGGUUCACAAUCAGAAGAAGGGCUAAAAUGAGCACGGAGGUUAAGUUUUUGUAACGGCUUGUGAAUCUUAUUUUUAGCUCGGGUAGUCAUAUCAUGAUGACUUGUGGGGCAAUGAUCUAGUGGAGUUUAGGAAGAUGAUUGAACAGGAAGUGAAGAAGUGCUUUGUGUAGAGGUAGAAGUAGGUUGGGAGGAUUGCUGCGGAGAUGUUACCGGUAGAGAAGAAGGAGCAGUACACGGUGGCAACUCCAGAGGGCCCACAAUAGAUGGAGUAGGUGCCGACAAUGGAGUACUAGGAAAUGAAACAGGAAGAAUUGGUGGAACACUUGCGUAAUUAGGAGUGGUAGAUGAGCUUGUAAUGAUUUGUAUGGAAAAACAAACUCUACAAAUUUAACGUGACGUGAAAUAAAAAUUCAACCCGAUUGCAUAUUUAAGAACAUCUCAAAUGAAUUGCUUACUGCUAUCAUCAUCAUUAUUGUCUAUAUAAUAAUGGAUCUUUAUUAUAUAUAUGUUUCCACUAAAAUAUAUUUAAUUAUUCUUUAUUUUUCUAUUGUUGCGUGUAAGAUUUAUUUGAGUUCUAAGUUAUAUCAAUACAAAUGUUAUCUUAUCCAUAAAAAGUUAGAUCCAACAAUUAUGAAAAUUACUAUAGAGUUGCUUUCAAUUAUUUUUUUAAAAUACCAGGAGUAAAUAAUAAUUAGUUCAAAUGGUGGAGACUAAAAUGCGUUCACCUUUAUUUUUUAUCUGUUAUUUACUUUUGUCAUUACAUUAAUGCACAUGCUAUACAUUUGAGACAUUCCAUUAAUUGCCAAUUAUGUAUGUGAGAUAGUAAUUUAAAUUAAAAAAUAAAAGUGAAAGUUAAUCCUAUGCAAUGUGAAUAAAUUUCUUUCCUUUUUCCUUUACUCUUUUUAUUUGACAAUAAAGUUUCCAUCUAUCAUCUAUCAUCUAUGUACACAAAAUUUCUGCAACAAGUACAAAACAUAAAAAUAUAUGAAUAUUAAGGGAAACACGCAGAAGUUCAUCAUUUCAAUGUUCAGUAUUACCAAUUUUGGCAUUAAGCUUGUACGAAUAUAUUCUACUUCGAAAGCAAAAUAUUAGACUCGUGAUUUUAAUUCAUUCAUUAUCUCUCAUUUUAAUCCCAAAAUAUUCAAGAGUAUCCAAGUUACCAUAAGACUUCAGAGGCUCGAGCCUUAGCCAGAGAUGGUUAAUUGAUAGACUAUGUGCCUGGGUCGAGCACUGGAAGCCUGCAAUGCAGACUGAUUGAUUUAUCAGUUUAACGUGUGCCAGGAAUGAAGAACUGGAAUAUCACCGUCAAGCAAGCACCCUGUGGAGCAAUACCAAAGAAUGCACAAUCUGGCUUUGCUAGGUGACCCUGGAGGCUUUUUGAAAAGUGCUUCAUGCUCACUUGCACAGAUUGAGCAUCCCCUCUGGAUAUUGCCCUCUCUGAUCGAGUCUGAGCACUCAAAUUUCGGUCCUCAGAUGGAGCUACAGCUUUCUCUCCAAUAACCAACAAUUUUCUAAACUCAGCACCUAGUGUGAUCAGAGUUGUUGAUAUUUGCAAAUGGAGAUCCCCAUAUUUGCAAAUGGAGACAUUUAACAAAUCACCAACAUGCUUCAUCCGGUCCACGAAAUUCUGCAACUGAUUCAAAUCUGGAACCUGAACCAGAGUCGGAGGUAUAUCUUGAGCCAUAUCUAAAGCAGUUUGAAGUUCAAGACCUUGAGCCCUUGACAAUGGUUUUGAAAUUGGAACAUCUUGGAUUACUGCAGACUUGUACCCCUUGGUUUCAAAGGUAAGGAAAGGCAUUGCUUGAGUACAAUUUGGAGGCAGCUUCUUCACCAAUUUUAUUUGGAGGCAAUUGGCAGCGGAUCCAGCUGCACCAAUUUCAGAGCAACUACUGACACUACUUCGAACAGCACACUGACGAAGUGAUAUGUCUACGGCAAAGGCAAUGCAGUCCUCAUUUUGGCUUGAGAUGCAGUAAUCAUCGAAGAGAGUUUCCUUGUGAAACUGGGCAACACAUUGAAUCCCUUCGCCACUGAGAAGGUUGUGGAGGAAGUAAGCUGUCUCUCUAGUGAGGAAGAGGUGGCAUACCUUCCCCAUUUUGUCUAGGGCAGGUAGGAAUCUUUUUUCUAAGAGAUUUACUUCAUUCUCUGUGAGAAAUGCUUUGAACUUCAUCCCUCUGUCUCUAUCCUCACUUAUCAGGAAAUAAGUUGAAAGCACUAUGAAGAGAGAGAGAGAGAGAGAGAGAAUUAAGAUAUAUAGACAAGAAAAUAAUUAGACGUUGAUCUUACAAACUAAUACUUCAAGCAGUAUCCUAGAAAGCUAAAAACUGCAAGAUGGCUUGAAAUUUGAAAAGAGCACAUGGUUUUCCUCCUUAACUUGAGAAAAUGUUUAAUAUAGUGCACCUUACAGAAGCAUUUAAGCAAUUAGAACUUUGCACAAAAACAUCAAGAAGACUAAACAAAUCAGAUGCAGUGUAUUUGUCCAAGCACAAAUUGCAUUUUGUCCUCAACUUUAAUAUUUAUUGAUGAGAAUCAAUACAGGUCCCUCAUUUGUUAUAGAAAGCUUUCUUGUAGUCUCACCAGUUAAUUCACAGGUCUAUAAUCAUCUUGCAAAGUUAAGGGCAUUUCUUUCGAUCUAAAGUCUUUGCAUCACCACCUCAUCACACGCCAAGCCAAUAUUCCAUUUACCUCUACAACAAAAAGUUUUUAAGUAAAUAAUCCUAAUGCACGCAGCCGAAUAAAAUGCAGUAAGAAUAUUCAACUUAAAAAUCUGAAAGCCAACUUGGUGAAUUGCCUCCUUAGGUGAAGUUCCAUGCUUUACUAUAGUUGACAGAACUCAGCAAAAGCUUCCAUACAACAGAUUUUGAAAAUGAUGAUGCCAAUAGAUACUCAUUCAAUCCAUUGAAACUCCAAAGGUUCAUUGUUCAUAGAAGUUUACAGAGUUUUGGUCAUCAAAUAGCUCAGACCUAAUCCCAAACAAAAAACGAGUGAAAAUUAGAUCACGAGCAGCUAAUUGUAAAUUCUAACUUAACUCUUCAUCUCCUUUGUAAACAAGAAACAAAAUGGAGACACGCAAAAUGAAUAUGGAGAAAAUUUGAACUCAAAUGAAAUGAGGGCACGAAAGCAAACAAAUGGCAUGCACAAAAAAACCAAGCCUCGAUAAAAAACUAAUUAACCAUUAAGAAAAAAAUUGGUCAGAGAAUGAACUCCAAAUUCAGGAGUCAAGCAAGAAGCUUUCAUUAUUUCAGAAGCUCCUGUACAAAUUAAUAAGUUAUGCUCUUUGGAAGCAAACCUAAAUUCCAAGAGAAACAGAACCCAAAAAAUUUGCAAUUAUACGCAAAGGAAGUGAAGCACAGGAUUCUAUCACACAUAGGAAUUGUAUAACAAGAGAUCGAUAUAUCGAAUUAGAAAACUCAAUUCGAAUUUGUGUCAAAAAUCAAAAUUAGAAGAUUUCACAUUUCGAGAGGAACAAGCAACAGAUGAAGUUCAAAAUUUCAGCCAUAACAUGCUAAAAAUGCUACACUUAACGGUUCAUUUUCAUGGAUUUUCUCGGGAAACAAACAGAAAAUUACGGUUUAGAGAGUUGACUGACCUUUUGGCUUUUGAAAUUGACCAGAUCGCGCGCCAAAUUGGAAGAGGGAAAGUGAAAGCGCGAGUUUUAAUAUGGGUAUUAGAUAAGGAAAUUUUAUUAGGUUGCGAGGGUAAAAAAGGAAAGAGAUAUCAUUAUUUUAUUAUCGAUAAUUAUUAAAUUUUUUUCCAAAAAAAAGAACAAGCAAGGAUUUUUUAUUGUCAUCACUAAGUUAAAAAAAAUUGUUUCAAAAUUACUUGAGUCAUAUCCAAUGGACCAACAAAGUAAUCGUUUUUAUUUUUAUUGAUUUUUGCAGGAAAUUAAUAACUUAAAAAUACUGAAAGCUACUGUAAAAAUUUUUAUUAUCAACCUCAUAAUUUUUUUUUUUUGGGGAAGAGAAUUCAAACUUUUUUUUUAUGAAUAUCGCUGUUUCGUUUGAGUUGGAUGUGAAUUCAAAUCCAAAUAUUCUUUGUUUUUCAAUUUUGAACUCAAUUUCUUUUUCUCAAGAAUGUUAUGCAGAAAUAAUUUUUACUAAAUCUUUUUUGAUGAAUUGUUUAAAUUAAACAAUUGGAAUAAGAAUUGUAACGAUUUAUCAUAAGCGUGCUAAUAUGAUAACUUGUUUUACGAAGGAUUAAUUAAUCAAUUAAUAUUAAAUUAUAUAUUAGUCAAUUAGAUAUGUGUUACAUUUAUCAUGUUUUGUAGGUGAUAGUACAUCAUUUCUAAAAGAAUAUAGUACGUUAAAAUAUUAUUUUAAUGAAGAAAAUUUUAUUAUUUUAUUAUUAGGUGACACAAUAAUAAAUGGAUUUCUGUAAGAAUUGAGAUUCUUGAUAUAAUUAUUACAUAAGGAGAAGUUUAGUUGGUUCAAUUUUGACGUGAUAAGAAGACAACACAGCACAGAAAACCCAAAUUGCCACUUCCACUAAUAAAAGAUACCUGUUUGAAAAGUAAUUAUAAACUAUCUUCUUUGUGUUAUUUCUCAAAACUUUUGUGGCACAAAUGUUAUUUCCAUUGACAACAGUACGAAAUACCACCCCUUUCACUUGAGCAGGAGCAAAGCAAAGGUAUGAUGAGCUAUCUCUGUAUAAUUGAAACGCCAUUACUAAACGAUUCUUGAUGAUGGGAGCCACCGUGCCAGCUUUGUCGCUGAUUUGCAUGAUUUAUUAGUUGUCCAGAUGGCGGAUUUUGUACUGUUACCUUCGUUUCAUUCUUCAGAGCCAUGUACUGUUCUAGGAUACCAGAGAAACCAAGGUGGCAUUGAAGUUGCCCUGGUGGUUAGUUUUCCGAUCAUUUUUUUAUUCAAUUAUUUAUGUUUUUAGAAAAAUGUAGGAAAUAUGUAGAAAUGUUGACAGCUAUGAUUUUGAAACUUUUGCCUAAAAUUGUUAUCAUUACUUGUUGUUUCUUAUUUAAAGAGAAAUUCUAGAAACAUGAAAUGAUUAUUCUACGCUUGUUUUAAUAUUGUGCUAUGAAGAUUACGAAGGUUUGAUUAUAUGUCACUAUCAAUUGCCUUAAUCGUUUGUCGUAAAUCAAUUAAGCAUUUUGAUGCGAAUGAUUCCCUAUUAAAAAAUUCAAGUCAGAGCUGAAUUGCAAAGUAGUUAGUCGUGCUUGCAAUUCAAAUUAAGUAUUGUAUUUUCUCCCUGAUUUGGUUGAUUCAACUAUGUGCAUUUGCUUAUGAACGUUGCAGUAUAGAAAUCGAAAUAUCUUGUCUUUUGCUAAGCCCAGAAGCAAAUUCUUUGUAUUCUACUCAUCAGUUUUCUUCAUUCUCUUUGUUGAAAUUUUAUCUAAACAGCGGUUUCUUCGAAUUUAUGCCUUCGCUUACUCUUUUAAAUUUUAUCCAAACAACGGUUUUGAAAUUGUUUUCACUACAAUACCUUAGUCUUUCAGAUGCUCCCGUCACUGAGUUGCCAGAAGAGCUAAAAGCCUUGGUAAAUCUUAAGUGUUUGAACCGGAGUACACAAAUUAUCUCUCUACAUUUCCAAAGCAAUUGAUUUGUUACUUUUCGAUGCUACAUGUUCCGCGAAUAUUCAGUUGUGGUUAUCUUGUUCAGAUACCAGAAAAUAGCGUUAUAUUUAGUGGUAAUGAAUUCUUGGUUUGGGAGUUGCUUAGUUUAAAACGUUUAAAUGUAUUAAGCAUCAUCUUGAAAAGUUUUUCUGCUGUCCAAAAACUUAUGAGCUUCCAAAAGUUUCAAAGCUGUACACAAUGCAUGGAGCUUGUAGACUGUGAUGAUCCAAAGUCAUUUGCCGUGGCAGAGUUGAAGCAUCUUGAAAAACUAGGUUUUUCAAGUUGUGGAAAUUUGGAAGAGUUAAAGUUCUGCUGUGUCGAAGUUGCAAAGGCUCGAGAAUGUUUUCGUUUGAACAGCCCUCACUGAGUUAAGAUGAAGGCUUGUCAUAAAUUGUGGGAAGCGACAGGUUAUUCAAAUAGAAAAAUUUAUGGAGAUGGAUGUUAAUCUUAAGGUUAUUCAAUUAGAAAAAUUUGAAUAAAAUUUAUGGUAAGUGCUUUUCCAUUUAUUGCAUAUUUAUAUCUAAUUUUUAUUUUCCUUUAUUGUUAAAUUUUGGUCUCUAUUUGUUGUUGUAUGGUGGCAUUCUUGUACAAUUAUUAGCUUUUCAUUUCUCUUCUCACAUUAACUGCCCUUCUGAUCAUGUAGGAUUUGCUGAUGCAAAGAGUCAUAAUUUGGGAUACAAAUGUAAGAAUUAGACAGAUGACAUGUUGUUUUGAAGCUCUCAAAGAAGGACUAAUUAUGUCAUUGAAAGCCUCCAAUUUUGUGAUUGGUUUCUUUUUAUUUUAUUUGUUGUUUUCUCUAUUUUCAGAUCACUUAAUUGUUAGUUGUUGUAAUGUAAUGUUUUAGUAUAGCAAAUUAUAUUCGGCCAAGACAGUGAUAGGAGGGCACAUUGUGCAUGCACACUAGUGGAUUUGGCAUGCCAAAUCCAAUUAGGAUGGAUAACACUUUAUAAGCAUUAGGCUUCUCUCAUACCUGAGUAAUAUAGAAUAUGUUUAUAAGUUGUGAAUCACCCUUUACAAGUGUUAGGCUUCUGCUAUACUCAGUGAUGUGAAAUAUAUUUAUAAGCACUAAACUUCUCCCAUACACUUUAUGUUAAUAAUAAUAAUAAUAAUAAUAAUAAUAAUAAUAAAAUAAUAAUAAAUAAACCCAUUUUAACAGACUCUUUUUUCUUUUUCUAUAUGAACAAAUGCAUUCUUCAAAGCAACUGUGGGGAGAAGAAGUGAGUAGAGAAGAACUGAGCCCCUGUCAUUCCCCUAAAACCUCACCAAAACCUCUCUUGUAAGCUUCUCGGAUUUUCUUUCUAUAUUUCUUAGGAACUCAUUUUUUAUUGAAUCACUUAUUUUGCAUGCUGCAUUUUUUGGUUGUCGUAUUUGUGUAUUAUCUUAUCUGGAAUGCUGUUAUGAUUGAUGGAACAAGUAAUCGAUUUUUGGUCUAAUGGAAGUUGAUUUAUUUAUUUAUUGUUGUUUUUAUUUGAAAUUAUGUACAAUUGUAUUUCAUUCAUUUCUCUCUCUUUUGCUUUUUUCCCCCCAUAUAUUUGUUAUGUAUAAUUGCGUUUCAUUUAAUAUUGAUCAUACUGUAGGUAACCAUGUGAUUGUAGAUGGGGAUUUCGAGUUUGUUGAAUAUUCAUGUAAGUGAAGUAACCGUCACAAUACUAGUGAAAUUGGGAGCUUUAUUCAUGAGUUUGUGGUUUUGAAAAGUACCACAGUUCAACUGGUGAAGGCUCCGUUUUGGGAUUCUUCUUUUUCUAGGCUGCAAUUAGGAUAUGUACAUGAUAGACAAUCUUUUGUUGGUUUAGCAUAUCUUCGCUGAUUUUGUCUUUUAUUCCCCAAUUUUAUAAUUACACACCAUGAAUGUUGGGUGAUUGUAUAGAAAAUUUGUGUUAUAACAAAAACAUUGUGAAGGAGUUUCCGUGCUAAUAGUUAGUGGCUUCUGUUUUAUUGGCAUUGAUUGGGUAGAUUACGUGUUACAGUGAUUCAAUUUGUGUUCCAAACUUUGCUUUAAUUUUCUGUUUUCCCCAACUAUUUAUGUCAAAUUUAAAUCCAGAAGCAUGUGCUGAUUUUUUCUUUUUGUAUUAAUCUGUGAAGUUUAUUUGGAAUGGAAGUAACUGGGUCGGGUCUAAUGGAUUAAAUUAUGACAUUGAGGGGAAGGCACUAAAAGGGUUUGCUUGACACAUUUGGUUCUGUGUUUACUCUGCAAGAAAUAACUUUUGCUUAUUGCAAUGCAGGGGGAAAUCCCGAUUUGGCUGGUGAAUUUCUCUGCAACAAACAGGCAAACACCUCAACAUCUUCUGUCCAUACUUCUGCUGGGGAGGCAAGGGGUAAAGAGUCUUCAAAAUCAUCAAAUAGUUACAUCUCUGAGAAUUCAUUUUAUGGAAAUGGAAAAUCUAGAGUUUCUAAUACAAAAUGGCAUCUGGUAUCAGGACGUACCGUUUCAAGUUUUCUUGGUAAAGAUUAUGUUAAACCUGCACAGCCAGCUAAUGGCACUUUUCUGGCAUCAAAGCCAUUGAAGUUGGAUCCAAGGGAGUUUCGCAUUUCUGCACUUUCAGAGAAGAAACUAAACCGACAAUCAAAGGAUGACCAUUUGCAGAAGGAUAUGGAAGAUUUUCUUUUUAAAUUGCUAGGAGAAGGGUUCCAGCUGUACAGGGAUGUGAUUCAGGAGGUUCAUGGUAACGUCUUAAAUAUAUUGAUGCCAAUUUAAUACAUAUUGUCCUUUUCAAUGUUCUUUCUUUCUUUCUCCUCUUUUUAUUAUUCUUCUUCUUCUUUUUUCUUUUCAUGUGCAUGUGAUCACUAAUUUGGUAUUAUUCUUGACUUGCAGAUAGUUGUGGAUAUGAAAUGCAAAAGGUAAGGGCUAUAUCUUCUUGAUGGAGGCCUCUGAUUUUUUAAAUCGCAUUUUCCUUUGUGAUUGAUAUAUCAUACCAAAGUCAAGUCUUAAAUACUGCUGUCAUAUGUUAAGGUUCAACUUCCAUUUUGAUUAACGUCGAUUUGCUACUGCUUCCAAAAGUGAGAAUGAGAUACUUUGGUUAAUUUCAGUAGUUGAACUCAAUGGAGUACUUUAUUUAGAUCUUCAUGGUUCAAAGGCCUGAAAAAACUUGCCGGUAUUUGCAAAAUGACAUCUGUGCUUUUAUUUAGACUUAUUAUUAAAGACAACAUUUUAUUUCAGCCAAAAAUGUUUGUUUCAAUUAAAGACUUGAACCAUUUUCAUUUAACCUGAUUGUGAUGCUUUACAUUAUGCAUGUUCCUCUCAAUCAAUAAAAGUUGAGGUCAUGAUUUUAUAUUUCUAUUUUGUAACUUGAAAUAAUUGGUCUGCCUGUUUCUGUUGCUUGAUAACAUGAAUUUUUCCUUCUGAAGUUAAUUUGAUCAAUAAAGUAAUUCUUCGGAGAGGAUAUGCCCAUUCUAUAGUCAUUUUCUUAGCUAACAUGUUUUUUCUUCACUCUUCAAAGCAUGUCUAAACUAAUUGAUCGCUCAGCGGAGACUUUGGGUGAGAAGACAAAAUUUCUUGGUAAAUCCUCUGAAAAGGUAUGCAUAAUUCCCGAGUAUUAAAUAAUCAUUGGUCAUAAUUUUUGUACACGACUCUUGUUUUGGAGAUCGUUAAAAGUGGUUGAUGAUCUAUUUUGUAAUAUCAUAGAGGGAUCAUGAAUUCCUUUUCUUUUCUGUGGCUAGGCAACACUUUCGAGCCAAGCUAAGGAAAUCUAUUUUAGGUAAUGUGAAAACUAGUUGUAGGAUGUAAUAGUUUAUUAUGCCCUGACAAUAACUUUUUGUAUAAUUGUCAGUUUAAUGAAUACAAGAGGAACUCUGUUGGCAAGUUCAUCCAUGAUAGAUGCUAAAAUUAUUUAUGCAUACCAGUUGCCUUAACUAAUUUUUCUCAACACUGGUAUUGAACAGGAAAAUGAAUAUGCAAUUUGUAUAUUGUGCCAUUGUGGAGAAUUUGGAUAUUCUUAUUUAAGUAACAAGGAGAGUAUUUGCCUCAUCUUUAAACAAUGAAUCUUUGAGAAAUGAGGAGUGGGUGAUUGACAGUGUCUUCAUGUAAAUGUUCAUUUAUUUGUAUUUUGAACUAUUAUGAGAAUCUUUGUAUGCCAAAUUAGUAAUACAAAUGUUCAGAUGAUUUUUCCUGUUGAUCAUGCGUGUGUAUCUGCACACAACCAUUGUGUACCACUUUAUUCUGAUGCACAAAUAUCUGUAGUUUAGAAGAAAAGAAAUAAUAAUCAUAUAUUAUUGCUUGGUUCAUGAUUAUUAAAUGAUUAUGGCUUUAGAAAAUCCACAAAUCCUUUGUGUUCAUAUAUGAAUGUGCGAAGUUCGCUAUAUCUUAGAUUACCUUCUUCCAAGAUAACAAGUUCAUAUAUUUUUUUUAAUCCUUUUUCAUCACAGUUGAAUUUCAAGUGUAAGUUUUGUUAUUAAUAGCUGGUUUCCUGUUAUUAUGAUUUCAUAAACAAUGAGAGGAUAUGUGCUCUACUUUUGGAUGGCCUCCACAUAAAAGAAAAUUGCAACAAUUGAAUUCUUCUGGAGGGUAUGGUAUUUAAUUUAUUUUCUCAGCUUGUUGUAAGACUAAUAUAUUUCCUUCAGUACGCACGGCAUGGUGGGAAGGGUUUUUAUUGAAAGAAUUAUGAUAUUUCUUAGACUUUGUUUUGGAAGGGGGUGGAGGGAUUUCUCAUCCAUGUAUGGUUACUUGAUUAGCUUUUGACUGUACUGUCUCCGUCGUGCAAAGGAAAAUCCAAAUACUAACGAAGGGGAAUUGCUUAGGCACCCAAAGGACAGAAAUGAAUUACGGAAGGAGGUUUUUGCUGCUUUAUUUAGUGCUGCUGAGAAAUCUGAUGAAUUUCCUGAAAUUACGGUGAAGACGGAGUGGAGGUCCAACGCAUUAGGAAAGGUGGUGAGUGAACCGCCAGAGGAAUUAGUACCAGAAUACAAGGCUAAUGUGGUGCACUGGCAGCAAGAUGACCAGACCUGUAUGUGCUCUUAUAUUAACUAUAUUGGCUGGAUUUGUGAGUGUGUUCAUUUUUGUGUGUAUACUCACUUUUGUAUUUAUGCAUAUUCACGUGUGUAGGAUUCUCGAUUUCUGCCACUUACUGGAGAACUAGUGGAAAGCUUUAUACUGAUAUAUGUGCUAUAUAACUAAUGGAAACUACAAUAUGAAUAUUUUCUCUCACCUGGAGAGCAGUGUAACUAAUAUAAUUUGUGGCUCUGGAAUACUGAAGAUUCUGCAAUAACUAAUGGAAAAUAUGAUAUGAAUAUUUUUUCUCACCUGGAGAACUUUGUAACAGAUACAUUUUGUGCUGGAAUGUCUAAAGAAUGCUUCAGUUUAUAUCAAAUAUCUUUUAGUUAGAAAAGAUAAAAUUCUCUGAAUCUGAAAGACUGAAACAUUUUGCAUAUUUCGUGAAAGGCAAGUAUCUGUAGAUACUAGCUCAUGCAUUGAGGUAAUAUCAAUGUUAAAGAAAAACAGCAAUAAUUUAUUAUACAGAAUUAGGUUCACUUGCUUUAAAUGCUGGUCUGAUCAACCAUAUCAACCUGUAAUGGUCCUGCAGAAAUAUAUAUACGGGGAGAAACUAGCUAAUUUUCCUUUCACUUAUGGGUUUGGUCUUUUUUUCCCCAAUUUUUCAGCUUUCCUUCUCCUGAAGUAUGUUAAUAAUUGCAGAUAAUGGCGAAGAGGACUGCUUCCAGGCUACCGGCAAAAACUUUGUGAAAGCUUUGGAGUUAAACAGGGAAUUCACUUACUGCUAAGGACAAUUGGUGGCGAGCUAUUUCAUUCAUUUUAUGUCCAUACAUCUAUUUAAUUAUUAAAGAUAAUGUACGCAUUUGUAAAUUUCAGAUUGUGUGUCUCUGAAAAUAACAAUAUUUAAAAUGUCUCUUAAAUUAUUAUAAAUUUUAAUUUACUCUCGAUUUAAAAUGGAACAUGUUGGUGAAAUAUUUUUUCUUCUUAAUAAAAUUGAAAUAAAUUAUGUUAGCAGUAGUUUGAAAUAUUUUAAAGAUGAUUAUUUUAUAAGGGAGUAAUAUGAAAUGAAAUUUACUUUUCAUGCGUGAAAUGUUGAAAAAGGACAAAGCAAGUGUCCCUGCUUUUAUUUUAUUUCAAAGUGGAGUCAUCUCACAUACUUUAGCUCUAUCAUUAGGAGCCGGCUAAGUUACGUUAAACGUAAUUUACGCCAGGCACAGCAAUAAUGACAAGUCCCAUGACUAGUAUUGUUGCUGUGUCUGACGUAAGUUACGUUUAACGUAACUUAGCCAAAGCCCUAUCAUUAAUAUAUAUUUAAAUUUAACACAUGCAUGUGGGUUACUUUUCCGUAAGUUCCUUAAUAUAUAUUUAACACAAAUCAUGGAAGAGAUGGGAGUAUAUCAAGAUGAUCAAAGCAUGAAACAAAAAUAUUUAAGAAGUAAAACACUGAAAAUGGAGAAGAGAUGCAAGCAAAAGAUAUUCUAAAGAAAAGCAAUCUAUCCCCUUUCGAGGGCAAACUUAUCAGGUUUAAGAAAAGUACAUGCUUUGGAUUGGUAGUUGCAGCCUUGCAGGAUAAUUGUUUUUGCCACUAUAUUAGUUGGAGGAGUUGAACCCAGUGAAGAAUGUUAUGGAAGAGCAAAUGAUAUUUCUGAUAGACUCUAUUUGAUUAUGUAGCCUGAAUAGAUGUCUUGUUGAAAGAUAUAUCAGUGCAUUAGUUCAUCCUUGUCUGUCAAUGUGUUUUUAAUGGUUUUUCCAAUUGUUUUUUUUUUUUUUGAAACUGAUUAAGCAUCAGGUUACUGCAUUACACAGAUAUAUAUACAACUGCUAUGACAGCAGGUCAUUACACUGAUAUUUACAAUCAGAUAUAUAUACAUGGGACUUAUAUUAUUACAUUUUUAUUCUAUGAAGUACAUGCCCAUCCCAAAUACCCCUCACGGAGGAGGGAUGUCUCUACUCCACUCGCAUUUCGCAAGGGAGAAAGACGUUUAUAGAAAUCUCCACACAAUUAUGUUUAAUUGGAGGAGGUUGAGUCCGUGGGGACUCGAACCAUUGCCCUCAAAGUCAUGCUUAACUUUGAGGGCAAUGGUCCACCACUGGGCUACAAGCCCAAGUGGCGGUUUUUCCAAUUGUUUAUUGCUAUAGAUUGAUUGUAAAUUGAUGUGAACUUAAUGUUGAAAUAUUUUCUCUUUAGUGGAAUGAAAGUUAAACAUUCAAGAUUAGAUUAUUCAAGGUCCACAUAGUAUGUGUUCCGUUGUGUUGUCUGUAAUUUUGCAUUUAAAUAAAUUUGAGUGCUGCCGUUUCGCUCCCACAAUCUCUCGCCUUUUUUUAAUUUUAAAAAUUAAAAUAUUAAUAAAAAACAAUAAAGAAAAUCGAAUCCUUUAUGUCAUUCCAUCUUUACAACUCUCUCUCACAAACUCCAUCUAACAGACUUCUCUCUUACUAUCUCGGUCGAACAAGACCAGUGACAAUGAUGACACGACCGCCGACGAUGAGAUGGUCAUCGCUAAAGAAUCGGGCCGUGUAUUUUACAAUUUCUUGGUUUGUGACAACAAUGGAAAACUCCUGAAAAUUUUGAAUUUGUAGUCGAGCAAAGGAAGAAGCAAGUUAUCUUCAAAGCAUUUUCCAGUAAUAGCUGAUGAAAUUUAAUACUUCAAGCUGGCCCUUUGCUGUCACAACUAGAUGCAUUUGCACUGUCAUUACAAUUUAUGGAAAUUAAAGUAAUUAAUGGUUCUAAUUAAUAGCUUCCCAAAAAACCAAUCUGCCCUUGUGAGAACCAAAGCAUUAAUUUCUUGUAAGAGCUGCAGAAGGCCAGAGAAUUUCAGAUCGUGAAAAGGAGUGUGUGAGUGAGAGAGAGAUCGUGAAAUAGUGAGAGACAAUGAGAGAGAGAGCCGCUCGACUGAGAUGGUGAGAGAGUUGCAAAAAUGGAGUAAGGAGCAGAUAAGAUUAUGUUUUCUUUAUUAUUUUUUAUUAAUAUUUUAAUUUUUUUAAUUAAAAAAGGGCGAGAGAUUUUGGGAGUGAAACGGCAGCAUGUUCCAAUAAAUUUUUACCAAAGUUUCUCUCGUGUUUCUCUCACCUUUCUAGAUACCAAGCAUUUUCCAAUAAAUUUUUACUAAAAACUUAGCAAGCCCUUGAAACUUUGGUCAAAAUUAUUGUUAUUAUUACUUUUAGAGGAAAAACUUUUAUUAAAACCUCAUUAACACAAUUCUUAAUUAAAAUUAUAAGUUUGUGUUGGUGUAAGGAUUUGCAGGAGCAAUUACUGCCUAGCCAAGUGUCAAAAGCACAAAAUAAAUCAAGAGAAAGUAGACAUGAAUUAGGAUCCAAUGAAAUUUAAAUCCCGGAGAAAAGAAAUAAUCAUGCAGAUUAUCAAGAUUUCAAUAAGGGAUAUUGAUAUCCUAUUUUGAUUAAUAAUAUCCUUUUACUGUGUUAACUCAAAAAAUAUGUAUAUUCUAAUAUUUUACAAUAAAUAGAAAUCUAAUAUUAAAAUAAAUGUGAUAUAUAUAUAUAUAUAUUAAAUAAUUUAAAUAUAAAAAAUAUUUUAAUGUUUUACAAUCUACUACACAUAUUUUAUUAAGUUAAUAUAAUUUUUCAAAUAAAUAGGGACAUAAUAUUAAAAUAAAUUUAUAAAAAUUUAAAUUAUUUUGAAUUUAAAAUAAUUUUAAUAUUAUUAAUAUGUUAGAUAUGUUUGAUUAAUUAUAAAAAUUAUUUACGCAAAUUUUUUUAAUAUUUUCAGUAGAUAUAAAUAUAUUACUUACAUUUUGAUUAUUUAACUAUUAUUAUUCUACAAUUAUUUAUAUAAUGUUUGCACUUAUUAGAAUAUAUUUAAAGUCAAAUCUUUUGCACUUCUACCUAGCUAGAAUUAUUGGACGCAGAGAAAUAAGCAUAUAUGCUUUAUAACUUUAGAAAUCGAAUUAUCUAUACAAAUUGAUUUUAGCUGGAAAAAAAGUGAGCUGAAUGAUAUAGGCGAUUAGUGUGGUAAUAUUUCAUAGAGUUAGACUAUUGAAUUUGGCACCCCUCCAAUCUUCUCAUGAUUACCUUUUUGAGUUAUUAAUACACUUCUAAUUUUUCGUUUAAUUUUUUUUAUUGUUAUACUCAAAGUAGUAUUGUGAUAUUUUAUAUUUCUUUUGCAAUCUUAUUAUUAUUUUACACAAAAUUAAAAAGUUUUCUAGGUGAUGAACUUUUGAGUUUUGAACAUUAAUCAUUGGCUUAAAUUUCAUAUAUUUUACAUUAUAAUUUGAAAUUAAGUACGAAAAUAUUUAAUAAAUUAUGAAAAGAUUAACAGAUUAUUCUAAAUUGAUACAACUUAUUUUAGUUAAAUAAAAAGUAACAGGUAAAAAAAAAAAGGAUUGGUUAUGAAAUUUGUUGGAAAAAAAUCUGUGUGUGUUUAAUUUUUAUUUGUCCUUAAUUGUAAUUUAUUUGAAGUGAGGUUUUAUAAGGAUAAUGAAGGGGUGCCAUAGUUUCACUCUAUUUCAUAUGGAGAGAGAAGUAAAAGGUACACCUGAGGUUAAUGGAAAGGACUUCGAAAGUUUCUUUUGAUUAUAAUACUGUUUGUUCUAAUUAACUUAAAAAAUUUUACUUUAAUAUUUUAUAAUAAAUUAAAUUUUAAUCUUAAAAUAAGUAUAAUCAUAUAUUUUAAAAUAAUCUUAAAAUAAAUACAAUCAUAUAUUUUAAAAUAAUCUUAAAAUAAAUACAAUCAUAUAUUUUAAAAUAAUCUUAAAAUAAAUACAAUCAUAUAUUUUAAAAUAAUCUUUAUAUUUAAAAUUUAUUUAUUUGUACAUAUUUUAUAAUAAAUAUAACACAUACUAUUAAAAUAAUAUAUAAAAAAUUAAAGUAUUUUGAAUAUUAUAUAAAAUAACUUUAAGAUUCUUAAUAUGUAAGAUAUAUUUUAUUAAUUUAAAAUUCUAUUUAAAAUUUUAUUAAUUUAAAAUUCUAUUUAACCCAAAGAUUUAUUUAAGAUAAAUUAAUAAUCAUAUUUUUUAAAUCAUUUCAAAUAUUAAAAAAUAUUUUGAUAUUACUAGUCUAUUAAAUAGAUUAAAUAUUUUUAUUAUUUUGUACUAAUCAAAAGUUACAGCUCGAAUGAUAUUAUGAGAACAGAAUUUUUAUGUCUUUAUUAAAAAUUUGGGUUUGUAUAAUUAUUUUUUCAAAUGUUAGGGGCAUAGCUGUCUUUUUACUUUUAUAUAUGUGAACCGCGGUGGUGAAAAAGUGUGAUUUAAUAUUAGUUAUUUAAAUAAUAUCUGAAUUAAAGAUGUACAGAGAAGAAAUUUCGGUGGGCAUUUUAGUCUUUUAACGAUUAUCAUGAUUAGGGAUUAGGUCCUGCUCUUGAAACGUUGGUCAGAAAAGUUCUAAAAUGCGUACAUUAUCUUUACUUUAAAAAAGUUAUUUUAUUUUAUUACAAAUUAAUGCCGACAAGAAAAAGCAAGAUCUUAAANNNNNNNNNNNNNNNNNNNNNNNNNNNNNNNNNNNNNNNNNNNNNNNNNNNNNNNNNNNNNNNNNNNNNNNNNNNNNNNNNNNNNNNNNNNNNNNNNNNNAUAAAGAUGAAGAAAAGGGCAAAAAAAUAUUAAUGAUUAACGAAAUCUCUAUCCAAAUUGAUUUUAGCAGGAAAAAAGUGAGCUAAAUGAUGUAGACGAUUAGUGGUAAUAUUUCAUAGAGUUAGACUAUUGGCACCCUUCCAAUCUUCUCACGAAUCCUCUUUUUGAGUUAUAUUUAUUUUAUUUUUAAAAUAUCUUUUUUCUCUUUUACUACACUUCUAAUUUUUCAUUUAAUUUUUUUAUUGUUAAACUCAAAGUAGUAUUGUGAUAUUUUUAAUUUCUUUUGCAAUCUUAUUAUUACUCUGCAUAUAAAUUAAAAAGUUUUUUAGGUGAUGAAUUUUUGAAUGUUAAUCAUUAGCUUAAAUUUCACAUAUUUUACAUUACAAUUUGAAAUUUAAUAUGAAAAUAUUUAAUCAAUAAGAAUUAUGAAAAGAUUAAUAAAUUAUUCUAAAUUUAUACAACUUAUUUUAGUUAGAUCAGAAGUAGCAGGUUAACAAAAGAAAGGAUUGGUUAUGAAAUUUGUUGGAAAAAAAUCUAUGUGUGUUUAAUUUUUAUUCGUUGUUAACUCUAAUUAAGUAGGUUAAAUAUUUUUGUUAUUUUUUACUUAUCAAAAAAUUUAAGAUCAAUAUUUUUAGUUACCAUUCGAAGGAUAUUAUGACAAAAACAGAAUUUUCACUUCUUUGUUAAAAAUUUGGGGGUUUGUGUAACUAUUUUUUCAAAUGUUAGGGGCAUAUCUGUCUUUUUACUCUAUAUAUAUGAACCAUGGUGGUGAAAAAGCGUGAUUUAAUGUUAUUUAUUUAAAUAAUAUCUCAAUUAAAAAUGUAAGGAGAAGAAAUUUCGGUGGGCAUUUUAGUCUUUUAACGAUUAUCAUGGUUAGGCCCUGGUCUUGAAACGUUGGUCAGAAAAGUUCUAAAAUGCGUUCAUUUGUCUUUACGCCAACAAUAAAAAGCAAGAUCUUAGUGUCCCACAAAAGCAAAUCGUAAUAUUCCGCAAUGGAGUUAGAUCCGCAAAAGCAAACAAAUUCUUUUAUUAAACUACAAAUUAAAGUGGAAUCAUUUACUAAACAACAAAUUAAAUUUGAAAUAUUUAAAUAGUCGUGCGUUAGACGAUUAGAGACUCUUAUUAAAGGCAAGUACAAAGUAGUGAAGAAUCGAAUAUUUCUAUUGUCUAGUCUUUUUUUAAAAAAAAUUUUCUUUUAUUAUUUUUCAGAAUAUGUUUUGGUGAUUACUAUUGGGUUAUUAUUCAGAGUUAUUGUUAUCUUCCGGGGCAGUUUCUGUUCAUCGAAUUCGUUAAUAAAAUUUUAAAACUCUUAUUGAAAGAAUGUUUUUCCGUUAUCUUUUUUAUAAUCUAAUUUUAAGUGUAAGAAGUAGUCAUUUUAGAAUUUGGGUCUUGAAUCGAAUUUCAAUGCAUGAAUUAAUAUUUAAAAAAAAUUUACUACAUGCAGUUUAGGUUACAAACUAUUUUUUGCAAAGUUGACUAUGAAAUUGGAGAAAUUAAGUAAUUUAUAAUGUUUGCAAAGAAAGAGACCAACAUACUUCCAAUUACACUAUAUCUCAAUUAUCAUAAUGUUAAGAUUAAACUAACUUAAAAUAAAAUUUAUUUAAAAAGUUUAUCAAACGCAGUCUAAUUUUAUUAACUUGAAGAGAUAAUAGUUAUAGAAAUUAUUAUUCUAACUUAAUUAGUAAAAGUGGUAUAAAGGUUAAGUGUGCACUAAAUCUAUUUAAAUUUUUUUCCAGUAUAACUAACAGAGGUCAUUACUAGAAUUAUAUUACUAGUCUAUUAGAUAGAAAAAAUUAUUUAUAUUGUUUUAUAUUUAUUAAAAAAAUUUAAAGUCAAUCUUUUUAAUUACUAUUUAAAGGAUAUUAUAAUUAAAAAAAUUUUAAUGUCUUCAUUAAAAAUUUAAAAUUUUAUAUGACCGUUAUCUAAAUAUUUAAAGUGUAACUGUCAUUUUCUCAUAUAUAUAUAUAAUUUCAUCAACCCCUUAUACUUUAUGUUAUUUAUAUUUUAUUCAUGAAUAUUAUAAAUUUUUUGAAAUAUAAAAUUUCGUUUAACCCUUUAUACUCAAUUUUAUUUUAUUAAAACCCUAGAGUAUGAAUUCGUCCCUAUAAUAUUAAAUUCUCAAAAUAACUUCCAUUUAAUUAAAAAAUAUAAUUAUUAUUAAAUGAAUUAUAAUUAUUAUUAUUAUGUUAUUAUAAUCAUAAAAAGCGAGAUCAUAUUCCACAAAAGCAUAAGUGACAAAACAACCAACUGGAUUCUUUUAUUAAUCAACAAAUUGUAUAGUCUUUUUCAAAUUGUUAUAAAUUGGUGGCCCCUACAAUCCUCAAUAAUUGUACCGAAAUUCACAAGUUGGUGGGCCCUACAAUUCUGUUCCGAUAAUUUAACUGUGCAAGUGCUCAUUCACAAUCUUCCAGGUCAUGCUCUUAACAAUUGUUUUUUCUUUUCUGCACGCCCUUUCAUGCUCUUAAUAAUUGAAGAGCAUACUUUUCAAAUGUGAAGCCGCAUCUAAUGUCGCUAAUUUAAUUUGGGAUUAAAUUACGGGACUAUUAUAUUGCAGUGUGCACUAAUUUUUAUGUUUAUCUAAACUCUUCAAAUUUAAAACAUAUUAUGGCAUAAAUAAGAAUGUAACAAUAACAAAAGAGUAAGAAAGUGUAGAGAAAAUCUUGCAGAAAUAUAAAUAAUAUUUAUUUUUAAAAUAAUAUUAAUAUUUAAAAUAAUUUUUAAUAUUUUAUGGUCCAUUAGAUAUAUUUUAUUAUAUUAAAAUAAAUUUUAUAAUAAAUAAAAACAUACUAUUAAAAUGAAUAUAUAUAGAAAAUUUAGAGUAUUUUAAGUAUUAUAUAAAAUAAUUUUAAUAAAAUAUGUGAGAUAUUCAUAUUUUAUUAAUUUAAGAUACCAUUUAACCUAAAGAUUUAUUUAUGAUAAAUUAAUAAUUAUAUUUUUGAAAUUACUUCAAAUAUUAAAAAAAUUAAUAUUACUAAUAUAUUAGAUAGAUUAAAUUAUAUAUAUUAUUUUUACUUAUUAAAAAAAUUUUAAAAUUAUUUUUAAUUACUAUUCAAAAAACGUAUUCAAAAAACAUAAUGAUAAAAAAAUCUUAACAUCUUUAUUAAAAAAUUAAAAACUUAUAUGAUAAAUUCUCUAAAUAUUUACGGUAUAUGUGAACCACGGUGGAUAAGCUUUAUUUAAUAUUAUUGAUUUAAAUAAUAUGUCAAUUAAAAAUGUACAGAGAAGAAAUUUCGGUGGGUAUUUUAGUCUUUUAAGCAAUUAUCAUGAUCAGAUCAGCCUUUAGCCUUCAAACGUCGGUCAGAAAAGUUUUAAAAUUAAUGCUAAAUUGUUUUUCACUUUUAACGUUGGUGGCCUUGAAAUUGCUUGUAUUUUAUUAAAAAUUAAUGCUAACAAGAAAAAGCUAGGUCAUAUUCCACAAAAUCAAAAGUGACAAAACAACCAGCUGGUUUCUUUUACUAAACUACAAAUUAAAAUAAAUUUUUUCGAUAAAUUACAAAUUAAAGUGGAUUCUUUUGAAUACAAAUGGGACAGACGAUUAGGCUCUUUUUAUUAGAGGCAAGUAAAAACUAGUCAAGAAUCGAACAGUCUUUUUCCAAUUCUUGUUUUAUUAUUUUUCAAAACUAGUUUUUGGUAAUUACAACCGGGUCAUUAAUCAUUAUUCAGAGUUAUCUUCCGGGGCAGUUUCUGUUCAUCGAAUUCGUUAAUAAAAUGUUAAAACUCUUAUUGAAAGAAUGUUUUUCCGUUAUCUUUUUUAUAAUCUAAUUUUAAGUGUAAGAAGUAGUCAUUUUAGAAUUUGGGUCUUGAAUCGAAUUUCAAUGCAUGAAUUAAUAUUUAAAAAAAAUUUACUACAUGCAGUUUAGGUUACAAACUAUUUUUUGCAAAGUUGACUAUGAAAUUGGAGAAAUUAAGUAAUUUAUAAUGUUUGCAAAGAAAGAGACCAACAUACUUCCAAUUACACUAUAUCUCAAUUAUCAUAAUGUUAAGAUUAAACUAACUUAAAAUAAAAUUUAUUUAAAAAGUUUAUCAAACGCAGUCUAAUUUUAUUAACUUGAAGAGAUAAUAGUUAUAGAAAUUAUUAUUCUAACUUAAUUAGUAAAAGUGGUAUAAAGGUUAAGUGUGCACUAAAUCUAUUUAAAUUUUUUUCCAGUAUAACUAACAGAGGUCAUUACUAGAAUUAUAUUACUAGUCUAUUAGAUAGAAAAAAUUAUUUAUAUUGUUUUAUAUUUAUUAAAAAAAUUUAAAGUCAAUCUUUUUAAUUACUAUUAAAGGAUAUUAUAAUUAAAAAAANNNNNNNNNNNNNNNNNNNNNNNNNNNNNNNNNNNNNNNNNNNNNNNNNNNNNNNNNNNNNNNNNNNNNNNNNNNNNNNNNNNNNNNNNNNNNNNNNNNNNNNNNNNNNNNNNNNNNNNNNNNNNNNNNNNNNNNNNNNNNNNNNNNNNNNNNNNNNNNNNNNNNNNNNNNNNNNNNNNNNNNNNNNNNNNNNNNNNNNNNNNNNNNNNNNNNNNNNNNNNNNNNNNNNNNNNNNNNNNNNNNNNNNNNNNNNNNNNNNNNNNNNNNNNNNNNNNNNNNNNNNNNNNNNNNNNNNNNNNNNNNNNNNNNNNNNNNNNNNNNNNNNNNNNNNNNNNNNNNNNNNNNNNNNNNNNNNNNNNNNNNNNNNNNNNNNNNNNNNNNNNNNNNNNNNNNNNNNNNNNNNNNNNNNNNNNNNNNNNNNNNNNNNNNNNNNNNNNNNNNNNNNNNNAUUGUGGGCACUCUUGUUCGUGCAUGUUUGCUAGAAGAGAUGGAAGAUGAUAAAGUAAAAAUGCAUGACGUUGUUCGUGAUAUGGCUUUAUGGAUAGCUUGUGAAAUUGAGAAGGAGAAGAGAAACUUUUUGGUUUGUGCAGGUGCUCGAUUAGAAGAGGCACCGGGUGUUAAAGAAUGGGAAAAUGUGAGAAGAUUGUCAUUGAUGCAAAACCAAAUUGAAACUGUGUCAGAGAUUCCCGCAUGCCCUCAUCUCCAUACUCUAUUUCUUGCCUCUAAUAGGAAUUUCAGGAUGAUCACGGAUGGCUUCUUUCAAUUUAUGCCUUCUCUCAAAGUUUUGAAGAUGUCACGCUGUGGGCAAUUCGAAGGUUUUCAAUUACCUGUUGGGAUGUCAGAGUUGGGUUCAUCACUAGAACUUCUUGAUAUUUCACAUACCACCAUAAGAGAGUUACCCGAAGAGUUAAAGUUGCUGGUAAAUCUGAAAUGUUUGAAUUUGAGGUGGACAGGUGCGUUAAUUAGAAUUCCACGGGGACUAAUAUCAAAAUUUUCAAGGUUACGUGUGUUGAGAAUGUUGGGUACUGGCGGGUUCAUUUUUUAUGAAGCACCAGAAGACAGCGUUUUAUUUGGUGGGGGUGAAGUUUUGAUACAGGAAUUGCUCGGUUUGAAAUAUUUAGAGGUAUUGGAGUUGACCUUGGGAAGUUAUCAUGCUCUCCAAAUUCUUUUGAGCUCAAAUAAGUUAAAAAGUUGUAUUCGAUCUCUUUACCUCUAUUUGACCGGAGAUAAAAAGUCGAUUAUUGAUGCUACGGCUUUCACAGACCUAAACCACCUCAAUGAAUUAUGGAUUGAUAAUGGAAUUGAGUUGGAAGAAUUGAAGAUUGAUUAUACGGAGAUAGUACGAAAAAGGCGGGAACCUUUUGUUUUCCACAGCCUUCACCUUGUUACGAUAUAUAGUUGCCAUAAAUUGAAAGAUUCGACAUUCCUCGCUUUUGCUCCAAACCUCAAGUCUCUUUCGCUAUUCAAAUGCCGUGCUAUGGAAGAAAUAAUCAGCGUCGGAAAAAUUGCUGAGAAUCCUGAGAUGAUGGGACAUAUAAGCCCUUUUGAAAAUCUCAAAAGUCUUGAUCUAUCAUAUUUGCCGGAGUUGAAGAGCAUUUUCUGGAAGCCAUUGCCUUUCACUCAUCUCAAAGAAAUGGGGGUAAGAGCAUGUGAUCAGCUUAGAAAGCUUCCACUCGAUUCCAACAGUGCAAAAGAGCGUAAAUUUGUAAUUCGUGGAGAAGAAGACUGGUGGAACCGACUUCAAUGGGAGGAUGAAGCCACUCAAAUUGCUUUUCGUUCCUGUUUCCAACCUGAUUCCUGAGCGGUGGUCGCAAAAUUUGAUUUCUGGUGAGUGCGUUUGUCUUUUAAAAGAAGAAUUUAAAAGAAAUUUAUUCUUGACGUUUUCUUCACUGUUUUUAUUUCAGUCUCUCUCUCUCUCUUUUUGUCUUCUGCUAAUCACAAUUAAAUGUUGAAUUAAUGGAAUUAAUGCUUCAUAAAUUUGCCGGCACUGCCAUUACUUUUUUUUUUUUUAAUACAAAUUGAUACUUUAUUUAUAUCUUCUUAGCGAUUUAAUUUCCUGUCAAUUGACGAACGAGAAGAACAUAUGACUUGAACCAAUGCUCGCAUAAACUUGCUGUAAAAAGAUAUAAUCUCACUGAAAUGCACACGCCUAGAAUGAAUAGAAUUAAAACAGGGAAAAUAUUAAGUAUAUUAGCCCUCUUUACCGAAAAUCAAAUGACAAUAAAUUUUUUGAAGUUUUGAUUUUCUAUGGUCAAUUCCACCUUUUGCAAUUUCUUCUGUUCUAACAAAAACCAAUUUCUUUGUUCAAGUAUUUUCGUUUGGGUAUUAAUAAUUCUCCACCGAAAGAGUGAACUCUUGCUCAAGGGAUCUCUAAUCAAUAGCCGGAAGGGCGCCGAGACCUGAUCGGACCUAGGCCCAAGUUUGGUCUUAAAGCCUGGGCUUGAGCCUGGCAAUUAAAUUAAAACAGUAAUUGAUUUCUUGAAUGAAUUGUCGUGUAAUUGAUUUAUGGGGGAUGACACAUCAACAUACUUGAAAAUACACUAAUCUCAGCAUCAUCCGUUAAUAACUUUUAGAUUUAUGGGCAAUCAAUAGUUAAAUUAGUUGUCAUUAAUACUAAAUAAUUUUUACUUUUUUUGUCUCUUCUAGAGGAUCUUCUAGAAAAAUGCAUCCACAAUUAAAUUUAAUACUUUACAUAAUAAAGAAAGCAUAAAUGUUAAAUUUAAGAAACUGCAUUGUAUUUCAGCUGAAGUUGACUUUAAUAUUUAGGGUAGAAAAAAAUUAAAUCCUUAAUGUGUUUAAUUUCUAUCACUUGUGUCAUUAAAAUUUUCUAGUCACCCUAACCAAUUACAUCUCAACCCACUUUUUUUUGGAUGAUUUUAUUUUUACACUAUUAUUUUCAACAUUUUUUUUUCCUUUUAACACCAACAUUAGUGUAUGUUACGUAACAUAAUCCAUAUUUGGAUAAUUUGAAAUUUGUUUGUGUUUUAUCUCAAAAUAGAGCUUCAAUCAAUUUGUACCUCAUAAAUUCACAAUAUCUGGCAUAUUGUCAAAUGUGCUUAUCCUUUUGCUUGACAUGUCAUUUUAAAAUUGUCAUUCAAUGUCAAAAAAUCACAUCAACUAAUGGCCGACUACUUUAAUUUGAAAGCAUGCGUGCGAUCGCCAAUAAUUAUAACUUAAUUGUUAUAUUGAAAUUUUUUUCUUUAUAAUUUAAGUUUAAUACUGCUACAUGUGUGGCACAUAAGUUGGAAAAUAUAACAUAAAAUUUGAAAAAUGUGUAGUUUUCGUUCCUUUUUUUUCUAAAAAAAUGGGAAAAAAGAAUGUAAUUUUGUUUAAAUUACUGUUGUCAUAACAAUUAUUAUUUUAUUGAUUAAUUGGCAGAGAAUCGUAAUGGUUUCGCAUGGUUGUUAAAACAUUGGAAAGUCCACUACAUCAUCGGUUAAUAACUUUCAGAUUUAUGGUUAAUUAAUAGCUGAGAUUUAUUAUCAUUAAUGCUAAAUAUUUUUUCUCUCUCCUGGAGGAUCAUCCACAGGCAGGUGCUUCCUGACGAUGACAAAAUUUUGGGCAGGCAGGUGCUUCCUGACUUUCACACGGUAAUUCUCAAAUUCUGAUUUCACCAUAUUUUAAUUACUGAUUAGCAUAUAUUCAAGUGCUCUCCAUUAUAAUGGAAGCCGCCGCCUCACUCGUAAUUCCAAACUUUAUCUUUUUUUCCUUUUUUAAAUUAAUGCAAGUAGCCGCUGUCCUUUCUAUUAAUUAAUUAAUUCGGCCGCCCACAUUUCUUUUCCUAAUGUCUUCUACUGUCGAGUUUAUUUUAUUUUCUCUUUAUUAUUAAAAUAUACUUAUAAUAAUAAAAAAAUAAAAAUUAACAUAUCAAAAUAUAAUUUAACAGAAAAUUAAGAUAAAAAAUUAAAAAUAAAUAAAUUAUGAGCAUAUCAAUCAAUAAAUGAAAAAUAAUAAUUUUUAUUUUUAUUAAAUAUAAAUUUUUCAGUAUUAAUCAAUUAUCUGAAUAAAUAAAAUCAUUUAAAAAUAAAUAAAUAAAUUAUUCUUAAAAAAAAAAAAAAAACUUUUUAUAACACUCACUAUGCUGGUUGUAGGGUUGACGCUUUGGGUACUGAAGCUAGUAACUUCUACAAGUAGUCUUAAGUUGACUGGCAACAACUAUAUUGGCAUUUAGAAAUAAUGUACUGCAACCAUAUUGGCAUGUUCAAAUGUUCUUAUUAUUGUAUUGGUGUGUCAAUAUUAUCUCUAACGGUUUUAUAAAUAAAAAAAUAAUCUAAAUUUAUAAUUUAACAUAAAAUAAAAUAAUUGGUAGAAAAACAAUUAUGGUUCAUUUACUUAUCAGUAAUCAGAAUAGACUGAAAUCGAAAUGAGUUGUAUUACUGUUGAUGUGUUUAUGUUGUACUCGAAUCGAAAUGAAUUAUUUUAAAUUACUAAAAUAUCCUUGGUCUGUUAUUCUAAUUAUUAUUAUUAUUUAAUAUUUAUUAUAAUAUUUUUCAUAUCAUUAAAAAAAAAUAAUAAUGAUGAUAAUAUUCUCAUUAUUGUUUGUUACAUUAUUAUUAUUCAAAAAAAUUAUUGUUAAUAACAAUAAUUACUUUAUUUCAAUAAUAAUAAUGAUAAAAUUAAUAAUAAUAAACAUGACAACAACAAUAAUUAUUUAUUAUGCCAAAAAAUAACAAUAAUAAUAAGAAUAAUAAUCAUCAUCAUUUUUUUGCCAAAGAAGCAUUAUCAUCAUCAUUUCAAAAAAAAAAUCAUCAUCAUCAUCAUCAUUUUUGUAGUGGCUACCUAUCGGCUGCUGCUUUCAUGUGAGAUUGACUUGCGACGCUUCAACGGCUAUUAUUUCUGACAAUGUCAGGUGUUGCUAUUUCAAUUUAGGAAGAAGUUGUUUCGGUGUGCUAGCGAUGGGAGAUGUUGUGGCUGCGAUUCGGGGAGCUACUAGUUUAUUGCACUAAUAACGGCAGGUGCUGUUGCUUGAUGCGAGGUCCAUGGCCAGUUGUCAGCAGUUCGACUUUGGUAUGGGUGCUGCUGGUUCGAUUUUAGGUGUUGUCCAAUUUCAUUUUCAGGAUUUUAAUUUUAUUUUUCUUUUAUAUUUUCAUUAAUUAAUCAGGGUAAAAUUGGAUUUUAGAAUUUAGAAUGAAGGUAAUUUUGUUAAUAAUGGAAAUGAGAUUCUGAUUGUCGAGAAUGAGCUUACACAAACAACUAUAAAUUAAGUGAAAACAAAACACUUUUUCUCUUUGUGUGAUUAAAACAUGAUAUGUACCAUAAAUAAAUAAGUAAAAAAUAAAUCAACACAAUCUAAAACAGUAAACAAAUUACAAGAGGCACAGAUUUUUAUGUGAAACACCGAAAAUGGAAAAAACCACAGCAUCUUAGUUUGAUAUAAUCUUCUACUAUAUUAAUGGGAUUAUAGCACAAAUUCUUUCCUAUAUAACACUAGAGAUUAACAACAUCAAGAAUCUCAAUAAUCUUGACUUACAAUACAGCCUAAUAUUUGUCUCUCUAAUAAGUAGAUAUCUAAAAUAACAGUCUCUAAUAAGUAUGUAUCUAAAAUAAUAGUCAACAAGAGGAUAAAACAAAAAUUAAGAUUAGUAGGAUGUGUAUAAGGUGAUGCUAUCAAUUUAUCUUCUAAAUUUGAGAAAAAUAGUUAAAUUCACUUUUUCGAUUGUCCGACCAAAAAUGGAAACCCUUGCCCCAAAACCAAAGGAAUCACCAUUAUGUUUUUCUCUCUCUCUCUCUCUAUCUCGUUCUUUUCUUCUUCUUUUCUUAAUGUUAGCCAUCACUUGCUUUUAUUCUUUAUAGCAUUCAAAAAGCUACUUUUAAUGGUAAAUUUCAUUUAAGUCUGCAACUUAGUGAUAAUUGCACACCAAACAAUCCUUACAUAGUGUUUUGGGCCCUCAAAUGAGAUGAAUACAACAAAUCUCCCCCUUUAAAUCAUGUGGGGGGCACCGCAAGCCCGCUAUUUGCAUAUAGCUUUUCAGCUUCUCCUUGAAUAAUGACUUUGUCAUCAUACAUAAUCCAUUCUUCGUUGUGUAAAUCUUCUCAAGCUGUAACUGUUCCUUCUCAAGCUGUAAUUAUUCCUUCUCAAGCACGUCUCGUAUCUAAUGAUACCUUACAUCAAUAUGCUUAGAUUUCGAAUAGUAUAACAGCACUCUGACUAUCGUAGUACAUAACAUAGCUGUCUUGUUUUACACCCAGCUCUUGUAGGAAAUUCUUCGUCCACAAUAUUUUUUUGCAACCUUCAAUAAUUGUAAUAUCAUUUGCUUUAGUGGUAGAAAAGGCAACUUAUUACUAAAGUUUAGAUUGCGAUGAGACUGUUCCCCCUGCAAAAGUGAGCAAACAUCCUAGUAGGAAUUUUUCGGAAUCAACAGCUCCUGCCAUAUCUACACACUUGUAACACAGGUUUGUCACCACCAAAAUAUAAACAUGCUCUGGAAAUGCAUCUAAGAUAUCUGAGAAUUUUUCACUGUUGUCCAGUGCUCUUUACCGAGGUUGAAGAGAAACCACUGACUACACUAACUGUAUAGGCAAUAUUUGGUCUUGUACAAAUUAUGGCGUACAAUAAACUGCCAACUGCUGAAGCAUAAGGAACUCCUCUCAUGGAGAAAUGGGUUUUACUCUUGAGAUUUUUGGGACCAUGAAGAAUAAAGAUGUAAUUUCUUAUACUGCCAUUGUUUCGGGAUAUAUAAAUAGAGAACAAGUCGAUAUAGCUCGACAGUGUUUUGAUCAGAUGCCAGAACGAGAUUAUGUCUUAUGGACUACCAUGAUUGAUGGGUACCUUCGAGUGAAUAGGUUCAGAGAGGCUUUGACACUUUUUCAGGAGAUACAAACUUCAAAUAUAAUGGGAGACGAGUUUACCAUUGUUAGCAUUCUUACAGCUCGUGCGAAUCUGGGGGCACUAGAACUGGGAGAAUGGAUAAAGACUUAUAUUGACAAAAACAAAGUCAAGAAUGAUAUAUUUGCGGGGAAUGCUUUGAUAGACAUGUACUGUAAAUGUACUGUAAAUGCGGAGAUGUUGAGAAAGCUCAAAAGGUAUUCAGGAAGAUGCUUUGAAAGGUCAAAUUCACAUGGACGACCAUGAUUGUUGGCCUUGCCAUCAGUGGAAAUGGUGAUAAAGCUCUUGAUAUGUUUUCCCAAAUGCUCAGGGCUUCGAUCAAACCAGAUGAGGUAGCUUAUGUUGGUGUUCUGUCUGCCCGUACUCACAAUGGUAACGAAACUUUUGUGAUAAAUAGUUGCAACUUAAGGUGAGAACUGGAGGAAGGGAAAUAGAUUGAAGUUGUUCAAUCAUCAGUAGUUGCUACUUGGUUUUAAGUUGUUCAAUCAUCGGUCGUCUCUAUUUGGUUUUCUCCAAUAUCUCAUCUUCAAUUUUGACUCAGAUUGUAUCUUACCACUAGUAAUUACAUAGACUUGCUGCCAAAGGUAAGAAUGGGAAUAAAUUAAAUAGAUUAUGUCGAAAACGAAAUAAAUUUACUAUUGUUCUGUUCAUUCUAUUUGUUUCCUACAAAAUAUUUCUCCUGCCUAAAAUUUUUUGAAUCAGUAAGUUUUUACCUUAUGGAUGAAUUGUGUUGAGAGUAAUUCCAUUUCUCAGUCUCUUUAUGUUUCAAUGAAGACGUAAAACUUGUGUUCUAGUGCACCAACGUUUAUGCUUCUUACAAUUUGACUUUAAUUUACUUUGUAAAAUUUUUGUCAAAAAGUACUAAAAAGUAGUGCACCAAACACCAACUUUAUUACAGAGAGGACUUUAGUUAAAUUUUAAGAAAACACUCAAAAGAAAGAGUUGUAAAUUAUUAUAAAAAUAUUUCACAUAAAUAAAAGCCAUCCCAUGCUGCAAAGAUCUUGCUAUAAUCACCAAAAACUAUCGGGAGCUUUUAGGGUUUCCAUAAAAAUGCCAUUUCGUUCCAUGUAUAUGAUUCUAUAGUCUCACUGGCAAGUAAACCACAGCCCAACAGCACUGACUGUCCAUGAUGAUUCACCCCAAUGAACGAAACCAGCGUUGCAUCAUAUCUUUCUGUCAAGCAUGUAAUAUCAAUUGAUUUGAGCUAUUAACAUCAUUUCCAAAUACUCCAUUGGCAUCUACAUUACCAUUUCCCUCGGCAUCAAUGAUAAGAGUUCGAAACAGUCUAAUCUUUUGAACUUCUUCAGCACCAUCUAAGAGCAAUGUUCUUUUGGUUCCAAUACCCAUGUGCUUAUGAUAUUUGUAAAAUAAUUAUUUGUAAAAUAAUUAGUUCAAUUUUGACAUAAUACGGAAUAAACACAACCUGCCAAUCUAAGUUACUAUCUUUUCCCGUCAUCAGGUACCUGUUUGAAAAAUAAUUAUAUACAAUUUUAUUUGCGUCGUCCCUCUAAAAAUUUGGGACUCAAAUGUUAUUUCUAAUUGCUAAAAGUACGAAAUUGCCCCCUUUCUCUUCAGCUAAAGGAGUGCAAAGUCAUCUGUAUAAUUGAAUCUGCAUCAUCAGUUUCUAUUGCUGGCUGGUGUUACUGCAUGCUUACAGUUGCUUGACAAAGUGAGCCAGUUUUUUGUUUAUUAAUUUUUUUUCUUGUCGAGACAGUCACAAAGUAUUACUUGUUCUAUUUGAGAAUGAUGUGAAUCAAUUUUUCAAUUAUGCAUUCUGUGGUAAUUAUUGUGAAUUUAGUUUCAUUUGUCUUGUCUCCUGCAAAUUUUGAAGAAAAUGCAGACAUACAAAUUUACAAUAUGUAUUUGCGUUAGUAUAAAAACAAUUGUUAGAUGAUUAAAGCGAUUUAUUUUUUUUUUUACAGCAUUUGAUUGUAUUAGUUAAAAUCAUUUUUUAAGGAUAAAAAUAAAUAGAAAAUUAUUCUCAUGUAGUGUGGAAAUCUUUUCUAAUUUCUUGUUGACUUGUACAUUUAUUUCAGAAUUUCCAUUCAUUAAUUCUACUGUUUUAAUCUUUGACUUAGCUACCGUAGUUGACUUUUUAUAUCAAAGGCUUAAACAGCAUGCAUUUUUGAAUUGACUGAGAAUAAUUUGGUGGACAAAUUACUAGUAAAGGACUUCAAAUGGUUGAAUUGACUGUGGGUUUUUCAUGCCCAAGUCACUCGUCACGUCGUUUCAUCGAAACAAAGUGCCCGGUGCAAAUGGUGUGAUGUAAAACACCUUUUUAAAUUGUCAUUUUUUUUCCUUUGCUUUUGCUUUAAUUUUCUAAAUGCUCAACGCCAUAAAUCCAUGUAUUCUUAAUUUUCGUUUGCUGUAUUGAUUCCCAACCCUCUAUGUCACAAGGUUUUGAAUGCCAGUAAUUAAGUUAAAUUAAACAUAUUUUAAGUCCUACUUUAAAUUAUUGAAAAAUGUAUUAUGGUUGAACUGAAUUUUAACUAAAAAAUAUAUACAAAAUAAAAGAUUAAUCAUAUCUUUUUAUGAGGAAGGUCAGUCAUCAUUCUGACCACAGACACUUAAAAUUAAUUGAGUGGAAUAUUGCAAAAUAUAUAUAAACCAUGCCAAAACUAGAUGUUUGAGUAAUGAAAACGAGAAUUCAUAUGACUCAGAAAUAUGGUCGCUUUCCUUUUUCUGAAAGGCAAAAAAAAAGGGGGAACCAAAAAGGACCAAAAUGAACAAAAAUGGAAGGCGAAGGUAAGCAGACAUGUUAUAUGUUUUACCUAAGAUGCCAAAUGCAACUCCCCAUUGAUGGUGAUCGAACAUUAUGGCCAUUUUCUUAGUAAACAAAAAAUGAAUUUUGAACACUCAACAACGAAACUUGAGCAGAAGAUCAAGCAAGGGCCUCGAUCUCAAAGAAGAUACUAUGAAACCCUACUUAAUGGUUAAAUAACUUUCAUUCAGCUUUGGACCCUAUUUCGUGAUACGGAAAGACAAACCUUUCUUGGCCGGCAGUGUCCCAGAUCUGGGCUUUGAUGAUCUAGAGGUUGAUGGUGACAGUUCUGGUUUGGAACUCGACGCCAAUGGUUUAUUUCGAUUCAAAGCAAAACUCAUUCUUGGUGAAUCUCGAAAGAAUCUGAGACUUGCCCACGGCCGAGUCACCGAUCACCACUACCUUGAAUACAUAGUCUAUUUUGUCAGGAAUCAUAUUCUCUCGUUGUUGAUGACGAUGAUCGGUGCCAUCACCACUCAUUUCUUCGUUCAUUCAUUCUAUGUCCAUUGAUCUUUUUGAAUUAUUGAAGACAAGUGGCUCACCGCUUUUAGUAUUGGUAAAAUUCAGAUAAUCUCUAUUCCGAAAUAAUAAUAUUAAAAAUAUCUCUUAAAUCAUUAUAAACUUCAAAUCUAUUUUAAUUUUAUUUAAAAGAUAAAAGAAAAAUAAGUUAUGUUGGUGAUUUUUUAUUAUCUUUUUAAUAAAAAUAGAAUAAAUUGAUGUUUAUAAUUAUUUAAAGUAUUUUAAAGAUUGCUAUUUUAUGAGAGAAUAAUAUUUCAUUUUUUUUUUCGUGUGAAAGACCGAAAAAGGACAAAGCAAGUUUCCCUAAUUUUUAUUUUAUGUGAAAUUGGUCAUCUCAUAUACUUUACCCUUCAACACUCUAAUUUUUUUGGUUAUAAUUUUAUUAUUUUUUCUCUUUUACACAUGCAUGUGAAUUACUUUUCUUUAAGCUCCUGAAUAUUUAAGACAAAUCAUGGAAGAGAUGAGAGUAUAACAAGAUGAUCAAAAUAUGUAACAAAAAAAUUUUAGAAGUGAAAAAUAUGUUAGAGUCGAAGUAAAACUCUGAGGUGAUGUUUGAUUUGAAGAAAAUGGAGGAGAGAAAAAGAGUGGAAUGGAGAGGAAAAGAGAGAAAAGGAGAGGAGAGGAGAGGAGAGUGAACUUUUUUUCUAAUGUUUGGUUUGUCACAUAAAUAUACAAAGAAAGGAAAUCUCCAAUUUUUUAUUUAGACAAUUUUAACCUUAAUAAGUAUUAAGCUUUCAAUAUUUAUCAUGUGUAUAAUUUAAAAAAAGUAAAUGGUAGAAAGCGGUUUCUGAUUCCGGCCACAUCGCCGGCAAUGGAAGGUACUUAUCAGAACAUCAAGAACCGGCCAUCAUUCCCUAGCCAUCACUGCUGUAGGAACACUGCUAAAAAGCUGCCGAUUGAACCGCGAAAAGUCGUGGAAAUCGUUGCCUCAAAUCGGUGAGUUUCGCCUUUUUCUGGUCAUGCCGUCGCCUUGGCUUUGUCCAUCAACGCUGCCACUUCCAUUUCAACCAUCCAUAGCCACUAUUAACCGCCAAAUCGCCGCCGAUCAGCGGGAUCUGUGGAAGUUAAAAAGUUUCUAAAAUUUUUUAAUUGGAUUUGAACAACAUACAACCAUUUUUUGAUCUCAAUAACGACAUAGUAAUGUUGAUCGUUGGUCGGCAAGUCGAAUGGUAGUGGCGGUGAGUAACACGCGCCAAUGACAUCGGCGGCGGCGGCGGCACUAUCCGGCUACUGUUAAAAUUAAUAUUUUAUAUUUGUAGAUUAAAUAAAUUUAUUUUAUUAAACUUUUUAAAUCAUUAUUUAAAUUUAAUUAAUUUAAAAUUAUCUAUGAUGUUGAAUUGAUAAAAUAAAUUUAUAAAUAAUAAUUAUGUGAUUACAUUAAAUAAGUUAAAAAGUUGAAGGGUUAUUUUUGGAAGAUUUAGUUUCCAACACAAAGGGAAUUUGAAUUCUUCACUUCUUAGUGUGGAAUUCAAAUUCUAUAUUGUAAUGGAUAUUAAAUUCCAAUAGAAAUUAAAUUCUUAUAAGUUAUGUCAAACCAAACAACGGAAAUAAAAAAAAAGAAUUUAAAUUACUUUCCUUUCCUCCACCCUCUCCUUCCAACCAAAUACAUCCUGAAAAUAGAGAUAUUGAUUAAUUUAGAAGAGAUGCAAGCAAAAGAUAUUCCACAAAAAAAAAAAAGCAAUAUGUCCCUUUGGAGGGCAAACUUGUCAGUUUUAAAAAAGUACAUGCUUUGGAUUGAUAGUUGUAGGAUAUUUGUUUUGUCACUAUGUGUUAGUUGGAGAAGUCAAGCCUUGUGAAGAAUGUUAUGAAAGAGCAAAGGAUAUUCCUGAUAGCUGAUAGAGCUCUAUUUGAUUAUGUAUCCAAUGAAUGGAUGUGUUGUUGGAAGAUAUUUGAGUGCAUUAGUUCAUAUGUGUCUAUCAAUGUGAUUUUAAUGAUUUUUCCACUUGUUUGUUGUAAAAGAUUAUUGUAAAUUGAAAUGAACUUGAUGUUGUAAUAUUUUCUCCUUAGUAGAAUUUCACCUAGUAUGUAUUUAGUUGUGUUGUCUAUAAUUUUGCAUUCGAAUAAGUUUCACCUAAAAUAUUAGCAUGAGUAGUGGCCCUUGAAACUUUGGUCAAAAUUAUUGUUAUUAUUUCCGACUAGAUGUAAAUUUUUUAUUAAAUCUCGCUAACACAAUUCUUAAUUAAAAGUAUAGGUUAGUGUUGGUGCAAGACUUGCCACACCAAAUUCUGCCUAACUGUCAAAAGUGCAAAAUAAAUGAAGAGAAAGCACAAAUACACGACUUGAAUAAGGAUACAACGAAACUUAAAUUCAAGAGAAAAUGAUAGCUAUAUCUCAAGAUUUGAAAAAACGGUCAUGUAGAUUUUUAAGAUUUCAAUAAGCGACUGAGAUUCAAAUAAUAUCCUUUAAUUCUAUUAACAAAAAACAAAGACUCAAAUAUUUUAUGAUAAAUAAAAAUAUAAUAUUAAAAUAUAUGUGAUAAUAUACACAUUUUAAAUACUUUCAAUCCAAAAAAAUAGUUAUGUUUUACAAUCUAUUAGACAUAUUUUAUUAAAUUAAUAUAAAUUUUCUAUAAAAUAAGAAUAUAAUAUUAAAAUAAAUUCACAAAAAUUUAAAGAAUUUUGAAUGUAAAAUAAUUUUAAUAUAUCAAUACGUGAGUUUUUUUAUUAAUAUAAAAUUUAUUUAACUUUAAGAUUUUUUAAAAUCUUUACAAUAAGUAUAACUAUAUUAUUUACAUUUAAAAAUAUUUAAAUAUUAUUAACCUACAAUUAUAUUUGCAUUUGUUAGAAAUUUUUUAAGUCAAAUAUUUUGCACUUCUAUAUUAUUAGAAUUAUUGCACAAAAAGAAAGAAACAUACACCUUUAGAAAUUGUUUUCUUUUAAAAUAGAGAUGAUGAUUAGUAUAAGGAUGAAAAAAAGGAUAAAGAAUAUUAAUGAUUAACGAAAUCUCUAUACAAAUUGAUUUUAGUAGGAAAAGAGUGAGAUGAAUGAUUUCUUUUACAGUUAGAAACAUAGAUGAUGAUUAUUAUAACGAAGAAAAAAAGAUAAAGAAUAUUAAUUAUUAAUGGAAUCUCUAUACAAAUUGAUUUUAGUAGGAAAAAAAUGAUUAAAUGAUUUAGAGUGCGUUUGGAAUUGAGAUUGGGCAGCCAUAGAUUUUAAGUUACAACACUGAAGUGUUUAGUAAAUACUAGUUGCUGCAGAUUGAAAGUUAUGUUGAUAUGAUUUUUCACAUGUAUCAUAGAAAAUAUAUUACAUCUUUAAUAUUUUUUAAAAAUUUAUAUUUGCUAUAUAUUAUUAAUUUUUUUUUAUAGUUAUAACUUUUUUUCCACAACAGUUGUAGCUUAAAAGUCACAGCACCUCAAUCUCAAACAAAUCCUUAGACAUUCAUAGUGUGUUUAUUUUUUGGAUUGGUGAAUCAAAAUUAUUGACAACGCUAACUUCAUCUUCACUGUUCGCAAUCCAACAGCAGCAAUUGUCGCCAAUAAUGAUAUCUCCAAUGAUGAUGACAAUUAUUAUUAUUAUUUUUAUUAUUAUUAUUAUUAUUAUUAUUAUUAUUAUUAAUUAAUUAAUUAAUUAAUUAAUUAAUUAAUUAAUAUAUUAAUGUUGAUAUUAUUAUUAUUAAGAUUAACAAUAAUUAUUAGUAAUACAAUUUUUUGAAUAAAAAUAAUCACAAUAAUUAAAAUACAAAUUAAUAAUUAUGACAAUAAUUAAUUAAUGUCUUUUUAGUAAUUUGUAAUAAUCUAACUCAUUUUGGUUCUGAUUAUUACAGCUUAAGUAAACAAAUUAUUAUGAUUCCUAUUCUCCUUUCCCAUUUUAACUCACUUUGAUUCCAGUCUAUUCCGAUUUCUAUUUAAUAAAUGCACCAUUAGUGCUAAAGUAAUAUUUCAUACAUAGAAAAAUAAAAACUACGCCUAAGGUUAAGGGAAAAGACUUCAAAAUUCUCUUUUGAUCAUAAUACAUUUUGUCCUAAUUAACUUAAAGAUUUUGAAUCUAAUAUUUUAUAAUAAAUAAAAAUAUAUUCCUAAAAUAAAUAUAAUAUCAAUAUUUAAAAUAUGUUUUAAUAUUUUACAAUCUAUCAUACACAUUUUAUUAUAUUAAAGUAGAUUUAUAAUAAAUAUAUAAAAAUUUAGAAUAUUUAGAAUAUUAUAUAAAAUAAUUUUAAUAUAAUGCGUGAUAUAUAUUUUAUUAAUUUAAAAUGUCAUUUUACCUAAAAAAUAUGAUAAAUUAAUAAUUACAUAUUUGAAGUUAUUUCAAAUAUUAAAAAAAUUUAAUAUUAUUAAUCUUUUAGAUAGAUUAAAUUAUUUUUUAUAAGAGAGAUUAAAUUAUUUUAAAAUGCCUUAAUUGUUUUUACUUUUAACGUUACGGGCCUUUCUUUUAUUUUAUUGCAAAUUAAUGCUAACUAGAAAAACAAAAACAAAAGUGACAAACACAACCAGCUGGAAUCUUUUAUAAAACUACAAAUUAAAAUGGAUUUUUUUUUUUUGUUGAUAAAUUACACAUGAAAGUGGAUUCUUUUGAAUAUAAGUGGGGUAGGCUCUUUUAUUUUUUUUUUAAUACCGUAUAACAGGACUGUAGACUCUUUUAUUAAGCACAAAUAUAGAGUUGUCGAGACAAUUAGGGUCUUUUAUUAAACUACAAAUUGUAUAGUCUUUUUUAAAUUGUUCAGAUAUUUAUAAAUUGGUGGCCCCUACAAUCCUCAAUAAUUGUACCGAUAUUCACAAGCUGGUGGCCCCUACAAUCCUUAAUAAUUGUUUUUUUUUUUUUCUGCAUUCCCUUUCAUGCUCUUAAUAAUUAAAGAGCAUACUUUUCAAAUGUGGAGCCGCGGCUAAUGUCGCUAAUUUAAUUUGGGAUUAAAUUAGGGGACUAUUAUAUUGCAGUGUGCACUAAUUUUUAUGUUUAUCUAAACUCCUUAAAUUUAAGAUAUAUUAUGGCAUAAAUAAGAAUAUAACAAUAGCAAAAGAGUUAGAAAGUGUAGAGAAGAUCUUGCAGAAAUAUAAAUAAUAUUUAUUUUAAAAUAAUAUCAAUAUUUAAAAUAAUUUUUAUUAUUUUAUGAUCCAUUAGAUAUAUUUUAUUAUAUUAAAGUAAAUUUUAUAAUAAAUAAAAACAUACUAUUAAAAUGAAUAUAUAGAAAAUUUAGAGUAUUUUAAGUAUUAUAUAAAAUAAUUUUAAUAAAAUAUGUGAGAUAUUCAUAUUUUAUUAAUUUAAAAUACCAUUUAACCUAAAGAUUUAUUUAUGAUAAAUUAAUAAUUAUAUUUUUGAAAUUACUUCAAAUAUUAAAAAAAUUAAUAUUACUAAUCUAUUAGAUAGAUUAAAUUAUAUAUAUUAUUUUCUAUUUAUUAAAAAAUUUCAAAUUAUUUUUAAUUACUAUUCAAAAAAUAUGAUGAUAAAAAAAUCUUAACAUCUUUAUUAAAAAAUUAAAAACUUACAUGAUCAAUUCUCUAAAUAUUUAGGGUAUAUGUGAACCACGGUGGACAGAGGUCAUUACUAAAAUUUCUCUUCCACAGGCAAUUACAGCAGCUCCAGUUUAUCAAACUCAACCAAUUUUCUUUCUUAACAAAAUUCCAAAGAUGUGUAGCUUUUUUCAGAUCACAUGCGAUGGUGCUUUUUUCAAUCGUUGCUUGGAUUGCUUUCUUGGAAAAGCAGCAUACAUACGUAACCUCCAAGAUAAUCUUGAUGCCUUGGACACUGAACUGGGAAGACUAAUCGCAGCAAAGAACGAUGUGAUGAUUAGGGUUGUCAAUGCUGAACGGCAAUAAAUGAGAAGGCUGGACGGAGUGCAAGUGUGGGUUUCGAGUGUGGAUGCUGUUAAAACUGGAGCCGAUGAACUUAUCACAGACGGCUCUGAAGAAAUUGGCAAAUUAUGUGUUGGAGGCUACUGUUCCAAGAACUGCAGGUCAAGCUACAAAUUCGGAAAACAAGUGGCUAGAAAGCUACGAGAUGUGGAGACUUUAAUCGCCGAAGGAGUUUUUGAGGCGGUGGCUACUGAGGUGGUGCCUGAGAGAGCUCCAGAGCCUGUAGCAGAUGAAAGACCUACCGAGCGAAAAGUAGUAGGCUUGCAAUCACAACUUGAACAAGUCUGGACGUGUCUUGUGGAAGAAUCAGCGGGAAUCAUUGGCCUAUACGGUAUGGGCGGUGUUGGUAAAACCACACUAUUGACCCAUAUCAACAAUAAAUUUCUCGAGAGUCCAACCAACUUUGAUUGUGUGAUUUGGGUAGUAGUUUCAAAAGACCUGCGACUUGAAAAACUUCAAGAAGAUAUUGGGAAAAAGAUAGGUUUGGUUGGUGAUUCAUGGAAGAGUAGAAGUGCAGAGGAGAAAGCUCUCGACAUCUUCCGGAGUCUAAGAGGGAAGAGAAUUGUAUUGUUGUUAGAUGAUAUAUGGGAGCGGGUUGAUUUAACAAAAGUGGGCGUUCCACUUCCUGGACCACAAAAUACUACCUCAAAAGUCGUAUUCACAACNNNNNNNNNNNNNNNNNNNNNNNNNNNNNNNNNNNNNNNNNNNNNNNNNNNNNNNNNNNNNNNNNNNNNNNNNNNNNNNNNNNNNNNNNNNNNNNNNNNNNNNNNNNNNNNNNNNNNNNNNNNNNNNNNNNNNNNNNNNNNNNNNNNNNNNNNNNNNNNNNNNNNNNNNNNNNNNNNNNNNNNNNNNNNNNNNNNNNNNNNNNNNNNNNNNNNNNNNNNNNNNNNNNNNNNNNNNNNNNNNNNNNNNNNNNNNNNNNNNNNNNNNNNNNNNNNNNNNNNNNNNNNNNNNNNNNNNNNNNNNNNNNNNNNNNNNNNNNNNNNNNNNNNNNNNNNNNNNNNNNNNNNNNNNNNNNNNNNNNNNNNNNNNNNNNNNNNNNNNNNNNNNNNNNNNNNNNNNNNNNNNNNNNNNNNNNNNNNNNNNNNNNNNNNNNNNNNNNNNNNNNNNNNNNNNNNNNNNNNNNNNNCAGGAAGUCCUAGUGCGUGCUAUCAGAAAAGAUGCUGGGAACUGUUUCGCGAAAAUGUUGGGGAAGAAACUCUUGAGAGUGAUCAUGAGAUCGUUGAGCUAGCCCAAACUGUGGCCAAAGAGUGUGGUGGUUUGCCACUCGCACUUAUUACUAUUGGUCGAGCUAUGGCCUACAGAAAGAAAGCGGAGCAGUGGAGACGUGCAAUUGAAGAGUUAAGAAGAUCAGCUUCAGAGUUUGCAGGUUUGGGAAAAGAGGUGUAUCCUCUUUUAAAGUUUAGCUAUGAUAGUUUGCAGAAUGAUACAAUUAGAUCUUGUUUCUUGUAUUGUUGUUUAUAUUCUGAAGAUUAUGGCAUUCUUAAAUGGGACUUGAUUGAUUGUUGGAUUGGUGAGGGAUUUUUGGGGGAAUCUGACAGGUUUGGUGCAGAAAACCAAGGAUAUGACAUUUUGGACACUCUUGUUCGUGCAUGUUUAUUAGAAGAGGUGGAAGAAGAUGAAGUAAAAAUGCAUGACGUUAUUCGUGAUAUGGCUAUAUGGAUAACCAGUGAAAUUGAGAAGGAGAAGAGAAACUUUUUGGUUUGUGCAGGUGCUGGAUUAGAAGAGGCACCGGAUGUUAAAGAAUGGGAAAAUGUGAGAAGAUUGUCAUUGAUGCAAAACCAAAUUGAAACUCUGUUUGGGGUUCCCACAUGCCCUCAUCUCAUCACUUUAUUUAUUGACUUUAAUAGGGAGUUGAAGACUAUCGCGGAUGGCUUCUUCCGAUGUGUGCCUUCUCUCAAAGUUUUGAAGAUGUCAAACUGUGGAAAGCCUUAGAAAGGUUUGGAAUUACCUUUGGGGAUGUCAAAGUUGGGUUCACUACAACUUCUUGAUAUUUCACACACCUGCAUACAAGAAUUACCACAAGAAUUAAAGUUGUUGGUAAAUCUGAAAUGUUUGAAUUUGAGGCGGACAAUUUGGUUAAAUAAAAUUUCAUGGCAACUAAUAUCAAAAUUUUCAAGGUUACGUGUGUUGAGAAUGUUCGCUACUGGCUGGUUCAGUUUUCAUGAAGCACCAGAAGACAGCGUUUUAUUUGGUGGGGGUGAAGUUUUGAUACAGGAAUUGCUCGGUUUGAAAUAUUUAGAGGUAUUGGAGUUGACCUUGGGAAGUUAUCAUGCUCUCCAAAUUCUUUUGAGCUCAAAUAAGUUAAAAAGUUGUAUUCGAUCUCUUUUCCUACAGUUGUUCAGAGAUACAACGUCGAUUAUUGAUGCUACGGCUUUCGCAGAUCUAAACCACCUCAAUCAAUUAUGUAUUAGUAACGGUUCUGAGUUGGAAGAAUUGAAGAUUGAUUAUACGGAGAUAGUACGAAAAAGGCGGGAACCUUUUGUUUUCCGCAGCCUUCAACGUGUUACCAUAGAGGAGUGCCAUAAAUUGAAAGAUUUGACAUUCCUCGUUUUUGCUCCAAACCUCAAGUCUCUUUCGCUAUACGAUUGCGGUGCUAUGGAAGAAAUAAUCAGCGUCGGAAAAUUUGCUGAGACUCCUGAGAUGAUGGGACAUAUAAGCCCUUUUGAAAAUCUCCAAAUGCUUUAUUUAAUGGCAUUGCCGGAGUUGAAGAGCGUCUACUGGAAGCCAUUGCCUUUCACUCAUCUGAAAGAAAUGGAGGUACUUGGGUGUGAUCAGCUUAAAAAGCUUCCACUCGAUUCCAACAGUGCAAAAGAGCGUAAAUUUGUAAUUCUUGGAGACACACAGUGGUGGAACCGUCUUCAAUGGGAGGAUGAAGCCACUCAAAUUGCUUUUCGUUCCUAUUUCCAAACCUGAUUCCUGAGCGGUGGUCGCAAAAUUUGAUUUCUGGUGAGUGCGUUUGUCUUUUAAAAGAAGAAUUUAAAAGAAAUUUAUUCUUGUCGUUUUCUUCUCUGUUUUUAUUUCAGUUUGUUUCUCUCUCUCUCUUUUUGUCUUCUGCAAAUCACAAUUAAAUGUUGAAUUAAUGGAAUUAAUGCUUCAUAAAUUUGCCGGCACUGCCAGUACUUUUUUUUUUUUUUAAUACGAAUUGAUGCUUUAUUUAUUUCUUCUUAGCGAUUUAAUUUCCUGUCAAAAGACGAGCGAGAAGAACAUAUGACUUAAACCAAUUGAUACUUUAUUUAUGUGCAUUGUAUGUAAUAAAAUUUUCUCUGUUUUUUUCAAAUUGAGGCUUUAUUUAUAUUUUCUUCGUGAAGAGUGAUUUAAUUUCCUGCCAAAAGACAAACGAGAAGAACAUUAGAGUCAAACUAAUGCUCACAUAAAUUUCCCGUAAGAAUAUAUAUAUAAUUAGACUGGAAUGCACACCUCUAGAUUGAACAGAAUUAAAGCUGAGAAAAUAUUGAGUAUAGUAGCCCUCUUUACAGAAAAUGACGCGAAAGUUAAUUUAGAAAGAUAUAUUCUUGAUUAAUCCAUUUUCUGAAGUUUUUUAUUUUGUAUGGUCAAUUAUACCUUCAUACUAAAAAAAAAAAAAAAAAAGAGAAAAUAUGUAAUCCAUGAAUGGUUAAUUUUGUUUGUUUGUUUUUUUUUCUUAAAUAUCAUUCUUUUUCGGCCACCCAAGGACAUUUUCACAAAUACCUUUUGUGUGCAGAAGUCUUCCAAACCAUCAAUGGAAAAAUAAAAAAUAAAAAAAACACGGUCCAGUAUACCUCAAAAUAUCAUUGAUGACUUUUCUGGUCUAAUGCUAUGUAAAUAGUAUGUUAAGUAAAACAUAAUCAGUUCAGUACCUCACAAAUAAUUCGCAAUAUCUACAAAAUACUAUAAUGGCUACAAAACAAAUCCUGCUUGCAAAUUGUCAAGGAUACCUAUCCGUUCGCUUGACAAGUCAUUUGAAUAAAUAUUGUUCACAUUCCUUACUCUGUCAAUUAUCCAAAGCACCAUCAACUUUAGUUUGAAUAGUAUACAUGCCAUCACCGUUACCAAGAAUCAAGCAUGGAAGGGUCAUUCUAUAGAGUGCAGAACAUGACUCUAUGCGGUAGUCAAUUUGACACACGACGAACACCAUAUGCUGCAUAACAUACAAAUUAAUUUCCCAUAUGUGAUGCAAUUUUCUCCUCAACAUAUGCGCAAUUCUUUCCAUUCCGGCAUUUACACUCAAAUUUUCCUUCCUUUCUCUUUGUGGUUGAAUCUUACACCACAACUCAUGUGAUGCAAUCUCCUCUCGCUGCCUAAAUUGCACUCUCAGCAAAGCAGCAUAUGUAAGCAAGCUUGAAGAUAAUCUUGCUGCUCUGCAGAAGAACGGCAAAAGUUAAUCGAAGCAAGGAAUGAUGUAUCAGAAAAUAUUUGGUGGAGAAUUCAGCACAAACAUAUUUCGGAUGAUCAGAAUCAAUAAAACCUGGUGGUUGUGCCAUAUAAACAUCUUUGGAAAGCUGACCUUGAAGAAAGGCGUUAUUGAUAUCCAAUUGAUGAAGAGGCCAGCCAUGACUAACAUCAAUACUAAGAACAAGCCGUACUGUGGUGGACUUAACAACUGGACUGAAAGUGUCAUAAUAGUCCACACCAGGCCAUUGAUUGAACCCUUUGGCAACAAGAUGAGCUUUAAACCUGUCAACAGAACCGUUGGAAUGUCUUUUAAUACAAAAAUCCAUUUGCAGCCAACAAUAUUGGAAGGGAUGGGAGGUGGAACAAGCUUCCAUGUCCCGUUACGAACAAGAGCAUCAUACUCUUCUGACAUAGCUGGACGCCAGUGAAGAUUUUUGAUAGCUUGCGUCACAGUUGUAGGUUCACAAUCAGAAGAAGGGCUAAAAUGAGCACGGAGGUUAAGUUUUUGUAACGGCUUGUGAAUCUUAUUUUUAGCUCGGGUAGUCAUAUCAUGAUGACUUGUGGGGCAAUGAUCUAGUGGAGUUUAGGAAGAUGAUUGAACAGGAAGUGAAGAAGUGCUUUGUGUAGAGGUAGAAGUAGGUUGGGAGGAUUGCUGCGGAGAUGUUACCGGUAGAGAAGAAGGAGCAGUACACGGUGGCAACUCCAGAGGGCCCACAAUAGAUGGAGUAGGUGCCGACAAUGGAGUACUAGGAAAUGAAACAGGAAGAAUUGGUGGAACACUUGCAUAAUUAGGAGUGGUAGAUGAGCUUGUAAUGAUUUGCAUGGAAAAACAAACUCUACAAAUUUAACGUGACGUGAAAUAAAAAUUUGAAAGGUGGAUGGGUCAAAACAUAAAUAAGCACUUUGAGAUAAAGGAAUAUCCUAGAAAAACACAAGGCUUAGAGGGUGGUUCGAGUUUAUGUGAUGAAACACAAACAUUCAAAAAAUUUUAAGUUUAUAUUAAUUAGGAGUGGUACCAAAAAUUAAUUAGCUAUGGGGUUGUUGGAUGUGUUUUGGAUAUUUACAGUUAAGUUUGAGUAUCUCAACUUAAAAUUUGUAGUUUUCACUUGAAAAAAUUCAGUUAAAUUUUGCAAUGCAGACUGAUUGAUUUAUCAGUUUAACGUGUGCCAGGAAUGAAGAACUGGAAUAUCACCGUCAAGCAAGCACCCUGUGGAGCAAUACCAAAGAAUGCACAAUCUGGCUUUGCUAGGUAACACUGGAGGCUUUUUGAAAAGUGCUUCACGCUCACUUGCACAGAUUGAGCAUCCCCUCUGGAUAUUGCCCUCUCUGAUCGAGUCUGAGCACUCAAAUUUUGGUCCUCAGAGGGAGCUACAGUUUUCUCUCCACUAACCAACAAUAUUCUAAACUCAGCACCUAGUGUGAUCAGAGUUGUUGAUAUUUGCAAAUGGAGAUCCCCAUAUUUGCAAAUGGAGACAUUUAACAAAUCACCAACAUGCUUCAUCCGGUCCACGAAAUUCUGCAACUGAUGCAAAUCUGGAACCUGAACCAGAGUCGGAGGUAUAUCUUGAGCCAUAUCUAAAGCAGUUUGAAGUUCAAGACCUUGAGCCCUUGACAAUGGUUUUGAAAUUGGAACAUCUUGGAUUACUGCAGACUUGUACCCCUUGGUUUCAAAGGUAAGGAAAGGCAUUGCUUGAGUACAAUUUGGAGGCAGCUUCUUCACCAAUUUUAUUUGGAGGCGAUUGGCAGCGGAUCCAGCUGCACCAAUUUCAGAGCAACUACUGACACUACUUCGAACAGCACACUGAAGAAGUGAUAUGUCUACGGCGAAGGCAAUGCAGUCCUCAUUUUGGCUUGAGACACAGUAAUCAUCGAAGAGAGUUUCCUUGUGAAACUGGGCAACACAUUGAAUCCCUUCGGCACUGAGAAGGUUGUGGAGGAAGUAAGCUUUCUCUCUAGUAAGGAAGAGGUGGCAUACAUUCCCCAUUUUGUCUAGGGCAGGUAGGAAUCUUUUUUCUAAGAGAUUUACUUCAUUCUCUGUGAGAAAUGCUUUGAACUUCAUCCCUCUGUCUCUAUCCUCACUUAUCAGUAAAAUAGUUGAAAGCGCUACAAGGAGAGAAAAGAAGAGUAUUAAGAUAUAUAUAUUAUAUAGACAAGAAAAACAUUAGAUGUCGAUCUUACAAGCUAAUACUUCAAACAAUAUCCUAGAAAGCUAAAAACUGCAAGAUGGCUUGAAAUUUGAAAAGAGCACGUGCUUUUCCUCCUUAACUUGAGAAAAUGUUUAAUAUAGUGCACCUUACAGAAGCAUUUAAGCAAUUAGAACUUUGCACAAAAACAUCAAGAAGACUAAACAAGUCAGAUGCAGUGUAUUUGUCCAAGCACAAAUUGCAUUUUGUCCUCAACUUUAAUAUUUAUUGAUGAGAAUCAAUACAGGUCCCUCAUUUGUUAUAGAAAGCUUUCUUGUAGUCUCACCAGUUAAUAUGGAUAUUAGAUAAGGAAACUUUAUUAGGUUGCGAGGGUAAAAAAGGAAAGAGAUAUCAUUAUUUUAUUAUCGAUAAUUAUUAAAUUUUUUUCCAAAAAAAAGAACAAGCAAGGAUAUUUUAUUGUCAAUUGCAACCUUUAAUUUUUUUAAAUGCUAUUAGAAACACAAGAUAACAAAAAUGUAGUGAGAUGGGAUCUCCUGCAUGCCACUCUGGUUUAGAACACAAAGAAUGUGUCUGCAUAAAUAUCCUCUGAAAUUGAACAACCCACAAACACAAAGCACCUCCAAGUCGGAGGCAUUGUACAAAACAUCAAAAGCCCUUGAAUCCUUCUCGUUGCCACCAACCUCGAAUUCUUCCUUCACUAUGUAUGUUAUAGGUCCAUCAGAACUAAUAUGUUUUGUGCUAUAGUAAGAGUACAUAGCCUCCACCUCCAUCUGAAACUUCCUUAACAUUUCAUUUGUGUACAGUUUUGAGAGUUGAAAUUCAUAGUAACAUCUUGGUUUCCGGAUACAACUUGAAUUUCUUGAAUCCAUAUCUGCCAAGGCUACCAGUUGAUAAUUCGCCUGCAGUGCUUGAUCAUACUUGUCUAAGAAUUCUUUCAAAGGAGUAUUCUUAUCAAGAUAUCCUUCAAAGUAUGAAGUAGAAACCUCAUUCUGCAGGAACGAAAACACUCCUGAUAAAAAAGCUUCCUUCAAAUAAAUAGGAGCCCACCUUUUAUGAUCUUCAUAUAAAGUUUGAAUCCAUCCGUGAUCCUUUAUUCCAUGACAUUGAAUCAUGUCUUCCCAAGCUGCUUCAAAUUUCUCAGGCCUGAGAGAGUGAUAAAUUGCUCUAUGUAAUGCAGCUUUAAUAGCUUCAUAUUCAAACAAUCCUUGGAGUUUCUCUGGAAUUUUUUUGCAUGAUGCAUGACAAUGAAAAGAAAUGAUAAGCUCUUGGGAAAACAUCACCAACAGCAAUUUGCAAGAUUCUACAUUGGUCAGUGAUGAUUGUUUGUGGAGAGCGCCCUAACAUACAUGUAAGCCACGCCGUAAACAACCAUGUAUAUGAUUCUAUGGUCUCACUGGCAAGUAAACCACAACCCAACAACACUGAUUGUCCAUGAUGAUUCACCCCAAUGAAUGAAACCAGUGGUACAUCAUAUCUUUCAGUCAGGCACGUAGUAUCAAUUAAGACCACAUCACCAAAGUACCUAUAUGCAACUCUUGACCUGGUAUCAGUCCAGAAUAGGUUUUUCAAGCAUCCCUUUUCAUUUAGAUCCACUACAUUAAAAAAGUUUGGAUCUGUCAACUGCAAAUGACAAAAGAAACUCUGGACAGCUUGUGCAUCUCCUGGUUUAAGCUUCAAUUGAUUUGAGCUAUUAACAUUAUUUCCAAAUACUCCAUUAACAUCUACCAUUUCCCUUGGUAUCAAUGAUAAGAGUUCGAAACAGUUUAAUUUUUUGAACUUCUUCAGCACUAUCUAAAUGCAAUGUUCUUUUGGUUCCAAUACCUAUGUGCUUAUGUGACUUGUAAAACUUUCCGCUUCUUGGGCUUAACAAGUGGUUAUGCUCAAGCUCGACUUCAAUGAUUCUCCACCUUUUGGUUUCCAUCAACCUAAACUUUAUCAUUGCUGGACAGCCAGUUCUUGUUUCUGGUCUUGGGCGGUUUGCCUCGCUUUUCUUCUUGAAGCCUGCACUACUACAGCUCAGCUUUCCUCUAUACUUUUCUCUACUCUUUCGGUACCAUGGAUUGCUAACUCUAACACCAAAACCCUGUUCCUUGGCAUAGCAAUUGUAAAAGUAAUAUACAUCAUCAUACAUCUCAAACUCCAUUCCAACAGUAGGAGGCAAGGGAUUUUGGAUUAUCCCAGUUUGUCCAACAUAUUCAGUCAUCGCACAAUCUCCUACAACCUCAAAAUCAUCAGUGUCAUCAUCACCUACUGGUUCGGUGUUGAGAGAAACUUCAUCCAUCUACAAUGGAUGUUCAAUGAAGUGAGCUUUAAGGAGAAAAAGCAAAAUCUGUUCAAGGAAUGAUAAUAUAAUCAUACAGUUACUUUCACAAAGCUUCAUAUUUCAUCACUGCUUUACCAACAUGCAACUGCCAGAGAACAAACAGACAUGUCAUAGACGCUUGAAUUAAGUAUUGGUACAAAUGAGCACACAUCAUGUGGGACAAAAUUUCAGUCACUAAACCCAAUACCACUUUUUACAUCAUACCAAGGAACAGAUUAAACCCGACACCUUCUUUUAAACCAUACCAAGGAACAGAUUAAAUCAUCAAUGAAAAAUUAAUCACAUAAUAACUUAACCAGACAAAUGAAGAGCCUGAAACAGCACAAAACUUGAAUCUGAUUAUGAUAAUUGUUGAGUCCUUGUAUCUACAGCUUUCCUUCAAUGAUAAGACAAUGAACAUAAACGAGACACAAAAAAAUUAUUUUAAACUGACAGCCCAUGAUAUAAAUCAAACAAAAUCAACUCCUUUUUUUACACAUUACAUCUCAUAUUCAUUUACAUUGAAACACAAAAAGGAAGCAGGAGUGGGAAAAAAACAACAGCAGAGGAACUUAUUUCCAUAAGGUUUACGAAAUAAGGAAUCUAUUAAAACCCAAAACUUGAGGUCACCACUAAGAAUUUGGUUCUCAUUAUUUUUUUCUUCAUUUUUCACCAAUUGAUGAACUUAAAAUACAAUCAUAAAUGAUAAAACCCCAUCUCCAUCUUUUUGAACUAGAGCUAAAGCAAAGCAUUUUAAGAUGUUUCAUCAUUUUUUUUUUUAAAAAAAACUCAAUAGUACAAUGUUUUUCAAUGCUAAAUGCACAAUUCAAUCUUCUCCUAAUUUACUCUAAUAAUCUCUUAAUUAAGGAAGAUUAAGCUUCAGUUGUAAGCUAAAACAAAUUUCUUAAAUCAAGCCCCAAUGCUUUAUGCUAUUCAACAAGGGCUCAUAAAUGAUAAAACUACUUCUAUAAAGAUACCCAUUUUCUAAAUUAAUUUCACAAACUGAAAUCAAACUCCUGAAACGUAACGAGCAUUAAUAUAAUCAAGCCCGAACAAGAAUUGAAAAAUGAUACAUAAACUCGUUUACACAUUUCGACAGACACUUUGCAAUCAAUGAGCAAAAAAUUAAUGGAGAAGAUAAAAUUCAAACGAAACAUGCCUUACAUUGAUAAAUUAGAAGGGCAAAAGAAAUUUUAGUACGAUAUGCGAUCAGGGUCUUGCCACGGUGAUGUUAUUUGUGAAGUUCGAGCGACUCAGCAGCCUUCGAGGUUGAAAAUUUGAUUGACCAAAAGCUUCCCGUUCGUUGAUUCUCUAAUAGUAGAAACGAGACUGGCAGUAUACACAAGAAGUUCGCCGAUUUUAAAUUCCGUUGUUUGAGAUGGAAAAUUUUUUGAAAAAAUUAAUGUGUUCGAUGAAAAUCAAAAUCUCAAAAACCUCUUGUUUUUCAUUUUUUUGGAAAAAACCAUUGAGAUCCUUACUAUUUUUUCUUAUAUCAUCUUCCUUAAUAAUUUGCAAAGUCUAUCGCAUAGCACCCAUGUAUGAUGUAUGCUGCGUUGUAAUUUACAAAAUUGCACAUGAAUAAAUCCAGCUAAAAUUUGUUAAAAGAAAAUAAUAAUAACAUGUUAAAACUUUAAAAUUUGAUUAUUCGAAGAAAUUUUAAUUUAGUUAAGUAGGUGACAUGAUAAUAAAUAGAUACGUAUAAUGUCCGAGAUUUUUUAUAAGAUUAAUAAAUAUGAUAAAUUUGGAUUAGUUCAAUUUUGACAUAAUUCAUAAUAAACACAGCUUGCUAAUCUAAAUUGCCACCGUUACUCAUCAUCAGGUACCUGUUUGAAAAAUAAUUACAAACAAUUUUAUUUGUGUUGUUUCUCUAAAAGUUUGAGACACAAAUGUUAUUUCAAAUUGAUAAAAGUACGAAAAUUCCCCCUUGCUCUUCAACUAAAAAUGAAACAUGCAAAUAUACACACUAAUUUAGAUGUGUGAAUAACAAAUAUGGAACGACACAUGCAAAGUCAUCUGUAUAAUUGAAACGCCAUGCACUAGUAGUAGGUAAGAGAAACCAAGGUUGAAGUUGCUCCAAUGGUUACUGUUAAUUUAUUUUUAUUUAUGAUUUUUUUUGUAAAAUGUAAGAAAUAUGUAGAAAUGUUGCCAGCAAUGAUUUUGGAACUUUGCAUAAAAUUUUUAUCAUUAUUGUUUUUGGUAUUAAGAAAUCCGAGGCGGUGAUUAGACGUAUGUUGCAACAAUUAAGAAAUUUCUUAUUGGAGAUAAUUUGGUAGGUUUGCAGCAAUUAGAGAAUAAUUUUCCUGCCAGUUAAUCAAUCAAUAAUAAAUUUCAAAUUGCAGAAAAUAAAAUAAUACAGCCUCACUUAGAAUCAUCUUUUCUAUCUCUUUCAAUUGUGGCAAUCAUUUGCAACAAAUAAAUCAAUUUGAUGCACAUCAUUUCCCCAAUUCAAAGUUCAAGUCACUGCUCAAUUACAGAGUAGUUAGUGGACAUGCAUGCAUGUUUAAUUAAGUACUGCAUUGUAGUAUCGAAAAUCAUAACAUCUCACCAAUAUCAGAUUAUUAACCAUGGAAAUCAUAUCACAAUAUCAUAUAGAAUUCACAAAUCUGAAAAUCAUCACCAAACAAGUACCCAGAGAAAUAAUCUCGUCAUAUCCAGACCUCAACGGACGGGCAAUGACGUACUAUUUGGGUAACGUCACACCCUGGAGCUACACGGAUAAAUAGGAAAAUACCAUCUCAUAUCUCAUCAUAUUUGUGCAUGCAUAAUCUAGUCCCCAAGGGACAAAAGCGCCCAAGCACACGGCCCAAAGCCUCUAUGUGUACUCAGACGGGCCCCAAAGGCCUGUAUCUCAUAUGUAUCAUAUGUAUCAUUUGUAUCUCAAUAUCUGUUUGUAUCUCAUUUCCGUAUAUCUAUAAUCAUCAUACCGCAUGCAUAUGCCCCCAAAAGACAAAAGCGCCCAAACACAUGGCCCAAAGCCUUUAUAUGUGUUUAGACGGGUCCCAAAAGCCUCUUAUCUCAUCUUAUCUGUAUCACUGUAUCUGGAGAGAAGGGUACUGUCUAAUGAUUUAAAAAACAAUCAUUAUACUCAUAUUUACAUACCUCUUAAUCAUAUUUGAAAUCAUAUCACAUUUGAAUCCACUUUUCUAAUCUUUAAAAUAUUAUCAUGCUUUAUUCAAAGUCGAUACGCAAAAUCAAUAACCAAACAUUUUAAAUCAAAUUAUUAACCAUGGAAAUCAUAUCACAAUAUCAUAUAGAAUUCACAAAUCUGAAAAUCAUCACCAAAUAAGUACCCAAAGAAAUAAUCUCGUCAUAUCCGGACCUCAACGGACGGGCAAUGACGUACUAUCUGGGUAACGUCACACCUUGGAGCUACACGGAUAAAUAGAGAAAUACCAUCUCAUAUCUCAUCAUAUCUGUGCAUGCAUAAUCUAGUCCCCAAGGGACAAAAGCGCCCAAGCACACAGCCCAAAGCCUCUAUGUGUACUCAGACGGGCUCCAAAGGCCUGUAUCUCAUAUGUAUCAUAUGUAUCAUUUGUAUCUCAAUAUCUGUCUGUAUCUCAUAUCCGUAUAUCUAUAAUCAUCAUACCGCAUGCAUAUGCCCCCAAAAGACAAAAGCGCCCAAACACAUGGCCCAAAGCCUUUAUAUGUGUUCAGACGGACCCCAAAAGCCUCUCAUCUCAUCUUAUCUGUAUCACUGUAUCUGGAGGGAAGGGUACUGUCUAAUGAUUUAAAAAAUAAUCAUUAUACUCAUAUUUACAUACCUCUUAUCAUAUUUGAAAUCAUAUCACAUUUGAAUCCACUUUUCUAAUCUUUAAAAUAUUAUCAUGCUUUAUUCAAAGUCGAUACGCAAAAUCAAUAACCAAACAUUUUAAUAAAAUACCAAUGCAUAAAUAAAAUUCAUUUCGAGAAAUCAUUAAAUCAGAACAUUUAAAAUACUUAUUUCGCAAACAUGCUUUACUAUCAUCGCUAACUAUGAAAAUAAGUUUUGUAUAUUCCACUUUCAGUGAUGGUGUUCACGGUCGGUUAUCGUCCAUAUCUGCAGACCGAUUCUCGCUCGCGAAUCCUCCUAAAUCAAGGAAACGACAUAAUUAUUUUUUGUAAAUCGGAAUUAUGACUAAAUUUUAUGCAAUAAACUCAAAACGAACAUCUAUUCAUAAUUGACAACUCCUAUAUCCAUAAAAUUACUAAAAUAUCCUUGAGUCCGUAGAUCAUUAACAUGCUCCGAAAUCGUAAAUCACUGAAUUACCCUCGGAAUCGUAAUUACACCCGAUCCUCAAUUAUAGGAAUUACUAACAGAUCCACAGGCUUAGAAAUUACAAAAUUGCCCUCGUAGUGUGAAAUUACCAAAAGCCGGAAGUUGGUCAACAAUGGCUAGGAAGCUCAAAUCGUAAAGUUCCAAUCACGCUGAGUUCAAUGGUACCGGCGGUGAGCUCCAACGCGCGACAACGAUGCCAGAAUCUAGCUCGGCAGCCGUGAAUUCCACCAAUCGACCGGCGGCACAACAGUGACUCUCGGUGCCUAUGGAUGGUCGAAAAUGGAAGAGGGAGCCGUGGGGAACAAAAUCCAACCGGUGGUGUCACCAAAACCGGUGAAAAUCCCGGCGGAGCAAAGUGAAACAGUCGCGGGUUUCAUGCUUCGAUCGCCGGUGUUCCGAUUGGUUUUUGGCGAGGAGGAUGGCAAGGGAACGACAGCCGGCUUCUAAGCUUCAGAUUGGUACCAAGCUCGGCCGAAACGAUGGCCGGAAAUGGGAGAUAUGACCGGGUCAAGGUCGCGGGUUCCGGGUCGGGUUUUUUGGUCUGUAGUUGGGUCGGUUUGGUAGCUUCUCUCUCACUCUCUGUUACACGUGCAUAUGUUUCCUCUGUUUCCAGCUUAUUCUUUUGCUUUUACUAACUUCUUAACCGCCUCAUACUUAUUCAUUUUUAAUUCACAUAUGUUACAAUAAUUCCCGAGUAUUAAAUAACCAGUGGUCAUAAUUUUUGUACAAGAUUCUUUUUUUUUUUUGGAGAUCGUUAAAAGUGGUUGACGAUCCAUUUCGUAAUAUCAUAGAGGGAUCAUCAAUUCCUUUUCUUUUCUGUGGCUAGGCAACACUUUUUGGCCAAAGUAAGGAAAUCUAUUUUAGGUAAUGUAAAAACCAGUUGUAGGAUGUAAUAGUUUAUUAUGCACUGACAAUAACUUUUUGUAUAAUUGUCAGUUUAAUGAAUGCAAGAGGAACUCUGUUGGCAAAUUCAUCCAAGAUAGAUGCUAAAAUUAUUUAUGCAUGCCAGUUGCCUUAACUAAGUUUUCUCAGCACUGGUUUUGAACAGGAAAAUGAAUAUGCAAUUUGUAUAUUGUGCCAUAGUGGAGAAUUUGGAUAUUCUUAUUUAAGUAACAAGGAGAUUAUUUGCCUCAUCUUUAAACAAUGAAUCUUUGAGAGAUGAGGAGUGGGUGAUUGGAUGUGUCUUCAUGUAAUUGUUCAUUUAUUUGUAUUUUGAACUGUUAUGAAAAUCUUUAUAUGCCAAAUUAGUAAUACAAGUAUUCAGAUGAUUUUUCCUAUUGAUCAUGCAUUUGUAUCUGCCCACAACCAUUGUAUAUCACUUUAUUCUGAUGCGCAAGCAUCUGUAAUUUAGAAGAAAAGAAAUAAUAAUCAUAUUUUAUUGCUUGGUUCAUGAUUAUUAACGAUUAUGGCUUUAAAAAUCUACAAAUUUCUUGUGUUCAUGUAUGAAUGUGCCAAGUUUGCUGUAUCUUAGAUUACCUUCUUCCAAGGUAACAAGUUCAUAUAUAUAUAUUUUUUAAAUCAUUUUCCAUUACAGUUGAAUUUCAAGUGUUAGUUUUGUUAUUAGUACCUGGUUUCCUGUUAUAAGGAUCUAAUAAACAGUGUACGGAUAUGUGCUCUACUUUUGGAGGGCUUCCACGUGAAAGAAAAUUACAACAAUUGAAUUCUUCCGGAGGAUAUGGUAAUUAAUUUAUUUUCUCAACUUCUUGUAAGACUAAUAUAUUUCCUUCAGUAGGCACAGCAUGGUGGGAAGGGUUUUUAUUGAAAGAAUUCUGAUAUUUCUUAGACUUUGUUUUGGAAGGGGGUGGAGGAAUUUCUCAUCCAUAUAUGGUUACUUGAUUAGCUUUUGACUGUAUUGUCUCUGUCGUGCAAAGGAAAAUCUAAAUACUAACGAUGGGGAAUUGCUUAGGCACCCAAAAGGCAGAAAUGAAUUACAGAAGGAAGUUUUUGCUGCUUUAUUUAGUGCUGCUGAGAAAUCUGAUGAAUUUCCUGAAAUUACGGUGAAGACCGAGUGGAGGUCCAAAGCAUUAGGAAAGGUGGUGAGUGAACUGCCGGAGGAAUUUGUACCAAAAUACAAGGCUAAUGUGGUGCACUUGCAGCAAGAUAACCAGACCGGUAUGUGCUCUUAUAUUAACUAUAUUGACUGGAUUUGUGAGUGUGUGCAUUUUUUUGUGUAUACUCACUUUUGUAUUUAUGCAUAUUAACAUGUGUAGGAUUCUUGAUUUCUGCCACUUACUGGAGAACUAGUGGAAAGCUUUAUAUUGAUAUAUCUGCAAUAACUAAUGGAAACUAUGAUAUGAAUAUUUUCUCUCACCUGGGGAGCUGUGUAACAGAUAUACUUUGUGGCUCUGGAAUGCUGAAGAUUCUGCAAUAACUAAUGGAAAAUAUGAUAUGAAUAUUUUGUCUCACCUGGAGAACUUUGUUACAGAUACCCUUUGUGGCUCUGGAAUGUCUAAAGAAUGCUUUAGUUAGAUCAAAUAUCUUUUAGUUAGAAAAGAUAAAAUUCUCUGAGUCUGAAAGACUGAAACAUUUUGCAUAUUUUGUGAAAGGGAAAUAUCUGUUGAUACUAGCUCAUGCAUUGAGGUAAUAUCGAUGUUAAAGAAAAACAGCAAUGAUUUAUGAUAUAGAAUUGGGUUCACUUGCUUCAAAUGCUGGUCUGAUCAACCAUAUCAACCUGUAAUGAUUCUGCAGAAAUAUAUAUACAUGGAGAAAGUAGCUAAAUUUUUCUUUCAUUUAUGGGUUCGGUCUUUUUUCCCCUUAUUUUUCAGCUUUCCUUCUCCUGAAGUAUGUUAACAAUUGCAGAUAAUGAUGAAGACGACAGCUUCCGGGCUCUCCUUAGAGCCGUGAUGGAAUAUAGGGGCACAAUGAAGGAAUAUUGUAAAGCUGUAGGUACUUUUUCUCCUUUCAUUUAUGUUUUCUCACACAUUUUGUAUAUGCCCUGAACAUGCACCUUUGUAUGUAUCAAUUGACUUUUAAAUUUUAAAAGCCAUAAAGUAAGAAUACGGUUCCUUGUCAGGCUACUGAUGACAUUCGCUCAGGGGGAUCAUGUUCGAGCAGGAAAAUUUCUAGAACAGGUAAGGUUUCCAUCUACAGCCAUCCAUUGACAGCAGAUACAUUUUCAUUCAGCAGACUCUGUUAGCAUUCAAGAUGCUGGCAGAUUCACUUGAUUCUUAUUAGCUUGUUUAGUGGCAAAGCCUAUAACCUGUAUUUCAAAGCCAAGUUGUGCUAUUGAUUAUGUUAACUUUUUUGUUAACAUAAAAUGAUAUGGAGGAAAUAAUCAGUGUUGGAAAAUUAGGUGAAAAGAUGAUGUCAAAUCUUGAACCUCUUACGAAACUCUAAGUUCUUUACUUGAAGAGGCUACGAAAUUUGAACAGCGUCUACUCGAAGGCCUUGCCAUUCCCUGAUGCAUGCAGAAUUUUUGUAUUUAAAUGCCCAGAGCUUAAGAAGCUGCCACUGGAUCUUGAAGGGGCAGACCAAGGUAAAAAUCUUAUCAAGGGAAAGGAAGAUUGGUGGAAACAACUUAAUGGGAGGAUCAAGUAACUCAGAAUGCAUUGCUUCCAUUUUUUAAAUUGACUGACAAGUGAUUGAACGGGGCAUCAUCAACAUCAUCAACAGGGAUGGAGAGAUACCGGAGCAGAUCAGCAGGGUUUGAAUAUGACCUUUGGCGGUUGCUUUUUUUUUGUGAUUUUUUUUUCAUUUUUUCCUUCCUGUCAUUUUAUCAUUUCUUUCUCUGUUUCUAUUGCGGGUGUUACUGCAUGCUUACUGUUGCUUGACAAAGUUUGCUAGCUUUUUGUUUGCAGUGUUGCUAUACACUCCGAGUCAAGCCUCGAAAAUUUAUUAAACGAAGCCGUUUCGACAGUAACAAUUCUUUUCUUUUCCCUUUGCAUGUCUCUUUCAUCUGCUGUUUCUCUAUCACUUUUCAUUUUUGAUUUCCUUGCUUCUCAGCUGCCCCUAAAUUGUUAUUCUAGCAAUAUACUUUCUCAUCUUUGAAUUUUCAUCCUUGAGUACUCCCACAGCCGUAAUUUCAUCAUCAUAGACUUCACUUGGAAUGCUGUAUUUUUUCGAUUCUUGAGCUACUUCAAUUACAUCUUAGUAUAGGAUCCUCAUCUUCCUUUAUUUCUUCAUCUUAUGAGGUAAUAAAUGGAUUUCACAACUCAUCUACUUUUAAGCAAUUACAUAUUAUACCUUGAAUGAUUCAACUGUUCUGACAGUUAAAGAUUUUAUGCUCAACCUGCAGUGCUACGAACAUUGUCCAUGAAAGAUGAGUUUCAGCAUAUAAAAUGAAAUAUAGAUGUUUAAUCUAAAAUAACCCUUCACUGCCAGAAACCUAGGUCACAAAAUUCACAGAUAAUGAUAAAGAGCUAAAAAAUUUGAAAAACUCUACAGAUCACACAUCAAGCAAGAUAUCAUGUUUUUUUCCCUCAUUCAGUGGUGAUUGAUUCGCUUUUUGAUGAUGGAUAUGGUAUAAAAGUGUUGACCCAAUUUCAAGCAAACACAAAUAGAAACACAAACACAAUCGGGACUAGAGUUGUGGGCGAUUAUCUUAGGUGUACAAGUGAAACGGUGGUGGCUGUCGAUGGUGGUAGUGGGGUGGUUGGGUAUGCGUGAUGGCUAGAUUUUAGGACAAUAAUGAUUGGAGUUGACCUCAAUCAACGAAGGAAAGUGACAACAAUUUUGACAUCAAACGGUGCAUUUUUUAGCUUAGUAAAAUGGAGCCGUUUCGAUUUUGGGGUUUAAUCCGGGGUUUGACUCGGUGCAAGUAUCAUUUUCCUUUUGUUUAUUAAAUUUUUUUAUGGUCACAAAGUAUCACUCGUUCUAUUUGAGAGUCAUGUGAAUCAAUUUUUCAAAUUUUCAAUUUUAAAUUUUGUGGUCAAUGUGAAUUCAAUUUCAUUUGUCUCCUGCAAUUAUGAAAAAAUUAAAUAGUCAUAAUAUGGAAAAAUACACCGGUAAAAACUUUGUAAAAGCUUCGGAGUGAUACGGGGAAUUCACUUACUACUAAGGACAAUUGGUGGCAAGCUAUUCCAUUCAUUUUAUGUCCAUCCAUCUAUUUAGUUAUUGAAGAUAAGUGGUCCAUUUGUAAAUUUCAGAUUGUCUCUCUCUCCCUCUUGAAAUAACAAUAUUUAAUAUAUCUCAUAAAUUAUUAUAAAUUUUAAUUUACUCUCGAUUUAAAAUGGAGCAUGUCGAUAAAUUUUUUUUCUUCUUAAUAAAAUUGACGUAAGUUGUGUUUACAGUAGUUUGAAGUUUGAAAUAUUUUAAAGAUUAUUAUUCUAUAAGGGAGUAAUAUGAAAUGAUAUUUACUUUUCAUGUGUGAAAUGAAAAAGGACGAAGCAAGUGUCCCUGCUUUUAUUUUAUUUCAAGGAGGAGUCAUCUCACAUACUUUAGCUCUUAACAUUACAUUUUUUCUGGUUACAUUUUUUAUUUAUUUAUUUUUUUUUUUUUACACAUGCGUGUGGGUUGCUUUUCUGUAAGCUCCUUAAUAUAUAUUUAAGACAAAUCAUGGAAGAGAUGGGAUUAUAUCAAGAUGAUCAAAGAAUGUUAAAAAAGAAAAAAGAAAAAAAAAAGAAGUAAGACACUGAAAAUGGAGAAGAGAUGGAAGCAAAAGAUAUUCCAAAACAAAGCAAUCUAUCCCCUUUCGAGGGCAGACUUAUCAGGUUUAAAAAAGUACACGCUUUGGAUUGGUAGUUGCAAUCAAGGGAAAAUAAAUAGGAUCCAAUGAAAUUUAAAUCUCGGAGAAAAUAAAUAAUCAUGCAGAUUUUCAAGAUUUUAAUAAGGGAUACUAAUAUCUUAUUUUGAUUAAUAAUAUCCUUUCAUUGUGUUAACUCAAAAAAUAUAUAUUUUAAUGUUUUGCAAUAAACAGAAACGUACUAUUAAAAUGAAUAUAUAAAGAAUUUAGAAAAUUUUGAAUGUUAUAUAAAAUAAUUUUAAGAUAAUGCGUGAGAUAUAUUUUAUUAAUUUAAAAUGUUAUUUUACCUAAAAAAUAUGAUAAAUUAAUAAUUACAUAUUUGAAGUUAUUUUAAAUAUUAAAAAAAUUUAAUAUUAUUAAUCUUUUAGAUAGAUUAAAUUAUUUUUUAUAAGAGAUAGAUUAAAUUAUUUUAAAAUACGUUAAUUGUUUUUACUUUUAACGUUACCGGCCUUUCUUUUAUUUUAUUGCAAAUUAAUGCUAACAAGAAAAAGCUAGAUCAUAUUCCACAAAAGCAAAAGUGACAAACACAACCAGCUGGAAUCUUUUAAUUACUAUUCAAUAAUUCGAGACGAUUAGGGUCUUUUAUUAAACUACAAAUUGUAUAGUCUUUUUAAAAUUGUUAUAAAUUGGUGGCACCUACAAUCCUCAAUAAUUGUACCGAUAUUCACAAGUUGGUGGCCCCUACAAUUCUGUUCGGAUAAUUUAACUGUGCAAGUGCUCAUUCACAAUAAUUGUUUUGUUUUUUUUUUCUGCAUUCCCUUUCAUGCUCUUAAUAAUUGAAGAGCAUACUUUUCAUUUUCAAAUGUGGAGCCGCAGCUAAUGUCGCUAAUUUAAUUUGGGAUUAAAUUAGGGGACCAUUAUAUUGCAGUGUGCACUAAUUUUUGUGUUUAUCUAAACUCCUUAAAUUUAAGACAUAUUAUGGCAUAAAUAAGAAUAUAACAAUAGCAAAAGAGUUAAAAAGUGUAGAGAAGAUCUUGCAGAAAUAUAAAUAAUAUCUAUUUUAAAAUAAUAUCAAUAUUUAAAAUAAUUUUUAAUAUUUUAUGAUUCAUUAGAUAUAUUUUAUUAUAUUAAAGUAAAUUUUAUAAUAAAUAAAAACAUACUAUUAAAAUGAAUAUAUAGAAAAUUUAGAGUAUUUUAAGUAUUAUAUAAAAUAAUUUUAAUAAAAUAUGUGAGAUAUUCAUAUUUUAUUAAUUUAAAAUACCAUUUAACCUAAAGAUUUAUUUAUGAUAAAUUAAUAAUUAUAUUUUUGAAGUUACUUCAAAUAUUAAAAAUAUUAAUAUUACUAAUCUAUUAGAUAGAUUAAAUUAUAUAUAUUAUUUUCUAUUUAUUAAAAAAUUUAAAAUUAUUUUUAAUUACUAUUCAAAAAAUAUAAUGAUAAAAAAGAAUCUUAACAUCUUUAUUAAAAAUUUAAAAAUUUACAUGAUCAAUUCUCUAAAUAUUUAGGGUUAUAUGUGAACAACGGUGGAGAAGCUUUAUUUAAUAUUAUUGAUUUAAAUAAUAUGUCAAUUAAAAAUGUACAGAGAAGGAAAUUUCGGUGGGUAUUUUAGUCUUUUCAGCAAUUAUCAUGAUCAGAUCAGCCUUUAGCCUUGAAUCGUCGGUCAGAAAAGUUUUAAAAUUAACGCUAACAAGAAAAAGCUAGGUCAUAUUCCACAAAAGCAAAACUGACAAAACAACCAGCUGGUUUCUUUUACUAAACUACAAAUUAAAAGUGGAUUCUUUUGAAUGCAAGUGGGACAGACGAUUAGGCUCUUUUUAUUAAAGGCAAGUAAAAACUAGUCGAAUAGUCUUUUUCAAAUUGUUGUUUUAUUAUUUUUCCUUCAAAAGUUAGUGUGGCUCAUGUUUGCAGGUGCGAAUGUGGGUCCCGAAUCAUUACUAAAAUUUCUAUUCCACAGCCCACCGCAGCUUCAGUUAAUCAAACUCAAAUCAAUUUUCUUUCUUAACAAAAUAUUCCAAAGAUGUGUAGCAUUUUUCAGAUCACAUGCGAUGGUGCUCUUUUCAAUCGUUGCUUGGAUUGCUUUCUUGGAAAAGCAGCAUACAUACGUAACCUCCAAGAUAAUGUUGAUACCUUGGGCACUGAAUUGGGAAAUCUGAUCGCUAGAAAGAACGAUCUGAUGAGGAGGGUUGUCGAUGCUGAACGGCAACAAAUGAGAAGGCUGGACGGAGUGCAAGUGUGGGUUUCGAGGGUGGAUUCUGUUAAAACUGAAGCUGAUCAAUUUAUAAGAGACGGCUCUCGAGAAAUUGAAAAAUUAUGUGUUGGAGGCUACUGUUCCAAGAAUUGCAUGUCAAGCUACAAGUUCGGGAAAAAAGUGGCUAAAAAGCUACGGGAUGUGCGGACUUUAAUCAGUGAAGGAGUUUUUGAGGUGGUGGCUGACAGAGCUCCAGAGUCUGUAGCAGAUGAAAGACCUACUGAGCGAACAGUAGUAGGCUUGCAAUCACAACUUGAACAAGUCUGGAGAUGUCUUGUAGAAGAAUCAGCGGGAAUCAUUGGCCUAUAUGGUAUGGGCGGUGUUGGUAAAACUACACUACUGACCCAUAUCAACAAUAAAUUUCUCGAGAGUCCAACCAACUUUGAUUGUGCGAUUUGGGUUGUAGUUUCAAAAGACCUGCGACUCGAAAAAAUUCAAGAAGAUAUUGGGAAAAAGAUAGGUUUGGUUGGUGAUUCAUGGAAGAGUAAAAGUGUAGAGGAGAAAGCUGUCGACAUCUUCCGGAGUUUAAGAGAGAAGAGAUUUGUAUUGUUGUUAGAUGAUAUAUGGGAGCGGGUUGAUUUAACAAAGGUGGGCAUUCCACUUCCCGGACCAAAAAAUACUACCUCAAAAGUCGUAUUCACAACCCGUUUCAUCGAUGUUUGUGGUAGCAUGGAAGUUGACAGGAAGUUUCAAGUAGCAUGCUUAUCAGAAAAGGAUGCUUGGGAACUGUUUCGAGAAAAAGUUGGGGAGGAAACUCUUCAGAGUCAUCAUGAUAUCGAUGAGCUAGCCCAAAUUGUGGUCAAAGAGUGUGGUGGUUUGCCACUCGCACUUAUUACUAUUGGUCGAGCUAUGGCCUACAGAAAGAAAGCGGAGCAGUGGAGACGUGCAAUUGAAGAGUUAAGGAGAUCAGCUUCAGAGUUUGCAGGUUUGGGAAAAGAGGUUUAUCCUCUUUUAAAAUUCAGCUAUGAUAGUUUGCAGAAUGAUACGGUUAGAUCUUGUUUCUUGUACUGUUGUUUAUAUCCUGAAGAUUAUGGCAUUCUUAAAUGGGACUUGAUUGAUUGUUGGUUUGGCGAGGGAUUUUUUGGGGAAUCUGACAGGUCUGGUGCAGAAAACCAAGGAUAUGACAUUUUGGACACUCUUGUUCGUGCGUGUUUAUUAGAAGAGGUGGAAGAUGAUGAAGUAAAAAUGCAUGACGUUAUUCGUGAUAUGGCUAUAUGGAUAACUUGUGAAAUUGAGAAGGAGAAGAGAAACUUUUUGGUUCGUGCAGGUGCUGGAUUAAAAGAUGCACCGGGUGUUAAAGGAUGGGAAAAUGUGAGAAGAUUGUCAUUGAUGCAAAACCAAAUUGAAACUCUGGCAGAGGUUCCCACAUGCCCUCAUCUCCAUACUCUAUUUCUUGACUUUAAUAGGGGGUUGGAUAUGAUCGCGGAUGGCUUCUUUCAAUUUAUGCCUUCUCUCAAAGUUUUGAAGAUGUCAAACUGUUCGAAUUUGAAAUUACCUGUUGGGAUGUCAGAGUUGGGUUCAUCACUAGAACUUCUUGAUAUUUCAGAAAACAGCACAAGAGAGUUACCGGAAGAGUUAAAGAAGUUGGUAAAUCUGAAAUGUUUGAAUUUGAGGUGGACAGAGCAUUUAAAUAAAAUUCCACGGCAACUAAUAUCAAAUUCUUCAAGGUUACGUGUGUUGAGAAUGUUCGCUACUGGCCGGUUCAAUUUUCAUGAAGCACCAGAAGACAGCGUUUUAUUUGGUGGGGGUGAAGUUUUGAUACAGGAAUUGCUCGGUUUGAAAUAUUUAGAGGUAUUGGAGUUGACCUUGGGAAGUUAUCAUGCUCUCCAAAUUCUUUUGAGCUCAAAUAAGUUAAAAAGUUGUAUUCGAUCUCUUUACCUCGAGUUGACCGGAGAUACAACGUCAAUUAUUGAUGCUACGGCUUUCGCAGAUCUAAACCACCUCAAUGAAUUACGGAUUGAUAAUGGUAUUGAGUUGGAAGAGUUGAAGAUUGAUUAUACGGAGAUAGUACGAAAAAGGCGGGAACCUUUUGUUUUCCGCAGCCUUCAACGUGUUACCAUAGCGGAGUGCCAUAAAUUGAAAGAUGUGACAUUCCUCGUUUUUGCUCCAAACCUCAAGUCUCUUCGGCUAUUCUAUUGCGGUGCUAUGGAAGAAAUAAUCAGCGUCGGAAAAUUUGCUGAGACUCCUGAGAUGAUGGGACAUAUAAGCCCUUUUGAAAAUCUCCAAAUGCUUGAUUUACAAGGUUUGCCACAUUUGAAGAGCAUCUUCUGGAAGCCAUUGCCUUUCACUCAUCUGAAAGAAAUGGAGGUACUUAGGUGCGAUCGGCUUGAAAAGCUUCCACUCGAUUCCAACAGUGCAAAGGAGCGCAAAUUUGUUAUUCGUGGAGAAGAAGACUGGUGGAACCGACUUCAAUGGGAGGAUGAAGCCACUCAAAUUGCUUUUCGUUCCUGUUUUAAAAGUGAUGCUUUAUUUAUAUCUUAUUCGUGAAAAGUGAUUUAAUUUCCUGCCAAAAGACGAACGAGAAGAACAAUAGAGUCAAACUAAUGCUCACAUAAAUUUCCCGUAAGAAUAUAUAAUUAGAUUGGAAUGCACACCUCUAGAUUGAACAGAAUUAAAGCUGAGAAAAUAUUGAGUAUAGUAGCCCUCUUUACAGAAAAUGACGUGAAAGUUAAUUUAGAAAGAUAUAUUCUUGAUUAAUCCAUUUUCUGAAGUUUUUAUUUUGUAUGGUCAAUUAUACCUUCAUACUAAAAAUUUCUGAAGUUAUAAAUUAGUGCAACUUGACAAUUUUUACUGAUGAUAUCUUCUAUUUUUCCCUUUUUUUUUUUUUCACUUUCAUAGACUGGCAGCGGAUCCUGCGGCACCAAUUUGAGAGAAUAUACUGACACUACUUCGAACAGCAAGCAGAAGAAGUAAUAUGUCUACGGCAAAGGCAAUGGAGUCCUCAUUUUGGCUCGAGAUGCAGUAAUCAUCGAAGAGAGUUUCCUUGUGAAACUGGGCAACACAUUGAAUCCCUUCACCACUGAGAAGGUUGUGGAGGAAGUAAGCUUUCUCUCCAGUGAGGAAGAGGUGGCAUAUACCUUCCCCAUUUUGUUGAGGGCAGGUAGGAAUCUUUUUUCUAAGAGAUUUACUUCGUUCUCUGUAAGAAAUGCUUUGAACUUCAUCCCUCUGUCUCUAUCCUCACUUAUCAGGAAAUAAGUUGAAAGCACUAUGAAGAGAGAGAGAGAGAGAGAGAGAGAGAGAGAGAGAGAGAAUUAAGAUAUAUAGACAAGAAAAAUAUUUGACGUUGAUCUUACAAACUAAUACUUCAAGCAGUAUCCUAGAAAGCUAAAAACUGCAAGAUGGCUUGAAAUUUGAAAAGAGCACAUGCUUUUCCUCCUUAACUUGAGAAAAUGUUUAAUAUAGUGCACCUUACAGAAGCAUUUAAGCAAUUAGAACUUUGCACAAAAACAUCAAGAAGACUAAACAAGUCAGAUGCAGUGUAUUUGUCCAAGCACAAAUUGCAUUUUUUCCUCAACUUUAAUAUUUAUUGAUGAGAAUCAAUACAGGUCCCUCAUUUGUUAUAGAAAGCUUUCUUUCUUGUAGUCUCACCAGUUAAUUCAGAGGUCUAUAAUCAUCUUGCAAAGUUAAGGGCAUUUCUUUUGAUCUAAAGUCUUUGCAUCACCACCUCAUCACACGCCAAGCCAAUAUUCCAUUUACCUCUACAACAAAAAGUUUUAAUUAAACAAUCCUAAUGCACGCAGCCAAAUAAAAUGCAGUAAGAAUAUUCAACUUAAAAAUCUGAAAGCCAACUUGGUGAAUUGCCUCCUUAGGUGAAGUUCCAUGCUUUACUAUAGUUGACAGAACUCAGCAAAAGCUUCCAUACAACAGAUUUUGAAAAUGAUGAUGCCAACAGAUACUCAUUCAAUGCAUUGAAACUCCAAAGGUUCAUUGUUCAUAGAAGUUUACAGAGUUUUGGUCAUCAAAUAGCUCAGACCUAAUCCCAAACAAAAAAUGAGUGAAAAUUAGAUCACGAGCAGCUAAUUGUAAAUUCUAACUUAACUCUUCAUCUCCUUUGUAAACAAGAAACAAAAUGGAGACACGCAAAAUGAAUAUGGAGAAAAUUUGAACUCAAAUGAAAUGAGGGCAUGAAAGCAAACAAAUGGCAUGCACCAAAAAACCAAGCCUCAAUCAAAAACUAAUUAACCAUUAAGAAAAAAAUUGGUCAGAGAAUGAACUCCAAAUUCAGGAGUCAAGCAAGAAGCUUUCAUUAUUAUCAAAGUCAAUUAUCUUUGUUAGUAUGCGAGUGUGACGACUAUAGGUUGUUCUUUUUCUAAUGUCAUAUGAUUCCAAUUUUAGGUACAGGGCAUCUCUCUCUCUCUCUCUCAUCGCUAAGUGGAUAUUUUUCUCUUUUGUCAUAUACUUUAGUUAUUCUUCAAUUUACUAACUAAAAUGAAGGCCGCUUUAUUAAGAAGUUAUAUCCAGUUAUAUAAUUUGUUGUAUUUAAUAUAUGUUUGGGCUCAUAAUUUUUUUUAAAAAUAUAUAUUUCAUUCUCCAUAAUUUUUUCCCAUCAUAGCUACGAAACGUCUUAGUUUCGACUAAAAUCCUAAAAUUGGUCCUUAAUUGAAUAUGCAUUGCAAUUUGCAAAUGUAAUAUUGUGAAUGGGACACUGGAGAUACCAAAAUGGUCAAAUGCGAAAUAAGUUAGGAUUGUACGAUGUAGUUUGUAUUCAUAUUCAAUGCCUUUUUUUUCAAAAAACAAAUUGAAAUGCCAUUACUAAACGAUUCUUGAUGAUGGGAGCCACCGUGCCAGCUUUGUCGCUGAUUUGGUAUUAUUCUUAACUUGCAGAUAGUUGUGGAUAUGAUAUGCAAAAAGGUAAGGACUAUAUCUUCUUGAUGGAGGCCUCUGAUUUUUUCCCUUCUAUGUAAUUUAGUAAAUCGCAUUUUCCCUUGUGAUUGAUAUAUCAUACCAAAGUCAAGUCUUAAAUACUGCUGUCAUAUGUUAAGGUUCAACUUCCAUUUUGAUUAACGUCCAUUUGCUGCUGCUUCCAAAAGUGAGAAUGAGAUACUUUGGUUAAUUUCAGUAGUUGAACCCAAUAGAGUACUUUAUUUAGAUCUUCAUGGUUCAAAGGCCUGAAAAAACUUGCCGGUAUUUGCAAAAUGACAUUCUGUGCUUUUAUUUAGGCUUAUUAUUUAAGUGAUAAAAACUCCCGUAACCUGCUGUCAAGAAAAUUUCAGAUUGUUAAAAGACAACAUUUUGUUUCAGCCAAAAAUGUUUGUUUCGAUUAAAGACUUGAACCAUUUUCAUUUAACCUUGAUUGUGAUGCUUUACAUUAUGCAUGUUCCUCUCAAUCAAUAAAAGUUGAGGUCAUGAUUUUAUAUUUCUAUUUUGUAACUUGAAAUAAUUGGUCUGCCUGUUUCUGUAGCUUGAUAACAUGAAUUUUUCCUUCUGAAGUUAAUUUGAUCAAUAAAGUAAUUCUUCGGAGAUGAUAUGCCCAUUCUAUAGUCAUUUUCUUAGGUAACAUGUUUUUUCUUCACUCUUCAGAGCAUGUCUAAACUAAUUGAUCGCUCAGCGGAGACUUUGGGUGAGAAGACAAAAUUUCUUGGUAAAUCCUCUAAAAAGGUAUGCAUAAUUCCCGAGUAUUAAAUAAUCAUUGGUCAUAAUUUUUGUACACAACUCUUUUUUUGGAGAUCGUUAAAAGUGGUUGAUGAUCUAUUUUGUAAUAUCAUAGAGGGAUCAUGAAUUCCUGUUCUUUUCUGUGGCUAGGCAACACUUUCGGGCCAAGCUAAGGAAAUCUAUUUUAGGUAAUGUGAAAACCAGUUGUAGGAUGUAAUAGUUUAUUAUGCCCUGACAAUAACUUUUUGUAUAAUUGUCAGUUUAAUGAAUACAAGAGGAACUCUGUUGGCAAAUUCAUCCAUGAUAGAUGCUAAAAGUAUUUAUGCAUACCAGUUGCCUUAACUAAUUUUUCUCAACACUGGUAUUGAACAGGAAAAUGAAUAUGCAAUUUGUAUAUUGUGCCAUUGUGGAGAAUUUGGAUAUUCUUAUUUAAGUAACAAGGAGAGUAUUUGCCUCAUCUUUAAACAAUGAAUCUUUGAGAAAUGAGGAGUGGGUGAUUGGCAGUGUCUUCAUGUAAAUGUUCAUUUAUUUGUAUUUUGAACUAUUAUGAGAAUCUUUGUAUGCCAAAUUAGUAAUACAAAUGUUCAGAUGAUUUUUCCUGUUGAUCAUGCGUGUGUAUCUGCACACAACCAUUGUGUCCCACUUUAUUCUGAUGCACAAAUAUCUGUAGUUUAGAAGAAAAGAAAUAAUAAUCAUAUAUUAUUGCUUGGUUCAUGAUUAUUAAACGAUUAUGGCUUUAGAAAAUCCACAAAUCCUUUGUGUUCAUAUAUGAAUGUGCGAAGUUUGCUAUCUCUUAGAUUACCUUCUUCCAAGAUAACAAGUUCAUAUAUUUUUUUUAAUCCUUUUUCAUCACAGUUGAAUUUCAAGUGUAAGUUUUGUUAUUAAUAGCUGGUUUCCUGUUAUUAUGAUUUCAUAAACAGUGAGAGGAUAUGUGCUCUACUUUUGGAGGGCCUCCACAUGAAAGAAAAUUGCAACAAUUGAAUUCUUCCGGAGGGUAUGGUAUUUAAUUUAUUUUCUCAGCUUGUUGUAAGACUAAUAUAUUUCCUUCAGUACCCAAAAGGACAGAAAUGAAUUACGGAAGGAAGUUUUUGCUGCUUUAUUUAGUGCUGCUGAGAAAUCUGAUGGAUUUCCUGAAAUUACGGUGAAGACGGAGUGGAGGUCCAACGCAUUAGGAAAGGUGGUGAGUGAACCGCCGGAGGAAUUAGUACCAGAAUACAAGGCUAAUGUGGUGCACUUGCAGCAAGAUGACCAGACCUGUAUGUGCUCUUAUAUUAACUAUAUUGGUUGGAUUUGUGAGUGUGUACAUUUUUGUGUGUAUACUCACAUUUGUAUUUAUGCAUAUUAACGUGUGUAGGAUUCUUGAUUUCUGCCACUUACUGGAGAACUAGUGGAAAGCUUUAUACUGAUAUAUGUGCUAUAACUAAUGGAAACUACAAUAUGAAUAUUUUCUCUCACCUGGAGAACUGUGUAACAGAUAUAAUUUGUGGCUCUGGAAUACUGAAGAUUCUGCAAUAACUAAUGGAAAAUAUGAUAUGAAUAUUUUUUCUCACCUGGAGAACUUUGUAACAGAUACAUUUUGUGGCUCUGGAAUGUCUAAAGAAUGCUUCAGUUUAGAUCAAAUAUCUUUUAGUUAGAAAAGAUAAAAUUCUCUGAAUCUGAAAGACUGAAACAUUUUGCAUAUUUUGUGAAAGGGAAGUAUCUGUAGAUACUAGCUCAUGCAUUGAGGUAAUAUCAAUGUUAAAGAAAAACAGCAAUAAUUUAUUAUACAGAAUUAGGUUCACUUGCUUUAAAUGCUGGUCUGAUCAACCAUAACAACCUGUAAUGGUCCUGCAGAAAUAUAUAUACGGGGAGAAACUAGCUAAAUUUUCCUUUCACUUAUGGGUUUGGUCUUUUUUUCCCCUAUUUUUCAGCUUUCCUUCUCCUGAAGUAUGUUAACAAUUGCAGAUAAUGACGAAGAGGACCGCUUCCAGGCUCUUUGUAGAGCUGUGAUGGAAUAUAGGGGCACAAUGAAAGAAUAUUGUAAGGUUGUAUGUACUUUCUCUCUUGUCAUUUAUGUUUUCUCACACAUUUUGUUUAUGCCCUGAACAUGCAGCUUUGUAUGUGUCAAUUGCCUUUUACGUUUUAAAAGCCAUAAAGUAAGAAUACAGUUCCUUGUCAGGCUAUUGAUGCGUUCGCUCAGAAGGGUCAUGUUCAAGCAGGAAAACUUCUAGAACAGGUAAGGUUUCCAUCUACAGCCAUCCAUUGACAGCAGAUAUAUUUUCAUUAAGCAGACACUGUUAGCAUUCAAGAUGCUGGCAGAUUCACUUGAUUCUUAUUAGUUUGUUUAGUGGCAAGGCAUAUAACCUGUAUUUCAAAGCCAAGUUGUGCUAUUGAUUAUGUUAACUUUAUUGUUAACAUAAAGUGAUAUGGAGGACAUAAUCAAUGUAGGAAAAUUAGGUGAAGAGAUGAUGUCAAAUCUUGAACCUCUUACAAAGCUCCAAGUUCUUUACUUGAAGAAGCUGCCAAAUUUGAAGAGCGUCUACUGGAAGGCAUUUCCAUUCCCAGAUGUAUGCAGAAUUUUUGUAUUAAUGCCCAGUUCUUAAGAACCUGCCACUGGAUUUUCAAGGGGUGGGCCAAGGUAAAAUUCUUAUCAAGGGAAAGGAAGAUUGGUGGAAAGAACUUCAAUGGGAGGAUCAAGCAACUCAGAAUGCAUUGCUUCCAUUUUUCAAAUCAACUGACAAGUGAUUGAAGGGGGCAUCAUCAACAUCAUCAACAGAGAUGGAGAGAUUCUGGAGCAGAUCAGCAGGGUUUGUAUAUGAUCUUUGGUGGUUGCUUUCUUUUGUGAUUUUUUUUUUCUUCCUGUCAUUUUAUCAUUUCUUUGUCUCUUUUUUUAUUGCUGAUGUUAGUGUAUGCUUACUGUUGCUUGACAAAGUUCGCUUGCUUCUUGUUUAUUAAAUUUUUUAUCGUCACAAAAUAUUACUUGUUCUAUUUGAGAGUGAUGUGAAUCAAUUUUCAAUUAUAUAUUUUGUGGUCAAUGUGAAUUCAAUUUCAUUUGUCUCCUGCAAUUAUGAGAAAACUGCAGAGUCAUAAUAUGGAAAAGUACACCAGCAAAAACUUUGUAAAAGCUUCGGAGUGAAACAGGGAAUUCACUUACUACUAAGAACAAUUGAUGGCGAGUUAUUCCAUUCAUUUUAUGUCCAUCUAUCUAUUUAAUUAUUAAAGAUAAAUGGUCCAUUUAUAAAUUUCAGAUUGUCUCUCUCUGAAAAUAACAAUAUUUAAAAUAUCUCUUAAAUUAUUAUAAAUUUUAAUACACUCUCGAUUUAAAAUGGAACAUGCUGAUGAAAUUGUUUUCUUCUUAAUAAAAUUGAAAUAAAUUGUGUUUGCAGUAGUUUGAAAUAUUUUAAAGAUUAUUAUUUUAUAAGGGAGUAAUAUGAAAUGAAAUUUACUUUUCAUGCGUGAAAUGUUGAAAAAGGACAAAGCAAGUGUCCCUGCUUUUAUUUUUAUUUUAAAGUGGAGUCAUCUCACAUACUUUAGCUCUAUCAUUACAAUUUUUCAGGUUACAUUUUUAUUAUUUAUUUAUUUUCUUUUUUACACAUGCAUGUGGGUUACUUUUCCGUAAGCUCCUCAAUAUAUAUUGAACCCAGCGAAGAAUGUUAUGGAAGAGCAAAUUAAUGAUAUUUCUGAUAGAGUCUAUUUGAUUAUGUAGCCUGAAUGGAUGUCUUGUUGAAAGAUAUCUCAGUGCAUUAGUUCAUCCUUGUCUGUCAAUGUGUUUUUAAUGGUUUUUCCAAUUGUUUAUUAUUAUAGAUUGAUUGUAAAUUGAUAUGAAAAUUUGAUAUGAAUUUAAUGUUGAAAUGUUUUCUCUUUAGUGGAAUGAAUUUAAAAGUGCAAAAGAUUAUUGCACACAGAGAAAUAAACAUAUAUGCUUUAUAACUUUAGCAAUCGAUUCUUUUACAGCUGGAAACAGAGAUGAUGAUUAUCAUAAGGAUGAAGAAAAGUAGUGCGUUAGACGAUUAGACUCUCUUAUUAAAGGCAAGUAUAAAGUAGUGAAGAAUCCAAUAUCUCUAUUGUCUAGUCUUUUGUUUAAUUCUUCUUUUAUUAUUUUUCAGAAUAAUUUUUGGUGAUUACAAUCGGGUUAUUAUUCAGAGUUAUUGUUAUCUUCUGGGGCAGUUUCUGUUCAUCGAAUUCAUUAAUUAAAAUUUUAGAACUCUUAUCAGAAGAAUAUUUUUCGGUUAUCUUUUUUAUGUUCUAAUUCCAAUUGUAAGAAGUAGCCAUUUUAGAAUUUGGGUCUUGAAUCGAAUUUCAAUGCAUGAAUUAAUAUUAAAAAAAAAAAAUUCACUACUCGCAGUUUAGGUUACAAAUUACUUUUUGGAAAGUUGACUUUGGAAUGUUUGCAAAGAAAGAGACUAACAUAUUUCCAAUUACACUAAAUCUCUAUUAUGAUAAUGUUAAGACUAAAUUAAUUUAAAUAAUUUUUAUUUGAAAAUUAUAUCAAACGCAGUCUAAUUUUAUUAAUUUUAAGAAAUAAUAAUUAUAAAAAUUAUUGUUCUGACUUAAUUAAUACAAGUGAUAUAAAAGUUAAGUGUGCACUAAAUCUGUUUUAAUUUUUUCCAGUAUAACUAACAGAGGUCAUUACUAGAAUUAUAUUACUAGUCUAUUAGAUAGAAAAAAUUACUUAUAUUGUUUUAUAUUUAUUAAAAAAUUUAAAGCCAAUUUUUUUAAUUACUAUUUAAAGAAUAUUAUAAUUUGAAAAAUUUUAAUAUCUUUAUUAAAAAUUUAGAAAUUUACAGUCCUCUAAAUAUUUAAGGCGUAACUGUCAUUUUCUCAAGAAGCUUUAUUUAAUAUUAUUGAUUUAAAUAAUAUCUUAUUAAAAAUGUACUGAGGAGAAAUUUUGGUGGGUAUUUUAGUCUUUUCAGCAAUCAUCAUGAUUAACCUUUGGUUGGCCUUGAAACGUCGGUCAGAAAAGUUUUAAAAUGCUUAAUUGUUUUUCACUGUUAACGUUAGUGGCCUUGAAAUUGCUUAUAUUUUAUUAAAAAUUAAUGCUAACAAGAAAAAACUAGAUCGUAUUCCACCCCCAAAGCAAAAGUGAUAAAACAACCGGCUGUAUUCUUUUAUUAAACUACAAAUUAAAAUGGAUUUCUUUAAUUAAAGUGGAUAUCAUUUAAUUAAUGUUUGAACAUUAAAGUUCUGAUAUAUAACCACUAUGCCGACCACCUAAUUGCUGCUAUUUAAUUUCGUUCCAGUUCUCUCUCUCUCUCUUUUUCUUUUUUUUUUGGGCCAAGCAAUAAAUAGUAAAAAUUCAAUAAAAGCAAUAUUAAUGCUGCAAGUGAGUCAUGUUAUUUAUUGUCAAUUAGGAAAUGUGAACCUAAUUUGAUUGCAUCCCUUUAAUCAUUUAAUAAUUAUGUAAGCACCAUCCCUUUAAUUAUUUAAUAACUAGAAAAUAGAACACUGCGUUUCACGCGGCUUUGAAAAAAGAAUUUAGUAUUAUCUUUUUUUCUUACUUUACACUUGAUGAAACUGAUAAAAAAUAUGAAUUGAUUUUUUUUAAAGAUGAGGCAGCCUUAUAAAAAAUAAAAAAAGCUAUUAGCCAGCAAUACAAAUAAAGAAGGAAUGCAAGAUAAAGAAUAAAAUGAGAGAAUAUAUUAUAGAGUGAUCUUAUUCAUUCUAAUUGUGUGUGUACAAAACAAAAAGAUGAGCUCUCCUUUUAUAACUACAUAAUUACUUCAUGAAAUUAAUGAAAAAUUAUGAAUCAUAAUUUCUUGUGAGAUAGUGGGAGUUAUUGGGAAGCUAAAAGUUGCUAAUGGGAGAUAGUGGGGAGACUAAGAGAUAUAUAUUAUGAACAUCUACAUUUAUUUUAAUAAAUUCAUAACACUCCCCCUUAAAUGUUCAUUACAAAGAAUAUGCCUCAUUAAAAUCUUUACAUAAUUGUUAUUGUGUAAUAACAAUCAAAUUAAUUAUAAGAAGAUGAAAAGCCAAAUCUAACAGAAAAUUUCUCUAUUUAUUAGAUAAUAGAGAAUAUAGCAAGAUGAGAAAUGGUAAUGCCACAUCAUCUCCUCACGUCCCAACUUUAUAUAUAUAUAUAUAGAUAAUAUAUAUUAUUCCUGUCCUACAUUCACAUAUUUAAUUGUCCUUUUGAAAAUAUUCAUGAGUUAGGCCAAGUAAAGUCAAAGAAAUUGGGAAAAAGGAACAAAAGGACAAACCUAAAUUAAUUGAACCUAAUUCAUGAAAAUGCACACUUUUGUGUUGCGGACGGCGGACCCUAAAGCUUCGUUGUUUGCAGCUGCAAUUAAUUCUUUUCCUUCAAAAGUUAGAGGCUCGUGUUUACAGUGGGUCCCGAAUCGGACGUACCUAAUAAAUCUUUUAAAAAAAUUUGCCGUAUAAAGGACAGAGGUCAUUACUGAAAUUUCUCUUCCACGGGCAAUUACAGCAGCUUCAGUUAAUCAAACUCAAAUCAAUUUUCUUUCUUAACAAAAUAUUCCAAAGAUGUGUAGCAUUUUUCAGAUCACAUGCGAUGGUGCUUUUUUCAAUCGUUGCUUGGAUUGCUUUCUUGGAAAAGCAGCAUACAUACGUAACCUCCAAGAUAAUCUUGUAGCCUUGGACACUGAAUUGGGAAAUCUGAUCGCUAAAAAGAACGAUGUGAUGAGGAGGGUUGUCGAUGCUGAACGGCAACAAAUGAGAAGGCUGGACGGAGUGCAAGUGUGGGUUUCGAGGCUCGAUGCUGUUAAAACUGAAGCCGAUGAACUUAUCACAGACGGCUCUCGAGAAAUUGAAAAAUUAUGUGUUGGAGGCUACUGUUCCAAGAACUGCAGGUCAAGCUACAAAUUCGGAAAACAAGUGGCAAGAAAGCUACGAGAUGUGGAGACUUUAAUCGCCGAGGGAGUUUUUGAGUCGGUGGCUGAGAGAGCUCCGGAACCUGUGGCAGAUAAAAGACCCACUGAGCCAACAAUAGUAGGCUUGCAAUCACAGCUUGAACAAGUUUGGAGAUGUCUUCUUGUAGAAGAAUCAGCGGGAAUCAUUGGCCUAUAUGGUAUGGGCGGUGUUGGUAAAACCACACUGUUGACCCAUAUCAACAAUAAAUUUCUUGAGAGUCCCACCAACUUUGAUUGUGUGAUUUGGGUCGUAGUUUCAAAAGACCUGCGACUUGAAAAAAUUCAAGAAGAUAUUGGGAAGAAGAUAGGUCUGUUUGAUGGUUCGUGGAAGAAUAAAAGUGUUGAGGAGAAAGCCGUAGACAUCUUGCGGAGAUUAGGAGAGAAGAGGUUUGUAUUGUUGUUAGAUGAUUUAUGGGAGCGGGUUGAUUUAACAGAAGUGGGCGUUCCACUUCCCAGCCCACAAAA
rnacentral:lncRNA from 1 species